rnacentral:lncRNA from 1 species
UUUCACUACAACAGAAUUAGGUUAUAGGGACACAUGUUUGGGACACUUUUGAGUAAGUGUCCCAUUUAUACUAAAACUUAAAAAAAUAUCUACUUAUACCUAAAUAUAAAGCCCAAUCCAACCAAAAAUAAAAGAUUACUCUACUCAACCCAUCACACCCAGUCCAUUUGACCCGAUUACAAACAGAAAAGAAAAAAAAAGAAAAAUCAAUUACCAUCUUUUCUUCUCUCUUCACUCAAUUCACAGAAAUUCUAGACGAAGGUCUUUCCUGUCGUCCUCCUCCGUCACCGUAGCCAAUGAGAUAGAGUUUCAGCGGUUGCUAAAUACUUAAAUAAGUGUUGGUAAAUUAGCAGCACUCUUUUAGGCUAUAGCGACACUCUUUAACUGUCACUAUAUACCUAGCGACUCCACAUAUAGCAACACUUUUUAAAAGUGUCGGUAAUUUUAGCUAGCAGCACUUUUUUGACAUGUACCUACAUUUAAAAGUAUCGCUAUAGACCGUUUUUGUUGUAGUGUUUAAAUCAACUUUACGAGCAUUUACCACAUUUGCAUUUGGAUUGUUAGAUUUUAUGCAGAUCAUAAAAGCUCAAUUAUAUAUAUAUAUAUAUAUAUAUAUAUAUAUAUAGGUUUGAACGGUUGGAUUUUUUUUUUUAGAAAAAGGUAGCACGCUACCCGCUUCAUUCAUUGAAAAAAUCAACUAGGCUACAAGAGUGGGGCAUCUAGGGCCCCGAUAAAAAAAAAAAAGAAAAAAAAAGGUUCAAGUAGGUAGAACUGAAUCCCACUCCUUCAGUAACUGCCGGAGAGUGAUGACAACCCUCUCAGGGUUCGGAUGGAUUUCUCUAAAGAUCAUGUCGUUUCUGGCCUUCUAAAUACACCACCAGCAACCGACUAAAUGUGUAAGGCAGUCUCUUUUCUUUCUUCGGCUCUUCCUAAUCCUUCACCUAUCCCAAGCGCGGUUAACCUCAUCCUCCAUGUCUAGAGUCUGAACUCCAUCUACACCCGACACUAAGAUGAACUUGCUAAAAAAACACCUCUAGUGAACAGAUGGUCUACUGUUUCCUCGGCCGACCCGCAUAGUACGCAGGUUGAGUCUUGAACCCAACCUCUUUUAACUAAUCUAUCGGUCGUAGGGAUUCUCUUAUUAAGAACCAGCCAGCAAAACACUUUAACCUUAAAAGGGAUUUUGACUCUCCACAUUGAGCUCCAGUAACUAUGUUACAUCUUAAUUUUAUCUCUCGAACAUUCACUACAAAUCCAAUAUGUAACUAAACUCAUAUCAACAAGGUACGUACAUGCAUAUCAAGUUGACUUUCGGAAUGAAAACUAAAUCCAAACAUCAAUUGAUCUAAAUAUUUCUUAAUAUACUAAUCUGAAAAAUAACAAAAGUAUAGUUGCGAAUAAAUAUCAUUAAAUUGCUUUGACAUUCGUUCAUUUGUCGCCUUAUUUAACAAAAUGAUGACUUCGAAAUGGCCCAGCAUGAAUCCGGCCAUUUAAGACCAUAAAAGGGAUUUUUCCCCCUUUUUUAACCACUCAAUAGUCAAUCCAACAAAAUAGUAAUUAAUGUAGGAGUUGCUUCCGUUGAAAGUUUCCCAAUCAUUACUAAUAAUUAAAGUGAUAAAUUAUUAAAAAUUUUGCCGUGACUGUUAUUUUAUUAAGUAGAUAAUGUACCGGCCCUAAUUGAAAUAAAUUAGGAAUAUACAUAUACAUAUACAUAUAUAUAUACAUAUACAUAUACAUAUAUAGUGAACAUAUACAUAUAUAGUGAGGCUACUAUGCUAUCGGAAGCACGGAGCCUUCCGUGCUUCCAGCUCGUUUUCGAUGUUGCCACUUUCGAAGAAAAAAAAAGGUGAUUAAGUUAAGCACGUAAGAAAAUUUAGUUCUUUAAUAAAUAAUUUUAAAGAAUAUCUUAGCCUGAUUAUAUCCGUUCAAAUUAAAUGUCGUGGACUUAUUUUGUCUAGUAAGAAACGGCUGAAAAUAUAUAGCAUGUCUUAGACAUCUUCUCUUUCAUGUUUAGCUUGAAAUAUGUGGACUGAUGAGAGAGUAAAGAGAGAAAAAAUAUGAAAUUUAAUUAGAUAAUAGAUGUCGAAAAUUUAACUUUCAAAUUUUAAAACUGAGUAGACUUAGAACGGCUCUGAAACCAUAUUAAUAAGCAUCAAUCUAUCUAAUAAGAUAGAAAAUAGUCUUUAAACCAAACGGAGGUACUCUGAUGACCUUUGAUGAAAGCGAGACGCAUUAAUUUUUACAACAAAAUGAAUUAGAAUUUUUUGUUUCUCUAAAAAGAUAAUGGUGUGACUUGUUACAACUUACACCAAAGAGUUAUAUUUCCUUGUUUAGGGAUUAAGUCAAUUUGCACAAAAAAAAAAAAAAAAAAAAAAAAAAAAAAAAAAAAAAAACAUAUAUAACUAUAUAACUAUCUAGAUAGGGAGUUCUAUUACUUAAUUAAGUUUGCUUUAGUGAUUUCAAAAUUAAUAUUAAAAAUGCAUCAAUAUUCUUUAACUACUACAAGCGUAUACACCAUCUACAAAGACUUGUAAAUUCCUUUGUUAAUUACCAAAUAUAAAAUUUUCCUAUUACACAUGUAUAAGGCCAUAAAAAUAUCUCAUAUUAUUGCCAUCAUAAUGGUAAGAUUUUCCUUUGUUACUUGUUUUUUUUUUCUCUCUCUUCUAUUAUAUAUUUUUUUGAAACAUAUAAAACAAAUGCACGAUGAGUACGAGGGAUAUAGUGUGGCAUAACAUUUAGUGGUUGUUUAGUCCCGGCAUGUAUUUGCAACUCUAUUCUAAUUGUAACUAUAUGCAAAUUUAAAUUCAGCGUAUGUUUUAAUACAUUUGAAUUCAACUAAUAUAUUUAUAACUGCACAAAAAGAUUCAACUACAGUAGUCACUUGAAGGGAGCAAGUUUAAACAAAAGUAAGCUUACCUUUCUAAUAAUUUUUAUUUUUAUUUUUUUCAUUUCCUGCACAGAGGCCAGGUAAUCUCAUUAUUAUUAUUAUUAUUAUUAUUAGAUCUAUAUAAUGAUAGAAAAUAGUAAAUCCAUCUUUCAGCUACAUGCGACCAAAUAAAUUAUUUAUAAUUAAAACGCUUUGUUAGAACUAAAACCGAGAAGAUCUAGUUCGUCGGAUGCGAAAAUACCAAAAGAGAUCCGAGAAAGAGAGAAGAAACAUAAAGCACACAAUAUUUACGUGGUUCGGCCAACGGCCUACGUCCACGGGCGAAGACGGAGCGAAAAUCUUCAUUAGAAUCAAAGUGGUGUACAAAAUAUGCCUCUCUCACAAAACCCUAAUCCUAAAAAAUACACCCAUAUUUCCUCUUUCAUCUUCCGCACUAAACUAAAGGAAUAAAGAGUAUAUUUAUAAUAGUGGUUAAAUCCUAAUACAAUUAGGAAUACAAAUCCACUAAGAUUAGGAAUAUCUCGAUAAAUUAGGCAUAAUUUAAACUUAACUUAAUUGGAUAAUCAAAAUAGAAUAGGGAUAGAAAAUCUUGCGGUACUAGAAUUCGAGACAUAUCUAACACGCUUUUUAUUAUAUAGAACCAAAUAAAAUGCAUAUAAUUAAAAUUACUGUAUUUUUAAUUGCAUACAUUAUUAGCUAUACUGUAUUUAUAAUUUUACCGAGCCAAAGAGGCCUUAGGUUUAUUAGCCUUUGUUUUGACACCACAAUUAUACAUACUACGUACGUACGACACAAGAUAAAUGGCGAACCAAACCAUGAUAGACUAGCAAGCUCAAAGUGUGUUGCAUUGAGCCGGCAGGAAAGAUAGCACCUCAUUGUCCAAAUCGUAGAGUAUGUGCAUAUUCUGCUGCAUGAAGUUGCCGAACACCGAUACGUCGGACGAGCUCGCCAUUGCGAGGCACCACAAAUCUAGAUCAGGGAUCGGGCGCAUGUAGUUCUCCGCCGGCAAAUCCAUGUCGGCGCCAUCGAAGUGAAACGUCAUCGACGGCAUUUGCGGAGGAGACGAACCGGCUUCCAACGUGUAACAUAGAUCGUACCCUAUAUCGGAACCGUCGUCGAUCGGAAGGUUCACUACUGAUUCGAUUGCCUGCGUCACGGGUUGAUACGCUUCGUCGACCAAAAGAGUAAGUGUGGUGCCGGAGUCGAUGAUCAAACCGCCGCUUCCGUCCGGCUUCAAGGCGAAAGCCGUCGACGGGAUCGAAACCAAGGUAGAACCUAGUGAUAUACCUUUCAAAGAUAGGUAAUAGUAGGUGUUGUUAGGGUUUGGGUUUGAGACAAACGGAGUGGAUAGUGUUGCACUGCUAUUGAGACUAGCCAGUGAUCCGAGAAAAAGUGGACUAGCACUCGUAGUAUCGACAAAAGAAGUGAGACAGUAGGAGAACUUUCCGACACCCAACUGAGAUAUCAACGACAAGUUCCCCCUCCCGAGCCCGACUAUGCCGGAGGAGUUGAAGAAGUACAUAGUGCUUGCGUUGCCGCAGCCCAAACCGAUGUUGGGUACCGCGACCGGGUCGGAGGAUUGGAAUGUGAAGGUCUCAGUUGCGAGAACUCCCGUGGCGGAUGUGUAUGUUUGUGUGUAAAUAUCACCGUAACCGAAAUCGUAAUGGCAAUUUCCCAGAUAACAUGAGGCUUGGGAGUUUUCGACAAAGAGGUUUUCGCAUAGGGGACUAUCGCACGGCGGCACCGUGAAGGUGGAGGAUUCGGAGGAAUUGUAGGUAGGAGUGAGAAAAUCGGAACAUAGAUCGCAGGGCUGGCACAUGAGCCAGACGAGGUCGCUGCCAGUAUCGGCAAUCCCGGUGUAGGUCACCGGAGGGGUACCGAUCGAUAGGUCGAUGAGGUACUCCCCGACAGCCCCGUGGACGGGAACGGGAACUCUGACGUUGGCAGCGGCAUUGGCGCUGAAGCAGGCCAACCGAAUCCUGUCCCGUUGGAGCUCGCGGCGGACGAGCUCGGCCCCCGUGACCUCGCCCUUGGAGCCAAUGCGAUAGAUUUCGACUCGGGCACCAUCGAAGGGAGAACAGAAGGGGGAAAAAGUGGAGAAAAGGAUGAGAAUGAGGAGCAUUUGGGUCAUCUUCGUGGGAUUAUAUUCUAUAUGAUUAACAACUUACUUAAUAUAUUGAUUAAGGCGAUGGUAUAUGGUAGAAGAAAAAUGUUAGUUACCAAAUUGUAUCUGUUGCCAUGCACAAUGCAUGCAUGAAUCCUAAUUCGCGCGAAAAACUCAAUGGCGGGUACAGGUGGAACAGGAGUUAACUCCGGAGCUCUCAAUCGCGCCUUCGACUUCUCCGAUUUUACGGCGAAAUUGAAUCUUACAUCGUUGCGCACGAAAAUGACAUGUCCACAACCACAUUAUAUAAUUCUUCAGAAAAAAGAAAGAAAAAAAGAAAGAAAUUAAGAAAGAAAGAAAAUAUAGUCAUGCAUGCAUGCAUGCAUGAAGUGGCGAGUCUACAAUUAACCUCCAAAAGAAUGUGGAGUGCUCGCUUAUAUAUGGGAAUCAUAGGAGAUUAAACUAUAUAUAUAUAUAUAUAUAUAGAAGAACAUGCAUCAAGUGGUAACUAAAAUAUACAUAGUAGACUCCAAUUAAUGAAAGGUAUGAGCAUACAAAAUAAGCAAAUCUAAGUGGACUUUAACGGGAAUAUUGUAUUUUAAGUCAUGAUUGGGAAUCUUAAUUAUUUGCCACCAACUACUGUUCACUUAAAUAAUUUCCAACCAUGUUAAUAAAUCUAAAGUCAAUGAUGGACUCUAUAUGACCGUUUACUAUGAGGAGAGUGUCCACAAAAAGUUUCUGCUCAAGUAAUAUAUAUAUAGUUCCCACCCAAAAAUAAAAAUUAAAAAACAACUAUCUAAAUUUUGAACACAGGAUUUUGUACUCUAUUAGUAUGUGAAAUAAUCAAUCACUCUAAGAACUUAAUCCGCCAAAAAUUAGCAUACUCUUUAUUUUAUAUUCAACAAUAUAUAUGGUAUUUCUUCUUGUAAAAGCUCCUCCGAAAUUUUAAAGCAUUACAUAUUUGUUAUUGUUAGUUAACUUUCUUCAAUUAAUGACUAUUUUUCACUGUUAUGAUUGACAAGCUCUUGUAAAAAAAAAAAAACACAAAAUAAUUUUUUAAGGAUUUAAAAUUUAGGUUCAUGUAGAAUAUUCAAAAUAAGGUUUUUUUAUUUUAGAUGAAGAUAGCAAACUAUUUCAUUUUUAAAAAAAAAAAAAAAACUUAGCUAAAAAUAUGAAUUAAUUAGGAUCUGGAAUACCAACCACCUAGUUUACAUAAGCUAGAAUAAAGAUAUUAUAGGAAUUGAUAAAAAUAUCUUAAGGCUCCGUUUGAUUGGCGGUAUAAGCGGGGAUAACGGAAGUUAUCCCCGCUAUUCCGCCAAACAAAAUAAUUUUUGGCCGGAAUAUUUUAUCCCAGUCAAACUUUGCUAUUUCUGACUAUUCCGGAAUAGAUUGGGAUUUGCUGUUCCACCAUUUUGAUGGAAUAGUGCUAUUCCAAUAUUUAAUUUCAAACUUAAUUAAAAUUAUGAAUUGAAUUAAAACUAAAUUAUAUAAAUAUAAUAUGUUAUAUAUUAUAACACAUUUUUUUGUUAUAAAAUUAUUAAUUGUACUAUAUUAAUAAUAUUAUUUAUUAUUUAAAUAUUAUAAUAAAUUUUAUAAUAAAUUAUAUUUAAAUAUUAUAAUAAAUUAUUUUUAUUAAAUUUAAGUUUAAGUAGAAAUUUUAAAAAAAUUAUAAAUUUAUUAAUAAUAAAAAAUUUAUAAAUUUAUUAAAAUAUUUAUUUUUAUCAAAUUUAUAAUUUUAUUAUAAUAAAUUAUUUUUAUUAAUUGUUCCAACCCUAUUCUUAUUUAAAAAAUUUAAAAUAUAAAUAUUUAAAUUUAAAAUUUAAAAUUUUAAAAUUUAAAAUUUGUAAUCUCAAAAUUAAAGUUAUUCUAAAUUCCAAAUUUUAAAUUUUAAAUUUAAAUUUUGAUAUUUUAAAUUUUUAAAAUUUAAAAUUUUAUAUUUUAUAUUUUCAAAUUUAAAUUUGAUCUUAAAUUUAAGUUUGAAAUUUAAAAUUAAAAUUUUGAUAAAAUUUGAGAUUUUAAAUUUUAAAUUUAAUUUUAAAAUUUUGAAAUUUAAAAUUAAAUUUUAAAUUAAAAAUAUAAUUUAAAAAUUUAAAAAUUUAAAUAUAAAGAUUUAAAUUUUAAAAUUGAAACUUUACAGGAAUAACCCAAUUUUCAUCCAAACGCAAAAUUGAUUUAAUCCCCGCUUAUAACUCAAUUUAUACCUAUCCUUAGAAUAACAACUUUUUGCUUAUCUCCGAACCAAACGAUACCUAAAAGACAUAUCUUUUGUUAAAAAUUAGUCUGAUUGGAUCAUACGAGUCUAAUUAGAGUCAAGUAAAAGGUCAAAUAGUGCGAGAAAGCUUUUUCGUAGUUCCUCACUCGAUCGUAAGCGAGAGAAGUGUGUACGAGGAUCAUAACUUGGCGAAUUUUGCCAAGUUAGAGAUGAAUGAUCUCUAAUCUCUCUCUUUUUCUCUGUUGUGAAACUUUCAUUGUAAUUAAGGUCGAUGUUUUCAUCCUUAGGGAUAGCAUGAUCUAGCAAGAAAAUGUCAAAUUUAGUCUAUCAGCGAGAAAAUUUAAUUAAUAUGCACAGUCGUUUUUGCAGGAUUUCACAACUAAAUUCAUUCAUUGGAGCAUUUCACCGAACACUUGGCGAGCGCGCUCACAGGGAGAGUGCGACGAGAAUGGCUUGGCGACACCGCGCCCGCGCGGUCUCGAUCCGGUCCCUGAUGGUGUCUUCCUUGGCCGCGGCCCUCACCAUCUCCACGUCCAUCUCGAUGAGCUUGAGCACGCGGCGGAGCUCCGUGACCCUGCGCUCCUCCACCUCGCCGCGCGCGGCCAUGGCCUCGGCCUCCUCCCGCGCCCGCUCCGCCACCACCUCCGCCACCUUCGCCAGCAGCGCCGCCGAGCCGUACCGCCCCCGCCCCAUCAGCCCCUCCAGCUUCUCCAAGAAGUCCGCGAUCGCCCACCCCUUCGGCCUCGCCUUCGCGAUCUCCUUCGUCCGCUUCCACCCGAUCUCGAAGUUCGGGGGCUCCGGGGGCCGCUCGAUCGCCGAUCCGGGGCCGCGCGCCGGGUCGCGCACGAUCGCGGAGGGCACGCGCCUCUCGACGGCGAAGGAGGUGGUGGCGGCGGCGGCGGCGGCGGCGGCGAAGGGAGUCUCAACAAAAGCAUCGGACGAGGGGUCAGGAUUAGGGUUAGGGUUAGGGUUAGGGUUUGGGGACGAGGAGGAGCAGCGAGGGACGGAGAUGGAAUUUUGGCGGGAAGAGGGCGGUGGCGGGAGGAGGAAGCGGAGAGCGGAGGCCAUGGAUUGGUUGAGAAGAGAGAGAGAGAGAGAGAGAGAGAGAGAGAGAGAGAGAGGGGAUAAGGUGUGUUGUUUGAGGUGAGCGAGCGUUAAAAUGGAUAAAUGGGCCAAAAUGGGCUUUUUAUGAAGCCCAUGAUAUCAAUAAAUGGGCCUUUCUGACAAGAGCAUUACACUGAACAUAGCUGUUUCCUCUGUUUUGUUUUGUUUUGUUUUGUUUUGUUCCACGUUCAGAAGCCUACUAAAGAGGAAGAAGGACGGAGGUAAGUGGUUGGAUUGCAAACUUUGCAAAUAUCGAAGCAAGUUAAAUGUGUUCCGACAGAUCGCACCCGCCUCCUCUCGUUGGGUAGUUCGGCCGAGGAAAUGCGCGACACUACUGAGAUAAGACGGAGGUCUCUAGCUAUUUGUGCUGCUCAUCUCUCAGUGUUUGUUUAGCCUCACUUUUAAUUUUCCUCCACUACUUCGAGUUAAAUGCAAUCUAACAACUUCAGAACGGCAGUAAUCGAUGCUAGAGUACAGGGCAAAGAAGAAACUGGAUAACUUCAAUAGCACUUUGCCUUACGACAAGUCCGAUCAAUCCCUAAAUUAAAGUUGAACAAACAUAAACCUAAUUUUGUUGACUAAGUUCCCUGCUAAUCAUGUGGCCCAGUAUAACAUGGCCCAACUAUAACUUAAAACAAAAUAAAUAAAUAAAUAAAUAACAAAAGGAAAGGGUGAUAAAUGCCACUCACAAUUUUCCUUUUUGACCUCCAAUUAGGGAUUUCUUUGUCAUAUAUAAAGUUUUACAUAGACUUUUUUUGCCCUAACAAAUAGGUUGGGUCCUAGACCUUACCCUGAACCAGCCCAAGAAGAUGGUUUCUAAGCAUUAUAAAGUCUUAAUAAUGUUGUGCUUAUUUUAUACAAAAUUGAUGUGGACAUCGGGAUGUUAUUUAAAAGUUGGGAUUUUAUCCAAACCAAUAAAAUAGCCCUAACUCUUUUCUUCUUUUGAGUUUUCACCAUUUGAUAGGUCAAGCUAAGCAUCAUAUGCUUAAGAAUAGUAUAUUCCAGUUCAAAUUCAACUGUUCUUAAUAUUAAAAGCUUUAUUAUAUUAACACUUUGGUUAUCAAUGUGUGCAGAGCCAUUAAUCAAAUCUUAAGUAUUGCAAUUAUGCGCGGGGUCCAUUAUUAUUUAAUAUAUUAUCAGAUUCAUAUAUUGUUCGCAGGCUCUCUAUCUGGACCACUUAUAUUAUUAUACUCAGAUUUUUUUUUGUCAUGUUUCUAAAAUAGCUUUUCCGUACCAAAAAAUAAUAAGCUAAUAAUUAGAUCGUUGGCGCUAACCGUUAAUUUCAAAAACUUGAGCAGUUAGAAAUACGCAAUCAAUUCACAUAAAGUAUGUGACACAGUCGAAUCAGCCUCACGCCACUUCAAAGAUGACUCGUCCAAUCCAACUUCAUGCUAUUUCAAAUAUGACUUGAUCUAAUAUGAUCUUUUGCCGCAGGGCAGAAUGCUGAUUCUUUUAAACUAAUACAAAUUUGUCGAUACAGCUUAUGGCUAAAAAUAUUAUUUUGACCAUAAUUGUAAUUUGAAGCUUCUAUUUUUGUUUUAGAGAGAAAUUAUAAAAUAAUUAUUGAUAUGUCAUCACUGUGAUAUAGUUAUCCUCUAGCCACACUGUUUAAAUUUGGCCCAAUCCACUUUGAACCACUUGUUAUAUUUAUUUUAGUGAAUCACAGCAACUGUGCAUGACAAAAGCAUGCCUUGGAAUCAGGGUGCACAGUGUAAAAUGUGAAGUAAAUAAUUAAAGGCAAAAGGCACAGCCAAAACCUUAUAUAAAGAUAAAAACCUUUUUCCAAAAGCUUCUAUUUGCACAACUUUUACCUUAAAUGCUAUGAUGCUUGAAAAUGACUUUAAUGAGAGAGAGAGAGGAUUUGAACUCAUCUCCUCUGCCCAAAAUAAAGUUGGCCACAAACAAUUGGGAAAGUUCAUGCAUGUAUUCACAUGCAACUUAAGAGGCCCUUGUUGUCCAAAUACUAAAUGCAGCAAUCCAACAGCAUAUAUAGCAUGUUGUUUUAAUUCUUUGUAGCUUUGGAUUGCAGUAUAGAUUUGUUUGUCUUGUUGUAAUAUAUAGUAUUGUCAACAAGUGUCUUGUAAAAGUUUUUUUGUUACUUAAAAAUGAAUCAUAAUGCUUAAAAAUGUUUCAUACUACAAAUAUUUUAGGAAAAACUUCAAAAACCCCCCCUGUGGUUUCGUGCAUUCUCACUUUGCUACCCUGUGGUUUAAAACGUAUCAAUUUACCCCCCUGUGGUUUCAUUUUUAUCUUUUCGGAAGCUUUUUCGUUAAUAUUUCGUUAAAUUAUAUACAAAAAACUUCAGAUAACCAUCUAUAUUUAUCGAAUAGUCACUUUAGUAUCCUUUAAUUUUAACUUUGUCACUGAUUUUUAAAAAAAAUAAUAAUAAAAUUGAUAACAAAAAGAUAAAAACGAAACCACAGGGGGGCAAAUUGAUACGUUUUAAACCACAGGGUAGCAAAGUGAGAAUGCACGAAACCACAGGGGGGGUUUUUGAAGUUUUCCCAAUAUUUUAUUAUUGAACUCGUUUUGGAAGUGAGUUAAUUAAUAAAAAAAACAAAAGCAAAAGUACGUAGAACUGAUAGAUUUGUAAUGAAAGGCAUCAGUACCGGUCAGAUAGACCCAAAUGGCACCCCCAGUUUGAGGAAAAGAUUAUGACAUUAAGUCAUAGUUGAAAAAUUUUUACAGUAAAUAGUUUCUUUUUUGAGAGAAGGGUAGUAUGCUACUUUAUUCAUUAAGUAGGUGAAUUAUAUAAAGUGAGACAAUCAUGGCCUCGAGGGGUACAGUAAAUGCUUUUAUUGCAUGUUUUUUUACAUCAUAUGAUAGAGAUAUUUACCACUAUAAUGAUUGGUUUUAAACACAGCAUUCAAGUUAUGUCAUAUGACAGUGAAUUCUCCUAUCAAAUCUAAUUAUUUGUUGAUUUUGAAUAUAAAAUAAAAUUUGUCAUUCUAUAUAUGCAGAUUACUAAUGCAAUAGAUAAAAGACAUUAAGUAUCCUUUGCAGAUGACCUCAAGUUUUGAAUAUUGUUUUUGGUUUUUUCCUUUGAUAUUUGUAGUUGUAGGCUUGUAGCCUUGUGGCCCAAAACCUCUCUCAGGAACAUUGUUUUGUGACCAUUGCAAAGUCCUAAUAGCCCCCAAAAAAAAAUUAAAAAAAAAAACAAAAGAGGAAAAUUAGGAGUGGUUGCUUUCCAUUGCUGUCACUUGCAUUGGAUUGUGGUCCUCUUGUUGGAUUGCAACCCACUUUUACCCUCAUGUAACCACCUCUUUAAAUCAGUGCACUCACGUGCUCCAUUCCCCAAGAGGUAAAAGGUGAAAAAAAAAAAAAAAGGAAAAAAAAAAAAAAAAAACUAACACUAGGUGCUUAGGAUCCUCCUUUCCCCAUAGAAAGGAAAUUCCUUGAAGAAGCACAUGUACUGGAAUGGACCCAUGAAAGUGAUGCAUAAACCUCCUCUCUCUAGAGUCUUAAUUAGACACAUCAACCUUAAACCUCAAUGUCUUAGAUCUAAGUUAAGAGCACUUUCUUUGGCCCACUCUUUAUUCUAUUUUCAACCUAUUUGAUUUUAUUAUAGAAAGCAAAUUUAUUCAAAAGUAUUUCUAUAUAUAUAUAUAUAGUAUUAUUAGAAAUAAUACUAUUCAAAUAAUAUUUUACCAAGUAACUUUACUUCAUGUAGCAGCGCCAAACAAGUCCUUAGUAAGAAAAUAAAGCUCGCAUUGUUUCUAAUAGUGCAAGCUUAUUUAUUGCUCAUUAAUGAACUACGACCUAAUGUACUUUUGCUAGCAAAUCCCAAAACUUGUGGCAAAUGCUGUUCCUAAAGGAGAAAGCCAAUCUUCUGAGAGGUUGCUAAUAUUGCUGCAAUGUGGAAAAGAAUCUUUGGUUUGAUAUUUGAGCCUAGUUCAUGAUCGAGUUUCUUAUGUUCAGCAAAUGUGGUCCUAGGGUUCUAUUGUUGUAGGCCUUAGAAUGGUUCCUCUUUUUUGAAUCAUUUCUCAUUCCACUUGUUUUUUUGCAAUAUAUAUGGACCAAUGCACAACCAUUCAAAGUUAUUCCAAAAUUGUGCCACAUUUAUUUAAGAACUAAGGUUUUUUAGGUGCCCUAAGGGCAUUUUCUAUGAUGACAAUAAAAUCAUUGUUUUGUCAUAGGUGAAUACAUACAUAAAUCAGGGAUGUUAAUAAACCUAGCUAGAUAAACAUGUUAACAUACCUAAAUUUGCAGAGAAAUUUUAGUUUGCUUCAUAAAAAUUAUGGCUCAAAAGCUUACCGAAGUAAGAAUUUGAUAUAGUUUCUGGAAAAAUGUAGCUUAUUAAUUAGCUACAACCGCAUCAACUAUAUAUCGAAGGCUUGGGUUAAUUAAAUUAUUACUCAAAAUAUCGAUCUAGCUAAGCUUUAAACCUGCUCUAACGUCAUAUAGUUAACCAAAAAUCCGAUCUAAUAGAAAUGUACUCAAUUCAAAAAGUUUCUUGGAUUCAAUCGUUACUUAUUGAUUGAAACACACAUAUAUAUGCAUAAGCCUUGUAUGCGAAAAUUAUAUCUUUUCUGCUUUUUGCAACCAAAAUUUUUAUUCGCUUUUCUUAGCUCAUUUUGCUUUGUAUACAAUGUAUAUAGGUUAUCUAAAUCAACAUGCACGUGACAUGCACAUGGAAGAAGCAUGUUACUUCAUAAUUCAAACAUGGUUGAUACGCAUGUUCGACAAAUUUCUAGGUUGUCCUCGUGGGUUGUGGUUCAUGUGGGUGUUACGUAUAACACAUGCACAUCCAUCUAAUUACUCCAUUGUUUAACAUUUAAGUGUUUUGUUUUAUUACGCUUUUUUAAACUUUGAUAAAAAAAAUUGUUAGGAAUCCACUUAUAAGAAUAUUCUCACUUUUUUGGUAUUUGUAACCUAAAUUAAUAACAACUACUGAAACUUUGAAUAAAAUUAAGUUACAAAAAAGUAUUAUAUAUCUUAAUACAGUAAUUUUUUUUUUAGAGAAAGAUACUAUCCGUUUCUUUUAUUUUUUUUUAGAAAUAAAUUUAUCUGGAGAUGUGAAUCGACUAGAUAACUUGUACAACUUAUAUAUGCCAAAGCAUUCACAUGCAUAGAAAAUGUCCAGCAUGCGUAACUAACGAAACUAUGUGCUCAUUUUGUCCCUGGAAUAAGACCACAUGCUUUCACAAGCAUGUUAUUAUAUCCACACAUUUGAGUACACCCAAUACAAACCGUGUAGCACCAUGCUACUAACCAUUUCUCUUCCUCAAAAAGCAUGGUUCUCAACAUCAUCAACCGUAAAAACUUGAUCCGACGACAAAGAUUGUUUGAUUACUUUUCUAAUAGCUUUCUUCGAAAGAAAGGCGAAAGCAACCAAUUUUAGGAUUAGAUUAGAUAGAAUAAGAAGAAAUAGUGCGGGGAAUACAAUGCAGAAAUCCAAAUAACUAAAUCUGAAGAUAUGAAAUCAUCGAUCAAACCCCGAAAAAAGAUUAAGAUUUCUCCAAUAGGAUUGGAUCCUAAAAAUAUAAUCACAUUUUUCUAGACCGGUGAAAUCACGCCACGCUGUAUCUGAAUCUAGUGAAAGAAAUAUGAAAUCAAUACUACAUAAACUUGUCUAACUCAAAAAUAACAUAAUACAACACAAAUAUCAUAAUUUUUUUUUUUUAGUUUUGAAUAAUGAUAAGUUAUAGAUAUAUUCACACAAAAUUUUUAAUUAAGCUGAUCCAGCUUAUUCGAUUCUCGAAUAAGAUUCACUACCCUCAUGCAUUAUUUUAUUUUAUCGUGAGAACAUUCAAAAUAUUUAAAAUUAAAUAAUUAAUUAUUAACAAAUCAACUCUUAUAAUAAUCUUAUAUCUUAUAUUCUUGUUAGAAGCGAAGUUGUGCGUUCAGAGUGUGUGGGUUUACACGACACGUACGCCGAGUGCUUCGUUGGAUAUGAACUUAGAAAUACGAUAUACGUACACUCGUACGUACACCCCUCUAAUGCCUUUAACUUCAUCUCAGUAUCUCACCACCCAAAAUUUCCAUUUCAUCAUCAGGGUGUUGGCAUAGAAAUCUCUACGCGAGAUAUUAAGAAUAUUAUUUUGGUCAUUUUUGAAUGCGUAAAAUAUUAUUUGGUAGACGAAGAGUAUAUGUGAUUGAAUAUCGACUUUUUAAGUUAAUUUUUUGGAACUAAAUUUUUGAGCUUGCACAUAUAUUCCUUAUAAAAGAAAUCAUUAUAUAAUUAGCCUUUUUAUUUUUAAGAUAAUUUGUUAAUUUCAAUUUACUAAAUUUUAUGGCUAUGUCAUGGACUAUCAAUAUAUCUAAACUUUUUAUUUAUUUUUGGAAUAACCAUAUAUUAUUCUUUGGGCGUGGUUGUUUUUUUAUUUUAUUUUAUUUUAUUUUUUGCUUAUCAUUAUGAUCUCAAUCUCUUAUUAAAGGACCAUCCCCAUCCUUCCAACAUUCACCGGCCAAUGCAUUAACUUGUUCCUUUCACCAUUAAAUUUUUUUUUAGCCUUUAUGAGAGAAUAAUUAUUUCUUCUAUAUAAAUUUAUUUAGUACCAUAUAUACCAUUUUGACACACACACACAAAAAAAGAUGGGAGCUGUCCCCAACAUGAGACUGUUUUAUUUGUCGCUCAUCCAAUUUUAAAAUUUGUGUUGUAUACAAAAAAAACGACAGAUGAGACAAUCUCACAUUACUGUCACUACAGAUAUUGUUUUUAAUUAUAAUGAUCACUUUAAAUUGAAUAAUGAGAGAAUAACUCCACAAUAACUUCACAAUUAAUUAAUUAUCAAACUAUGAAUAGAGAAUACCUCAUUAAAUUCAAUGAAGGUUAAUUAAUACAUGAUUGCAUGGAUGCUACUAUGUUGUAACCAAAAUUUCCUCAUUUGCCUUAUUAUUGCCAAAUAUAUAUAUUUUUCCCAAAACUUCAAUAUCAAUUAAUUAUCAUUGUAAAAAUAAUUGGAAUUAAUGCAAAGAUGUAGUUAAAAUGGAGUCAUUUUUACCUUGAUAUUUGGUGAUUCUCUUAUAUGUAAACAUAUUUAUUAAUGGAAACAUACUUUUUUUUAUAGUUGAUAGGGGGUCAAAUUAAGAGCCUUAAUUGGUUACUUGAAACCCAAGACAAGAACACUCCUACGCGUGCCUUUGGAGCCCUAAUCACUCUUUCACCCACCCAAUAGGACAACCCAAUUAAUUAGCUAUUGUCAAAUUCUAAUUAAAAGGAUUAGCAAUUUAAUACAAGAUAAUAAAAUGGAUCAAACACAAAACUAAAUGAAAUCACCAUACUUUGUAGCGUAGAAUUUUACAAUCCUUUUGCUUUUGAUGAACACGUCAAGCAUUAGUGCAUCACUAACUAGAUCAGUUAGAUGGUAUCCUCGCUUGCAAAGUAUAGAUCUUUAGUUUAAAUAACUUUUGCGUUGGUGUGUAUCUAUGAUCUAUGAGCAUGUUUGAGGAAGAAGGAGAAACAAAUGUAAUUCAGGUAAAAAUAGUGAUUGAGUCGAGCGCGAGAUCAAAUAUGAGAAAAAGGUUUCGUUUCGUUUAUAACUAGAAUGUAGGCGUUAUUUCUUUGAUCCUCCUAACUACAUUUUGAGGUUUAAAACUCUUAUUUACACCAAACAAAAUUCAGAUUAUCUUUUUCAACUAUGCGUACCCAACUAUAGAAUAUAAGUUGUUCUUAAUAUAAUAAGCGUAAUGAAUCUGGUCAAAUUUUACAACUCAAUGUAUCUGAUAAAUAAAUAAUAAAUAGAUUCAAUGUAUCUAAUAGAUCGAUAAAAACUUACAGUCUCUCACACAGUGCCGAAUGUUAAGAUCGCCAUAAAUGCGUUAAAUUUUUCAAAAACUAACUUGUAAUCACAUGGCAUAUUCUCCAACACCAUCACAAAAAAAUUCCCUUUUUAACUCUAUAUAAAUAAAUAAUUUCGAACUAGUCAAAAGUCAAAAAUCCUCUUGACUUGGGGAAAAAAAAAAGAAAAAAAAAAAGAAAAGAGAAACAUAGAGAGACGUAAACGGCGAGUCAUCUUUUCAUUAUCCGAUCACAAGCGAUCCUCUCUCCCUCUCUCUCUAAUAAUAAAAAUAAAAAAAAGCUCUCUCUUUUCCCCCAAUCCACCUAAUUUUUCGGCGACCAAAGACCCUCCCUCCUCGCCUCUUCGAUCGAAUUCGCGAAAACCCACAAAAAAGUUUCGAUUUUUAGUGCUGCCCACUUCGAUUUUCCCGUGUUUUUGCGUAAUUGUGCGUAAAGAUUCGAUUUUGGAGCGGAAAAAUCCGAUUUGAAUUUGAUUUUUGCGGUGCUUCGCGGUGUUUUCGUGGAGCGGACGAUGUCGGCGACCUAGGAUUUGGUUUGGGCUGUUUCUUCUUGGGGGAAAGACGAAAGAAACAGCCUAGGGUUAUGAUCCGAUCCGAAGCGAAUUGAUUGGAAGCAGGGAAGAAGAAAUCUAGGGUUUACUUUUUUUUGUUCAAUUUUUUUGGGGGAUUUAAGAAUAAUUGUUAAGGAAUUUGGAGGGAUUAAGAGAUGAAGAGGCUCUCGAGUUAUAUGCGGAUUAUGUCGUCGGGGGCGUCUACGGCGGCGUCGACGCUGCGCUCCGCGGGGGCUUCGCUCGUCUCCUCCAUCGCCAACCAUGAGGAAGAUGCGAGCCGUGAUCAGGUAUUAUUAUUGUGAUCAAUUUAAUUUCUGUGAUUUUGGUUUUUUUUUCCCCCCUCCUUUUCUUUUAAUGUGGUUAGUUAUUUUGGUGCCAAUUGUAUGGAUCCUCGUGAAAAGAAACAAUUUUUCAUGCUUCAAUACAUCUAAUGAUGUUUUUCUUAGGAUCUCAAUUUGUGUUUUAAGGAUUAAAAGAGGACUUUUAUGCAAAAGAAGUUUUGAAAUUGAGCUGGUUUUUUAUUUGAUGAACUAUGACUUUUUUGAUAUUUUAGGGUUAUUUUUCUGUUUAUUUUAUUUAAUGUGGUUAGAUAUUUUGGCACCAAUUAUAUGUAUUACUGAUGGAAAGAAACUAUUUUGCGUGUGUAAGCUGUAUGCAUGUUUUAGCAUAUUUAAUGCAGCUUUUAUAAGAGGAUUAAUGUGUGUAUAUAUAUGAGGAAUUAAUGGUGGAGUUUUAUGCAUCAGAACUCUUGUAAUUGGGCUGGAUUUUAUUUGGGAAUUUGGGAUUUAUUUUCGUUGUGAUUUUCUUUCCAAAUGUGGUUUGAAUUACUCUUUUUGGCGCGAAUUGUAAGAAUUUGUGAUUUUAUGCAAUGAAAAAUUGUUUAAUAUUUGGAUCACGAGCUCAAAACUCAUGUUGUUAGAAAUAACUAUUAGUUCUUGUGGUGAAAGUGAACCUUAAUUUCGGAAUAUUGCGGGACAUGGCAAUCGAAAGAUUUUGUACUUGCUUCUGUAUUUGCACUUUUAAAUCCGGAUCUUUUGUUUCCUUUUAGUUGCUUGUUGUGCUUAGCGGGUUUGUCUUUGUGUACAAGUAACAUAACUAAUACAUUAUUGAGAUAUUUGCACAUAAGCGUGUCUAUUGAAUGCAAUUGACUGUUUAUGAGGUUAUCAGAGAGCAUUACAAAUUGAUAUUUUUUACCAUGUGGAGCGACUAAACUGAGUUCUCUGAUGAAAUAUGUAGACCCUUGGAAUUGCAUGAUAAUGCCCUAGUUAUUCCCAUAGUUAUUCCGAAGCCAACUGCGCACUAACGAUAUAUGCGACCCCUUUGAAAAAUCGAGAUCUUGACUAAUAAUUAGAGAAUCGUGUAUCACGUCUUGCAUUGGCUGUUAUCUACUUGGUUUAUAAGAAGCAAUUGUUGUUUGACUUAGGCAAGCCUGCCUCGUGAGAAAAAUCAUUUUGAAAUGCCCACGUUUUAUCGCUGAUCAGUUGUUGUUGUUUAAUUUGUUACAAUUCAACUUGUUUUAUAUGAAAGUUUUUCUUUCCCAAUCUAAGCAACUAUAACAAGGUUACCAGUGGACGAAACCUAACUGCUUGUUGCAUGAUAUGCCAUUACCUGCAUGAAAUUCAAGUUCUUAGUAGGAAAAGCUCACCGCUAGUUGAUUCACAUUUUGACUAUAUAGUUCUGGUGUUGGUUAAAAGGUGCAUUGGGCUGGGUUUGACAAAAUAGAAUGUGAGGGCGAAGUGCUUCUCCGGGAAGUUUUGCUUCUGGCUUAUCGGUCCGGCUUCCAGGUCUGGGAUGUCGAGCAGGCUGAUGAUGUAAGACAGCUGGCAUCCCGACAUGACUGUCCCGUCUCCUUCAUGCAAGUGCAAAAGAAACCAAUCACAUCGAAGAGCUCUGAAGACCGAUUCGCUGACGUCCGGCCGUUGCUUAUUGUUGCCUGCGAGGGUUCUCCUACUGGAAGUGGAAACAGUGGUGAAAUGUUUGGCUCUCCUUCCAAUGGAACUCUCAAUGGUUGCCACAAUGUUGGAAGUGAACACUUGCCUACUUUUGUUUGCUUUUAUUCUUUAAGAGUCCACGAUUAUGUCCACAUAUUGAAGUUGAGGUCUGCUGUUUACUCAAUACGGUGCAGCUCUCGGGUUGUUGCAAUUUCCCAGGCAUCACAGGUAUGCCUUAAAUAUACAUAUUAAAUAUACAUAUUUACAAGAAAAUUCUGUAAACUUCAUGUAGUUUAGGCGGUUUCUGCCUUAUUCUUGCUUCUCUGGUUUAACGGAAGGAUCUGUAAAGCUACAUUCUUAAAAUGCUUUCAAUAAAGUGAGCAUGUGACAAUCAAGUGAAUCAUUAGAACACCAUUACGGAUUUAAUUUCUUAAUUUUAUUAACACCAUUUUGUGAGCCAUGUGGUUGUCACGUAACUAGUUUUAAGCAACAUCUUCCCGUUAGGUUCUUUCGAGAAACAACAACAAUCAUGAGGUCGGAAAGUUUUACAAUUGACGUUUCCCCUGUUUAUAUAUAUAUUGGCAUUUUAAAAUUUAUAGAAGUAGUAAAAUAUGUUGUUGCAGAUUCAUUGCUUUGAUGCUGCGACACUGGAGAGAGAAUAUACAGUUCUCACUAAUCCUAUUGUUUCGGCGAUUCCUGGUUCCGGGAGUAUAGGCUAUGGGCCUCUAGCGGUGGGUCCAAGGUGGUUGGCCUAUAGCGGAAGUCCCGUUGCAGUUUCUAAUACAGGUCGUGUAAGCCCUCAACUGUUAAGCCCUUUUCAAGAUAUGUCCCUACCCCCUCCGAAUGGAAGUCUUGUUGCGCACUAUGCAAUGGAAUCGAGCAAAAAAAUAGCUGGUGGUAUAGUGACACUUGGUGAUAUGGGGUAUAAGAAGCUGUCCAACUAUUACCAUGACUUUCUGCCUAAUAACAAUGGCUCGGUGAAGCUCGGUAACUCUGGUGUGAGAGUUAAUGGCACUAUGAAUGGGCAUAUUCCUGAGAAUGAGAAUGUUGGAAUGGUAUGGAAGUUACUCUAUUUCUUUAAUUCUUUUAUUUUGCUUUUUUUUUUACUCCACGGUUUUCGCAAAUAUGCAUGUUUGUCUUUGUUUACGCUUUUUUCUUAGUUUUGUUUUCCUUGGACAUUAUAUGGUUGAAGACACCUAUGGAUAAGUUUAUUUAGUUCUCCUAUAGCAGCUUACUUUCAAGUUCAUUUUCGUAAGUUAAAAGACACAAAAAGUUACUACUACAUCUUUUUUCUUUGUUUACCAAGAAAAGAAAAGAAAAACUUAAUUACCUGUAAGAAUGUAUGAAUUGGAAAAAAAAAAAAAAGCAUAAACAAGAAAACAUAAACAAUGCCUAAUGAGCGCUAAGUUUAAAUUAUUGACUCCAUUAUUCUGCUUGAGCUACUUGUCAUACUAGAUUUUGAAUGCUUUUUCUUAACCAUAGUAAUGUUUGGCUAUUUCUGUUCGCACAUUCAGGUCAUUGUUCGAGAUAUUGUUUCUAAGUUGGUCGUUGUUCAGUUUAGGGCUCAUCCAAGCCCAAUUUCUGCAUUGUGCUUUGAUCCCAGUGGGACUUUAUUAGUUACAGCUUCUAUUCAUGGUCGGAACAUCAACAUAUUCCAUAUUAUGCCUUCUACAAAUGGUAGUUCAGGAUCGGAUGCAAAUGGAAUGUAUAUUCAUCUGUACAGGUUGCAACGUGGCAUUACCAAUGCGGUACUUAUUAGUACACAUUAAAUACCUUUUAUUUCAUUAAAACUAACUAUGAUUUUUCUUAAUUAUCAAGUAUUUUUUUGAUGUAUAUCAGGUCAUCAAAGAUAUCAGUUUUAGCGAUGAUAGUCAAUGGAUAAUGAUUAGUUCCUCAAGGGGGACUAGUCACUUAUUCUCGAUUUCUCCUCAUGGAGGGGGCUCUUCUGCAAACUUCCACUAUAGUGAGAACAGCUUUGUAAAUAACAAUUUUGUCGUGGACCCGACUGCUAAAACGGCCAUUCGUCGGCCCCAGACAACAUCCUCUUUUAAGCUCAGUGAUGAGAAGAGCAUUUUCUUUUCUGCCCCCCCAGUCACAUUGUCCGUAGUAAGUAGAAUUAGGAGUGGGAACAAUGGGUUGAAAGGUGCUGUUCGAGGAGCUGCGGCUUUUGCUACAGGCUUUGUCAGCCCAAUUCCUGGCGCCAUUGCUUCGGCUUUCCACAACUGCAAAGGCUUUAAUUCUUUAUCUGAUGCUAACUCAGCAUGGACAAAGUACUAUUUACUCGUAUUCUCCCCUUCUGGUUGCAUUGUACAGUAUGUGCUACAUCAAAAUACAGAGUUUAGCGACUUUUCUGGGUUAAGUGCCGUUUCUAAUGGAUCUUCAAAAGAAACCGACACUAAGUUUGUUGUGGAAGCACUUCAGAAGUGGGAUGUUUGCCACAAGAGAAGCAGAAGAGAUCGUGUCGAGAGUGUCGAUAUAUACGGUGAUCAUGGGAACGGAGAAAGCACGAAGCUCUUCCAAAAGGGUGUUAAAAAAGGGACAAGUGUCUACCCCUCCGAUAGUGCUUUUGAUGCGAAAGCCAAGCCUAGUGCUGAAGAGAAUCACCAUUCUUAUAUAUCGGAGAUUGAAUUGCAGAUGCAUGCUGUGCGGAUCCCACUGUGGUCGAGAUCUGGGGUACUUUCAUAUUCUGUAUUGAUUGGAAAACUAGCUCUUGUAUGCCUGUUUGAUUAUUUAGCUUGGCUUCUAGAUCAACUUUUCUACUCUGAAAAGCAUUUGACACUCAAGAAGCUUUGAGCUUUUCUUGUAGCGGGAGGUUGUAAUGAACUUCUGAACACUAAAAAUUAGAAGCUCGAAUUCGAAGCUUCUACUUCUGCUACAAUAUCAGCUGUUGGAGAAGAUGUGGACAAAAAAGCUAUUGCUGCUUUUUUGAACAGCUUUAUUCAACAGCAUUUUUGUAGAAGCUUCAGCUAAACCAAAUAGGCUAGCUUUUGUUCAUUAUACUUUAUGCGGUCUUAUUAAGUGAAUUAUUUGGCAGAUGUGCUUUCAAGUAAUGAUGGAUGAGACUAUUGGAGGUGAUAAUUUUAGCGUAGAUUGUGGGGAAAUCGAGAUAGAAAGGAUCCCGACUCGUUCUAUUGAAGCAAGGUCAAAGGAUCUCAUACCGGUUUUCGACUAUCUUCAGGCAGCCAGAUUUCAACAAGCAAGGUGCAACUAGUACCUCAUAUCAUAUUUCCGAUUUAACCCGGUUUUCUUUUUUGGUAUACAAUUUUGAUCAGGCUCCAAAAUAUCACAAAAUAAAUCAGGUGAAGCCAAAAGACAUUAUGACUAUAAACAUACACAAGAACUGAAAGAAACUGAAAGAAUUGUAAUACGAAAAAAGUGUCUCCAGAAUGGUACAAAAUACCUUAGUUCGCUUCAUGCCUCGCUUCUCUCAUUUCUCCAUAAUAAAUGAGCUGUGAAAUUAGUUUAAGUUUUUGAUUUCCUUGUGAUUGGAAAGUUAUAGGUAAGAUCCUGGUGAAAUUGGUCAUUGCUGUACUCUCUCUUUCAUGUGAUCAGAAAAGGGCUUAGUUGAGAGAGACUAGUGAUCUGAUUGAUUGUCUCCCCAAUCUUUAAUCCUUUUUCAGAUUAUCAUCGGUACAGGAAUAAACUCUUAACCAUCUUUCCGUCGCAUUGUUGAGCACUUCAACAAUCUUGAAUUAUAAUUUGCGCACUUUGGUUAACUUUUAUCAUCUUGGACAACAAAUCAUUCUUAAAUUUGUUUACUUGGGGGUUCUCUUGUGAGGUGCUAUUGGGUGGUUCUUCUGCUUCAAUUUUCUAUUUUGUGUUCUUUUACAGGGCAAAUACUCUGGAUAUGUACAGAAACGGCCCAUUGAUGCGCCAAAAGUCCGGAUUGUCCGAAGACGGGAGAGUUUCAUGCAGAAGCAGUUGUAGUUCUCUCGACUGCAUGUCCGAAAGUGUCGUUGCAUCCGCUGAUCUAUCCAGCGGCACCUACCAUACAGAAGCUGAUGAAAGAAGCACUGUAAAUAACUGUACAGGUUCCCCAAACCCUACAAGCCAACUCGAGUUUGUAAAUACUAGUGAGGCCCUGAAAACUGAGGCCCGGCUCGGGUGUGUAAAUAACAUCAUAGAGAGCUUGGAAGAUGGAGACCUACUUUGUGGCUUCUGACGGCGGCUUCCAUUGAGGUAAAUAUACUCAAAACUACUUAACUCGCUAAUCGACCCACUUGGAUAAAAAAACAUGUUCAUUUGUGGGCUUUUUAUGUGAUUAACAGAUCGCGGAUAAAAUUUGAGAAACUUCGUGGAUCAAUUGGUUAGAUCUUCCUCAGGUGUGUAGCAACUUAUUCUUUAAUUGUCCUUUAAGGUAUUGACCCGUAUUUUCGUACCGAUACGAGAGCGGUGCUAAAACUGUAAUCGAGAUAAAGAGAAGUGUGCGAGAGGGGGUUAAAUUGUUAAGCGGGAAGCUUUAAAUAUCGUGAAGUUGGGGAUUCCAUCUUGCAAGUAUUUGUAAAUAACAAGAUUCUUGGAUUACAUUUCGCAAUAAUCGUCUAUAAUGUGUAAAUAGUAGAAAAAAAAGGAAAAGAAAAAAAAAAGUGGAUUGAAGUUCUUAUUCCAAGUAUAUUUUCACCUUGGUAUAUAAGGAGCUGGUUUCUUUCCAAUUUAAUCUUUUGUUGCUCGAGUUGGUUGAUGUUCGAGUACAAUAUAAUUAAUUAUGUUUGGAUUAUCUUUUAGUCCUUAAUAUAUUCGUUAUCUGUGGCCGCGUUAUUCACAUAUGGGAAGGAAAUUUGUAUAAUGCUUGUCAAUGUAAUUAAUUGGUUGCUGCUGUUUGUUUAAGUGUGUGCAUUAAACAUAUUUUAUUAUUAUGUGGCUUCACCCUGUUAGAUAUAUACGCACAGAGCAAAGUAUUGUUGUUAGGAUCUUCUUUUAACAACAGUUGCAAUACUAUCUAGUGAAUUCAACGUCUCUAUCAGAUGUCUCUCCGCUAAAAAGGAAGAAAAAAAAGGGUUGCCCUGCUAAUUUAAUUUAAGUUGAGAGGUAUUAAGAAAAGCUCAAAUAAAAUAUAUAUUUUUAAUAUAAUAAGCAAAAUAAUUUUAAUCUUAUUUUUCUUAACCUUAACUGUUAGAAAGUUAUGCCGUGUUGGACCCAAAAAAAAAAAAAAGGUUAAAAACUAUUAUGCCAUUAUUUUGAUUUUUUGGAUAAAAACUAUUAAUGAGUUUACAGUUCAAGUCCUAAGCUCAAAAACUCACUUAAGUUUCUUCAAAUUUAAUUCAAACUCACUCUCACUUUUUCUGUAUUUUGUUUUGAGUUUUAAUAUUGCUGUCAUCGCGCUCUAUGAUUAUUUUGCAUGGCAUCCACAGAAGAUCCUAAACGCUUAAAAAAAAAAAAAAAUUAAAUUGCAGAAAAUUUUUUUGUCAAUAUUCGCUUUAUCACUUUCUUCUUCUGAUUUUUAAAAAUCUAUAUUUUGCCUUUUAAAAAUUAAAAAAUAUUUACAUCGUCCCUACCAUUAUUGUUUAAUUAGGGUUCUAUUUAUAUCCUACUAUUAUAUUUUUUUUUAUACCCAAAAUAUUCUUGAAACUUUUAUCUUAGAUACGCCUUUUACUUCCUCACGAACGUCCUUGAUAGCGCCGCCUCGCCCUCCUCUGCCGCCUCACCCUCGUCCACCCCUCUGUCCGUGCCUACACCCACGCCCUCACCCUCACCCUCACCCCUCUGUUCGCCGCCUCGCCGUCACCCUCGCCCUCGCCCUCGCCCACCUUUCUGUCCAUGUUCACUUCGAUCUCCACCCUAUAGUUGCCAAAAUGGAGGAUUGGUGUGGGUGUUGGAGAAGCGGGGGAGCAGUGGAGAAAAUGGAGUCAGAGUUGAGGUCGAGGGAGGCACGAAGGACAGAGAAGGAGAUGUUGCGGAUGAGCAGGAUUGGGAGGAGACAAAGAUGAUAAGAAGUAAUUUGGUUAGUUGGUCAUCAGAAUUAAUACUGUACUCUUUGUGAACAUUUUUUCUUUUUUAUAGAGACAAAAUGUGGAAUUUUGAAUGACAGGAGGAAAAAGUGAAAAAUCAGAUUUUGACGGAAAAUUUUUUGUAAUUUAGCCAAAAAAAAAAACAUUAGUACAAGUCCUCCCUUGCGUUUAUAUUUUUUUUUUGAGAGAUAAGUAGCACGCUAUCUGCUUCAUUUAUUUCAUUUAUAAAUAAACUUAGCUGAAAAUGUGAAUCAAUUAGGAUUCGAAUUUGGGUUCUCGGGUACCAACCACCAAAUUCUUUGCCACUUGCUAUAGGAAUGGUCGGUCCCCUGCGUUUAUAUUUUGAAUUGGGAUAUUAACAACAUUCGAGACAAUGGUAACUUUUUUUCCUUAACCUUUCAGUUAAACCUAAAGGAAAAUUCGACAAAUUAAACUUUGUCAAAAGAUGCCCGCCAUCCCCUAAAAAAUAAAAUAAAACAAAGUCCACGACGAAGCUUGACUAAUUCUUAGAUGGUCGACCUGGGCCGGGAAGCAUCACCCAUUUAAAAGGAGUUUGGUAAUUAACAGCAUUAAUUAGUAACACGUAUGAUUCGAAGACCCAAUUACUCCAUUGACUCAGAGGGGAAAAAAAAAGGAAAAUUUCAAAGAGAUGAUAAAGAACUCGACACAUCAACACAUCUAUAAUAGAGUAAUUCCCUUCCCAAAGAACACUCAUCCCUUUUAGAAAUCUUCCUUAGCUUUUCCUCUUUAGCUUCUGUUGGCUUAAAUGGGCCAGCAUCCUGCCUUGUGGCGGGAGGUCAUGUAGGCCGAGUCAUGUUCGAAAUGGCGUGAGGCUGGGUUGGGCCGAGUCAUGUUCGAAGUGGCGUGAGGCCCGGGCCGAGUCACAAUCGAGACCCAUGGGCGCUGUUUCUGUACACUUUAAGUGAAUUGGUUGCGUAUUUCUAACAGCUCGGACUUAUGGGAUUAAUGGUUAGCGCCAACGAUCCGACAGCUUCUUCCAAGUUGCAUACAAUUAUUUCGCAAAAAACAGCAUGGCCAAAAUCCUCCCAGUGGCUCCCUUAACUUUCGUGGACAUUAGAUAUCUAUUCAGUGUUGUCGAGCCGUGCCCCGCUUGCCCAAAUUAAAUAUCAUUAGUGCUCUUUUAAGUUGCUAUCAUUGUUGCUCUCUUUAAUUUAUAUGUGUAUACGGUGACAUGAUCUUGUUUUUCAUUUCAAUGGUGUGAUUUGUAGUCUUCUAUAAUAGAAAUCGUCAAAUAUAUACUAAAUAUGAGGGGAGUACGUGAUUAAUACAAUCACAAGAAAUAAGGUACAACAAGUAACAAAGAACAUCAUAAAUAUUAAUAUAAUCCUUCAAGUAAUGGCUGGCCUUUUUCAAUCUAGUAAUGUUAAUGGAAUUUUGAUUUCAAUUUUAGCGCCAAUUGAAUGUGGUAAUUUGUAUCAAAAUCUCUUAAAAUUAAAUAUUGCAUUCUUAAGUUUAUUCAGGGAAACAAGAGAAGUAUACCAAUUCAAAGGCAAGACAAUAGAUUUGAGUGUUUUUUUUGAGAUAAAGAUUAAUUACUAGCUAUUGCUUCAUUCUUUUUUUCUUUUCUUUUUUUUUUUCUAGAAAUAAACUUGUCCGACCACCUACGCUAGUGGACAGUUGGUGAUCAUAUAUUUGAGCAUUGAAAAGAAUAAAUAAGGUCUGAUUUAAUUUAGAGUAUUCCAAUAGAAUUCGAUAUAACUGUGAACAUCAUUACGAUAAAACGUUUAGAAUGGAAUAACAUAUUUUAUUAUAUAUAUAUAUUUAGUUAAUUAUUUAGAAUAAGAUAAAUCACCCGAUAAAUGAAAUAAUAUAUUAUCUUGUCAAUUAUAGACGACUAAACUUUUCUUCUUUUUUUUUGAGAAAAAGAUAGCGAGCUAUCUGCUUCAUUCAUUGGGGGAAAUGAACUAGGCUUACAUGGUUGAAGCAGCCAGGGCUUCCAAGAGCCGAAAAAAGCUAAGCAAAUAGAAAAGAAAGUAAGGAGAAAGUGAAAAAGAAAAGAAGAAAAAAGUAAAGUAGUGAGCGAGUUUAAGGCAUAUAGCAGUAUGGCUGAGGGGUUGUGGGGAAAGUCUCAGUGAGCGCCAGAAAGCUCGUUCCACGCAGUGAUCAGACGAUUAACCCGUUCCAGUGAGCGGGAAGGGUCGGGUGAUAUGUCGUUGAAUAUAAAAUUAUUUUGGUCCGUCCAGGCCACCCACCACGUAGCAGCCAAAAAGGUUGUGCGUUUAGUGCUCUUCCCAUCCUCACCAAGAUUGUUCGCCCACUUCCAAAGACCGGUGACAUUCUCCGUGGGCUCUGCGAAGCUCGCUCCUUCCGCAUGUUGGUCUACCGUCAAGCAGCGAAAUCAAACAUUUUGCCCGAACCACACAGAAAAAAUUUUAUACUGAAAAAAUUAUUCCAGGAUAACUUAAUUAUUACAACAUCCAAACAUCACAGCCUUUUACAUGAUUUUGGUAGCGCCCCCAAUUUGUUGUACUCGCCAAGCAUUCAAACAAAACAUAGAAGAAUUAAAGGGAUCACUUGAUCAUCGUUGCAACCAAGAGCUUGAGGCCGAGUAUAAGCCCGACAACCACAGGAGUGCUACAUCCUAUCAGAAUCACAACAAUCGACAACCAUCGGCAUCUGUGGGUGAGGAUCAGGUGCACGGCGGUCAUCGAAGUGAUGAGCAUCGUGAGAAAUGCGAGCAACAUGAGCCGUUGGCCCCAUCGAAGCUGGUUGAAAGUGAACUGCGCCGGUUCCAUCCAUGCCCACAUGAAGCAGAAGAGCACAGCGAGGGAGCUACACAUAGCGAUCGUGUUUGAGAUCACGAAGACCUUGAAAGCCAGAUGUUUCUCGAGGAUGGCCGUGCCAUAAUCCUGGUUGAAGCCGCCCGGCACGGUGAAGUUUGCCGCAAAGGUGACGGUCGCGAUGAGUGCAGCGAUCAGACUGCAUGUGUUAAUGCAUUGCUCGAAGUAUCGCAAGGUCACUUCCUGUUGGAAUGUUUCCGAGGCUGCAGCUGGGGGCAUGUGCUGCUUGUUACGUUUCUCAUUUUCUUUCUUCUUUAGCUCUUUCCGCGCUCUAAUCUGGUAUAUAUAUACAUAUAUGCAAACAAGUUAGGGAUGUUCAGUUAAUUUCGAAAAAUUUUAUAAAUAUUUUGAGAUUUAGGUAAUAAAUUCAAACCUCUUGUAGUUUCAGACAUCUUAUCCAAAGCAUUGUUAGUACUUAUAAAGUUUACAUGCCUAUUUCAAAAUGUGCUACAUAUAUAUAAUUAAGUUCCAUUAAUUUUUAAAAUAUUAUCAAUAGCAGAGUAACAGUAUUUGCCACCUACUUUUUAUUCUUUGGAUCCCUAAUUGGAUUUAACGGAGAUAGGUGAAAUUGUAUUUGAUCAAGAAGCUAGACAGUAGGUAGUAAACAUUAUUAAUCUACCAUCCAUAUUAAACACUAUGCCAAGAAUUGAAUUAGAAUACAUUUUAGAAUACAUGAAUACUAUUUGCUACCAACUCUCUAAUAUUUGGAUGGCCACUAGCACAACCACCAAAGAGUAAACCCUAGAAAUUCAAGUGCUAAAAAGUUGAUACCAAAAUACUGCUCAUGUAUCAUUUAGGCCCCAUUUAGUUUGGGGACAAAGUAGAGAUAAUGAAAAUUAUUCUCGUUAUUUUUCCAAACAGGAUUUUUUUUUUUUGGAAGGGAUUAUUUAUUCCAAUCAAUCUUUGCUAUUCCCGAUAAUCCCUAGAUAGCUUCGGAUAUAUUAUUCCAUCUUUUCGGUGGAAUAAUACUAUUCAAAAAUUUAAUUUCAAACUUCAUUAAUAAUAUAAAAAUUGAAGUAAUGUAAAUUACGUAGACGUGAUAUAUAACAUAUUAGAUGAUUUAUUUUUAUUAUAAAAAUUAUUAAUUAUUGUAUGUUAAUACAUAUUAUUUAUAUUUAAAUGAAUAAUAUGUAAAUAUUAUAAUAAUUAUUAUAAUAAAAUAGACUUAAAUAUUGUAAUAAAUUAUUUUUAUUAAAUUUAUAUUUAAGUAGAAUUUUUUAAAAUAUAUUCUUAUAAUAAAUUACUUUAAUUAAAUCAUUUUAUAAUAAAUUUUCUCAAAUAUUAUAAAAAUACUUUUAUUAAAUUUUUUUAUAAUAAAUUAUUUUAUAAAAAACUAUUUUUAUUAAAGAAUAUUUUACAUUAAAUUCAACAAUUACCUUUUUCCACUAUCCUCUAAUAUUAUAUAAAAGGGAAAACUUCAAAAACCCCCCUUGUGGUUUCGUAGUUUCUUACUUUGCCCCCAUGUGGUUUAAAAUGUAUCAAAUUACCUCCCUGUGGUUUCGUUUUUAUCUUUUCGGUAGCUUUUUCGUUAAUAUUUCAUUAAAUUAUAUACAAAAAACUUCAGAUACCCAUUUAGAUUUAUCAAAUAUUACUUUAGUACCUUUUAAUUUUAACUUUAUGACUGAUUUAAAAAAAAUAAAUAAAUAAAAUUGAUAAGAAAAAGAGAAAAAAAAAAAAAACCACAGGGGGGCAAAGUGAGAAACUACGAAACCACAUGGGGGUUUUUUGAAGUUUUCCCUAUAUAAAAUUAACAUGAUCUAGAGCGUUUAAGACUUCUAGAAAAUAAAUUUUAUAAUUUUUUAAAAUUAGAAUAAAAUCCAUCAAGCGGGCAUAAAAUGAAUGGUGAAAAUCGAACGAUCUCCUAAAAAAAAAAAAAAAUCAGAUUCUUUAAUUUAAGAUCGAACUUAGUGAUUUUUGUUUAGAUAGUUAAUAGAAUUUUCUAUCAGAGAUUUAACUGAGGGGGUGUUUGGCCCUACUUCUAAAAAGUGAUUCUAAGCCCAAAAGUGAUUUUGAGCUUAGUACAGUGUUUGACAACAAGCGUUGAAAAAUCUGAUUCUUCUUUUCAGAAUCAGAAAACUGAUUUUGAAGGACCCAGAAUCAGAAGUAUAAAAAAACUAUUUUUUGAAAUCGGAUUCUGAUUUUAAACUCAAACUUCAAAUUUUAUUUUAAUUUUAGAUUCAAAAUCUAAAUUUAAAUUUAAUUUUAAAUUUUAAAUUUUAAACUCAUAUUUGAAUUUUUAAAUUUCAACUUUUAAAAUUUAAAAUUUAAAAUUUAGAUUUUAAAUCUUAAAUUUUAAAUCUCAAAAUUUUAAAUUAUUUUAAAAUAAAAUUUAGUAAAAAUAUUAAUAUAUGCAAAUAUCAAAAUUUUUUAUCAAACAGCUUUACAAAAUCACUUCAAAAAAAUUGUUUUUGUCUAAACUCAGCCAAACAUUUUACAGCUUUUAUCUAAAAUCAAUUCUCCAAAUCAAAAUUAAUUAUGCACAAAUCACUUUUCCAGAAUUUAGGCCAAACGGGUCCCUGAUUCCAAUUCUAUUACACUAUUAAACUAGCAAGCAUCCUAUACUAGCAGUUAAAACAUGCAAUUUUGAGAUAUUUUGAUUGUAAAGUAACGAAAAAUUUAAAAAUUUAGUUUAUAGAAGUUUCAAACGUUCUAAAUCAAUUUUAAUGAUAUGGAUAGUUGACUCGAAAACUGUAUAAUAAAAAAAAAACUUAUAUCUAUGAAGGCGAUCAUGCUUAUAAUAGGAUAGUAGCCGGACAUAUAUAUAUAUACAAUGAAAUUUUUAAAGAUUGAUCUGUUCUUUUUUAUUCUGCACAAAAAGGCCCCGCCUGAUUCACUAAAUCGUAGGAAGGAAGAUUGUGACGUUCUGUUCUAGAUGAAACACUGGACUCAAAUUUGUAUUAUGAAUAGCUUACGCUAAAAAAGACUUCAUUGAGAUUCCUCAAUUUCAAUUUGGGAAUAUCAUAUUCAUUUUUUUUCCUAUGAACAGAAAAAAUAGGAUGAAUCAAAAGAGUUCAGCACCAUAAACUUUGUACCUAGCACAUCACUUUGAUGGACCGGACCCCAGAAACUAUUGAAAUUAAUGUAAGCAAUAAUGAAGAAAAAAAAGAUGAAGAAAUAGAAUAAAUAAAAAAAAGAAAGAAAUAAGAAAUGAAAAGGGAUUGGAUUUGAUUUGUACUCUGUUUGAAAUGCAUUUUGUCUAUAUUGAACCUUAUUAAAAAUCUGGUAGAUCCAAGAUUGAAUUUGGAUAAAUAAAAAUAAAAUUCAUAUGUGUAUAAAGUCUAGGGCAGAUUUUCGCAUGUAUAUAUAUAGGGAGAGAAGCUAAUCUCUUCUAAUAUCUAUAGUACCGAGACUCCGGUACUAUAGUCUUAUUUUCAACCUUAAAAUAUUCAAAUCAACAAUCCACAUCGUUAAAAUCGAUCUAGAGUAUUUGAAGCUUUAGAAAUAAAAUUUCUUAUUUUUUUCAUAUAGUUUACUUUAUGAUCAAAUCGUUUCAAAAUUGUUAAUUUUUCAAUGACUACUACAACGAAUUUGUAGUUUAAUGGUGUUGAAGGAUAUAAAUUUAUUUAAAUUUUGAUAGAAAAUAUUUUAAACUAACUAAAUCAAUGUCAGCAGUCUUGAUCUCAAAUUCAAAUGUCCUAUCUUUAAAUUUUAAAGAUAGUUCAACUUUUACUGUUCAUUGAACAUGAUUUACUUACUAAGUAAAUAAUGUGGAAAAGAAACUAAAAUUUUAUUCCUAAGAAUUUCAUAUACCCAUAUUUAAUGGUGUGAAUUGUUGAUUUGGACGCCCUAAGGUCGAAAACAAGACGAUAUAUAUAUUGGAGCUCCGGUAUUAUAGAUAGUAUAGUAGUAUCGUUCUAUAUAUAGAGAGAGAACUUGAUUAUAAUACUAUUGAUUAUAAUACUAAUAAUACUAUUAAUAACACUAUUAGUUGCUUGGUGCUAUUGACAGCAUUGUAGCCGAACCCUCUCUCUAAAGGUGUCCGUGGAUCGGGUCGGAUCUGGAUAGUUAAUAUAUUGUAUCCGUAUCCUAAAAAGAAAUUGAUUGGAAAAAAAAAUAUACCAUAUCUAUUUAAUUUCAGAUCAGAUAUAAGCCUGGAUACUUAAGUUAAUAAUAUAUCUAUCAGGUCUAUUUGAGUAGGUCUGGACAGUGACGACCUAUAUACUACCCACUUAAGACCGGGUAUGGAUCAGUAUUUUUUUAUAGACUUUAUUAAACAAUUUAUGGAUAAACUAUAAACCUCCUACUAUAAAAAUUCGCAUUCUAAUUAGUUGCACCCAGUCUAAUAAUAUUCAUUCAAAAGAAAGAUUUAACUUGUAAAGAUCUAAAAUUAAAAAAAUAAAGAGAAAAUUAAAAAAGGAAGAAAUAGAGCGACUAGGGUUUUUAUUAGGAUGAAAAUAUAUAGAGAUCUUUCGUCUUCAUCUAUAAUUAAGUCCUAUUGAAAUUGAUCCCUCAACUUCAAAAUUUUUUUUAUUUACUAUCGGGUAUUUCACCAGAUCCUAGUUCGGGUUCGGGUUCGAAUUUGGAAGCUCUUCCUGAUCCUACCCAUUAAAAGGUCAGGUUUAGAUUGGAUCCAAGUCAGGUAUGUGUAUAAAUAUCUAGACCCAUACCCAAAACUUUAUUGUAUAAUUUUUUUUUAUCCGUAUACUAUCCAUUUUUUAUCGAGUCCAGUUCCGGUCUGGUUAGGGUCUAGAUCAAUUAUGGGGUAUCGGGUAUUUUGGACAGCUUUAUCUCUCUCUCUCUCUAUUGGCGUUUUGGUUCAAAGUCAGAAUCGGAAUCAGAAUCGGAAUCGAUAUAAGUUGGAAUCGAAAUUGGAAUGACUCAUUAUCUAAUUCUGUUUGGUUCAUUACCUGAAUUAGAAUCGAAAUAAAUCAUUCUCAUUGUCGGUAUUUGAUUCAAGUAAAUAUAAAAAAUAUAAUCAAAUUAAUAUACUAACUUUAUCUUUAUAAUAUAUUAAUUUAAAUUCAAAUCAAAUAUUAAAUAUUAAAUAUUAAAAAUUUACAUCAAAAUUUUGAAAUAAUGUCAAAAUUUUAAAUCUAUUUUUUUAAAAAAAAAUUAAACUUUGAAGUUGAAUGGAUAAUUCGAAGUAUAAAACUAAAUGUCAAUUUAUUCAAAUUCAAACUUAAAAUUACAAUUUAAAUUUUAAUUUGAAUCCAUAAAUUUAAUUUAAGUUUUAAAUAAAAUUUGAAUAAAAUUUUAUAUAAAUUAAAAUUUAAUUUAAAUUUAAAUUCAUAAGUAGAUUCGAAAUACUUGAUUAAAUUUUAAAUUUUAAUUCAAGUUCAAAUUAAAAUUUAAAAUUUAAAAUUUAUUUCUAAAAUUAAACUCAUAUUUUAAUUAAAAAAGUUGAAAAAAUAAAUUUAAUCCGAAUAAAUAUCCAUUCCGUCUGGAUUUAACUUUCAAUCCGGCCUCCUGGGCCGGAUUGAAAAAAAAGGUGAUUGGGGAAUUUCCAUUCCACUCGGGAAUUGGAAUCGGAAUGGAACUCCCGCGUAUCAAACAUCCACAAACGAAUUCGUCCAUUCCGAUUCCGAUUUCAGGGUGAAAAAAAAGCGAACCAAACACGACCUAUAUAUAGAGAAAGCGAGUCCGGCUAUGCUGUUUGUAAAAACAAUAAGAACUUAGUGCUUAUAAGAUUUCCGCCGUUAGAUCUACCCCUUUGAUCAUUUUUAUCCGUUAGGUGAUACUAUUUAAUCAAUCACCCACUUAAUUUUAGGAGACCACUAUCGUCCUAACCACACAUCCCUUAAUCCAAUGGCCGAAAACUUACAUGCACCAAUGGCUUAGUACUUUUAAAAGCAUAGGAGAUCAACUCUUUCUCUAUGUGUGUGUAUGUGUGUGUGUGUGUAGAGAGAGAGAGAGAGAGGGAGAGAGAGAAAGAAGGAAUGCUAUGCUUUCAGAAGCGCAGAGGCCUUUACUUUUUCAUGUUAUUUUUUAUGGUAGAAAUUUUGAAUCGACAAUCGCCUUUGUUAGGCUUAAUCUAAAGUAUUUGAAGUAUCUCAAAAAUAAAUUUUAUGGAUUUUUUUAUAUCAUUUACCUAUUGAUUGAAAUGGUUCAAAAUCAAUAAUUUUGAAUGAUUGAUGUAUAUUGUUUGUAAGUUUAACGAUGUAUAAAUAUUUAAGUCAAAUAAAAUUUUAACAGAAAAUUUUUAAUACUAUUUAUAGCUACCAAGGUCACUAUCUCCAAUCUAAAUUUUAAUAUUAUGUCAUCACUUUUAUGAAAUUUUAAUUUCUAACUGUUGAUUUUGAGGCCUUUCAAUCGUGAGAUAAAUUAUAUUAAAAAUCUGCAAAAUUUAUUUUCUAACUAUUUCAAAUACUCUAUAUCAAUAUUCUAAUAGACCUGAUCAUUAAUUAGAAAUUUCUAUCAUCGAAAACGAUAAAGGAGCAUGGAACAUAGCAGACCUAUUAUGUGUGUGCACAUAUAUAUUUAUCUGUGUGUGUGUGUGUGUGUGUGUGUAUAGAGUUUGUUUUGUGUGCUUUGGAAAGCAUGAAGACACCCCUUCUUUUAAACUAUUUUUUUACAAUGGGAUAUUCAAUUUGACCAUUAACUCUAUUAAGCAUGAUCUACACUAUUGGAACUAUCUCGAAACCAAAUUUCAUAAUUUUUUUAUAUUAUUUGCCAAGUGAUUAAAACGUCUCAAAAUUAGUUAUUUUAAUGACAGAUGUGAUACAUUUAUAAGUUUAAUUGUAAAACAAUCCAAAAUAGAUAAAAAUUUAAUAAAAAUUAUUUUACCGUCAAGAGCAGGAUUGAUACUUCCGAUUUGAAAUUUAAACCUUCUACCACUAUUUUUUAUUGAGAUGAGAUUUUUAUUUUCAUUUAUUUAUUUUGAGACUAUUCAUUCACUAGGAAAAUAAAGUCAGAAAAAUUAAAAAACUUUGUUUCUAGACAGUUUAAAUAGAAUAGAUCAUGUCUGAUGUAUCAAUCAUUUUUCAAAAUUAUUAUAAAACUAAUCUGAAUAGGCAUAAAAUAGAUGUUCAAAAUCAAACACCCUUCUGAAAAUAAAGGAUUGAGUUCUUUAAUUCAAAAUCUGAGUAAUUUAUCUUGAGCUAAUGACUGGAAUUUCCUAUCAAAAUCUCAAUCGAUUUUGAUUCUUCAACACUUUUAAAUAAAAAACGUUGUAUAUCGGUAAAAUUUAUCAAGCUUGAGACCUUUUGAUCGGUAAGUAUACGAUGUAAACUAAUUAUAAAAUUUGAUUUCUAAAAAGUUCAAACGCCCUAAAUCGUCUGUAAUAGUAUAGAUCGUCGAUUCAAGAGAUAUUUAUGAAUAUAAAAAUGAUUAACAUAUUUAUAAAAGUAUAAUAACCCGUCUCGCGCUCUAUAGAUAUAGUUAGACAAUUAAAAGAAUUCUCAAGGAAUACUUCACCAAGAGGAGUUAAUUUGAAUUUCUAAAGAAGUACUUGAAUUACUUACCGCAUAUGUACCAAUAAUGCCGUGGGAUUCUAAGAUGCUUCGAGCCGUUUGGCCUUCCCUAUUCAGGAGGAACGGAUCGAUGCUGUUGUCGUUCGACAGUAUAAGCGUCGAUUGAAUCCGGCCCUGCAUUGCCGCGAGAUGGAGAGGAGUGUUUCCAUCAUUGUCGGCCUUGUUGAUGAUCUCUUUCGGCUCGAUGUGUCUCAACAAGCACUGCAGCGUCCCGACCUUUCCGCUUUGGACCGCGAUGUGGAUAGCAUUCUUUCCGGUGAAGUCGACUUGUUCUGCAGUGUCGGGGCAGUACUUCAGGAUCUCUUCGACGGCAGAGCUGCAGCCGUAAAGGGCGGCUUCGUGCAGUGGAAAGUAGCCAUUGUUGUUGCUCAGGUAAGCGAGCUGGGAAUUCUCCUUCCAGAGUAGCAUUUCGACCAUCAUCUUGUUGUCUUUCUGGGCCGCGUAGUGAAGGGCGUUAUUGCCAUACUCGUCGACGGCUUUGAGGAAAUCAGUUCUCUUAUCUAAAAACAUCUCCAUGAUUUCUAUCGGAUUGUGAAGAAAAAGAGCAAAUGUGUAAGAAAUGGACAUAGUUUAAAUUUGUACAAGACUAGGGACCUGCAAACCUGGUUUCUUACAAUAUAUUGACAAGGUAGUAAUUAAAUAGGAGAAAAAUGCAUAUAUGAAGAUACUGGGGUCAAUGUUUAGUUACACAUAAAUUUGCUAGAUUGAACUUGCAAUCUAAAUAAUCAAAUAGAGCUCUUAAAUAUUGGCUUAAAGGGGUAGUAUUCUAUCCUGCACGGGGAGACCAGAUUGAAUCAAGUCAUAUUCAAAAUGGCAUGAAGCUGAAUUGAGCUGAGUCAUAUUCGAAAUAGCACAAGGUUGAUUGAACCGAGUUACAAUCAAGAUUCGUGGGUGCUAUAUCUGUACGCCUUAAGUGAAUUGCUUGUAUAUAUUUAACGGCUCGAAUUUGUGUAAUUAAUGGUUAGCACCAAUAGUUUGAUAGUAUCGGAGCCAAAGAUCACAAAUUCAAUUAUGUCUUUACGUUUUAAGUAAAUUGAUUUUAUAUUUCUAACCGCUAAUGCUUAAUUUCAAACACCUUAUAAUUCGUUUAGUAUUGACAGCGAAACAGUGGAAUAUAUAUGCAUUAUUAACACAUAGGAGAAAAGAUUGCUUAAAUACAAUUUUAUUUAAAUUCAUCAAGCAAAGAAUGAUAAGAUUUUGCUUGUUAGUCAGAACUUCUGAAAAAUGUUUCAUAUUUUGGGAUUAAUAAUACAUUAUUUUUUGUUAGAAGGGAAACUGAAAUGACCCUCCUAGUACCAAAAGAUCAGUCUAAAAUCUAUCUCAUCUGAAUUUAAGCAAAACUAAUUCACGCUGAAUUCAAAGUGGAAUGUUUUAAUAGAGAUCUGUGCAGCUGAAAAGCGGAAAUAAAAAGUAAAAGCAAAACCAAACAGAGACUUACUGAUGUGUCCGCCGAGCACGGCCUGGAAGAGGGGCGACCUGGUCUCAGCCACUACCUGCUGCUCCUCGACCCAGGGAUGCGCCACAAUCUUCUCCACCACCUUCUCCAGCCCCUCGCGCGACGCGAUGUGCAGCGGCGUCUCCUUCCUCUUGUUCAUCACGUGCCCCAUGCUGGGGUCGGCGUUGAGCAGCCUCACCGCGAUCUGCUCGUUCCGGCCGAUCACCGCCUCGUGCAGCGCCGUGUCGCCCCGCGCGUUCACCGCCCGCAGCGGGCUCUCGUUAUCGUCUUCGACUUCCAGCCACGUCAACGCAUAGUUCACCAGGAAGUCGGCGAGCUCCGCAUGGCCCGACCGCGCCGCAACGUGCAGCGGGGUGUCGCCGUCGGCGUUCCGCAGCCGCAGCAGCGACUCGUCCUGCUUGAAUAUCUCCUCCACAAAGGCGCGGUGACCGAGCCGCGCGGCGAUGUGCAGCGCGGUCUGACCCUGCACCGUCGUCGACAGUAGGAUUUUCGGGUUCUCGUGAAUCAUCGACCGCAGGCUCUCGACGUUGCCGUUCCUCGCCGCCAGCUGCAAUUCGGUACUCAUAUGCUGAUGGUAGCUGCUGGCCAUUACGUCAGUGCUGCUGCUGCUGCUGCUGCCUCCUUUUCCUCCUUUUACACGCUACUAACGCGUGAUGCACAUUUCGCAGAUGUAAAUACCAAACAGUAAAAUAUAACUAAAAUAAUUAAAUUCUUAAUCUGAUUAAUAAUACUAAUAAUAUAAAUAAAUACAAAAAUUUAUGCCAAUAGAAAGAGAAAUACUUAAGGAUUUAUUUCAAAGUAGGCCACUAUUGAGAGGGUUCAUGAACAUUUUUACUAAUGAAUUGCUUACUGUGUUCUCACAUGAUAUCAUACUAAACUUGAAUUUCAUUUGAAGUGUAUAUUUUUAAGGUUGAUUUUGAAUGUAAAUUUUACAAUAAAAAUUUUAAUUUGAAAGUUGUGUUAAUUUGAACCUGAAUUUCAAAUUUAAGACUGAAUUCAAAAGUUGAGAUUAAAUUUAAAACUUAAAUUCAAAAUAUGAAUUUGAAUUUAAAUUUGUGAAUUAAAAAUUAAAAUUAAAAUUAAAAAUCAAAAUCAGGAUUUGAUUUUAAAAUUUAAAUGCAAAAUUAUAGCUAAAUCAGAAUUUCUUUUUGGGUAGCGAGUUGAAAUGCAAAAUUUGGGUUUGAAUUGAAAUUCAUUUUUGCAUUUGAUCCAAAAUUAGAAGUUGAAUUCAAAGUUUAAACUUUGAAUUUAAAUUUGAAGUUGCAUUUGAGUACAAAAUUCAAAUGGAAACCCCAUAACCCCAAACCCAGAUAGUUUAUGGGUGUAAAUGGUAAAUACAAUGGAAUAUUUGUUAAAAUUAUAUUUGCAUUCAUAUUUAAUGCACUAAAUAUGAGCCCGGAUACGGAGAUCAAGUGAAUAUUGAAUUUUAUAAUUAUAUUUAAUUAAAAUAAAUUUAAAUACAAUUCAAAUUUGAGAUGAACAAGGAUACAUAUGAAUUCGAAUACAAUUCCAAUUUGAGAUGAAUAGGGAUAUAUAUGAAUCGAAUUUUUAAGGCUUAAAGUACCUACAAUAAGAAAUUGUUUGGCACUAGUUUAAAAAAUGUUCGCAAAUUAUAAAAUAGUUUUAUUUAGGAGCGGCGCUUUAAUAUAUAUCUAUACUAUAUAUAAAAGCACGUAUUUUAAAUUUCGGUCUGUUGACAGACCCAUUUUUUGGCAGGAAAAAAAAUUUGAUUUAUCUUUCCUUACGAAAAAUAAAUAAAGUAAUGAAACAAACUUUUAAUUUCUCUUUAUCUCUAAAAUAGAAAAAAAUAUACUCAUCCAAAUUUUUGCCAACCGAAAGAUAUCUACUGUAAAUCUAUGUUUUAAUUCAAAAUUUAUUUAAUUUCUUUUUAUCUCUAAAAUAGAAACAAAUUCAUGCUUAUCUAAAUUUUUGCCAGAAUAUCAAUAUGUUAAAAAAUAGUACUUCUAUCCAUCUAUUUUAUAAUAAAAUUUAAAUUUGAGUUUAAAUCGUGAAUUAAAUUUAAUUUUUGAUUUUUGAUUUCAAAUCUAUCCAUCUAUUUUAUACUAAAAUUUAAAUUUGAUAUCGUAUAUAUUUUCUAAUAAAAUAUAAUAUAUAAAUUUACAAAUAUUUUAUUCUAAAUUAAAAAAUAUAUGAUUUACAAAUUUUUGUUAAUUUAAAAUAAAUUAAAAUAAUUAUUACGUGCAUUUGCACGUACGCUCAACUAGUAUAUAUAUAUAUAUAUAUAAUUGUAUAUAUAUAUAUAUAUAUAUAUAUUAUAUUAUACUAGUUGAAUGUACACCAUAUUUAUUAAAAAAUUUACAAUUUUUUAAAAGUAAAUUUAUUUAUUAUAUACUAUUAGAAAAUACCUACCAUAUUUUGUCAACAAUAAUUAUAUAGUUUUUUUUAUUUUAAAAAUUUUAUUAUAUAGAUAUACAUUAAAUAUUUUUCUGAUAAAUUUACAUAUAGUGUAGAUAUAGAUAUACAUUAAAUAUAGAUAUACAUUAUAUAUUUUUUAAUUCUAAUAAAUUUAAAAUUUAAAUAAAUAUUUUAAACUAAAAGUAUCAAAAUUAAACAGUUAAUAUAAUAAUAAAAUAUUAGUAGAUAGAAUAGAGAUAAUAUAUAUAUAUAUAAGGAGAUAUUUUUCGGUAGGCAAAAAAUUUGGAUAAGUAUAAAUUUUUUUUCUGUUGUAAAAACAAAGAGGAAUUAAAAGUUUGUUUAAUUCUGUUAUUUAUUUUAUGUAAUGAAUAGAGAAAUUAAUUUUUUUUUCCAUCAAAAAAUGGGUCUGUCGACAGACCGAAAUUUGAAAUACGUACUUUUAUAUAUAGUAUAGAUAUAGAUAGUUGAGUGUACGUACAAAUGCAUGUAAAAAUUAAAUAUUUAAUAAUUAUUUUAAAUUAAUAUAAAAUUAUAUAUCAUAUUUAUUGAAAAAUUUAUAAUAUUUUAAGAAAUAAAUUUAUUUAUUAUAUAAUAUUAGAAAAUACUCGUCAUAUUCUAAUAGAAAUUUAAAUAGUUAUUGUCAACAACAAUUACAUAGUUCUUUUUUUAUUUUAUAAAAUUUAUAUGUAGUGUAGAUAUAGAUAUACAUUGAAUAUUUUUCUAAAUUUUUUUAUUAUGAUAAAUUUAAAAUUUUUAUAUAUAGAGAGAGAGAGAGAUAGAGAGAGAGAUAAAGAAGAAUUAAAUAAAUUUUGAAUGAAAAUGUAGAUUCACGGUAGAUAUUCUCCGGUUGGCAAAAAUUUGAUAAGCAUAAAAUUUUUUCUGUUGUAGAAAUAAAGAGGAAUUAAGAGUUUGUUUAAUUCUGUUAUUUAUUUUACACAAGGAAAGAGGAAUCAAUUUUUUUUUUUCGUAAAAAAAUGGGUUUGUCGACAGAUCGAAAUUUGAAAUACGUAUUUUUAUAUAUACUAGUAAAAUGUACGUGCAAAUGCACGUAAUAAUUAUUAGAAAAAUUUAUAUUUUUUUUAAAUUAUUUUUUAAUUUUAGGCCAUAUUUUAUAUGAUUGCCAAAUAUGUAUCUAAAAAAUUUAAAAUAAUAAAUCUGACUAUUAAGAAAGAUAUGCUUUAAAUGAUAAAUAAUUAACAAUAAUCUCUAAUGCAAAAAUUACUUUUGAAAUUAAAUAGAAAAAUAAAAUCUGUUAGGAAAUAAAUUUUUGAAAUUAAAUAGAAAAAUAAAAUCCGUUAUCUUAAAAAGAAAAUAUAUUUUGAAAUUAAAUAGAUAAUANCGGAAAACGAAAACUUGAUCCCAAAAGGCGCGGCUCACAGCGUUGAAAAAAUCACGGUCCACGAGAAAACCUGAUUCUCGUGGACCGCAUGAGUGGUCCAACUGUGGACCACUCACCCACUUUUUCUCUCUCAUAUAUAUAUAUAUAUAUAUAUAUAUAUAUAUAUAUAUAUAUAUAUAUAUAUAUAUAUAUAUAUAUAUAUAUAUAUAUUAUUCAUCGUUUAUUUGUUCAUAAUGAAAGAUUCAGAUUAACUUAUAGAAACUAAUAAGCCUUAAAUAUUGGGGUGGUACCGGUUACCCCCACGGGGGGGUUAAUUUUGUCCCACUAUACAAGGAGUGAAGUUACCAUAUUCUAAUCUCUUAUAUCAAAAAUAUUUUCUUGCAUCUCGAGCAUCUUAUAUUUCGUGGGCCACUAAAAUUAUAGCUAUUCAUACCUUCUGUUAAUCAAAAUAAUUCAAGUAUUAAAUAAAAAAUAUUAAAAGUUUAAAAUAUUUAGAAUUAAAAGAUUAAAUAGGAUUAGGAUAGACUGUUAGUGUUAGUUGGUGCAUGAUAAAUACAAAGACAUGGAAUACAGAUAUAAUUUUCCAACAACAUAGGAAAAUUUUAAAAAAAAGGCAAAAAAAUGUAUGGAUAGCCCCCUGUACAAUUGCUAAGUGUUAGGUAUUCCUCGUACUUAUCAUUCAAAAUAUUUAGUCUCUAAACUUUCAUAUAUGUUAUAUUUUAUAAUCUCUAGUCACUAAAAAAAUCUACUUUUUGCAAAAUAAUUAUUUUUUUUUUUUUGUAAGUUGUCUUAAUUACUGUAGUAUAAUUCAAUUAAGCAAGAAUGUAGAGGCUUUUUUAUAUUAAAAAAUAAUUUUUUAAAAAAUAAAAAAACUAAAGUGUAAUAUUUGUUGAAGUAAAAAUAUUAUAGUACGAAAAUUGUAUCCAAAUUUAACAGUUAUUUUGUCAAAUGUAAUAUUUUUAAUAACUUUUAACAAAAAAUUACAACAAGUAUUUAAAUUAAUAAAAUUUUCUAAUUUAAUCAAGCAUAAAAACGUAAAUAAUGAAAAUUCAAAGCUGACACUGCAACUUCGGUUUGUUUACUCUUUUUCUUACUCUUAACUCUACAAUUUCCUUUUUCUGAGUCUAUGUUGCAUUGUUGCCUCACUUUUGUAACUAAGUUCAUUAUUCUAAUAAAUGAAGCUAGUAGCUUGCUACUUUUCUUUCAAAAAGAAAAAAAAAAUUAAAGCCAAUAGGGUAACAACAUAUAAUGGAAAUUGAGGGGCCUAUAAUUGAGGGGGCCUAAAUACAUUAAUUUUACCUAAAUUUAAUCGAAGAAAGAGAUUAUUUCUCUGUACCGUUAAAAAAAUUAAUGAGUUUCAUAUUUGCCUUUUGUUUUAAAUAUACUGCUCUAAAGUUUCUCUCUUUCCCCCUCCCCCCUAAUAUAUCCCUAUUUUGAGAUUUUAUUUGAAAAAAAAUUGAUUUUUAGAUGGGUAGAUUUCUUUUUCUUUUUGAGAGAUAGGUAGCACGCUACCCGCUUCGUUUAUUUCAUUUAGAAAUAAAUUUAGCUAGAAAUGUAAAUUAAUUAGGAUUCGAACUUGGGUAGAUUUCUGCACGGGUAGAUUUCUGCACAGAUGUUCUUGAGGGCCGGGUAAAUGUGAAACUAGGAAGGUGCUAAAAGGCAUAUAGGCAACUGCCCCUUCAGCCAAAAUACAAGCAUGACAUGCAAACAAACAAAUGGAUCAGCCUCCAGAAAAGAUGAUACCUUCAAACUCAGUCUCAAAUUGGUCUCUAACAAUUACAACAAACAUACAAUAUAAAAUGAUACUAAAAUUUGUUCCUUGAAUCAAGAGAUUAAUUUGACAUCAUAUAAAGAAAUUUGUAGGCCUAAAAGCAUGCUUACCAGAGUUUUGUGCAAUCAAAAAUCUCGUACUGAAAGAUAGGGCACGGGCUUUAUUCAUUUGGCGUGGUUUGUGACGAUGCGAGCUCCGGCCCGGUCUAUUUAAAGCGGAAUGAAAGUUUUAUUACAUGAGAACGGGGAUUCUUUGCUUCUAUUCCCUGCGUUCCUUUCGAUUCUUUACGACGUCCUCCAGAAUGGAAUAAUAGUGGGGCAGUGUUUUUUUCUUUUUUUUCUUUUUUUUUUUUUUGAGAGAGAGAGAGAGAGAGAGAGAGCACGUUACCUGCUUCGUUGUUUUUUUUUUUGAAAAAAAAUAGCAUACUACCGCUUUAUUUAUUUAGAUUAUGAACUCGGCUACAGAAUGAGACAUCCGGGCCUCAAAAAAAUAAAGAAAAAAAAAUGAGCUAGUUUGUACAAAAUCGGUCCCAUUGUUCUUUGAAAGUGCGAAUCUUAUCCAACAUAAAACCCGGUGAGUGUUUUGCUUCCUGAAAAAUACGACUAUUACGCUCCAACCAGAUAACCCACCAUGUGGUCACGCUUCGUUUCUUUCAUUUAAAAAUAAACUUAGCUCGAAAUAUAAAUCAACUAGAAUUCGAACUUGGGUCUCAGGUACCAACCACCAAGCCCUUUGCCACUUGCUCUAGGAACGGUUAGUGUUACACCAACUAUGAACAGCAUUAGGACCUCGUAUGUUUUUUUUCUUUUUAUUUUUUUGGAGAGAUAAAGAUAGCAAGCUUCAUUUUUUUUUUUUAUUCUCAGAAUAAAAAAAGUAUAAUAAACUAUACAAGUGAAACAAUUAGACAUCCAAAAAGCAGAUAAAGAAGAAGAUUACAUAAAAGAAAAGGAGAGAGAGAAAGAGAAAAAGAGAAUUUAAAAAAAUCACAUGGGGUUAAAUGUAAAGUGAGAACCACGGAUUAUUUAUUCUUGGCGACGGUCACGUGAAUAGUUUUUUGAGGGAGGGAAAAAAUAACUUACUAUAUAUCCGCGUUGUAUGUUAUAUAGCUAGUCUGCUUUAUUUGGUGUGAUUUGCGACAAUAGGAAGCCCCGGGUCCGUUUAAAAGUCGAACGAAAGGAUUAUUAUAUAUAUGAGAAACGGUGAUAGAAUUCUUUGCUUGUAUUAAUCUCGGCAUCUCUUUUGAUACUUUACGUACGACGUUCUCCAAGAUGGGAUGAUGCAAACUUUUUAUGAACAAAUCUAGACUAGUGUUGUAAAUCUAAGCUGUGAAAAAGAUAUAGGAAGAACAUAAUUUUUUGAAAAAACAAAAGAUAUUUUUUUUUAUCAAAAAUGAUAUAUUAUAUAUAGAGAGAGAGAGAAAGCAGGGCUGUUGUGUUUUAGGAGCACGAAGGUCUCUAUACUCCUAAGCAGGGCUGUUGUGUUUUUAGGAGCACGAAGGUCUCUAUACUCCUAAGCAAUUUUAAUGAUGGAAUUUUCAAAUUGACGAUCGAUUUUUUUUUAAUCUAUAGCGUAUUUGAUAUCUAGAAAAUAAAUUUUGUCAUUUUUUGAUAUCAUUUAUCUAGUAAUCGAAAGGAUUCAAAAUUAAUGACUAAAAAUAAAAAUCUAAAAAAAAAAUUAUGAUAUAGUACUAAAAUUUUCAAUCAUAAACACUAAUCUUGUUUAGAUAGUAUAUAGAAUUUUAUAUCAAAAUUUUAUCUUAUUUGAAUAUUUCUACAAAUUUGAAAAUGAUGGCAAAAUUUUUUAUCAAAAUUUUAUCUAAUUUGAAUAUUUCUGCAUCAUUAAAAUUAUUAAUUUUGAACUAUUUUCUUUCUUUUUUUCUUUUUUUUCUUUUUCUUUGUUUUUUUUUUCUCUCAAAACUAGGAGUAUAUGUUGUUAAGAUUUAGGGAAAACUUCAAAUACCCCUCACUUGGUUUCGCACUUUAUCACUUUAGUAAUUUAUGCUUUAAAGUGUACCAAUUUAGUACCCUAUGAUUUCGCACUUUUUCACUUUAAUAUUAUAUGAUUUAAAGUACGUCAAUUUAGUACUAUAUAGUUUUAUUUUUCUCUUUUUGUCGGCUACCCUGUUAAUAUUUCGUUAAAUUAUAUACAAAAAAACUUUAGAUAUCCUAUCUAGGUUUAUCGAAUAUUUACUUUAGUACUCUUUAUUUUUAACUUUGUCGCUGAUUUCUUUUUAUUCUGUUAAUAUUUCGUUAAAUUAUAUAGAAAAAACUUCAUAUAUCCUAUCUAGGUUUAUCGAAUAUUCACUUUAUUACUUUUUAAUUUUAAUUUUAAUUUUGCCACUGAUUUAAUGAAAAAAAUUGAUGAAUGGAUAAUAAAAAAAAAAAAUCACAAAGUACUAACUUAAUACAGUUUAAACCACAGAAUACUAAAAUGAGAAAGUGCGAAACCACAAAAACUUACUUGAUACACUUUAAACCACAUAAUACUAAAGUAAGAAGUUGUGAAACCACAAUGGGGUGCCCUGAGGUUUAUGAUAUUUUUACCAUGCAUUUAUUUGACUCCACUAUUUGAGGGAUCUCCCACUAUGCAUCGAACACGCGGCCUCCUCCUCCACCAACACCUUCGACCUCGCCCAUCCCCUUCUAAUGGCACUCUCCUCCUUCUACUUGAUCGGAACCCCCUUCACACGUAGAUCGGGAGAGAGGGUUCCACUCACCGUCCUCCUUCUACUUGAUUGGAACCCCCUUCACACGUAGAUUGGGAGAGAGGGUUCCACUCACCGUCAUUAUCGUCUUUCUCCUUCUCUAGUGUUAACUCCAAUGCGCAAGCCCGAGCGCCACUGCAGUAAGGAGUGAUAGCUCGAUCGUACUAUCUCGUCAUUGUCGGCAUAUGCGGUAGAGGUAGAAUUGAAGAGGGGUUGAGAUCAUCAAUGACAAAGGAAUGGGAGCCUCUGAGGAAGUAUCCGAGGGUUUAUGGAAGGGUUUUGGGGCUGCAAAUGGAGGAAGAGGUGGUGAGGGAGUGAGACGGGAUAUGAAGUGGGAGUUAGGAGGUCAAAUGUCUAGCCUUUGAUUUAGCCCAAUAACGAUACCAUCAGAGCCUGGUAUACGGCCCACAGUAAUUGAGUGGAGGCCCAACGCUGGGGCAAAAGGCUUGUAGGAUGUGCAAAUAUGUUUUUACAUUGAUGCAAUAUCACGCGGCAGUUGGCUGGUAUUCUUAUCAAAAUAUUUUUUUUUGAGAGAGAAAGAUAGCAUGUUAUUCGUUUCAUUUAUUUCAUUUUAGAAAUAAACUUAGCUGGAAAUGUGAAUCAACAGAUCGCAGAUAAAAUUUGAGAAAUUUUGUGGAUCAAUUGGUUGAAUCUUCCUCAGGUGUGUAGCUACUUAUUCUUUAAUUGGCCCUUAAGGUAUUGACCCGUAUUUUCGUACCGAUACGAGAGCGGUGCUAAAACUGUAAUCGAGAUAAAGAGAAGUGUGCGAGAGGGGGUUAAAUUGUUAAGCGGGAAGCUUUAAAUAUCGUGAAGUUGGGGAUUCGAUCUUGCAAGUAUUUGUAAAUAACAAGGAUUCUUGGAUUGCAUUUCGCAAUAAUCGUCUAUAAUGUGCAAAUAGUAGAAAAAAAAGGAAAAGAAAGAAAAAAAGUGGAUUGAAGUUCUUAUUCCAAGUAUAUUUUCACCUUGGUAUAUAAGGAGCUGGUAUCUUUCCAAUUUGAUCUUUUGUUGCUCGAGUUGGUUGAUGUUGGAGUACAAUGUAAUUAAUUAUGUUUGGAUUAUCAUUUAGUCCUUAAUUUGUUCAUUAUCUGUCGCCGUGUUAUUCCACUAUGGAAGGAAAUUUAUAUAAUGCUUGUCACUGUUAAUUGUUUGCAGCUCUUUGUUUAAGAGGUGCAGCACAUUAAACAUCUGAUUAUUGUGUGGCUUUACCCUGUUAAACAUCUGAUUAGGUAUUAUUGUUAGGAUCAUCUUCUUUUAACAAUAGUUUUAAGAGUCCGGCUAUGGUGCUUGUAAAAGCAUCGAGUACUUUGUGCUUGUAAAUUUUUUACCGUUAGAUUUAUACUUGAUCAUUUUCAUCCGUUAGAUUAUACUAUUCAACUAACCAUUAACUCAACCCUAGAAGGUCCACAUCAUUCUAACCGCACAUUCUUUAAUCCAAGGGUCAAAAACUUACAAGUACUAGUGAUUUGGUACUUUCAAAAAGUAUAAGAGCUCAAUUCUAGUUUUAAUACUACUAAGUAAAUUCAACCUCUCUGUUGGAUGGCUCUCCGCUCUAAGAAAAAGAGAAACUUGCUCUUCUAAUUUAAUCUAAGCUAAAAGGUAUUAAGAAAAACUCAAAUAAAAUAUGUUUUUUUUGUAAUUUCUAAUAAAGUUAUUGAAGAAAUUGGAAAAGCAUUUUUUUUUUAGUGAUCAAAAUAACAUAUAUAAAAAGGGUUGUUAAACCCUUUCGAUGUCAUUAAAAAUCGUUUUCCGAAAAAAUGACAUCGUUUUGUCAUAAAAAAUAACACUACUUUUAAAAAUGACAUCCCUUUUGUUAUAAAAAAAUAUAUUUGUCCUCUUAGUGUGACAUUAAAUUUUGGUAAAAUUAAAUCUUCUUCGUUUUCUCCUUUUCGAUUCUCUUUAAAGAUUUUUCCCAAACAAGGUGUCCUUCCCUUAAUGAGAUAAUAUCUACACAACUACACAGGUGAAGUAAUAGAGAAUCUAAAAAAAAGGGAGAAUCAGUUACCUCAUUAGCCAGAAGAUUAGUAUGCACGAAGAUUUAUAAUAUUAAUGAUUUAAGAAAAAUUUAACCACCCGAAAUACAAUAAAAUAAAGUAAAAAGUCCCUUGUCGCCCGUAGAAAAUUUUUUCUAAUUAAAAAGUAUAAAAUCNCUACAGUAAAAAUUUUCAUCACAAUAAAAAAUACUGUUUUGCUACAGUAAAAAAGCCUUUUGCUAAAAAUUACUGUAGCUUUCCCAAAUUGUUGGGAAAAAUAUAUACAAUAAAACUAGUGAUUUUUUUUUUACGAAAAGGUUAAAGAAGUUAUUGAAAUAAUCUUUAAUGUAUUGUUUUUUUUUAUAAAACAUUAUUUUUAAAAAAAUUUAAAAUAUUAUUCCAACAAAUACUUUAUCCAAUAAUACGUAAUUGCAAUUUUUUAAUCUUAAUUGCAAUUAUGAAUAUGUUUUAUUAUUAUUAUUAUUAUUAUUAUUAUUUUUUACAACUAGUCCUCCACGUAUGCCACCACCGAUAUAGUAAUUAAUUAAUCAGCCUAAUUUUAUUAGGCUACAUCAAUUCCACUAAUCAAAAAAGAAUUGAGAACGACAACGAUAUGAUCAUUUAAAAAAGCGAGGAAUAAAAUAGAUGCAUCUAUAAAAAAGUCAAAGAACCAAUUUUUUGUAAAGAAAACAAAAAAAAAAAAAAAAAAAAAAAAGGUUCUCUCUUCGCUCCAGUCCUAAGCUCGUUAUGACGUUUGGAUGACUUAAUAGCUAAUUUUUAUAGUUUAUAAUUUGUAUUAUCCAGCGGUUAGUAGCCGUUCAAGCCAUCUAAUUAUUGGUAUUACAAUAAGAGUCUGGUUACCAUACUCUUAUGAGUAUAGAUUUCUUUAUACUUAUAAAUUUUCGGUCGUUAGAUCUACCUUUUUAACUAGUUUCACUCAUUAGAUCAUACUAUUCAACAAACCAUCCAUUCAACCCUAUAGGACCACUAUCAUUCUAAUCAGAGAUCACUAUCAUUCUAACUGCACAUUUCUUCAUCCAACUCGGAGAUCACUAUCAUUCUAACCGCACAUUUCUUCAUCCAACGGUCAAAAACUUAUAAGCAUAAAAAUGUCUAUACUCAUAAGAGUAUAGUAACCCUAGCUAUAUAUAUAUAUAUAUAUAGAACUAGGUUGGAAUACUAUCACCAAGCUAUCUGGUGCUGUUAGUUCUUUUAGCCCUUGGAUUGAGAAAUGUGCGGUUAGGAUGAUGUGGACCCCCUAGAGUUGAGUGGGUGGUUGGUUAAAUAGUAUAAUCUAACGGGUAAAAAUAAUCAAAAGGUUAAAUCUAAUGAUGGAAAACUUGGUAGUACCAAAUCCUUAGUGCUAUCGAUAGUAUCCCAGCUGGACUAUAUAUAUAUAUAUAUAUAUAUAUAUAGACUUAGGCUGGAAUGCUAGCUUCCCAGCCAGACUAUAUGCUAGGGCUACUAUACUCUUAUGAGUAUAGAACCCUUUGUACUCAUAAAUUUUCGACCGUUGAAUGAAGGGAUGUGUGGUUAAGAUGAUAGUGGUCCCUGGUUACGUUAAUAGUGGUCCCCUAGGGUUGAAUGGAUGGUUGGUUGAAUAGUAUGAUCUAACGGGUGAAAAUGGUCAACGGAGUAGAUCUAACAGUUGAAAACUUAUGAGUAUAAAGGGGUCUAUACUCGUAAGAGUAUAGUAGCCCUAGCCUAUAGGGCUACUAUACUCUUAUGAGUAUAGAGCCUUUUAUACUCAUAAGUUUUCGGCUGUUGGAUAAAGGAAUGUGCGGUUAGGAUGAUAGUGCUCUCCGGUUAGGAUGAUAGUGGCCGGUUUCCUAGGGUUGAUUGGAUGGUUGGUUAAAUAGUAUGAUUUAAUGAAUGAAAAUGGUCAAAAGGUUAGAUCUAAUAGCCAAAAACUUAUAAGUAUAAAGGAGACUAUACUCAUAAGAGUAUAGUAGCCGGACUCAAUAUAUAUAUAUAUAUAUAUAUAUAUAUAUAUAGUAGGUCUUGUGUGCUAUUAGGAGCACGAAAUUUAUUUUCUAGAAGGUUCAAAUACUCUGGAUCAUAUUUAACGGUAUGGAUCGUCAAUUCGGAAGCUCCAACAUUGAGAACAACUUAUGAGUACGAAGGGUCCACUACUCAUAAAAGUAUAGUAGCCCAACUCUCUCUCUCUCUCUCUCUCUCUCUCUCUACAUAUAUAUAUAUAUAUAUAGCUAGGCUGGUAUACUAUCAGUAGCACGGAGGCCUCCGUGCUACCAAGUUGUUUUCAAUGAUGCGGGUUCCAAAUCGACGAUCGGCUCCGUUAGACUUGAUCUAUACUAUUAAAAGUAUUUGGAAACUAAACUUCAUAAUUUUUCGGCAUUAUUUGACUAGUGAUCAAAAGGUCUCAAAAUUGAUAAUUUUAAUGGUAGAUGUGAUGCGUUUGUGAAUUUAAUAGUAUAAAACACUCCAAUCUGAUGAAAUCUUUAUAGAAAUUUUUUUUUCACUAUUUAGAGUAAGAUCAGUACCUCUGAUCUUAAAUUCACGUCUUUUACCGUUCAUUUUUAGACUACUCGUUUGAUGCCGAAAAAUUAUGAAAUUUAGUUUUCAAAUACUUUCAAUAGUGUAGAUCAAAUCUAACGGAGCCGAUCGUCGAUUUGGAAGCUGCAUCAUUGAAAACAAUUUGGUAGCAUGGAGGCCUCCGUGCUACCGAUAGUAUACAAGCAUAUAUAUAUAUAUAUAUAUAUANGCUAGAAUGCUAUCGAUAGCAAACGGACUCCGUUGCCAUCCAUUUGUUUUCGAUGAUGGAGCCUCUGAAUUGACGAUCGACACCGUUUAACAUGAUCUAUACCACUUAAAGUAUUUAGAAAUCAAAUUUCAUACGUUUCCGAUAUUGUUCUCCUAUCCAUCGAGUGGACAUAAAAAUGAACGACUGAAAAUGAAUAUUCUUUAAAAAAUAAUAAUAGGAGUCUUGUAAUCAAGAUCAAGAGUAUAGAUCUUGUUUUAAAUACUUUAAGGUUUUCUAACAAAAAUUCAAUUGAUUUAGAUAACUUUACGCGUUAAAUAAGAAAACGCCUCAUAAUCGACAUAAAAUACAAAAUAUUUAAAACCCUUUGAUCAUUAGACAAAUGAUGUUAAAGAAUUUAAAUUUGAUUUGUAAAUACUUCUAAGUGGUAUAGAUCAUGUUCAACGGUGCGAUCGUCGAUUUGGGCUCUAUUAUCAAAAAAAAAUGGGUGGCAACGUAGCCCGUUUGCUAUCGAUAAUGAUUCUAGCUCAACUCUCUCUCCUCUCUCUCUCUCUCCUCCUCUCUCUCUCUCUCUCUCUUCUCUGUAUAUAUAUAUAUAUAUAUAUAGAAUUGAGCUCCUAUGCUUUUAAAAGUACCAAGUUAUUGGUGCUUGUAAGUUUUCGGCCCUUGGAUUAAGGGAUGUGCGGUUAGGAUGAUGUGGGCCCCCUAGGGUUGAGUGGGUGGUUGGUUUAAUAGUAUAAUCUAACGGAUAAAAAUGAUCAAAGGCAACCUAGGGUUGAGUGGGUGGUUGGUUGAAUAGUAUAAUCUAGCGGGUAAAAAUGAUCAAAGAAAGAAAUCUAACGAUAAAAAAUUUACAAGCACCAAAUGCUUGGUGCUUUUACAAGCACCAUAGCCGGACUCUAUAUAUAUAUAUAUAUAUAUAUAAUUUUUAAGUUUUUUAAGAUAAAGGCAGCACGCUAUCCGCUUCAUUUAUUUGGAAAAUAAAUUCUACUACAAAUGUUGAGGCAGCAGGGUCUCGAAUGGAUCAAACAGUUACAUAAAAGGAAAAUAAAUACAUAAAUAAAUAAAAGUAAAAAAAAUAAAAUGUCACUUAGAGUUGCAACUUAGCGUAUUCCCUUAUCAUUUCACGGAUUUGUCUGAUAGCCACUAAGGCGUCGAAAGAUUGAUUUCUAAAAAUCACAUUAUUUCUUUCUCACCAAAUCAUCCACCAACAAGUCGCCAAACUAGCCAGCUCCUUCUCAGCUGGCCCUUGGGCACUAUUUCCCAGUACAUACUCCCGAAGUCCCCUGACUCCCUCCACCGACCUCGAGAUAACUCUUUCUUCGAAGAUAUUGAAUAAUAAAUAUCUACUAAAAAUGCAUCCCACAAGCAGAUGAUCGCCAGUUUCGAGUUCACUGCCGCACAGAACACACUGUUGGUUUUCAGACCAACCUUUUUUAAGCAUAUUGUCUAUUGUAGGUAAGCGCUUCUUCAGAGCUAGUCAGAUGAAAAUCUUAACUUUAGGCGGUAUUUUAAGUACCCAAACUUUUUGUUGAAGAAUGUCUCGAAUGCCAAAAUCAUUGAUCAACUUAUAAACCGAUCUAACUGUGAAACACAGACUCGCAUUCUAUCUCCAUCGUAGUUCAUCGGGUGUGUCAAUGACAUGGAAUCUUGAAAGUAACUUUUUGAGUUCUCUAAUUCUGUUAUCACUUCUAGGCAACCCAAUCCCAGCCCCUCUUAAGAUCUUUCUCUAUCUCCAAUCUUGAGAAGAAGCUUUUUAGAUGCCAUUCAAUCCCCCUACAUAACUAGAAAAGUAAGGAUUAUUAAUUAACAUUGAAUUGGCAUGUCUAUAUAUAAACACGCAUCAUAUAUUAUUGUUUUGCAGCUAACACAUUGACUAUGUCUUUAAUUUGCGUGCAUUGGUACACAGAUAAUCAUCUAUAUAUACCACUCAAUACAUACAUACAUACAUACCCCCACAUUAUACACUCCCUCCCCGGGAAUUGUCAUGGCGCUAAUCCUACCUCUUCUCGUGCUUCCCUUCUUCCUGCACCCUCUAGCUUCUUCUGCUUUCGACGGCAUGCGAAUCGAGGUCACUCACGUCAACUCCGACGGCAACUAUACGAUGGCGGAGCUCAUCCGCCGCGCGGCGGCGCGCGACACGGUUCGACUGGCUGGCGCCAGGGCAAACGUCACGACUCCGCUCCACUACUCGACCGCGGGCGGCUACCUCAUGGAGCUCGCCGUCGGCACUCCCCCCGUUCCGUACUUGGGCUUGGCCGACACCGGCAGCACCCUCGUCUGGAUCGAGUGUCUCCCCUGCAAGAACUGCACCGACUUGGUCGUGCCCAAGUACGACCCUCACAAAUCCCCCACCUUCUCUUCGCUCCCCUGCAACAGCUCCUUAUGCGAGGCCCUCGACUUUCGCGGUUCCUGCCUCAAGGGCUCAUGCACCUACAAUAUCGUGUAUGGGAGCGGCGCGACAGUAGGAGUGCUCGGCAGCGAGAUCUUCACGUUCGGAUCCUCCGAGCCAGUCUCCGUGCCGGAUAUUGGUUUUGGGUGCAGCACUGAUAGCCUUGGCGACUACGGUAACUCCUCCGGUAUUGUUGGACUGGGGAAAAGCAGUCUGUCAUUGGUGUCACAAUUGGGCGUCGGAAAGUUCUCUUACUGUCUCACUUCUUAUUACGAUAUUCGCAGCACCAGCUCACUUUUUUUCGGUUCUUCCGCCAGUUUAAGUGGAACUGCAGUAAAAUCUACUGCUUUUGUUCGAAACCCUAACUCUACCUUUGCUUCUUUUUACUACCUGCCUUUGAAAGGAAUAUCCCUCGGCGCGACACUACUUCCUGUCCCGUCAACAGCUUUCGCGAUAAGAACGGACGGAAGCGGCGGGCUGAUCAUCGACUCUGGCACCACUUUCACAUACUUAGGAGAUGUCGCGUACCAACUUGUGAAGCAAGCGAUCCAAUCUCUGGUGAAUCGACCGCCUGCCGACGGGUUGAAACUUGAACUUGAUCUUUGCUACUCGUUGCGACCGCCGCCGCCGCAAAUGCCGAACAUGACGUUCCACUUCGACGGUGCUGACAUGAAUUUGCCCGUGGAUAAUUACAUGAUAUCGGAUUCGGAGACAGGUUUGUGGUGCCUUGCGAUGUUAAACUCAACCGACAACUCUUCGAUACUCGGGAAUUUCCAGCAGCAGAAUAUGCAUAUACUUUACGAUCUAGACAACGAUGUUCUAUCCUUCGUGCCAGCGCAAUGCAGUAAACUUUGAUCGAAGUUGUGUGUUAGCCAUGUACUUGGUGUUUAUCUUGUUUUCGUUGAGAUUAAUUGAGUUGUAUGUUAUAUUUCUAUGGGGCAGUAGAAAUCGUUAUAUGAACGAACUUGCGUUGUGUUAUAUGUAUGUUGAAUCACUCAUCUUAAUUGUAAUUAUGAACAGUUGUUGUUUUGAUUUAGAAAGUGCAAAAGAAAAGCAGUUGUCUUUUUGAGACUUCCAUAUAACUUAUUUUUCUUAAAAUAGUUGAAUUGGUGGUGUUGUUUGAUCCAGUUGUUUGUAUCCUUUUAGUUUAUUAACAACUAAAUUUAUUUAAAUCUAAAUCCCAUCUAAAAAAAUUAUCGAAUGGACCUCGUGCAUAAUUCAUUGUUAAUUUUUCUAUAUGAAUCCUGCUACAGAGACCUCAAAAUCAAAAUUGUGGGCCUCUAGGCCUUCUAAAAAGAAAAAAGAAAAACGAAAAAAAUUCUAUGAAAUAAUUAAUUUCAACAAUUAUACUCAAUUACAUACAAUAACUUCCAUUCUCAAGAAAACAAAUAUAAUUUCUUUUUAAUGUCGAACAGCCAGUGAGAGUUUGUGUUCUCUCCGUGGUCAAAGUCAACGCUCGAAGCUUGAAUCAAAUAGGCUUGUACAAAGUAUAUUGAUGAUGCAUUGCUAACUUAAUACUCUCAUAAAAAAUUAAGAGUAUCAAAGAUGUACAAAAUAGAGUUACAUCAUUGCAAGUAAAUAAUAGUCGUCCCACAUUUAGCUGACCUUGCUCAACAUUUGUUCAACAAUUCUAUUUACAUCACCAUUUUAUCCUCACUAAUUAUCUCAAGAACAUGUGAUCUCCACUGGUCCGAUUGUCAAGCUCACAAGCUCAAAUACCCCAAUUUCUUAAAAAAUUAAGAGAGUUAAGUGUGCUAGAACUAUUAGUCAAAGAUGGGUGAGCCCCGGAAAACUGAGGCAUCACAAGGACAUGCACCUCCACCUACUUGUUCUGAAAAUAAAUAUUAUAUUAUUUUUAUUGACGAUUACUCUUGUUUCAUCUGGAUUUAUUUCAUGCACAAAAAAUCUAAACAUUUUCAAAUAUAUAAAAUUUUUCUGCCAUGGUUCAAAUUCAGUUUGGUGUCACCAUUAAAAUUUUUUAUUUCAACUCAGCUAGUAAUUAAUGAAUAUUUUUCAAAUGAGUUUCAUUACAUGGUAUUGGAUCAGGGGAUCCUAAGUUCAACUUCCGCUAGAUUCCUUACGUUAUUAAUUUUCUGUCACUUAAACAUAAUUUUCUGUCAUUUAGUUUAAGUUUACAUUUGAGGCAUAUCAAAAUAUUUCAAACCCAAACGUGAGAGAGGGGUGUUGAAUAUAAAUAUUAAAAUACCGUUAUCUAGAUAUUCAAGAUUUGAAAAACAACGAUUGUUUUACAUAAUUUUGUUACUUAAAUGUCUUUAGCUUUUGUUAUUUACUACUUAUUUGUGCGGCGGAACAGUCUCAAGUGAUGGCGUUAUGAGAAUUUUUUUUCGUAAAGUUACAACAUAAAAUUCUCCUUUUGAAAUUAUUUCAGUUUACAGUUAUCAUAGUCCUAUAUUAACUUAAUGGGAUUGAGCAUAUAUAGAUUUUAUAAGGAAUAGAAAGAAAAACUUCCUCCUAAUCAAGGGGCUUCAAAGAAGGGAGAUUUAUUUAUUUGUGUAUUUUGUUUCCAUAACUUUGAAGCUUUCGUUUGGUUCGGGUAUAAGCAAGAACUAGCUAUUACAGGAAUAGAUACAACUAUGGUGAUAAGAAAAAUAGCGUUUGGAUAAAAAUUGGGUUGUUCCCGGGGAUAAAAAAAAUAGCGUUUGGAUAGAUAAUAUAGAAUAAGAAAAAUAAUGGAUAGUUAUAUAUAGAAAAUAAAGGUGUUUGUGGGAAUAAUUAUACCAGGUAUCCGAGAACUAUAAUUCUCGAGUAAAAAAUUUACGUUUGAGUAUAAAGGAGGGGAUAAAGGGUUAUCCCUCUUCUUAUCCCUAAUCCAAACGGUCAGGCCAAUGAUUUAGGCCAAUGACUAUUAGAGACAAGUAUACGGCCCACAGUAAGUGAGUGGAGGCCCAAAGUUGUGGCAAAAGCCUAUAGGUUGUAAACAAAAAAAAUAUGUAUACAUAAUACAUUGAUACUAUCAUGUGGAGUUAGUGGGUAUUUCUUAUGAAAAUAUUAACCAUUUGCAUGACCAGAAUACUAUCUUCUUUAAUCAACGGUUAAUUAUUCUAACAGCCUAGCUUUUGUGGCACAUCGCUCUAGUAAACUACUAUAAUUUGGUCAUAACAAACACAUUGCAUUUUCGGGAUUGUUAAUUGCUCUGACAUCAAAUGUUGACUAAUCGAUAUUUACUCUGAUACCAAUUCUUAUAUAAUUCUACAACCAUUAAUCAUAUAUAUAUAUAUAUAUAUAUAUAUAUAUAUAUAUAUAUANUAUAUAUAUAUAUAUAUAUAUAUAUAUAUAUAUAUAUAUAUAUAUAUAUAGAGUAGGGCUGCUGUGCUCUCAGGAGCACGGAGCACGGAGGCCUCCGUGCUCCUGAGCCGUUUUCGAUGAUGGAGUUUCUGAAUCGACGAUCGACUCCGUUAAACUUGAUCUAGUAUAUUUGAAGCUUUUAGGAAAUAAUUUUUGCGAUUUUUCGAUAUCAUUUACCUACCAAUCGAAAUGAUUCAAAAUCAAUAAUUUUUAACGGCUGAAAAUAAAAAUCCUAUAAAAAGUGGUGAUAUAGCACUAAAAUUUUCGAUCCGAAAUAUUGAUCUUGUUGUAGAUAGUAUAAAGAAUUUUGUAUCAAAAUUUCAUCUGAUUUGAAUACUUUUACACCGUUAAACUUGAAAACGGCAGAUAUCAACCAUUAAAAAUUAUGGUUUUGAAUCCUUUCGAUCACUAGGUAAAUGAUAUCAAAAAAUUGCAAAAAUUAUUUUCAAGAAGCUUCAAAUACGCUAGAUCAAGUUUAACAGAGCCGAUCGUCGAUUCGGAAACUCCAUCAUCGAAAAUGGCUCAGGAGCACGGAGGCCUCCGUGCUCCUGAGAGCACAGCAGCCCUGCUAUAUAUAUAUAUAUAUAUAUAUAUAUAUAUGUGUGUGUGUGUGUGUGUGUGUGUGUGUGAAUUUUGCUACUAUACUAUCGAUAGUACCAAACACUUGGUGCUAUCGAAUUUUCAACCGUUGGAUAAAAGGAUGUGCGGUUAUGAUGAUAGUGAUUAUCCGUUAGGAUGAUAGUGGUCUAUUAGUGUUGAGUGGGUAGUUGGUUGAAUAGUAUAAUCUAACAGGUGGAAAUGAUCAAAAGGUAGAUCGAACAGCAGAAAAUUCGAUAGUAACAAGAACUUGGUACUACUGAUAGUAUAAUACCCGGACUCUAUAUAUAUAUAUAUAUAUAUAUAGCAUUAUUAUUAUUAUUAUUAUUAUUUUGAGAGAUAGGUAACACGCUACCCGUUUCGUUUAUUUCAUUUAGAAAUAAACUUAGCAAGAAAUGUGAAUCAAUUAGGAUUCGAACUUGGAUCUCGGAUACCAACCACUAAGCCCUUUCUCACUUGCUGUAGGGACGGUCGGUUAUUAUCAUUAUUAUUAUUUGAACCAGAGAUCACCCACAAUGGAGCAAGCGAGACCAACCACUAGGCUAAGCCUUAAUUAGCAAUAUCUGUUCUAAGACAUCUCUAAAUUAAAUUUUAGCUUUUUCAUAUGGUGUCUCCCUCUGCUUCAAGCAAGAAUCUAGGGAGGUGAAUCAAAUAAGAUUGUUAUUAAAGAAGGGAAAAAAAAAAUUGAAAAGAAAAGAAAAGGGGAAAAGAAAAACAAAAUGCUAACUCCUUGUUGGUGUGUCCCUGUCUCUGAGGAAGGAUGCUGUUGGUUCACUUUCCCUCCCUCACUUUAUUUGAAGCCAAAGUAACCAACGAAACUCACAUUUGAAUACUUAGAGAUAGCACCCUCCCAUCUAUUCCCUUUUUUUUUUAUAUAUUACAACUACAUUACACUACCCUUAUACUUCAAAACCAAUCAAUAAUAAGAGAGACAAAGAAGCUAACAAAAAGUUGUGUAUUUAUUACAUUUAUUUGCAUGAUGAGAAACCCCAUGUUGCAAACAAGAAGAAUCCCCUCACCAAACCACUCUAGCUAGCUAACACCUGAGGUGAUCCCCUCUUAAUUAUAACAGUACAAGGAAUUAAAGCACUAGCCCGAGCUCUAAGCAAAGUAGGUGGUGGAUAGCUACUUCAGGAACACCAGAAACUGAAUCUCCUAUUACAUUCCAAGGAUGCAUCUCUUUCUCUUCUGCGUACAUGAGCCUCGAUCUCUUUGUGAGCGAAUAAUUCGGAGUUUUUGAGGUCGUGCGAGAGAGGGAGAGAGAGAGAGAGAGAAAGCAGCAGGUUAAGGAGAGCACAAUGCAGCUGCACAUAUCGCCGAGCAUGCGGCACGUGACGGUGUUGACGGGGAAGGGUGUGAGGGAUUUCAUCAAGGUGAAGGUCGCGUCGAGGCGGCUGUCGUAUCGAAUGGUGUUCUAUUCGCUACUCUUCGCGAUGUUCUUGCUGCGGUUCGUGUUCGUGUUGACUGCAAUGGAUACAAUUGAGGACCAAUAUGAGUGCUCUUCUUUAGGUAAAUUACAAAUUAGUAUGAGUGCUCUUCUUUAGGUAAAUUACAAAUUAAUGGCUCUCUUAACUCUAUCAUUUUUUUUUUCAUGCAUGAAAAAUAGAAUGUUAUAGGACUACCUCUUAUUGAAAAAUUACCAAUGCUAUGAAAAUUCCUAAUCUCACUUAAGAUUUUUUUUUUAAUCAUAAUCUUCUUAUUAUGUAUUUUCAGUUGAGUUCUUAGUACCUUUCAAUCUUAUAAAAUGUUCUAACAUCAUUGCAGAGAUAUGUUAAUUGUAGCUUUCAUAGAAACAAAAAGAGAAACAAAAAGGAAAAAAAAAGUUUGUUGAUAUAAGUUUGUGCAAAUAAAGUCACGUGCCUAAUUAAUAUAUACAACUCUGGUAGAACGUAGGGAAAUAUCAUGAUUAUUAUUGUGACAAAUGGAAAAGGAAAGUAAAUUCUUCUUCUUCUUUUUUUGCUUUAUAAAACUAUAAAUAAAUAAAUAUUAUUCUCAAAAAAAAGAACUAUAAACAUUUGGUAGUUAUUAAAUAAUUUGUUUAUACAUGCAUAAUUAAACAGGAUCAAAAUUUAAUAUAAUGAUGCAUUUACCUCGCAAAAUAAAUAGGUAAAUAAUGCAACAAUGUGCUAUAUCCAAGGUAGAGUGACCAAAAAUAUCAAACAUUUAGAUAGUAAAUAUCUAAGAAAGAGUAUUCUAAAUUUUCCCAACAGAAACUUCAGAAUUAUAUAAAUUGUCAAAAUAUUAUUUUAUUGGCUGUGACUAUCAACUAUAUUAUGGAUACGCGACAAAAAUAAAAAAACAAGGGCAAGUUUAGGCAUGUAGCUAUGAAAUGGAAAAAGGAAUAUGAAGGAAAUGUUGGCUUAUCCAAAUUAGUUGUAGCAACACUCUGAAUGAUACCGACCAUUCCUAGAGCAAAUGGUAAAGAGUUUGAUAGUUGGUACCCGAGAUCCCAAGUUCAAAUCCUAAUUAAUUCACAUUUGUAGCUAAGUUUAUUUCUAAAUGAAAUAAACGAAGUGGAUAGCGUGUUACCUAUCUCUCUUUAAAAAAAAAAAAAAAAACACUCCGAAUGAUGUUGAUGGAAGGUCCAACAUGCCCAGUUCUCAAGCAAACACCUAAUUUCUUGUUUGAAUAUUAAGACCAGCCAACAUAGUUUGACAGUUUCCUCUUACAAUUGGCAUUCCUGUCACAAGCCAAGUACUUCUUUUCAUAUGAGCUUCAAGGAAAUUUUUUUUUAAAUUUUCAUCUAAACUAAUUCUCGAAGCAAAGUAUACUAGGAAUUUUGUAGUUGGUUGGAAUGGAGGGACAUACAUUAACGAACAAUGUAGAUGAUAUGUGUAUUUUCAUAUCUUAUCUUUAGAAAAUAGCAUUUUAUUCACUGAUGAAUUUGUACUAAAAUGUAAUCUAUACAUUGGUUUUUUUAUAGGGUGUGUAGGGAAAAGGCUAGGUCCAAGAUUAUGGCGACGGCAACUUGAAUCGUCGGUAAAUCGUUGUUUCCAACCCAAAAAAUCAAUCAUAAAUUAUCGUAUUGACUUAUUUUUUAAAAGAAAACUUAUAAUGAGAACAGAAUUUAAUUUUUUUCUCUUUGUGAAGAUUCCAGAAGAAAUAUAUCAGAUUCUUGAAGAAGCCAAGAUCGACGAAUUAUCGCCGCAAGGGUGGGACGUUCCGCAAACACUAGACGAGUUCAUCGCAGAGAUGAAGAGCAAUAAUCGAUCAGAUGCCAAAACCUUUGCAUUAAGGCUCAAAGCCAUGGUACCAUUAGUCUUACUAAACACAACAGCUGAAACAACUAGCCGUUAUAUAAGCGUGCUACCUAUUCUCAAAAAAAACUAGCCGUUAUAUAUAUAUGAUUCUAAACCGAGAAUUUUGCUAUAUUUGACUGUUGACAUUUGACUUCUUAGUGUUGACUCGGUGACCAAAAAAACAGAUAUCUUUGCUGGAACAGAAGACCAGGACGGCCAAGAUCCAGGAGUACCUGUACCGCCACGUGGCGUCGACGAGCAUCCCGAAGCCGCUGCACUGCCUCUCGCUGCGCCUGGCCCAUGAGCACUCGACCAACGCCGGAGCCCGCCUCCAGCUACCGGAGGCGGAGCGCGUCCCUGCCCUUGUGAACCCCACGCUCCGCCACUUCGUUCUUGCCUCCGACAAUGUGCUGGCGGCAGCGGUCGUGGCUGCAUCACUGGUCGCCAAUGCACUCAGUCCGGAGUCGGUCGUGCUGCAUGUCAUCACCGACCGGAAGACGUUCGCGCCCAUGCAGGUAGCGGUGUAAACGAACUGAACACGAACACAAAUGUCCUAAGCUAAGCCCAAGCUCAGCUCUGUUUAUAACCGAGCCAAACUCAAACCGACUCAUUUAGGUUCGAGUCGAAUUCGAGCCACUCAUAAGAGAUCAGCUUCUAACACUAACUGAGUUGAGCUAGCUCAAGUUCGGAUCAUUUAUUCAAUAAACUCUAGAUCCUAAACAAUAAGCUCUAAAUUCAAUGUAUAUAUAUGCAGGCGUGGUUCUCACUGCACCCGCUGGGACCUGCUGUGGUGGAGGUGAAGGGGCUGCACCACUUCGACUGGUUCGCGAGGGGGAAGGUCCCCGUCAUGGAGGCGAUGGAGAAGGACCGGGCGGCCCGGUCACAGUUCCGCGGAGGGUCGUCGGCAAUCGUGGCCAAUGUCGGCGAGAAGCCGGUUGUGGUGGCAGCAAAGUUGCAGGCACUAAGUCCAAAAUACCAGUCUGUCAUGAACCAUAUCCGCAUUCAUCUGCCCGAGGUGAGUUUAAAAACAUGUUCAAAAAAGUUUAAUCCAAGCGCGAAACGCACGGCUUUCAAAGCAAUUUGAACGCUAGAUUUGAUGGUCUGGCGUGGGAACCGUCCCCCUUUUACUUAACCAAAUCAACAUACCAAACUCUUUAUAACUACAUGUAGUAACACUGUCUAAGGAGAUUUUGUUUGAUCCUCACAGUUGUUUCCUAGCCUCGACAAGAUAGUUUUUCUCGACGACGACGUCGUCAUCCAAGCUGAUCUCUCGCCCUUGUUCGAAAUCGACCUGCAAGGCAAAGUAAAUGGCGCGGUGCAGACUUGCAGAGGGGCUGACAAAUUUGUGAUGUCGAAGAAAUUCAAGAGCUAUCUGAACUUCUCACACCCUCUGAUAGCAGAAAAUUUCGAUCCUAAUGAGUGUGCCUGGGCAUAUGGCAUGAAUAUAUUCGAUCUCGACGCAUGGCGAAGAACAAACAUCAGUGAGACUUAUCACUACUGGCUCCAAAAAGUACAUAUGCUCUAUAUCUUCUUAUAAUCUUUUUAACGCUUUUUUUUUUUUGUUUGCUCAAUUUUUGAAAGAUCUACUUGUUGUUCAAAUUUCGUCUGCAGAACUUGAAAUCAGACCUCAGUUUAUGGCAACUAGGGACUCUUCCGCCCGGUCUAAUCGCCUUUCACGGCCAUGUUCAUGUUAUUGAUCCCUACUGGCACAUGCUCGGCCUCGGAUACCAAGAGAACACAACUGUAUCUGAUGUGCAAAAAGCAGCAGUAAUCCACUUCAAUGGCAGGGCAAAGCCUUGGUUGGACAUUGCUUUCCCACAGCUCCGACCGCUUUGGACCAAAUACUUAAAUUUCUCGGACAAGUUCCUUAGAGCAUGCAAUAUAAGAGCUUAGAACUGUUGUGCGAUUUUGAUCGGCACUUCAAGUUAAGCGACGUGAUCGAACAAGGAUAAACUCUUGGAUUUGAUCCAAGAGAAUGAACAAAGAGCAUUCGAGUUCUUAUACUGUCGAUAUGAGACGUAUUUAGAUCUUAACCAAUUUCAUGCAUAUUUUCUUCUGUAGAAAUGAUUUUGCUGUUCUUUUCUGAUGGCCUAUUUUGAAAUGUAUGCUUGGAUGGAUAUAGAAACAUUAUAAUAAAGAAAAAGAACAUAGUAUCUAUCAACCAAAGGAAAAGGCUAAUUUCGCAUUAACUUGACAGUAAGAUACAAAAUGGCCAUUUGAUUCAGUCGAACACUUGUAUUACAUUCUCUGUAUAAAGUAUCGAAUGCAUCGGAUUCAAACUACGGUCAUCUUCAGAAAAUUCACGUAACACAAUUCGAGCUUCAUUCGAGGCCUUUGAUAGCAAUAACAACUGCCCUCGAAGAAUUUUGAGAGACAAGGUUUCUCUUGGCUUCAUGAAUUGCGUUUCGCAGCCACUUUGGCUAUUAUUAGAUUCUUCAUUCCGGUCAACAUCUAGAGGAGUAACCAGUACAAGAGAUUCCAAAACAACAGCUUUUUCUAGCAGAAACUUCACCAGUCUCAGUUCAUUAACAAACCCCCGAAAAUUGGUAACUUUGAUCACUUUUAGAUGGUUAAAUAAAACACCAGGCGAAUCCUCGUCAAUAAACGCUCCAUACGUUAUGUCGAUUAGCUCAUUGAGCUCUCCAGGAAGCUGAAAGAUUCAAUAUCAUCGGAAUAAUAAAAUAUCCAAAGAUAGAUAAAAGAAAGCAAAUUGAUGAAAUUUUGAAGUUUAACAGGGUAACAUAUACGAGUCUAACCGAAGGCAACCAAAACACGGAUAUACCUGAAUGAAAAGCUUUUCGAGGAAUGGAGAAGGACAGAGCUGAAAAAAGGCUGAGAUGUACGAGAGAUGUUCUUCGGUCAGCGAAUCCAUCACAAGCUGCAACUCCUGCAGAUUCUGCAACUCUAUAGGGAGUUCCUCCUCACCGUACUCGUCGGCAAAGGCUAUACCCUGAACGAAAAUUCAAGGCGCUAUAUCGAAUUCAUGAACUAAGAAAAAGAUUUGAAUAAAACAACAAAUGAAUAAGAAAAAUUUAAAUUACCAUCAGGGCUACACUGCAAAGUGUCAGAACCUUAACCUGAGAAAGAUCAGAUAUCCACUUGGCAUAGUCAUCAUCAAGAUCAUAGUUAACUCUACCAAUCGAAUAUAUGCAUGCGUCGACCAACGAAGACAUGUUAUGGAACUCAUUUGUGGAACAGAUCCUCCCAUAGUAGAUUAAAGAUUGAAGCUUGGGAGCAGAUAUCUCGAGAUCGUAAGCCUCGAAACAAUCCAUUAUUGUCAACUUUUGAAGUCUAAGUUCCGGGCCUGUAAUCCUAAUCUCGGAAAGUAGUAAGCAGCUUUUAAUGCUCAAGCUUUCGAGGGCCCUGCAGUCGACUAACAUCCUUUCGAGCAUAUCAUUUGUGAUGUUAACAUGACUAAGAGAGAGUUGACGAAGGCCGCGAAAUCCGCUCACGUCGAAAGGAGAAGCAAUGUCGCAUCGGCUCAAACUCAAAUUGGUCAAAGUGUUGCACUCAAAUAAAGAAUUCGGCAAUACAAACGCCACUUUUCCAUCAAUAUACACUCCGUUUUGCACGAUCCCUUGCGAGAGGUCUAUGUCAAGCUGUUUCACCCCUUUACUAACCGCAAAGCCAAUCCAAGUCUCGAUAUCACGGAAGAAGAGAUCGAAGGGGGAGAAGAGAAUUCGGAACUUCUCGACGUGCUUGCUUUCGUAGAUGUGUAGAUACCGAUUGAGCAUCGACACGAACUGCUUCGGAGAUUGAUUGCAGGAGAAUUCGUCGCCGAAUUCUAAAGCGGCGGAAGAGAUCAAGCUAUACUCCCAUAAGUUUCUCCAUCUCUGUGAGAGGGUGCUUGUUCUUAUAGCUGAUUUUAGAGGCAUCAUACAGAGGAUGGAUUGGAGGAUAGGAUCAGGGAGAUUACUGAUCCUAUCUUCUCCUCUCCCCAUACUUUGCCUCUUCAUUAGUUCUGAAUUUGUUGAUCUUUAGUAAAUUAUUACUUUGUAGAGAAUGGUCUCUUCUUGUGUUAUAUGUUGUAACAUUCUCCUCUCUGAGGACUUUGUCAAACAGUUGGUGGGUGGGCAUCUUCUCUCAGAAGACUCAAUAUAGAAAGAGUGAGAGGAAGAAGGAAGUUGAGGGAAGUAAUAUCUUAGUUGACAAUGUAUGGAGACACUUUAAUGAGCCCUCCAACUUUAGUAGUUUUGAUUUGAGUAAUUUUUCUUAAAUUGGACUCAGAAUUCAUUAGAAGUUGUUGCUAAUUUUUAACUAAAUUUGUGGUUUCGUAAGUUGAAAAGGAACCUCUCACUAGCUGCAUGUGCUGGAAAUUGCAUGGCAAGUUAAGAAUAAAAUGCCUCGCAAUAGAAGAAUGUUGAGGUCUAAAGAUGUGAUGUUCCUUUUUUAUUUUUAUUUUUUUUUAACUCUAUAAAAUAAAGGAAGUGGUGCUCAUGUCAUAAUAUCCAGGUGUUCGACUCCUUCAGAAAUUCUGGGCUAGAUCUUGCUCUAUCCUGGGCCUGGCUAAAGCCCAAACUACUUUGACACCUAUUGGUCCUGGCCCAAGUUCAAACUAUCUAUGAUUUUGAAUUGGGCCUAAUCUUUCCGGGCUUGAGUUCAAGAAGAUCACAGGCAUAUCACUAUUGAAUUGCCGCGUGUUCACGAAGAUCCUGCUAAAGGACCUACCAUGUCGAUAGUGGCCGUGUUGAUGAGCAGUGACACUCCGACCCUGCAAGAAGCUUCAGGGCCCGCGCGUUUUCUAUCCGAGGGAGCACCACGACCUCGAACACUUCAUCAGUUCACCUUGUGCCAUAACGUGUGAUCAUGUUUGAUACUAGGUUUUAGCCUCCACAGGCCUGCUAAUGUAGUCAUAUUAACUGAUCUGUUCCCAAAUAUUAGGAUGUCUCACUUUCAUUUUGUGUCGUAAUAUACAAAGCAAUCAACAGAAACUCUACCGACCGUCCCUAGCGCAAGCAGCAAAAAGGCAUGAUGGUUAAUACCUAAGACCCAACUUCGAAUCCUAGUUGAUUUACAUUUCGAACUAAGUUUAUUUCUAAAUAGAAUAAACACAUACUACCUCUCUUUCAAAAAAAAAUAAAAAUCAACAGAGUUAUAUAUUAAAAACAGAAAUAGCUGAAAUUAUAUAGACUAUUUAUAAACUAAGAAAAAUAUAUAUGUCGCUAUUUAACCCAAAAAUAAAAGAGAAAGAAAAGAAAGCGACGCAACUGUGAAUCUGUGAUAAGGAUGGGACGAAAUUUCCUACAACAACUCCAACAAUUGACUAGGAAAAGACUUUCGUGUUUCGGUUUAUAAGCAUUAUAACAAUUCACGGUACAAGAUUUCAUACUAGUCUUACUACACCAAAGUACAAAUAAUAUUUCUCUACAUAAAGUAUAUGCCACGACGCCUCAUAAGAAGUGAUCUGUUAUUGUUAUCCUAUGCAACCAUGUAUAUCUCUGGCCUCGCUACUAUGUCCUGCAUCUCCUUUCUCUUUGUUGUAUCCCUCCCCUUUUUCCUCCUGCACCCUCCUCCGGCCGCCGCCGCGGCCGUCGCCAUCAACUUCUUCGGCAAAUUCUGCGGCAGCACCGGAAACUACACUGCGAACAGCACCUACCAAUCCAACCUCGACACCCUCUUCUCCUUCCUCGCCUCCAACGCCUCCGCGUCCCCCUCCGGCUUCACCGCCACCACCCUCGGCCGCGUCCCCGACGCGGUCUCGGGCCUCGCCCUCUGCCGCGGCGAUGUCAACGCCACCACAUGCCGCUCCUGCCUCGGCCUCGCAGCGCAGGACGGCCCCGAACUCUGCCCUGACACGAAGGGCGCCACACUUUGGUCAGUUACAAAUUAGAAUUCUGAUCUGAUUAUAAUAUAUAUACAUACAAGCUUUUUCAUUCAAUCAGUUUACGUACACUCUAUAAUAGGUAUGAUCCCUGCCUGGUGGAAUACUCCAACCAGAACUUUCUGUCCUCGACCAGCAACUCGCCGCAGUUGAUCGGGAUGAGCAGUCAGAACAUAACGGGGGCUGGCACCGGCCAAUUCGACAGGCUAGUCAGCACCCUCAUGAACGCCGUAGCCGACCGGGCGGCGAACGACACGCAGAGGAGGUUCGCGACGGGCGAGGUCACGAACUUCACGGAGGCGUUCCCGACGAUAUACGGGCUGGCGCAGUGCACGCCGGACCUGUCGGCGUCCGACUGUCGGCAGUGCCUCGGCGGUCUGAUCGGCGAGAUGCCGCAGUACUUCGCGGGGAGGCAGGGGGGGAGGAUCCUCGGCGUGCGGUGCAAUUUGAGGUACGAGGUGUAUUCCUUCUACGACGGAGCGCCGUCGCUGACGCUUUCGUCUGCGGCGGCGACCACACAAGGUGAGAAGAGAAGAAAAGGAAUAGAUAACAAAAAUGCACUUUACAUCCUUCAAUAUAUUAUGUUUCGUAUCUAACAUGACUUCUCCAACUAGCAAUAAGAUGAUCUUUACUUUCUGAAUGAUAUUACAGUAAUUACACUCAGAAAAGGAUUGAUCUAGAAAAAUAAAAUAUUUAUUUUCCAGUGCCUUGUAAAGACUACAUAUUCUGUUCAUGCAUCUCGCUUUAAAUCAAAUCGUGUGACAAAAAAAAAAAAUAUAAAUAGAAUGAAAAAUAAAUUAAAGAGUUAGAAUUAAAUUUUUAUAGUUUGUUUGUGCUCACUUUAUUUUGAAGGUGCUUCAACUUGUGGGACCGACGCCCAUUAGAGACCAAAUUUAAAACAAAUUUGGCUCUUGGCCUGUAUCACACCUGUCCUAUUCCUUGGUACCGAGUUAGUUAAAGCAGUGUGGAAAAAUACCAAAAAAAAAUAAUAAAAAUCCAGAUGAGAGUGGAGUAUUCGGCACCCUUCUAUCACUCAAUAAUGCAAUAAUUAAUUAAUGGUAAAAAUGUAUGGAGACCUCCCUAACUAUAGGCCAUUAUAAAAUUGCCUCUCCAAUUUUAGUAUCAUUAUUUUUCUUAAUUUUUGAACAUAUAAAUUCAUGAAAAUUAACGGUUUCGCCAGCUGAGCGGCCAUUUAUACUUACAAAACCAAUAUUGCAUCACCUAAAAAAAUAUUCAGAAUAGUUAAAUCAAUAAAGUACCUUUAAAUUUUCUAGAGAUAACUUAAAUCAAAUGAAUCAAAAUUGAGUAGUACUUAAAAGAGACUAUUUCAAAAUGGCCUAUAGUUGAGGAGGUCCCUGUACAUUUUCACCUUAUAGUUGAUUGCACUCAUGCUUUUGUGGCUUUCCCAGGUGUAGUCAAUGGAGCCCGACAAGUCAAGUCUCUGUCUCUCAUUUAAGUGUCCAGCAACCAGCCAACUAUCGUUUUAAUGAGGGAUACUAAAAAACAAAACAGAUAGCUAGAAAGAAAUGAAUUCUACCAAAAGAAGGAAAAUAAUAAUAAUAAUAAUAAUAAUAAAGGAACAUAAAGGAGUUAUGUUCCUUUGAAUACAAACAUAAAGGAUUUAUAUUGAAAGAUAUUUAAUGGUUCUAUCACAUCAUCAUGGCCAACAAUAAUCAAUGCAGUGAAAAAUGAGUGAAAAUAGAUGAUUAAAGAUUUAAUGAAGAGAUAGUCAAAUUGCUGAAAAAGUACUCUUUGUUUCAAUGAACAAGCAUCAUACGUUUGUUCUGUUUUCUCCUGUUGGUUUGUCACAUUCAGAUGAAGUAUAAGUUGAUAAUUGACAAUGGCUGCUUGGAUGUGCAGGAAAGAAGAAGAAUGUAACCAGUACAGUUUUAGCAGUAACCAUACCUCUAGUGACUGCAUUUGUUAUAAUUUCCACCAUUUGCAUUUGCUUUUGGAGGAGGAGAAGAUCUGCCCCAAAAGGACCACUAUACUGUAAGUAAGAUGCACUAAAGUUACCAUUCAAAACACCCAGCUCAGUGAUUUGCAUCAAAUAAUGAUAAUGGCAGGGAUCUCUCUGUCUGUUCAAAAUACAAAUGGCAAUAAUGCAUAUAUAGUUCCUACGAUAUAUGGACAUCAAUAUCAUAACCAUUGAGAAAACCAUAAUAACAAAAUAUCACAGAGCUGAUGUAGAGGCAAACACAGCUUAAUGGAGAACCUAAUUUAUUAGAUGUUCUCCAGCUUACAUAGAUCAGACAAUGUUGAGUUGUAUUUACUCUUUGAAUAGACGACGGCGAUGCUGAGGAGAUCAAAAGUGCUGAGUCACUGCUUAUUGAUCUGGCAACAUUAAGAGCUGCAACGGCUAACUUUGCUGGAGAGAAUAAGCUUGGAGAAGGCGGCUUUGGCGCCGUUUAUAAGGUAUCAUAAUAUUCGCUAUAACUUGCCAUUUAGUGAGAAUUACAGGUGGCGAUAGUCUGAAUCCAUAUCAAAAUUCUUGUACAGAAGAAGAUCAUCACUAUUCUUGGGCUCAAACUAGUUUGAUAGCUAUCUCUACUAUGUGCUUGUUGAUCUAACUUUUAGAACAACUUCUCUACUCUUUAAAGCAAAAGCUUUUAUUGAAGCAAAAAGUUUAGAAUUUUGCUAUCCGGGAAGCUAUAAUGAGCUUAUGAGACCCAAGAACAAUAUCCAACUAGAAGAUUCUAUUUCUGCUUUAUUGAGAAUGUUGUUGAUGUUUUUUUUUUUUCAAUUGGCUAUAUUUAAAUUCGAAGCUCAACAGGCCAAGCAAGCUCUCUAUUAUCGCGGUUGAAUCUUGUGCUAUAAUCUUAUAAACUUGAGCAGGGACUCUUGCCUGAUGGACGAGAAAUAGCAGUAAAGAGACUAUCAAAAGAUUCAGGACAAGGGCUAGGAGAGCUUAAAAAUGAGUUAUUUUUGGUCGCAAAGCUCCAGCACAAGAACCUUGUGAGGCUUUUAGGUGUCUGCUUGGAAGAACAGGAGAAGCUGCUUGUCUAUGAAUAUGUGCCUAACAGAAGUCUAGACACUAUCCUUUUUGGUACAACUUUCAUUACAUACAACUUCUGCUAAAGAACUAAUCUCAUUUCACUUGCCGUAACAUAAUAAUAAGCUUAGCUUUUAUGUUUUUACAUUUUUUUUCCCUUUUUCAAAAUUGAUAUGUCCAACUUAUUUGUUGUAUUCAAAUGAUACAGAUUCUGAGAAACGAGGAUGGCUAGAUUGGGGGAGAAGGUACAAGAUUAUUAAUGGAAUUGCUCGAGGCCUACUAUACCUACAUGAAGAUUCUCAGCUAAAAGUUGUACACCGAGAUCUAAAGGCGAGCAACAUUCUAUUAGAUGCCGAGAUGAACCCAAAGAUUUCAGACUUCGGCUUGGCAAGGCUUUUUGGAGGGGACCACUCUCAGGAAAUUACGAGACGAGUCGUUGGCACAUUGUAAGAAUCAAUUGUAACUGUCCAUAUCAAUCACAACCAUAAAAAUACUGCACGAAAUUGAAUAUAUAUAUUAAUACUGCUCAUGUUAUUGCAGUGGAUAUAUGGCGCCAGAGUACGCCAUGCAUGGGUACUUCUCAAACAAGUCAGAUGUAUUCAGUUUUGGUGUUAUGGUUUUGGAGAUUGUAACCGGGAGGAAAAACGCUGGUUCCUUCAAUUCUGAGCAGUCUGAAGAUCUAAUAAACUAUGUAAGUUCAACACGGCAGUAGUUCUUGAACCUAAUUAAUAGACAUAAACAUAGUUUCUGUCAAAUAAUUCCUCUUUUGAUAUAAUCACAUAUAAACCCUGCAAAAUCAUCCGCAUAGGUAUUCAUAAAUAACCUUCAAAACUUAAUUUCUUACAUAUAUAAACCUAUGUGUUUACAAAACUGCUCCUAUUUAUGCAAAACCAACCUCCCUUCUGGAAUUAGAUGACUCCCCUAAUUAAGAUAUAGUCUCUUUGUAAGAUAUUACACUAUACAGGAACUACUACGAAUGUUCUGAUUUUUCAAGAGUGUAGAUGUAAAUAGAUGAUUUUACAUCGAUAUAUAUGUACAGACAACCUUGUGUUGACAAAUUGAACGAAAUUUUACACAGACAUGGGAGAAUUGGACCAAAGGGACAAUAACAGAGAUAGUGGACUCAUCCUUAGACAACCGCUAUCCAAGAAGCGAGGUGCUGAGAUGCAUCCAUAUUGGGUUACUCUGUGUUCAAGAAAACCCAGCAGAUCGACCCAACAUGUCGAGGGUCGUCGUGAUGUUGAGCAGUAGCACUGUGACCCUCGAAACUCCUUCGAAACCAGCAUUUUGCAUUGGAAUGAGUAGCAUGCAAUUCAACAUGUACUCGAAUGCAUCAAAGUAUCAUGGACUAGUAGCUGAACAAUCCUCGAGCAAGUCGAUUCCACCUUCGCCAAAUGAGGUGUCAAUCACAGAACUGGAGCCUAGGUAGUUGGAGAAAGAGAGAAGAUUCUGAAAGACUUGAAAAAGGUCUCGAAGACAAAAUGUUGGUGGAUUUAUCACUUCUAGCGCUUGAAAUAUCGUAUGAAGCAUUGGAACUGUAUUUGUAUCUUAUUGUAUGUGUUUAAAUGUCCUUCGCAGCAGCGAUGAAUAUCUACGUUUCCCUGCAAGUCGAGGCCCGUGUUUUGCACAGGAAGGAGCAGCACAAGCUCGAACGCUUACUCGAAAGCGUCUAGUUAUUAUUAUGGUGUUAACGUGUGAUCAAUUCGAAGAGAAAUUUAGUCACCAGAGGCCAGUUAUCAUAACCCGCAAAGUGGUCUAAGGAUUGGGCAAUAGUAAACUUUGGUGUUUUGCAGUGCACGUCUAAAUCCUUUGAAUUUUCAUUUUUAUGUUGUGAGAUAAUUACGCAAGAAAAUUAAUACUAUACAAACUGACUAUUUCUGUCGUUUGGUGGAGUUCUAGAGAGAGAGUAAGCGACGUAACUACGACAAGUGCCGAAGAAUAGAAAGGAAGAAUUUCUUCCAUACUAAAAUUCUCACGGUUGACUAAGAGAAGACUCUGAACCAACUGUUCCUAGCGCAAGUGACAAAAAAUUUGAUAAUUGAUACCUGAGAUUCUAAGUUUGUAUCCUAAUUGAUUCAUAUUUUUAGCUAAAUAUAUUUGAAUAGUAUGCUAUCUAUUUCUCAAUAAUUCACAUAGCUAGUAUAUAUAUACAACAGCCUCUGAUAAAUAAAAGAUAAGAGGCCAUCUCUUAUUUCCAUCUUAUAGCUCUUACCCCUCCACCAUGUCCUGCAGCACCCUUAUCUUUUUCUGCCUUCUUUUCUUUCUCCUUCUGCACCCUCCUCCGGCCGCUGCCGCCGUGGCCGCCCCCGACCUCCUCACCCAGGUAUGUGGCACCACCGGAAACUACACUGCGAACAGCAGCUACCAAUCCAACCUCAACGAUGUCCUCUCCUUCCUCUCCUCAAACGCCUCCGCGUCCCCCUCUGGCUUCGCCGCCACCACCCUCGGCCGCAGCCCCGACGAGGUAUCCGGCCUCGCCCUUUGCCGCGGCGAUGUCAACGCCACCGACUGCCGCGCCUGCCUCAACGUCGCUGUGCAGGACGCCCCUCAGAUCUGCCCUGCUACGAAGGCAGCCGUACUAUGGUCAGCUAGAACUACAAAUUCUGACAACAUGUGUAGAGCGUGUACAAGUUUCUCUAUAAGAACUUCUUUACUCACGUUACUCAUCAUCACCUCAAGCUUUUGUAUUAGCACGCACUCUUUAAUAAAGAAUAAUAAAUAGUGAUCUGAUGCAUCGAAAUAACGUGUCUAAAUAUGAUGCCUCGAAAUCCUCCAUGUAUAUAUAUAAGAAUUAAGAGUCUUAAAUGAUUGAACUUAAACUGGAGGGCGAAAGUAAAACUUGCUAAAAGUAUGGAAGCUGACGAUGCAUUUAUUUAUUUAUUGAUCUUUAUUUUUAUCUAUCAGUUUAAGAUUUUUUUUUUUUUUGAGAGAGAUAGGUAGUACGCUACCGCUUUCUUUAUUUCAAUCUAUCAGUUUAAAGAUUCUGCAUGCACUUUUUAAUAGGUAUGAUCCCUGCCUCAUGCGCUACUCCAACCAGCACUUCCUCGCCUCAACGGAUAACUCGCCAGAGACGAUCCUGAUGAACACGCAGAACAUAACGGGCGCCGACUCCAACCGAUUCAACAGGCUCGUCGCCGCCCUCAUGAACGCCAUGGCAGACCGGGCGGCGAACGACACGAAGAGGAGGUACGCAACGGGGGAGGUUACAAAUUUCACGCAGCUGAAUCCGACGAUAUACGGGCUGGUGCAGUGCACGCCAGACCUGUCGGCGUCGGACUGUCGGCAGUGCCUCGGCGGUCUGAUCGGCGAGAUGCCGAACUUCUUGGCGGGGAGGCUGGGGGGCAGAAUUCUCGGCACGCGGUGCAAUUUUAGGUACGAGGUGUAUCCUUUCUACGAUGGGGCGCCGUCGCUGAUGCUGUCGGCUGCAGUGGCAAACGCGCCGGCCCCGGCGCCACCGGUGGGACCUACACCAAUUAUUCCAACGGCAGAAAAAGGUAACAAAAGCAAUUUCAUUUUAUAAUUUUUACUUGAUAAAUUUUUUUUUUUCGUUUUUUGUUUUUGAGAAAGUUGAUAAAAAUAUUUUACUGACGGCUCUUGGUGCAAGUGUCAAAGAAUUUAGCAGUUAGUGAAAAAAAAAGUAGAACCGGCUCCAACCCGACCGCACCCUUUCCUCCAAUGUGUAGAAACCGAAAAUUCAAAUUUUCUACAUGCCCAAGAUUGCACAACCACCGAAAAAGACAAGAAUGAAAAAAUAAAAAGCUCAUAAUAAUAAUCUCAAACAACUCCACAUAUAAAAUUAAAUAACUCCAUCAAGAAUAUCCAAAAUACUAUAUAAUAAAAAUUGAAAAAGACAAAAUGAACAUUCAAUCAAAACACCUUAUAAUGAAUGUUCACAAGAGAGGAGAAGAGAUAGAUUAGAGAUCACUCACCUCAAACCUAGCAAAAAUCCAACCACCUUUUGGAUCCUCUUUCACACUUCUUUUGCAUUUUAGAGAACCUCCAAAACAAAGUGAAUUUAGAAGCUAAAUAGAAUAAGCUCACUUUUUUUCCUCUUAACCUCUUUUCUUUUGACUCCCUAACUAAAAACCCAUAUAGCUCAACUUGGCUCACUUGGCCCAAAAUAAGCCACAAGUCAACUUGACUCAAAGAGAACAAAAAGAGGCCCAUUUAAACAAUAGACCAUUGGCUCCUAUAAAUACACUUAUUAAACUAGUAAACAAAAGGGAACAAAAAAUAAAUUUAGCACUAAUUUUUAACUGUUAGUAUCCGAAAUCUCAAGUUCGAAUUUAAAUUAAUUUAUAUUUUCAGCUUAAUUUAUUUUUAAAAAGAAAUAAACGAAACGAUAGAAUGCUAUUUUUUUUAAAAAAAAAUAUAAUUUAUUAUAAUUUAACUAUCUAAUUUUAAAUAUUUUAAUAAUUUUUUAAAUUUUAUUUGAUUCUAGCCGGUUAAUUAUCUGGUUAAUUUUAAAUUUAAAUAUGUUAUUUACCUUUACGAAUUUAAUUGAUAUAUUUUCAACGGUUUAUAUAAUUCUAAAUUUAUUAAAAUAGAUAAUUAUUAUGAAUUUUGUACUGAAAAACUAAAAGUAUAACUCUACUUUUAUAAAUUUAAAAAUUAAAAUUAAAAUUUUUUUUCUAAAUUUCAAAAAAGAAAAAGUAAAAUUAAAAUUAAAAUUUUAAAAAACUAAAUAGUCAAAUUUUUAUAUUUAAUUCAUCCUAUGCGCAUUAAAGUCUUCCGGACUGACCAAUAUACACACCCAUUGAAAAGCCAAAUUUUAAAACGAAUUACUUUCACAAAAAAACAAGGUUUGGUGAUAAUAAUAGAUGGCCUUCGGACUCUAACCACACCUGUCCUAUUCUUUGAACCCAUUUUUCGUUGCGUUGGGAAAAAUAUAUAUACAUAUCUGGUGGAAAGUGGAAUAUUCUUAAUGCCUUCACUAUCACAUUAAUUGUUGUUUGGGAUUUUUUUUUAAAAAAAAAAUAAUAAUAACUUCGAAGACCCUCUCACCAUAAGCCAUUUUGAAAUGGCUAAAUUAUAUAAAAUUUUUCUGUCAAAACUCGUUUUUUCACUUUUCUCCGUCAUUUAAAAACCUACACUUUUUUUUUUUAUAAAAUAAAAAAUAUGCACAGGAGAGUAUGGUGUGAAAAAUGACCAUUUUGUCCUCUGCUAUUUUCGUCUUCUUCCUCAUCCUCCUCAUCCGCGGCCUCGAUCUCCCGUGGUUUGCCCUUCGAUCGGCUACGAUUUCUUUCCAUUUUCUUAUCCACAUGCGCCGCUUCUCCUCCUACAGCCUCGUCGCACCUCGAUUUCGACGACAGUAUGGAGAAAAUCGAGGUGGGUAUGGAUGGAGAGGUGGCAACGGCAACAAGGGCGAAGUCGAGGUGACGGAGGAGGGCGAGGGGGUGGUUGUGGGCGCAGACGGAGAUGCGGGCAAGGGCGAGGCAGUGGAGGAAGGCUAGGCGGCGAGGCGGCGGCGAGGCGGAGGAAGCGAAACAACAGGAAGAGGGUGGAGGGGUAUUUUUGGCAUAACAAAUCUUUUUUUAACGAAACCCUAACGGAUCGCUAACGGCAGGGGGUGAAGUGCAUAUUUUUUACUUUACAAGGGGGCAAAGUGUAGAUUUUUAAAUGACAGGAGAAAAAGUAAAAAAUCGGGUUUUGACUGGAGGAUUUUCUAUAAUUUAGUCUUUUGAAAGAGACUCUCCAACUUUACAUUUUUCAAUCAAAAAUAUGUAAGAACUAAAAAAAAAUGAUUCGUUGUUUGACCGUUAAAUUGCGAAAUCACUAGUUUUCCGAAUAACUAUAUUUAACAAAAUCACCUUUAUCUUGAACAAAACUUUUAAUUUAGUUGCUUAAAUUGAAAGAGCCAAAAGUUUUAUAGGGCCAAUUUUAUCACCUGCUUUUGUGGCUUUCCCUGUUUCCCAGGUCUACUCAGUGGAGACUUGAACUCAACUAAGGCCAAAAAAGUCUCUCUCAUUGAAUAUCUGUUUCCUGCAAUUAACGAGGAAUGCUGAAAAACAUGAGGUUGAGAAACGUAUGGAUCUUAGCAAAAGCAGAGAGAGAGAGAGAGAGAGAGAGACUUAAGUAAUCGAGGCUAAGUAUGAAAUAAAACCAGGGACACCUAGGAAUUAAUUAAGCUACAUAAAAGGAGAGAGAUCAAGACGAGCUCUUUUUUUGAGAUAAAGGUAGCACGUUACCCGCUUCGUUUAUUUUAUUUAGAAAUAAACUUAGCUAAAAAUACGAAUCAACUAGGAUUCGAACUUGACAACUCGGGUACCAACCAUCAAGACCAGCUCUAAUGUCAUGUUACUUAAAGCAACGUUCUAAUUAUAAGAAAGGAGACAGAAAUAGUCUUAACUCUUAAUAAGAACAACCGUCACGUACAUUUAUUACUGAGAUUGUCUACUUUUAUAUGCAGGAAAAAAAAAGAAUGUAACCAGUACAGUUUUAGCAAUAGCCGUACCUUUAGUGACUGCAUUUGUUCUGAUUUCGACCAUCUGCAUUUGCUUCUGGAGGAGGAGGACAGGAUCUGCUCUAAAAGAACCACUACACUGUAAGUAAGAUGUAAUGAAAACGAUAUGUAAUGGUAGGGACCUCCGUGUCUUUUCAAAGAAAAAUGACAAUGGUGCAAGUAUCAAUAGUUCUGUAAUAUACGGACACCAAUAUCUUAACCAUUAAUUCAUAGGGCCAUAAUAAAAAAUAAGACAAACAAUAUAUCACCUGUUGUUGCAGUGUCAAGUAUAGCCUAAUGAGAACUUAAAAUGUAUUGGCUAUAUUCUCCAGCGUACAUAGAUCAGGCAAUGCUAACUUCUAUUUGCUUUGAAUAGAUGGAGCCGGCGCAGAGGAGAUCAAAAGUGUCGAGUCAUUGCUUAUGGAUCUGUCGACAUUAAGAACUGCAACAGCUAACUUCGCUGAAGAGAAUAAGCUUGGAGAAGGCGGCUUUGGAGCUGUCUAUAAGGUAUCAUAAUACUUCCCUCAUUAGAACCUGCCCUUUGGUGAGAAUUAUAUAUACAGAGACAGCUGGAAUCUAACACAAAUUUUUUGUAUAGAAGUAGAUCAUCACUCUUCUUGGGUUCAGGCUAGUUCAAACUAUACACAUAUUGCCACGGUUCGAUCCUCUCUGAUACUUAACUUUAUGAACUCGAGUAGGGACUCUUACCUGACGGACAAGAGAUAGCAGUGAAACGACUGUCAAAAGAUUCAAGGCAGGGGCUAGGAGAGCUUAAAAAUGAGCUAGUUUUGGUUGCAAAGCUUCAGCACAAGAACCUUGUGCGGCUUUUAGGUGUCUGCUUGGAGGAACAAGAGAAGCUGCUUGUCUAUGAAUAUGUGCCUAAUAGAAGCCUAGACACUAUCCUUUUUGGUACUACAAUUACCUCAUAUCACUUGCUGCAACAUUAUAUUAUAAUAAUGAGCAUUAGCCUUACGCCCGCUUGAUUCACGGUUUGUAAUAUUCUGAUAAUCCUUCACAUUUCUUAUUAAAAAUAUUUAAAUCAUUGUCAUUCAACCCAAAGUCGAGUAGCUGUAAAAUGUGCUAGUGAAAUAGUAAAAUUAUUGUAGAUUCCUAAGUGGUAGGAAUACUAAAUUAUUACAGAUUAGGAGGUAUUCUCAUUUCCGUAUUUGAUAGGAAUUAUUAAUAGUCCAUUAGAAGAAUAUACUAUAUCAUACCAAUCUUUCAACCGAAGUGGCUUGAAAAAUUAGUAACAAACUCGACAUUUCAAAUAUAAAAUAUACAAAACAUUCCCUGAAUAUUACAAAACUUGAACCAAAUGGCCCCUUAAUGUUUUAUUUUUUCUUUUUUUUCUCAAUUGAUAUGCGUAAUUAAUUUUUUGUAUUCAAAUGAUACAGAUUCUGAGAAACGGGGAUGGCUAGACUGGGGAAAAAGGUUCAAGAUUAUCAGUGGAAUUGCUCGAGGCCUACUGUACCUACAUGAAGAUUCUCAGCUAAAAGUUGUACACCGAGAUCUAAAGGCGAGCAACAUCCUAUUAGAUGCCGAGAUGAACCCGAAGAUUUCAGACUUCGGCUUGGCAAGGCUUUUCGGAGGGGAACAAUCUCAGGAAAUCACAAGACAAGUUGUCGGAACAUUGUGAGAUUCAGUUGUAACUCUAACACCCCAAUAAUUCCACAUCGGAUGGAAAAGAAAUUCCGAUUGAGAAUAUAAAAUCACACACCCUAAAAAUAAUAACUGGGCUAAAACAUUUUAAGCAGGUCCGGAAUAUAAGACCAUGCACUCUAGUAAUAAUAACUGGACUUAUCUAAUUUGGGUAAAUGGUUUGAGCCCAACUAGUUAUUAGUGCUAGCAGGUCGAAUCGUUAAAGUAACUCUAUCCUUUUUAGCCUCAACCAUAAAAAUAAUAAUGCACAAAUUGAAUAUACUGCUCAUGUUAUUGCAGUGGAUAUAUGGCGCCAGAGUACGCGAUGCAUGGGUACUUCUCAAACAAGUCGGAUGUAUUCAGUUUUGGUGUUCUAGUUUUAGAGAUCGUAACCGGGAGGAAAAACACUGGUUCCUUCAAUUCUGAGCAGGCUGAAGAUCUUCUAAACUAUGUAAGUUAAGCGUGGGAGUAGUUCUAGAACCUAAUAGACAAAAACUAGUUUCUGUCAAAUAACUCCUUUUUGAUAUAAUCACAUAUAUAUAUACCCUGCAACAUCAUCCACAUAGAUAUUGCUGACAAAUCUGAAUGUUCAUAAAUGAACUUCAAGAAUUAAUUUCGAACAUAUGUGCCACCAUGUUUACAAAACUUAUCCUCUUUAUGCAAAAUCAACUUCCCUCCUGGAAUUAGAUGCAUGACUCCGUUAAUUGAAAUGUAGUAUUUUUGCAAGAAAUGACAAUAUACAAGGGCUUUUACGAGAGUUCUGACCUUUCAAGAGUAUGAACAUACGUAAAUAGAUGAUUUUACAGGAAAAUACAUGUACAGACAGCCUUAUCUUGACAAAUUGAAUGAAAUUUUGUGCAGAUAUGGGAGAAUUGGAAAAAGGGAACAAUAACAGAGAUCGUGGAUUCAUUCUUAGGCAACGUCUAUCCAAGAAGCGAAGUGGUGAGAUGCAUUCAUAUUGGAUUACUAUGUGUUCAAGAAAACCCAGCAGAUCGGCCCACCAUGUCGAGUGUCAUUGUGAUGCUAAGCAGUAACACUGUGACCCUUGAAACUCCUUCAAAACCGGCAUUUUGCAUUGGAAUGAGUAGCAUGCAACUCAACACGUACUCGAAUGGAUCGAAUUAUCGUGGACUAGUAGCUGAUCAACCCUCGAGCAAAUCGGUUCCACCUUCGCCUAAUGAGGUGUCCAUUACAGAACUUGAGCCUAGGUAGUUGGAGAAAGAAAUUUUCAAAAGACCUAAAAAGUCUUAGAGACUUAUGUUGGUGGAUUUAUCACUUCUAGUGCUUGAAAGAUCCUAUGAAGCAUUGUAACUCUAUUUGUAUCUUUUAUAUGUAUUUUAGUGUCUUUCGCAGCUGAAUAUCUACGUUUCCCAAAUUGUACUCAAAUUUGAAGAAAUGAUUAAAUAAUUGGUAUUUAUUAGAAGAAAAAAUGGUUAACUUGUUGUAAUUUUAUGUACUAAGCAUAGAAAAUUGCAAAAACCAAAGACACCAAAUGCUACUGGGGUGUGAUCAUACUGCGUAAAGAUGCGUAAUUCUACGAGUAAAAACAGAAAAUAAGAGAGCCACUCAGAAUUGUAUUUACAUUUAUAAGAGGCUGAUGCAUUUUUAUUUAAUUUCCUUGUAUCGAGAGAUUACAUGAGUAUAUACUGGUACAAAUGGAUGCCUUAGAAAGCAUCAGUAAGUUUUUUUUUUUGAAAAAAAAGGAAGCAAGCUACCAGCUUCAUUCAUUAAGUACAACUACAAUUUAUCGAGGAUCAAGUUCAGUGAGCGACACGCUAUUGAUAGAUGAUGAACUAGAUUUUCUCUUGCUCUCAGUGGAGCACUCUCUCUGAUGCGGAUCACUCUCAACAUCUCGGGGUGCCACAUAAUUCUCAGUAGUUGUGCUACCUUGAAUGAAAAAGGCAGGAUAUGAAGGUUUUGAUAGAUCGACAGUGUUACUAUUAAGACCGAAUGUUCCUAGUGCAAGUGGCAAAGAGCGUAGUGGUUGGUACCUGAGGUUUUAAGUUCGAAUCCUAGUUGAUUUACAUUUCCAGCUAAAGUUUAUUUCUAAAUGAAAUAAACGAAGCGGGUAGUAUGCUACCUAUCUCUCCACCAAAAAGGCAGGAUAUGAAGGUUUUAAAAAAGAGACAGUGUUACUAUUAAACAUGAGUACAACCGAAGCCAUUGUUGGUCUCAUUCUUGGGUCAUCUUGAGCACAAAGAAGGCCAAUUUGAAUGCAGUGCACAAGAGACUUGGAUUGUAUUGAUUGUUACAGAUGCCUAGGGGAUUAUGUGGAGGAUAUCCCAAGUUGCUGCGAUGGGAUGCAGGGUGGUAAAGAAGCAAAAAAUGUAAGUAGAAUUAGAGAGAUUAGAGAGAAAAUUCUCAAUAUAUUACGGCAUUUGAUUCUUACAUAUAUAAAUACAAAGAUACAAGUUUCAGAGUAAGAAAUGUACAAUUAUAGUAGCUUAUACAAUAAUCAGAUGCUAGAAUCAUGUGUGGGAGGGUGUUUGGAAGCAACUGUCUCAUCCGAUACGAGUUGUAUCAGUUUUAUAAUGUGUCGGCAGUGCAAAACAUGGCGGCACCACUGCUGCCGGAAGCGAAUACAACUGCACCACCCAAGGCGAGCCCUCUGAAAAAAGGAAGUAAUACAACAGGAAAUGCGACAAAUAGCGGCGGUAAGUCAGAUUUUUUAAGUGUGAUUUUGAUUGCAACGCAAUUCGUUUCUCCUAUUUUAUGCCUACUAUCAGCUUUAAAAAUUUAGACUAAUAGAACAAUUGAAGAAAACAAGCACUAUGGUAAACAAGCAAUAGAAAGAAAUAACAAGAAAAGACAACAAUACAAGAAAUUUAUAUACUUCGACUAGCAAUAUAUCAACUUACGGCCACGGACAAGAUCUUCCCAAUACGUUCUUUGAUUAUUUCACGGCACAAGAUACAAGAAAUAGAUUGGUUAUAAGAAAUCUCUCUCUAGGACUUUCACAUGUUUUUUUUCUCAACUAAAAUUCAGACACUGGAUCACUUGUUCAUACUGUGCGUAUUCAUACUGUACGUAUUCAUACUGAAUUUUUUUUCUCAAAAAAUUCAGACACUGGAUCACUUGUUAAUACUGUGUGUAUUCAUACUGUGCGUAUUCAUACUGAAUUUUUUUUCUUAAAAAAUUCAGACACUGGAUCACUUGUUAAUACUGUGCGUAUUCAUACUGUGCGUAUUCAUACUGAAUUUUUUUUCUCAAAAAAUUCAGACACUGGAUCACUUGUUAAUACUGUGCGUAUUCAUACUGUGCGUAUUCAUACUGAAUUUUUUUCUCAAAAAAUUCAGACACUGGAUCACUUGUUAAUACUGUGCAUAUUCAUCAAGUUCAUUCUGGUGAUGGGUGUGGAGGGUGUUCGGGCUAGGGACUUGGGAGACGACGUAAACUCCGUCCUGGAUAGGUAGAUGGGUAGGAAAGGAUUUCAGACUACGAGCAAUAGUCUAUCUGAAUUAGUAGCCUGCUGAUAGGUCAUAUAAAAGGUCAGGAACGAUUCGAUUUUUAAAAAAAUCCAGCCGGACCCAAUGUUAGCAGUUCACAAGCUUAAACAGUUGUUGAAGUUCUGGGAUCACUUUUUCCGAGCAAAGUAGAAGCUUAACUGUUUUUUUUUCUCGAGGCUCCGGAUGUCUCACUCCUGUAGCUUAGUUUAUCAGUCUAAUAAAUGAAACGAAUAACGUACUAUUUUUUUCUAAAAAAAAAAAAUUAUAGUGAAACUUUCUGAAAGAACCUUUCGAAAGGUCUUGAUCAGGGGUGUAUAUGAUCCCAUAUAUAUAUAUAUAUAUAUAUAUAUACAGCCACAAAAAUUUUCAGGUUCGAUACCGACUCGGGCUGCCGAAUCUGAUCGGUCAGAUCCCCAAAUCCAAUUGAUCGGCUUAUAUACCAAAUCCAUCCGAGCGAUGGGAUUAGUUGUAAAUUAGUUUCAGAGCAAUCGGACCGUCCAAUCCGACCAAACGGAUCACCCAUCUGACCGAUUGGAAGUUUGGGCGAACGUAGUUCUGACCGGUCGGUUCCAACCAAUCGGCUUGUCCUACAAGCCAACCCAAAUUCUGGAACAAGCAUCCAGUAACUCAAAUCUUAGACGCUCCACUGUAGAGAACAUAAUUUCACCUUGAUCCAACAUAGACUAUAUUGAGUCGACUCAAUGAACAUUGAUUUCUACAAUACAUAGUUAGUUUAAUCCUGUUUUUAAGCUUUCAAAGUCACUAUCUAAAUAUGGUAAUUAGGUACAAACAACUAAAAUAGCUGAAAAAAUUGCAAAUUGGCUACAGCGAUAGAUUAAGCUAAGAACUCAUUGGUAUGUGCCGUACGGGAAACUUAACAUGGGUGUAGAGUAGGCAUGGGAUGUUAGAUUUGGAUGCAGCGCGAGUUCGUGUGCAGACAUAACUAAAAUUUUCUGUCAUUAGAUAUUAAUCUAAGGGCGUAUUUGGUUCGCACUAUGAAAGAUUAUUAGGAGUAAAAGAUAUCCGAGAAUCUUAUUUCUAUUCAUCCUAUUACUAAGAAUAUGAUAUUUCCGUGUUUUGUUCGCACGAUCAUAUUAUUUAAUUAUGUUAUUUAAUAUUAUAAAAAAUAUACAAUUUAUUUAUUUUUUUUAAUUAAUUUUAUAUAAUGCUAUCAAAAAUUUCAACAUUUUUUUAGAAAAAAAGAGAGAGAGAACAUAGGUUAGAAAGAGAGAGUAUAAUUAAAUAAAUAAGAAGAGAAAUAGAGUCGAUAUUAGAGGGAGUGAGAGAGUUGAGAUUUUAGAAAAAGAGGGGGGGAGAGAGCUUAGCUUAGAGAGAGAAAAAAGUUGAAGUUUAGAGAGAGAUAUAAGAUUAGAGUAUAAAAAAAAAUAAUACCAACUAACCGGCGGAUAGGAAGAAAGAAAGAGAUUAGACAUAUUAUUAUUAUCCUAAUCCAUUAAUAUGAGGAUAUCCACCCUCCCUCAAAAGAAUGAGAUUAGUAUUUUGAGAUGAAUCUCAUUCCCAAGUAAAUCCAAUAUUACCAAAUUAAUUACUUAGUAUGUUUAGCUAAAUACUGUUAUAUUAUCUUAAAAAAAAUUAAAUUUGUGCUCAUUCGAUGCAUUAAAACUAGUUAUAUUAAUUUAAUGUGUUGUAAAAACUAGGGUCGAUCUUUUUUUUUUUUUUUUUUUUUUUGGCGCGUUUUAGUUGGCUUCGAGCCGUCAACUCAUCGUCUGAGUCAACAAGGUCGACGCCACAUCACUCAUGGCCCAUCUGACGCGGAAUCAAAAGAUCAACAAAACAGGAUCAAACACACAGGUCGAGGCCAUUUUCAACUAUCCAUUUAUUAAAUGCUGAACUAUUGUCUCAUUAUUUCCUUUAUGUAUCCCUAUCUUACAUCCCUAUCUUUCAAUAUCAUUAAUAAUCCCCUCCUACUUGAUUGUGAGAAAACUAUGGAACCUCUCCCACUCCCCUUCCUCCUCUGCUCCCUCCUCCUCAUUCUCCUCCACACCCCAACAUCCAAAUCCAGCACCUUCUACAUCAACUGCCCCACCAACGCGAACUACACGGCGAACAGCAUCUUCCAGUCGAACCUCAACCUCCUCCUGUCUUCCCUCCCCUCUGAAGCCGCCCCCUCCGGCUUCUACAACAUCUCGGUCGGUCGAAGCGGCGCCGACCAAGUCUACGGCCUCGCGUUAUGCCGCGGCGACGUCUCCUCUGCCGACUGCAACGCCUGUUUGACUAGAGCCGCGCAAGACGCUGUCGCAAAGUGCCCGCGCGGCAUGUCGAGCACCCUGUGGUACGACGACUGCAUGCUGCGCUACUCCAACAAUAGCUUCUUUGGCAUCGCCGACAGCUCGCCCCUAGUAUACUUGUCGAACGUGCAGAACGUCACGGAUCCGCAGCUGUUCGAUGACCAGCUCGGGCAGCUGAUGAAGAGCUUGGCCAUGAAAGCAGCCUAUGGGUCGGGGCGGCCGCCGUUAUUCGCGGUGGGGGAGGUCAACUUUACGAGCUUUAAUAACAUAUACGGGCUGGUGCAGUGCACGAGGGAUCUGUCGCCGACGGGCUGCUAUGGGUGCUUGUCGAGUUACAUCGGGAGCAUCCCGCAGUGCUGCAGCACGAAGAUCGGCGGGAGGAUUGAAGGAGAGAAUUGUAUCGUCCGGUUUGAGUCGGCUCCGUUUUAUAAUUUGGCGCCAUCCGGGAACGAGGCGCCGCCGCCGAUGCCGCAAUCAAAUGGGACGAGCACGACGACGCCAUCGCCGCCGGCACGGUUGGGUCAGAAUACGGGUAAUGGCAGCAGUCAAACGGGCGGUAAGGGAACCGGAGGUAAGUCAAAGUCCUUCUCCCGCGUUGACUUUCUUCUGUGGGGAUUUGCUCGCUGUACCGGGCGGCUGUAGGAAACCUCUUCUGUUCGUAGGUGUGCACCGUCACAUUAAUUCGAGGUGGGGUUAGGGAUGCAAAUGGAUCCGGGUUGGUGGAGCUCCGCCUCGAUCCGCCCCGAAUGGGGUGGUAAGUGGGAACAAAAAAUAUAGAAAAAUAUAACCCGUCCCGAAUCCGCCCCGAUCCGUCAAGUAAAUGGAGCGGGAGGCGGGAGACUCUUUUCUUCCUUCAAUCUAUCUCGAUCCGUUAAAAAUCCGCUCCCGUCCCGCUCCCGUCCCGAUCCGCCCCGAAUGGAGCGGUAAGUGAGAGCCAAAAAUAAAAUGAAAAAUAAUCCGCCCCGAAUCCACCCCGCCCAAAUAAGAAAUGGAGCGGGAGGUGGGGGAACUCUCCCGCCCCCGGAUCCGCCCCGUUUGCAUCCUUAGGUGGGGUGGAUAAAGCAUGCGUGACUUCGUUGAGAAGCUCCGCAACAAAGUUUUACCAAAGAUAAUGUGGUAAACUGUGUGCUUUAUCUCGUGUCUAAAUUUAAUGACCUAUUUCAAUCUAAUCAAAUCUUAAAUUCUUUUUUUUUUAUUAAACAGGGAUAUACCCUAUUUGCAAAUCUUAAAUUCUGUAAUUUAUUUUGUGCCUGGAUUUAACGAUAUGUUCCAAUCUAGUCAAACCUUCACACCAAAUAGUACAGCGAAUUUAGAAUGUGGUGCUCUACAGAAAUUUAAAAUUGAAGGACUUUUUUCACCAUCAUGUUGCGUGUGAGAAUCGUCCACUAACGAAGGGAUGUUGCUUUCAAAGUAAACUAUAUGGUCUUCAACUUGGCAUAGAAAAAUAAUAUUUGCAAGAACCUUAUUCAUUUUCAUAAAAAUUAACGUAAUUAGAAAUGUAAAGUAAUUAAGUUCAAAUGUAAACUCUCAGGUAUCAAUUAUUAAAUUUUUAGCCAACUGUAUUAGAUACUACGGUUGGCAACAAAUGUGAAAAAGUUGGAAGUAAUAAGCAUAUAUAAGCUAAUGGAAGGUGUUGUUAGUUACCAAAACAAACUGACUCAUUUUGCUUGAUAUGGCUUAUUAAUAAAUCGACUCUUUUUUUUCUCUGAAAAGAUUAAUGAUUCAACUCGCUUUGAUAUUACAUGUUAAAGGGAAAGAAAACAGAUUAAAUGAAUGAAUUCAAACUUUCGUUUGAUUUCGAGAACUAAGUAGGAUCACUUACUCUUGGUGCAGGAAUUAAUGGAACUACAAAGACAAUUAUUAUUGUUGCCAUUUCUGUGGUUGCUGCUGCAUUGUUGCUCCUCUCUGCUAUCUUUCUCUGCCUGAGAAUAAGAAAGAAACAAAGAAAACCAGUUAGAAAUGCUCUGAUGAGUAAGUUCCACACAUAACUAUAUUUGAUUCAACACACACACUGAACAUAAAAAUUCAUUUUUGUACUAAGAUACUGCUCUUCAUGAAGUAAAUGGAGGAGAUGACCAGGAAAUUAGAAGCGCGGAAUCUCUAUUGUUCGAUUUGGCAACAAUACGAGCUGCCACAAGCAACUUCUCAGAGGCAAAUAAGUUAGGAGAAGGUGGAUUUGGACCAGUGUAUAAGGUGAAUUCUCAACUCUUAAGUGCUCCAAUUCAAUUAAUUAAUCUGCAAAAGACAAUAUAUUUAGCUUAUGUGUUCUGCAUGUUAAGAACUACUAGCCUCUAAAAGUAUUAACAGCUAGAAAACUGUAUUUUUAUAUUUGGUAUCGAACAUUUUCUUUCAUGUCUUGGCUCGAGACUUUUUAAUUAACUCAGACCUCUUAUUCUGGUAAUAUAUAUUAAUAACUAUUUAUUUCUACAAACUUAUAAUACUAUAAGAUAAAUUUUUUAACAUUUGCAUAUAACACUGAAAACAGGGGAUGUUACACGAUGGGCAAGAAAUUGCAGUGAAGAGGCUCUCAAUGAGCUCAGUACAGGGGCUUGUCGAGCUGAAAAAUGAAGUGGUGCUUGUGGCAAAACUUCAGCAUAGGAAUCUGGUGAGGCUAAUUGGUUGCUGCUUGGAAGAGCAAGAAAAGCUUCUUAUCUAUGAGUACCUGCCCAACACAAGCCUUGAUAAGUUUCUCUUUGGUAUAGCUCAUCACAGCAUAAUUGUUUAUUCACAUUGCUACUUGAUUUGAAGUUACCUUCAUUCAAUGAAGUACUCUUUUACUUGUUUUGGCCACUUUGAUACAUUUGUCGUAAAGUCAAUUUUGCUUCUAAAAUAGGUUUCCUUCUUUUUAGGGAUGUGAAAUUAUCUGUAUGAUUUAAAUGUUGUUAUUAACUGUUAUAGCUAACUGAGAAAUGCCAUAUAUAUAUAACACUAUUUUACUCAAAUGAAGCAGAUCCUGUGAGGCGCGAACAAUUAGAUUGGAUAGUACGGUACAAGAUCAUCGAAGGGAUUAGCCGAGGACUUCUCUAUCUCCACGAAGAUUCGAGGUUAAAGAUAGUUCACCGUGAUCUGAAAGCGAGCAACAUCUUGUUGGAUGCUUUUAUGACCCCUAAAAUCUCCGACUUCGGUCUCGCAAAGCUCUUUGACAUCGACACGAGUGAAGGAAACACAAGUCGGAUCGCAGGAACAUAGUAAGCACAUUCUACACCCAAAACUCAAUAAAGAAUAAAAGAUUUACUAGAGUUUCUCUCCCAACGAGAUUCUCAUAUAAUGUUGAUGCUUAAAACUUGUUGUUAAUUGCAGCGGAUAUAUGGCACCGGAGUAUGUAAUUCAUGGACAUUUCUCAACAAAAUCAGAUGUUUUUAGUUAUGGCGUGUUGCUUUUGGAGAUUGUGACUGGACGAAGAAACGCUCGCUCUCAAGAAACUAUUCAUUCAGAAGACGUUCUAUCCUAUGUAAGCAUUCUCUAUACCUUAAUAGGUGGAUAAGGUAUUCAUUUUAAAUUUACUGUCCCGGAUUCAAAUCGGAGACGGUGACAAUAAUAUAGUCAGGUUUCAAAAACCCAAAAUUUUUACUAGAGGUCCACAUGACAUUUAAAAAAAGAGUAUUCAAUCUUUGAAAAUUUUUACUUUACCCCCCUACGUUUUUUGAAGCCACGCUUUGACGCUCCCAGUCACGAUGAAUUUUUCUUAACAAAUCGAGGUAAUUUUCUACUGCUAACUAUAUAUUGCUCUUUCUUAAAUAGGUGUGGAAGCACUGGACCGAAGGGACUGCACACGAGGUGCUCGACCCGAGUCUCGCGGGGCAGUGUCGGUUGCAGGACGUGCUGAGAUGCAUCCACAUUGGGCUGCUGUGCGUCCAGGACGACCCGUCGAACCGGCCGAGCAUGGCGUCCGUCGUGCUCAUGCUCAGCAGCCUCUCCUUCACCCUCCCCGCCCCCUCGGCCCCUGCUUUCGUCAUUCUGCAUGGCUCAACUGCAGAAAACACGGUGGAGAUCGAGACUGAUGCAUCCAGCGGGCUGCAGCGGAGGACGACGAGAGCUGCGUCGGUGAACAAAGUCUCCAUUUCAGAACUCGAGCCACGAUAGCGUCUCGGAGCUGAGGAAUAUUGAACAGAAUUAAUAUACUGAAUUCGAGUGGCAAAAGAGUGUGAUUUUUUACGUUGCCGAAUAAACAGCAAAGGCGUUGUAAAUCUAGCUAGAUUUACGUAAGCUUGCUUAUUUUUGUGACUUUCCUUCUUUCGAAUGCUAUGGCAAGAAGAUUUUGUUCAGUAUCUCUCUUUUAACUAUGCAAGAUGUAAUAAAAUAAAUUAUGAAAAGCCUCUUGUAUUUUAGCCCCUUUUGUACAGUCAUUGUUUAUAUUUAAAAAUUUUGUCAAUUUUUAUCCGACACUUUAUUAUAAUUUUAAAAGAUCUAAAGCUAUAUAGUAAUGGUUAAAUUUAGUUGUAAAAUUUUAUAAAAUAAAUUUAUGGAUAAAAUUAGAUAUAUUUAAUAUAUAUUAGAAUUAUAUAAAAAUAAGUUUGCAAAUAAAGUGAGUUAUAGAUACUAUUCUCUUUUUUUUGAGAAAUUAAUACACGUAACCAGUGCGUCGUGCUCGAUAUAUAUGUGUUAAAACCUACCACAACAGCAUCAAAAUUGACUCUUCAUAGACCUCCAAGAAGACAGAUGCUGCGCUACAGAGAGGUGUUCAAAUGCGGUUUAACCUACAGGCUUGGGGAUGGUGGAAAUAUCAGACUCUGGUCCGACAUCUGGAUCGAGGAAACCUCCCUCCGCAUUCUGUUCCCCCGCAUCUUUGAUUCAGUGACUAAGAAAGAUAUAAGAGUGUCCCAGUGCUGGAAUUCUAAUGGUUGGAGAUGGUGUUUCAUUUGUAGCGGUUUUGCGGCGUCAAACUUUCCAGACGGGAAUCGACAGUUGUCGACGUUCAAGGAAUGCCUCCUUACCGCCUCCCCCAAUAUUGGUUCGGACUCUGUUAGCUGGCGAUGGACUGCACAUCAAAAGUUCUCUGUCAAAUUCUUAUACUUGUUCCUCUCGUUUACUGGAUUGAUCGACCCAAUGCGCUGCUCGUACAUCUGGAAGCUAAAAAUUCCUUUAAAGAUCUAUUCUCAAAAAAAAAUUUCUUUAAAGAUCAAAAUCUUUACUUGACUACUACUUCGAAAGAGACACCCUACUGACAGACUCCUUCACCGCGGAUUGGUCGUGGAGCCCCACUGCGUCUUCUGUGCCGUAGGUACGGAAAGCUGUGACCACCUCUUACACAAUUGCGUUUUCGUCAAAUUUCUGCUCCAUAGCACACACAGCUCGGAACCACUUCUACAACCUUCGGAGGACGUCCGUAACCUCUGGCAUAUGGCCACUACCGUUUCCGACAAGCUUGAAAGGGUUAGCUGUCUGACCUCGUUGUCCGCCACCUAGUGGGUGGUUUAGGCCAAGCGGAACAAUAUCAUCUUCAAGGAGAAACUAGCCUCCCCCUCCCACUCUCUGAAACGUGUCAGCCUACUUCUGAACUCAUGGAUUGAGCUUCGCUGAUUGACGCUCCACGCUCUCCGAACCAGGCCUCCGCUCUCUUUCACCCUGAACAGUCGCCUACUAUUUUUUCCGUUUCCUGUCUUUUUUCUGUUUUUCCUAUUUUUUCGGAAGCCUUCGCUGCUUCCAUCUAUGUAUGCCUAGUUUAUUUGGCUAAUGAAUGAAGCGGGUAGCUUGCUACCUUUCUCUCUCUCAAAAAAAAAAAAAAAACAGCAUCAAAAUUAGAAUUUAAUUUAUUCAAUGUAAUUCAUAACGUUAAAAGAUUUGCGCAUAUCAAAAAGACAUAAAUGUGAGAUAUUUAUUNAUGUAAUUCAUAACGUUAAAAGAUUUGCGUAUAUCAAAAAGACAUAAAUGUGAGAUAUUUAUUUUUAUGAAAACGCUAUCUAGUACGUAUGGUAAUUAGGAUUAUAAAAUUGCUAUGUUCGGUUUAAUAAGAGUAUAAUUUUAGUAAUGUAGAUAGUAAUAUAUAUAAUUUUCCACAAGUAGACCCAUACUUAAAAUUUUGUGUGUUUACAUUUAAAAUCAAAUUUUAAAUUUUAAAUUUUAAUUCAAAAUGAGAAUUUAGAAUUUGAAUAUUGAAUUCAAAAUCUAUAUUUAUAUUUAAAUUUGAAAUCGAAAUUUUAAUAUAAAUUUAAAUUUAUAAUACAAAUUAUAUCGAGGGCAAUUUGAAAAUUAUAAAACAAAAAAAUUUUAGAUUCCUCUCAUUCUCUCUCUCAUUCAGGACUCAGGAGUAGAAAAUACCGAUCCCUCUUGCACGGUAACACAGGAUUCUCUCUUGUGGGGAGUUCUACACUUCUGCGGGAUUGUUUGAAGGUCAACAGUCAACGAGGUCCCACCCACAGCACUCACGGCCCAUUUCACGCGGAAUCAACGAACAAACAGGACCGCAGAAACAUGUCAAGGCCAUUAUUUUCAUAUAUCCAACGUAAUCUCGUGCAUAUACCAAUGUCAUUCCUUCUUACUCGCGAGAAAAGUAAAAAAAACUAUGGAGUCUCUCCCUCUCCCGAUCCUCCUCUGCUCCCCCCUCCUCAUUCUCCUCCACGCCCCCACAUCCAAAUCGGACCCCCUCUCUAUCAACUGCCCCACCGACGCGAACUACACGGCGAACAGCACCUUCCAGUCGAACCUCAACCUCCUCCUGUCUUCCCUCCCCUCCGCCGCCGCCCCGUCCGGCUUCUACAACACCACGGUCGGUCCAAGCGGCGCCGACCAAGUCUACGGCCUCGCGUUAUGCCGCGGCGACGUCUCCUCUGCCGAAUGCAACACCUGCCUGACUACGGCCGCGCAAGACGCUGUCGCAAAGUGCCCGCGCGGCAUGUCGAACACCCUGUGGUAUGACAAAUGCAUGCUGCGCUACUCCAACUAUAGCUUCUUUGGCAUCGCCGACAGCUCGGCUCAGUUGUACAUGUGGAACAUGCAGAACGUCACGGAUCUGCAGCUAUUUGACGACCAGCUGGGGCACCUGAUGAACAAUUUGGCCACGGAAGCGGCCUACGGGUCGGGGCGGCCGCCGAUGUUCGCGGCAGGAAAAGCCAACUUCACGAACUUUUUGAAUAUAUACGCGACGGUGCAGUGCACGAGGGACCAGACGCCGGACGGCUGCUACGGGUGCUUGACGACUUACAUCGGUAACAUCCCGGCCUGCUGCGGCACGAAGCAAGGCGGGAGGAUACUAGGAGAGACUUGCACCAUCCGGUUUGAAGUUUAUCCGUUUUAUAAUUUGUCGGCCGUCGAGAACGCGGCGAUCGCACCGCCGCCGCCGCUACCGCCACCGGCAGGGUCGAGUCAGAACACGGGUAACGGAAGCAGUCAAACGGGCGGUAAGGGUAGCGGAGGUAAGUCAAAGUCUUUUUCCGUCGUUGACUUUCCGAUGUGCGGGAUUUGCUUCUAUUCAUAGGUAUGCGGCAUCGCAUUAAUUGCACGUGGCCGUGGAUAGUUUUAUAAGCAUGCGUGAUUUUGUUAAGAAACUCCUCAGCAAAGUUUUACUAUCACAAUUUAAUAAACUGUAUGAUUUAUCUUGCGUGUCUAGAUUUAACGAUCUGUUUCAAUCUAAUCAAAUCUUAAACCGUAUAAUUUAUCUUGUGUUUAGAUCUAAUGGUACAAUUAGUACAAUUAGUUUAGAGGGGCUUGUUAAGAAUUGCAGGACUUUUUUGCCCCUCGUGUUGCGUGCGAGAGUCGUCCGCUAGCGAAGGGAUGUUGCUUUCAAAGUAAACAGUAUGGUCUUCGAUUUGGUAGAGAAAAAUAAUCUUUGCAAGGACUUUGUUCAUUUUCUUAAAAAUUAACGUAACUAGAAAUAUAAAGUAACUAGUUUCAAACGUGAACUCUAAUAUAUCAAUUAUUAAAUUUUUAGCUAGCUGUAGAAGACACGAUUGGCAACAAAUAUGAAAAAGUUAGAAGUCAUAAACAUAUCUAUAAAUAUAUACACACAUGGAAAGCUAUGUUUGUUACCAGAAGGAACCGACUCAUUUUGCUUGAUUCGACUUAUUAAUAAUUUGACUCUUUCUUUUUUUCUAAAAAAAAGAUUAAUAAUCCGACUUGCUUUGAUAUUACGUGUUAAAGGAAAAGAAAAACAGAUUAAAUGAAUAUUGAAUUCAAUCUUAAAUUCCCUUUUGUUUGAUUUUGAGAACUAAGUAGGAUCACUUACCUCUUGGUGCAGGAAUUAAUGGAACUACAAAGACAAUUAUUGUUGUUGCCAUUUCUGUGGUUGCUGCUGCAUUGUUGCUCCUGUCUGCUAUCUUUCUCUGCCUGAGAAUAAGAAAGAAACAAAGAAAACGAGUUAGAAAUGCUCUGAUCAGUAAGUUCCACACAUAACUAUAUUUAAUUCAACACACACAGAUAACAUAAAAAUUCAUUUAUGUACUAAGAUCCUGCUCUUCAUGAAGCAAAUGGAGGAGAUGAGCAGGAAAUUAGAAGCGCGGAAUCUCUGUUGUUUGAUUUUGCCACAAUAAGAGCUGCCACAAGCAACUUCUCAGAGGCAAAUAAGUUAGGGGAAGGUGGAUUUGGACCAGUGUAUAAGGUGAAUUCUCCACUCUUAAGUGCUCCAAUUCAAUUAAUUAAUCUGCAAAAGACAAUAUAUUUAGCUUAUGUGUCACUGAAUGUUAAGAACUACUAGCCUCUAGAAGUUUUAACAGCUAGAAAUCUGUAUUUUUAUAUUUGGUAUUGAACAUUUUCUUUCAUAUCUUGGCUCGAGACUUUAUUAUUAACUCAGGACCUCUUAUUCUGAUAAUAUAUAUUAGUAAUUAUUUGUUUCUAAAAACUUAUAAUACUAUAAAAUAAAUUUGUUAACAUUUGUAUAUGACACUGAAAACAGGGCAUACUACAAGAUGGGCAGCAAAUAGCAGUGAAGAGGCUCUCAGUGAGCUCGGUACAGGGGCUUGUUGAGCUGAAAAAUGAAGUGGUGCUUGUAGCAAAGCUUCAGCACAGGAAUCUGGUGAGGCUAAUUGGUUGCUGCUUGGAAGAGCAAGAAAAGCUUCUUAUCUAUGAGUACCUGCCCAACACAAGUCUUGAUAAGUUUCUCUUCGGUAUGGCUCAUCACAGCAUAAUUGUUUAUUCGCAUUGCUACUUGAUUUGAAGUAGCCUUCAUUCUGUUGGGAAUCCGGUACUCGUCUCGGUACCGGAUCUUAUAAAUCCACAACCUGUUCCGAUACCGACUGCUGUAGAUUCGGUACCGAUUGUUGAGAUUCCGCAACGGAAGCGUCAAAUUUGAUUUUUACCAUAAACCCGUCUCCUCAGCAAAAGCUGAUAUAAUCAUAAAAAUGAAAAAUAUGCAAGUAAAAUAAGAUUCAUUAAAUAAGAGAAGAUUACACCUGACUUCUCUUCUGCAACUGAGUAGCUACAGCCCGAGCCAUCUUCCUGAAUCUUUUCUUAUUAGAGAAUAGUAUUAUAUUUUUCAUAAAUUUUAAAUAAUAUAAAUUUAUAUUUGAGAGUAAAAUUAGUAUUAUAAUAUCCUAUAAUUUUUUUAGUUUGUACGAACCAAGCAAUGAAAUGUGAAUAACUCAUUUCAAUUCCCAAUCCACAAAUAAAUCAAACGUCUUGAAGUAGUGGGUCAUUCCAAUUACCAUUCCAAUUCAUUCCCAUUCUAUUAUCCAUUCCAAUUCCACCCUUGAACCAAACAAGCCCUAAAACUCCAGUAAGCUAGUUACACUGUACUUAAAACUUGAAACUUGUUUUGCACAAUUACCCUAUAAUUAAAACUUGUUUUACUUAUAUAUUACCAUUUUAACUUAAAAUUUGAAUUCCAAAUAUGAAUUUCAUCUUAAAAUUUGAAUUAAAAUUUGAAUUUGAAAAUUUAAAAUUUUAAAGUCAGAAUUUAAAUGUAGAUUUUAAAUUUUAAUAUUUAUAUUUGAAUUUAAAUUUUGAAUUCAAUUUUGAAUUUUAAAUUUGAAGUACAAUUUAAACUAAGAUUUUAAAUUUGAAAUUCGAAAGUAAAUAUGAAAUUGAAUUUGAAAUUCAAAUUCAAUAUCUAAAUUUGAAUUUAAAAUUUAAAUUUAAAAUUAAAUUUAAAAUUUGAAUUGGAAAUUCGAGUAACAAAAUCUAUAUCAGAAUUUAAAAUUCGGAUCCAAAAUCAAACUUUAAAUUUCAAAUUUAAAUUCAAAAUGAGAAUUUAGAAUUUGAAUAUUGAAUUCAAAAUAUAUAUUUAAAUUUAAGUUUGAAAUCAAAAUUUAAAUGUAAAUUUAAAUUUAUAAUACAAAUUAUAUCGAGGGCAAUUUGAAAAUUAUAAAACAAAAUUUUAGAUUCCUCUCAUUCAGGAGUAGAAAAUACCCAUCCCUCUGCAGGUAACACAGGGGAUUCUCUCUUGUGGGGGGAGUCGUACACUUCUACCCACUUCUGCGGGAUUGUUUGAAGGUCAACAGUCAACGAGGUCCCACCCGGACGGCAGAUACAUUUCUACAAGGCCAUUAUUUUCAUAUAUCCAUUUACUGUCGUUUCCUUCACAAAGUAAUCCCAUAUACCAAUAUCCUUAAUCCUUCUUACUCGUGAGAAAAGUAGAAAACUAUGGAGCCUCUCCCUCUCCCCUACCUCCUCUGCUCCCUCCUCAUUCUCCUCCACACCCCCACAUCCAAAUCCCAGCCCAUCUAUGUCAACUGCCCCACCGAAGCGAACUACACGGCGAACAGCACCUUCCAGUCGAACCUCAACCUCCUCCUGUCUUCCCUUCCCUCCGCCGCCGCCCCGUCCGGCUUCUACAACACCACGGUCGGUCGAAAUGGUGCCGACCAAGUCUACGGCCUUGCGUUAUGCCGCGGCGACGUCUCCUCUGCCGACUGCAACGCCUGCUUGACUACCGCCGCACAAGACGCUGUCGCAAAGUGCCCGCGCGGCAUGUCGAACACCCUAUGGUACGACAACUGCAUGCUGCGCUACUCCAACAAUAGCUUCUUUGGCAUCGCCGACAGCUCGUUCUGGGAAUACAUGUGGGACGGGCAGAACGUCACGGAUCCGCAGCAGUUCGAUGACCAGCUCGGGCAGCUGAUGAAUAACUUGGCCACGAAAGCGGCCUACGGGUUGGGGCGGCCACCGUUAUUCGCGGUGGGGGAGGUAAAAUUUACGAGCUUUAAUAACAUAUAUGGGCUGGCGCAGUGCACGUGGGAUCUGUCGCCGGCCGACUGCUAUGAGUGUUUGAUGACCAACAUCGGGAGAAUCCCUCAGUGCUGCAGCACGAAGAUGGGCGGGAGGAUUUUCGGAAAGAAUUGUGUCGUCCAAUUUGAGUCGGCUCCGUUUUAUAAAUUGGCGGCGCCGCCUACUCCGCAAUCAAAUGGGACGAGCACGGUGACGCCGCCACGGCCGGCAGGGUCGGUUCAGAAUACGGGCAAGGGCGGCAGUCAAACGAGGGGUAAGGAUACCGGAGGUAAGUCAAAGUCUCUUUCCCUCGUUGACUCUCCCCACUGUGGGAUUUGCUAUUGGGGGGUCGUAGGAAAUUCCAAUUGACAGGCGUGUGGGGGAUCACAUCAACUCACGUGAGGUAGGUAGAAUUGCCGGACGUUUUUUGGACCCUUCGUUGCUUGCGAGAGUCAUCCACCGUUGCUUUGAAUGUAUAUUAAAUAUAAAAAUAUUUAAACAUUAUUCUCUAAUAGCUUAAGCUUUAAGAGUACAACGGUUAUUUUAUAUGGUAUGAAAAUAGGAGGUCCUGAGUUCAAGUUAUAUCAUGCUCCUAGUAUAAUAAAUUUUUUUUCUUUUAAUUCAAAUCCACUCAAGCCCAGACGUGAAGAGGAGUAUUAAAUAUAAAAUUAUAUAAACAUCGUUCUCUAACAGCUUAACUUUUUAGAGUACAAUGUAAACAAUAUGAUCUUCAACGUGGUACUAAAAAAAAAAAAAGAAAAAAUUUCAUUUGAAAGACUUUGUUUACGGUGAAUUCAAUUUGAAAUGUGAGCCAACUAACUUCAAAUUUGAAAUUUUAGAUACCAAUCAUCAAAGUUCUUAACUAACUGAAUAGAUAUGGUGGGUAACAACUGUGCAAAUUUUAGAAGUUAUAAGCGUAUAUAUGCAAAUGGAAGUUUUGUUAGUUACCGGAACGAACUGACUCAUUUUGGUUGAUUUGAUUUUAAAUAAUUUGACUCUGUUUUUCUAAAAAGACUAAUAAUUCGACUUGCAUUGAUAUUACAUGUUAAAGGAAAAGAAAACACAUUAUAUGAAUGAAUUGAAUCUAAAAUUUCCUUCUGUUGGAUUUCGAGAACUAAGUAGGGUCACUUACUUUUUGUGCAGGAAUUAAUGGAACUACAAAGACAAUUAUUAUUGUCGCCAGUUCUGUGGUUGCUACUGCGUUGUUGCUCCUCUCCGCUAUCUCUCUUUGCAUGAAGAAACAAAGAAAACCAGUUAGAAAUGCUCCGAUCAGUAAGUUCCACACACAACUGUAUAUAAUUCAACAUACACAGUGAAACAUAAAAUUUCAUUUAUGUACUAAGAUCCUGCUCUUCAUGAAGCAAAUGGAGGAGAUGACCAGGAAAUUAGACGCGCGGAAUCUCUAUUGUUCGAUUUGGCCACAAUACGAGCUGCCACAAGUAACUUCUCAGAGGCAAAUAAGUUAGGAGAAGGUGGAUUUGGACCAGUGUAUAAGGUGAAUUCUCCACUCCUAAGCGCUCCAAGUUAACAUUUUCAACCUAAUCUACAAAAGAAAAUAUAUUUAGCUUAUUUAUCAGUUUCCUUUUCUCUACUCAAUGUUCUAAAUGUUAAGAACUACUAACCAAAGUUUUAGCAGUUUGAAAACAGUAUUUUAAUAUUUUGUAUCCAACAUUCUCUUUCAUAUCUGAGCUUAAGCCUUUUUAAUUGACUGAGUACCUCUUGCUCUGAUAAUAUAUAUUAAUAAUUAUUUUUUAAAAAAAGCUUAUAAUACUAUAAAAUAUUUUUUAAAAAAUUUGUAAAUGACACUGAAAACAGGGUAUACUACAAGAUGGGCAGGAAAUAGCAGUGAAGAGACUCUCAAUGAGCUCGGUACAGGGGCUUGUUGAGCUGAAAAAUGAGGUGGUGCUUGUAGCAAAGCUUCAGCAUAGAAAUCUGGUGAGGCUACUUGGUUGCUGCUUAGAAGAGCAAGAAAAGCUUCUUGUCUAUGAAUACCUGCCCAACACAAGCCUUGAUAAGUUUCUCUUUGGUAUGGCUCAUCACAACAUAGUUGCAGUAGCCUCCAUUCAAUAGAAGUACUCUUUUUUUCUUGUCUUAGUCACUUGGAUACAUUUUUCGCAAGUCAUUUUGGCUUCUAAAACAGGUUUCCUUAUUUUUUAGGGCUGUGAAAUUAUCUGUAGAAUGAAAAUGUUAUGAUUAAUUGUAGUGAUUAAUUAAGAAAUGCCAUAUAUGUAACACUAUGUUACUCAAACAAAGCAGAUCCUGUGAGGCGCGAACAAUUAGAAUGGGUCAUACGGUUCAGGAUCAUCGAAGGGAUCAGUCGAGGACUUCUCUAUCUCCACGAAGAUUCGAGGCUAAAGAUAGUUCACCGCGACCUGAAAGCGAGUAACAUCUUGCUGGAUGCCUUCAUGACACCUAAAAUCUCCGACUUUGGUCUCGCAAAGCUCUUCGACGUCAAUGCAAGUGAAGGAAGUACGAGUCGGAUCGCGGGAACAUAGUAAGCACAUUCUACACCCAAAACUCAAUAAAGAAAAAAAGAUUUACUAGAGUUUCUCUCCCAACGAGAUUCUCAUAUAAUGUUAAUGCUUAAAACUUGGUUGUUAAUUACAGCGGAUAUAUGGCACCAGAGUAUAUAAUUCACGGACAUUUCUCAACAAAAUCAGAUGUUUUUAGUUAUGGCGUGUUGCUUUUGGAGAUUGUGACUGGACGAAGAAACUCUCGCCCUCAAGAAAGUAUUCAUUCAGAAGACGUUCUAUCCUAUGUAAGCAUUCUCUAUACCUUAAUGGGUGGAUAAGGUAUUCAUUUUAAACUUACGGUGCCGUAUUCAAAUCGGAGACGGUGACAAUAACGUAGUCAGGUUUCAAAAACCCAAAAUUUUUACUAGAGGUCCACAUGACAUUUAAAAAAGAGUCUUCAAUCUUUGAAAAUUUUUUACUUUACCGCCCUACGUUUUUUGAAGCCACGCUUUGACACUCCCAGUCAUGAUAAAUUUUUCUUAAUAAAUCGAGGUGAUUUUCUGCUGCUAACUACAGCUCUCUCUUAAAUAGGUGUGGAAGCACUGGAGCCAAGGGACUGCACACCAUGUGCUCGACCUGAGUCUCGCAGGGCAGUGCCGGUUGCAGGACGUGCUGAGAUGUAUCCACAUUGGGCUGCUGUGCGUCCAGGAGGACCCGUCGAACCGGCCGAGCAUGGCGUCCGUCGUGCUCAUGCUCAGCAGCCUCUCCUUCACCCUCCCCGCCCCCUCGGCCCCUGCUUUCAUCAUUCUGCAUGGCUCAACUGCAGACAACACGGUGGAGAUCGAGACUGAUUCAUCCGGCGGCCUGCAGCGGAAGACGACGAGGGCUGCGUCGGUGAGCGACGUCUCCAAUUCAGAACUCGAGCCACGGUAGCGUCUCGGAGCCGAGGAAUAUUGAACCGAAUAUACUGAGUUCGAGUGGCAAAAGAGUGUGAUUUUUUACGUUGCCGAAUAAACAGCAAAGGCGUUGUGAAUCUAGAUUUACGUAAGCUUGCUUAUUUUGCGACUUUCCUUCUUUCGAAUGCUAUAACAAGAAGAUUUUAUCCAGUAUCACUCUUUUAACUGUGCAAGACGUAAUAGAAUAAAUUAUGAAAAGCCUCCUGUAUUUUAGCCCCUCUUUCUAGUCAUUGUUUAUAUUAAAAAUUUUGUCAAUUUUUAUCCGACACUUUAUUAUUAUUUUAAAAGUUCUAAAUUAAGCUAUAUAGUAAUGGUUAAAUUUAGUUGUAAAAUUUUAUAAAAUAAAUUUAUGGAUAAAAUUAGAUAUAUUUAAUAUAUUAGAAUUAUAUAAAAAUAAGUAUGCAAAUAAAGUGAGUUUAUAUAGAUACUAUUCUUUUUUUUUUUUUUGAAAAAAAUGUAGCAUGCUACCCGCUUCAUUCAUUAGAAAAAUGAACUAGGCUACAAGGGUGGGGCAACUAAAAUCUCGAAAAAAAAAAAAAGAGAAAAAAGAAAAAAAAAAAGGUUCAAGUAGGUAGAACCGAAUCCCACUCCUUCAGUAACUGCCGGAGAGUGAUGACAACCAUCUAAGGGUUCGGUUGGAUUUUCCUAAAGAUCAUGUUGUUUCUGGCCUUCGAAAUGCACCACCAGCAACCGACUAAAUAAGUAAGGCAGUCCCUUUUCUUUCUUCGGCUCUUCCUAAUCCUCCAGCUGUCCCAAGCACGGUUAACCUCAUCCUCCAUGUCUAGAGUCUGAACUCCAUCUACACCCGACACUAAGAUGAACUUGCUAAAAACACACCUGGUGAACAGAUGGUCUACUGUUUCCUCGGCCGACCCGCAUAGUACGUAGGUUGAGUCUUGAACCUAACCUCUUUUAGCUAAUCUAUCGGUCGUAGAGAUUCUCUUAUUAAGGACCAGCCAGCAGAACACUUUAAUCUUAAGAGAAAUUUUAUUUAUUUAUUUUUUUUUGAUUAAACAGGGGGGUCCCCCAUCUUAAGAGGAAUUUUGACUCUCCACAAAUGAGAUGCUCGCACAUCCCUCGUACCCCCGUCCGACAGCGUCACAUAGGUCGAUUUUACAAAGUAAGAAUCAUCAUUGCUCCAUCGCCUUUGUAUAGUAUCUGGUCUAUUCUCCGUGGAAUAGUGUGAAAUCCUAUCUUUGAGCUCCGCGAUACUAUUCUUGGAUGAGAAAUUAAUACAUGUAACCAGCAGUGCGUCAUGCUCGAUGUGUGUUAAAACCUACCACAACACAUCAAAAUUAGAAUUUAAUUUAUUCAAUGUAAUUCAUAACGUUAAAAGAUUUGCGUAUAUCAAAAAGACAUAAAUGUAAGAUAUUUAUUUUUAUGAAAAUACUAUCUAUUACGUAUGGUAAUUAGGAUUAUAAAAUUACUAUGUUUGGCUUAAUAAGAGUAUAAUUUUAGUAAUGUACACAGUAAUAUAUAUAAUUUUCCACAAGUACCCCCAUACUUAAAAAGUUGUAUUUACAUUUAAAAUCAAAUUUAAAAUUUGAAUUUAAAUUUCACUUUAAAUUUAAAAUUCAAAUUCAAAAUUUAAAAUUUUGAAUUUAGAUUUAAAUAUAAAUAUUUGAAUUUGAAUUAAAACUUUGAAUUAAAAAGAUGAAUGUCAAUUGAAUUAUGCUUUUAAAUUUGAAUUUAAAAUUUGAUUUAAUUUAAAUUUGAAAUCAAAUUCAUAAUUUGAAUUUGAACUUAAAAAACGAAAUACAAAAUUUAAAUUAAUUUAAAUUCAAAUUUUGAUUUUAAAUAUAAAUUUGAAUUUCAUUGGUUAUUAUAUAUUCUUUAUUUGAUUCGCACAGUUGUUUCAUUGAAAAGUACAAGGAUUAUAAAAUAAUUGUGUUUGGAUUAACAGUAUAACUCCAGUAAGCUAGUUACACUGUACUUAGAAACUUAAAAUUUGAAACUUGUUUUGCACAAUUACCCUAUAAUUAAAAACUUGUUUUACUUUAUAUAUUACCAUUUGGAUUUAAAAUUUGAAUUUGAAUUUGAAAUUUUAAAAUUUUAAAGUCAGAAUAUAAAUCUAAAUUUUUAAUUUUAAAAUUUAGAUUGAAUUUAAAAUUCAAAAUCCAUAUUUAAAUUUAAAUUUGAAAUUAAAAUUUAAAUAUAAAUUUAAAUUUAUAAUACAAAUUAUAUCGAGGGCAAUUUGAAAAUUAUAAAAAAAAAAGGGAAAACUUCAAAAACCCCCCCUGUGGUUUCGUGCAUUCUCACUUUGCUACCUUGUGGCUUAAAACGUAUCAAUUUACCCCCCUGUGGUUUCAUUUUUCUCUUUUCGGAAGCUUUUUCGUUAAUAUUUCGUUAAAUUAUAUACAAAAAACUUCAGAUAACCAUCUAUAUUUAUCGAAUAGUCACUUUAAUAUCCUUUAAUUUUAACUUUGUCACUGAUUUUAAAAAAUAAUAAUAAUAAAAUUGAUAACAAAAAGAUAAAAACGAAACCACAGGGGGGCAAAUUGAUACGUUUUAAACCACAGGAUAGCAAAGUGAGAAUGCACGAAACCAUGGGGGGUUUUUGAAGUUUUCCCAAAAAAAAAAAAAUUAGAUUCCUCUCAUUCUCUCAUUCAGGGCUCAGGAGUAGAAAAUACCGAUCCGUCUGCACGGUAACACAGGAUUCUCUCUUGUGGGGAGUUCUACACUUCUGCGGGAUUGUUUGAAGGUCAACAGUCAACGAGGUCCCUCCCACAGCACUCACGGCCCAUUUCACGCGGAAUCAACGAACAAACAGGACCGCAAUGUACAUGUCAAGGCCAUUUUUUUCAUGUAUCCUUUUAUUAUCGUUUCCUUCACAACGUAAACCCAUAUAGCAAUAUCAUUCCUUCCUACUCGGGGGAAAAGUAGAAAACUAUGGAGUCUCUCCCUCUUCUCUUCCUACUCUGCUCCCUCCUCCUCAUCCUCCUCCACACCGCCACAUCAAAAUCCCAGCCCAUCUCCAUCAACUGCCUCGCCAACGCGAACGACACCGCAAACAGCACCUUCCAUUUGAACCUCAACAACCUCCUGUCUUCCCUUCCCUCCGCCGCUGCUCCGUCCGGCUUCCACAACACGACGGUCAGUCGAAGCUGCGGUGACCAAGUCUACGGCCACGCUUUAUGCCGCGGCGACGUCUCCUCUUCCGACUGCAACAACUGCUUGACUACCGCCGCGCAAGAUGCCGUCGUAAAGUGCCCGCACGGCACGUCGAACACCAUGUGGUACGACUACUGCAUGCUGCGCUACUCCAACCAGAGCUUCUUCGGCGUUGCUGACAGCUCGUUCCGGAUAUACAUGUGGAAUGUGCAGAACGUCACGGACCCGCAGCUGUUCGAUGACCAGCUCGGGCAGCUGAUGAAGAGCUUGGCCAUGAAAGCAGCCUACGGGUCGGGGCAGCCACAGUUAUUCGCGGUGGGGGAGGUCAACUUUACGAGCUUUAAUAACAUAUACGGGCUGGCGCAGUGCACGAGGGAUCUGUCACCGGCCGACUGCUAUGGGUGCUUGACGAGUUUCAUCGGGAGCAUCCCCCAGUGCUGCAGCACGAAGAUUGGCGGGAGGAUUUUCGGAGAGAAUUGUAUCGUCCGGUUUGAGUCUUAUCAGUUUUAUAAUUUGUCGGCCAUUGAGAACCAGACGGCACCGCCUCCUCCGCAAUCGAAUGGGACGCCAGCACCGCCGGCAGGGUCGGGUCAGAAUACGGGUAGUGGCAGCAGUGGAACGGGCGGUAAGGGUAGCGGAGGUAAGUCAAAGUCUCUUUCCCUCCUUGACUCUCCCCACUGUAGGAUUUGCUUUUGGGGGGUUCUAGGAAAUUCCUGUUGUAGGGGCAUGUGGGGGAUCACAUUAACUCGUGUGAGGUGGGUAGAAUUGCAGGACAUCGUUUGACCCCUUUGUUAAUUACGUGCGAAAAUCAUCCACUAACGAAGGGAUGUUGCUUUGACUGUAAACAAUAUGGUCGUCAAUUUGGUAUAGGAAAAAAAAAAAAAAAACCUUUUAAAAGACUUUCAUUAUUUUUUUCUAAGAACUCAAUUAAAAACAUAAAAUAACUAACUUCAAACAUAAAAUCUCAUGUACUAUUUAUUAAAUUUUUAGCCAAUUACAUUAAUACGAUCAGUAACAAAUAUAAAAAAGUUGAAAGCCAUAAGUGUACGUAUAUACAUACGAAUGGAAAGUUAUGUCACUUAGGAGAACGAACUGACUCAUUUUGCUUGAUUCACAUCCCUCUUUAACUUUUGAAUAUAUAAACUCAUGAAAAUUAACUAUUCCUUUAACUGCUUAGCCAUUUAAACUUACAAAACCAAUAUUGUAUCAGCUUUAAAAAAAAUCAAAAUAGUCUUUCCUUUUUUUAGAGAAAGAUAAUAUACUAUCUGUUUCAUUCGUAUAGAAAAUAAAUUUAGCAGACAAUUCAAUCUCGUAAAAGUUAAAGGUAGCUGCACAAAAAAAAAGUAAGAAAAAUAAAAAUAAAAUAAAGAGUUCACUUAGAGCUGCAGAACUCAGCCCAGGCCACUUUUUUCCCAAGUCCCAAAAUUGUUGAAUAAAGAUUAGGAGAUUUGAAGAUUGAUUCCUAAAAUUAUGUUGUUCUUCCUGCCAAAUCAUCCACCAACAGAAUGCGACCUUGGUCACAUCUUUUGCUGAUACCUUUUGGGAGCUAUUCUCAGACAGAAACUAUCAGACACCCCUGGCCUCCACCAUGGAUCCCGAAAUGUGUCUACCUUCAAUUAUGUUGAACAUCAGAAAUCUGCUGAAUAUGCAUCCCACGAGUAAAUGAUUCACAAUCUCAGCUUAGCUACCACACAAAAUGCACUUUUGAUUCUAGGACCAGCCGAUUUUAAGUAGAUUAUCAACCAUGGGUAGUUGCUUCUUAAGGGCUAGCUAAAUAAAAAUUCUAACUUUAUACGGUAUUUUUAGAUCCCCAAGUUUUAGAGGAAGAAUAUCUCGCAUACCCCCCAUCUCUGAUCAACGGAUACAUCGACUUAACAGUAAAGCCCAUUAACAGUAAAGCCCAUCUACACAUUCCAUCUCAACCAGAUUUCCUUCGGCCUAUCUAUCAUGUGAAAAAUAGAAAGGAGGUCCUUGAAUUCUCUAAUUCUGCAAUCACCUCUCGACAUCCCAACUCCAACCCCUCUAAGGAUCUUUCUCUAUCUCUAGCCUUGAGUGGAGAGACAUUCCUUGACUAAAACUCCUUUUUUUGUUACACUUUUGUAAAUACUAGGAAAGAGUAUUUUCAGAGAAGUUUCUUCGCACCACCUAGCUAUCAGACUAUAAGUCAAUAUAUUGUCCAUCUUCAAGAUCAAAGUAAGUGCUAAAUUUAAAGAUUUUCUUAGUGGAAAAUACAUUAUUCCAAUAUUGUGAAAAUGGUUUAAACGUUCUUCCUUAACUCAAAGGUUUUCUCCUUUUAUAAUAUAAUUUUCUAAUAAGAGUGUUCCAUUGUAUCUCCUGAUCUUUGAAUAAAUGCUGCUACCAUUUCGAAAGUAGAAUGUCGUUCAUCAAGGCAAGAUCCUUCACCCCAAGUCCUUUCUUAUCCCUGUAAAUAUAUUUUCAUGCUAUCAUACGUGCACCUGCCUUGACACCCACUAUCCCUUUCCAGAAGAAAUCCCGCCUCAGUGUCUUAAUUCUUUUAACGACCCAUUUCGGAGCCUUGGAAAUUGAGAAAAAAUACAGUAGCAGGUUAAUUAGUACUGAGUUCACCAGUGUACGUUUACCUCCUUUAGAAAGUAACUUAGUUUGUCAGCCAUCAAUCCUCCUUCCUUAUCUAUGAUCACAACUGAGUCCUUUUCGAGGAGAGCUUUGUUAGAUAAUGGUAGCUCCAGAUAUUUAGUUGGUAACUUUCCCACUUUGCAUCCCAAGUACAUUGCAAGACAGGUAUCUCUGGUCUGCCUCCCAUAUAAAAUAAUUUCGUUUUCUCUUUAUUCAUAAUCUUCACAAAUUUCUUCUUUGCCUCAAAAAAUAGUGUCAUCCGCGAAUUGAGUGAGUGUCACCAAGCUAUCCUUAAAGGGUCCAAUACCUCUAAGUAGAUCAUGUGAGUUUGCCAUCUCCGUCAUCCAGGCUAGAUACUCUGCCACCAAAAGGAAAAGAUAGGACGAAAGGAGAUCUCCCUGCCUUGCUCCUUUUUUAUUUUGAUCCAGUUAAUGGUUGCGCUAUUAAUCAUCACCCCCACCUUGGCGUUACAAAAUUUGCUUCUUCAUCCAACGACACCAUUUGGCAUUGAAGCCUAACAUUCCAUAAUCUUAAAAAGAAAAAUCCAACUAACCCUGUCGUAGGCCUUUUCAAAAUUCACCUUUUUCGCUACUCACUCUGUAUUUUCUUUACAACCCCACGUAACUAAUUCACUAGCCGUGACGAAGGUGUCAAAUAGCAACCUCCUUCUAAUAAAAAUAGAUUGGGAUGUGGAGAUAAGGGCUGUCAAUAUGUCAUUCAGUUUAUUGGCGAGUACUUUAAAAAUAAUCUUCUGUAUUUCUUUUAGCAGGCUGAUAGAUUGGAAGUCAUUAGCUCGCACCGCACCUUUCUUUUUUCAUGUCAGACAAAUAUAGAAGAAAAUCAACAGGAUAUGUGGAGAUUUGUCCUUCAUACAGAUAAAUCAGAAUAGAGUACCUUCAGAAUAGCUUCAAAUUUUCUAGAAAUAACUUAAAUUAAAUGAAUCAAAAUUGAGUAGUACCUAAAAGAGACUAUUUCAAAAUGGCCUAUAGUUGAGGGAGUCCCUGCACGUACAUUUUUACCUUAUAGUUGAUUGCACCCAUGCUUUUGUGGCUUUCCUAGAUGUAGUCAAUGGAGCCCGAGAAGUCGAAGCAGUAGAAGGGCCAAAAGUCUCAUGCCUCUCAUUUAAGUGUCCAAACUAGCCUACUAUCAUUUUAAUGAGGGAUACUAAAAGACAAGAAAGAUAGCUAGAAAGGAACAGAUCCUACCAAAAGAAGGAAAUAAUAAUGAUUAUAAAGGAGCCUUUUGCACCAUUAUUAGCAAAUGGAUCAAUCUCAGGCAGUAUUCAAGGUAAAGUUUGAAUAUAAACAUAAAGGAUUUAUCAACCAAUAUUUAACAGUACUAUUACAUCAUCAUGGCCAGUAAUAAUCAAUGCAAUGAAAAAGGAGUUAAAAUAUAAUUAAAGCAACACUCAGGGAACAAAAAUUUAAUACAGAGAUUGUAAAGUUGCCGAAAAAAUACUCUUGCUCCCGACGCCGGCCAAGGCGGCGGAGGAGGAGGACGGCGACGACGAGAGCAGCGGUGGAAGAGGACGACGAGAGCGACGAGAGGGGUGGUGUUGGAGGUGGAGGUGUGGGAGGUGGUGGUGGUCUGGGAGGAGAUGAGGCGAGGUGGAGGCGGAGGAGCCGGCCGGUGGUGGCGACCAAGUUGGGGAAGAAAGAGAGGAUAAUCUUAGGGAUUAGUAUAAUAAGGUAGGGGCAAAAUAGGUAUUUUGUUUAGAUUUUAACUCUAGUAUAGAUUUAACCCAUGUUUAACCUGAGUUAAGCUAACAGGGGAUAACUGCGGGGAUAUUUUGGAAUAACGGUGGAACAUAUGAGGGGCAUUUUAAAAAGAAAAAAAAAGUAGGGAUAGAUCGGAUAUUUCCAAACGCAUGAAGGGUAUAUAGGCAAUUAUUCCUAAAAUAUAAUUAAAGCAACACUCAGGGAAUAAAAAUUUAAUACAGAGAUUGUAAAGUUGCCGAAAAAAUAUUCUUGUUUCAAUGAACAAAUAUUAUAUUUUGUUCUGUUUUCUCUGUUGGUUUGUCGCACUCAGAUGAAUUAUAAGUUGACAAUUGACAACGGCUACUUGUGUAUGCAGGAAAGAAGAAGAAUGUAACCAGCACAGUUCUAGCAAUAGCCAUACCUUUAGUGACUGCAUUUGUUACAAUUUCCACUAUUUGCAUUUUCUUUUGGAGGAGGAGGUGGAGGAGAUCUGCCCCAAAAGGACCACUAUACUGUAAGUUAAAAAGGACCACUAUAAUGUAAGUAAGAUGCACUGAAAUUACCAUUCAAAAUACCCAGCUGAAAGAAGCGACUCUCUCUCUCUCUCUCUCUCUCUCUCUUUAAUAGACUUUCUAUUUUUAAUUUUCUACUUGUUAAUGGAGCACUUUAGAAAACUCUAGAAACAAGUGCUCUCUAUUUGCUAAUAGAGCAAUUUAGAGAGCUCUAGAAAUAAGUGCUCCGGAGAAUUCUAAAGUACUCAAAUUGGUAGAUUAGAACCUAUAAAUAGGUGUGAGGCUCCCACACCAAGGGUGAGUGAGUGAAAUGUGUGUGUGAUGAAGUGUGUGAGGAAGUGUAGUGCGGUGUGGUGAGAUAUAGUGUAGAGAGUGAGGGUGUAUAAGAGGUUUAGUGUGUGAAUCUUUUAGUCUUUUGGGUGUAUGUGAUAAAAUUAUAUGUGAGAGUUAUUUUGUGUAAAAGAGAGAGUUUUUAUUAUUAGUUUGGUACGUCAGUAUUCUACACCAGGUCAGUUAUUUAAUGCAUAAUGAUAAUGACAGGGAUCUCUCUGUCUUUUCAAAGAAAAAAUGGCAAUAAUACAAAUAGAAGAAAAAAUGGCAAUAAUACAAAUAGAAAUAGUCACUACAAUAUAUGGACAUCGAUAUCAUAACCAUUGAGAAAACUAUUUCUGAAAUUAGAGAGCAGCAGAAACUUACACUAUGAAAAAAAAAAGGCAAACAAUAUAUCACAGAUCUGAUGUAAUUUAUUACAUAUUCUCCAGCUUACAUAGAUCAAACAAUGUUGAAUUCUAUUUAUUCUUUGAAUAGACGAAACCGAUGCAGAGGAGAUCAAAAGUGCUGAGUCACUGUUUAUUGAUUUAUCAACAUUAAGAGCUGCAACAGCUAACUUUGCUGAGGAGAAUAAGCUUGGAGAAGGUGGCUUUGGUGCCGUUUAUAAGGUAUCAUAAUAUUCACUAUAACUUGCCAUUUAGUGAGAAUUACAUGUGGCGAUAGUCUGAAUCCAUAUCAAAAUUCUUGUAUAAAAGAAGAUCAUCGCUAUUCUUGGGCUCAAACUAGUUUGAUAUCUAUCUCUACAAUUUGCUUGUUGAUCUAGCUUAUGAAACUACUUCUUUACUCUAAAAACCUGAAGCUUUUUAUGGGCCAAAAAGUUUAGUGUUUUGCUAUGCAGGAAGCUAUAAUGAGCUUAUGUGACCCAAGAACAACAUCCACCUUGAAGAUUCUAUUUCUGCUGCAUUGAGAAUGUGUUGGUGUCUUUUCUUAUUUUUAUUUUUUUUUAGUAGACUCUAUUUAAAUAACACUUUGGUAGAAGCUCAACAGGCCAAGGAGGCUCUCUAUUGUCACGGUUUAAUCUUGUGCACUAUAAUCUUAUAUACUCGAGCAGGGACUCUUACCUAAUGGAAGAGAAAUAGCAGUGAAGCGACUAUCAAAAGAUUCAGGACAAGGACUAGGAGAGCUUAAAAAUGAGUUAUUAUUGGUCGCAAAGCUCCAGCACAAGAACCUUGUGAGGCUUUUAGGUGUCUGCUUGGAAGAACAGGAGAAGCUGCUUGUCUACGAAUAUUUGCCUAAUAGAAGUCUAGACACUAUCCUUUUUGGUACAACUUUCAUUACAUACAACUUCUGCAAAAGAACUUAUCUCAUUUUACUUGCUGUAACAUAAUAAUAAGCUUAGUUUUUAUGUUUUUGUUUUUACAUUUUUUUUUUCCCUUUUUCAAAAUUGAUAUUCCCAAUUUAUUUGUUGUAUUCAAAUGAUACAGAUUCUGAGAAACGAGGAUGGCUAGAUUGGGGAAAAAGGUACAAGAUUAUUAGUGGAAUUGCUCGAGGCCUACUAUACCUACAUGAAGAGUCUCAGCUAAAAGUUGUACACCGAGAUCUAAAGGCGAGCAACAUUCUAUUAGAUGCCGAGAUGAACCCGAAGAUUUCAGACUUCGGCUUGGCAAGGCUUUUCGGAGGGGACCACUCUCAGGAAAUUACAAGACGAGUCGUCGGAACAUUGUAAGAAUCAAUUGUAACUCUGCCCAUAUUAUUCACAACCAUAAAAAUACUGCAGGAAAUUGAAUAUAUAUUAAUACUUGCUCAUGUUAUUGCAGUGGAUAUAUGGCGCCAGAGUACGCCAUGCAUGGGUACUUCUCAAACAAGUCAGAUGUAUUCAGUUUUGGUGUUAUGGUUUUGGAGAUUGUAGCCGGGAGGAAAAACGCUGGUUCCUUCAAUUCUGAGCAGUCUGAAGAUCUAAUAAACUAUGUAAGUUCAACACGGCAGUAGUUCUUGAAACUAAUUAGUAGACAUAAACAUAGUUUCUGUCAAACAAUUCCUCUUUUGAUAUAAUUAAAUCUAUAUACUAUGCAAAAUCAUCAACAUAGGUAUUCACAAACAACCUUCAAAACUUAAUUUCUUACAUAUAUAUAUAUACCCGUGUCUUACAAAACUGCCCCUGUUUAUGCAAAACCAUCUUCCCUCUUGGAAUUAGAUGACUCCCCUAAUUGACAUACAGUUUUUUCUGUCAGAAGUUAAACUAUACAGGGGCUUUUACAGAAGUCCUGAUUUUUCAGGAGUAUAAAUGAAUACAGAUGCUUUUACAGGAAUGCAAAUGUACAGAUAGGCCUUUCUUGACGAACUGAACAAAAUCUUAUGCAGACAUGGGAGAAUUGGACCAAGGGGACAAUAACAGAGGUAGUGGACUCAUCCUUAGGCAACCACUAUCCAAGAAGCGAGGUGCUGAGAUGCAUCCAUAUUGGGUUACUCUGUGUUCAAGAAAACCCGGCAGAUCGGCCCAACAUGUCGAGGGUCGUCGUGAUGCUGAGCAGUAGAACUGUGACCCUCGAAACUCCUUCAAAACCGGCAUUUUGCUUUGGAAUGAGUAGCAUGCAAUUCAACAUGUACUCGAAUGCAUCAAAGUAUCAUGGACUAGUAGCUGAACAAUCCUCGAGCAAGUCGAUUCCACCUUCGCCAAAUGAGGUGUCGAUCACGGAACUUGAGCCUAGGUAGUUGGAGAAAAAGAGAGGAUUCUGAAAGACUUAAAAAGUCUCAGAGACUUAAUGUUGGUGGAUUUAUCACUUCUAGUGCUUGAAUUAUCCUAUGAAGUAUUGUAACUGUAUUUGUAUCUUUUUGUAUGUAUUUUAAUGUCCUUCACAGCAAUGAAUUUCCAAAUUUUACUCAAAUUUGAAGAAAUGUUAUAGAUGGUUGGUAUUUACUAGGAUGAAAAAUGGUUACCUUGUUAUAAUUUUAUGUACUAUGCAUAGAAAAUUGCAAAAACCAAAGGAACCAAAUGCUAUUGGGGGUGCGUUCAUAAUGCAUAAAGAUGCGUAAUUCUACAAGUAAAAACAGAAAAUAAGAGAGCCACUCGGAAUUGUAUUUACAGUUAUAAAAGGCUGAAGUAUUUUUAUUUAAUUUCCUUGUAUCGAGAGAUUACAUGAGUAUAUACUGGGACAAAUGGAUGCCUUAUAAAGCAUCAGUAAGUAACUUAUUUUUUAAUUAAAAAAGAUAGCAAGCGAUCUGCUUCACUCAUUAAGAGAACUACAACUACAAUUUAUCGACACACUAUUUAAAGGCGAUGAACUAGAUUUUCUCUUGCUCUCAAUGGAGCACUCUCUCUGAUGCGGAUCACUCUCAACAUCUCUGGGUGCCACAUAAAUCUCAGUACUUGUGCUACCUUGAACGAAAAAGGCGGGAUAUGAAAGGUUUUGAUAGAUUGACACUGUUACUAUUAAGCAUGAGUACAACAGAGGCCAUUGUUGGUCUCAUUCUUGGGUCAUCUUGAGCACAAAGAAGGCCAAUUUUAUAAAAAUAAAUUUUAGAUAAAAUUAGAUAUAUUUCAUACAUUAGAAUUAUAUAAAAAUAAGUUUGCAGAUAAAGUGAGUUAUAGAUACUAUUCUUAGAUGAGAAAUUAAUACACGCAACUAGUGCACCACGCUUGAUAUGUGCUAAACCCUCCACAACAGCAUCAAAAUUAAACUAUAAUUUUUUACGUGUAAUUCAUAACAUUAAAAAGAUUUACGUAUAUCAAAAAGACAUAAAUGUAAGAUAUUUAUUUUUAUGAAAAUGCUACCUAGUACGUAUGUAUAAGUGUGCAAUCGUACAUCUUUGACAUUUAGUUUAAAAAGGGAAAAAAAUAAAGUGAUAAAAAUAGUGGGAGAUUAGGGGCCUUUGGAUAGUUGGGUAUAAAUGUUAUGCCUGUCCUAUUAAUGUACAUGUAGUAUUGCUCUCAGUAUUCUGUUCUUUUGACAAUUAGACCCGAAAGUUGAAUAAACACCAUUAAUACAUGUAGUAUUAGUGGGACUUCCUGUUUUUGUUUUCUUCUCUCUUUGAUUUUUUGCUCUUGCUCCUUUAAUCUCCCCUUCAUUGCUUUCCUUUUUCUCGGAGGCCCCAGCUGCCUUCAUCCUGCACGUCUAGUUCAUUUUCCUUAAUGAAUAAAGCAGAUAUAUAGUUUGCUACAUUUUUCUAAAAAAAAAACAAUUAGACCCUAAAGUUCAAUAAACACCAUUUCUUUAAUAGAAGUUUCUAAUUAUACUGUUAUUUUGAUAGUAUAUCAUGUAUAUAAUCUUAUAAAGUUUCAGAAUAAAAUUUUUUUUUAUUUUUUUGUUUAAUAUAUAUACAAAAAAGCAACAAAAAUCAAAGGUGAUUCAUUAUAUUCUUCUAUUCUUAUCCUUAAUUAUCAAAAUUAGAAGAGAAAAAAAGAGAUUUUGUUCUAGCAUUUAAAGUCUUACAAAAUUACGUUUAUGACAACCAAAGCAAAAUGACCAUAAAAUAAAUAAUUUUUAAUUAAGGAGGCAACACCAUUAAACUAUUUGAUAAAAUCUUAAAAAGACUAAUCGUUAAAAUUGAAAGUCCACUGACAGCAAAAGUUGUUGCAUAGAAAUUAAAGCCUGUACUUUUUGGUCAAAGACAUCAAUUGUAUUAUUAUACUUUACCAAUUUUUACACUGUAUUUUAGAUUUAUUUUUAUUUUUUUAUUUUGUACUAUUUUUUUCUGAUAAAUAUUACUACACUAUUUUCUUCGCCGGUAUUUACAUUACUAUGAAGAAAUUUAUUAUUUAAAAAAAAAUCUAACAAUUUUAUUAAAAAACACCGGUUAAAUAAUAAUAAUAAAAUAUAAAAUAAAUCUCCAGAAUAAUCUCAUCGAAACCUUCUAUCAAAUUGUUUUCGCUAUUUUUAUAUAUUUUAUUAUUUAUUAUAUUAAAAUGAGCCGGACGUAUAUAUAUGUCACUUUUAACUAGUAUUUUUCAACAGAUUUUAUUAAAAAUAUAAGUGUAUUACGUAUAGUACGGUAGGGAGUGUAAAAAAAAUUAGUUAAUCUGUGCCUUUGAAAAAGAUAAUAGUAUAAUUGAGUUUACAUUUAAAAUUUAAAUUUAAAGAUUCAAAUUAUGUCAGGGGCAAUUUGAAAAUUAUAAAAAUAUUUUUAAUUAGAUUUCCCGGAUUCGGGAGUACUAGAAGGUAGCCACCCUUUCCUCGGUAAUAGUAUUGUCUCUCUAUUCCCAUGCCAGUCUAUGGGAUUGUUCGAAGGUGAAUAGUCGACGAGGUCCCACCCACCGCACUCAUGGCCCAUGUCACACGCAAUUAACAAACGAACAAGACCGGACGUACAUGUCAACGCCAUUAUUUUCAAAUAUUCAUUUAUUAUUGUUUCCUUCACAGUAUAAUCCCGUAUUAAUUCCAAUAUAUCAUUCCUUCCCAUUUGUGAGAAAAGUAGAAAACUAUAUGGAGCCUCCCCCUCUCCUCUUCCUCCUCUGCUCCCUCCUCCUCCUCAUUCUUCUCCGCACCCCCACUUCCAAAUCCCAGCCCAUCUCCGUCAACUGCACCAGCGACGCGAACUACACGGCGAACAGCGCCUUCGAGUCGAACCUCAACCUCCUCCUGUCUUCCCUCCCCUCCGCCGCCGCCCCGUCCGGCUUCUACAACACCACGGUCGGUCGGAGCGGCGCCGACCAAGUCUACGGCCUCGCAUUAUGCCGCGGCGACAUCUCCGCUGCCGACUGCAACAACUGCUUGACUACCGCCACGCAAGACGCCGUCGCCAACUGCCCGCACAGCACGUCGAACACCAUGUGGUACGACACCUGCAUGCUGCGCUACUCUGACCAGAGCUUCUUCUCCGUCGCUGACAGCUCGUUCCACAUAAACAUGUGGAAUGUGCAGAGCGUCACGAAUCCGCGGCUGUUCGUUGACCAGCUUGGGCAGCUGCUGACUAGCUUGGCCAUGAAAGCGACCGAUGGGUCGGGGCGGCCACCGUUAUUCGCGGUGGGGCAGGUCAACUUCACGAACUUUCAGAAGAUAGGAAACUUUCACAGCAUAUACGGGCUGGUGCAGUGCACGAGGGAUCUGUCGCUGACCGGUUGCUAUGGGUGCUUGAUGGGUUGCAUCGGGCACAUACCCAAGUGCUGCAACACGACGAUCGGCGCAAUAAUUUUCGGAGGGAACUGUGUCAUCCAGUUUCGGCCGGCUCCGUUUUAUAAUUUGUCGGCCAUCCAGAACGAGACGGCACCGCCUCCUCCGCAAUCCAAUGGGACGCUAUCGCCGCGGGCAGGGUCGGGUCAGAAUACUGGUAAUGGCAGCAGUCAAACGGGGGGUAAGGGUAGCGGAGGUAAGUCAAAGCCUCGUUCCCUCGUUGACUCCGCACUGUGGGAUUUGCUAUUGUGGGGUUUGUAGGAAAUUUCUAUUGAUUGGCAUGUGGGGGAUCACAUUUAACUCGUGUGAGGUAGGUAGAAUUGCAGGACAUCUUUUGCCCCCCUUUGUUUGUUUUUUUUUUUUUUUUUUGAGAGAUAGAUAGCACGCUACCCGCUUCGUUUAUUUUAUUUAGAAAUAAACUUAGCUAGAAAUGUGAAGCAACUAGGAUUCGAACUUAGAUCUUGGAUACCAACCAUCAAGCCUUUUGCCACUUGCUCUAGGAACAGUCGAUCUUUUGCCCCCUUUGUUAAUUACUUGCGAGAAUCAUCCACCGUUGCUUUGAAUGUAAACAAUAUGGUUUUCAACGUGGUAUUUCAAAAGAAAAAAAAAAAAAAAUCUUUUGAAAGACUUUGUUUACCGUGAACUCAGCUUGAAAUAUAAGAAAACUGACUUCAAACUUUGAAAUUUUAUAUACCAAUCAUCAAAGUUCUUAACUAACUGAACAGAUACGGUGGGUAACAACUGUGAAAACAUUGAAAGUUAUAAGCGUAUAUAUACAAGUGAAAGUUUUGUUAGUUACCGGAAUGAACCGACUCUUUUUGCUUGAUUUGAUUUAAAAUAAUUUGACUCUUUUUUUCUAAAAACAACUAAUAAUUCGACUUGCUUUGAUCGAUAUUACAUGUUAAAGGAAAAGAAAACACAUUAUAUGAAUGAAUUGAAUCUAAAAUUUCCUUCUGUUUGAUUUCGAGAACUAAGUAGGAUCACUUACUUUUUGUGCAGGAAUUAAUGGAACUACAAAGACAAUUAUUAUUGUCGUCAGUUCUUUGGUUGCUGCUGCAUUGUUGCUUCUCUCUGCUAUCUCUCUCUGCCUGAGAAUAAGAAAGAAACAAAGAAAACCAGUUGGAAAUGCUCCGAUCAGUAAGUUCCGCACAUAAUUAUAUAUAAUUCAACACACGCAGUGAAACAUAAAAAUUCAUUUAUGUACUAAGAUCCUGGUCUUCAUGAAGCAAAUGGAGGAGAUGAGCAGGAAAUUAGAAGCGCGGAAUGUCUAUUGUUCGAUUUGGCCACAAUACGAGCUGCCACAAGCAACUUCUCAGAGGCAAAUAAUUUAGGAGAAGGUGGAUUUGGACCAGUGUAUAAGGUGAAUUCUCUACUCUUUAAGUGCUCCAAUUAAAUUACAUAAUCUGCAAAAGACAAUACAUUUAGCUUUUGCAUUCUGAAUGUUAAGAAGUACUACUAGGCUCUAAAUGUUUUUUUUUUUUGAGAUAAAGGUAGCAUGCUACCGCUUCAUUCAUAGGGAAGGUGAAUUUAGCAUCGAAGGGAAGCGACUGGGCUUCAAAUUAAAAAAAAAAAAACCCUAAUUAGCUAAACGCAAUAAGAGUCCCACAUGUUGUACAUAGCUCGUAGGUCUACCAUCACCUGUCUCGUGGUGCGCUUUUGGUUCUCGAAAAUUCGCCUAUGUCGUUCUAGCCAAAUAGGCCACCAAGUAGCAAGUAAAAUUGCUGAUUCCUUCCUUCCUAGAACUCCUUGUUUACUGCUGCAUUUCUUCCACAGGUCACCCAUUGACCUAUAAGUCCCUAGACCCCGUUUGUUUGGCAUAAGCAGCAUAGAAUCGCACGUGAAACCUCGCAGUUUAAGAAAAGAUGGUCAAUACUCUCUGGGUCAAUCAAGCAGAGGGCACACGUGUCCGCGCCCGACCAUCCCCUUUUCAUAAGAUUGUCAAUCGUGAGAACCUUCCACCUCACCAUAAGCCAACCAAAAAUUUUAACUUUUAAGGUAUCUUGGUUGUCCAAAUCAGCUCCCAGUACGUCUCUGUUACCCCGCUCUCCUGUAAGAAGUUAUACAAUGAUUUAACCGUGAAAACUUGUGAAUGAUUCCAUCUCCAUCUUACUUCGUCUCCGUUAUUUGUUAGUGUAACAGUGCUUAGCAACUCCUUCAACUCCACGAUUGCAUCGUCAUCUGCAAUGGAACUUGGUGUAAACCUGAGCAAAAUCCUGCGCCACCUCCACCCGUUGGUACCUGAACAGUCUUGCACAAGGUGAUUCUUCCUAACAACAGCGUUGAAAAUACGGGAGAACUUCGACUGCAGUGAAAGUUGAGCACACCAUCGGUCCUUCCAAAGGUUCACGGUGCUCCCAUCCCCAAUCGUAAAAGAACCCCGCACCGAAAGAUGUCCCUAGUUGACAAGACGCUUAGCCACAAUUGAGAGUACGGUCUAAACGUGGCCGCUUCCCAAAAAGGUUUUCUCCUUUUAUAGUAAGCCGCGCGUAAGAACGAUCUCCAUAAAGUUGUCUUGUCCGAAUAGAACCUCCACCACCACUUUGCAAGUAACGCCACAUUCAUGGUUUCUAGGUCCUUCACCCCUAGCCUCCCAUCUCUUUUGCUCCUACAGACCAUUUUCCAUCUGACCAAACAUUGACCCCCUGUUACCAUGCUCCUUCCUUUCCAAAAGAACGCCCGCCGCAAACCUUCGAUUCUCUUAAUUACCCACUUAGGUGCUCUAAAGAUAGAGAAGAAGUAGAGUGGUAGGUUGGAGAGUACUGACUUAACCAAGACGAGCCUGCCGCCAAUGGAAAGGAGUUUAGCUUGCCAUCCUUCUACCCGUUGCUGAACUCUAUCGAUGAUUGGUCACCAGUCCAAUCUGUUUAGCGGUCUGUUUGUUAGCGGCAGCCCGAGAUAUCUCAUCGGGAAUGACCCCAUUUACAUCUUAAAAUUUUCGCUAGCCUUUCUCCCUACUGUAUAUUUCUCCCUAGAUAGAAAAGUUCAGACUUGCUCCUGUUGAUUUUUAGUCCCGAGGCCCAUUCGAAGAUAUGCCAUACAAAAUGUAGAUUCCUCACUUGUCUGUUCCUAGCCUCACAGAAGAAGAUGGUAUCAUCAGCAUACUGAAUAAAUGCUACCUUACUCUAAUCGUUAGGUCCAACUCCUCUCAUCAAUCCGUUACAUACUGCUUUAUUCAUGACCCUUGCAAGGCCUUCCGCAACUAAGAGAAAAAGGUAGGGGGAUAAUGGAUUCCCUUGCCAGAGUCCUCUUCUAGUUUUAAUCCAUUUAGUCGGGACGCCGUUAAUAAGUAUAGCAAUUUUAGCAUUAGCUAUACAUUGAUCAAUCCAACUGAUCCAAAGCUGUGAGGCUCCAAGCCAGGACAAGAUUUUUCGAAGAAAGGCCCAGCUCACCCUGUCAUAUGCUUUCUCAAAAUCGGCUUUUACACCAAUACUCUUGGUCCCUGUUUUAGAACACCAAUUUACUACCUCACUAGCAGUGGCGAAGGAGUCUAAGAUCGACCUUCCCUUGAGAAAGGCCGAUUGCGAAGGGGAAAUCACAUUGUGUAGGACACCCUCAAGUCUAUUUGCAAGCACUUUUGAGAUAAUUUUUUGAGCACUGUGAUCAGACUGAUUGGCCGAAAAUCAUUGGCAGUCUUUGCUCCUUCUUUCUUCGGGAUCAGGCAGAUGUACGAAUAGUCUAGAGGGGAUGAGUUUAGCACCCCGUCUGCCAGGUCCCGAAAGAUGUUGAAAAGAUCAUUCUUAAUAGUGUCCCAGAAAACCUGAAAAAAUCGAAGGUUGAAGCCGUCCGGCCCGGGCGCUUUAUUCUCCGCAAGUUGGAAAGUUGCCUUUUUUAUCUCUUCGAGGGAGAAUGGUGAGGUGAGAUGGUUAAGCCUAAGCAGGGGUCUCUCCGAGAAUAGCUCACUCCAGUCGCCACACGAGAGUCUAUCAGUCUGUGCCGGUGCGAACUCCCCUUUAAAAUCCAAAAAAAUACUCCCGAAUAUCCUCCUCCCUUUGGAGUGUCUUGCCGUCCUCUUCGACAAAGCCAAUUGUAUUCUCGUGUCUUCUACCAUUUGCCGUAGCAUGGAAGAACUUCGUGUUACCAUCUCCCUCCUUUAACCAGUGCUGUUUGGCUCGCGUCUUCUACAAUAUUUUCUCAUCUAAUAUCACUUUUGACAAGCGCGCCUUGAUCUGUUUCCUUCUCUCAAUUUGUUGUUCCGUAAGAAUUUGUUGCUCCUCUAGAAUAUCAAGCUUCUGGAUUUCUUCAACCAGUUCUUUCUUCACCCUCAAAAUGCCGUAGAAAUGCGCCGCUCUCCACUCCUUCAUUCUUUUGCGGCAAUGCCUGAGCUUGGCGACAAAGGUGGUAGCACUAUUGUCUGUACGAGAUAUCUCCUCCCACCAUACCGGCACAAGCGUACAGAAAUCUUCUCGUGUUAACCAAAUUUCCUCGAAUCUAAACGAACACUGGGGUCUCUUAUCCGAAGACGACAACAAGAUAGGCGCGUGAUCCGAGGUGAUCCUCGGCAGCGCGAUCGCUUUUGAUAGCGGAAAAGAGUGAUCCCAUUCGGUUGAGACAAGAAAUCGAUCCAACUUAGCCAAGGUAGGGCACUGCUGCAUGUUAGACCACGUGAAGCUUUGGUUCCCUAACAGAAUGUCGAUUAGCUCCAACGUAUUUAAGAGGUCAGUAAACAUUGUCAUAAGUCUUCUACUCCAGCUUCUUCCCCUUCUCUUGUUCUGGUUCUUGGUAAGGUUGAAAUCACUGCACAUAAUCCACCUUCCUUUGCAAAUACUCUUGAGAUCAGACAAUUCCUUACAAAAAUCCACCUUUCCUUCCCACGAGGGGGGGCCAUAUACAUUAGUUAAGAAGAAAAAGCAAUUGCUGGCAACAUGUGAGAGUCGAACGGAUAGCGAGAAAUUUCGCACUACAACCUCCAUACACACGGAAUCAUGUGAGUUCCAACAGGUAACAAUUCCGCCCGAAGCUCCAUCAGACUUAAUAAACUGACAUCUAUCAAAAUACGCCCCCGCAAAAGACCGCAGAAACGAACGGGAAAUAACAUCUACUUUGGUUUCCUGGAGACAAAUCACAGACUUCUUGACAUUCAAACAGACAGACUUCACGACUCCCCGUUUACCCGAAUCAUUAAGACCCCUAACAUUCCAACUUAAAACUUGAAACAUGGAAACAGAAAAAACACCACAAAAGCUCGUAAGAACUGUCUGGACUCUAGACCGAAGCUCUAAUAAAAUCAAAGAGGUUGCGCGUAUCAUCGCUGCUCAGAGAAAUCUCACAUAGCGCACUUUUCUCUUUGAUUUUAUGAAGACGACUGUUGGCCGCCAUCUUUUGACAACUAGAAAACGGUAUUUUUAAUAUUUUGUAUCCAUCAUUUUCUUUCAUAUCUUGUGUCAUGACUUCUUUAUUAACUCAGAACCUCUUACUCUAAUUAUAUAUAUUAGUAAUCAUUUGUUUCUUAAAACUUAUAUUACUAUAAAAUAAAUUUUUUAACAUUUGUAUAUGACACUAAAAACAGGGGAUGCUACAAGAUGGGCAGGAAAUAGCAGUGAAGAGGCUCUCAGUGAGCUCGGUACAGGGGCUUGUUGAGCUGAAAAAUGAGGUGGUGCUUGUAGCAAAGCUUCAGCAUAGAAAUCUGGUGAGGCUACUUGGUUGCUGCUUAGAAGAGCAAGAAAAACUUCUUGUCUAUGAAUACCUGCUCAACAAAAGCCUUGAUAAGUUUCUCUUUGGUAUGGCUCAUCUCAACAUAAUUGUUUAUUAAUAUUGCUAUUUCAGUUGCAGUAGCCUCCAUUCAAUAGAAGUACUCUUUUUUAACUUGUUUUAGUCACUUGGAUACAUUUUCUGCAAGUCAUUUUGGCUUCUAAAACAGGUUUCCUUAUUUUUAGGGCUGUGAAAUUAUCUGUAUGAAUGAAAAUGUUAUGAUUAAUUGUAGUGAUUAAUUAAGAAAUACCAUAUAUGUAACACUAUUUUACUCAAACAAAGCAGAUCCUGUGAGGCGUGAACAAUUAGAUUGGGUCAUACGGUUCAAAAUCAUCGAAGGGAUCAGUCGAGGACUACUCUAUCUCCACGAAGAUUCGAGGCUAAAGAUAGUUCACCGCGACCUGAAAGCGAGUAACAUCUUGUUAGAUGCCUUUAUGACCCCUAAAAUCUCCGACUUUGGUCUCGCAAAGCUCUUCGACGCCGAUGCGAGCGAAGGAAAUACGACUCGAAUUGCCGGAACAUAGUAAGCACAUCCUACACCCAAAACUCAAUACAAAAAAAAAAGAUUCACUAGAUUUUCUCUACCAAAGAGAAACUCAUAAAAUAUUAAAACUUGAUUUUCUAUUGCAGCGGAUAUAUGGCACCAGAGUAUGUAAUGUACGGACACUUCUCAACGAAGUUAGAUGUUUUUAGUUAUGGUGUGUUGGUUUUGGAGAUUGUGACUGGACAAAGGAAUGCUCGACCUCGAGGAGCUAUUCAUUCAGAAGGCGUUCUAUCUUACGUAAGCAUAUCUAUACCUUAAUAGGUGGAUAAGAUAUUCAUUUGCAAUUUACGAUCUUGGAUUCAUAUCAGAGAUGGCGACAAAAAUAAAAAAUUUAUUAGAGUUUCAUGUAAAAUCUAAAAAGAGUAUUCAAUCUUUGAAAAAUUUUAUUUUGCCGCCUUACUUUUUUUGAAGGCACCUGGUGAAAACUUCGACGGCUUUGACGCUCCUAGUCACGAUGAAUUUUUCUUAAUAAAUCGAGGUAAUUUCUGCUGCUAAGUGUAGCUCUUUCUUUUAAAUAGGUGUGGAAGCACUGGUGUGAAGGGACUGCACACGAGGUGCUCGACCCGAGCCUCGCGGGGCGGUGCCGGUCGCAAGACGUGCUGAGAUGCAUCCACAUUGGGCUGCUGUGCGUCCAGGAGAACCCGUCUAAGCGGCCGAGCAUGGCGUCCGUCGUGCUCAUGCUCAGCAGCCUCUCCUUCACCCUCCCCGCCCCCUCGGCCCCUCCUUUCGUCAUCCAGAACGGCUCAACUGCAGACUACGCGAACGAGAUCGAGACCGAUGCAUCCGGCAGGCAGCAGCGGAGGACGACGAUGGCAGCAUCAGCAAACGAUGUCUCCGUUUCAGAACUCGAGCCACGGUAGCGUCUCGAUCGGAGCUGGGAAAUACUAAACAGAAAUACACUGAAUUCGAGUGGCAAAAAAGUGUGAUUUUCUUCGUUGCCGCGCGAAUAAACGGCAGAGCCGUUGUGAAUCUAGCUAGAUUUACGUAAGCUUGAUCAUUUUUGUGACUUGCCUUCUUUGGAAUGCUAUGGCAAGAAGAUUUUUUUUUUACUCAGUAUCUCUCUUUUAACUGUGCAAAAAUGUAAUACAAUAAAUUAUAAAAUGCCUCUUCGUAUUUUAGUCUCUCUUUCAAACACACUUUAUAUUAAAAAUUGUGUUAAUUUUUAUCUGACAAUUUAUUAUUAUUUUAAAAGAUCUAAAGCUAUAUAAUAAUGGUUAAAUUUAAUUGUAAAAUUUUAUAAAAAUAAAUUUAUGGAUAAAAUUAGAUAUAUUUAAUACAUUAGAAUUAAUAUAAAAAUAAGUUGGCAAGGCGAUUUCAAAUAAGGACUUCGACAAGGCCCCAAAAGUCUAGUAUAGACGACCUUUGAAAUUCAAAUUUCAAACGGAAAAUGCCGACAAAUAGCGCGUUGAUUAUAACUACGCCAUAUUUGAACCAAGGGGAUAUAAAAAAAGGAGGAACCAACACAAGAGAGGAGAUACCAAAGGCAUCAAAUCGUACAAGCCUUUAUCUUUAAUCGAUCCCUAGAAGUAACCUAAAAAUAGCUGUAAUGUACAGAUCUCUUGCCUGCAAAAGAUUGUCAUCCGACCAUCAUCGGACCGUCCCCGCUCCUCAUCGGACCGAUCACCGUUCGUUCUCCGAUCUGCGCAUGAAAUAAAGUCAGCUCAGUACAAAAAAAUUAAUAUCUAAGGACGUUCUUUUUAUAUAUUUAAUUCUGCUUAAAAGCAUUUCAAAAUAAUCUAUCCUCGUAUUUGAAAACGUCGGCUAAAUGUCGGCAAAUGAAGAGCAACUACAUAUACACUAACGCUUACGUACUCAAGCAUCGGUAAAAUAUAUUCCGACGUUUUAAAGAGUCAUAAUUUUUCAAAAUCCUCAUAAUUUAAAAUAUUGAAAAAUUUAAAAUAAUAAUAAAACUUACUAUUUAAUAAAUUAUUUUGAUAGAAUAGAUGGUUUCGACGGUGCUUUUUAAACCGUCGAUAUUUGAUAUAUUGUAUGAAUGCUUAGGGACGCUUCGUUCAAACGUAAUAGAAAAAGUAUCCUUAUAUUAAGAUUUUCUUGUAGUGAAUUCAACUUUCGAUCAGAGAGAGUUGGCAGACCAACUAAAGCGCAUCACGCUUCGGUUGGCAGGCCAACUUCAGAUCAGAGAGAGUUGGCAUAUUUGCUAUAUUUCUUAAUUCUCCCAAAAGAAUAGUUGCAUAUUAGAUCUUAAGCUUAAGUAUAACAUAUUUUUAUACUCCGUCAAUCUUCUCGAUAAUUUGUAUGAUAUGGAACAACAACUGUUUUUACUUUAUUUUUUUUUAUAUAAAAUUGGAAAAAGAAUGGUCGUUUUGGAAUUGGAUGGUGACGGGAGAGACUAUGCAUUCUGACAGAUUUGAUCGAGAAAAUUGUAAUUAGAAAACCGCGUCAGACAGAACUAAUGCUGGACUUUCGAACGACUGCGCACACGCGGUGACAAAACGAACCUCUUUUUCUAAUAAAAGUUUUGUAGACGUAGAAAAAAGUGCGGCACAAGCCACGUCGUCGAUUCAGCAGUCAACGGUCACUAGUCAAUGGUCCAACAUCCAAAUGUCUAUUAAUUAUUAUUGUGUCCUUCGCAAUAUAAUCCCAUGUUGCAAUGUCAUUCCUUCCUACUUGUGAGAAAAAUAGAAAACUAUGGAGCCUCUCCCUCUCCCCUUCCUCCUGUGCUCCCUCCUCCUCCUCAUUCUCCUCCACACCCCCACAUCAAAAUCCCAGCCCAUCUCUGUCGACUGCCCCACCAACGCGAACUACACGGCGAACAGCACCUACCAGUCCAACCUCAACCUCCUCCUGUCUUCCCUUCCCUCCGCCGCCGCCCCGUCCGGCUUCUACAACACCACGGUCGGUCCAAGCGGCGGUGACCAAGUCUACGGCCUCGCGUUAUGCCGCGGCGACGUCUCCUCUGCCGACUGCAACACCUGCUUGACUACCGCCGCGCAAGAUGCCGUCGUAAAGUGCCCGCACGGCAGGUCGAACACCAUGUGGUACGACGGCUGCAUGCUGCGCUACUCCAACCAGAGCUUCUUCGGAGUUGCUGACAGCGCGUUCCGGAUAUACAUAAUCGAGAUGCAGAACGUCACGGAGCCGCAGCUGUUCGAUGACCAGCUCGGGAAGCUGAUGAAUAACUUGGCCACGAAAGCGGUCAAUGGGGCGGGGCGGCCACCGUUAUUCGCGGUGGGGGAGGUCAACUUUACGAGCUUUAAUAACAUAUACGGGCUGGCGCAGUGCACGAGGGAUCUGUCGCCGGCCGACUGCUAUGGGUGCUUGACGAGUUACAUCGGGAGCAUCCCCCAGUGCUGCGCAACCAAGAUCGGCGCGAGGAUUUUCGGAGAGAACUGUGUCGUCCAUUUUGAGCCGACGCUGUUUUAUAAUUUGUCGGCCAUCGAGAACGAGACGGCACCACCUCCUCCGCAAUCCAAUGGGACGCCAUCGCCGCCGGCAGGGUCGGGUCAGAAUACGGGCAAUGGCAGCAGUCGAACGGGCGGUAAGGGUAGCGGAGGUAAGUCAAAGUCUCUUUCCCUCCUUGACUCUCUCCACUGUGGGAUUUGCUUUUGGGGGGUUGUAGGAAAUUCCUACUGUAGGGGCAUGUGGGGGUCACAUUAACUCACGUGAGGUAGGUAGAAUUGCAGGACAUUUUUUGCCCCCUUUGUUUUGUUAAUUACGUGCGAGAGUCAUCCACCGUUGCUUUGAAUGUAAACAAUAUGGUCUUCAACGUGGUACUUAAAACAUAAAAAUCUUUUGAAAGACUUUGUUUACAAUGAACUCGGCUUGAAAUGUAAGGCAAUUGACUUCAAAUUUAAAAUUUUAGAUACCAAUCAUCAAAGUUCUUAACCAACUGAAUAGAUAUAGUGGUUAACAACUGUAAAAACAUUAGAAGUUAUAAGCGUAUAUAUGCAGAUGGAAGUUUUGUUAGUUACCGGAAUGAACUGACUCAUUUUGCUUGAUUUGAUUUAAAAUAAUUCGACUCUUUUUUUUCUAAAAAGACUAAGAACUCGACUUGCUUUGAUAUUACAGGUUAAAGGAAAAGAAAACACAUUAUAUGAAUGAAUUGAAUCUAAAAUUACCUUCUGUUGGAUUUCGAGAACUAAGUAGGAUCACUUACUCUUGGUGCAGGAAUUAAUGGAACUACAAAGACAAUUAUUAUUGUCGCCAGUUCUGUCGUUGCUACUGCAUUGUUGCUCCUCUCCGCUAUCUCUCUUUUCGUGAAAAGAAGAAAGAAACAAAGAAAAUCAGUUAGAAAUGCUCUGAUCAGUAAGUUCCACACGUAACUAUAUUUAAUUCAACACACACAGUGAACAUAAAAAUUCACUUUUGUACUAAGAUCCUGCUCUUCAUGAAGCAAAUGGAGGAGAUGAGCAGGAAAUUAGAAGCGCGGAAUCUCUAUUGUUCGAUUUGGCAACAAUACGAGCUGCCACAAGCAACUUCUCAGAGGCAAAUAAGUUAGGAGAAGGUGGAUUUGGACCAGUGUAUAAGGUGAAUUCUCCACUCCUAAUUAAGUGCUCCAAGUUAACAUUUUCAACCUAAUCUGCAAAAGGAAAUAUAUUUAGCUUAUUUAUCAGUUUCCUUUUCUGUCCUCAAUGUUCUAAAUGUUAAGAACUACUAGCCUCUACAAAGUUUUAGCAGUUAGGAAACAGUAUUUUAAUAUUUUGUAUCCAACAUUCUCUUUCAUAUAUGAGCUUGAGCUUUUUUAAUUGACUGAGUACCUCUUGCUCUGGUAAUACAUAUUAAUAAUAAUUUUUUUUCAAAAACUUAUAAUACUAUAAAAUAAAAUUUUUAAAAUUUGUAAAUGACACUGAAAACAGGGGAUGCUACAAGAUGGGCAGGAAAUAGCAGUGAAGAGGCUCUCAAUUAGCUCGGUACAGGGGCUCGUUGAGCUGAAAAAUGAGGUGGUGCUUGUGGCAAAGCUUCAGCAUAGGAAUCUGGUAAGGCUAUUUGGUUGUUGCUUAGAAGAGCAAGAAAAGCUUCUUGUCUAUGAGUACCUCCCCAACACUAGCCUGGACAAGUUUCUCUUUGGUAUGGCUCAUCACAACAUAAUUGUUUUUUAAUAUCGCAUAUAUUUCACAUGCAGAAGCCUUCAUUCAAUACAAGUACUCUUUUUUACUUGUUUUACUCACUUGGUUACACUUUUUACAAGUCAUUAAUUAUCUUGCUUCUAAAAUAAGUUUCCUUCUUUUUUAGGGCUGUGAAAUUAUCUGUAUGAUUAAAAAUGUCCUUAUUAACUGUAGCGGUUAAUUGAGAAAUGCCAUAUAUGUAACACUAUUUUUCUCAAAUGAAGCAAAUCCUGUGAGGCGUGAACAAUUAGACUGGGUUAUACGAUACAAGAUCAUCGAAGGGAUCAGCCGAGGACUUCUCUAUCUCCAUGAAGAUUCGAGGCUAAAGAUAGUUCACCGCGAUCUGAAAGCGAGUAACAUCUUGUUGGAUGCUUUUAUGACCCCUAAAAUCUCCGACUUUGGUCUCGCAAAGCUCUUCGACGUCGACGUGAGCGAAGGAAACACGAGUCGGAUUGCGGGAACAUAGUAAGCACAUCCUACACCCGAAACUCAACAAAGAAAAAAAGAUUUACCAGAGUUUCUCUCCCAACGAGAUUCUCAUAUAAUGUUAAUGCUUAAAACUUGGUUGUUAAUUGCAGCGGAUAUAUGGCACCGGAGUAUAUAACUCACGGGCAUUUCUCAACAAAAUCAGAUGUUUUUAGUUAUGGUGUGUUGGUUUUGGAGAUUGUGACUGGACGAAGAAAUGCUCGCCCUCAAGAAAGUGUUCAUUCAGAAGACGUUCUAUCCUAUGUAAGCAUUCUCUAUACCUUGAUAAGUUGAUAAGGUAUUCAUUUUUAACUUACGGUCCCAGUUCAGAUAGGAGAUGGUGACAAUAAUAUAGUCAAGUUUUAAAAACCAAAAAUUUACUAGAGUUCUUCAUAACAUUUAUAAAUGAGUAUUCAAUUUUGAAAAUUUUAAUUUUACCGCCCUAUUAUUUUGAAGGCACCUGGUGAAAACUUUGACGGCUUAGACACUCCCUGUCACGAUGAUUUUUUCUUAAUAAAUCGAGGUGAUUUUCUUCUGCUAACUACAGCUCUCUCUUAAAUAGGUGUGGAGGCACUGGAGCCAAGGGACUGCACACCAGGUGCUCGACCCGAGCAUUUCGGGGCGGUGCCGGUUGCAGGACGUGCUGAGAUGCAUCCACAUUGGGCUGCUGUGCGUCCAGGCGGACCCGUCGGACCGGCCGAGCAUGGCAUCCGUUGUGCUCAUGCUCAGCAGCCUCUCCUUCACCCUCCCCGCCCCCUCGGCCCCUGCUUUCGUCAUUCUGCAUGACUCAACUGCAGGCGACACUGACGAGAUCGAGAACAAUGCGCCCGGCGGGCUGCAGUCGACAAACGACGUCUCCAUUUCAGAACUCGGGCCACGGUAGCGCCUUGGAGCUGGGGAAUAUUGAAUAGAAACAAACGAAACGGAUGGCAUGCCACCUUCCUCUCAAUUAUGUCAAUUUUUAUCAUGCACUUUAUCACUAUUUUAAAUAAAUCUAAAAUUAUAGAAUAAUUAUUAAAUUCAGCUGUAAAAAUAAGUUUACAGUUGUAGUGAGUUGCAAGUACAAUUCUUAGAGGAGGAAGGGUGAAAAUAUAUCACCCAUUCUUUUGAUGUAGAAACAGUAUUGCUCUCAUUUUUCUAUUUUUAACAAUUCAACCGACUAACCGAUUUAGUAGGCUGCUGAUGGAUUAUUUGAAAGAUCAGAAAUAAUACGAUCUUUAAGAGAAUCUGACCGAACCUUAGGCUAGCCAUACACAAUCUUAAGCAGUUAGUGAAGGAGUGAUCAUUUUAUUCUGCCAGCUUAACUGAGUUUUUUUUUUUUUUUCUUUUAAUCCGAGUUCAGGAUGCCUCAUCCUUGUAGCCUAGUUCAUCUAUCUAAUAAAUGAAGCUGGUAGCGUGCUACCUUUUUCUCAAAACAAAAACAAUUAGACCGACUUUCUGGACUUUAUUAAAUAGUUCACAAGUUUCUCUCUCCAAUAGAAGUUAUUAAUUAUACAGUCUUUUUGAUUGUAUGUUGUGCAUAUAAUCUUAUAAAAUUUUAAAAAAUAAUUUUUUUAAUAUAUACAAAAAAAAACAAAAAUCAAAGGAGAUUUAUCCUAUUCUUCUACCACUCAUGUUUAAUUAUCAAAAUUACAAAAGAAAAAUAUAUAUUUUGUUACAUUUUGAAGUCUUAUAAAAUUACUUGUGUACUUGACAUGAGAUUAAAUGACUAUAUAAUUAAUAACUUCGAUUGAAAAAAAUAAUCUAUUAAAUUUUUAAUAAAAUUUUGAAAAUUUAAAUGUUCAAAUUAAAAGUUUGACUGUUUAGCAAAAGAGCCAAAGGUCUGCCUUGGAAUAAUGCGGGCCAGUCAAACCAGUGUGCACGCCUGGAAAAGGAGAAAUUAAAAACAAUGGACCGCGUGAACACCACUUCUUCUUCUGCCGUGGUCCAUUUUCUAAUAAUGGCUUCUCGUAAUAAAAUUCCUGCUAAAAAUAUAUCGAAACAUAUAGAUUGUAUCUAAUACAAUUGGCUAAAAAUUUAAUAAUAAUUAAUAUUUGAAGUGUCUAAUUUAUUUAUAUUUUUAACUUAGAUCAUUUCUAAAAACUAAAUACGGCGGAUUAUUUGCUACCUUUCUUACUCGGAAAAUAUAUAUAAAUAAAUAAUCAAGAUGGAAGCAAGGCUACUUAAUUCAUCAUUCAUGAGACUUUGAAACACUGUUCUCCAUCUAUAUAAACAGCAAAUAGAAUCGUCUUCGCUAUAAAAUUUCAAUUCCUUCUAACGUAUCGCAGCACAGCACAUUUGUAAUUUCUUUCAGCUCCCAUAAGAAUAGUUGCCUACGUUAAUAAUUUAUUCUUGAGCGAUGAGGCAAGUGAUAUUUUGGUUAUCAAAUUUUAUUUUAUUAAUUUUUAAACUACUGUAAUUAAGUUUUACGAUUCAAUUCAAUUAGUUAAAUAUUGACAAAUUAUUAAUAUAAAAAUAAUAUAAAAUUUUAAUUAUAUAUUAUUGUAUUAUCAAUCACAAUACUUUUGCAAUACUUCUACGUCAAUAACUUUGAUUGGGAAAAUUGUGAUAAAAGACUACGCUAGCUAGGGUUGACCUGCCCAGGACUUUCGAAUCCAUGCAUUUAAACCACAGUGAUAAAAGAAUCGGCUUUUUUCGGUUUUUUUUUUUUUUUUUUUUUUUUUUCGGAUGCAAGUGGUAGCCGGGGAGGUCAAGUCAACGGUCCCAACACUGCAACAUUUUUUCCAAGCGCAAAACAGGCCCGCCCACUGCGUCGUGUUACUUUGUUAUAACAUCUCAUUAGCAUUCAAGUGCUAUCACUUGCAACAAGGAGACUAUGAAAUCAUCAUCUCAAUUCCUCCAACUGGUAAGCCUUCUUAUUAUUCUAUUCUCUAUUACUCCUAGAGCAAAUUCAGACGAACCUCUAAACAAGUUUUGUCGCGCCGAUGCGAGCUACGCGGCCAACGGCACCUUCCAGGCGAACCUCGACCUCGUCCUCUCCUCCCUCCCCUCCGCCGCCGCCCCCUCCGGCUUCGCCAACACCACUGUCGGUCGAGCAGGACCCGAUCAAGUCCAUGGCCUCGCCCUCUGCCGCGGCGACAUCUCUCCUGCCGACUGCUUGACUUGCUUGAAGAACGCUACGAAAGAUAUCGUCGCCGAAUGUCCGCACGAUGCAGGAUCGACGAUAUGGUGCCUUACCGUAAAACAACCGUUUUUCUCCAAAACCUUGAUCGACUAGAAAGCGGAGUUUUAAUUCAUCACGCGUCAAAUAUAUUGACGGAUUUGAAACACCAAUAUUUAGUGGUUUGAAUGAAUUAUGCUCAACAGGUACGACGAGUGCAUGCUCCGCUACGACAACCUCAGCAUCUUCUCCGCACUCGACAUGUCAUCCUUCAACGAAUGCAUUCCGAACCCAAACAACGUGACGCAGCCACAGCUGUUCGACGAACUGCUAGGAAAGUUGAUGGACACCGUCACGAAGACCGCGGCGCAAUCACCGCAGAUGUUCGCCUUCGGCGAGGUGAACUUCACCGAAUCCAAUAAAAUCUACGGGAUGGCGCAGUGCACGAGAGACUUGUAUAGUGCUGAUUGUUACAGAUGCUUAAGGGACUAUGUGGGGAGUAUCCCAAGCUGCUGCGGUGGGAAGGAGGGGGGGAGGUUGUUUGGAAGCAACUGCGGCAUCCGAUAGGAGUUUUUUCAGUUUUAUAAUUCGUCGGCGGUGCAUACUGUGGCGGUGCAAAACGUGACGGCACCGCCGCCGCCGCCGCCGACGCUGACGCCGGCGGGAAAUGCAGCAAGUAGCAGUGGUAAGUCGGAGUCUUUUAAGUGUGAUUUCGUUUGCGACGCUGUUCGUAUUUCGUAUUCUUCAUAAAUUUAGACUGUGUCAACUCAACGAAUGAGGACUCCGUGAGUAUCUCUUAAUCCCAACUGCAGGGAAUCUGAACAGUUUUUCAGAUCUUUUCAGACUAUUCUUAAUUUCAAUUUUAAUCAGAAACUUAGAUUUAAAUUUAGUUUUUGAAUUUGUCCAAAUUUUAAAUUUUUGAAAUUUAAAUUCAAAAUAUGAAUUCAAAAUUUUAAAUUUAAUAGAUAAAUAAAAUUUUUAAGUACAAGAGUAAUUUUGAAAAACUAUAUAUAUCAUCUAUCUACAUGACUGAGAUGUUACUAUUAAAUCAAAUACAAUAAUUUUAUAAUCUUAGCAAAUUUCGAUGAAAUAGCUGUGCAAUCCAAAUGUAAGAAUUAUACAACUGUAAAUAAUUCCAUCAAUAUGAAUGAAAUUGGCUUAAAUUUUUUAAUACCUAUGAAUCUUAGAUAAUAUGAUCAUCCAAGCCUCCUAAGAGCGUUGCUUCUAUACAAUUAAGUUACCUUCCCGAUUGUCCCUAGAGUCGGUGGUAAAGAACUUGGUGGUUGAUAUCCGAGGUUUCAAGUUCGAAUCCUGAUUGAUUUAUAUUUCCAGCUAAACUUAUUUCUAAAUGAAAUAAAUAAAGCGGGUAGCAAGCUACCUAUCUCUCAAAAAGAAAAAAAAAAAAAAGAAAAAACCUUAUGCGCACCUGUCCUAUUAAUCUUUGGUACCAUUUUAAGUUUUAAGGAGCGUUGUAAAAAAAAAAAUAAUCUAAAAUCAGGAUUCUCGAUCAGCUUCAUUUUGCAAAAUCAUUUCAAAUGGAAAGCUAACAGGUAGAAAUUAUGCUUUUGUAGGAAACGGUAAACACACAACGAAACUUGUUCCUAUAACUACUGUUCCUGUGGGUACUGGAGUGGCGAUUGUUCUCUUCGGCCUUUGCAUUUAUCUACUGAUGCGUAAACAAGGUAGAGAUGCGCAAAGUAAGUUACUCGUUACAUUUCCAAGUCAAGUAUCUGAGGCAUUUGUUUUUCUUUUUUUCAUCAUUACUUGAGUUUACUUACGUCAAUAUAUAAUAUUGGGUGCUGGGAUGCUGCAGAUAAAAAGAUCGGGUCCAUAUCGUUUGAUCUGAAAACGCUUUGUACCGCCACAAAUAACUUCUCUAUUCAAAAUAAGCUUGGAAGCGGUGGAGCUGGAAUGGUCUACAAGGUAAUAAUCUCUAGCUGAAAUCCUACCUGUAAUUUUUGAGUUGCAACAGUGUCUCUGCAUGCAUAUAUACGACUGUUACAUGGGUGCUAUCGUGUUCAUAUAGAUAUAGUUAAAUAUUAUUUUAAGAUUGAUAUGUUGUGAAUUUGAACACUAUUUUUAUGUUUCUAUUUUUUGUCGGCAUGACUUUUAAAUUUAGUAUUAACUAGUAAUGCUAAAUGCCAAAAAAGCUUCAAUAUUAAUAAAUUAAUUAGUAUUAGAUGAUAUUACUACUUUACUAAAGUUUAAUUCAAUAUCCCUCAAAAUAAUUUCGAGCCAAAUAGAAUUAAUUUCCAGCCAAUAACAAGCUGGAUCAUCUCCGCUCGUUUUAAUCUCGAGCGGAUCUCAGCCCUAGCUCGCUCGUGUUCGACUCGUUGACGGCUCUUUGCCGCUAGUAUCUAAUACAGCGUUGGUUGUGAAUACAGGGAACGCUGCCGGACGGACGAGAAAUAGCAGUGAAGAGGUUUUCAGGAGCCUUGCAUCAGGGGAUAACAGAGCUGGGGUUUAUCGUCUUGAUUGCGAUGGUUGAGCAUCCAAAUCUUGUCAAAUUGAUCGGCUUUUGCUAUGAAAAAAUGGAGAUGCUUCUAGUCUGCGAAUAUCUGCCCAACAAAAGUCUAGACAACUACUUAUUCGGUAAGCAGACCCUGCAUCAGUGUCAUGUUACAUGUAAUAAGGAUCAGUAAUUACAUGGUGUUUUACUUGAGCAGUAGCAGUUUGCAACUUUGGCAGUUGAUGCUUUUGGUUCAGCUACUGAUCAUGGUCCAAUUGACAAUUGCGAUAUUCCACAUUCAAAGAUUUUCUUCAGUGUGAGACCUUUUCUCAAGCCUAUAGAAAAUUUGUUACCGAAUUUGUCUUGGAUGCAACAGACCCCAACAGGCGAGCACAACUGGAGUGGCGAACGCGCUACAUGAUCGUCAGAGGAGUCUGUCGAGGUCUUCUUUACCUUCAUGAAGAUUCACAGCUGACGAUCAUCCAUCGAGAUCUGAAAGCAAGUAAUAUCUUGCUUGAUAAGGACAUGAAUCCUAAAAUUGCAGAUUUUGGCCUCGCAAAGCUUUUGGGCCGCGAUAGAACCCACGAAAUCACUAGAAAAAAUGGUGGCACAUUGUAAGUAGAAUCGUCAUUUCCUAAAUUAUUUUGUGACAAGAAGCUUUUCUACAACAUGGUGUAAUCUCACGUUUCUUUAUUGCCUCGCGGCAGAGGAUAUAUGGCACCUGAAUAUUACAAUAAGGGGCAAUUUUCGAAGCAAUCCGACGUAUAUAGCUACGGUAUACUGGUCUUAGAGAUUGUAACUGGAGAAAGAAACAGUGAAUUUGAAGGAUCAAGCGACGCUCUGUAUCUUUCAACCUAUGUAAGUAUUCAUCUAACUAAAGAUUGAACAUCUGUGUAUAAUUCGUGAUGCUGACCUCUUUAUUGCACCGGGCAACAUAUGUCCCUUGAUUGCUAAGCCAUUUUGUUUGAUAGGUAUGGAAACACUGGAGAAAUGGGAAGGGACUAGAUGUCGUCGAUAAAAGUUUAGGUAAUCUGUAUGAACAAGACGAAGCAUUAAAAUGCAUUCAGAUUGGGCUACUUUGUGCGCAACAUGACCGCACAAAGCGACCCAGCAUGAGUCAAGUCUCAUCCAUGCUCGAUAGUCCCAAUGAGAUAUCGAAACAACCGUGCGAGCCUGGGUACGCACCAGUGCUUGACAACAGCAUAGUUAUUAGCUCACCCGAACAAGAACAAGCGCUAUUCGAUACAUACAGGGACGUUCAAGAACGACAAACCGUGUAGGCUACAAAGGUUUUAGUUCUCCCGUAAAUUUUCUCUGGAGGUGAAGUACUUCAUUUCGCAUUCCAAAUUAGUUCAAUUUUUGUAUUUCUGAAAAUUGUGGUAAAAUGCUUCAGAAGCUGAGCCCAGGCUACCAAUAUGCAGUUGAAGAAACAAUUUCAGUUUAUUGAGAUGUCUGAUUCAAAACUUUAAUCGUUACUUCAAGUGGCUCGCAUUUGGUUAAUGUUUGUAUGAUUAUGCUGUGGACCUGUAGGGUGCGUGUAUCCUUUGUCUUGUGCGUAAAUACUCUUUGUUGUUGCCAUUGUUCUCACUUUUCAGGCUUUUUCUUCUGCAGAACAGCAUGACACAUUUGCAACAUUUUUUUUUAAUAUAUUCACACAUCAGGAUCUUUGAUAAAAUUUAGAAAAUUGAAAUUUUCAAAUAUUACAAAACUACGUAUAUGACAAUCAGAACAAAAUGACAAUGUAAUAAAUAAUUUUGAUUAAGGAGAUGAUUCUACUAAACUACUUGUAAAAUUUAGAAUGUCUAAUUAUUAUUAAAAUAAAGUCCACCUGCACUAAAAGAGCUAAAGUUUUCAUGGUCUUUGUACUUUUGUUUUCUUUUUUUUUUUAAAGAGGAAUCUUUAAAUACAACAUAAGUAUUGAAAUCUAACCGUUAAUUAGUGAAUAGGUUACCAACUUAGAUUAAUCAAUAGAACGAUAUUGAAAAUAAAUUAUUAGCAUAUACCAAAUUUGUUAGUGUGCUAUAAAUUUUUUAAAUUUCUUAUUUAAUUUUGUUAUUUACCAAAUUAAAUAAUCUCCAAUCUGUUAAGUAUCCAACUAAAAAAAAUAUUGAAUUUAAAUUUGAUUUUUGAAUAUGGCACUAUAAUGUAAAAUUUUCAUUUUAAAAUUUAAAUCCAACAUCUGUGUUUGAAUCUAAAUCGUAUUUUUAAUCUUAAAACCAAAUUUUAAUUGUUGAUUUAAAUUGAAAUUUUGAAUUUGAACUAAAAUUUUUACUUUGAAUUUGCGUUUUGUAUUUUAUAAACAAUUGAAUUUGAUUCAAAAUUUAGCUUUAUAUGUUUUUUUCAAAUUAAAUUCGCUGUUUGGAUGUAAUUUAUAUUUCAAUUAUUGCCAAAGUAUUUAACAAGUUCAUAAAGGUAUAGUUGGGAAAGACCAACUAUGGAUCUUAUGAACCAAAAUACUCAGUAAAGACCAUAAUACUCUGUAAAUGCGUACCAGCUGAUUGAUACCUAUGCCUUAAAAACUGACCAUCAUUAGAAUUAUAUCACAUCUCAAUUAUUUAUUUUAAAAAUUAAGCAUUAGAAUUAGAAUUUACGUGAUGUAUUGAACCAUAAUUUUUUUAAAAAAAAUUAUUCGUAGGGACUUAGCCGGCCACCGCAUAAUUUUUAAAUGAAAAAAAAAAAAUGUGUACACAUAUUUUCUUUUCUACUUUUUUGAGUUUUUCCAUGGCAUGGAAUUAUCAGGACUUGUCAAACCGGUUGGACAAGAGGGAAAAAACAGUAAACACACCAACAAAAUUUUUUUUUUUGAAAAAGAUAAUAUGCGAUAUAUUUUAUUUAUUAAAAAUAUGAAUUAAACAAUAUGGGUGAGGUAAAAAAAAAUCUCGACCGAAGCAUCGAAAAAAAAAAAAGAAAGAAAUAUCACCCUUCUGAUUUCGUACUUUCUCAUUUUAGUAUUCUGUGAUUUAAAGUGUAUCAAUUUAGUAUUCUAUGACUUUAUUUUUUUUUGUUCAUUCCACUAUUUUUUUUUCGUUAAAUCAGUGACAAAAUUAAAAGUAAAAGAUACUAAAGUGAAUAGUCAAAAUCUAGGUGGGGUAUCUGAAGUUUUUCGUAUAUAAUUUAACGAAAAAUUAACGGAGGAGCUUACGAAAAGAAAAAAAUGAAACCACAGGGUACUAACUUGAUACACUUUAAAUCAUAUAGUACUAAAGUGAGAAAGUGUGAAACCAUAGGAAUGAUAUUUGAAGUUUAUCCAAAAAAAAAAAAAAAAAACACUAAGUGAGUUGGCUUUUAGAUGAGAGAAUAUUCUUUCACUGUACAGCUAACCGUCUGAUGGUAACAACCGUCGUUAGAGAAUCUGCAUAAGCAUCUCUGAAAAUAACACUAUUCUUUAUAUCCCAGAGGACCCACCACCAGACUAUCAAAUUGGUCAAUCUAGCUCGAAUAUGCCACGAUCUGUUUUAAAAUUUAAAUUUCUGGCGAGAAAUGUUAAGGAUUUGAUUUUUGAAAUUUCAAUUUCAAAAUUUAAUUACUUUAUAUUUGUCUUUUUUUUAAAAAAAUGAACCAAUUGUGCGGCUUACUUCCUUGCUGUCUUUAGCUUCCCAAAAUAAUAAUAAUAAUAAUAAUAAUAACAAAACUGCAGAGACAGUGAAGACGGAAGCGAGAGUUUGGAACACUCUCCGCCUACGCGUGAACAGAAAAUGAAAUUGGCCGGGCCAUCAAAUUUCUGUUCCUUCUAAUGUGGGGUAGCACGGUAACGUACAUUUGCAAAUUUUCUUAAUCCACGCCGUUGACAAGAUGCAUUCAAUAAUAUAAUAUAAUAUAGGCUAUUACAAUGUUAUUAGAUCUGAAGCUUAAAUAUGUCCUGCUUUUUACUCUGUCAAGCUUUUCAACAGUCGUAUGAUGUUGUUGAACAGAUUCGAUCGAGAAAAUUGUAAAAAAAAAAAUCUGCCUUAGACUUUCGGACCCGUACAAUCCAACCACGGUAGACGUGGCCAAACGUCGACCGUGGCAACGCUACAUCAUCGUCUGUUCCACGAGCAAAACAGGAACUGUACUCCCAUUUUACCAUAACAACAUCUCAGGAUUAGCAUUCAAUUGUUACCACUUUGUAAUAAUUAAGGCAACUAUGGAAUCAUCAUCUCAUUUCUUUCUCCUCCUACGCCUUCUUAUUAUUCUCUGCAUUUCACCUGUAGCAAGAUCAGAUGAGCCUCUAGGCAACUUUUGCCGCGCCGACGCGAACUACACGGCCAACAGCACCUUCCAGGCUAACCUCGACCGUGCCCUCUCCUCCCUCCCCUCCGCCGCAGCCCCCUCCGGCUUCGCCAACACCACUGUCGGUCAAGCGGGACCCGAUCAAGUCCACGGCCUCGCCCUCUGCCGCGGCGACGUCUCUUCUGCCGACUGCUUGAGCUGCUUGAAGAACGCCACUAACGAUAUUGUUGCCGAAUGCCCACACGGUGCCGGGUCGGUGAUAUGGUAUAUAUGCACCGUGACACAGACCGCUUUUCUCUAAAAUCUUAAUCAAUUCGAGAGUAGUGUUUUUUUUCUAAUUCAUCGUUUGGGAUAAAUACAAGGAAAUUAAAUGAGGCUACGUAGAUCUGUUAUUUUUGGUUUAGAUUUGUAGUUAUCUAAAUUGAGAAUAAAUCCUAAUCUAAUCGGGAUUAGAUAUUAUUUAGAUUUAAUUUGGCAUAUAUGGAUUAUAAUUAGAAGUGUAAUUCUAAUUGAAUUAGAAUUAGACUCUAAUUAGAAGACAUGUAUUAUAUAUACAUGCUACGGCCAAGUUAAUGAGGUCGCGACCAAAAUUAAGAAGCCAUGCAAACUUGAUUAAGAGCAUGUUGAUGGUCUGUACAGAUGAAGCCGGAUUUCUACAGUGAAGCCAAGCCUAAUUAAGUUUAUAAUUAAGUCCAAGCCGCACUUCGUGCUUAUUUGGGGCUAGUGAUCACGUUGCGGGGAUCCCUCUUUGGAGAUCUAAUUAAAGGAGAGACCAUGCAGAUUAAUUAAGUUUUGUGGUCCAUCCGUACGGUUGAGGAGCCGACUUAUUUUUCCGGAGUUGCUUGUUGCGGCGUUUCCGAUCUAAUUAAGUUUUGGUCUUUUGGGAGAUUCUCGUUGUACUCCGCCUUUUUCGACAUUAAUAAAUUAUUUGCUCCGUCUUCGCCCGUGGACGUAGGCCGUUGGCCGAACCACGUAAUUAUCGGUGUGUUCUUUCCGCUUAUCUUUUCUUUUUUUGCAUUAAGUUAUUUUCUAGAUCUAUUUUUCGCCGUUCCGAUUUUAACAAGAUCUAAGUGUCGUAAUCGUUUAUACUCAACAACAGGUACGACAGCUGCAUGCUCCGCUACAACAACAUCAGCAUCUUCUCGGUGCUCGACAGUUCGUUCAACAUAUGCAUGCCAACUCCGGCCAAGGUGUCGACGCAGCCGCAGCUGUUCGACAACUUGCUAGGGAGGCUGAUGGACAACCUCACGGUCACCGCCGCACAAUCACCGGAGAUGUUCGCCUUUGGCGAGGUGAACUUCACCGAAUCCAAUAAAAUCUACGGGAUGGCGCAGUGCACGAGAGACUUGUAUAGCGUUGAUUGCUACAGAUGCUUAAGGACUUUUGUGGAGGAUAUCCUAAGUUGCUGCGAUGGGAACCAGGGGGGGAGGGUGCUCGGAAGAAACUGCGUCCUCAGGUACGAGCUGUAUCAGUUUUACAAUGCGUCGGCGCUACAAAAUGCGGCGGCGCCGUCCGAGGCAAACGCAGCUGCACCACCCAAGGCGAGCGGUAAGUCCGAGCCUUUAAAGUGUGAUUUUUACUGCAACACGUACAGUUCGUAUCUUGUAUUUCAUACCUAUUUUCAGCUCUAUUAAUUUAGACAGAAUAGAUUCAAUGUAUAAUUGGUUUCUUCAGUUUAAUCCUGUUUUUAAGUUUCAAAAAUCACUAUCUAACCAUGCAAGAUGUGUUAAACCCUAGCUACCAUAGUAGCUGCACAAUUAGAAUUUAAUUUAUUAAAUGCAUUUCAUAACAUUAAAAGAUUUACAUGUAUAAGAGAACGGGGCAGUGAUAUGAGGUAACACGAGGGAGAGCUUCAACUUUGGACAAAAAGACUUUUAAUUAGUAAAUUUUUAUUUUUUUUGGCUAUUUUUUCUCCAUAAAAUAUUAAUUUUCUUGUAGUAUGAUUUCAAGAACUGAGUAAGAUUACUUGUUCUUGGUGCAGGAAUCAAUAGAAGUACAAAGACAAUUAUUAUUGUUGCCAUUUCUAUAGUUGCUGCUGCUUUGCUGCUCCUCUCUGUUAUUUAUCUCUGCCUGAGAAUAAUAAGAAGGAAACGAAGAAAACCAGAAAGAAAUGCUCUGAUCAGUAAGUUGCACGCAUAACUGUAUCUUAACAUGCAAAUAUAUAAAACUUCAUUAAUCAUCAUGUACUAAGAUCUUGCUUUUCACAAAGCAAAUGGAGGAGAUGAGCAGGAAAUUAGAAUGGCAAAAGCUCUUUUGUUCGAUUUGACAACAUUAAGAGCUGCAACAAGCAACUUUUCUGAAGCAAAUAAGCUUGGUGAAGGUGGAUUUGGCCCAGUGUACAAGGUAAAAAUAUACUUUUCCUUUGUGAAUCAACUAUUUGUCUCUAUUGUAAUAGUAUACAUUCAACACUCUUUCUCACGAAACUACGGGCUCGAUGUAAUUCGAGCUCAAGAGACUUUCUGUUCUAAUACCAUGUGAAACGAUCAUUAUUUAUUUCUAAAAGCUUAAUCUACCAUAAAAUGGUAUUUUAAUAUUAUAUAUUCAACAUAUUUCAAGUGCUCCAAUGUGAGUAAUUUCCUCUUCAUUAUUGAAUGUGACUAUGUCACAUUUGCAUGCAGGGGACACUACAAGAUGGACAAGAAAUAGCAGUGAAGAGGCUGUCGAUGAGCUCAGUGCAGGGGCUAGCUGAGCUGAAAAAUGAGGUGGUGCUUGUGGCAAAACUUCAGCAUAGGAAUCUGGUGGGAUUAAUUGGUUGCUGCUUGGAAGAGCAAGAAAAGCUCCUUGUCUAUGAGUACCUGCCCAACAGAAGCCUUGAUAAGUUUCUCUUUGGUAUAGUCCACCACAUAGAUUGUUUAUUGAUAUUGCUAUUUGAUUUGAAUUAGCCUUUAUUAAAUAGAAGUGUACUCGUAUACUUGUUUUGAUAAGUGGAGUACAUUUGUCACGAGUCAGUUGUGCUUCUAUCUAUAAUAGGUUUUCUUACUUUUAGGGCUUUGAAACUUGCUGCAUGAUGAAAAAUGUUCUUAUUAACUGAACAAGUUAAUUAAGAAUUAAAUAUAUAACACUAUUUUACCAAAACGGAACAGAUUCUGUGAGGCGCGAGCAAUUAGACUGGGACAGACGUUACCAAAUCAUCAAAGGAAUCAGUCGAGGACUUCUCUAUCUUCACGAAGAUUCGAGGCUAAAGAUCAUUCACCGGGAUUUGAAAGCGAGUAACAUCUUGUUGGAUGGGUUUAUGAUACCUAAAAUCUCUGACUUUGGCCUGGCAAAGCUCUUUGAUGUUGAUUCGAGUAAAGGAAGCACGAGUCGGAUUGCAGGAACAUAGUUAAGCGCAUUUGGAUUCAUCAAAUUGUUUUGUCCUAAUUAGGAGAUGUUUAUAUAAUGUUAAAUUUUUUUUUUUUUUUAUUGCAGUGGAUACAUGGCACCAGAGUACGUAAUUCAUGGACACUUCUCGGCAAAAUCAGAUGUUUUCAGUUAUGGUGUGUUGGUUUUGGAGAUUGUGACCGGACGAAGGAACGCCCGCUCUCAAGAAGCUAUUUAUGCCGAAGACCUUCUAUCCUAUGUAAGCAUUUUCUAUACCUUAGUUGGUGGAUAAGGCAUACAUAUUUUUGUUUUACAAAUUCCGGAUUCGAAUAAGAGACGCAUUUAAAAAUAGAGUCCGGAUCUAUUUCAAAAACCUAAGUUUUAUUAACGUCCCAUGUAAUUAGGAUGAGAAAAGUACUGGACCAGUCCAAGCGACCCAAUCAAUGGGCCUACAAGGAAAAAGAAGAUAUUGUAGAUUCCUAGAAAUGUUAGAUUAUUAUAUAUCAGAAGAUAUUUUUAUUUUCAUGCUUGAUGCAAAUUAUUGAUAGUCUAUUAUUUUUGAGAAAAAGGUAGCACGCUACCUGCUUCAUUCAUUUAGAGAAUGAAUUAGGCUUACAUAAUGGAGGCAGCCGGGACCUCCGCCGGGGGAAAGAGUGUCAAAAGCCAGAAUAACAAAGACAAGAAACGAAAACGACAAGAGACUAAAACCAAAAACAAAGGAAAUGAGGGUAAGGGAAGCAAAAGCGACAAAUAACUAAAACCAAAAGAGGAAGAAAGAAAGAGUAAAAAUGACAGGCGUCAAACAGCAGGGAUCCAGCAGGGUCAACAAGGAGCGAUCCAGGUGUCAAGCAGCAGUUUCGCCCGUUCCAGGCACCGAAUAGGGUUGGGGGCAAUCUCUCGGAAAAUUAAACCAUUCCUUUCCGUCCAAACGACCCACCAAAUAGCAGAAAGAAGGGAGAGGGAAAUAAGUCUGUCUUUGGCGUCUCGUAGAUCAAUAAAUUUAGACCAGAGGUCUCUCACAUCGUCCGCUGGAUCAGACAGAGCCUCCAAGCCACCUAUGCUCAGCAAAAUGAAGCGAACAAAGACACAGGAACUCAUGAGGUGGUCGCAACUUUCCAAAUUAACGGCAUAGAAAAAACAUGUUUGAUCCGGUAGCCACCUUUGCAAACUUAUAUUAAAAAUACAUAUAUUAAUUCUUAUCAACCUCCCAACCCAAAUGCUUUGAUAAAUUACCAACAAACUUAUCAUUUCCAAAUAGAAAAUAGACAAUAUUUUAAUAUUUUUCGAAAUAUUAUAAAUCAUGAACCAAUCUAGUCUGGUUCUGCUAGUAACUGAAGCACUCUCUUAACCAGGUGUGGAAGCACUGGAGCCAAAGGACUGCACACCAGGUGCUCGACCCGAGCAUCUUGGGACGGUGCCGGCUGCAGGACGUGAUGAGAUGCAUCCACAUUGGGCUGCUGUGCGUCCAGGCUGACCCGUCGGACCGGCCGAGCAUGGCCUCCGUCGUGCUCAUGCUCAACAGCCUCUCCUCCGCCCUUCCCGCCCCGUCGGCCCCCGCUUUCGUCAUCCAGCACGGCUCAAUUGCAGGCAACGCAGAUGAGGUCGAGACCGACGCGUCCGGCGUGCUGCAAAGGCGCACGACGAGGGCGGCGUCGGCGAACGACAUCUCCAUUUCGGAAGUCGAGGCGCGGUAGGGCCUCAGAGUUGGGGAAGAUUCAAUUUGAAUAUACCGAACUGGAGUGGUAGUGCAUGCCGAAUGAGCAGCAGAAGGCAUUAUCAUUAAUUUAGAUCUACACAAACGUUGAAUACUUCAUUCGAUUCUUUGUUUUGGUAAAAAUAUAUGAAACUUAUCUUAACUGUCCACCAUUUGAAUUUGAUUAUUCAAUUUUUCAAAAUUUUAAUUUUACUAUAUAAUAUUUCAAUUUGUUUGAUUUGAGCACGCCAACCGGCACUUUAACUUUAAAAUUUGAAUACGUCGUUUAAUUCUACAGAUUUAGUUAAUAUAUUUCAUUCAACUCACAACUACAAGUUUAUUAUAUUAAGUAAUUAACUUAAAUUUUGAAUUCGAAUUAUCGUUGACUAAUUCAAAUCAAACAAAUUGAAAGGCUGGAUAUAUAGUAAAAUUAAAAUUUUGAAAGGCUCAAUAGCUAAAUUCAAAUGGCCUAUAAUUCAUAUAUAAGUUUCAACAUUUUUAUUUAUUUAACUAGUGAAGAUGUAAUUAAUAAUAGCAUAGAUGUAGGCUAAAAUUUGAAAACUUUCUUGCAUUUUAGCCUGUGUCUUAAUUAAUUUCUAUACUAAAAGUUAUUUUAAUUUUUAAAAUUAGGCAAGUAUAUUUUUAGAAGUACAGAAGUUUUCAUACUUUCUAAUUAUUUUCAAUAAUAAGACAUCCAAUUCGACAAUCAACUUUAUUAGACAUAAUUUACACUAUUCAAACUAUCUUAAAAAUAAAAUUUUAUAAUUUUUUUUAACAUCAUUUGUUUAGUGAUGAAUAGUUACAAAAUAAACACCUGAAAAUAAAAAUCAAUAGUUACAAAAUAAACACCUGAAAAUAAAAAUCUCAUAAAAAUCAUAGUAGAACACCUAAAAAUCUCAUAAAAAUCUCAUAUCGUUUGGACGUUUAAUUAAAGACGUUUCGUCCAAACAUAGAAUAAAAAGUGUUUUUAUAUUGAAAUUUUCUUAUAGUGAAUUCAACCUUCAAUCGGAGAGACAACAGUUGGCGGAUCAAACUAGAGCGCAUCAUGCGUCGGUUCCCCAUUUUUCCACCAACAGCAGGUUAAUAUUCCAUAUCCUGUUCUUUGCAGCAGCACAGCAUAUUUGCAAUAUUUCUUAACUCUUUUCCAUAAGAAUAGUUGCAUAUUAGAUCUUAAGCUUAAGUAUAUCAUAUUUUUCUACUCCAUCAAUCUUCUCAAUAAUUGUAUGAUAUUGAACAACAACUGUUUUUAAUUUAUUUUUUUUAUAUAAAAAAGGGAAAAAGAAUGGUCGUUUUGGAAUUGGAAGGUGACGGGAGAAACCACUACGCGUUUUAACAAAUUUGAUUGAGAAAAUUGUAAUUAGAAAACCGCGUCAGACAGGACUAACGCUGGACUUUCGAACGACCGCAUCCAGCGGCGGUAAGAAAACGAACCUCUUUUUCUCAAAUUUUUGUAGACUAGCCGUCAAUUCAAUAGCCAACGGCCCACCAGUCAAUGGUCCCACAUCUAAGCUUUUUUUUUUUCUUUUUUUUUUUUUUUGAUGAGAUAGGUAGCACGCUACCCGCUUCGUUUAUUUCAUUUAGAAAUAAAUUUAGCUAGAAAUGUGAAUCAACUGGGAUUCAAACUUGGGUCUCGGGUACCAGCCACCAAGCUCUUUGCCACUUGCUUUAGGGACGGUCGGUAUCUAAGCAAUUAUUAGAAGUAUAAUUCUUCUUGUGCUCCUAACUUUCUAAUCAUUCAUCAAGUUUAAUGGAUGAUUAAGAUAAGAAAAAAAAAAUAAAAAAAAUUGGAUGUCCCAAUUUCUCUACUCUUUGAAUAUUUUUUUCUAAUUUUUCUUCCCUCCCUCUCAUCCUAGCUAUCCAUCAAAAUUGAUUAAUGAUUAGAAAGUUAGGAAUACAAAAACUGUUGUGCUUCUAAUAGCACAGUAAUCUUACUUAUUAAAUUAUUACAAAGAGUUAGACUAUUAUGCUUUCAAAAGCAAAGUAGUCUAGCUCUUGACUACGUUUAAAAAAUACGAAGGUAUUUGUAGUUUUGAGUUGUUUUUUAUGAUAGGACAUCUAAUGCGGCGAUCAGUUUCAUUAAAAAUGAUCUAUUGUAUUAAAACUAUUUAGAAACCAAAUUUCAUAAUUUUUCGAAUUUAUUUAUCUAGUAAACGAAUAGUCUAAAAAUGAACGAUUAAAAAUAAAAAUCUCAUACAAAUAGUAAUAAAAGACUUAAGCUUCGAAUCGAAAGUACUGAUCUUACUCUCAAUAGUAAAUAAAAUUGUCUAUUAAAAUUUUAUCUAAUUUCAAUUGUUAUACACCGUUAAACUUAGCAACGUGUUACAUCGGCUAUUAAAAUAGUCAUUUUUAAAACCCUUUGAUUACUUGGUAAAUAUUAUUAAAAAAUUAUAUAAUUUUCUUUUUAGUCAAUUCUAAUAGUAUAGAUUAUAUCUAACGGAGCUAAUCUCUGAAUCAAGAUGUUCUAUCGUCGAAAAUAACUUAAAAAUAUAAAAGUCUCUGUGCUUUUGAAAACACAGUAAACGUACUCUUAUUAUAAAUAUAUUGCCAUAUAUUUAUGUAUUAUAUACAGGUAUAAAUCUAGUUUUUAAUUAGAUUAAUAUCUAAUGAUGAAAAUUUUAAUACUGUCCAAGUCGGAAACUCGCGGUGUAUCGAAAUCUGCACAUCUAAUGCCCGCUCUACACUCAACUUUUUAUUUGUUUAUACGUAAUUACCAUCUUUACAUAAUGACUUUAAGAACUUAGAAGCAAGGAUUAACUUAACGGAUCAUGUAUUGCAGAAGCCAAUGUACAUUGAGUCGGUAUUUUCACGCCGGACUAAUUAGAAUUUUUUUUGUUUUUAUCGUAACAAUUUUCUUAUUGGAAGUAGUACAAAGCGAUAAUAACCGAAUACUAGCUAAAUUUAUUUUUUUGAUGAAUGAAGCAGUAGAAUACUACAUUCUUUCAAGAUAAUAACCGAAUGCUAAUAAGAGUUUAUAUAAUAAGAUAAGUAGAUAUUUUGAAGUUAGGAGACGACACACUAUCUGUCAAUAUAUGAUGAAAUUCUUAUUAUGCAUGUGAAAUAAGAGUAAUACUAUCUGUAUAUUUAAAAAGUAGAUAUAAAUUAUAGAGCAUGACUAUUGUACUAUUAAGAGCAUAGUAACCCGUAUAUUUCUAAGUUUCUAACUAUUCAUCAAUUUUGAUGAAUAAUUAGGAUGAAAAAGAGAAGAGGAAUUGGAGAAAAAUUUAGGUUUCUCAAUUUCUCUUAUUUUUCAAUAUCUUUCCAAUUUUUCUUCUCUUUCUCACCCUAAUCGUUCAUCAAAAUUAAUGAAUGAUUAGAAACUUAGGAGCAGAGCAACUAUUGUACUUUUAAUAGUACAGUAAUCCUACUCUAAUUUAAUUAUGUUAUACAUGCAAUCAAAAUUUAUUUUACAAUAAGAGCGUUGACUGACGUCAACUCAUAGUUCGACGGUCAACAGUCAAUCAGAUCCCCAGGAGAGGACUCAUGGCCCGUCUAAUACGGAAUCAAUAGAUCAAUUGGACCACGCAAACGUCUCAAAGUCAUUAAUUAUUAUCUACCCAUUUAUUAACUGGUAAAUUAUUAUCUUAUCGUUUCCUUCAUGGAUAAUUGGAUACAAGACACUACAAAAGAUUGCCUUUUCAAGGUUAUUUCUACAAAAUUUUUAUUUUUAUAUUUAUUUCUUUAGAAAAAAACAUUUAUAUAAAAUUCCUUUAUAUAGCCCCGUAUUUCAUUGUGUUUUCCAACUACUUGUGAGAAAACUAUGGAGCCUUCCCCUUUCCGGUUCCUUCUCUGCUCAGUACUGCUCCUCAUUCUCCUCCACAUCCCCACAUCCAAAUCCGAAGCCUCCUCCCUCUUCGUCAACUGCUCCACUGCCGCGAACUUCACGGCGAACAGCACCUUCCAGUCGAACCUAAACCACCUCCUGUCUACCCUCCCCGUAGCCGCCUCACCGUCCGGCUUCUACAACACCACGGUCGGUCAAAACGGCGUCGAUCAAGUCUACGGCCUCGCAUUAUGCCGCGGCGAUAUCUCCGCCUCCGACUGCAACGCCUGUUUGACUACAGCCGCGCAACAUGCCGUCGGAGAGUGCCCGCGCGGCACGUCGAACACCCUGUGGUACGACACCUGCAUGCUGCGCUACUCCAACAGCAGCUUCUUCGGCGUCGUCGACUGGGCUCAGAUCUUCGCAUGGAACCUGCACAACGUCACGGAUCCGAAUCUGUUCGACGACCAACUCUAUCAGCUCAUGCGUAACUUGUCCACGGAAGCGGCCUACAGGUCGGGGCGGCCGCCGAUGUUCGCCGUGGGCCAGGUCCAAGUCAUCAACUCUACAAACAUAUACGGGUUGGCGCAGUGCACGAGGGAUCUGUCGCAGAACGACUGCUACGGGUGCUUGAGCAAUUGCAUCAAGAGCAUCCCGAAUUGCUGUGCAACGAGGAUUGGCGGGAGGAUUUUCGGAGAGACUUGCAUGAUUCGGUUUGAGUCGGCUCCGUUUUACAAUUUGUCGCCCAUCGGGAACACGACAGCACCGUCGCCGGCACCGUCCGGUCAGAAUAAGGGUGAUGGCAGCAAGGGAAGUGGAGGUAAGUCAAAGUCUUUUUCCCGCGUUAUUUUUUUUUUUUUGAGAAAAAUAGUAUGCUACUGCUUUAUUCAAUAAGAAUAUGAACUUAACUACAAAAUUGCGACAACGAGACCGCGAAAAAAUAAAAAAGAAAAUACUAAGAAGAAAGAAAGAAAGAAAAGAACACAUCGAGCUACAAUAACAAAAUUAAUGAAUCCUGUACUGAUCCCAAAGCCUCCUAAUUAGCUCUCUAAUCUCAACUAACAGCUGAUACAAGUUAAAUUUUUUUUUACCGUAGGGAUUUGCUGUAGGGAGGCUGUAGGAAACUUCCUUUAAUCGAUCUAAGUAGGGGAGCUAAAGUUUUUUUUUUGAGAAAAAGGUAGCAAGCUACCUGCUUCAUUCAUAAAGUGGGAUGAAUUAAGCGUACAGGGUGGAAGCAACGACGGCCUCCGAAAAAGGCAAAAGGAGAAAACAGAAAUAAAGAAAAAAAGAAGAAAAGAAACAAAGUAAGAGCUAAAGUUAUGAGCUAGAAACAAGGGUUAAUUUACAGUAUUAGUUUAGAAACAAAAGCACGAAGAUAGUGACAUAUAGAUAUAUCUAUUACCAAUUAAACAAAUUAAAAUAAAAUUAUAAACUUCUAUACGAUUGAAAUACUGGUAAUUAAUUAACAAAACUGCAUUUAUAAUGUUUGAAAAUUAUUAUACAAUCAAUCUCAAUUCAGGAAAAUGGCUCAUUUUAAGUUUGAGCUCAUCACACACAAAUUGUUAGAAAAGGUCAAACUACUUCAUGGUCGAUAUGAACUAACAUAUAGAGCUAAUUAAUAGCGUGUGGAUGAUAACCAUAUCAAGGUUUUUUUUUUUUUUUUUUUGAGAAUAGGUAGCACGCUACCUGCUUCAUUCAAUGGAAGGGUGAAUUAGGCUACAGAGGUGAGGCAUCGAGGGCCUCGUGAACACAUUAAAAAAAAAAAAAGAAAAAAAAAGAAAAAAAGAAGAAGCAUAUAUAUAUAUAUGUAUAUAUAUAUACAUAUGUAUAUGUAUAUAUAUAUGUAUAUAUAUAUACAUAUAUAUAUAUACAUAUACAUGUAUAUAUAUAUAUAUAUGUAAAGAAGGCAAUUAAGGAAGGUCUAUCCAAGAGUCAAUCAGGAACUUGAGCCUGCGCACCACAGUUACUGGGUCAAACUGUAUGCCUCGAAAGAUAACGUCGUUCCUAACUUUCCAAAUGGUCCACCAGCACGCUGCUAACUCGGGUAAUCCGUGCCUCCUAUUUAGUCCACCAUCCCUACGUCUCCACCUAUCCCAGACUUCAAGUACAUCAUCACCCAAUUCCCCGGACUGAACUUCUUCGAGUCCCGCGACCAUGAUAUACUUGGUAAAGACACAUUGAGUGAAUAGAUGAUCCACAGACUCGUCAUGAACCGUACACAGCGCACAAGUCGUACUUCCAGACCACCCUGUCAGACUGAGGUUGACCGCCGUAAGAGUUCUUUUCUUAAGGACAAGCCAACAGAACACUUUGAUCUUGAGUGGGAUUCGGAGUCUCCAAACCAAGCUACUCCGCCCGUCUCUCGUGCCCCUGUCGUUCAAUAUGCGAUAGGUCGAUCGUACUGAGAAUAUAUUAUUAGUAUCCCAUCUCCACCCUAUCCUGUCCUCUGUCUGUCCAAUACAAACGCUAGAAACUCUCUCUUUGAGUUUUGAGAGGGUGCAACGCAAGCUCGGUGUAACAGAAGUUUCCUCGCCCAAGAUCCUAUUCCAAUCCCAAUCGUUGCCGCCAAAGCAAUCCCGGACCAGGAUGGGUUUUCGAACCGGCUGUGUGAACAACUCCGGGAAGGACGCUUGGAGUGUGGUAUUCCCACACCAUCUGUCAAGCCAAAAAUCAACCGAUGCCCCAUUACCCAGAUGAUAGUUGGUCCCCCAUUUGAAAAUAUCCUUGGUGGCAAGCACCCCCUUCCACCAGUAUGAAGACGGCCGGAAACCUCUCCCCUCCCACAGCGGUCUUCUUCUUCGGUAGUACAAAGCACGGAUAAGCUUGAUCCACGGCAAAUUGGAUAUAGUAUAGUAUCUCCACCACCAUUUGACUAGGAGAGCCGUAUUCAUGUCGGCUAUAUCUAGGAUGCCUAAACCACCUGCCCGUUUGCUCAAACAGACAUUUUUCCAUGCGACCAGACACCCCCUGCCAGGGAUGUCGCAUUGGCCACUCCAAAAGAAAUCCCUGCGUAGUGCUUCGAUGCGCUUGAUGACCCAUUUGGGUGCCUUGAACACUGUCAGGAAGUACAGUGGCAGAUUGGUGAGCACCGCAUUGACAAGGAUAAGUCUACCCCCUCUCGAGAGAAGUUUGGCCUGCCAUGCACCCGUCUAUUCUGUGCUGUAUUUUCUGAAUAACCCCUCUCCAGUCCUCCUUUGUGGGGGGUUUUGGUGAGAGUGGUAGACCUAGAUACGUGGUAGGGAGGGAACCAACUUUACAAUCGAGCAACUGCGCAAGUCUCUCCGCUUUACCCUCAAUCCGUCCUAGGUAGUAAAGCUCGGACUUUUCUCUGUUGAUUUUCAACCCAGAUGCCCACUCGAAGAGAUUCCACAUCAGUCGGAUAUUUCUCAUAAAUCGUUUUCUAGCCACGGAGAAGAAGAACGUAUCGUCCGCGAACUGUGUAAGUGCCGUUAAACUCUCGUGUGAAGGGCCAAUCCCCAUGAAGAGGUUGUUUGAGAUUGCCAUGCUGGACAAUCUAGCGAGACACUCCGCCACCAGCAGGAACAGGAAUGGUGAGAGUGGAUCUCCUUGACGUACCCCUCUCUUAGUUUUGAUCCAGUUAGUUGCCUCACCAUUAACUAAAAUGGCUACCUUAGCGUUGCACACACAUUGUUUGAUCCAUUCACACCACUGCUCCUCGAAUCCCCACCAUCGGAGAAUGCUGAAGAGAAAGGGCCAGUAAAUUCUAUCGUAGGCCUUUUCGAAGUCCACUUUUAUGCCAACUCCCUCAAUGGCCUCCUUACAACCCCCCCAAUUAGUUCAGAGACUGUUACGUACGCGUCGGUAAUGUUUCUCCCUUUUAAGAAAGCGGAUUGAGAGGGAGAGAUUAACUCAUUCAUAACAGCAGCUAGUCGAUUUGCGAGGACCUUCGAAAUAAUCUUUUGGAUUCCGUUUAUAAGACUGAUCGGCCGGAACUCGUUAGCCCUUUCCGCCCCUUCUCUCUUAGGGAUGAGACAGAUGAAUGAGUAAUCAAAAGGAGCAAUCGAAAUCCUGCCUUCAUAUAGAAAGACCAAUGAGUAAUCAAAAGGAGCAGUCGAAAUCCUCCAUAUCAAGGUUGAUGGUGAUAAUAUUUGAUCUAGAAAGACCAAUGCCCAUCUUUAGGUAUACCCAUCCCUUUCUUCUAACAUUGAGAUAUUUAUAUAACCAUGCCUUAAUUCAAUCCUUUUCAUAGGUAAUACUCUUUUUCAACUUACGAAAAGAUUGCAUUAUGUGCGGUAAAAAAAUAUUACAGAAAAAUAUAAUAUUUGUUUCCAUACGUGAUAUCAGAUUUCACAUAUUGUAAUAAAUUAAUUACGAUAUAUUUUCUAUAGUCAUACCAAAGAAUAAAAAAGUAUAUUUUUAUAAGCUUUUGUCCCGAUAUUUUUUUGGUUUAAUAGCAUUAAAUAGGUGUCAAUCUCAGGUGAGGCCUAAAUUAUGUAGUGAACUCUUAUUCAUGGAAUUAAUAUUGCUCAAGUAUCCAAAAUAACAAAAAUAAAUAAAAAUAGGGAAAGAAUAAAAACUCUCACUCUCACUCUUCGUGGUUUCGUGGUGAUUUGGUUUAUAUGGUGCGAGACAUUUAAUAAAGUGAAAAACAAGGCAUUAUAUCUCAUGGCCCUAAUGAAAAGGGUUUCAAAGCGUUCCUUCGUUGAAGGAUUUUUCAUCUUUUUUCGACUUGGCAUUAUAUCUCAUGGCCCUAAUGAAAAGGGUCUUUUUCAUCUUUUUCCGACUAUCUUUGGAUCUUUUUUACUUUAGCAUUGUUUUCUUUCUUGCUGUUCGUCUUUCGCCUCGGAAGCCUGAGCUUUUUCCAUACUGUAUUGCCUAAUUCAUUUAUCAAUGAAUGAAGCAGGUAGCCCGUCUACCUCUUUCUCAAAAAAAAAAGGUGUUCCUUCGUCGAGCACGAUCCUCAACCUCUCUCCUUCUUUCUCUCCAUCAUCCUCUCACCGUCUGAUCUCAGAGUUUGAUCAUCACAUAUGGUUGUGCAGAGUCCGGAUGUCACGAGGUCGUCAAUUCUAUGGGUGUCCAAACCGGAGGAUAAAACAACUACUUUUGCAUUGAUGAAAAAAAUAAUUGUUCAUUAAUUAUUAAUUAUCUAGAGUAACUUUAAAAUUUAGUAUGCAAUAAUAUCAUUUAUCUUUAUUCCAACUAACAGUGCUUUAAAAAGUUUCUUUCUUCAUUUACUAAUUAUUUUUAUAUUUGUGUACAGUAACAAGAACGAUAAUUAUUCUGUUUGGAUUGAUGAUACACACUACAAUACUGUUGACUUAAAGAUCAAGUACAGACAUUUCAAGAAGCUGCGGAGCAACAUAUUCAAAAACUAGAAAAGAAAGCCUUAUUUCUACUUAAGCUGCUUAUAUGUUUAAUUGUGGCUAAUAUUUUAUUUAGUUUGGCAAUGUAAUAAAAUAUGAUAUAAAGAAUUAAAGCUGCAAUAUUUUUGAUAAUGUAGUAGGAUUGCGAUAAUACAUUCUAGUGAUGAAGUAGUAAUUGUUGUAAUGUAAGUGAGACAAUAUUUGUGAUAAUGUUAGUGAUAUAUAAAAUAGUAGUUGUUGUAAUGUAAUUAAAGCAUUGUUUGUGAUAAAAGCUUAUUUCAUUUUGAAGUAAAGUGGUACCUGCACAUAGAUAAGCGAAGAAAACUACACUAUAAGAAAUCUAAAGAGCUGCAACAUACAACCUUCAUAGAAUCUACACAAAAAUCCUACAACCCACAUCGUGAAAUAUGCACUGAAAUUUGCAAGCAUUAUUUGUGACUGCAGGAACAUAUAUAGUUAGGCACACAUUGAUUCAUCAUAUUGUUUUCUCCUAAUUAGGAGAUAUUUAUAUAAUGUUAAAACUUUCUUUUUGAUUGCAGUGGAUAUAUGGCACCAAAGUAUGUAAUUCAUGAACACUUCUCAGCGAAGUGAGAUAUUUUUAAUUAUGGUGAGUUGGUUUUGAAAAUUUCGACCGAAGGAACGCGGCCCGAUCAUUAAUAAGCCUAUAUGGAAAAAGAAGACACUGUAAAUUCCUAGAUGGCAGGAAUUUUAAAUUAUUGGAAAUUAAGAGAUAUUCUCAUUUUUUUAUACUUGAUGCAAAUUAUUGAUAGUUUAUUAUUAAAAAUGCAUAUACUAAUUUUUAACGACCUCUCAAUUUAAAUGCUUUGAUGAAUUAGCAUCAAAUUUGCAUUAAUUUAGUACUUUCGAAAAAAACGAAAGCGUUAGUACUUUCAGAUUAUUUUCAAUAAAAAUUAAACAUUUACAUACAUACUUUUUUUUUCAUUUUAACUGCCUUGAAAUUUCGUACUAGUCAAAAUCAUGUGGACGACUAGAUAAGGGGAAUAUAUAUAUAUAUAUAUAAGUUAUUUGUGCUGGUAUGCUUAUGAAAGCACGAGGCCUCCGUGCUUUCACUUUGUUUUUGAUGUUCGGACUUUCGAAUCGACGAUCGCUCCGUUAGAGUUGAUCUAGAGUAUUUGAAGUACCUAGAAAUAAAUUUUGUGAUUUUCGAUAUCAUUUGCUAGUGAUCAGAGGGCUCAAAAUCAAUAAUUUUAACAGCCGUGGUGAGCCGAUGCAAGUUUAACGGUGUAAAAAAUAUUCAAAUCACAUAAAUUUUGAUAAAAAAAAUUCUCAUACCAUAAUAAAACAAGGAUCAAUAACUUUGAUCUAAAAUUUUAAUUCAUAUCAUCAUAUUUUGUAAGAUUUUUAUUUUUCAGCCGUUGAUUUUGAGCCACUUCGAUCACUAAGCAAUGAUAUCGAAAAAUCGCAAAAUUUAUUUCUAAUACUUCAAAUACUCUAAUCAAGUUUAACGGAGCCGAUUGUCGAUCGAAAGUCCGAACAUCAAAACAAAGUGGAUACGGAGCCCCUCGUGCUUCUAAUACAUCCUACCACACUCUAAUAUAUAUAUAUAGAGUUGACUAGAAUCUAUCGAUAGCGAAACCGCACUUUGCAACCCAUUUGUUUGAUGAUGGAGCCUCCAAAUCGACGAUCAGCCCCCGUUGAACGUGAUCUAUACUACUUAAGUAAUUUAAAAUUAAAUUUCAAAUCUUUUCGAUAUCAUUUGCCUAAUGAUCAAAGAUUUCAAAAUUUGUAAUUUUUAAUGGUCGAUAGUAGGCGUUUUCUCGUUUAACGGCGUAAAGAUAUCCAAAUCAAUUGAAUUUUUGUUAGAAAAUUCUUUAAACUAUUUAAAAAAAUCUAUACUCUUGAUCUGAUUACAAGACUCCUAUUAUCCAUUUUUAAAAUAUUCAUUUUCAGCCGUUCAUUUUGUGUCCACCGAAUGGAUAAGAAGCAAUAUCGAAAAUGUAAUGAAAUUAAUUUCUAAAUACUUCAAAUGUAUAAUCAUGUUCAACGGUGCCGAUCAUCAUUUGGAGCUCCAUCAUCGAAAACAAAAUGGUGCAUAAAGUGUCGGUUUGCUAUCGAUAGUAUUGCUAGCUCACUCUAUAUAUUAUAAUAUAUAUAUAAUAUAUAUAUAUAUAGUGCGUCUCGGGUGUGCUUUCCGAAGCACGGAGCGCUCCGUGCUUCACUUUGUUUUCGAUGUUGGGACUUCAAAUCGACGAUCGCUCCGUUAGACUUGAUCUAGAGUAUUUGAAUAUCUAGAAAAUAAAUUUGCGAUUUUCGAUAUCAUUUGCUAGUGAUCGAAGUGGCUCAAAAUCAACGGCUGAAAAUAAAAAUCUCACAAAAUAUGAUGAUAUGACAUUAAAAUUUUAGAUCAAAUUAUUGAUCUUGUUUUAUAGGUAUAAAGAAUUUUCUAUCAAAAUUUCACGUGAUUUGGAUAUUUCUAACACCGUUAAACUUGCAACCGGUCACCACGCCGUUAAAAUUAUUGAUUUUGAGUCCCUUCGAUCACUAGGCAAAUGAUAUCGAAAAAUCGCAAAAUUUAAUUUCUUGGUACUUUAAUACUCUAGAUCAACUCUAACGAGGCCGAUCGUCGAUUCGAAAGUCCGAACAUCGAAAACAAAGUGGAAGCACGGAGGCCUCCGUGCUUACGAAAGCAUACCAGCCCACUCUAUAUAUAUAUAUAUAUAUUAUAUAUAUAUAUAUAUAUAUAUAGUAUAUUAUAUAUAUAUAUAUAUAUAUAUAUAUAUAUAUAUAUAUAUAUAGCUAGUCUCCUAUAUUAUCUAUAGUACCCUGACUCCAGUACUAUAGUCCCGUUUUCGAUUUUAGGGUGUUCAAAUCAACGAUCCACACCAAUUUAGGGUAUUUAAAGUUUUUAGAAAUAAAAUUUUAUAUUUUUUCGACAUAAUUUACUUUAUGAUCAAACCAUUUUAAAAUUGUCAAUUUUCAAUGACUACUAUGGCGAGUUUGGAAUUUAACGGUGUAGAAGAAUCUAAAUUUCUUCAAAUUUUGAUAGAAAAUACUUUAAACUAUCUAGAUCAAGAUUAACAUUCUUAAUCUUGAAUUUACAAGUCCUGUGCUCAAAUUUUAAAGAUUAUUCAAUUUUCACCGUCUAUUUUGACAUAAUUUAUUUGCUAAGUAGACAAUAUCGAAAAAAACUAAACUUUUAUUCCUAAGAACUUCAUAUACCCUAGAGCAUAUUUAACGGUGUAGAUCGUUAAUUUGAAUACCCUAAAAUCGAAAACAAGAUUAUAGUACCAAAGCUUCGGUACUAUAGAUAGUAUAGUAGUAUAUAUAUAUAUAUAUAUAUAUAUAUAAUCCGGCUGGUAUACUAUCUGUAGCACGGAAGUCUCCGUAUUAUUAAGUUAUUUUCGAUGAUGCGGCUUCUAAAUCAACAAUUGACUCCGUUAGACUUGAUCUACAUUAUUCAAAGUAUUUGAAAACUAAAUUUUAUAAUUUUUCGACAUCAUUUACCUAUCAAGUAGUCUAAAAAUGAACGACUGAAAAUAAAAAUCUCAUAAAAAAUAAUAAUAAAAAAUUUUAAUUUAAAAUCAAAGGUACUCAUCUUACUGUAAAUAGUAAAAAAAAAAUUCUAUAAAAAUUUUAUUAAAUUUGAUUCGUUUUACACCGUUAAAUUCACAAACGCAUCACAUCGGCCAUUAAAAUUGUCAUUUUUAAGAUCUUUUGAUCAUCAGCCAAAUAAUGUCGAAAAAUUAUGAAAUUUAGUUUUCAAAUAUUUUCAAUAGUAUAGAUCAAGUCUAACGGAGCGGCCGAUAGUUGAUUUGAAAGCUGCAUCAUCGAAAAUAAUUUGAUAGUAUAGAGGUCUUCGUGCUACCGAUAGUAUACCGGCCUAACUCUAUAUAUAUAUAGAGAGAGAGAGGGAGAAAAUUAGACUACUAUAUUAUUAAUAGUAUCAAGUACUAAGUGUUGUUAGGUUUUCAGCCUUUGAAUAAAGGGAUGUGCGGUUAAGAUGAUAAUAAUCUCCGGUUAAAAUAAUAACGAUCCUCAAGAAUUGGAUGGAUAGUUAAAUAUAUAGUAUGAUCUAACGAAUAAGAAUGAUCAAAAGUAUAAAUCUAAGGACGAAAAAUUCGAUAGCACGCGCUUCCGAACUCUCUUUCUCUCUAUAUUUAUUAACUGCCUUGAAUUUUUUUUUCUUUUGAGAAAAGGUAGCACGCUAUCCGUUUCAUUUAUUUAUUUAUUUUUUUUUUUUGAGAAAAAGGUAGCAUGCUACCAUCCGUUUCAUUUAUUAGGGUGAUGAACUAGACUACAAAAGUGGGACAACUCGAGCCUCCCCCCNNNNNNNNNNNNNNNNNNNNNNNNNNNNNNNNNNNNNUAUAUAUAUAUAUAUAUAUAUAUAUGGUAUACUAUCUGUAGCACGAAAGUCUCCGUAAUAUGAAGUUAUUUUCGAUGAUGCGGCUUCUAAAUCAACGAUCGGCUCUAUUAGACUUGAUCUAUAUUAUUCAAAGUAUUUAAAAACUUAAUUUUAUAAUUUUUUGACGUCAUUUAUCUAUGAAAUAAUUUAAAAAUGAACGGCUGAAAAUAAAAAUUUCAUAAAAAAUAAUGAUAAAAAAUUUUAAUUUAAAAUGAGAGGUACUCAUCUUACUCUAAAUAGUAAAAAAAAUUUCUAUAAAAAUUUUAUUAAAUUUGAUUCGUUUUACAGCGUUAAAUUUACAAACGCAUCACAUCGGCCAUUAAAAUUGUCAUUUUUGAGAUCUUUUGAUCACCAGCCAAAUAAUGUCGAAAAAUUAUGAAAUUUAGUUUUCAAAUAUUUUCAAUAGUAUAGAUCAAGUCUAACGAAGCAGCUGAUAGUUGAUUUGAAAGCUGCAUCAUCGAAAACUAUUUGAUAGUAUAAAAGUCUUCGUGCUAUCGAUAGUACACCGGCCUAGCUCUAUAUAUAUAUAUAUAUAUAUAGAGAGAGAGAGAGAGAGAGAGAGAGAGAAUUAGACUACUAUAUUAUUAAUAGUAUCAAGUACUAAGUGUUGUUAGAUUUUCAGCCCUUAAAUGAAGGGAUGUGCGGUUAAAAUAAUAGUGAUCUCCGGUUAAAACAAUAACGAUCCUCGAGAGUUGGAUGGAUAGUUGAGUAUAUAGUAUGAUCUAACGAAUGAGAAUAAUGAAAAAUAUAAAUCUAAUGACGGAAAAUUCGGUAGCACGCGCGUCCAUAUUAUUAUAGUCCCCGAACUCUCUCUCUCUCUCUCUCUCUCUAUUUAUUAACUGCCAGGAAAUUUUGUUCCAGUCAAAUCCGUGUGGACGACUAGGCAAGAAAAUAAAUAAAUAAAUAAAUAAAAAGUGAGCAUACGCGCGAACACUUUUUAACGAGAAAUAGUAAUAAGGAAGGGAGGCGAGCAGAGGUAAAGUCGCUUUCCCAGUCUCUCCGAUAAUUGCCUUUCCUCUGCUUCGCCGGAACAGCUUCUUUCAUUAUGGCUCUUGUCCUCUUCCAUCUGCAGUUAAUCGCGAUCAUAUCCGUCCUUAUUACUACGGCGUUCCCAUACCCAGCUUACUCCGAGGCUAAUGCCACGCUCACCUACUGCUCCGGCGAUCCGCCCUACAAACCCACCUCCCCUGUCCUGAGCCCUACCCAGUUCACGGACUUCCUCUACGGCGUGGCCACCGCCGCUCCUACCACCGCCGACAGGUCCUCCAGCUCCCAGCUCCCCGCCGGCGACCAGACCAUCUACGCCGUCGCCCAGUGCCGCUUCGACGCCUCCCCCUCCGACUGCUCCGCCUGCCUCAACUCCUCCCUCGACUCCAUCGGCAGCAGCUGCGCCGCCUCCGCCGUCCGCUACGACCUCUGCCUCCUCCGCUACGACGUCCACGACCUCUCCCUCUUCGACGAGAACGAGUACACCGCCGCCGUCUUCAACGCCACCCGCGCCGCCGCGAAGCCCGCCGAGUUCGAGAGGGACGUGUCGGCCCUGCUGUCCGCCGUCGUCAACGACAGCGCCGCGGCGGGGUCGCGGCUGUGGACGGGCGUCAUGACGAAUAGCUCCGCCGGCCGGAGCGUGUACGAGAUGGCGCAGUGCAUCCCGGAGCUGUCCGGCGCCGACUGCGCCAGGUGCCUGCGGGGGGCGCUCGGCCGGCUGACGGCGGACUACAACGGCAGCGCCGGCAUGCAGGUGCUGAGGCUCAGCUGCGCCGUCAGGUACGACACCUACCCCUUCUUCGACCCCUCCCUCCCGCUGCCCAGGACUCUGCUCAACGGCUCGGCCGCCAACAGCCUGUCAGCACCUCCGCCGAUCGUCGCUCCGUCUGGUCAGUCUGUGCUGCUCUUCUCCCCACCAUCCUUUGUCAGUCUGGCGAUUUUAGAUAAAAUUCUCCCGAAGUACUACUGGAUAGGUGCAAAUUCCAUAUAUAGAUGGAAAUGUUAGUUUAAAUGGGCCAGCAUCCCGCCUGCGAUGGAUGGGACGCCAAAUUGGACCAAGCCCCAUUUGAAAUAGUGUGAGGCUGGGUUGAACCGAGUUAUGUUCGAAAUGACGUGAGGCCAGUUAGACCGAGUCACAGUCGAGACUGGCGGGUACUGUGCCUGUACGCUUCCUGGCACAAAUGCACGGCAGUAACCGUAGGCAGAUUCUCCACAAUUGCAUCCCUAGUUUGUGGGUGUGCGCAAGAUCCUCAAAUUAAGGGCUUAUGUGAGAGCAUACAGCACGUAACAACUUCACGGAGAGCUGUGAUGAAUUCAGCAAUUCUUUGAGCAGCUUCAUUCUGCAAAUUCCAUUUCAAAUGAAAGGCUAACGAGCAUUAAUUAUGCUUCCGUAGGAAACAAUAAACACGCAACAAAAGUUGUUCUUAUAAUUGCCGUCACUGUGGGUGCUGGAGGGGCGAUUGUGCUUUUCGCCAUUUGCAUUUAUCUCUUCAUGGGUAAAGUUGCUAGAGAUGCACAAUGUAAGUUCCUUGAUGCAUUUCCUAGUAACAAAAAUAUGAGACAUCUUUUACUGUUAUUUGAGUUUUCUUGCGUUCUAAUGUUGGGUGCUGGGAUGGUGAAGAUAAACAGAUAAGGUCCAUAUCGUUUGAUCUGAAAACGCUUUGUACGGCCACAAAUAACUUCGCUAUUCAAAAUAAGCUCGGAAGCGGUGGAGCUGGAAUGGUCUACAAGGUAAUCUGUAAGUUUUGAGUUGCGACAGUGUCACUGAAUGCGGCCGCUAUAUAUAGCUGCUAGUUUCUAAUAUGGUAUUAGUCGUAAAUACAGGGAACGCUACCGGAUGGACAGGAAAUAGCAGUGAAGAGGUUUUCCGGAGCAUCGCAUCAAGGGAUAACAGAGUUAGGAGUUAUCGUCUUGAUUGCAAAGCUCGAGCAUCCGAAUCUUGCCAAGUUGAUCGGCUUUUGCUAUGAAAAAAUGGAAAUGCUUCUGGUUUGUGAAUAUCUGCCCAAUAAAAGUCUAGACAACUACUUGUUCGGUAAGCUGAUGCUGCAUUCUUAUCACGCUACAUAUAAUAAGGAACAGUAAUAAUCAUGCUUGCUAUGAAGAAAAUUUCAGUCAGUAUCACAAGUUAUCUACGAACUACAACCGGAAGUUAUCGCCAUCGUUAGAUCAUGGCCUGACAACCCGGAGAGCUAUUUCUAGAAUUUUUUGUUCAAAGCUUGUUUUUGUCUUGAAAACUCAUCUGCUAAUUUAGUCAGUGUUUUGUGAAUACUGUUUAGACACGUCACAAACUAUCAAUUAGGUUUCCUAUAUGACAUAAGUUAGGAUAUCUAUUACAGGACAUAGAAUUAUCAACACAAUAUUAGAAUUCUAAAAAUUUUUACCUUUCUUCUGUUCAUUUAUGGCCUUUUAAUUAGGGUUUAUUUUUGUUCAGUGCUAGUUGAUUGCCGCAUUGUUGAUAAAAAAAAAAUGUUGGGCUUAAAAUAACAAAAAAAACAAGUAUGAUAGUGAUAUCCGGCGAAAAGAAUUACACAUUUCUAUUUCCACCUAUGUUAAAAGUGAGAAAAACAUUCAACCUCUACCUCAAGCUAGUAGUACUUGUCAUCUGCAAAUUAGUAUGAGAUCUUUCAAACCUAUAGAAUUUGUUACUGAAUUUGUUUAGAUGCAACAGAUCCCAACAGGCGAGCACAACUAGACUGGCGAAUGCGCUACAUGAUCAUCAGAGGAGUCUGUCAGGGUCUUCUUUACCUUCAUGAAGAUUCACAGCUGACGAUCAUCCAUCGAGAUCUAAAAGCAAGUAAUAUCUUGCUAGAUAAGGACAUGAAUCCUAAAAUUGCAGAUUUUGGUCUCGCAAAGCUUUUGGGUAGCGAUAAAACCCAUGAAAUCACUAGAAAAAAUGCUGGUACAUUGUAAGUAGAAUCGUCAUUUCCUAAAUUAUUUUGUGACAAGAAGCUCUUUCUACGGCACGGUGUAAUCUCACAUUUCUUUAUUGCCUCGCGGCAGAGGAUAUAUGGCACCUGAAUAUUACAAUAAGGGGCAAUUUUCAAAGCAAUCGGACGUGUAUAGCUAUGGUAUAUUGGUCUUAGAGAUUGUAACUGGAGAAAGAAACAGUGAAUUUGAAGGAUCAAGCGACGCUCUGUAUCUUUCAACCUAUGUAAGUAUUCAUCUAACUAAGGAUUGAACAUCUAUAUAUGAUUUGUGAUGCGGACCUCUUUAUUGCACUGGGCAACAUAUGCUCCUUGAUUGCUAAGCCAUUUUGUUUGAUAGGUAUGGAAACACUGGAGAAAUGGGAAGGGACUAGAUGUCGUCGAUAAAAGUCUAGGUAAUCUGUAUGAACAAGACGAAGCAUUAAAAUGCAUCCAGAUUGGGCUACUUUGUGCACAACAUGACCGCGCAAAGCGACCCAGCAUGAGUCAAGUCUCAUCCAUGCUUGAUGGUCCCAAUGAAAUAUCGGAACAACCAUGCGAGCCUGGGUACGUGCCAGUGGUUGACAACACUACAGUUAUUAGCUCACCCGAACAAGAACAAGCGCCAUUCAAUACAUACAGGGCCAUUCAAGAACGAGAAACCGUGUAGGUUACCAAGGUGUUAGUUCCUAUAUAAGUUUUUUCUAAUGGUAAAGUGCUUCAUUUCUCAUUUCAAAUAAUCAAAUCAGUUCAUUUUUUCUAUGUCCUUGUUAAACUGAUAAUUGUGACAAUACAAUUCAUUUUCAGAGGUUGAUGGGCCUAACCUACAAAUAUGUGGAUGUUGAGGAAGAAACAAUUUCAAUUUUUAUUCAAGUGUAUGAUUUUAAACAUUAUUGUUAGUUCGAGUGGCUUGAAUUUGGCCAUUGUUUGUAUAAUUACGCUGUGAGCUCGCUGGACGUGUAUACUGUUAUCUUUUGCAUUGCAAUGUUGAUACUAAGAUACUACAAGUAGUAUUUCUCUUUUAUUUUUCUUUAAAAUGGCAAGGAAGCUAAAUCUGCAGGAGAAAACUGAACUAUUCUGGAAAUUUCUAGAGUCUCCUUAUUAUAUAUUUUACCCCAAAAGAAAGAGUAAUGCAUAAUGCAAAUAGUAACACAACUUACAAAAUUUUCUUUUUUUUUUCUCAUUUAAUACAAUAUUUCCAUGCACAAUUUGCCCACUUGUCACAUGUUUAAUUAGGCAUCGAAGAAUGGGUACACUUCAUAUCUUAAAUUACAACUUGAACCCAACACUCUCCCUCCUCUCUUCCCCUUGCAACAGCUAGAUAGUUGACUAAUGGCUUUUUCCAAACACGCUUUACAAUCGCCCCCAGAUAAAUCCUUACUACAUUGCACUAACCCAUAUAAUUCUCCCUUAUUAGUAUUAAUAUUAUUAUUAUUAACCUUAUGAUUGUUAAUCACUAGCUCACCAGCUGCGUACAGUAGAGGUGUAAGAUAAGCCCUCUUGGUCAACCCCUUCAUGAGCCUCACCACCUUGGACUCGAACCUUGACGGGUCGGCCGACGCGUUCGACCGAUCCGAUAAGAGCACGGAGUGUGCCCGAUCCACUUCCCCGAAGAAGUCGCUGUCGGAGUAGCGCACCAUGCACCGGUCCAACCAAACAGUGGCUCGCUUUCUGCGGGGACACCGUCGUAAGGUAUGGGCGUUUGCGGUGCGAAUGCAAGCGCGGCACAACGCCCGGGUGACGUCCCCACGGCACAGGGCGAGCCCAAACGCACGACUGGGGCCCGACCCGACCGAACCGAUCUCGAACCCGACGGCGGGGGCUUUGGCGGAUAGAAGAUACAUGAGCUGGUGCAGGUUUCGGGUGAACGCGUCGCCGGGACGCAAAGUGUUCGAGCUCGAGCAUCGGAUGGCGAGGGGGGGAUCGGAGGCGACGGUGGCGUAAAGAAGAAGAGAAAACGAAAGUAAGGAAAGUAGAAAUGAGAUUCUGGAGCUCAUUUUGUGUGAAGAGAAAAUGGGAAAGAGGAGAUGUUAUAUAGUGUAGAAGGUAAGCAGUUUUUUUUUUAUUUUGUGAAGGUUUCAAGGAGAAGAAGAGGUCGUAUCUGAGGAAUAAGCUGGAGAACUCAAAAAAGGUGCAUGGAAUUAAAUGGUGGGAGGAUGCUUCGUAGGGGCGUUGACUUUGAACCGUUAUGUGUUGUUUUUUCGUGAGUUGUUAGAGUUAUAGAACGAGGAGAAGAGAUGAUCAUGUUAUACAAGUCAAAUGUGACAUACUACUACUUGGUAGUUAAUUAAUUUAUGCUGAAGUAGUUUAAAGGGAGGUGUCAGCAGUGAUUAAUGUAAUUUAGUAGUAUUUAGAUUGUUGAUAAUUGGGGUGUGAUCAUUGAAGUAGAGUUUUGGUCUCCUUUUGAGGGAGGUGGCUACUGGAGUAGCAGCAGUAGUGGAAAGAGAGGAAUCAUGAAGAAGAGAAUGUUGUUUUGUUUUUUAGAGAGAUAGGUAGCACGCUAUCCGCUUUGUUUAUUUCAUUUAGAAAUAAACUUAGCUGAAAAUGUGAAUCAACUAGGAUUUGAACAUGGAAUUUCGAAUACCAACCACCAAGCCCUUUGCCACUUGCUCUAGAGACAGUCGGUAGAAGAAAAUGUUGUUAAUUUGGGUCAGGAGAGAUCAUACGUCGCUAUGUAAAAUUUGGAACUCGCGUCCCUGAUUUCAGAUCCAUUUCAAGUCUCAAAUACUUCAAACUAAACAUGCCCUGAAAAUGAACAAAAAGUUCAAGGCUCUAGCUUCUCCAGUUUAUAUAUCCCUAAGGUUAUGAGAGAGAGAAAGAGAGAGGGAAACAAAAAGUUCCUGGUGGAGCCUUUUUUUUUUAUUUUAUAGAAUUUAUAAAAUCAACUAUGGAUAUCUCAUUUGAAUUCAAUCUAAACAUUGAGCCUAAUUAUAGGCAUCAUCACGUGCUUUGAUUUUUUACAACAAAUAAAUGAUAAUUUAUUUUUCCAUUAUCCGUUCAUUUCAAGAUAAUAAUACUAGUAUCUCAGCAUUUCUCUUUUGUAAGUAUACGUGUCAUUCACAGAUUAGAAAAAAAAAAAAUUUAAAUAAAAGCUCGCAAAUCUUGCGGAAUUUGAACGACGUAGCCAAAAAAAUCGAGAAAAAGCAGUUCUAUAGGAGUAAAUCUCGGAGCAACAACUUGAGAAACACCAAUUUAAUUUUGGCAAACUUUAGUUAAAUUAUGAUUAAUUUGUUCAAAUCAUUAAACUCUAAAUUCUAUUUGGAUUGAGAUUAAAAAGACUAGGUUAAGAACUAAAGAUAUAGUUCGUAAUGACACAGCUGAGUAUAAGUCCAAACACAAAUUUUGUUCUAUUCAAUAUGAACUUACCAGGUGUAGCCAAUGAUUACUAAAUAUUACAAAAACGAAUCAAAUUAAAUGAAUCAAAACAAAACAUUUUCAAAAGGCAAAAUAAUCCCUUCAAAGUGAUCCAACAAAUUUUGUUUGAAAUAACUCCCACUGAACAAAUCCAAAAAAAUCUCAUUUUGUAACAAACCCCGCUCCCUUUUCUCUCAUCCAUAUUACAUUAUAUAUAUACACACACACACACAUUAAUUAAGGGUUUUACUCUAUUGCUCCAAUUUCUUUUGUGUCUAUUGUUAACACUGAUGAACCCUACGAUGCAGGAGAACACCCCCCACACCAUGGAGGCCUCCAAUUUGUAUCCCCCCGUGAGGUAACUUUUACUUUUGUUUCAUGCACUUUCAUUGUUUAUCAUAUGAUUAUAUGAUUCAUAUUGCGCGUCGAUAAAUCGCAAUGCUUAUCAUGUUUACUCUUUACGAUAAGACGCAGCUCCAGAUUUCGUUCAACUUACGUAAGAGUUCUACGUUCCACUUCAAGAUGAUACAGAAUAACUGCUAGAGUAAUCAUGCUAUAUUACUAUUAUGUUUGUUAUGUUGAUGUUAAUUAGAUGACGACGAAAAAGCGCACCCACCUGAAUCACGAUCUGCAUCCUACGGUGAGUAUGCUGGGUUGCAUAAAACUAUUGAAGAUGGUUUUUCCUAAAAUACAUGCAAUCAAAUAUGCGGAAAACUACUUUUCAGGCUAAAAACUACUUUUGAGUUCUUCUACAUGCAACCAAACACUGCCCCAUUCAUUAUAGAAAGGCCAGUUGGGUCGAUCUCUGCUUACAUUACAAAGUUUCUUACUGUGACAAAUCCUACAUAAAUGUCUAAUUUAUCUUUUUAACUUUACCUUUCUCGCUUCUCCAGCUACCCCCCUAUCAACUUUCCUCACUAUACCAGCUAUCCGUCUACCCUCUAUACGUAUUCUGGACUCACCAUGGGCGACACAGCAUGCUACUAUUACAACAGAGAAUGGGACAAAUGCAGCUACUACUACCCCUAUAUCUCAUAUCUGCGUCCAACGCCUGAAAACAAAGCAGCAUCGGCGCCUACUUCUAUUCCCAAAAAGGAGAAAGACACGACCACCCACUCCAUCACAGCACAUCUUGACGACCUCGUCUUGUCUCCUCGGCUAGCAGACUCGUGUAACACGUCAUGGCAGUAUCCAUCACACUCUGCUCCACGAUCGUUGUUCCCCUAUGAGGAAGUCACGGAAAAUGACAUCUCGGAGAAACAGAAGAGCAAUGACAUAGAUGAGAACUUAUCGCAACGAAAUCUAAUGGAAGAGCUGUGGGCGUUACAGCUAAACGGGUUCCUCAACAAGGAAAUAGAUUGCUUUUCUUACCAAAGUCCGACCGAACCCCAUGAUAGAUAUGGAGGAAAGGCGAAGGAGGAGUACCCGACUUUCUUCCGCCAGAUUCCACAGAAACCGCACUACCAAGGGCUAAUACAAGAGGGAGUGCCCGAGGCCAUUAAGGAGAUAGUCUAUUCAUCCUUAUGGUUUGGUCUUGUCGAGCUGAUGAGAAAGGCAUUGGAGACUACUUGCUUCACGAGCGAGAAAGAUAUUGACGAGUUGAUGGGCCAGGCGCGCGGCCUCGAGAACUUGGGCUUCGAUGUGAGGCACGUGAUCGCACGGCUGAAGCAGCCCGCGAUCUACCGGGCAGAGGCGGAUCAUGCAAAGAAGGAACUCGAAGAGCUGAAGAAGAGGAAGUCGGAAGUAGAGGACAGAGUGAAGGAGAUCAAAAGGAAGGAAGAUGAACUAAGAGAGCUCAGGAAGGCGAUGGGCCUUGUCAAGCACAGCGCGCCAAUUGCUUAUCCGCGGGAGUGGAUUCCCAAUCCAGAUGAGGAUGCGUUGCAGAUGCUGAACUUGGAGGUACACAACGCUGAGUAUUUAGCUCAAGAGAAAGAGUACAAAGUAAGAUCGUUCGGUUUAAGGUUAUAAGAUCCGCAAUUGAUGGUGAUGUGCCGGAUGAAUCAAGAUGCAGAUUGUGUCAAGCGAUUAUUUUCUUAUUAUUUUCCUUCUCUUUUCUUAGUAUUGUUUACUUUUCUAGCUUCUAAAUAAUUGUUCAAACUGCCCUUUGCAUUUUAAUUUAGUUUUCUAAGUACAUAAACCUUCUGUUAUUCGGUGAUUCUUUAGUUGCAACUUUAAUCCCUGGAAAACUUCUGCAAAGUGUGAGUAAAUUAGAUUUUAUCAUGUUGAAGUACAUAAGAGAUGAAAAGUUGUAGUUUUUUGAGGUAAAUCUCCUAACAAGGAACAACACUUCUCAUUAUUUUGAUAACUAAGCAAGGUCAACAAUUAAUGACUCAGAGACAUUAAAUCUUAAAGAGAAAUAAAAUCAAACACUUUGUGUGCGGCGGAAAACUUACUGCUUCGGCUUCUUUCCGGUGACGGCAUUGGAAGCUAAGUCUCUGAGGAACUUCACCGACUUCGUCACGGGCGAAUUCGCCGCCAUGAGGUUAUAGAGAACGCUCUCAACCUCGCCGAUCGACGGCCGCUUCUUAAACCUUGAAACCACCCUCAUCUCCCCCUUCUUCUUCUGCUCCCCUUCCUCCUCCACCAUCACCACCCAACCUUCCCCACUCAACACCCCAUCCUUCACAAACCUCAAAACCACGCCUUUCCUCUUGCUCAGGAUCCCCCUCACCUCCAAGCCCAUGAAGGAAUACACCACAUCAAAGGACCCAACGAAGCUCCCCAGUCCCCCACCAAAGUCCUUCUCCUCCUCAAAAGCCCAUUUUGGGUUGAACAAAAUCGCGGGUUUUGGGUACAAAGCAUUGGUGAUGGCCCUAAUCUCCUCCAACUGGGUUCGCUCCGGCGCCGAGAACACAACGAAAUCCGCGGGGCCGAGUUGCUCCGGGAUAACAGAGGCCACGUCCGAGUUGACAACGGAGCUGGGCAUUGCGUCGAACACCUGGUGGGCGCAUUGUAGAAGAGCAGGGGAGGGCCAGAGGAUGAGGAUGCAUGGUGGUUUUGAGCCCUUUUUGAUGAUGAGCACGUCGGAGAAGAGCUCGGCGGCGAGCUGGGCGAGAGAGGAUGGGGAGUCGUCGAGGAGCGGGAUCUCGACGCGGAACCUGGGCUGCUUCUGCUUCUUGAGCUUGCGCGUGGGGAGGGAGGGGAGGGGGUUGUUGAGGGGCUUUUGGAGGGUGGUGGAGAGGGAGGUUCUGGCUUGGGAAAUGGCUUCUUCUCGCGAGGAUGGGGGAGAGGGAGAGGAGAGAGCGCAGGAGACGAAGAAGUAGGUUUGAGUAGGAGGUAAAGAAGAAGAAGAAGAAGAAGGGGUUUUAAUGGUGCGAGGGGAGUUGAGGAGAUUGAAGGCCAACAUUUUCCUUUUAUUUAGUUCUGCGGUAGUGGCUUUUUUUUUUUAUUUAGUUUAUUCUUUUUGGUUGCUAUGAGCGCUCCAUGAGCAAUUUGGAUAAGUGUAGAGAUGAAAAUGGACCCCACAAAAUUGCUAGCAAAUUUCGAGCUUAAGAGAAGGGGCUGAAAUCCUAACGAAUUAAGGGUCUGAUCAGAGAAAACUUUUUUAUCAGAUGCCAUCUUAUUCAGAUCCAUUUUAUAUUGCCAUAUCAAUAUCGAUGUUACUUAGUUUAAGUUACCAGAGAUUCUAGUGAUAUUUGGUAGGUGUUAGUGAUAUUUGAUGAAUAAGAAGUUGAGUCGCCCAGACGCUAAAAUGAGUUUUGUGAUCUUUAGCAGCAAAAGCUAAGAUCUAGGAAGCACUAUUAUCUGCUGCAAGAAGAAGGAAGUCAUUUGAAAAGUUUAAGAUUUGCAAUUACAUUUUUAAACGGCUUUAUUGAAAUCAGCACCACUGUAUUGGACAUAGAUAAUAAGGAUUAAGAGGUGAUUAUUUAUCUAUAAAUACCCGUUACAUGAACAAACUAGAAAGUAAUACGGAAGCGAGGAGCAUGGGCAGCGGCGGUGGUGGCUGUGGCCGAGACGAUCGCACAUGGUGCAGUACCCUGCCAAGGUGAAUUCGUCACCCGGUGCCACCGCCAACGGGCCGAACUCGAAGACUGUGGGAUCAGAUUCUCGCUGGCGCGCCUCCACUGCCCCAUUCAUCGCCACCGGCACCUCCUCAGCCGCCGAUGCCGAGCUCACCGGCUUCGCGGCAGCAGCGGAGGUGCGAGCGUCGCCUUUGACCUUCCACCGAGAGAGUAAUCCCAUGCUAUAUUGUGCUUCUGUUGAGGCGAUUAUGCGUCUGUUGGAUUGGAUUACGAGUGACUUCCCUUUGUACAUAUUAGCGCCCGCAACGUGAUUGUUUAUACGGUAAAAUGUGAUUGAUGGAUUAAUCGUGUUAUAGUAAACCCCGUACAUGAGUUAAUGAUAUGAGUACGACACUGUUGUGCAAUUAGAGAGUUUGUACCACUCAUAAGCUUUGUCGUUUGGUUUCUCAGAUUUGACAUCUCCUACCAUACUAGCCACAGGGAAAAAUUAAAAUAAAAAUAAAAAAAUAAAAAAUAAUAAUAAUCCCAGUGAUCUAAAGUUAUUCACUGGACAAAUCUACGUCUGGCAUACACUGAAUUUAUUCAUAAAGAUAUUACAAGACAAUCCAGACAACUUAAAUUCAAAGUUAUAAAAAUGACACAGCUUAAGCUUGGAGAGAGAAAUUCAGAGUUCUUUUUUCCUCAACAUGAGGAAAUUAGUUCGAGAGAAAUUUAGCAUGAGAAAUGGAUUGAACAAUGAUGAUCUUAAGCCACUGGAGGGCAGGACUCGGCGUCCUGCGAGGUGUCGACAUCUGCAGGGGGCAUGAACUGCCACAUAGGAUAUCCCGGGUAGCCGAUGAGAGGCAUCACCAGCUUGUGACCUGCCGAUUGACCCGGGGCAGCAAAUGCGGCCGGCAUGACAGGAGGGUGCGGCAUGUAGCUCGGACGAGAGUUUAUGAUCUUUAUUUGCUGCUCCAGGCUCUCUUUCUCAGCCUUCAGCCUCUGCUUCUCGUCGCGAAGCUCAUUCUUCUCGGCCUGUGAGAAAGUUGGAAUCGGCGUGCAGUGUUAAAAAGAACAAUCAUAGCUAAUCGAUACACUGGCAGGUAAGAUAAGAACUUUAAAAAAUUGCAGCAAGGAAUUGACAUGGAGGGAAACAUGAGUGAAAACCUGAAGUUGACUGCUUUGGAAAUCAAAUAAAUGAAUCACCCAAACUCAAUAUAGCAAUUGCAUACCAUGUGAAGAAAUAUACAACCACAGAAAACAGAGUAUGGCAAAUGUUAAACUUCAAUGCAUGGCAGUCAAGGAUCAAAACAAGAAGUUCAAUCUAAUCUUUCCUAAGAAAAUGACACUUUAGAAAAUAAAUGACACAAGCAUUAAAGAUAAACCUUUAGCUCUUUGAUCUUUUCUUGGAGACUCUCAUUUGACUCUUUCAGCUUUCGUGCUUCACUACGUAACUCGGUCACCAUACGGACUGCAUCACUUAAAAUAGCUGCUUUAUCCAUUUUUGGUGGCUUACCUGGGUCCAAAAUGGAGCCCAACUCCAAGAACCUUAAAGUGAAAGUUAACCCAAAAAAAAAAAUGUAAAAAGAAAAAAGAGCCAGCACAACAUUGGUCAGCAAAAGAGAUGUAAAAGUGGAGCACAUACUUAUCGUUCAGCUUAUCCCUUCUCAUUUUCUCUCUACAAGCUUUGGAACUUGGCUGACAGCUUUCAGACCUAACACUGCAACAAAGAUACAAAUUAGUAACAGACAAAAAAAAAGUCAGCUUAAAAUCAUAUCAAUUUUUAAAACCAAACCGUUUAUUGGAGCCUCGUUCUUUGACACAUUCAGAGUCCAAAAAGGAGCCACUUAUUUCAACCCUGAAAAGAAUAAGAACAUGCUUCAAUAAUCUGGUAAUUCCAAUUAACUAAUACAAAAGAGCAACGAUCAAAAAACUAAAGUGUAAUAUAAGAAUCAGCAUAAAGGGUAUCCCUUUGAUUUCCAAAUAGGGUUGAACAAGACUACAAGUCCAUCUUAACCAUAUAUGUAUAUCAUUCCUAUACACAUAUAGGUCAGCUAAGUAAAUGUCAUAAAAUGUGAUAAAACCUAUUAUAGCAUGCACGACUACAAGUCCAUCUUAUCCAUAUAUGUGUAUCAUUCCUAUCCUAUUUCUACAUUUAUAAACAAUCAUAUAUAAAUUCUAAAUACACAGAAGAGGGAACUCAUCAUUUCGCCACAUGUUGCAAUUUCCACCCUCCUCUAUCCUCCUCUCUUAGUUGCCUACUCCUCUCUUCUUAUUCCCUCUCUGGCCGGCUGCAACUGUCAAAACAUCGCCCGUUUAGGAGGACCAGGACUAGAUGUAAUCGGUCAGAUUGAAUCCAUUAUCAAACUAGUCUGGUAUGUAUUUUUCUCCAGUUGAGUAUAGUUUAGUUGAUUCAUUAAUUCGGGUCUGAAUCUGCCCUAUGUGAGCCAAUAGAGUCUUGAAUUUGCAAUGAGUGGAUUUAGGAGCAUAGGAUCAUUAUAGUAAAGCUAGUAAACCUUAAUUGAUCUAUGUAAUUUAGCUUAGUUAGAUCUAAGUCAGCUUUCCUAACUUUGAGAAAUUGUGGACGAAGUUUCACCCAUAAUUAUGAAAAUUUAUUUAUAAAAUCAAAUGGAAUCCCAUAUGCCUACAAAUAAAUGGCAUUCAAUUGGAGUACUUAGACGAAAUUGUACUGGCUAACUCACUCUUUGUAAGCGUUCUUCUGGACUAAAAAGAGAGCAAAUAAAGACGAGUAUAUAUAAUUGAUGGGGAAUACCAAAACUGAUAUAAGUUCCAAACACUAUAAAACCAUUACACAUGCAGAAUCAAGCGGCAAAAAUAAUCUCAACAUCACUUUUUUUCUCUGUUAUAAUCAACAAAAGUGUUAAGGUAAAGCAUAAAAGUAGAAUCUUCAGAACCAAACAUCUUGUAACAUAUGAUUACUUAAGACUCUAAUAAUACACAAUUAUGAGAUUCUUCCAUUAUCUAUGCACCUCCAAAGCAUCCUCAAAUCUCCAAUACAAUUUUCCCCUAUAUUACUCAAGAUUAUUCUAUGAAGUACCUUAACCAAUUGGAGAAGUUGCAACAUCCAGUAACUUACUAAAUACAAAUCCUAAUUUGUAACACAAAUAAAAGCAAGCAAUAGACGAAACCUAACACAAAUCAACGUAUACAUGCAAUCCGGAAUAGCAUGAGCAAUAAUCUACAGGAAAUUACUGAUGAGGAGCAGCGAAACCCUAGCCCUAAUCGACGACAUCAAUCAAAGCGAUUCAGAAAGGGAUCUCGGAUCCGAUCGUACCCGCCAUUGGAGGAUCCGUUGAUUCCCUGCGAUCCCCAGUAGAAUCCGCUCCCCGACGCCGGGAAAUCGUCGCCAGCGACGGCCACGUCGUCUAGGAGGGGGCAAUCGAAGACCCAAUUAGCGUUCUCGGAGGAACCCAUCCCCGGUGCCUCGCCGGAGCCCUAUAUCCCCUGCCGGUGAUGUCCGGCCAAUCUCCGGUGAUCGUCGGAGAACGAGGGUUGCGCUCUUAUCGGGUAAAGGGAGAGAGGAGAGGAGAGUCGGGGAUCGAACUCGUAAUGGGUUGGUGGAGGUAAAAGCGUGAAAAAUAAUAAAAAUAAUAAUAAUAAUAAUAAAAUAAGGUGCAAUGAGUUGGGCCUAUGGAAGCCCAUUAAAGGCCCAUAUUAGGGCCCAUAUUUAGGGCCCAUCCAUAGGCUACUGAAUUUCAACAGUUUUUUUGAAAAAAAAAAUCCUAAAUAGAAGAACUAUGCAAUUUUAAAGAGUAUUCACAAUAUUUUUUACAAUGGAAUGUUAAAAUUACAGUAAUAUAGUACGUACUUAGUUUAUUAUAUUUAUGUUUUUCCUUUUUUUGUUUUUUCUAUAUUAAUUAACAUAGUUAAUAUUCAUGCAUCUCUAGAGCAAGUGGCAAAGGGCUCGGUGAUUGGUAUCCGAGACUCAAGUUCAAAUCCUAGUUGAUUCACAUUUUCAGCUAAAUUUAUUUCUAAUAAAAUAAACGAAGCAGGUAGCGUACUACCUAUCUCUCAAAAAAAUAAUCUGGCGAAGCAUCUACCAUCUUUCUUUUUAUUUUUCUGAAAAAAAAGGGAAAUGUUAUGAGUGUUUGGUAAAAAUGCUGGUGUUAAUGUGGGAGUGAGUUGUGUAUAUGCUUCUUUUUUUUUCCCCAUGAAAUCUCCUUUUGCUAUGUGAAUUUAGAAUGUUGGUAUAGUUAAACGUUGGAACACUGGAUUGGGUUGCAUAUGAGAGUUGACAAUGAGAAAAGGACAACAUGGAAAGCAUAUUUUGCAUCACUAGAAAUUGGCCUGUUUUACUUUACUACUAAUGCAUCAUCAUCACACCUCAAUUAAAUGGAUAAAGAGAAAAUACUCUUUUUUCUGAAGAUAAAAAGAAAGAAGGAAAAAAGACACGCUCCCACCGGUGAAGAGAAGCAAUGAAGAAAGCACUUUUCAAAAGCAUAUACCAAAGUAUUAGAAAAACAAAUUCAGCUACUUUUAGCCGAAAAACAAAUGAUAGCCAAGCUAUUAGUAUUCCUGAUAAGGCAUCUAGGCGAGGUGUGGGCGAGGUCACUGUUUGAGUUUUCAGCGGAGCAGGAGGGUUAAAGAGCCAAAUACGAGCGAGCUGAGUAUAGCUCGUGUUCGGCUCGUUUAAUAUGAGCUCGUUUCAUAAACGAGCCGAACACAAGCUGACUUGUUAAAAUAUCGAGCCGAAAAAUACAACUCGCAUUCGGCAUGUUUCAUAAACAAGCUGAACCGGAACAUUGGAGACCACAAGCCAGGCCAAACUGAGAUUAUUCUUUGGUACAUAAAAACGAUGGAUACAUUAUUUUAAUAAGUGUUCUGCUGGCUCCUCUUUAAGAAGAGGCUUUUAAAGACAGAUAAUCUAUUAAAGAGAGGUUGGAUCAGCAACACGCCCUGUGUAUUGUGUGGGACGGCUAAGAAAACUAUUGAUCACCUAUUCCUUAUAUGCGUUUUUUCUAUAUUUCUAAUGAUGAUUACAUUGGAGAGCCUCCUCUGAAGAUUUGGGUGAUGACUAUCGUUAAAUGGAUAUAGCUAGGAAUGGAUUGCAUCCUAUGAGCACUAAGCUACCCGGCCUAGUACCCUGCUGAUGGGUAUUGUGGGAUGUCAGGAAUGGUGCAAAUUUUAAAAAUACCCAGUCGGACUCUUUCCUAGCAGUCUAUAAAAUUAAAUAGUCGACGGGACUUUGGGAGCAUUUACUCUCCGCAAAUUGGCACAACUGUAAUCAGGAGCUUCUUUUUUUUUUUUUCACCCUCUCCGAGGCCUAUGUAGGCUCACCGGCUCAUCCCUAUCGUUUAGUUUAUCUUUCUAAUAAAUAAAGCGGAUAAUGUGCUGUCCAUUCCCGCAAAAAAAUAAAAAAAAAUGCCAUUAAAAAAAAAACAAAUCUUUAACACUUCCAUGAUCCAAUAAAAUAUAUUAAAAAGGUUCUUUCAUUAUCGAUCUUAAAAUUACCAAAUUAAUCACGAUAUAUAGCCUUAUUUCAUAAUUGAGAUGAUUAUUAUUAUUAUUAUUAUUAUUAUUACCUCCGAAAAAGAGCUAGUACGUAUGGUGUUAAUGCUUGGUCAAACUACAUUAAUCGGGAGUCUUAGAUCACUCUUUUCAAAAAACAUUUUUUUAAAAAAAAAACUCUGCUGAGCUACUGUACCAAAUUGCUAAGACUAAAUUACUAAGUAAUAAUAAUAAUAAUAAUAAUAAUAAUAAUAAUAAAAAACCGCUAAUUCAUGGAAAUCAUCAUUGCUAAGACUAAUUAAAGCUGUACAUCAUUCAUAAUUUCACUCCGACGCUCCCAAAUCACAAUUACUCCUGAAGAUCAAACCCUAACUAAAAACCCCCACCCAAAAAAGACCAAAAGAAAGGGGGAAAAAAAAAAAAAACCCUGAAAUCGCAAAAAUUACACUAACCAAGCGAAAUUUUCGAAAGGGCGGGGCCCUGCGCCGCGAGCGGCGGCGGAGGAGGCGGCGGCGGCGCGGCGGCGGCGGUGGCGGUGGCCGGCUCCGGCGAGAUGGGGCGGCACCCGGCGGGGUCGGCGCCGCAAUCUUGGACCCUCCUUUUGGCCCCGCGGCGGAGAAGCCCGAAGCCCACGACGAGACCCACCACCACCAACAGGAUCACCACGAAGAAGAAGAUCUUCGUCGCCUUCCCCACGUAGCACAUUGCUGUAGAGAGAGAGAGAGAGAGAGAGAGAGAGAGAGAGAGGGGGAGAGAGAGAGAGAGAGAGAGGGGAGGAGUGUAAUCAUAAUGGGUGUUUUGGAGAGGGGAAGGUGGAUUCUUUUUACCGAAAUACCCUCCAGCGUGAAGGGUUUUUGUGGGGAAGGAGAGGGGUAAAAUUGGUAUUUUGGAUGGGAAGGGGGUGAUUCGCUUUCGAGCCUUCACAGUAGCAAAUGUCUCCAAUUAGCUUAACUUAUUAAUGGCUUUUUAUUUUUUUAAUAGAGUCAAAGAGUUAGAGUUAACUUGUAACUUAAUUUGACUUAAAUAAAUGCCCAGAUAUUAAGUUAAAUUUUUUUACAGUUUAAUGUGUAGUAAUUAUUUUACUAAUAUGUUGAUUAAAUUGCUCAUUUAAAAUACAAAACCCAUCUUCCUUCUUCAACUUUGAUAAUAAUCUGGCAAUUGAUAGAUUUCGUCUUUCAAAAUAACGUUGCAAGGCUAUUCGCUUUAUUAAUCUUAUAAAAAAAAAAAAUUCAAACACACAGAAAUUUAAAAAUAUUAUAUACAAAACGUUCAUUUGUCCAAAACCAUCGGCGAUUAAAAUAACUUACUCAUCAUUUUUAGUAUACUUCAUUUACAAUUCGAUCAUAUUUGUCCAGUGAAUAGCUAACUAAACAUUCCUUCUAUAACAAAUGUGUAGAGCUACUAUACUUUCAAAAGUAUAAAGAAGUAAGUGUUUUCUGCUUUUUAACUUUUGGAUUAAGAACUGUACGAUUAGGAUAAUAAUAAUCCCUCUAGAAUUGAAUAAUCUCCCUAGAAAAAUAAUAUUAAUCUAAGAAUUAUAAAUAAUCAAAGAGGUUGAUCCAAAAAAUAAGAACUUAAAAACAUAGACUCCUUUAUACUUUCGAUUGAAUCAUAGUCAUAUUCAUAACAAGUUUAUCAUAAGUUAGCUAUACAAACCAAAAUUACCAAAACACCCUUUGCCCCCUCAGCAUGUGGAUCAGAGGAUUUCAUUUGAAUGGCCAGUGGAUCUUACCAGUCCCAAACUCUUCUUCUGAGUGGAUAAACCACAAAAACAGAAGCAUUGUAUGCAUAACAAACUCACACAUGCUUCAUACUUUUGCUAGUAGUGCUUCUCCCACAAACCCUAUGGCCACUUCUCUCUCUACCAUCAAUGGAUCAGCUUCCCAAUUCUCCCCAGCCAAACUAAAACAAAUCAAAAACCACAAACCAAAAUAUCAAAGCCUACAAUCUUACAUGCUGGCACAAGCCCAAGAAUCCCACUCCCUCCCAUCCAAAAGCACUAUAACUGCACACACCGUCUCAAGAAGAGCUUCUUUAAGCUUCUCCAUGGCCCUCCUACUUCACCAACUACACAUCGAACCCUCGCGAGCCGACGAGGGGAAUGGAUUAUGGCUCACUGGCCCGUUGCCUGUCCCCACAGUCACUAACAGUAAGCUCAGUUUGCUCUCAUUCUCAAGCUCACUAUCAUAGUUUCUUCUUCAUUAUAAUAAAGUGUUUGAUCCAUUGUAGAGAUCGCAAAUGAAGAAACAGGCACGCGAUCAUUUCUUAGGAACGGGAUUUACAUAGCGAAUAUAGGACCCCAAGGAAGUGCUUUUAGGCUGAAGCACUACUCAUUUGAUCUACUAGCUUUAGGAGAUAUGCUGGGCCAAGAAACAAUGAGCUAUUUUAGGAAGUACCUGUGUAUGAAGUCAACUGUCAUGUACUACGAUUUCGAUAAGGUCAUCUCCGCAGCUUCUGAUGAGCAGAAGCAGCCGCUUACAGACCUUGCCAACCGAUUGUUCAACAAUGUUGAGAAGGUGAGCUACUCCAUGUUUUCGCUCUGCUUAUCUGUUCAUAAUUCAGAAGACGCAUUAGUAGGGAAACAUUCCAAUUAAUAGCGUUGCGAAUUCCCAGGGCAAAUUAGACAAAUUCCCCAGAUCAUCAGUUUACAUUUUAUUGAAUUAUUCUUAGUUAACAGCUGAAAUUUCAUUUACUGAAGAACCAAAGUAAGCUGUCGUCCCAAACUUCAUUCGUGAUAUAUUAUAGAGCAGAAUCUUCAUACAUUGAUCGAAGUUUCCUGCAGGCAUUCUAACAAAGUGAAUUUUGAUCAUUGAACAGAUUGAAGAGGCUGUGAAGACGCAGAACAACACUAUGAUGCAGUCUUGUUAUGCAGAUACUGUACCGAUUCUCCAGGAAGUUAUGGCACGAAUGGCAUAAAGAUUGUAAACUGGUGACAUAUGCUCCCUUGGAAGAAAUCCUGAAAUUCAUUUCUCAGAAAUAGAACAAUAAGAUUACAAGAUAUCCUUUUCUCACAUAGUAUGGCAAAAAGAGCAUUAAUUUGUAAAGGUUUGGGAUUGGCAUUCAAAGUGCUAACUUGAGAGCACUAUUGAGAUAUGUUUGUAACAUAGAAUGACUAGAUAAAAAUCCCUCUCUAGAGUGGCUGCCAAAGGUAUUUUAACAAAACAAUGAUAAGACUACAACAUUGGCCACAAACAAUAUGAAGAUUGCUCUAAUCAACUCAUCAACUGUUUCACAUAUUGAGCACAACUUACGUGAAUAGUGCAAAAUUCUUUAGUACAGGAACAUGAGAAACAACAAGAAUUAGUAGUAAUCUUCAUAAAAGCACAUUCAAAUCAAACUAUCUCAAAGUCGCAACUUAAGAUACUAUCACAAGAAUUCUCAUGAUACACUUUCAUAAGACAAUCAGAUAGGUGACUAUAACUGUUAAUACAAAUGUAGCUACAAUCAUGAUCAGCUAAAAAAACCCCGAAAGAAACAACUUCACCGAAGGUUCUCUUUGAUACAAAUUUCAACACACUAAUGUCCUUUUUCUUUCGGCAGCAAUGAUAAUUGCAUUGCCUUGAGAUACAAAUACAACCCACACAUUUGAAGGGCGAGUUUAGUCACAAAAAUAUAUCUUGAAAUUCUAUUGACCGAGGGAAAAACCAGGGAAAGAUAUGAUUUUAACCAUAGCUUAAUCGGGAAUCUAAAGUCCGCAUCUGAGUCUGACGCCUAGGGACGCCGAUCUCACAAGCAUUUACCCUUGCGGCAAACCUAAGCGAACAGAUUGAUUCCCCUGUUGAGGAUGCCUCGGGAGAGAUAUUCACAAACAUUAAGGUUUUCGAGUCACCUCCAAGGCAUGGCUGCAGUUCAAGAAAUCAAAAGGAUAAGAUUUAAGGGAAAUGUAAACACUAAGUUUAGAUCUUAAUCAAAAUCAUCAUAAAGCAAUAUUACCUGAAGAAGAUAUGUUAAUUUGGAAUUUCUGAAUGGUACAUGGUCCUCUUUCUUUGCGAUAGAAAAGAUAACAUCACUUAAGCAUGAUAAGCUUUUGUUAAUUGCCUGAGGAUACACCGUCGAACAAAUAUUUUUGAGCAAAAAUGGAUAAUGAGAGGGGAGUUUUCAAACAAAAUUAUGAAAUAUAUAACAACUAUAGAAGAUGCUUACCUGAGUUUCCUUGAGGCGGUCACCAGUUGAGCCACUUUUGGCGAGACGCUCGCUCCCGGCAAGAUCAAUUAGGUUUAGUACUCCUUGAACUUGCUGAUCAGUGCUCUGCACAAGAAUAACUGAUUCAUCAGUAACUUAGAAAGAAGCCACUGUUGGUAAGUGAAAAUAACAUUGCAAUUACCUCGUUAACCCCAGAAAUCCUCAGUGUGAAGACAAAAUGGCUUCUAGAAGACUGUUCAUUCAUCUGAGUCUUUCCAACUGACCUAGAGAUACAAAGCAGCAAACGCAAGAAAGAAUUAUCAAUUCACCAAGAAAACAAACUCUUGUUCAAGUAUUAUUUUCCAAGUACAAAGCAAAUCAACAUGGACUAUAUCAACAGUCAAGUAUUGGUCCAUAACACACUAACAACUAUUAUAUUGAAGUACAAAUAGUUAAAUAGUAAAUACAACAGACAAUUUUUCAUUAUUCUUUCAAAUUUUAAUUGAUUACUAUUUUAACCAACAUUUUACACUACCAGCUUUAUUCCACUCCAUAGAAUAGCACAUGAUAUAUUGAAUGGACGCAACAAAAGGAAAAGGUAAAGGAAUAGUAGCACAUACCUAACAAAGUGACCUAAGAGAGUUCAAAAACAGACCUCGCCACAAGGCUAGAAGGUAGCAAAUUUUGCAAAUUUAAUUGCUAUUAAAUCCAAAAUUUGAGUAAAACUGGAGCUUACUCAACUUACUGUAACAAACUAAUUGAAAGGAAAGUAAAUAAUCAGUAAUUAAAUUCUAGCAUUUUAAACAUUUAACAAUACUGAGUUACCAUCAUCAGUACUAUAAUGUCAAAACAUAUUAAUCUUUCUUGGACAAUGUUUAGACUUUAAAAAUGCUCACCGGCUCUGUGCGGCCUGCCGUAGGAGGAAAGAGACCUCAUUGAUACUGCAUACAUCUACGACUGUAAGGUCAGAUACAUGCGUGUUUCCAUUUGCAUCGUGUUUAAUCAAAUACUUGGAAGCACCAGUAUCUUGACUGCCCGACCGAUUAGGAUUCAACAGAUCACGAAUUGUUUCAUUAUAAAUUUCAAGCAUGGAAGCCUACAAAUAUUUAACAACAUAAGACUGUAAUAACUGACAAAUUAGUCGCAUCAGGAACAAGAUAUGUAUGCAGGAGAUAAUACUGAAAACAAAAACCUGCAUUUUGAACCUCCAACCCUGCGAUAGCAGGGACUGGCUAGCUUGGAAAAUUUGUUCUAGUGAUCGUGGUAUUAAUCCUUUCUGUUCGAGAAAAUCAGGUUUGCCCAUCAUUGUAUAAGUUUUUCCAGAGCCAGUUUGGCCAUAGGCAAAUAUGCAAACCUGAGAAGAUUGAAUUGGUAACUUGUCAAAAUGGAGAUAGCAUUACUACUGAAGAAGAUGCAUACACUGAAAUAGAAGAAAAACAUAUAGUAGAAUGCAUGAAAUUAAUAAGGCAAUCAAAAUUAAAAUGGGAAAUACAACAUAAUGGCCUCUUCAUUUAUCUAAUAAACAGCAAAAGUAAUAAUAUACACAAGAAAAGUAAAAUAGCAUAAAUAGAUAUACCUUAUACCCAUCAAGUGCACUUUGUACUAGCUGUGAAAUUUCAACGAAGACAUCCUCUUGUGAAGCAUCUUGAUCAAAGACUUUAUCAAAUGUAAAGGAGUAUUUUUGUGCUGAAUUAAAAAUACAAAUUAUUAUCAACUUUGUUCUCCAACAAAUAAUUUCUGUACACAAUUUCACUAACUUUUAAGUUAAGAAAAGGGAGAUAGAGAAAAGAACUAACAAUUAUGCAUCAAGUCAAUGCCACGGCCAAGAUAUUCAGUAGAGGUUGGAUAUGAAAGAGCAGCCCCUUCUACCCCGUUAUUUUCACCGUCAGGUAAUAAUGGUCGCACUCUACAAAAGACUCGAAUAUUUCCUUUUAGUUCCUGAAAAGAAGAAAUGAUUUAGCACCAGUAUCUUCUGAUCAAUAGUCCUUCUAGUUCCUGAAAAGAGAAAUGAUUUAGCACCAGUAUCUUCUGAUCAAUAGUGAAAAACCAAAAAAAGUGUUACCAAUAUAGUAUUAUGCAACUUUUUGCGUAAUUUCUCUCCUUCAGAAAUUUGCUGUUCUGCAUCAGCUAACCGAUCCUGCAGAUCUUUUAACAUUUUCUUUUUCUCCUCGUUCUCUGACAUUGUCUCCAUGGCUGUUAGAUCAGCCAUCUAAACAACUCAAUAAGAAAGAUAAUUAGGAAUCAAAUAAUGAUUAGCAGAUAAUUAGUAAUCAAAUAAUGAUUAGAAGAUAAUUAGUAAUCAAAUAAUGAUUAGCAGCACUACAAUGUAUUAUCUAUAACAGUUAGAGAGCAGUUUUUGUACAAAAAUACAUGACACUGAUGACAGUAAAAAUAAAACAAAGGAUAUUCUUGCACAAUUGCAUUUAAAAAAAAGCUCAAAGAUGUUAGUGUCUUCUCAAAAUUGUAAACACUUAAUAAUUGUAAGUACGCAAUAUAGGGAAGUUCAGAAACAGAUAAAAGCGCGAUCUCAUUGCAGGAAUGGUGGAGAAAGUCUCUUGACAAAUACAUGUAAAGUGCAAUGUUUUUUCAGUUAAAAGAAAGGGAUGAGAGUCCAGCACAUCCUAUCAAAGAAAAUCUUCAGUCUCCGUCUCUUUUUCUCUUUAUGGAAGUGUUAUAUUAUCUAAGACGUUCAAGUCUGAUCAUACUGUAAGAAAAAGAAUCUAAAGGUUGUAGUCACUUUUUCUCUUUAUGGAAGUGUUAUAUUCUCUAAGGCGUUCAAGUCUGAUCAUACUGUAAGAAAAAGAAUCUAAAGAAUGAUACUCUAUUCAUUUUAGUGUAGAGGAGCUAUAGUAGAAAACUUGCCUUUCAUCCCAGUAGAUAAUUGAAUGCAUAGAAAACAAAAACCAACCUUCAGCUUCUCAUUUGCAGCUGCAAGUUGAAGUUUCAGGGUCUUUAUUAUGUCUCUUUGUGAUGAACAGGCCUCCUGCAUAUUUAUAGACAGGAAUCAGGAUUCAGAUUAAUGUCCAAUAGAAAGAGCAUUAGCACGAAACAUAAAAAGCAUCAAGUGAAAACCUCAAGAGCAUUGGUUUUUGAUGUUGCAUUAUCCAGCUCCAAUGCAGACUUUCCAGUUAGUUCUUUGUACUUGACAAUUUCAGCCAUCAAACACUGCACCUGGUUUAAUUGGUGAUCACGAUCAUCUCUUACUUGCUGUAGUUCAUUUCUAAAACAGUUGAGUUCUUUCUUUAACUCUUCUUUUUGUUUAGAAGCUUCCUGUUGAGAAGCCUGCACUUAACAAGCACUAAAUAAGUAAUUAAUGCAUUUUGUUUUGUAAAGUACCUCUAAAAGAACCUGGAGAAGUAUAAUUAAUGAAUUAGUAAAAAACGAGGAGAUUCCAUAAUGUGCCAAUCCAAAAGGAUAGCAAAACUAGUGAAAAACAAAGAAUUCAAGCAAUAUGGCAGGAAUGAUGAUCUCUUAGUUUAGAACAGGACAGAGAUGGAAAUUGAAGUUAGACAUAUAAACAGGAUAAUGAUAGCAAACUUUCAUCCACAUAUGUCUUAAUUUUCAGAGACUAUAAGAACUUCUUGUGCUCUAAAUACUAUGCAAUGUAAUAUAUGCCUGCAUGUAUCAAAAGCAAUUCAAUUGCACAAGCAAAUCAAACUAUAAAAUCAUACCCUGGAAAUAUCCAGCUGAUUUUUGACAGAGUUGACAUGAUCCCUCAAACCGUUAAGGGUUUCCAUCAUGGCAUUUUUCUCCUUCUGCAACUUGGAUAUGGCUUCUCCAUUCUUUUGAGCAUCAGCUUGGAGAUUGCUGUUAUACUGCUGCAAGCUAGUAUUGUAUUCCUGAAGCCUCUUGUUGGUCUCUUGAAGCAUCUUAAUCUGAGAGAGAAUAAAAACUAGACUACAUAAAAAACAUAACAACAAUUUCUGAUUUUCAUGAAGUAUAACAUAACUGUACGAAUCGCCAUCACCUGAUCAUUAAGACGUUUUGCUUCAUGGCCAGCCUUAUCAAGCUCUGCUGACAGAGCAUUGCAUCGACUUUCUGCUGCCAACCUUGCUUCCUUUUCCUCCUCACAAGAUCUAAUAGCACCCUGCCAAUUUAUUAAAUUUUACAUUAUUUACCACAUACAACUCAAAGUAAACCUCAAGAAAAAAAAAAAAAAAAAAAAAAAAAAAAAGAAGCCAUUUUUUUUAAAUUACCCACCAUUUUCUCAGCUUCCUCUUUUCUAUAUUUCUCCUCUAAAGUUGCAAGCUGUUUCCGUAGCUCCUCAAUCGUUGAAUUUAGUUCUUCGUUAGUAUUUCUCAACUGGGCAGCUAUGCAGAUGCAGUUUGAAAUGUUUAAGACUUUUCUCAUGAUCAAUAUAAAUUCCCAAGAAAAACAAAGAAGAUCAAAGAACAGUACCGAUCUCAGCAUGAUUUUUCUCCUCGGAAUCUAGCAAAUUACGGAGCUUCUCCAUCUCCAUCAAAUUCCCAUCUUCCUGUUCCGUAAGCCAUUUGAUGCAAGCUCUGAGCUUUUUUAUAUACUCCAUCAUCUGUUCGCUCUUCCCCUACAUAAAACCACAGCGAACACUUAGACUAAGAUUUAAAACGGAAUUAACACCUCAAAUUAAACAAGCUCUUGAUUAUAUUCACCUUGAAGUCAUUCUUGUUCUUCCCCUUCAUCUUCUCAUUGAGCAGCCUCUCGACGUCCUCCCUCGAGCUGAACUCAAUGCCAACACCGCCAUUGGCGCCGUCGGCAGCCGCCGGAUCUCCUGCUCCGGCAGUGGCCCCCGCAUUGACGACCGAUAGAACCGGUCGGGACCGUAGAUUGCUCGUAGCUCCCACCAUCUUCCCUACGGCGACCUUUCUCCUCUUAUCAGCUCGACCCUCAUCUAAGUUCUCCUUUUUCUACCCAAAAAAAGGACCAAGAGACACAAAAUGGCACUACCACUGCAUCAAAGAACCCUAGAAGCCGAAAACCCUAACCCUAGGAGAAGAGAUAGAAAGAGAGAGAAGAGAGAAGAGCAAACCUUACAUUUAAAGGGCUCCGAGGCGGAUUGGUGCGGCUUCUGAGGGACAUCACAGAGAAUUAGGUUUUCGGGGCUUCGUUGGAGGUCAAAUUGGGGCGCGAUUAGGCUGAAAUCUUGUAGGGAUUCGAAGAAAGUAAGCCCGAAUUCCUCUUAAUUCUUCUUCUUCGUCGUCGUCGUCGUCGUCGUUGGAUUAGGGUUAGGGUUUUCCCGAUCCCCAAUUUCUUUCGACCUCGAGUGGAGUGGAGGGAGAGGAGAAGUGAGAGAGCCGUUUGAAUUAUUUUGAAACUGGGGACGGGCGCGGUCGGAAAAAUUUGCAUACCGAAAUUACCCUUCUCUUUUCUCUUAUUUACGGGACGAGGCCUCUCGUUCUCUUGUGUAUAACCUUCGGAGUUUCGAUCCAUGGGCCACGUGGGGGCCCAAUCAGAGAAUCCUUAGUGGAUCGGACGGUGGACGUUAUUAUUUAUAUUCAACGCUCGCCUCGUGUGUGGACUUAUAUAUGUUUAUAGUUUCAUGAUAUAAACUUGAACUAAAAAAAAUAAUAAUAAUAAUUUAAAGAGGUUGACAUGGUUGGAAUAUUCCAGUACCUCGUACUCUAAUACCUGCAAAACAAUCGUUGUUCUCGAAAAUUUAAGUUGCCCCAAAGCAAACCAAGGCAGUUUAGAAUAAGCGCCGGUACCAUAUUUACUAUCUAAAAAUCCGAUCCAAUAAAACUAGCGAUGACAAAAAGAAUUCACUGUAACAAUUGUUUUGAAGUUGAAUCAUUCAUAAACUGAAACUCUUUUUUCAGCAAAGUUGUUGAAUCCAGAUCAAAAGCACUGUUAUCAUGACUUCAUUUACUCAACUUACCUUUAAACCGUGAAAAAAAUUCACCUAGGUACAUUCACGUCAGCAAUCCGAGCACCAGGGAACUCAUCACCUUGCCUCAGAAGACUCGAGGACGCGAUAACCGCAGGCACUGCGACAGGCUCGGCCAUGAUCCCGUGAGCAACAAGUACAAGGCAGUCAAUCUCUUUUGUCGAAAGUGAUAGAACAUUGGGAUGUCGUGUUCUCACCGUAGGGGUCGACGAUUCGUGGAGGGUCGUAGAGGAUGUUCCGCAGGCUGUCUCCGUACUGCAGUACCCCGUGCCUCUCAACGGAGUUCUGUACUGGCGGUGUGCAAAAGACGGGACGCCCCUUACAACAUUUGAUCUGAUUGUGAGCUUUGAUCUGCGAGAUGAGACAUUCAGAUUUGUUGCGCUGCCGGAGGAGGCAACGCAUGUUCGGUUUCAGUCUCGCAGAGCCCCAGCAAAUCGUCAUAUGGGCUUUGCGGGAUUCAGAUCAUGCCUGGAUCAAGAAGUAUAGCAUUGCCUGCAGAUCUUUUGAGAACAAAUUUUUGAUCAGAGCAAGGCACGGCGACGAUGACGACAAUUUGUUCAUCCAGUUGCAGGAGGGCUUAGUUUAUUGCAACCUUCCAUCUAGAAGAAGGAGAUUGCUGGAAUGUACCAGUUACUGGGAUCUUCUGAACAAACAAGAGAUGCUGAAUUUGAGAUCUUCUGUAGACAUUGAACACUUUCAUGCUUUUCUUUAUGCAGAAAGCCUGAAUUCAAUUACAAAUGAAUGGUCAUACAUUUGUUUUUCUUUCUUUCCUUUAAGGAUCUGAUUUUGAUUUGCACAUUAUUUUUUUUUUUGUCAGAAUGAAUCUAAAUAUAUCUUUGGAUUUAACUCUAAUAGUCAACAAAAUACACCUUUAAAUUAUCCAAUUUGGAACUCUUGUUUUGCUAACCAUCUGCUAUGAUAAUGACAAGGAAUUCUACAUGUGUCUAAACAGAACGGCGAAUAGUACAACACAUCAAAAGAAUUUACAAAACCAAGGAGCUCUCUAACUAAAAGAAUGUCGUGUAAAAUUAAUCCAAAAAGGAAAAAAAAAACAAAAUCUGAAUUUUGUGUGGUGGCGGGGCGGAAACCAUCUCCGACCGAAGUAUGAUCCGUGUUCGAAACGGUUCGAGAACCAUUUGGUUUCGCGAGUUCUCUUGUGUGGUAUGUAUCAACAUAACCAACAUAAAAGUACAUGAAGAAUCACCGGUGCAUGGAAGGGCUUUUCUGCUACAGCUUACGAAGCGCUGAAAACAUGUUACAAGAUAGAAAAUAGAAGCAUUUAGAGCAUGAGCAGAGACAAAUUACAGAUUAUUUAUUUAGGGGAAAAAGAAAAAUCAAAUAGAAUGUUUCACAAGAGCAUAAUUAAUGGUUAUUUCAUGCAAAACAGAAAGUUUUCCUUUUAAUCAAAGCGCAACCUGCUUCCUCCUGUCUUUUCUCAAAAAAACCUGCUUCCUCCUGUCGAAGUCUUUGAACUCUUUAGGUUAGACAUCUUGUAAGCACAUCCUAUGUAAUCAAAAGAAUUCACAACCUAAAAUUGUAUGCUAGAUAGUCAUAUACAUUUUCUGCAAAAGCCAUCACCACAAAACCUUCUCUAUCCUUUCAUUCGAUUUUUCUUUUCCCUAAGCAGACUAAAAAAAUUUUAUGCUAUCCAUUAUGGUGGUCCGUUGAGUCCUAAACAAUCUCUGUCAGCUUAUUAUCAAAAAACGAACCACAUUAGACCACUGUUUAGAUUUCAGGUACUAAAUUUGUGAUAAACCCAAAGAAUACAUACCUCCCGGAUGUAGAUCUAACUCUCAUCAUCAGAACUGGAACUAUCCACCCUGCGAUCGGUGAUUGCGGGAAAGAGAUGCUGUCGUGGAUCUGGGACGGAGGAUGAUGAUGACGGCGCCGACUUUUGUCUACUUCUCGGAACUUUCGACACUUUCUUCUGUGACUCCCUAACCUCCUUGCAUGCCUUAUCCAACAUGCCAAGAAAGUCCCUCACAAUCACAAACAGCCGCAAACCCUCGUCUUUCCCAGCAUUUCCAUGGAAAUAGUCGACAGUGCUCUUGACAAGCAAUCUUAUUCUCUUCUCUUCCUCAAGCAAGAAAGUAACCUCUCCGUCAGCUCGCUCAGCGAAAUGCCUGAGUGAGUGGUGAAACCCACUGUCCUCCUCCAAACUUUUCAUGCUAGUAUUCAAGAAAUCUUUUACUUUCAUGAGCUUAUGGCCGAGGCUAGCUGCGGUACUCGUUAUGGCAUCAGCAUCAAGGCAUGCCGCCCUUUUCACAUUUUCGAGUUCAUCUCCUAAACUUGAAACAACUUUCAGGCCAAGAGUACGGUAAUGGUCUUCAGAUUCUUCAAAAGAAUCGUCAGCAAGAUCAUCAGAACUCAGGCUGGACAUGCUGCUACCCUGCUCCCUUGCAAUCCGUGCAGCACGAACUCCUUCAGAUCGAAUGAUCUCUUGUACAACGAAAUGUAAUAAUGUUGUUUUCCCAUCGAUUCCCUUCACGUCAGCCAAUUUCAAGAGGGUAUCUAGCUUGAAUGCCUGUGCUCCGCCACGAAAAGUGCCAUCGUUCAUGCGAUUCCCGAGUUUGAGAACAGCUUCCAAUAGCUUUAAGAAAAGCCGACUACUUCUAAGCUCCUUACAAGCUACCUGCGAGAAAAGGAAUUCUUUCUUACAGAUAGAUAUCAAUGCUAACCGACCUACAUGCUUGGAAACCCUAAGUGACACAGUUUAUGCCCAAACAUACUAAUUAAGUGGCUAUUGGAUAGCCAACGAAUCUACAAGUUAUCCAGCAAGAGCAGUCGUUGAAGACAUUGAAUAAGACAAUCAAAAUAAAAAACACAAUAUAUAAUUAGCUUCCCUCAAUCAAUUUUAUAAAAAAAAUUUUAAAAAAUCUAAAAAAUUCUUCGGCCUCUUUCGAUUACACUACCUUCCAUCAAUUUGCAUACAAUUCAUACAUCUAUGCAUUUUUGUUGGCAGCAGGAACCACAAGUAGAAGAGUAGCUUUUUCGCUUUUUUCCUCUAAAAAUUGCACAUUAAACAAUAAUAUGCCAAACAGCAACAAUGAAAAUAGAGAAAUCCACCCAUCAGGAAAUUCAAUCAUAAAACAACCAAGGUAACUGCAAUUCUUGGUUAGCUCGCAGAUCCUACCCGCUCUUCUCAGGAAAGAUAAAGCAAAAACUGAAAGCACCUAGUGGUUCCUAAAGAUUAAGUCAUUCUAUACAUAUUGAAGUAUGCUUACUCUUCUAUAAAUGGAACUGCUAUUAAAAUUAAUGCAAUCGCAAACCGAGAAGACAUGAAAAGGACUUACCUGUAAGGUUGAAAAUGACUCCUUCAGAAUUGCAGCUUCCUCUGGUAGCAAAGACAUGAAAAGUAAUACAUCAAGCCGCUGGAAAACAUAAGGAAUAUUCACCAGCAUUUUUAUGAACUGUUCCGCAGGUCCAAGUAAGGAAAUGUCAUCAUUAUACAGUCUUAUCUUCAGCUCUUCAUCAGCACUAGGAGCCAUUUUCAGCAGUGAUUGGAGCAACUCUAUUGGGAGCUCAUUUCCUAUUUGGAGGGAGAAAAAUAUUAUAUCACAACAAACGAAUCGCAAAAGAAGAUGCCAUGCAAAGUGGCGUCUAAGUCCUAGAAAGUUCUUAAGAAUUACCUUCAAUAACUGCGUCACAAACCUCUUCAGCUUUAACAUUCAAUGCUUUCAAUGAAAUCGCCAAAUUCUGUGACUUUUUGGGAUCAAGAAUCCGAAUAUAUUGAGUAGAAGCAUCCUUGAGUGCUGUCUCCUUGCCAUUGCUCUUAGUUUUAUCAGCAGUGUUAUAACCAAAUAGACUUUCAAUCAUCUCCUCACUGAACCUGUAAAUCACCCUCUAUUUAGUGCAAUAGUUUUAUUAUUCCAGGUAUUGACUUCAAGGUAAAAGAGUAUAUACCUUACCUGAACUAUAGCAUAUUUUAAUUGCUACCUGAACUUUGAAUAUCUUUACUCUUCUACCUAAUCCUACAAUAUGAUUGAUUUAAAUGCCCUGCAGUCAGGAACUAAAUGUACUUGUAACUUUUCUGAUGGAAUAUUCUGUAACCUAAGGAAUGUUUAAGUUACUUGGGAAAAAUAUACUAUGAUUUUUUUAUUUUGACCCAAACGGUUGAGUUUGCACAGAAGUUGAUGGAAGUUUCUGAAAUAAAAAGUACUAAAAAGUUAGCAAGUGAAAAUCAAAAGUUCCAAAAAUUUAUGUACUCAUUUCAAACACGCCAUGGUUCAGGUAAGUUGAUACUCGAUACAUUUUCACCUUAUUCUGAUAAAAUAGUGAGGGACAAAUAUCAGGAAACUUACUGGAAAGAACCCGAUUUGAUGUGAUCCCAGACCAUUGAUUGAUCGGGGUUUGCAAGAACUUUGUCCCAGAAAAACGGCUUAAGCUUGGUUUUUGGUGCAUUAGAGUCAUCCGUAUCAAGCUCCUGCCCAGACUUCCUUAAACCAGGUGGAGGCGGCACUUUCGACGAACUGGGGUUACCUGGUGGAGGACGGGGAGGAGGGAAAGCUGCUUUUGAUGGUGGUGGAGGGGGAGCACCACCUGGCUUUCGACCAGGAGGUGGCGGCGGAGGAGCAGGAGUAGGAGGAGUAGGAGGCCGAACUGGUGGUGGCAUUGCCGGAGGAGGUGGUGGUGGUGGAGCUUGUUGUUGUUGUGGUGGAAGCGGCGGCGGCGGUUUUUCUUGUGUAAUAGUGCUAGGAACACUGGAUUGCCCAACUGAAGAGUUGGAAAUUACUGAUUGCAUUCUGGUCAUCGGAGUUUCAAUUGAGCUCACCUUGAAUGAUGGAGCACGGCCAUUUUGGCUCGGUUCCCUUUUUAUUGGCAGAGCACCCAGCUUAUUUAUAUCAAUUGGAGUUGCCUGGCCGUAUGACUUUCGAGACGAACCUAACAUAAAGUCACAAAAAUCAGCACUCAAAUGCAAACUUAUAUGAUAAGGCCUCAUUGGGUUAUCCUACGUUUUGUCCUCCCUCAAGUUCUAUGCUAUUGAAUGCAUAUGCCGACAGUAAAAUGUGCAAUUUAUACACCUUUGAGACUUGUUUAGCAACAAGAAAAGGGAAAAUUGGUGAUAACGUUUCUUCACUUCCUUUUUCUUGAAAAGAAAGAUAACUUAGCAAGCUAACCAACAAUGAGAAGAAAAAGAAGUCCAUCAAUCCGGCGCAUUCAAUCACAUGGAGUUUGAGUUGGAAAAAAAAAAAAAAAAAAACAAUAACAUUGCCAAACAAGGUCUAAGAAUAAGAAGAGAGCUCUUUCAUACCAGAGAAGUCGCUUAAACUCAAACUAAGAAGCGGGCUGUCAUCCCUCUGGCUGUAAGCUAUAAAUGUCCUGUUUCUACGACAUCUACAAAAGCAAACAGCAAGAAAAGCUGCAAGAAGCGACGUCCCCACCAGUGUUAGAACAACAGCAACCGUAACUGAGCUUUUGUUGCUCUUUUGCUUUUUUGGUGGUGGAGGCGGAGUACGGUGUGGACUGCCUUUUUUAUGUUCUGGUGGAAAGAAAUCGCUGGAGGAAGCAGAUGAGGAUAAUCCGAUAGGAGAUGGUGGGCUAAAAUGAGCCGGAAUAGGCGGAGGAGCUGGAACAAAACUGGGGUUUUGAGUUGUAAGGCUUGGAGAUGGAGUUGAGACAUGAACUGGGGCAGGACUCGGAGAGGGUGCAGUGGAAGAGGCAGGAACUGAGGAUGUCGUAGUUGUAGAAGGUUGCUCAACCAAGAAUCUUCUUAAAACAGGGUUCCAUCUGAGUAAAGCUUCAAGAUAACCGGCCCACUGAUUUGUCAUACUGUCCUCGACAGAAUCAUGAAAAGUAAAACUUUGCUUGCUUAAACAAUCAAGAAACUCUUGCCUAAUUUCUGGUCCAAUGCUACUAAUAGCUUCCUCUAAGCUGUCUUUCAAAGAAGGCAUUUUUCUUGGAUCUAUCUCAUUAGAAUCACGGAGAACAUCAACCAAAAGAGAGUCACCAAACGUUUUUCCAAUUUCCCCUAUCAUUUUCAUAUCUAGUCCGCAACUGAUCCAUACUUGCCGCACCUGUAGUCACAACAAAUCACAUUGCCAUAAAAAACAAAAUUAGAAAUUUCAUCGAAGGCAUACGAAUUAUAUGCAAACAACUGUUUUGUCGCAAGGGAAUUCCCAGGGGAAUAUGUUCUCGGCACAUACGAGAGUGUCAAAAAAGUGUCUCAGAAACUAUAAUAACAGAAAUGCACUAUUCCACAUCAGCGCUACACUCCAACAUUUGGUAUACCGUCUAUCCCAUCUCACACUUCAACGUUCAAUCAAUCAACCAUCCGAAUGACAACAACUUUCGAAUCAAGGAAAGGCUGCGACUCACAGGGCGGUAGGAUUUGAAGUUUGAGACGGAAUGGAGGGUAAAGUACUGUUAUUUUUCUCAGAUUCAACUAACAAAUUCAUAAUCCAGGAGAAAAAACAGCAGAUAAGUUGACAAAAUCAGUACAUAAAUUAGAACUAGACCCAUUUAGGGCAUCAUUCUCUCUAUACACAUGCCUCACUGAAGAUUAAAAGCAACACAAGGAUAAAAAUGACAACUUUCGCUAAUUUGUCUAAAUAUACAACAAAUUAAUAGUUAAAUUCGUUCCACAUUUCACCGAGUAAGUUUCUUUUCUCCUUAUAAUCUCGAUCAUGAGGAUAACACAUAACUUCUUGUCAUAAAACACAAAAGUGGGAAUGAGAUCAAACUCGUAAUGGAAAAUUUAGGGUUCCUAUCUCACCGUUCGAUCGAUGUGCCACGAAACUCCCACAUUGGGUGAAUCCCUCAAACCGUGCCGCACAGCGGAGCCACAGGGCACUAGGAGAUGCAGCAAGAUCAUGCACGCGUAGGCGGAGACCAAGAUCCCAUUUGUGCCCCGACCCAUCAUCAUCCUCGUCGUUUCUCGCAUCCACCUCCCGAUCCAGCUCCGCCCUUCUCAUCUCAUCGAUGGCCACCUCCAAUCGAGCUCAAAGGACAGAUCUUUGAGCUGCGGGGACGAAACCCCAGAGCGAUUUCCUGAGGAUCGCGAACUCGGGCAAUCCUUUGACCGCGAAAACGCGGGGUUUGCGAUCGAAAGAGGGGUAAAGGUGGGAGCUUUCGUAGGGUUUGGAGGGGGAAUUUCGCGGAGCUAAGGUGGGGGAGGAGACGAUCGAGACGCGAAGAGGGGGGAAUUUGGGGUAUCGCGGAGACGCGUCGACCUCGGCCUCGACCUCGACUUUUUUUCUUUUUUUUGAAUUCUUUUCCAAGUCAAAAGGCGAUGCGUCAAUUUUUUGAUCCAUCAUUGUUCAAAGCGAAAAAGAAAGAAUUAAAAAAUUGUACGGAGAUCCUUCCACUGUAGAAAGUUUUGACAUGGGCCCCUCACCUAUAUUUUUCUCAUUGACACUAUCUAAACUUACUAAAAAUAAUGAAAAUUAUGAAAAACGAGAAGUUGGAAGAAUUUUAAUAAAAAAAAAUAGUUGAGAGGGCUAUUUUGGAAUGAUCUAUACAACUAACAUUUAAGGAGGUCUCUAUUAUUGUCAACAUUUCCACCAAAAAGAAAAGGAAAGGGAAAUAGGAGCUCUUUUUAAUUUGGUAAAAUAAAGAGGCUUAAAGUGAAAAAAAGGGAACCGGAUCCUUUUGUUCGAUAGGAGAGACAAUACACUACACGACCGUUGCGGAUUAGUAAUUUUCUCCACUUAUUUUUUUCCAGAAUCUCUUUUAUUCUUUACUUAUUUAUUCCUGGGGUUGCUUCUCUCUGAAGCGCAGUUAAAAUUGAUUCAUUCGAUUUAUUUCAUUAUUGCAAUUUUUGAUUUGAGAGAUGUUAAACGGAGUUAGCAAAGCUGAGACAAAUAGCACGCACAUAACGAAGAGAAUAGAGCUAUGACCCGAUCUGCAAAAAAUACCUCUCGAUCUCGCAUCGUUUUAUUUUUACGUGACCGGAGUCAAGAUUAAAAAUUUAUGUAAUUUUCACGCGAAAGUUGUUAACAUCGACUCAGCUCGGGUUUUGCUCAGAUCUAGCUUAACGGCAGAUUUAGAGGCCUCUACAGUUAUCUUUCUCUGGGCUUGAUCUAGUUUGCAUGGCUGUACUGGGCCAUAACUGUUGUUUCUUCGGCAUUUUGGAUAUAGUUUUGGGAUUUAUAACUCUGAUUUGGCCCAAUAAAGUGAAAUGGGUCGUGUAAAUCGCAAUACAAUGUGUACUAUAAUGGCUAGUAUACAUUCAAACGUACGAACGGCGUAGAUUCGCUACAAUCCCAUGCAUAAAAAUUUCUAUGCAUCCACACUGUCUAAUGUCGAUGGUUUUGACUAAUCUCACCACUAAUGAGUAGCGAAAGAACUUUCGCACGGAGUUGUAACCAAUGCAUUUUCAUUCAUUUCUUAGAACAAAAGAUUGGCUACGAAUUCAAUGUAAGAGAGAUGAGAAAUCGCUCAGCUUCCUUUGUGAUCUUAUUGACCCUAUCCUCACACCUUUACCUUCGUAAACCCCAAAUGAGUCGAGCUCGAGUUAGCUUUUGUUUAACGAUCAGCCAAAAAAUGUAUUGAAGUACAGCUUAGUUCAUUUACAACGCUUAUGUAUUAAGCUCGGUGUUUACGAAUGUCAUCAUGGGUAAUUAAGCCAAGAUAAAUAAAAUUCUAUAUAAGUGCUAAGAUUAUUCCUAAACUAUUUCCUAUCAAAUACUUUUUUAGUAAUAUGAUACCAAAAUCUACUUGAAGUUCCCUUCUCUCUACUUCAUAAAAAUCAGUACUUAAUUCAAUUCAUCCACUAUUUGUGGCAUAUCUCUUUCUCUGUCACUCUACUAUCCUUUUUAUAUGUUUGUAUUUAUGGCGUGUUUGUUUUGCAAGAUCUCCGCCCCCAAAGCCUCUCAUAUAGUUGAACCGCGAGUGCGAAUGUUUUGAGGAGAUCAACGAACUCACAUAUCAGACGUGUACAACGUAAAAUUAAGCAAAACUUCACUCCUUACCGUGAUGAGGUCGAGAUCAAAUGCACGAUCGAAACUCGCAACCUCUGAUCUCUCCAGUCCCAGAAAAAACAACCAGUACACCCUUAAUUACUAGUCUCAAACAUGAACGCGCGUGGAGUGGUUUUCGAAUCCACAUCUGUUACAUGAUAUUGACAUGCGACGUAUCUCGCGACAAUUUUAUAUACUUGCAUGCAUUACUCCAUGCUUAUUAUUAUACAAAGAUGCACGAGUAUCGUGUCAUAUCACAUUACAUAUGCAUAAGAUAACAAAUUAUUAAUUAAUGUUUAUAUAAUUAUGGAGAGAAUAACACCAAACUAGUAAAACGCCAAAGAUGCGGUGGAAAUUUCUAUGCAUGUUUUGGACUAUGCAUUGUUUUUUGCUGUGGCUUUUGUACAGAUCGAACCUGUAAAAAAAAAAAGUAUAAAAAAUAAAAAAAUUUGUCACAUAUAAGUUACAGAAUCAAUUAGCUCUAUCAUCACCAUGUAGAAGCAUCCAAACACUCAUUAAUUUAAUUAUUAAUGAUUAACGCUUAAUAAUUCAAAGCAUCCAAAAACUCAUUGUUAUAAUGAUUUAAAUUAAGUUAUAUAUACAGCAGAAUAAUAUUAGUUUAAGACUUAAAUUAAUCAGAUGGAUUUAAUACUUUGACCAACCAGUUGGAAAGUGUUCAGAGCUAGCAAAGUACUGUUUAUUAGAAUAUUAAAAUCGAAAUUAAUUAAUAAUAGGAUCAUUAUUCGGCAGUAUCGAAUUAAGAUAAUUACUAGUUAAUUAAGUAGUGGCAUGCUUAAAAGAGUUAGCAUGUCCUUUGUGUUGGAAUAUUUACAUGUUCUCCGUGGGAUUUGUGUGUUAAUGCUCAUUAUUUUAACUCUUCGCCUUACUUAAUUUGCAAAAGUUCCUACAAAUCAUAUAAACUUCGAUUUAGAAUUUCUGCUUCGUGGAGGCUUAUUUUGUGCGUAAAAUUACGAAGCAAAUGUGUCGAUUGAGAGUAAUAUUGUUACACGCUCUUACAUUUUUUACACUAUUAUUUACAUGAUAUCAUGGGGCAUUUUACUCGGGUGAAAGUGACAAUUCAUGAGGAAGCUCAAUUCAUGCGUAAAAUGUUAAUUAUAUAGUAACCAAAGAGAACUGAUAAAAAGUGAAAUGUCGCGUCAGCAUAUGUAAAAACUUGUAAAAUUUGUAUGUGAUUUAAAUACAAAUGAAAUGGAGCUUGGCUCAUCUUAUAAUGUACCCUAGAGAGUCCCCCACAUUCUUUAAUUUAUCCUAAGUAACCCCAAUUAAUUAUUAUUAUUAUUAUUAUCAUUAUUAUUAUCCUACAUUAAUUGCAAGAAAACAACAUGGGAGAUAUAUAGAAGCUUGAUUUUUGUCUAGUAUAAGUAUGAGGACAAAAAAUGGCCGGCUUGGAAAUUAAUUAAUUAAUUAAGUAAUCAAUUAAUAACCAUAUAUUUUGAUUUGUUAUACAACUCAAAUCAUUUGUAUUAAUCAAAAAUUCUUUUUUCUUGUUUUUUUUUUGGGGGGGAAAGACCUUUAUUAUAAGAGGCAUAGUAGUUUCAUCCAAAUGAUCCAAACAGUUAUCUUUUUCUUUUGUAUAUCAUGCAAUUAAAUGCAAUUGGACCAAGCCAAAUUAAUUUCAAAGCAAAGCAAAAAAAAAAAAAAAAAUUUUGUANAGCCAAAAAAAAAAAAAAAAAAAAAAAAAAAAUCAUGCCACCUAUUUUUAUGCAAUCAACCUCAACCAGGGACAUAAAUAUCUUUGUUCAUUAAUUAUAUAUCAGGAUUUUAAAGAGAAUGAUAGAAAUGGACCUUUUGUGGGAUAUAUCUACAAUUAAUAGCAAAGAGCACAUCUUUUAAAAUAUCCUCUCAAUAAAGGAAAAAAAAAAGGGGGGGGAAAGAAAAAAAAAGUGUAAAUAUGCACCAACCACUAGCAGAUAAGUUCAAAGUGUUUCAAUCUCAAAAUUUGUUGUUGUGAGGAAAUGAAAACAACAAAAUAGUGUACUAUUGGCAUGUACUAGUUAUUCACCUAGUUGGCUUUAAUUCACCAAUGCUUGCAUAGAAUAGUAAGUUUUUUUUUUAAAAAAAAAAAUUUACCAAGAAUGUGUCUUCAAUAUCCCUUAAAUCUUUUAUAUUCCAAAUGUACACACACAAAAUGAUUUGCUCCUGAAGAGUUCAUGUCAUUCCAAACUUGUGCUCUUUUGUCCUUUUCCAACUAAAUAUUCCAAUAUUCCUAUCACUAUUUAACAAAAGGGAAAUAUGACCCACAUAUUAAUUAAUUAAUAGAAAUUUAUAAAAAUGCGUUAUAUAUAGAGAAAUGAGUUGGAAUGUUAUCGGUAGCAAACGAGUUCUAUUGCUACUCAUUUAUUUUCAAUGAUGGAGCCUCUAAAUCGACGAUCAACACCGUUGAACAUGAUCUAUACCACUUGAAGUAUUUGAAAACUAAAUUUUAAAUCUUUUCGACAUUAUUAACCUAAUGAUUAAAGGGUUUCAAAAUUUAUAAUUUUAAUGAUAAAUAUGAGGUGUUUUCUCGUUUAAGGAUGUAAAGCUAUCCAAAUCAAUUGAAGUUUGAUUAGAAAAUUCUUUAAACUAUUUAGAACAAGAUCUAUACUCUCAAUCUUGAUUACAAAAUUUCUAUCAUCACUUUUUAGAAGAUAUUUAUUUUCAGUCGUUCAUUUUUAUUUGCAUUUGAUGGGCAAGAGAACAAUAUUGAAAAAAUAUGAAAUUAAUUUGGUUUAUAGAUAUACUUCAAAUAGUAUAUAUCAUAUUCAACGAUGUCGAUUAUCGAUUUGAAAGCUUCAUCAUAAAAAAUAAAUGGAUGCAACGAAAUCCGUUUGCUACCGAUAGCAUUCCAGCUCAACUCUGUGUGUGUGUGUGUGUGUGUGUGUGUGUGUGUGAAUUGAACAUCCAAUAAGAACCCAAACAAAAACCCCUGUAUAGAUCUAUCCAUAAUGCUCUUCCCCUACUAUAUAAAGCCAAGGAAGGGCUCCAUAUAUUUAUGUCCCUAGCUAGCUUUGUGAAUUCCAACACACCCCAAUUAACACACGCACCCCCUCCCAUAUCUACAGGGCCACCCACAUCCCCUCCUCCUAGGAUAAAACCCUAGCACCCCAAUCUCAUCCUCCCAAUGCCCAACUGCCACGUGUCAACCUCACUCACCACACAAAGCUUUCACCUCCAUGCACGUGAGGACAUGGAGAAGAGAUAAACCCUAGCUAUACGUUUUCUCCAAGUACCUAGCUCCCUCCCUUAAUUCCUCUCCUCGGCCUCCACCGUAGUUGUAAGAGUCAUGGGGGCUGAGAAUAGGGCUAAGUACUCUACCACCCACAUGGCCCCUCGAAACAACCCUAGCCUCCUCCGUCCUCAUCCGAGCUCGCUCUCCGGCGCCCUUAACGGCUGUCUCGGUUGCCUCGACGGCCCGUGCAUAGAGAAGCUCCUGCUCCACUGCGCCGCCGCCCUCGAGGCCAACGACAUAACCGUCGCCCAACAAGUCAUGUGGGUGCUCAACAACGUCGCCUCCGCAAACGGCGACCCCAACCAACGGCUCACCGUUUGGUUUCUUCGUGCUCUCAUUGCCAGGGCCUCUCACCUCUGCCCGACGGCCCUGCCCUUUGCCCUAGACGGCUCGUCGCAGUCGUCUCGAAGGCCAAUGACCGUGACCGAGCUUGCGGGCUACAUCGACCUCACACCGUGGCAUCGAUUCGGUUUCUCAGUCGCCAACCGCGCCAUCCUCCAGGCGGUCCAGGGCCACCGGAAGGUCCACAUCGUCGACUUCAGCGUUACGCACUGCAUGCAGUGGCCGACGCUGAUCGACGAGCUCGCCAAGCGGCCCCAGGGCCCGCCAGUGUCGCUACGAAUCACUGUGCCCUCGGCGCACCCUCCGGUGCCCCCUUCGCUCAAUAUAGCUACCGAGGAGGUAGGACUAAGGCUGAUGAACUUCGCCAAGUUGAGAAACAUCCCCUUAGAGUUCAAGGUACUCAAGACCAACUCCCCGGGUAACUCUUUGAGCUUUCGCCAACAAUUGGUUACCACUCCAUUGGAUCCAUCUUCAUUAGGAUUGCAAGAUGAUGAGGCCCUAAUCGUCAAUUGCCACAACUGGCUAAGAUACUUGUCGGGGGAUUCACAAGGGAAUGAUGAUAAUACAAGAGACUCCUCUUCCAAAGAUGGCUUCUUAGAGUUCAUUCAUGGCCUCAACCCGACCGUCGUGACCAUGACCGACGAGGACGCCGACUUGGACACUCCGAGCCUCUCCUCGAGGAUAAUGGGUUGCUUCAACUACCUUUGGAUACUCUUCGACGCCCUCGAAACCUCCUUCCCGAAGGAAUGCCCGGAAAGAACGGGGUACGAAGCCAACGUCGGCCAAAAGAUCGAGAACAUCAUCCGGUUCGAGGGGAGCCAAAGGAUCGAGAGGUCGGAAUCCGGCGCGCGCUUCGCGCAGCGGAUGAGGCGCGCGGGGUUCGGCGGGGUUUUGUUCGACGAGGAGACGGCGAGGGGGGUGAGGGUGCUGUUGAGCGAGCACGCGAGCGGGUGGGGGAUGAAGAGGGAGGAGGACAUGCUGGUUCUCACGUGGAAGGGGCAUAGCUCGGUUUUUACCAGUGCAUGGGUCCCCAAAGUGAUCUCAUGAAUCUAAGGACUUGUCCUUUGGAGCUAGGAGCCAUGCAUGGGCCAUGGCUUUUGUGGUUUCUCGAUCUUUCCUUACGAAGAGGGGGAGAGAGGGACAAGUCGAGAGAAAACGGCUGGUUUUGUCUUUUGCUUAUCAAAAGGCCAAGUUUUGAGUGGGGAGAGCAAUCUUUAUGGCUUGGGAAUGCACACAAGAUCAGUGGCAGAGCCAGAACUGUGUAAAUUGUCUUUACAUAUAUAUGUGCAUCAGUAAUUACUUGGAAGUGUAGCUUUAACAUGCUCUUCUUAUCUUUUGUUUCAGAUGAGUUGAACUCGCGCGAAGCGCGCGCUGAUAAACUAGAACUUUAAUUUUCUUCUAAGUUGUACUUAGAAAAUUGUCUCCUCAUUCACACCACUGUUUAUUGUACCUUUUAACUUUAUUAGCAAUGAGAAAAGUAAUUAAGGUUAUAUUUCUAAAUUUAGUUUAUUAAAGUGUCCUUCAGGUAUGACUCAACAAUGUUUCCUGUUGAACUUUUUUAGGCAAUUCACUAACACCACAACAAACUGCUAGAGUAUUGAUUAUAUACACAAUUACCUUUAAACCCAGGAUACAUAAUAUUAGAUGCUGGUUCAAAUCACGAUUAAAGCAUAAAUAACAUUGUUAAAAAAGGAACAAAAGAAAAAAUUUCUUCAUGUUUUGACAUAAGAAUAAUAGCUCAUAGAUAUUUUCUUUUUUGAGAAGAUUCAAGACAUAGAUUAGCUGAUUUAUAUGAAUAUGAUUUAUAUGAAUAUGUUUAAGUUCGCUCUGCUAUUUUGAGGUACACAUAUGCAUCCUCCAUUUGAGUAAGAAGAGAACACAAAUUUGGUAUUAUAUUUUGAUUGAAUUAAUUUAUCCAGUAAUGUGUAUAAGAAGCUACAAAAGCAAAUACAUCAGUGAUAGGAUAGAUGACUCUGCACUGACUAAUUAAACCACUGUGACCUGUAAUUCAAAUCGGAUUUGAACUCAAUCUCUACCUUCUCAGUGCUUCUUCAAUGCUUCCAGAUUUUGGCUAAUUAAAAAGUAUUCAAUAAUCGAAACAACACCAACAUUUGUUUUCACGAGCAGAUCCGAUUGAAGACGACAAUUUCAAUGCGUCGAUAAGAGCCGCCAUCGAACAAUGCUACAAUUUCAAUGUGUGGUUAAGAACCGCCAUCGAACAAUGCUGAUCUGUGUCAAAUUAAAACAUCUUAAUGUUUAGAAACACAGGUAUAACUAGGUAAUACAUAUGCUCAAGAAACUAUGUAACCUUGUCGAUGCCAAGUUACAAUGAUUCAGUGGAUUAUUAGAUUGGAGUGAUGAAAACAAACCAAUUGAAUGAAGGAUAGAUUCCAUUGCAAGGUUGAACCAACCACAACAAAUUUCUUACUCCUCACUAAACAUCAAAGUUUCAUUCCAAUCCAACCAUAAAAGUUGGAUACUUCUUUAUGUGAAUUAACUCAAUUAUCCAAGUCAAGUAUGCCUAUCUUAAAUUCUCCCUGAUGUUCUCAACGAAACAGGACAAAUAACACUUAUUUUUUUAACUUAAAACUAGAGGCACACUACAAAUGGUCCAAUUUUAUGAAACUGCAAGUAUAAGAGUAAAAAUUUUGUAUAAAUUCAUAUUCAUAAGCAGUUACGAUAAUUUGUUUUUCUAACUCCUAACUCUACAAUCCAUCGCAUAAAGUGUUUCAAGUUUUUAAGAUUUGAAUAUCCUACUUUGUUAGGUAACAAACCAACACUACUGAUUUCAUAAACAUAGCAAUAGUGCUGUAAAAUGGAUUCACCUGUGAAACCAAAAUUGAAGUGUAAAAAUUUAACAAUUAGAGUUUACCUACGAAACCGAUUGCUUAUUCGGCAUCUUUAAGCUCUUCUUCGAGUACUUAUUCGUCCGUGCGCGCUCAACGAGCUUCUCAGCCUCCUCUGCUCUCGACGCCGCAACCAACCCAUCCACCACUUUCUGCAGCACCGCCGCGUCCGCAAAGCACUUCCGACUCAUGCUAUCGUAGCAACACCUAAGGGCCAAAUCGAAGUCCCCCGCCUCGCAGAGAUGCGGAAUCAGCGCCUCAAAGGUCCCCUUGUUGGGGGCGCAACCGUUCUUCACCAAAUCCAAGUACACUGUUUUGGCCGCCUCCAAAUUCCCAAUUUUGCAAUGCCCUCUUAUUACAGCAUUGAAUGACGAAGUGUCGGGCUUCGGCCCGUCCCUCAUCAUUUGAUCGACGAGCUCCGCCGCCUCCUCGGUUCUCUUUUCCAGAACCAGCCCUCUCAGCUUCGCGUUGAAGCUCUUCACGUCGGGCUCGACGUUCCUCUCCCGCAUCAAGUUCCAAACUUUCUCGGCGUCCGGGAACCUGCCGUGGCCGAAGAAGCCGUUCAGCAGGGUAUUGAAGGAGAUCAGGUCCGGGGAUAUGCCGUGCUGCUCCAUGAGGCUCAGCACGUCGAAUGCGGCGUCGAGGUCGGGUUUUGCGCAGAGGGCGCGGAUGAGGAUGUUGUAGGAACAGAGGUUGGGGACGAUCGAGGGGUCCUCGGCGGGGAUUUGGUCGAAGGCGGCGAGGAGGGCGUCGGGGUUGGAGGAGGAGGAAUCGGCGAGGGCGGUGAGGAGGGCGUUGAAGGAGAGGGCGGAGCGGGGGGCGGAGAGGGAGGGGAGGCGGCGGAAGAGGGCGGCGGCGUGGGAGGGCAUGGAGGCGGCGCCGUAGAGGGAGAUGAGGCGGGCGGAGAAGCCCUCGUGAGAGAGGUCGGAGGGGAAGCGGAGGUGGGAGUCGAGGACGGCGGCGACGGCGUCUGGGCGGCCGGCGGCGGCGAGGCGGCGGACGGCGGAGGAGUAGAUGCGGUGGCGGCAGCGGAAGCGCGGGGAGGCUGCGGCGGCGGCGAUGAAGCNCGGGGGCGGCGCUGCUAGGGUUAGGGUUAGGGUUAGGGUUUGAAGGGGAAGGAGAGGAGGAGAGGAGGCGAGAGAGGCGGGGGCGGACGAGGAGGCGGAGGCGGGAGGAGGAGGAUGAGGAGAAGGACAUGGUUUUCGCGUCUCUUCUCGAAAAAGAAGGGUUUUGGGAAUUUAAUAAGGCUUUAGAGGGUUUAGGAAAAUGGGUCGGGCCAAAUUUUAGGAAAAUGGGGCCCAGUUGGAGUUUUUGCUGUUUCAUUAGAAUUUUUCUAAAAAAAAAGGGUUCCUUAGUCGUGCAACUUGGCCUAUGGGUGUAGGGUGCAUAACAAACUAAGACUUAGUUUGGUAUUAAAAUCUAUCUGAGGUUAUUAAAUAAAAUAGAGUUGGAAUAAAAUUAUAUAGGGAUAUGUUUCUGCGUUCUACAGUGAGACCGUAGAAAAUAUAUCGUAUCUUAACCGACCCAUCACGAUAUGCGGAACGUAAUAUUACGUAAGGAAACAAACAGACUAUUUUCUCAUCACACAAUUUCCUCGCAAUUCCAAAUGAAGUUUAAAUUUUUAGUCAUUUAAAAAUAAUACGAAUGAAGUUUUCAGUCAUUUAAAUUUUAAUAUUUUAAUUUGAUUUGCGUCUUGAAGUACAAAUUAUUUGUCAAUGUUUGGGGUGCUUUUUUAAACCCCCAACAUAAAGAGCUGGAACUUCCAACAGUAUUGCCUUCCUAAUUUUUAUUAAUCUCAAAUUAGCCUCUGAUCAUUCAUGGCAAUGCCAUGCUUUAAGAAUGGAGUCUUUUCUUGACACAGUUAAUGAAUGAUUUUUUUUUUAGUUUUUUUAAUUUAAUUGUUUCAGCAAAGAAGAUCUUGAAUGAGUAUUGAUUUUAAUGUUUUGAGGGGAGUAAAAAUAAAUUAGAAUUGAUGGAAUUAUGCAACUGAAGAACAAAACAAAAAAAUAAAAAAUAAAAAAUCAAGCAAUGAAAAACCCAUGAACUAUAUUUAACACAUUAUAAAAAGAAAGAAAAGAAUAGCUCUGAGAAACAUAAAAUAUCAUGUGCAAAUUUUUGACCACAACCACUUAUAUGAUUCUAGGUAUAAUAAUCAUUUACGAUUUUACAGACCCAAUCCAUCAUCCAAAAAAUUGGCCAAUUUUUCUUAAAAAAAAUUGCUAAUAAAUCACUGUUGUGGAGUCACUUAAUCACCCAUUUCCCUCUCAAUAUAAGUGAAGGACCCCAAAAAAAAAAAAAAAAACUUUUUUAGGUUGAGAAAAAGAAAACAGGGGGAAAGUGACAAAGUGAUAGUUAAUUAAGCAAUCAAUAUAUAAAUAAGAGUAUAAUUAAUUGGCUAUUUUAGGUGGUGUGGCACACUAUAAAGCAUUUCUUAAACAAGAAAAUUGAGUACAGUGUGACCAAUCACCCAACAAUAUUAACUGCUCCCGCCAAAACCCAUCUUGCUAAAGGGAUUGAACACUUGUUACCUGGAUUGGGUUCACCACUUCAUCCAUGGACCAAGUGACAAAGAGCAAAGGAUCAUCAGUCAAAUCAGAAACUCGGACUUCAAGCUUUUAUUUUUUUAGCAUUUAAGGUCCACUCCACGGGUUCAUUUGGUAUUAAAAAUCGGCUAAGACUUCUGAUGAAAAAAAUAACUAAGAGCGAAUUCUUCAACCAGACCACAAAAUAUAUUUUAAUCAAGUUAUUGUCAUAUACACAAUGUGUCUUUUUUUUGCCGCACAUAAUCUAACUGUAAUCCUAAAUAAAUGUCGUCACAAAAAUUUACAAAUUUUCUAACUAUCAAAUAUUUUGUAAUAAGUAAUUAUAACCAAAAGCAUAAUAAAAAAUAGAAUCAGACUCUUAUAUUUUCUCAAACACUCUAUAAAAUUGGCUAUGUAGCUAAAAGCAUAAGUAGAAGCAAAAAAACAGCUAAUAGAGACGCGAAACGGUUUCCUGGUAUAUAAUUUGACCGGUCUAGUAGACCCGGUCCAGCUAAUAGUCUGUAUCGACCCAAACAGAAUCGUACGGCCUCUCACAGUCCUUUCGCCGCCACCAUGAGAUUGAUUCCUCGUCCCCCAUGUCCUGUAAAAAACGUUGGAGUUAGAGAGAGAGAGUAGAGAGUAGUGAAUCGAGAGUUACUUGUUGGGGAAAGCAGAAGUUUCUACAGCGAACAACAACCAAUGCCGCGGCGGCCGCGGGGCGCUGCUGCAUCGCAGGCCGCCGAGGCGGAGGCGGAGGCGGAGGCGGAGUUAGAGGCGGAGCUGCAGGGCGACUUCGUCGACUCCGUGCUCGACAUGGAGGGUGGCAUCGGCGGGGAGACGCCGAUGGAGAAGUGGGAGAUGAGGUUCAAGUCGAAGAAUCUGGAGGCCGAGAGGAGGAGGAGGGGGAAGCUCAACACCAACAUCUUGGCCCUCCGUGCUAUCGUGCCCAAAAUCACCAAGGUUCAAUUUUUUUUUUCUCUUUAUUUCCCCUUUUUUCCAAUUUUUUUUUUUAGUUAUCUUUUUUUUUAAUUAUUAUUAAUGUAGUAAGGACCACCCCGCUUAAUUAUUAUUAGGCUAUUAAUUUUGGAAAUUAUUUGUGUAACUUUGUUGUUUUUUUCUUUAAUAAAAAAAUAUUUAAUCGGAGUUGUUAUAGAUAGUUUAAUUAAGGACUAUAUCAGACUUAUUAAUGGUUUUUUUAUCUGUUAGUUGUGGAUUAUUGGUGGAACUUGUAGUCUUAUUGUUUGCUAAAAAAUGAUUAAAAAUGUUAAAUUUAACAGCAUUUUUAUUAAAUUUAUUAAAAUUUUUAUGUAACUGAUUUGAAAUUGCUAAAAUAAAAAAAAAAGUUGGGAUGGGAUGGUCUCUAUAUAUUUUACAAUUUUACAAUAAACAAUCUGGUAAAAGGAAAAAAAAAAAAAAAAAAAAAAAAAAAAACAACAUGACAAUCAACAGUUCCUAAUGUAAGUGACAAAAAAUUUAAUGAUUGGAACAAAAAGUUUUAAGUUCAAAGUUUAANAAAACUCUUCUUUGCUGUUGUUAAGGAAUUGUUUUUGGUGAUUUUAGAUGAGCAAGGAAUCGACCCUCACCGACGCGAUCGAUUACAUUACGCUGCUGCAGAAGCAAGUGCUUGAUCUACAAACAGAGCUCUUAGAAACAGAUGGAGAUCUUAUUCAUAAAAAUGAAGCAAAUGAAGAUGAGGAGGGAGAGAAGCAGAGGAGUCCAAGUUCUGAAACAGUUGCUCCCUCUGUGACAGUGCAAUGUCAGGUAAUUUAGUUUUUUUAUUUUUCAAGAAAAUUAAAAUGAUAGAUAAAUUAAAUAUUUUGAGUUUCCAAAGUAGAAGUUUAAAAGUAAAUUAUUAUGAAAAGCAAUUGAUAUAUUGGUUUUUUCUUUAAGAAGAGAUUUUAAUAGAAACAUCCAAUAAAAGGAGAAAAGAAUAGGAGGUGAUAGAGAUUAAGCUAAAAAAAUUUGUUAAACUUAAAAUACUAAAAAAAAACACUUGGCGAGGAUGGUCUCUAAUGUGAGACCGUCACAUUUGUCAUUCAUGUGGCUUUGAAAUUCGUGUCAUUCACGUGAUUAAUAGCAGAUAGGAUAGUCUUGAAAUUGAGGACUGUUCCCAUCAAAUUUGUGUUGUUCUGUGUUUUGCUGUACAUUUAGUAUAAUAGUGAAAGUAUACAAUGAAAUGCAUGGGGAGGUGGUUUGGAUGUGGAGGAUAAACAUUUCAAUGCUCAAAAAGAGGAAGAAGAAAAAAAAAGACAAAAUAAUUUUUUUGGUGUUGUAGCAUUUUGUCUCCUAACCACUUUAGAAAUGCUUGAUACUCUUUGCCAACAGGGGCAGGUUGAGCUAAUACCUAUGGGCCCAAACAAGUACCAGCUGAAGAUAAUGUGCAAGAACAGGAUGGGGCAGUUCACCAAAGUUCUAGAAGCUCUGAGCUGCUUCAAUGCAGAGGUUGCUGAAAUAAGCUCUGUGGCCUUCUUCGGCUUCUCGAAGAGCGUGUUCUCCGUUGAGGUGAGUCCACACAAACUAAAAUAUCCUUCUACUAGUGAAGUAAGUGAUUAAUUGUUUAUGUUUUUCUUUUUUUUUUCUCUUUGUAUAGGUGAAGGAAGGAGAAGAGGGUGAAAUCAUAGAAUUAAGAAAUCUUUUGUUAGCACUUGUUGGAGCCUCGGAAAAUUGAGCUGCUUCAGAAUUGAUCUUUAUGACUUUGAUUUGAAGCCACUAAAUGUUACAUGCUUUUGUAGUUUAUAACAAAUGUCAGCAAUAUAAACAUAUAGAACAACUUGUGGUUCCUAGCAAUUGAAUCUUAUGCAGAAUUACAAAAUAAUAUAUGAUUAGUUGAAAAGCUUAUUGAGUAUGGAUAUUAAGCUAAAUUUUUUGUUCUACUUGUGGGCUAGUAUUAAAAAUUUUUAAUACUAGCCUUUUCUAUCUUUUCUAGUAACUUAAAUCAUUUACAGUGGCAUUUUUGUUUAGCUCUUUCACACAUUGGUUUCUGAUUGUGAUACUUUCAACAAAAAACCUAAGUAAUAAAAUGGAGGUUAAUUAGAUUUUUACCAUAUUUAAUGUAGUAAAAUAAUGCAGCUUUUACUAUUUGUAACUUUUAUUAUUUAUCUACAUGGUCUUGGUAAAUGGUAAAUGGUAAUUUUUUGGGUUUCUUCCAAGGAAGCCUUAUAGGCCAUGUGCUUAUAGGCCUCGGCAAAUUAGCUCUACUGGGUGAAUUCAUGAAAUAAACUGCUAAGGAAUGCGAGGAAAUAUAAGACGAAAAGCAUGAACAACUACUACAAGCAUAUAAAUUCUUCGAAAAUGAGAAGAAACUUGGCGGACGACGCUAACUUGCUAAGAUUAUUUACUUUUUUUUAUAAAAGAGAAUUGUAUUAUUAUCCAAUUGAUGCUGAACCAAUCUUUUCCCAACAUAUAGGCUAAUCACUCCACUAAAAUGCCAAGUGUUGUGCCUUGGGCAUUGUACUUUUCCUUUGUUUAGAAGGAUCAAUAAAAAAAGAAGAAUCUUUCAGGCUGAAUCAAAUGUACAUUGUCAUGGCCUUGUCUCCAACUUGGUAUAGUUUUGGUUCAUUUUAGUAUAAAAGCAAAUCAGUAACUUUGUAUGAUAAUUCAAUUGCCGACAUACGGAUAUCUAACAAGUGACAGCAGACAUCAGUAAGCAGCAAGAAGAAUCUAUGGGCUACAAGAUCGAGACUUUAUCGCUCGUGUGCAGAGAUCGUAAUUAACAAAACAGCAAAUGCAGAGAGAUUCCGAGUCACUCCGAGGUUCAGUGAGGUGGCAUUGAUCUGUCUAUCAGAUUUUUGAAUGACCAUGUCACCGAUUCUAAGUACAUUUGAAGCAAUUUUCCAAUUUAAUUAUGUGAAAGACAACUCAUUCUCAUAGUAUCUGCUAUUCUGCAGGUCAAAAGGACCAAAACUUAGUCAUGCAAUUCAGAUUAGAUACUCACAUAUCAGGAAGCUUCCAUUUCAUAAAUUUAUAAAUAAUGCCAACCAAAGGUAGAUUGCUUUCGAUCUGCGGUACAAAUUUUGGCUUUAUCAUAAGUCGAAACAGUAUUAUAUACGGUAAUGAAUCGUCAAAGGCCUUUUUGUUUCUCGUCUCAGGGACAUCAAUUAGACGCUCACUUGAGAGUUGGUAACACAUAAUGUGCACAUUAAGAUCUUAUUUUAUCUUGGGAUAAUAUAAGGACAAUGUAAAAUGAUCUGAAACACCCUAAUUGAACUCCGGCAUAUUUGUCUAAAAGUUAUGAAAUGGCCAUUAAACACAAAUUGAAACCAAAUUAGCUUUUGGUACUAAUUGUAAAAUUUGCCUUGGCAAACUUACUAAAAAGAUCUAAUCAUUCAAUUUUUGUUGAUCCUACAUUAGAAAAGUAUGCCUUUAUGCUCCGAUAUAGCAAAAUACCGUCGAAUUAAGAAAAGGAAAGUUAACUAGAGAAGAAGCAAUUAGUCCAUCAAAAUAUAUAGACAAUAAGGCCGCACGGGGGUAGCUGUCACAAAUGAAGAAGCAGAGAGAGGACAUCCUCGCGCACGAAGAAGCUCCUGUCUCAUAAAAUUUGUUAUAGUGCCAACUAAGCGAAAAAUAUUUAUAUGCCAACAAAGUGAUGAGCGAAGAUGUCGAGUUUGGUGAUCAUCUAUUGAACUCAAUUAAGUCCAAUGUUUUACUCAAAAUAAAAAAGUCCAAAGUUUCUGAUCUGAAGAGCGUUAAGGGAAUACUCCUAUCACCUCUUAGACCCGUUACAAUUUUACACGAGUAUAUUGUUUCUACCGAAACAACACUUUUGUAAAAAUUCCGAAUAGUUAGAAUAGUAAUAAUGAACAUUAUUGCGAGUGAACCGAUUUUAAGGGCUUCGUCUUUAGACUAAGUUUCUUCUGAGAAUUCGCAAUCAACUGUUAAAAUAGUUUGAGCAGAGCAUCAUUUAAAUUUGAUUAAUUUGCUGUAAAAUGUGAUCCUGCUGUACCCCUCAAUGUACACUGCAAUGCACCAUUUUCCAAGAGGCUUCUAUAAAUCAAUUUCAGAUUCUAGUGUAGGACACAAGUCCUGCUACUCACCCCAAUGAGAAAACCCAGUUGUUAAUUAAUCCUUGUCAUUAUGUAAAGAAACAGGUGUCACUCCUUAAUAAAACCAUCCACCCCAGUAAUCACCUCCCUUAAUCAAUAAAAAAAACUUUGUUUUGUGUAACAUAAAUUAAUAAUAAAUCAGUGUGACUUUCCCACUACCUGAAAUUAAGAUCCAACAUUGAAAGCCCCCCCCACCCAACACUCCUUGUAUCUAACUUAGUAAACUAAUCCAAUCCUUUCACACCAAACUUAACAAACAAAGUCAUUAACAAACCUCUAUGUAUAAGCCCUUAUAUAAGGCCACAAAUCUCCACUCUUUUGUACUACAAAUUCUCUCUUCAUCUUUCUUUGUGUUCCAAGUUUGAGACACUGCAGUAAACCAUCGAUGGCUCGCGUGAUUCUGUUCUGUGUAUUAGCUGCUGAUAUUGUUACGACUCUCGCAACGGCUCGAUCAUUUCCGACUGUCGAUAGGACCACUGCAAUUCAGAUUGAUAGGCCAAUGGUUGCUGAUCCCCCUUCUUCUUCCUCUUCUUCUUAUGCUGUAACUUCUAGUGCUUCUUUCGAGUCGAGACCUGCGGAGGGGCCUGCAAGCUUUCAUCCACAUGUGAAGCACCGGCCGUUCGACCGAUCUCUCGCCGGAGGGAAGAUCAUACUUGGAGGGCUUGCGGCCGCCAUUUUUGCCGCUGUUUUCUGCUACAUUCGCAUCACUAGGCGGAAAAGCGGAGAGCCAAAGUCUUGAAACUGUUCAAUUUUUUUUUCUAUCUCUUUUGCUUCUUCUUUGGCCACCCUUGUAAGAUUACAUAUAUUGUUACAGACAAAUUGUAUCCUUUUGAUAUUGUGUCAUACAGAAAGAAUUAAAUGACAUGAUUGCAAAUGUUACAGAAGUUUCAAACUAUUGAUCAGGGCAUUGAUCAGAGGAUUAUGCAAUUAAAAUUAAGAGUUCAAAUCAAAAAAGGAAAGAAAUAAAUAUGGUUAUUCGAGAUAAUCUGAGGAAAAAUGCAAUCUUGAAUAAUGUUAGUAAUCAAUGCAUUUCUUUAAAAGUAAAGUAUAACCAAUAAAUUUUAUGGGCCUUUUGAUAAUUUAGUCAUAUUAUCACUUCACAAACAAAAGGAUAAUUUAGUCUCUAUUAGUAAUCUCACUCCAUACAUGAGGAACUAUUUUUUUUUUAACUUUGCUUUUGAAAAGCUAAUGAGAUACUAAUUAAGCUAUAUUCUAAAGAUAUCUUUCUCCCAAAUUUCUCUUUUUGGAAAGAAAUGAUUGAACUCCUUUUUGUGGUGAAGAUUUAGUUGUACUAUUCAUGCACAAAAAAGUUACUUGAGCACUAAUCUGAGCACUAAUCUCGCGCAAGUCGAAAUCUUUAUACGAAACCAAAUUACUCCAUUAGUUACAAUUUCAAGCGUGCAAAAUUCUCGACUUCAUGUCGGAUCAAAAGAAGAAGCAGCAGCAGAAGAAGGAAAAAAACAAAUUGCACUUCAUAUUAGACUAGUUUUCUGCAAUUUUCAAAGUGAUCAGGAGAUAUGGCUAGUAUUACAGCUGGCAGGAACUUCGAACUUCCUACAUCUUCAACAUCAAGUUUGAUAAAUUAAAUACGAUAAUUAUGAUGCUGGUUUAUGUUAAUGCUUUAAUUGCUCACUAUCUAUGUACAGAGAUGUAAUGCUACAGUACAGAAACAUAUAAACAAUCAAUCCAUCAGUAACUUCUUUUUUUUUCCCUUUUUUUUCGGAAGAAUCCAUCAUUAACUUUUAACUUACUACCGACUGUUCUUAGAGCAAGUGGCAAAGAACUUAAUGGUUGGUACCCGAGACCCAAGUUCGAAUCCUAGUUGAUUCACAUUUUCAGCUAAGUUUAUUUCUAAGUGAAACAAACGAAGCGGGUAGCGUGCUACCUGUCUCUCAAAAAAAACUUUUAACUUACUACAGAGACAGAGAUGGUACUCAAAGUAUGAUUAUAGCAGUUCGGGAGGCAAAACAUUUCUAUAUAAUAACCUUUUCAUACAAUAUUGGUGGUUGGUACUCUUGAUUGUCUCUAAUGAGUCAAAACACACACACACACACACACACACCAUGUUCUUGUGGGACUUAAUUAUGAAUCGAAGGCGAUUAGCGAGUAUAACAAUAUGGAAACAUCGAAACAUAGAGAACCUUACAGAGUACACAUUGCAGGGGGAAACAACUUGUGCCAUAACUAAACUAUAUUUUUUUAUCUUUGAACGUGCGCGUACUUUUAAUACUAAUGAUGCAGGUGUUCUAUGGAUAAGUAGCAUUAUGUCUCCUGAUCUCUAACAUUUCCUGAAAAUAUGCAAAUGAAAAUGGUACAUAUAUAUUAUUUUUCAUUCACUUCCAAUAAUACACUGAUACAACUUAAGUUUUAACUAUAAUUAAAGUAUGGACACAUUUAAUUAACCAAGGUAAAGCUUACAAUUUUACACAUUAGAGAGGCUAAAUUACAGAAAAUCCCCUUGUAAUAACCCGCUUUUUUACUUUCGCCCCCUGACAUUUAAAAACCUACACUUUGCCCUCUUGUAAAAUGAAAAAUCUGCAUUUCAUCCCCUACCGUUAAGGUUCUGUUAUAAAAUAUUUUUUUAUGCCGAAAAUACCCCUCCGCCCUCUUUCUUAUUGCUUCGCCUCCCUCCGGCUCGCCGCCUCGCCGUCCUCCACUGCCUCGCCUUCACCUACAUCCCUUUCGCCCUCCUCCGCCGCAUCGCCUUCGUCCUUGUUGCCCUUGCCUACCUCUCCAUCAACACCCACCUCGAUUUUCUCCCUACUAUCGUCGAAAUCGAGAGACGGCGAGGAUGCAGGAGGAGAAGAGGAGUAGGUGGAGAAGAAAAUGGAUAGAUAUUGCGGCCAAUUGAGGUGGGAAUCGUGGUCGAUCGAAGGGACGGCUGAGGAAGAUGAGGAAGAAGACGAAAAUGGCGAGGGGCGAAAUGGUCAUUUUACAUAACGUAAUCCCCCUAUAAAUAUUUUUUAUUUUAAAAAAGAUAAAGUGUAGAUUUUAAAUGUCAGAAGAAAAAAGUAAAAAAACGGAUUAUUACAGAGAUUUUUUUGUAAUUUAGCCUAUUAUAUAUUAAGCUACAUUUAUGCCUUUCCUAUUUAAGGUAAGGAAGAUCCAAUUGAAACCCAGCUCUAAAACAAGCUAAAUGGAUAUGGAUUUGGUUUUAUUGCUUGUUAUUCGAUGAACUCGAAAACAUUCCCUAACACAUAAAAAAAUAAAGUAAAAGAAAAUUAAAAGGACCUAAUAAAACACCAAUGAGUGAGUAGUAUUUACUGAGCUAUCAUUGGAAUGGACCACGCAGAAAUUCUCUUUCCCAUCUGAAGUAAGAUCUAGCUGUCCAUUCUUUAAUUUAUAGUGCUACAGGUGUCAUUUCUAUAACUGCAGUCCUAUCACAAAUGAGAAUACUAUUCAAGCAACCUAUUUUAGUCAUAUCAUCUUAAAUUAAAAUUUUCUUAUAAUCUUUGCUGUUUCACAAAUAAAACUAGAAAUGCAAACGACAAACGAGACGGAUUCGGAGGCGGAGAAGGACUGACUUUUAUCUUUUUUUUUUUUUUUUGUCUACAGUACUUAUCGAUUUAUUCUGAAUAGAUCAGAAUAAAAGAGAAUUAGGACGGAUUAAAGGAAAAAAACAAGGGUCCCCUAUUUUUUGCUGCUUUUUUUUUUUUUUUAGGUAGAAGCGGAUUCAGGACGAGUGAUGUUAUUUUUUAUUUUCGCUCUCUAGCUAGUUAUUCGGAAUGCAUCGGGACAGAAGCUAGCUCCACCAAACUUAGAGAUUUAUUAACUUAAUAUAUUGUCAUAAAAAAUUCUAUAAAUUGUUUGUUUGGCAAACAAAAAAUAUUUAAAAAAUUAUAUAUAGUAUAUUUUUAAAAAAUAGGAGGUGCAUGCAACACCAGCUGCCAAUGGGCCUGUAAUGAAAGGAAUCUUCACUGAAAUCUACCACCACCUAACUACAUAAAAAGUGCCCCACUGUCUUUUACCAAAAAUAAAAACAAAACCAAAAAUAAAAUAAAAUAAAAUAAAAUAAAAUAAAAAAGCAGUAAUUCAUAUCAUGCAACACAACUCCCCCUCAACUCCACCCUUGUAUAAAGGGCUUACUGCAACAACAAGAGAGCUCCAAAAAUCUCUAACCCCAACAAUCACCAUCAAUGGCUCCUCCCCUCCCUCCUCAUUUCUUCUCUCUUUUACUUCUUGCUAAUCUCCUCGUCAUCGUCGCUGUAGCUCGGCCUCUUUCGACGGUCGAAAGAGCCAAUGCAGGUGAGCCCACUAUGGCUUAUGCACCAUCUUCAAGCUUGAAUCCAAUUGAACUACAUAUGACAACUUUUGCGGGCGCACCGGAGAUCAGCCUGCCUCAUCAUCGACAGCAUCGAGCCUUCGACAAAUCGUUCGCGGGAGGGGAAGUGAUCCUCGGUGGGCUCGCCACUGCGAUCCUCGCCGCCGUCUUCUGCUACAUUAGAGUCACUAGGGAAAGAGUGGAAGAUGAGAAAUCUUGAAGUGGUUGUAUUAACAUGUUUUGCUUAAACAAGUUUUACAAAUGCUACUUUAAGUGAAAAUCAAUGUAUAAAGAGGCCAUCUUGGAUAUUGAAAUGGAUAGGAUAUGUUGUGUAAAAUAUUCUUCUAUGUUUUUCCCCAUUUUCCUUAGUUUUGUUUAAAUUUAAAUAGGUUCUGCCACUCUUGCAAAAAAUGGCUACAGCUAUUGUUUAUUGCUUACUUAAUUCAUCAUUGUUUUUUUUUUUUUUUUCCUUUCGUACAUAUGUCAUUACUUUUCUUCUUUUGGUUUCUCUUCUUCUCAUAAAAUGUAGAGAUCAUAAACAUGUGGAGUAGGUGUUGAAUCAUUACUUCACCCUUUGCUUAAAAUUAACCCUUCACAAUACUUCAAUCAUUUGAUGCUUAAUUAUCAAAAUAAAUUAAUGGCAAAAGGAAAGAGCCAUAUACAUUGUACAAAAAAAGAAAAAGAAAAAAGAAAAAAGAAAAGUAGGGGUGGGGCCAAACUUUCUCCAUGAGCUUGUGGUUUUCAAUUAGUUGUCAUUAGUGUUUAGUAUCUUGUAGAUGUUAGGUCAGGUCUCUAGCCAAAGAAAGGUUUAUUGAAUACAUGUGGACUUAAUUUGUUCAAUUAAGAUCUUAUAAUUAAUGCAAUCACACCCCAUUUAUCUUUGCUAACAUAGAUAUUUUCCAAACUCGAAUUAAGCUCUAGAUUUGGUUUCCAUUAUUUUUUAUGAUUUACCGAAGCUAACGCAACAAUACUGCUUAGACCUAUUAAUAAUAAGAAAUACUUAAACUAGAGUGUGUCAAACUUCUCACCAGUAGCUGGUCAGCCAUGUUUUAAAAGCGAUCCUCUACCCCUUCUUCUUUUCUUAAUUUAUUUCUUUUCCACCCCAGCCUCUACGCUCUUCUUAUGCUUGUUACUUUUUUUUUUGCCUGUAUUUUUGUCUGUUUCUCGGAAGCCCAAGCUGCUUCCAACAUGUAUGCCCAGUUCAUUUAACUUAAUGAAUGAAUCAGCUAGCUCGCUACCUAUUUCUCAAAAAAAAAAAAAAAGAAAUCUUAAACUGAGUUACUAGUACUAUUAUUCUGCGAAUUACCCUUUCCCUUUUUGAGUAUGACUAAUUAGGUGUAAGCCACACUAACGAAAUAAAGUAAGUUAUCAGCAGCUGAGAUAUUGAGUCUUCAGCUGAUAAUUUGCUAGUGCGUCAUUCAACCGAGUUGCAUUCUCUCUAUUUCUAAAAAAGGUUAGUGGUUAUAUAUUUUCAACGCUUUCUCAACAUCUUCCAACACGAAACUACUACUUUUUUCGGUGUGACAUAUGCAAGGAUAUAUAUAUAUAUAUCCUUCAUGGAAAAAGAAACAAUAGAUCUUAUCUUGCUUUACAUGCAUGGGAGAUAUUAAAAAUCAUGGUCAUGUCACCUUCAAAGGAUUAAAAGAAGGUAGGCCUAACAUGUGCAGAUAUAGCUGAUCAUCAUAUAUCCAAUAAUAUUGCUUUAAUUGGUAGUAAUUCAUGCAUGAUUAUGAGUGGUCAUCGGUCCAUGUUUUAAUUGCUGGACCCAUGAAACUAAUGACUAGCUAGUUCGACCAAUGUGUGCGCUAUGUAUCGACGUGUGCCCAACCAUGACCACACUUGUUUCAGGCUCAAUUUUGAGUCGUGAAAUUAAGCAAAUGUUUGGUUGGAGCGCUCUCACUUUUUCUUUUGUGGCCCCAGCGCACGUGCGCGUGCAUGUGUGUGAGCUACUACAUGAAUGCACCUCAUAAGGCCAGGAUCCUUGUAAGGUGAUAUGGUCCACCUUCAAAACAUAAUAUUGGCUCAUCCAGAGUGUAGUAAGUUGCACUUAAUGAGAGAAAGAGAGAGAGAACCUCAUAUAUAUCAGGUGCUUAAAUGCAUGUUGAGCUGGUGAUAGCAAAAACUCAUCUCUCAAUCAUUGAUGCUUGAUUCAUUGCUGAUCCAAUAAAUCUUUUGAAUAUAUGAUGGAACGAUCAUGAUUGAUUUGAUUUAAUGUGAUAUUUAUGAUUCUAUGACGCACGUGGAAUCUUGCUGUUUGAGAAUAAGUGCUCGAUCGAUCGCGUUGUCUUUAAAACAAUUUUUCUAUUCCAAUGAGUGGCAAUCGUGCACUAUUUAACAAACAAAAUUUACUAUGGCAAGAAGUUAAAAUAAACUUUUAGAUUACUAGUUUUCCAUAGCACAUAUAUGCAGGUCCGCCAGAAUUAAUUCUCUCGGCAUCGUUGACGGAUAACAUUCAUGCACAACCAUGAUCUCAAAGCCUAUCGACUUACACCGCGUUUUAGAAUCAGUAAGCUCUUGCAUUAUUUGCUUGAUUUGGUUUAGUGGAUUUAAGAAAUGUUUAAGUAAAUCCUUCAUUUAUUGUAAAAAGAAAAAUUUUGUAAUCAACAAUAGAGUCGGUUACUUACGAUUUACGAACUAGCAUGGUUCUUUGCAGAGUUCCAAUGGACUCGGCACCGCAAACAAGCCACUUGCCGACUUUCUCCUACUCCGAGGAGUCGGCGAGCUUUCGACCUCGGCGCCGUCUUCGUUCAUUCGUAAGCACCAAGAAAACAGAUUGCGGCGGAUGCAUUGAGGAAAUUAUUGGCAGUGCCUGGUUUACCACGUCAGCCAUAGACUGUACAGCAUUUACUGUCAAUCUCUAUAUACGUUUUAAACUUUCGCCCUUCAUUAAAUUUCAUCAUAUCUUUUUUUUUUUAUAACAAUUAUUUACUAUAUAUAUAUAAUUUGAGGAUAAGUUAUAAUUUUAAAUUUAAUUGUAUAGUCAAAUUUUAAUUUUUAAUUUUUUAUAGUUAAACUUAGAACUAAAAAGUUUUAUCUAAUUCCUCUUAUUUUUUUUGCAGUCCACGGAUGACGUGGUGAACUUCGUCCACGCAACAAUUUUUCCCGGAGAAGUAAAGCGGUGCAAGAGAGAGAGAAGCAGAGAACGCUAUAGAACGCCGUAUAAAGGGCGUAGGGGAUUGAACGAAACCGUAACCUUAAACCCUAGGGCAGAGGAGAUCGAGAUCGAGAGAGAGAGAGAGAGAGAGAGAGCAAUGGCGACGGAGAGCUCGGCCAUGGCGGUGAUCAGGGCCUCGCGCCCCUUCUUUCGCAACUCCCACGACAAGGUCGCCUUCGCCGUCCACGCCUCCUUCCUCGCCGCCGGCUACUCCCUCGCCGCCGCCGGGAAGAGCGCCUUCACCGAUCACCUCCCCUCCGGUUGGUAUCAAUUCCCUCCCCGAUCCCAUCUCUCUUUGAAACCCUCGGGUUCCGAUCUAAUUCCUCUUUGUUUGAUUUGUUGUUUGUGUUGCAUUGCAGGGGAGGAGGAGGUGGGAAUCGAUGGGUGGAACGAGCUUGAAGAUCGCUACGCUUUUGUUUACUUUAAGAAUGAGAAGGGGGUAAAAAAGCGAGUUCUGGUCAAGUGCUUGGCGAUUGGAGAUAAGCUCGCUGUAGAUGUGCUGAACCUUGAAGGGGAGCAAAAGGAACCUCUUCAUCUCCAAAUCAAGUAUGGAUUCGUUUGUAAAAAUUGAAACCUUUUCCUUUUUUUUGGGCAAUUUGUGUGGUUAUUGUUGAUUCUGUGUUACUGUUCGUGGUUGCAGUGUGAAGGAUUACUUGUCUGACGAUGGUGUUGAUCAACCGAGAAAUUAUGGGGAUAUGUACAAGGAUCUUAAGGGCCUUGUUGAGAGCUUGAAGUCUAGUGUUUUGGAUAAAUUGGAGGAUGGAUAUGAACGAAAAUUGAAUGCCAAAGUCGAGACCUCUUCAUCUUCUCGCAGGUCUCUUCAACUUGAAAUUUGGAUCUCUGAGUUUAAUAUACUAGUUUUAAUCAUUAAAUUCUUGUGCCAUUUAACUUAUUAGAAAAAUUACUUUGAAAACUGAUUUGAGAAAUGCAUAGAAGCCUCUUAGAGAUAUGUGUUAACGGUGUUAAUUGCUUGGUGAUUUAAGAUUUGUGAUGUGGUUGUUAUGCAACAAGGUUUGUCUGUUUAAAUGUUUUGUAUGUACCAGCGAUAUCUGCUAUGUGACAUUGAUAUAUUAUUCGACAGGUAGACUGGUUUCUUUGUGCAACACCAUUCUCCUUUCAACUGACAAAUCAUGUAUAAACUAUAUAACCAAUUGAGUGUAGUUCAGUAUAAUUGUGGGUUUGUAAAGGUUUAUUAGUUACUUGGUGCUCUAUCACAGAUCAUGCAUUGGAGAUUUGUGGAAGUACAAUAAAAGCAUAACAGUGUAGCAUAAUGCUUUGGCAGUAUUGGGGUAGUUGGGUGUUGGAAGGAGCAACUUUGAAAGAUUUAGGUUAUAAAUUUAGCACAGGAGAGAGAUUAAUUGAUAAUUAGGGAAGUUGAAUAAGGGCCAAGUUUCUGUAGGUAAUUAGUGGGCUUCGAGACAAGAUGUUAGUAGGUGUAGAGGCAUUUGAACUUGUGUCAAAGUGAAUUUGGAAGAAUAUGUGAUAAUUCAUGACAUGAAUGAACAAUAUCACAGGUUGAUAUGCUUUUAAGAAACAUUUCACUUUCUCACGAUACAACUUGAUGCAUGUGUAUUGAGUAGGUCUCUGGUUGGUUGCCCCCCCUCCCUACUAUACUGUGGUUGCAUUCGUGUAUGCUCGUAUAUCAUGAUUAAUUGCUAUUUUUUAUGGCACAACACGACAAUUUUGUGGCUUAUUCUCUGUUUUCCAGUUAUGAAGGGCCUGAUAUAGACUUAAACACUCCUGAAUCGGUUGUGGGAGUUCCAGCUGAGGAUCAGCGUCAACCACCAAAGUAGGUGCUUUGAGUCCUUUUCUGCUUUUUAUUUGCAGUUGCAUGGUAUUCUAGUUCUAUCCUUUAUUUAUUUUCUUUAUAUGAUUGUAAUAAUAAACUUCCAAAUCUGGAUCAACCACAAAUUUAAGGGCAAGUAAAGAUAAAAAGGGAAUGUAUUUACUUGCAAUAACAGUUGUUACUUGCAACAACAGUUGUUACUUGCAAUAGCAGUUGCUAGACGGACUUCUCACUAAGUCAUCAUGAGUAUUCGACUCACAGCCUAGGUCUACCGCUAAAUCUAUGGCACUAGAGGUAGUAAAAGGCUGUGCUCGAGGGGUUCAAAUGUAAAUACAACUGGCAAGGGUAGUGCUCAGUUUGGUCAUCCUCUUAGUGUAUGCAUGUGUUUGUGAACAAGAUGAAGAGAACUGAUACGAAAAGAAUUCAUCAAUUUGCUUGCUAACAACUUUUUACAUGGACACAUCUGAUAAGAAAGAUAUCUAGGAGGGAAAGAAAAGGCCGGGAAUGAGAGAAAAGACAAAUAAGAAUGUCUGAUGUAGAUUAGAUUGACCUUGAGCAGGACCGUUAGCUGAGUUGGCAAUUAAAUGAGUUCUUAGUAAUUUAUUGUGUCGUUGAUUAUAUAUGGGUAAUAAUGUGAUGUCUGCCGUAAGGGUUUCGGAAUUACAAAAGAGAAAUAAAAAUGAAUGUUGACACUUUUAGCUUGGUAUUGCGUCUUAAUUCUCAACCAGUCUGAAUACACUUUAUUUCCCUCUAGCUUUAAUGUUGUUAAUAUUUUUAAUGUGAUUUCACUUUGUUUCAGCUAACAUAUAAUAGAAUUGAAACAUUUUUUUAAUUCAUAUUUGGUCAUAUUUUAUCUUUGUAUGUAGUAUUGUAUAUCCUCCAGUUCCCCCAUUUGACUACAAUGACGCGAUCCCUGGGGCUGGUGCUGGGUUUUAUCCUAACAGGUUUGUUUUCGAGCCUCACCAUAUUUAUGUCGUAUAAUUUACUAUCCAAUCUAUGAUCUCAUAUGAUCAUAUUCAUUCAUUUCAGGGGUCCCGGAAUCGGUGGAGACAUGCUCGUAGGUAAUUAACUUAUUCUUCAGUUAUACAAUAUCGGAUUACUUCAAUUAAUUCUUAGAAAUUUGCUUAAUGCUCUUAUCAUUGCACAGGGCCAAAUAAUCCAAUCUUUUUCCCUCCUGGUGGACGCCCUGAUACUCUAGGUGGAUUGCCGUGAGUAACAUCUAUUUAUUUUUCUGUAUCAUCAAAAUCUGCUUAUCUUGUCCAAAUCUACAGAAUCAUUUUGUAUUAAAGGUACUAAUACAUGUAAAUCUGAUACAGUGGUGUACCUCCUGGUGCUCGGUUCGAUCCCAUUGGUCCUCCUGAUGUUCCAGGCUUUGAGCCUGGUCGCUUUGUCAGGUACACUUCAAUAGAUAUUUAAGCAACUAAUAGAUGAACCAAGUUUUGUGGCCACAAAGUAUUCAUUAUCUGAUGUUCGCCUAUAAGAUUAAAAAAACCAUAGCAUGCUUAUUGUAGACAUUGUUUAUUUUCGCCUGUCUGGUUAUCUUAUAAAUUGCUUCUUAUUUUAAUAUGUUGGUGCGGUAAAUUUCUGUUUCUGAUAAGCCUCUGCUGUAAAUUCUAUGCAGGCGUCAGCGGAGGCCCGGCGGCGGUACUCAUCCAGAUCUUGAAUUCUUCCAACAAGGCCCUGACUUCAUAUAGAGUGUUGCCUCAGUUGCGCGGCAAUUUUGCGUUUUCACCAUGGUUUUGAUGCAUGCAUAUGUUUGCCGCAUAUAUAGCUGACAGACAUAUACCUGACAGACAGUGCAAUAAGUUUCCUUUCUGUUGCAUCUAAAUAUAUGACAAAAAAGAUGUUCUAUGGUGUUAUACUCCUGUGAAUGUGGUGCACUGUGUCCUUUCAUUACCAUGUUCUGCUUUUAGUAGCAUCAUGAACUCUUCUGAGUUCCUUGAGCCAAUUAGGGUGAUCUCUCUUCUUAGAUCCACUUUUGCUUGUGGGACGUCAUCAUCAUUAAUGAAUUUUUAGAGCCUUAAAAGACAGUUUUAUUUUAGUGCUUCUGAUGUGUUUUAUAUGGAGAGAACCUGUUGGUGAGAUAUAUUUGAUAUAUUGCUUCUUUCCUAUUGUAGUAUUUGCGAAGUACUUUUUCUAACAACACUGCACUGUAAAUCAGGCUGGAACAUAAAAGUAAAAUAAAAUUAGCAAGCCAAAAGGCUGGAACAUAAAAAAAAAAAAAAAAAAAAAAAAAAAAAAAAAAAAAAAAAAAAAAAAAAAAAAAAAAAAAAAAAAAAAAAAAAAAAAAAAAAAAAAAAAAAAAAAAAAAAAAAAAAAAAAAAAAAAAAAAAAAAAAAAAAAAAAAAAAAAAAAAAAAAAAAAAAAAAAAAAAAAAAAAAAAAAAAAAAAAAAAAAAAAAAAAAAAAAAAAAAAAAAAAAAAAAAAAAAAAAAAAAAAAAAAAAAAAAAAAAAAAAAAAAAAAAAAAAAAAAAAAAAAAAAAAAAAAAAAAAAAAAAAAAAAAAAAAAAAAAAAAAAAAAAAAAAAAAAAAAAAAAAAAAAAAAAAAAAAAAAAAAAAAAAAAAAAAAAAAAAAAAAAAAAAAAAAAAAAAAAAAAAAAAAAAAAAAAAAAAAAAAAAAAAAAAAAAAAAAAAAAAAAAAAAAAAAAAAAAAAAAAAACAUAAAUUCCUGAAACUUUGACUCCAUAGGUUAAAACAUAUAAUCAAAUUAACGUGGGAUGGAUCUGCUUAGUUAGAUUUGACCUUGGCGUACAAGCACAAUUCCUACAAUGAUUCGGUUUCCACUUUUAUUUGUUUUAAUUAUAAUGAAUGUACAUGAGUCGUAUUUGAAUAGGUAAAUGCAUGUGUGGUGCUUAAUAAUUAUCGGCUACGUAAAUAUAUCGUUUACAAUGUCUACAUAGAUAAUAUAUGCACCGAAUAAUCUGCUGCAAAUCCUAUUCAAGCACAAAAUUUGAUCUUUCGAGAAGUAGUUAUACCGAUCUGUCCCUAACGUAAAUGGCAAAGGACUUAGUGAUCGGUAUCCGAGAUUCAUUGUUUUUGUUGUUUUUUGUUUUGUUACUUAUGGAUUUAAUGCAACAAAAAAAAAAAAAGUUUUCCUUAACUUCAGUUAAAAAGAUAAACAGAUGGAGCCAUGGAACACAACAUCCAACAAAUAUAUAUAAUCCAUUAAUUUAAAACAAUCUCUAGUAGUACGUACAUUAAUAAUAAUAUGGACAUUCCAAAAAACAGCAUUAAUUUCUAUUACUAGUACCUGUCACGAAUAGAACAAUCCAAAAACAGCUCAUGUAAUCUCACAUCCACCAAACACUAUUAGAUACACAGAUGGCAAGCUUGAAAGGGGCCAAGAAGCUAUACAUCAAUACAAACAUUCAACUCAAAACUUGAUUUUCUUACUCACACACUAAUGACGCAUUAUUUGGAUCCGCUUCUGUUUCUGCUUUUAAAAAGCGUUUACGCCUCCGAUAGACGAUUUCACAGAGAGGACAAUCUGAAUCUUCUACUCCAGUUUUAAAUACAGAAACCCCAAACCAGUACUUCCGACUUCCGACUUUACUGCAUUAUUUGAAGCACUUAUCAUAUCAGAAAAAUUAUCACAGCCUACAGCACAACCAAACAGACCCUCUACAAACAACAUCACACUAUUUUCCAUAUUAUACGCAACGAGAAAGUUACUGCCAUGAAUGGAAGAUGAUGGAUGGGUGGAGAGGAAAGUUUCUAAUAGACAAUCAAUUCCACAUUCCCAUUUACGACACUCCAGUUAUAGAUGCAGCCAAAAGAAAGAAGAGACAAAAAGGGAAGAGGGGAAUAAUGCAGAACUUCUCCUUGCAGAAUAUUCCUCUUCUUAUUAUCUCUGCUCCUGGAACCCUCCUCCCUUUCUGCCGAGAAGCCCUGCAGUAUCAAACAAUACCAUAUAUAUGCAGUGAGCAGUGUAUUAUAUGUAGAUGGGAACAGCUUGUGAGGAAAGAUGAGGACAGAAUCCAUCAUUAAAGCAAAGAAAAGGACAUUCUAACUAUCAGAACUGCAGAAAAUGGUGGUCUUAAUCAAUUAAAGAAAGAGUUUCACACUGAAAGGCAUAGUAUAAAUGUGAACAGAAAAAGAUGAAUUUUUGAGACAAUAUUAAGUGAACAAACAAAUCCAAGAAAAAAUUUAAUCACAAAUAAAGGCUUGAAGAUAAAAACCUUCUGGUUCAAAAUAAUAUUGCUGCAUCAGAGGAAUUGUCAAAAAUUUUAGUUUAGAGGACUAGUAAAUCAAAUCAAAUAAUAGGUAAGAGUAAAAUUGUCAAAGUAAACAAGUCGGUGGGGUGACUUAAGGAAAUGAACAGUUGAUGAAAUUUUCAACACAUGCAGAGACUUUUUGUUUUUGGUUUUUGUUUUGAGUACAACACAUCCAUAGAGUUGAAAAAUGUGAUUGCAAAGAACAAAAAGGAAGGCCCUUUAUUUAUUUAUUUAUUUAUUUUUUAAGAACAAGCAAACAUGGAAGAGAGAAUAGCAGUGUGAUAACUCGGAGUAUGCAUAACAAGUGUGUUUGGAUCAAUAAAUACUAUACUAUGAGAGCUGAAUACGAAACAGUUGCCCUGAUUUCGACUAAAAAUAUCUUAGUUUCUACUACUUCAUAAAAGCAUGCAUGUCAUUAAAAUUAGUUAACAGCAACUAAGCAUAAUUCAAACAUAACUCACUCACAAUAAUUAGCAUAGUUUACAAGUAUAAAAAAUUCAAUUAUAGCAAUAAUAAGGAGAGAAUACAUAUGCCUGCAAGUAAGUAAAGAUAGAUGAUAACCAUCAUGUCAAAGGAAAUUAAAAAAAAAAAAUCCUUUUUUUUGAAGGAAAAAAAAGGACCAAUCUAUCAAUUUCAAAUUAGAAAAAAAGAGAGGAAAAAAAAACUUUCACCACCGGUGGGGCAAUUAAGCAAACACUUAAACACCCACUUCAAACUAGAAACUGAAACAACAAAAAUUAACGCAAUAAACUCAACGAAGACCAUAAACCACUAAUCAAAAUUGGGUCUUUUUAAGUUUGCUCACCAUCGGGGCGACAGUCGGGGGGGUCGUCGAAGAGGGAGCGGGAGAGGCGCUUGUGGGCGAGGCCGAUGUCGAAGAGGAUGACACCGGAGGUGGGGUCGGAGACGAGGAUCCCCUUAACGGGUAGCCACACGAAGAGCUCCUCCUGCGCGAGCCCCUCCACGCCGCGGAGCGCCCCGAAGCUGAGGUUGCCGCGUAUGGAGCGGUUGAAGAAGGCGACGGCGUCGUCGUAGUACUUGGCGUAGCAGGGCCGGUUCAGCUCCACCGUGAGCACGCCCGACGAGCGGUUCAGGGAGAAGGUCUCGACCCCUCUGGGCAGGAGCCCCCCCGGGAGCCCGUGCUCGCGGAGGAGCUCGUGCACGCUGCUAUUGCCGCCGCCCAUGGCGGCGGCGGACGUGGCGGCGACGAGGAGGAGGACGAGGAGGAGGAAGAGCGGUGGGAGAGGUGAGAGGGAGGGGAAAGGCGAGAGCUUUAGCUUUCCCAUGGAGCGGAGAUCGAGAGAGAGAGAGAUACGGAGAGGUUUUUAGGGUUUUAGAAGGGUUUGGAGAAGGAGAGAGAGAGAGAGAGAAUAUGUGAGUGGGGAAAGGGAAUGGAAAUGGAAAGUGGGUGUUGAAUUAUAACGAAGAACCACACUAAUGGAGUGGGAAUUGUUAAGAGUGAAAUGACUAAACUACCCCUUUCUUCAAAUUAGGUAAUUAAGAAAAUGUUUAUAAUAAUAAUCUUUCAAUAAAGGCUAGAUAAAACAAAAGUGUCUCAAAUUUGAUAUCUAACAAAUUAAUAAUAGUAAAUAAGUGCACUAAAAUUAUUAUUAUUAUUAUUUUCUUAUCUUAAAUUCAGAUCGAAAAAUAUUUUCCAAUACUUAGCAUUUAAAUAUAUAUAUAUAAUUAAAAGCUUUACGAAUACUCAUUAAAUGCAAUUAAUUUUGUAAGCACAAAAUAGUUCUCUAACUAACGAGUACUAAAAUAAUUUUGCUUGCAGUAAUUUAUUACACGCCGUUAACGAAUUGUGCCUAAAUUUUACAUUAAAGUUUUUACAGUGCUUAAUAAACUAGAAAUAUACAUCUAAAACCUUUAAGCAUCGUAUUUUUUUAUCAAUGUUUUCAACCAAGAUCUUGGCAACAUUCACCGCCUUUCUUUACCCAACAUUUUCAAAUAUUAUAUUUUAUCCGUCGUUUAUUUUUGUAUAUUUAAUUAAUAUAUUUUAUGUAAUUUUUGUAAUUAUAAAUUUAUUAAAAUAAGUAUUAUUAACCGAUUCAAACCAAACAAAUUAGAAAAUUAGAUAGUAAAAUUAAAAUUUUAAAAGAUAAACCCUAUACGUUUUUUAUCUAUUAAAAAGUCUAAAUUACAGAAAAUCUCCAUAUAAAUACUCACUUUUGUACUUUUUUCUUUUUAAUUUUUAAAAAAUCUGUAUUUUACCUUCUCAAUAUUUCAAAUUGUGCAUUUAACUUCUUUCCGUCAGGAUUUUAUCACUAUUAUGGAAGGAAGAAGUAAAGGUAAUUUAAUUAGUUUACCCUUUUUAUUAAUACCGUACUUUUUCGAAAAUAUUUCUAAAGUUUUAAAAAGAUAAAAUAUAAAUUUUUAAAAGUAAGAAAGAAAAAAAUAGAUUUUUUUUUUUUGUAAUUUAGUUUUUUUAAAAAUGAUAUAAGGUUCUCCUCAAGGCGCGCAUUAAAUUGGAUUUAAUAAUAAACAGGGGUGAUUUAGACAUUUUCGUCCGAGUGUGGAAGAGGAUGGAUAUAUAUAAAUAUAAAAUAAAUAUAAUGAAGCCUUCGGUUUCGGCCGUUUGCGGGCGUUUCGAUGCGGAAUGAAAACGGGUCGGAGGUGGGAAUCUUUCGGGCAUGGGAAGAGUCCAAAUGGCAUCGCCAGACUGGGAACGCAAUGCGAGAGGAUUUUGAUUGGGUAGGAAACCUGAAAUAACUCCAAAACUCAGGUGUUUCACACUUCACCACCCCACCCCACCCCACCCCUUAAUCUCUCUCUCUCUCUCUCUCUCUCUCUCUCUCUCUCUGCAUUGUCUAUGGAAUCUUUUAUUAGUGGCUACAUGAAACAUGAAACAUGAAACAAUCAGUAGCAGAGCAGUUCAGUUCAGUUCAGUGAGCGUUAUCCGAGUUUUCAUUUUGAAGAUGGGUACUCGGUAUCCACUUCUGCGUUUUACAAAUAGGACUCGGGCUUUUCGCUUAGUGGAUAUUCGAAUAAGGGGUUGAUUGUAUACAGGUUUCUGCAAAUAUAGUGAAUAGUAAAUAUAUUCUCAUGAAGUUCAACUUUAUAUGUUGUUUUUAUAAAAAUUUUAAUAUUUUCAAAUAUAUCUCUACCGUUAGGAUUCGUUAGAAAAAAUUAGUUAACUUAAUAAGGUGAAUUAAUUUUUUUACCCAUCUUCAAUUAAUUGCAAAAAAGUUGUUUUACUUAUAAAAUAAACAGUACUUUAAUAGUAACAAACCAAAGGAAUAUAUUUUAAAAUAUUAGAACUUUUAUAUAGACAACAUAUAAAAAUUAAACUUUGUAGGAAUAUAUUUAUAAUUUACUAUAUUUGUAACGACCUGUAUAAAAUUAACCUUUAGAAAAAUAUCCAUAUUUGAGAGGGUUCGCCGUAGGGAAGUCUACAGACAAGCUCAAAAAAUUGAAAAGUAACGACGCUUGUUUAGUCCUUUUCUAUUUCUUCUUCCCAUAAGAGUCAUUCUCGUAAAAAAUAUAAUAUGCCUGUACAUUUCAAAAAGGAUGUAAAUUUUACACUUUCACUCAAUGACCUAUAUUGGACCCUUGUCCUUGUCAAUUUUUUUAUAUAUAUAUUCUAAAAAUUCAAAGAGUUUUUUAAAUCCUAGGAUGAGGAGUGUAAGUUUUAUAUAUAUUUUUUUUAAUGCACAAAUAGCAUUUUCUAACAAAUAGGAUAAAUAGAAUUGGCUACAGUAUACUUUUGGUCUUCAAACUAUGAUGUGUGACAUUUUGUUUCUUAAACUUUAAUUUAUUAUAAUUUCUGACUCAUAUUUUUUUACAUUAUUGUAAUUAAGUACUACAACAUAACUUUAUUGGCUGAAUUAUAAUAUAUUGCUGAUAUAAGAGUAAUGUAGUAUCUUAAUUAUUUUGACUUAUCAACCGUAAUGUUGUUAUAUUACUACCACAUUAAUGACAUAUUACUAUUUCAACCAUCUAAAAAAUUUGAGCUAAAAAAUACAAACAAAUUAUAAUUUGAAGACUAAAGUGUCACUUGCCUCAUAGUUUGAGGGCCAAUUGAGUGCAAGCUCAAACAUGAAAACUCCCACUUAGUGUUUAAUAAACUUUUGCAUUUGUGCAUCUACUAUAUAUGUUAAUCUUUGCUGUCUAAUAAAUUUUAUUAAUAACUAAAUGAAUACAAAUUUAGUGUUCGGGCGAGCAAGAAAUGUGGAGGCUAACUUCAUAAAUAUCACAUAAAAUCUUUCGAAAUAUAUAUAUAUAUAUAUAGAGUGAGGCUACUAUGCUAUCGGAAGCACGGAGCCUUCCGUGCUUCCAGCUCGUUUUCGAUGUUGCGACUUUCGAAUCGUCGAUCGGCUCCGUUAAACUUGAUCUAGAGUAUUUGAAGUACCUAGAAAAUAAAUUUUAUGAUUUUACGAUAUCAUUUGCCUAGUGAACGAAGGGGCUCAAAAUUAACGGCUGAAAAUAAAAAUCUUACAAAAUAUAAUAAUAUGACAUUAAAAUUUAAAAUCAAAGAUAUUGAUCUUGUUUUAUAUAGUAUAAAGAAUUUUCUAUCAAAAUUUCACGUGAUUUGAAUAUUUCUACACCGUUAAACUUGCAAACGGCUCACUACGGCCAUUGAAAUUUGUUGAUUUUGAGCCCAUUCGAUCACUAGGCAAAUGAUAUCGAAAAAUGAUAAAAUUUAUUUUCUAGGUACUCCAAAUACUCUAAAUCAAGUUUAACGGAACCGAUCGACAAUUCGAAAGUCGCAACAUCGAAAACGAGCUGGAAGCACGGAAGGCUCCGUGCUUCCGAUAGCAUAGUAGCCUUACUCUAUAUAUAUAUAUAUAUAUAUAUAUAUAUAUAUAGAGUUGAGCUAGAAUACUCUCGAUAGUAAACGGGGCGUUUUACUAUCAAGUUGUUCUCGAUGAUAGAGCUUCCAAAUUGACGAUCGGCUCCGUUGAACAUGAUCUAUACCACUUGAAGUGUUUAGAAAUCAAAUUUCAAAUCUUUUCGACAUCAUUUGCCUAAUGAUCAAAGGGUUUCAAAAUUUGUAAUUUUAAUGGUGGAUAAGAGACGUUUUCUCGUUUAACGGUGUAAAGAUAUCCAAAUCAAUUGAAUUUUUGUUAGAAAAUUCUUUAAACCAUUUAAAACAAGAUCUAUACUCUUGAUCUUGAUUACAAGACUCCUAUCAUCAUUUUUUAAAGAAUAUUCAUUUUCAAACCAUUCAUUUUUUGUUCACUAGAUGGAUAAAAGAACAAUAUCGAAAGUGCGUGAAAUUUUAUUUCUAGGUAGUUUAAAUGGUUUAGAUUAUAUUUAACGGAGCCGAUCGUCAAGUUGGAAGCUCUAUCAUCGAGAACAACUCGAUAGUAAAACGCCCCGUUUACUAUCGAGAGUAUUCUAGCUCAACUCUAUAUAUAUAUAUAUAUAUAUAUUUAUAUAUAUAUAUGAGAAAAGAUAGCACGCUAUCUGCUUUAUUCAUAGAAUGCAUGUAAUCUUUUGAAAUAUUACAAAAGAUUAUAGUUGGCCAGCUUUAGUUUGUAUUUGACUCUAAUAAGAUAAUUUUAUUUAAGUAAUAUUUUCUUAUCUAGACGUAUAUAUAUGGGUCCUAGCAUUUGCUUCUUUCUAUGUCCCUAUUAAUUAGUUUACUCUAUUCUUGUACAACUAUAAUGUAAUGUUCACACAACUAGCAAAACCUAGGAGCACAUGAUCCAAAUAAUGAAAUGUGCUUUUCCGUAGAGGUUUAGGAGUUGCUUACAAGAGAAAGCAAAAGCACUUUGAGCAACAAUACAUGGAGAAAAGCCAUUAUAAAUUGUUAAUUAUUAUUAUUAUCAUUAUUAUUCACUAUGGUUCACAUCUCCAUGCAAUUAGCUACUAAAGGGCCGUAGAGGGAGUCACUUUUUAUGUACCACAUUUCGUUUUAAAAUUAUCACAACAAUAGCUUUUAUUUAUUUAAUUUUUUUUUUGUGUGGACUCAACCUCCCAUGUUGAUACUCUUUUGAUAUCAAUGAUUGAAUAAUUAAUUAAUUUCUUUCUUUAAUCCCUCUGUCGAUACCAACAAGUUCGAGGAUUAAAUUUGUAAAAUUACGCGCAAAAGGGUGUGAUCGAUCCCUGAUCUCCGAGUGCGAACAUUAUCUUAUUGACUAUGCAAAGAUAUUAAGCUGGAUUCGGCGCCGAAACAUCUCAAAUUGCCGGCUAUCGCUAGAGUCGGUGGCGCAACACAUCCUUCGCCGAAUUCAACAAAACCAUUCAAUAUACCGUAUUCGCAACUGUAUGUACGUUCGAAAUCCUCGGCGACGAAACACUCGACUUUCUCUGCGUUCACAAGAAAUUCGGCGGCGAAACAUCCGACGUCGCCGAUUUAUAUUCUAAAGCGCCAUUUUCUCCCCUACAAAAGCAACAAAACCCUAAUAAAUCCCUCGUCUCCUCUUCCCCGAACCCGCUCUCCUCCCUCGACGGCCGCUCCGCCGCACGUGGCGGCGCCGCCGCGUGCUCCGUCUCCUCCUCCGCCGCCCUCUGCGUCUUCUCGAGCAACGGGAAGAGUCCACCUCGAAUAUCACUUCAUCUCAUCUCAUUCUCGCAUCUGUAUGUUUCCAUUAGUUUACAUUGCUUCCGAUCUGGUUUUAGUAGCCAAAUUUUUGAUUUAUAUGGGUUGUUGUGUUCCUGUGUGGUGAUAAUCUCGCUCUGAUUUGGGAUUUGCGUGGAUCAAUAGGCAAUGAUUUGUUAUGUUGGGGAAAUUUAUAAUGUGAACAUAAAAAGAUAAAUAGAGGAAAAGUUGCAACAUGGGUUAGUAAAGUGGUGGUUGUUGUUGUUGUUUUUUGUUUUUUAAUUUUGUUUGAGUGCAUCGUUGAACACAGGAUUAUAUGUCAAUAGCUCCAAAAACAAACCAAAAUUUGGAGGAAUACUAUUUAUUUGCGCAAAAUUCAAAGCUUUUUUUUGAACUGAACAAACUGGUCUUUUGAGAUUUCUCUUUAGGUGUUGGAAAUUUGUAAAUAUACAAGAAAUGACAAAACAAACAAAAAUGUUAUUGAAAUAAAAAUCUUUGUAUACACCAUUUACCACUUGUAACCUCCACUUAACCUGUUUAAUAUUCCAUGUGUGGUAUGCUCUUGCCGACAUUGUCAUGCCGACAUUGUCGAGUAUAUAGAAUGUAUAAAAAUUUAUGCAUGGAAUAAUAUCUAUAUCCUUUACUGGUAGCAUAUUUGAUGUUGGUGAUACAUCUUUUUUUCCCCCCAAAUUGCUGUGGCUUAUACAUAUAAUCUUAAACUUGUUUCAGUAUUGACCGGCCUAGUUGAGUUUCCAUUCGAGCAGUUUUGGAAGUUUCAGCUUAAAAAGUAACAAACAGAACUAGAAUGAAAUGUACAAACUUGAGCUCACUAAAUCCGUAAUGUUUGCAACAUUUUUAUAUAAUGAGGUGCUUAUUUAAGCUACUUUUAUGUAAGCGUUAGCUGAUAUUAAGUAGUGUUCCUACAAAAAAUGCAAAAAGGUGGUGAAUGAGAUUAUGAUAUGAAACAGUUUUUGGUCGAUUUCAUUCCGCCUAUGAAAUCAUCAAACCGGAGGAUUUAGAAGUGAAAUAGGAAAGGUGAAAGCCUGAUUUUUCUAGAUGGACAAAUUGAAUUGAUGUUCUUCAAAGUGUUCUGUUGUUAUAUCUAUUGGUGAGGAUGGAUCUUUUAGAUUAUUAAAGUGAUGGAUAUAGGUCAAAGGGCUAAAAAUCAUUUGAAAUGGUUAUUUGUUUGUUAGAUAACUCAAUAAAGCAUCAUUGAAAAAUGUUUGUCAUAAUGAAGGUUCUAUUAGACCUUAUUAAGAUGGUACUGAAUUCACCCCAGAGGAUAAUUCUUUUAAAUAAGAUAUCUUGGAAAUACAUGACCUUGUGCCGUAGUAAUUGGUUUGAUCACAACUUGACGGUUUCUUGAGAAGUGAAAAAUGGCUUUAUUGAAAAUUAUCAGAAGAUUUAAAGGGAAGAGGAUGCCAACAUAAUAUUAUAAUUGUCAGCUGUUUAUAAACGAUAAUUAUCUUGUUAAUGUGAAUUAUCAGAUGUUUCUUAUUGAUGAGGCAGAUUAUUUUAAUUAUCCUUGGGAGUUGUAGUGUCCCUUAAUUAUCACUAGAUAUCCAUUAACUUCCUAAAACAGGAAAGUAUUACUGAUUCUGUUCUUGAAUCAUCUGGAUAGAAGGAUAACCUAAGGAUUGAAAAGAUAUGUUGGCAAGAUUUAUCCCCAAGCCAAACUAGCGCUAUGUGAGCACGGAACGCCAAAGUUAAUUAACUAAUCAUAAAAGUACUAUGCUUUCUGUCAUUUAGUUCUUAACGCCAUAAUGUAUACACGUAAAUGAACAUGUUGUUUAUUUCCUUGCUACACAUAAUGUUGCACUUUUGAUUUGUAUUCACAGUUUAUGGGAAUAAUGGAAAGUACCAGAACAAAGAUUUAAUUAGUGAUAGACGCCAAAUCCGAUGAAAUGUGUCGUAAUAGUGCAUGGCGUGUAUUCAUCGAAACAAUGUUCUUUAUCAAUUUUUGAUGUACUGGGUGGUAAUUUAUAUUACUUUUUCCCACUGACUUAUGUUUUCGUAAUAAUACGAUAUUACUUGUUCUCGAGUUAUGUAAAUGUCUUUUAGAAUAUCUUUAUGGUUAUGUUGGUUUUGUUUUCUCUUGAUUUUUGAACAUCUAUCAGGCACAGGGCAAUCGAGUUCUGAUUUAUAAGCCCUGUACCUCUUUGAAAAAUUCUUACAUUUUUUCCUCUUAAUAAUUACUUACUUGUUGUCUGGUAAGUGCAUUUUGUGACUCUAAUAAAUCUUAAACAUUGUCAUUGGAGUUACAGUGACAAGUCAUUUCCUUUUGUCCAACUCAGUUGAGAUCACUUUCUUGGAGCCUGCCUUUGUCUACAUUAGAUUGGUUUAACUUCACCAUACAGAUACAGGACAAUAGAGAGAUCUCAAUUUUGGGCCUGUUUGGCGCAACUGUGUGAUGGGCUAGCUGACUGUGCAGCCCACAUUAAGGCAAGAGUCCCAUUUUGGAGCUUCAAUGUUAAGGCGAUAAUUCGCAUUGGCGCACCCCGGCGCGACAGCGGUGCACAUCGCAAUUGCCGCGUUGGGCUGCAUGUUUAGAGCACAACCAAACGGUCCCUUAGUUUAGUCUAGUAUUUGAUAGUUAUUAGCUAUCUUAUGCUUUUCUAAAUAGUUCUAUUCAAAUAACACUCGUAUUUCGUCCCUUGAGUCACAAUCUUCUGAGUUUGUAUAAGAAUACAUUAUAUGGGUAGUCCUAAAUUACGUCGGAAUUGGUUUUGGUCCCCUCGCUUCUCUUUCCUCUUUGAAUCGCUUUAUUAACCCUCUGGAGUUGAAAAAACAAUAUGAAAUCGCGAUUUCAAGACAUAAGUGAAGGAAUUAAUAAAGUGAGCACUAAAAUGCUUCCUUUAUAAGAAAGUUUUGGAUCCUUUUUAAGCGAAGGUUCAUAUAAUAAAGUGUUCUUAAAUGACAAGUACAAGAACAAAGCAAUGAAAUCAUGGUUGUAUGGGGACUAAUUAACAUCCAUAUUAGGACUACAAUACAUUGCAUCUCACAUCAAGGACAUUGUGACAUGAAAUGAAACGCCUCUUGGGGGAGCCCUAGCUAGGAGUAGGCAUGUGUGUGGGGAAAUUUGGCCAAAAUUUAUGGAUGAGUUAACCUAACACUCCUUUUAGGGCCAACAUAAAAAGGUCAUGUAAGUCUACAAGCAAAGGAGGUGGCAACUUGGGCCUUGGUGACAGCUGUUGUUGGUGCAAUUAUUAUGAGCCUAACACCAAACCACCUAACAUCAUUACAAGAGUUUGGCAUUUCAGGUUUUAGGGCAAACUUAGUUUCCCUUUUUCUUUUUUGUCAAUGAAAUGAUCAUGCAUGGAUAUAUAGAUGUGUUUGUGCAUUAUGGUAGUGAGGUAGAUUUCUCCAAGAGAUCUUGCCUUUUUAUUUUAAGUCCUUUCUUUUAAUGCCUUUAGCGCGAUACCGCUGAAGGAGAUACAAGUGAGGUUCUUUUUUCAUAUAGCUUUACUUAAACUGCACUUUUACUCAGUUGUGUUCCGCAGCUCAGGUUCAGAGUUCUAGUCUCGUUAAUGUUUUUCUCAUUUGCAAAUGAAUAUGUACGUAACACUACUACUAUCAUUAUCAUCAUCAUCAUCACAAGUCACAACACGUAUGACAUUAUAAUCUCCAUAAUUUUUUUUUUUUGUUUUUGCCAUCUCCGCACGUGUGCCGCGGGCAAGUGCGGGGGGUCCAGCGACCGCACCUGCUCGACCGUGGGCACGUGCGGGGUGGGGCCCAUCCUCCCUCCCAACGAAAACACCCGACAUGGAGGGGGGUGGGGGACACGGGGCCGGGUAUAUUCUCCCCGGCCACGUCGGCUCGCACGUGUCGCGAGGGGUGGGCUCGGUCGAAACGCGACACACAAACACCCCCCACGUGGGUCACGUGAACGUUUGACCCCCGGCCGGCCUAAACCCCCCCUCUCCACCCCAAAUACCGCAUUACAAACCGGAAUCACAUAAAUAAAAUAAAAUAAAAUAAAAAUAUUAUUUUAUUAAAUUAAAUAAAAACAAAAUAAAUUUACAUUUUCUCUUUGUUUUUUUUUUCAAAGAAAAUCCAUUAUAUUAUGUUAUUAUUAUUAUUAUUAUUACUAUUAUUAUUAUAUACAAUUCUCGUGAUGGAGGAGGAUAAGGCACCCUUCUGUAAAGGGAGGAGCCCACUCGCCUAGCCAUUGAAAUACAUUAAAUAUCUUUGUACCCUUUUUUCUUUUUUUUUUUUUUAACUAGUAAGGACUUUAAUAAGGAAAAAUGUAAUAAUAUUUUGUGACAGAAAUAUUUAAUCGGGUGUUGCUAUUUUUAUAUAAAAUAAUUACGAUAGAGAGGUUUUUUUUUUUUUUUCUUCUGUACUUAGGAUAUACAAUUAACAUGGUUAAAUAGAUAACUUAGAUAUUUCCUUUGGAGUUGGACCUAAUUUGAUAAGAUCAAAAGUUGGCUAUGGUCAUUGUAGGUACACUGACGAGUAAACAAUGAAUUAAUUAUUGUGGUUUGUUUGUCGCCAGCUUUUGAUGCACUCAUGACGUGGUCAAAAUUCAUAAUAAAAUAAAAUAGUAACUGAUCAACACACAAACACACACAUAGUAGAGUAAUAUUUAAAGAGUUGCAUUACUUGCACAAUGUGCUACUGGUGUUCGUAAAUCAUCCACUUAUGCCCUCUCAUUUUUGCUUGUUUUUUGUUUCACACAAUAAGAUCAUUUGCUGUAAAUGAUGUGCCUUCCCAUAAGGCUAAAUAGAACUAUCUUUUAUUAUUCCCACAGAAAAGAUUGAUCUAGCUAGCACCUUUACAAAUUGUGUAUAUAAUUCAUUUGAUUAAUAUACAAACAUAUAUACCAAUCUACAAUAACACCAACAUAUAUAUAUAUAUAUAGUAUUUUGAAUUCUAGCCUUUUGAUUUUUUUUUUUUUUUAAUAUAAUGGUUUGGGUCUCUUCUUGUAGUCUGAAAUGCUUGUUUUCCAGUGUUCUAGUGCUAGAAUAUAUAUAAUCUUUCUAUUCACAGGCAAAUAGAGGAUUUUGCUAAGUAGAUAUCGAAACUUAACACUUAAUUUUAGCACAUAGUAAAUCUACUUCUUUUAAUUAAUUAAUUAUUGCCAAUGGUAUACGCACAAAGAAAUCUAUAAACUUCAAACUCUACAUCAUAUAUAGGAGUAUAUAAAAAUGCUUCUAUUGUCCUUCUUUUAUAAUUGAUAUGUACAAAAAAGCUAUAAAGGUAAACUAUAAAGGUUUCAAAUAUCUAAAUUAGUAGGAUACAAUGCGAUCAUCAUAUUGCAUAUGGAGACCCAAUACAACACAAAAGCUUUACGACCUUUCUCUUUUAGUUGGAUAAUCCUUUCUUAUUAGAUUAGAUGGUGCAUGUCACAGGCUUGGGUUCCUAGCAAAAGCCCUUCUUUUCAGAAUUAGGCUUAGUUUGAUAUUGAGACCUAUCUAAAGCUAUUAAAUAAAAUGGAGUUGAGAAAAAAACAUAUAACGAUAUACUUCUACGUUCUCCGAUGGGACUGUAAAAAGUGUAUCGUAACCGACUCAUCGCUAUAUACGAAAACGUACUUUCUCACCGCACGUAACACAAUCUUCUCGUAAUUUCAAACGAAGCCUUAGCAGAAUGUAUGGAACUGUUUCUUUCAAAAGCGCUUCUGAUAUAUAGAUAGAUUAGAGCUUAGAUAAUUAAAGUGUGAUCUACACCAUAUCAUGAAAAAGCUGACGAAUCCCCGACACGUGCCAGUUUUUGUCUGGAAUAAAUGCUUCUUCUUUUCCUUUUUUUUCGGUGCCAAAGGGAGAGGUGGAAACAUGCAACACGACAAAAGGCCCAGCAUCAAACUUCGCAUUCGCUUCAAUUAAAUCUUUGCACAGAAGUGACUAUUCACAACAGAAUAUUUGUUGCUGACAUUUGGAUUUUUUGGAUCUAACCAUUAACACUUAUCAUCACUUCCAGAUUGUAAUUUAUAAUCAGCUGCUUGUGAUUAACUAUUUGUCAAAGCUGUUUGGCUUUUACAGUUUUUUAAAGAAGUAUUGUUUAAGUAGAACUUUUCCAAAGUAAUGUUUGUUUUGUAGUUAAAUCUCCUAAUUGUGUUUUGCUACUAGCUAGAGCCCGCCACGACCGUAAGCUCUAAAUUAGUGUCAAAUUUGGCUUAACUUUUAUCUAGUUAAGAGAUAAAAGUCGUAAGCCAAAUAUUCAAAAGGGUUCUUCGUACGUUUGGUCGAGAAUUUUGGCCAAACUCUUUCUGAAGGCAUUAAUGUCUGCGUUUUUAAGUAAAUUUCCUAAUUGCUUCUCGUUGCUGUUUUGCGCCACAAAUACAACUUUUGCGCUUCUUGAUUAUGAGUCAUUUGGCUUCUAGCUUCUGCUCUUUUGACCAGAGAUAAAUGUCGCGCGCGACGAACAAGACAUUAGUCAAAAGUGUUAUUAGUUUCUCCAUCACAAUUUUGAGAAUUUCUACUUCGUGUUUGAGAAGAAAAUUGGGAAAUCAAAUAGUUUAGCCUACUUUUCCAUUGACUUCCCUUUCCAUUGUUGCUGUCACCUCUGAAAGUGAGUUAGUUAAGACGUCGAAAGAGAUAAGAAAACAAUGUUGCGAACUAAUAUCAGCCACACGCUCGCGAAAGAGAGCUAGGUAGAGAAGAAAUCGGACGUAAAUGAUCUGCCUGAAUUCGGCCGCCGAAUCAUGAUAUGAUAAAGAAACUGGGCUUAACGGGGCACGUCGCCGAUUCCGAGCACGGAUCAAAGUGCCAACAUGAAUUAAUGUCGACAUAAGAAGAGAAACUAAGGAAAGAAGUGUGUGUGUGUGUGUGUGUUGAUUUUUCAUAUCUUUUAAGCCAUGCUUCAAUACGUGUCACACAAAUCACAGUUCCUUUGCUUGCUCAGAAUGAGAAAGCAUUUAUUUGUAGAUGUUUUUUGGUCCAUUAAUUGGAUUAUUAUGUAUGUUGUUCUCGAGACGAGCCCAUGAGGCUUUUGUGGGCACUAUUCCUGGCAUGAAUUGGAAAGUAUGAGACAUUACGACCUUUUGUGCUUGGCUUUGUUUAAACAAACAAAUAGAAAAAAAGUAUAUAUAUGUAUUGAGAAAUAGAUAGCGAGCUGUAUACUUUAUUUAUUAAGCAAAAUGAACUAGACAUACAAAAUGAAAUCAGUUUCAGCCUCCGAAAAUAGGUAAAAAAAAUAGUAAGAAGACAAACAAUAGUAAGAAGACAAACUCCCUUGAAAUUAAAAAAAGAAAUCAAAUCUAAGAUAGAGUAUAAAAGAAAGAACCACAAUAUAUAUUGGAAAUUCUAGAAAGACUAGAAAACAAACUCCCUUGAAAGGAACUGUUUGUACACGAUUUUCAUGGACUCUAAAACUUAACAAACAUCGAUCUAAUUAACCAAAAAAAAAAAAGGAAGAAAAAGACGAAAAUACAAAAAAAACAAAACAAAACAAAAGGUAGGGGGAAAAAAAAAAGAGAGUAAAGAAGACACCAAUCACUCCCUCUCCUUGAGCAAGUGCGAGAUGAUCACGAAAGGAUCACGACGACACAUUACAAUUAGACCGGCCCUUUAAAUUUAGCAGCACGCAACUUAAUUAAUCAUCAGUAGAGCAUUUGCUUUUGCAUUUGCAUUUGCAUUUGCAUUGCGUUAAUUAAUCGUCGUUGCUGCUCCACGUCUUGUGGCCGGGGACCCAUUUGGGGCACUUGGGGCUGAAGAACUUGGAGCGCACCCGGGCGUCGAGGAGCUCGACGAGGGGCCCCGGGCGCACGCACCGCGGCGCCUUGUACUGGUUUAUCGAGGCGCCCUGGCUCAGCGCGUAGUCCAUGAGCUUGUCGAAGGUCCCCUCCUCGACGACGCGGAUCUCGAGCGGCCCGAUCGACCGGUCGCACGCCCGCCCCUGCCGGUACACACUGUUCAGCGCCUCCUCCACCGCCAGGCAGCAGUCCUCGAACACCGACGGCGGCGGCACCGGCGCCGCCGGCCCCGCCCUCAGCUCCCAGAACAGCACGUAGUGGCCCGGGAUGCUCGCCGCGUCCGCGUAGCUCGUGUACUCCACCAGCGACGCGCCGAACGGCUCCAGGUGCCCCACCGCCUUCUGCACCGCCGCCUGCAGCUCCACCUCGUCCGUCUUGUCCGCGUCGAUGCUCAGCGCCACGUUCUUCCGCCGCACGAACUUGAACUGCGGCGCCUUGUUCUUGAACCCCGCCACCCUCAGCACGUCCCCCACUCUAUACCUAUACAAACCUGUACAAUAUCCACUACUACGUUACUUACUCCAUCACUCCAUCACUCAAUCCUAUCCUGGUGCAUUUUCACUCUUUAUAUAUAUAUAUAUAUAUAUAUAUAUAUAUAUAUAUAUAUAUAUAUAUAUAACAUAUUAAAUUAUUCUGUCGUUGGACAUGAUUGAUGGUACGACAGGUAUAAUAAGAUUGGAUAGUAAAAUUAAAAUUUUACCCGCGUAAGUGGUGACGACGAGCUCGUACUCUUGGCCGAGCUUGACGUCGACGAGGUCGACCAAGUCGCGGUGAUCGACGGCGGCGGCGUUGGCGGGUCCGUUGCCGUAAUUUCUAACGGGCAAGAACUCGAAGUAGCCCAUGGAGGGGAUCAACGUGUAGGCGACCUCGCUGGGCUUGCACAUUGGGUUCAGGUUGAGCCCGAAGUAGCACUCGGACGAGGCGUACAUGGUGCACGUCAGCGGGAGGCCGCCGCCGUAGGACUCGAGCGUCGGGAUGUACUGCGCCAUCGUCCCGGUCACGAUCACGUCGAUGUACUUGGUGUUCGGCCACAGCCGCCGUAUGAUCCCGUCCCACGACCGUUUCCCGCACUCCGAUUCGAUGACGUCUGCGAGCUCCCCGUCGGGCCGGAGGACCCUCCCGACGGCCUCCCGGACGGCGCGGUCGGUGAUCUCCGGAUCGAGAAUUCCGGUGCGGACGUCGCGGCACAUUCUCGGCCAAUGCUUCUCCAGAAACCGGAUGGCGCGGAUGAAGCCGGACGCGAAGACGGCGCCGACGCGGACGACGUCGUCGCGGUGGAUGAGGCCGCACAGGAGCUGCGCGUACAUGCUCUGGUAGGAGUCGGCGCAGAGCACCGCCUCGUUCGGGCUCGUGUAGACGUUGUAGGGGUCGUAAGGGCGGUCGAGGAAGUGGCGGCUCUUGUAGUAGCUGGUGAGGACCGGGCGCGCCGGGAGCCCGCCGGGGGUGCGCGAUUCCGACUUCACGAAGAGGAGGUACAUCCCUUUGCCCUUGUCGAGGCCCGCCACGGAGCGGCUCAUCACCGGCAUCAGGAGCCCGUACAGCAUCGACCGCCGGUCCAGCUCAUCCGCGAUCGUCGGCAUCAGCUUUCGCUCCCCGCCCGACGUUCCCGAACUAUUUCGAUCAUACAAGAAAAAUGAAGUUUCAGAUAACUAGUUCUUACUUAUAUUCGUACCAAACCAAGUCUCAGAUAAUUAGUAUAGUACUUAUUAUAUGCAAAUCUCGGAACAAAAUUUAUUAUUCACCCUACAGUUAAUCGAAUCAAUUAAAGGGCUUAAAGUUUUGAUCCAAAUUGUCGAAUGUGGUACGUCUACAAAAUUUAAACACCCAACAUCUGAAGUACUGCUAAUUAGCUACCGUUUAUUAGUCGACCAAAGAUCAAGUUUUGCACCCAAAAGACUAUUAUUCGCUUCUAUAUUCAUAUAGGAAAUAUAGAUUUGUCAUAUAUUUUUUACAAAUAUACACAUGCAUCUUUAAGAUCUUAUUGGUCAUAGUUUAUACUUAGUUUUUAUAACCUGCAGUGAGAUUGAAUUUUAGGAGACCGGCUACUAAAUGUUGUCCCGGUCCAUGCAAUUAUAUAUUUGUCCUCUUGGUGGUUGCAAAUUGUUGCUGCUGAACACAUUGUAGAGAGAGAGAGAGAGAGAGAGAGAGAGAGAUUGCAAUAUUUGUGUACAAACCUAGUGAGGAAUUCGGAGAUGGGGCGGCCAGAGAGGAUCGGGGAGGAGUCGCCGUGGGCGAUGCGGAGGAUAUCGGGCUGGAGAUCCUCGUAGGUCACGACGGGCACGAGCCGCUUGAAGGCGUCGGCGUCGGGGGCUGCCGAGGCCUUCAGGCCGUGCCGGUGCAGGUACUCCGCCGCUGCGUUCUGCGUUAGUAUCUCCGCAAGAACGCUGCGUUGCACCUCAUCAGCAUUCGCUGUCACGUCAUCGAUGAACUCCAGUGCCUUCCUGUGCUCCUCGGGCACGUCGGUUGCAACCGGAGGUUGCGCGGUCUUGGGCGCUUCUGGCAUCUUAAUUUGUAAGAGAGUGCGUGUGUGUUUGUAUGUGUAUAGAGAGAGAGAGAGAGAGAGAGAGAGAGGUGGAGAAGGAGAGGGAAUGGGUUUUGUAUGUGUGGUGAGAGGAAUACGGGUCGUGAGGGGAAUAUAUAGAGAGGGAUAUGGGAGAGGGUGGGGACACUUUGUCUCUCUAUGAUGCUUCAAAGAGAAUAGUAAAAAGGAAGUAUACUGUUUUUUAAUUUUAAUGAUAAAAAGCUGUAUUAUUUGUUUUGUGUACAUAUAUUUAUAAUGUAUACUCUUUCGUGGUCAUUUUUUAAAAAAAUAAAAGAGGAGGUGGUUUCUUUGAGCCUCACAAAAAUAUUGUGUGUGUGUGUGUGUGUUAUAUGUGAGUUUCGUAAUGCCAAUUUAGUUUCAUAUGCUUAGCUGUCAUGUGGACAUACAUUUGGAAUGACCUCGAAUUACGAUGAUUAUUAUUAUGUACAUUUGCAGUUACGUCCAUGCACUGAACUUCUACAAUUUCUCGUCCCUGCAACUUAUUUGUAAUUAUUUUUUAUAACAAAAACAAGCACAUUCCCCUAGCACCAUCUUUUGAAAAAAAAAACUUAUGAUAUAGUUCGAUUUAAUUUAUUAAUCUUGUUAUUACUCGUUUUCUUUAUAAACCCCUUUCGAACCAAAAUCGAAAUACUGGGCACGUAACGGCUACCAAAAUAUUGCCUUUUACUGUAAAAGAAACAAUCACAAAUUGUUAAGAUAAAUUCAUUAAUAUAUACCUACUCAACCGAAUUUUUCAUUAUUAAUCCUCCCUAUAAAAGUUCACUGAGAUGGAAGUGCUUAGCGUAGCUUAGUACAUACGUACGUAUUCAAAUUAAAUACGGAUCUUGGGAUUUGAAAUGUCAAUUGUGCCGUGCAAAGAAAACCAGGAGAGGUGUUACUAGAUUAAUAAGCUUAAUUAUUAGUUAAUAAGCUUAAGAAAAAGCGAUUUACUAGGAAGCGGCUCAAGGUGUAGUUUUAGGCGGAAGCAAAGGUGAGGAGCGAGGGGUUUGGGAGUUCCCCCCGCGGGCAAUAGGCGGUCAACAUGCGAGAGGCGUACUCGUCGUACUCCCCACUUGUUCCUCAAAGAACCGGCAACUGCUACAUUUCCCGGUAAAAAAAAAAAAAAAAAUUAAUUAAUUAAUUAAUUACUUUCAAGUAAAUUAAACUCAAUCAUUUAGUAAGCUUGGAAGUACCAUCCACUUACUCUCCAAUUUAAGCUUGAAGCUUUUGUUUGAAGUUGUGCCUAAUUGGGAAAGAGUAAUGAAGCAGUGUUACUGGUGCGGACAUAUCGCAAAUAUUAAAUCUGAUCAUAUUCGAUCAGUAAGUUGCAUCACAGAGUAACGCUAUCUAUCUAUGCCCAUAUCACCAAACAUUUGAUGCAGCAGUACGUGUUUUCGUAUAUUCGCACUUUUAAAUUUGACCGUGGACUUUGUUUAAAUAAAAUAUACGUACUCCUGUAAUUCCAAAAUGGUCUGAAUGUAUGUUGUCAGAAAAAAAAAAAAAAAAAUUAUAUGUAUGCGUACACUAUUCACAAUCCGCGCAUUGUGUAUUCAUUGGUUUCUAUACAUUCUCGUACUUUUUCUCAAAUAAUUAAUGAACUCUAUGUAAAACCGGCUACUUAUCAAAGUAAAGCAAGGCCAAAUAAUACAAAAAGUAGAACAACACACCACCUUAACCUGUCUUAGUUAUGUAAUGUCCCUACAAAUGAGUUAAUGAUUAAUUACCAACAAAUCCUGAAUAAUAGAAUUUUAAUAGGACAUGAAUCAAUUAAUUACUGCACAUAUUGUAGGCAUAGAUCACUAGACCUUUAAGAUUCCAUCUUCUUUGUUUGGUUUCUCUCUUUUUUUUUUUUAACUUUUCUUUUGAGAAAAUUAUUAAUUUCUUGUUUAGCAAUCACUUAAGAAAUUAAGGAGCACCCAAGUCACUCGUCCAUGCUCCUUGUCCUAAUCAUCACUACAAUGAUCGAUCAUUUCAUUGAAACUAGGCUUCCCAUUGGGUUUGAGCUCGAGAUCGAAGUAGAGGUUAAGUUGCGCCCGUAAAAGUACUUGAAUGAUUAAUGUAAGAUGUCUUGAAUAUAAAAAUAUAGAAACAUUAUUGUUUGGUAGCUUAAAUUUUUAAAAAAUAAUGAUUAUUUUAUAUAAUUUAACAUGAUCUCAAAAUAAAUGGUUCUGUGUCUGAGCUCUUAAAAUUACUGUUCUUUGAAAUAUAAAUAACAGUAGUUAUUUUAUAUUCUUUAACAAGAUGGAUAUACUUGUUAAUUUUCUUAUUACUUUGUGACAAAACUAUAGAGACUGCAAUAAACCAGUGACAAAUACACACACGCUAACAAACAAACAAACAAGAAGUGAUUUCCCUUGAAAUAAAUAAGUGAGAAAUUCUGAAGCAACACAAUUUUACAUUGCCACUUUAGCGUAGGCACCUCACGUGCUCUUGUCCCAUGAAAAAGCCAUGUGGAUUCCCUUCAAAUUUCAUUUGGGCACCAAUUAGGUUUGUUGCUGAUGCUUCUUUAUCUCUUUGUAGCCUCCAAAAGUAGGAGAAAAAGGAAAAUUCACUGAGAAAUGAAGAAACAAAAUAAUAAUAAUAAUUAUUGUUAUCUCCAUAGAUCCAAUGAAUUGAAUCAAACAACACAAAGCAUUACUUUUGAGGCAUGGAGAAAACAUGUUUGCUUGAUCGAUGAGGUCUAGUGACUGUUGGUAGGUGCAUGCGUUCGAUUAUAAGUGGCUAAUGACACCAGCAUAUGCAUGAUAGUAGUAUCGACAAAAGGAGUAGUUGAUGAAAGCAAAGUUUAAUCGUUUGCACCUGGUGCUCCAUGUCACUCAUGCAUCUCUCAGUGAUGAACCCUCCAUUACUCUUUUUUUUUCUUUUUUCUUUUUUUUUUUUGAGAGAUAGGUAGCACUCUACCUGUUUCGUUUAUUUCAUUUAGAAAUAAACUUAGCUGGAAAUGUGAAUCAAGUAGGAUUCAAACUUGGGUCUCGGAUACCAACUACCAAGGCCUUUGCCACUUGCUCUAGAGACGGUUGGUAUGAACCCUCCAUUACUGUUAAAAUAUAUAUCGAGUUUGAAUCUCAGUACUUUAUUGUUUCAUUGAAGUACAAGCUCCAUUUCUUUGAAGUUCACAACCUGGGUGUAAUGGACCUAAUGGUGCCUUGAGCCCGAGCAAGGGGAAGAACUCUCUAAUAUAACAUGCUAAAUAAUAUUUUUCUGACAGCUUAUUCUUUUAGAGGAAAAAUAUAAUUAUUUUACAAUUAUCGCAACGUUGGUUCUAAAAUUAUAUAUAUAUUUAGAUACUUGAUUGAACUUUUAAGAUAGGGUGAAUGAUCAUGAUCUCUCUCUCUCUCUCUCUCUAGCAGUGGGCGCAGGUUCAAUAAACCAGGACAUAUAUGUACGACGUGGGCCUAAAAUUGCAUGCAUGAGCUCUAAAAUUCGUGGAUGUAAUUGAGACAGAGCUUCACAAAGGAGGAAACACAUUGGUAGUACUUUGCAAAAGAGUCCAAUCAAAAAUUGGAGGAGUCCUCCCUCAUUAAAAGAUGAGAAGAGGGGAGUGAAAACUCGAAAAAAAGAAAAAAAAAAAAAAAGGAGAAAAAACUGAGCCUGUCCACCUUUUUGUUCCCUAUGAUGGACAUAGCCAAAUGUCCACUCUCCACAUCUCUCUUUGUCCCUGUUAUCCUCUCUGCUAUCCAUAAUACAUGAGCCAUUCCACUCUAAUCCGUACCUCAUUCAUUAUUGCUAUGUACUCGUGUUAUCCUCAUUGCCCCGAAAGCGAAAAAAUAUUUAAAAAAAAGGCCAACUUGCAUAAAAAAUUUAUUAGUUUUGAGCUUAUGUAAAAGAAAGAUGUCAUUUUAAAUUUUAUAGAUUCGGAUCACAUUUUCAAAAAACUGAUUAAAAUUAUUUUUUUUUCCCUCCUCUUUUUUUUUUCUCUCAUUCUUUUUUUUUUCUUUCUGUCCGAAGAGAGUGGCGAAGGCGAAGGCGGAGGCGGACCGUCUCGCCUCCAUCCCCACACCCUGAUCCUCGCCCGCGCAUCCUCCCUCCACCUUCCUCGCCUCGGCGAGGUCAGAAGAAGGUCGAUGCGGGACCUCGACGGGGUCAGAAGUAAGGAAGGUGGAGGGAGGGUGUGCAGGCGAGGGUGAGGGUGCACAGGACAGAGGUGAGGCGGUCAGAGAAUAAGAAUAUUUUGAUUAGUUUUCUAAAAAUUCGGUCUGAAUCUGCAAAAUUCAAAAAGACGGUCUAUUUUUACAAAAACUUAAAAUUAAUAAAUUUUUUAUGCAAAUUGGCCAAAAAGAAAAAAAAAAUAAAGAAGAAGGCAAAAAAAAGGAAGACAUGUAAUGAGUUGACAUUUUCUCUUUUGAAAAGCUUGUUCCUUUUUCCUCGAAAGAUAAUAUGUGACUCCAUCUCACGCACAAUACUUUGAUGUGUGAUAUAUAUAUUUGGAUUUGAUUUUCUAUGUAUGAGUUGGGUAGAAUAUUAGAUUACUUGUUAGUGGGUUUUCUUUUUGAGAAUAUGUGUCGACAGCCGGAAACCGGAGAAGACCUGAGACAAGACAGAGCGGAUUAGUAGCAUCUGUUAAUUACUUAAGAACAAAAUCGAAAUUAAUUAUAGCUCUAAUAAAUAUUAACAUAUUUUAAUGCUGGUUUGGGCGAGAACGACUUAUCUGAUAAUCAAAAAGUGUGUGUGUGUGUGUGUGUGUAGAUAAUGCUUCAUAUAGUGAAGAGAAAAUACUUGGAAUAAUAUGUUUGCACGUAUUUAUAUAAUUCUUUUUUAACCAACAAAAUGUGAAAAUUGCUAGAAAUUUGAUGUCAUCGACCCAAAGAAUAUGGUUCUUGUCCACUCUAUAAGUGCAGCAACUAUUGAAGGCCACAAUUUGAUUAAUGCGCUGUAUAUGUAAGUCAAUUACUAGCUCGGACACAAUAAUUAAUGUAUCAACUUUUCUUUGUACAUGCUGGUUCUUUUAUUGUUUAAUUUGGUGGCUUCUUCAACCAAACAUAUAUGCAUUAGAAAUUUAAGUAAAUGCGACUACGCAUCCAAAAUGGCAAACCGUCCUUUUAUUAAGGACCUAACGUGUCUUUUCUCUUCCUUUAUCUACUUUUUUUUGGAUUGCGACUUUCAUAAACUACUUACUCUAUUUCUAAUUCGAUAACAAAUUUACUUUUAAUUAGUAGAGUGAAACUUUUGAUGUUGGUUAAUUCAACUAUAUAUAUAUAUAGCUUGAUGAUGGGCUAUACACAAUAUAUGGAGGAUAAUUAUUUUCUUAGAAAUAUAUAGGCCAUAACCAUAGACCCAAAUUCUGGGGCUCUACUUGGUAAGGUUCGGGUGAAAUUCAAAAAAUUCAAAAAUAAAAAAAAAUAAAAAUUCAGUGUUAUAUACGGAUAGUAAAUUAUGAACAUAAAACAUUAAUUAAACAUAUAUGAAAGAAUAAGCUCUCUUUGUACCUUAUUUUAUAUAGGUUAUUAAAACAUAAUGAACAGUUUAUUUGGCAAUACAAGAUGUAUAAAAUAUUUAAUUUAGUUAGUAAAUUAUUUAUUAAUAUUAGUAUGAAUAUAAUGGCAUGCACCCCAUGAUGAUGUGUUAGCAUUUCCACCUUUGAAAAAUCCACCUUGAAAAUUCUACAUAAACUAACGGUCACUAUUGGUCAUCACUAGCUUCACGGGAGGAAAUAGAUUACGUAUCACAUUGGCAUUCAUGCAGGCAAAAAUAAGAUAAUAUUCCUAAGUUUAUAUAUAUAUAUAUAUAUAUAUAUAUAUAUAUAACUAGACUAAUAUACUAUUAAUAGCACCAAGUCAUUGGUGCUACCAAGUUUAUAUAUAUAUAUAUAUAUGCAUGGAAAGAUAUUAGUUUCGCAGUGGAGAAUGUGUCGUGAGGAUGUAAGGAAAAAGCCACACAAAAGAUCGUUUACCAUUGACCACUCUCUCCACCGUAGAAUAGGUGUUUUUCUUAUAUUGGAAGAAAUUAUUUUGUGCAAUAAAAUUCUAUUUGAAUGUAUAAAUAUCUCAUUCGAUUUUCUUUUUAAAAUGAUAUUUAGUAAAUGAGAGAAGUACUGUAAUAAAAUGUCGACAAUGAUUAUCAUAUUUAGUUUUAAAGUUGUUUAUUUUAUAACAAGAUAAUAAAUUAUUUCAUAAAUAAAAUAUGAUAUCUUACUUAAUCAUCAAUGCCAAGAUUUUUUCAAAAGUAAAAAAAAAAAAAAAAAAAAUUAUUCUUUAAUUACAUAAAAAAAAUUAUUAUACCAACAAAUAGUCAUUCAAUAUAUAUUUUGAUAUCCAAAUAGGAGCUAAGCCUAGCUCAUGAUUAUCUGUUGGACUAUAUUCUAAUCUUCACGGUCCAAUAAAUUAUAAUUUUUUUGGAAAAGAAAAGAAAAUCAGAGAGGGAGGAGUGCAAAGUACUGUUGGGUGAUCUAUAACUUAACGUAGUGGACCAAAUCUGGGCACAAUUUGUGGUAGAGUUGACCUUUGACUCAUCUCUUUUUAUGUGGUACGUACAUAGGAGAGUGUGUGUUAGUGUGGAUAUGAGGUGGAAGCCACACUAUUGAAAUGGGUGUUGACCAUCAACCAAGCUGGGAUUUGGAAUAGUCUAGAAUUUAUUCAAAGAAGGAAAUAAGGAGAAGAAAUAAACACAUUGAUUAAGGCCACCAUUCCCCUCAAAUCCUUAGCCUUGUCUCUUGCAUUAUCCAACAAUCCUAUCUCUAGUUGUUCAUCACCCUAUGUUCUAAAUUAAUUUGUGUCCUUCCCAACUUAAUUGUCUCAACACUGCUCCAAUCUAUAAUGUUAAACUAUAUGCAUGACCACAUAUAGGAGUAAAUAGGGUAACAAAAUAAUUAAUUUGAUUACAUUUCACAAUUACCUCUUCAAUUUUAUGUAGGAGAUAUUCUAGCUUAUAUUGUUUACAAAGUAUAAACAUUAAUAUUUGCCACAUAGUCAAUUAGUUUAGUUAGUUUAGUUUUAUGAUGGAUAAACUAAAUUAAUUACACAUUUGUUUCAAUUCGCAAACUUAUUAGUAAGAAGUGAGGUGGCCACCAGGUUUGAAAACCUAGCAAGUCCAAGUGCGAAUAUAUGGAGUGUGUGUUGGUGAUGGUGAUUACUAAUUACAAUGCACAAAAAGCUACUGAACUUUAUUAAGUUAAUGCUGCAUGCACUCUCACAGUUGUACUACAAAGUGAUUAAAACAAGCUUACCCUUUAAUUUAUCGCUUGUCUCCACUAAUAGCGACAGACGACGGCAAUGCCCGAUUUCAUAGCAACAUGAAAUAAUUAAUUGAAUCCUAAGGUACUGUGUUCUCCUCUCUUUAGGGACGUAUUGUGCUCGAAUCUAGCUUAUGAUUGGUUCAACGCCCUUAUUUUGAAUCCCAAUUAAUACUUUAUUCGAAGGCCAAAUCACGCUUUAUUAGCUGUUAACCAUCUCACAUCAGUGCCCUAGCUUGCUAGAAAUUUUUUUUUGAAUCGCUUCUUUUCAUUCAUAGCUUGGCUUUCGAGGUCUCGUAGAGCUUGCGGUGUCGGCCGCAACUUGCAUUAUCUUACAAAAUCAUGCACCCAGAUUUGUACUGUUAUUGAUCACUACACAAAACAUGCCCAUUGGAAAUGCUUGGAUUCCAAGCAAGUAAUGAUGCAGUCAAAAGCCUCUCCCAACCAUUUCUUUUCCUUUUUCAGCACAAAACCCUAAUCUCAUGCCUAGCUAAUAUCUCGUUUUGUUUCUUUUAUUUAGCCAUGCUAAGAGGAAGCUAGCUAGCUAGACCUAUGAAGUAAUUUAAUUAUGAUAAUGUAAACAAUCAACCAAUUAAUUGAUGGUCCCUUGGCGUGCUUGGAAUAUUGUCUUCAUCAGGUGUGGAAUAUUGUAUUGUCCCUAUAUGCAUGGGCUCCUAAUGCUGAGUAUCUGAACAAUAGUUCCCAUAUUAGUUUUCAAUUAGGUGGCUAGCUCGAGCCAACUUUAGUCGUGUGCUAGCUAGCCCUACAAAUGAAAUAAAAACAAUAUUAUAGGUUACUUACUUAAGUUAUAUAUAAUUAGCUCAAUAUGUAUAUAUCUUGUGGUUGUUAAGUGUGGGCUAUCUGCUAUGCUAGUGGUCCCAAGGUAUGCAUAUCAAUCUAUCUACGACAAAAAACCGACCGAUAAAUGCGUGACGUGAUAGGGUUUAAUCCUCCUCCUCUUCUUCUUACUUUUACCCCCCAACCUAAAGAGUUUAAUCUCAUUAAUUUGUACCUGGUACAAGUUAAUAAUUAAGUUAUACCAUGUACCAAGAUUGAUUAAAUCAAAGAGUUCAUAUAUAUAUAUAUAUAUAUAUAUAUAUAUAUAUAUAGUUUACUCUUUUAAUUUGUACAAGUCAUUAAUUAAUUAAGCUUGCUAUUAUACAAAAUAUAUAUAAUAGCAAGAAACAAUAUUAUCUUUCGGAACCUUCCAAUGAACGUUAUCUCUACUGCUCACGGUAUCAGAGUAUUGGCGUUGGAGUGGAUUGAUUUUUGUCGAACAGGGUGAUGUUGGUUUACACCCUUCGUUCUGCUGCUUGUUCUUGUUUUUUUAUCGGGCUUUUCCUUUCGUUAUUGUCUGUUAAUCGUCUAAGUGUCCCCUCGAGGCCCAAGCUACCUCACUCUAUGUAGCUGAUUUCACCUACUUAAUGAAUGAAACAAGUAGCGUGUUAUCUUUCUCUCUCAAUAUAUAUAUAUAUAUAUAUAUAUAUAUAUAUAUAUAUAUAAUACUCUUGUUUUAUUUUCCUAUCCACAAACAACAUGAGGAGCAGGUGAUCGACGAUCGCAAGUGUGUCGUCACGUACAACAUGUCGGGACCAUAUCUUGAAUACUUGCCUUUCACCGCGCCCAUGCAUGCUUCUCAAGUGUAGCCAUCGGAUGCUUCACUAACCUAAAAGAUGAGACACCGAUCCGGUCUUUCCGGCCUGCGCUGGAGCUCUGGACCAAUCGGGCAUCGGACGGACAAGCCCCGCGAAAGCAACAGCUAGUGUUAGUACUGAGACUAGUGAGGUCCAACAUCUAUGAAGAUCGAUGUUGAUUGUUUUAAAUUGACACCAUUUUUAUGCUUCACAUACAUACUUUUCUGCACUGUCUCUUUCCUUGCCAUUCUUUCAUAAAGGUAGGCAUCUGUGACCUCGGCCUCUGAAAGUGCUCUCUCUUUGCCAUCUUCUCCACCACCCUUCAAAUUUUGCCCUAUCUCUCUCUCUCUCUCUCUCUCUCUCUCUCUCUCUCUCUCUCUCCUUCCAAAGGGUGAUAAAUAAUUUUUAUUAAUAUUAUAUCUAUCUGUGAAUCAUCUCCUUUUCUUCUUCUUCUUCUUCUUCUGAUCCUCCUCCUCCUUUUUUUUCUUCUUCUUCUUCUUCUCCUCCUCCUCCUUGAUUGUGAUUGUAAGGUUGGUUGCUGUGUCAUUAUCUGAGAACUGUAUCAACACUAAUGUCGGGGUAAUGGCAUGACAUGAGGAUCGAGGACCACUGGCGAGGGAUUGCUUUGGUCGAUUCACCUUUGAAGAGAAUGUUGCAUUAUUUUCAUGUCUUUCUUUCUCGGGUCGUUGUCCGACAGGGUCGGCAUCGUACUUGAGCUAGGGUUUCUUGUUUCUAAGCAAGCACAACAAGCCUACUGAUGAAAACUUUGUAACAGAGAGUGAUUCCUAUAUUUAUCUGCUGAGAGAAUUGGGUUUAGGACAUAUUAAUGAAUUACUUCAUAGUUAGCACCACAUCUCACACUGCAUUUAGCUUUAUAAAAAAAAUGAAGAAGAAAAAAGAUAGUAAUUCCAUGUUGAAUAGUUACAAAUUUUAUGAUAGUUUUACGAGUUAUAAGUUUACUUUCAGAUAUUCACACACACACCGUAAUUAGUUCUUCUCACCGUUGCCUUUUUUGUAUUUUUGGUUCUUCUCCCCCUUUGCUCUUUCUUGAAAGGAGUGGUUUGUUAGUUAGUUCAUUUUCUAAAUGAAUGAAGCGAGCUAAAACAAUCUCUCUCUUUAUCUUUUUCUCAAAAAAAUAAAAAAAAGUUUACUUUUAGAUAUUGGGAAAUGCUUGUUUCUAGAUAGAGCCUUGAACAUAUAAUAGGAUAAGCAAAAAUAGUAAUACAGUAGACCUAGUCAGUAUAUAUAUAUAUACCAAUGUAUAUAUUAUUCUAUCGAUUUCAGAGUUGUGCUAGCUAGCUCUACGACCAAAAAUGGUUGCCUUAUCACAAUCUUUUUCUUUUUUAAUGUAAAAACUUAAAAAGAGACGCUUAAACUCAAGGGGGAGGGGUUAAAUCCUUACAUGGAGGGUUAUAAUAUAAGUUUAAAACGUCUACAGCCAUUUUUUUUUUUCGCUUGUGGACAAAGAAUUUCUCGUAAUUUCUCAUGCUGGAAAUUGCUAAUUGUUUUGGUGAUUCUCCUAUAAUUAUUUUGCGGUUAAAUCAGCCCCAAUCCAAGAUAUAUAGAUGGUAAUUGCCACAAUAAUAACUAUCUUAUCAAUUCGAUAAUAACAAUCAAAAUAUAUCGAAUUCAGAGAAAAAUAAAAAGGUUUUAAAGAUGGGACUCUCUUAAAUUGCGAUCGACGAAAACAUAGGCUUGAAAUUCGCUGCUCUCUCGCUCCCGUUGUUUCGAAGAAGUUUCUAAGUAAAAUAAUAAUAAUAAUAAUAAUAAUAAUAAUAAUAAUAAUAAUAAUAAUAAUAAUAAUAAGCGAGUCAAAUGGGUCACUCUUUAGCUACUUUCAAACAAGAUUUGUAGAAGAUUCAGACGAAGAAAGUGAAGAUAAAAUUCUGAUGCGGAGAAAAGUUGUGAAAGACGAAUAAGCUAUGAUAUAUCACUGGAGCGUGGAGCAUGACUAAUCAGUGAGUGAGAGAGGCCAUAAACAAACAAAAAGAAAAGAUUUCGUGUGAUUCUCACGGCGAGCGAUCAUUUCAACUGGAGAGGACUAAACUAAUCGAUAACCUCCUUUUGUUUUAAAGUACUGGAGAUUAGAUUAGAAAUAUUGUAUACAACAGUAGGUUAUUGGUUAUAGUCAGGGGACAUAAUCAAGGCAUGGGAGACAUGACAUAACCAUUCGGAUGGAGACUUCUAUGGCAGGAAUAACCAUGUAUCAUAUUCUCCUCUAAUUUGCUCUCUCUUAUUUCCUAUUCCGCUUCUCUUCUUCUCAAGUGUUUCACAUUCAUCAGUACGUACUUUGCGCAUAAAUCAAUAAAAUUGCAUUCCUUUGUAGCUUCAAUGAAAAAUUAUAAUAAUACCCGCAACCCUCGAAAGUAAAAUAAAAUUUGUUUUAGAAAUAUAUACACAUGUACACACACAAAGUUUUUAUCUUGCUAUUUGAUGAAAUUUUGCAACAAUGUUGUUAAAUAUAAAAAUAUUUAAACACCGUUCUCUAACAGCUUAAGUUUUUAAAGUACAACAAUUGUUUCACAAAUAUUACCAGAAGCAUCAGAAUUUUGUAAUGGUUGCAUGAAAAGUGUUGAGGAUCUUAAAGUUGUGAUGUUUACGUGCCAUACAGAUAUUAUGCUUUGCCCACUACUAUUACAAUCAAUCAACUAGUUGAGCAUCAUUCUCUGCUAUAUAUGUCGGAUAUCUUAAUAAGUUGAGACGUAAAAAAAUGUACGAGUUUACAACUAACUAUCAACUUGACAGCUACAACCAUCCCCAUAUAUAGUUCCAUUCAAGUUAUUAGGAGCCGAUCAUUUCAGUUUGACAACUUUUGGAUCUAUUGAACUCAUCAAUUCAUGUACAAUGUAAUUACAAAUCCGCAAGUUUUUCUUUCCCUUCUUGUGUGUUCCUGUGUUGCUUCUGUCCUAUUUUUCUUUUUUUUUUCGAGAAAGAAAAGUAGUAUGUUGUUUAUUUCGUUCAUUUUUUGUUUAGAAAUGAACUUAGCUGGACAUGUGAAGCAACUUGCUUCGAACUUAGAUCUCGAAUACCAACUAUAUGUUAAUUCCUUUGCCACUUGCGCUAUGAACAAUCGGCUUUCCUAUUUUUAGUAUCUGUAUUUAGUUUUUAACCUAUUAUUUCUAUCAUGCAAAUUAUUGCUUCACCUAUAAGUUUUGUGAUGGAUGCUAAUUAAUGCGCUUGAUACUUAUUGUUAAAUAUAAAAAUAUAUAAACAUCAUUUUUAACAGCUUAAGUUUCUGGAGUAUAGCGGUUGUUUCACAUGAUAUCAGAGUAAAAGAUUCUAAGUUCGAGUCAUGCCAGGUUAUGAGAAUUAUUAGCAGUUAUUUCACACAUAUAUUGGGAGUAAACAUACCAAAUUAAAAUGUAUUGUGAUACUCCCUGCCUAAUCAUGAUCAUCAUAUAUCUCAAGUUUAUUUUUUACUUUCUAAGAGAAGUAAGCGGCCGGCGUUCGCUUUUUCAGAAAAUUUUUUUAAAAAAAUCUUACAAAGUAGUUUUUUUUGGAUGAGAAGGUACUUUUCAUUUGUUUGGUUUUCAAGAAAAAUAGUUUUUCGGAAAAAGUUUUUUUUUCGCAUUUUAUGAAAAUGUCUCUUAUUACUUUAUGUAUUUUUUAUCCGAAAAACGAAAAUUAUAAAAAGAGUGUUUUCCAUCAUUUUUUCUAUUUACCAUCUUUCGAGAACUAAACACUCUAACAACUCAAUUUAAAAGUCCACAUGAAGGGAAACAAAAUUGAAACAAAAAUAAGAUGAAAAAAAUGUUGGGAAUACAAUUUAAUUCAUUUCAUACCUAAUUAAACCGAUCGAUGUCUAAAUUAAUUAGUAUGGGAAAAAAAAAAAAACCUACGUGACGUACGUUGUAUCAUUUAACUAAAAUAUUCUCAACAGAAAUUAAUUUGUCCCUUUCUCAGUGCUUAUAUACAUUAAUAUCACUUGAGUAAAAGCAGUUGAAAACAUAAUUGAAGUUAAAAAGAUGGAUAGCCACAAAAUAGUUCAUGAACAUUGCAUAGUACAAGAGGUGACAUCCUGAAAUGUCCUCUCUAUGUACCCUAUAAUUAAGAGGAAUAUUUGACUUUGAAGCCCUCAGCGUUGAUUGUCAAAUCAGAUCUUUUGGGGGAAAAAAAAGAAAUCAAGAUAAAGCUUUCACUAGGAGACAAAUCAACACAUGUCCCGAGACCUGCAUUGGAAAGUGUUUAGGUUAAUUUGAUGAACGACUUUAAGGAUAUAUUGUCGAAUCAUUGGCGGUGGUCAUUAAUUUCAAAAAUUCGAAUUAUUAGAAAUAGACAAUUAAUUCACUUAAAGUGAAGAGAUAUAGCACCCAAAAAUCUCGAUUGUAACUUGCGUUAUCCAAUUUUACACCACUUCGAACAUGACUCGGUUCAAUCCAGUUUCAUGCUAUUUCGAACGUGACUCGAUCGACAAACUGACCUUUCAUUACAGAGUAGAAUGUUGGUCUAUUUAAGCCAACAUGUAUGAGUGGCUGUCAAUGGUGGUCAAUUGUUGUGCAUGUUGAAGUUGGAUCAGGUUGUUCCAAAGUUGACAGAGCUUUUGCUGUGACAAGACAUAAUUUGACAAGGCAAAAAGGAAAAGACAAUGGAACACCAAUCUACUGCUCACUAUCUCAGACUCCCAGUGACUCCCUCAACCCUUAACCAUCCCCCCCCACCCAAUAUGGGUUCACUAUGUGAGGAGCUCUUAAUUGGUGCAAAUUGUUUCGACCCAUUGUAGAUAUAUUACAUAGUAUGUGGCUGGAAUGUUAUUGAUACUAAAAAUAUAGUAGUUAUUAUCAAUUUAUUAUUUUUUGGAUGUUUAGAAUUUAGUAGAGGCAAGUGGAAUAGUAUUGAUCUAAAAGUCAAAAAAUAAAUAGUAAAUAUUAUUUACUAUCAAUAAUAUAGCUGGCGCGCGAACUCUAUAACAUAAUUGGUAUAAUAUAUAUAGCAGGUUCUUUAUUAAUUACUCUCUCAAUAUCUCAAGGUUAUGGAAUCAAUUUAUUUGCUCUCCACGUCUAGUAUUCAAUGAGUGAACUGUGAGUUUUUGAGAACCAUUUAAAUUUGAAUGAUUCUCAUUAACUAAUUGUUAUACCUCUUUUAGUAUCAUUUUUGUUAAUGCCUGUAGCAUGAGUUCUCUAUUUGUGUAAAGCAUAUUAGGCUGUGUCAUUUCUGUGAGAGUGCUAAAAACCUGAGCUCACAUAGACAAAGAAUACAUAUAUAUAUAUAUAUAUAUAUAUAUAUAUAUACAUACACUCUUUUGUUUGUUCUUUGUAUUGGACAGGGUAUGACCUGAUAGGGUGUGGGCAAGGGCUUUUUAUAAUUGGUUUGGGUGAUUUGAUUUCUACUUGAAUGAGACUGAUAGAGAUCAAGAAAAUCCCUCAUCCUUUGAAAUAAUUAAUUUUCUUAAAAAAAAAACUUUUUCAAUAUUUAUAUGUAAAUAUCCAACAGCAUAUAUUUAUAUUGUUAUGUAGAUACAUGUUAGGUGGUAAUUUUCACUGCCAAAGGGGCCAAUAGAGACCUGCCACCUGGAGGCAAGUUGCAGUAAAAAGCUAUAAACAUUGUAAUGGGGAAAGUGAAAUUCCUUUUGAACCCAAAAUAAUUAAUGAUGUGGGUCUAGCUAUGGCAACAAUCAAGGUCGGCACGUGGGCAACCACCGAAGACCAACACCAACAUGUACUCACCAAAGCAUCCUUCUUUUUCGUAAUAUGCUUGUGGUCAUGGUGAAGGAAAGAAAAGCUGCUGCAACCCCCACCAUUUUCUAAGAUUAUCUUUCUCGUGGGAGUAGAGGAGAAAUUAUUGCAUGCACAUUGCAUGCGUACCAUGCAUUGUAUCUCUAUAACAAUCUAAUAAUGGAGGUUUCAACAUUAGAAGUCAAUUUGCUUUAUGUGUUAUAUAUAUAAAAGCCAUACAGAUUAUAAUUAUAGUUUUUUGACACCAAUUUCUGGUGAAUUGAGUACUAAUAUCUACUCUUUCAAUAUGACUAAUCUUUGGGACUAUUUGAUGUCUAGAUAAAACAAUCUUAAAACUAUAAUUAAUGAAUGGUUCUUUAUAAAUUUCGAGAUACAGGUAGCAUGCUAUGUAUAAGCUCCAUAAAUAAACUUGGCUGAAAAUAUGAAACAACUAGACUUCGAACUGAGGACCUUGGGUGCCAGCCAUGAAUCCCCUUACUAUCUGCGAUAGGAACAGUCGGUAAUUUUAUUAUAUAUAUUAAUCAUCAAAUAGUAAUUAAGAGUGGUAUAUUAUUAAAUAUAUAUAGUUGCACAGAUUUAUACCAACUGCAGGCUAGGAGAGGGGCCGGGCCAUUAGACAAACCAUAAUGUAGCCAGCACAUUGAUGCAUGUAGGACUCACCAGGCUGGGUCAAAAACACUAGGGCUCGGAGCUCAGAAACUUACACAACCUGUUGGGGUAGCUUUAUUGAAUCCGAGCUAUGAUGACCACAUGUUCCAACACAAACAGUAGCGGGAAGGGUAAUGUGGACCUGUUGCUUUUCUCUGUCUAGUGCUCUUGACUGUGCUUUUUAAGACUUGUCUAUUUAGAUUUUAUCUUUGUUUUUUAAGUAUUUACUAUUAAUUUUUUUAACUCUUAGAUUUUUAUUAGGGUUUACUAUUUGGUGGUAAUACUAUAGUGAAUCCAACCACUAAAAGUUGAUAGCAUAUACUAUUUACAUACUAUUAAUUAUGUUCCAAUCGUAAUAUAUAGAGAAGGUGGAGAGAUGUUUGGCCAUGGAAGAUUGGUGCAGGGACCCCCUUCUUCAAAUAGGUCUAAAAAGAGGUGAGCUGGGUUCCAUGUUCACCUCUCUCUCUCUCUCUCUCUCUCUCUCUCUCUCUAGAUCUCUCUCUCUCUCUCUCUCUAUCUAGAUCUCUCUCUCCCCCUUGACUACCACAUCACCCUGGGGGUUUUUAUAAUAGUGUCUAGGGAUAGUGGUCUUCCUACUAUACUAUCCACAGGCCAAAUGACCCUCCCAUUGAGGGGGUGGAAAAAGAGCUUUGUCCACAACCUACCUACGAGGCUCAUUAAAAUAGCUGUGAAGCUAGAUAGAUAUUUAGAAAGCAUCUCUCUGACUUAGUCCUAACCUUGUGUUAGCAAGCUACAGUGCCAUAUAUAUGGUUCUCUCUCUCUCUCUCUCUCUCUCUCUCUCUUUCUCUCUCUUUCUCUCUCUCUCUAUAUGUGACAAACACACAUGCAUGUAUGACACACACACACACAUUCAUGUACACGCAACAUAUAAAGGACAAACAUACACGAGUUCAAACAUAAAUACAUUCAUGCUGUAUGUACUGAAUGACCAGUAUAUUAAUGUCGGUUAGCAUGCAUGUGAAAGGUCAGUUGAGUUAUGAAGCCCAGCAAAAAUAACUUAAGGCACAGAACUCUGUAGAACUUCGGAUGAUGUUAUUAAGUUAUUUGUACUAUUUCACAUAUUUAUUUAUUUUCAAAAAAGAAAAAAAAACUAUUUUCACACAUUUACUAAAUCCAGUUAGAUUCAGUAGAUUUACUUAAUCAGUCUAUCCAGUAUCCACAAUGAGUGAAUAUAUAUUCCUCAUGUUACUAAAUUUUAUACUAAACAGCUCCACUGUCCUUUUCUAUUGCGUUGUUUUUUUUUGUUUUUGUUUUUUUUUUUUUGUUUUUUUUUUUUUUUUAGAAAUAGGUAGCACGCUACCCGCUUCGUUUAUUUCAUUUAGAAAUAAACUUAACUGGAAAUGUGAAUCAACUAGGAUUCGAACUUGGAUCUCGGGUACCAAUCAUCAAGUCCUUUGCCACUUGCUCUAGGUACGGUUGGUUCUCCUUUUCUAUUGUUGAUUUUUUGUUUUCGCAAUGGCACAUCAUAUAUAAAUUGUUAAAGUUAUGAGAUCUUAUGAGAAUAUAUCUCAUUUUCUUCUACUGAGAAGAAAGAGAGGUACAUAUAUACCAGUUGAAGUGUGUGUGCAACGGGCGCUUUGCAUUAAAAGAAAACUCAAAAAAAAUAUUUUUACUCGUGUAUAUAUUUUUAGAAUAAAUAUACUGUGUACGUUAAAUAAAUUUAUUUUAUUUAAUUUACAAACAUCUAAUUUGGCAUGGAAGUAGAGAUAACAAUGGUAGAUUUAAUUAAGUUAAUCUAUUAAAUUUACGUAGAUUAGGAAAUUUAAAUAUUUUAUUAAAUAAAUCAUCUAAUUGGAUAGAAAGAUAGGAAGAAAUAUAGUAGAUUAGUUAAAUUUGGUGUAUUAAUAUUUAAAUUAGUUUAAAAUAUUAAAAUCGUGCAAGUUGUUAAUUUUUUUAAAAAUAAUUUAUAGCAAUUGUUUUAAGUAUGGAUAAACUUUGAGAAUAGAAAGGGCAUUUCUAAAAAAAAAAUUGAUAGAUCCAAAACUUCUAUUCACUCAUAUAUAUAUAUAUACACUAGUUAAAUUAAGUGUGCAUGCAAUGCACACUGUUUUAAAAAAAUAAAUUUAGAAAAGUAAUUUUACUUAUAUAUGUAUCUUGUAGAAUUUUACUUUGUACAUAAAAUAAAUACAUUUUGUUUUAUUAUAAUCACUUACUUUUGGUAUAGAAGUCAGAAGAAUGAUUGCAUAUUUUACUUAAGUAAGAUUUAUCUGUUAAAUCGAAGUACAUUACAAAAAUUAUCUUUUAAAUUAAAAUUUUUAUUUGAUUGAAAUCAUCUAAUAUAAUAGAAAAAUAGAAAGAAUUAUAAUAAACUAGUUAGGUUUGACUUAUUUAAAAUUUAAAUAAGUUUAAAACAUUAAUUGUGUCGGUUGAUAAUUUAAACUUUUUAACAGCGGUUGUUAAAAAAACAUUUGAAAAUUUAAAUUAUGUCUAAAAAUUAUGCCGAUAUUUUAAAUGUAAAUGUAUUUUUAGAACGAAGGGAUAUAUAUUUUAAUUCAGAAGAAAAAUUGGCAGACCCAAAACUGUUAUUCACUCUUUUACAUAUAAAUAUAGAUAUAGAUAAGUGUAUAUAUAUAGUGACAAAGAAGAAGAGAAUAUGGCCUAGUGGUCAAGAACAUUCAAACCUCUCAAUUAAAUUAAAAAUCUGAAUCACAAAUUAUCUCAAGGUAAAUAAAAAUCAAAAUCAUUAUCCAUUAUAUAAUAAUGAUCAUCAACUAAACUCUUUCAAAUAAACUCUUACAUUGGUAGAGAGUGUCCCUUUCUCGACUCCGAAAAAAUAGGCAAGGAAUGUUUGUCCUGUGGAGCUCAAAUUAACUUUGCAACAUUUGCUAUAUACAUGUUUAUGGCCCCCUUUUGGCAUAUACAUGCUCAUGUGGACAGGAACACAAAUGUGCUCCAGGCGCGCAAGCGACAUGAUCGGACACUGUGUUGUCCAACUCCAAAUGUUAUCGUUUGAUCCGCGAACGAGCAAAAUAUCUUAACAUGAGAAUUCAUCAGAUCUAGUACGUUAGUUCACUAUUUUUUUGAUUGUCAAUGUUCCUCCUGUGUUACAAUCUAAGAUCUGAUGAUGAUAUGCAUGCAUAACCAAAAUAGGAGAAGAGAAUAUAUAUAUAGCAUCGAUCGCAGCAACUGCGAAAGAGAGUUUCAAUAGUAUUCUAGAGAGUAGUUGAGUUGAUCAAUCGGUCCCCCUCGCGAUAAUUGACUUCAAUGCGUGGUGGUGGGUGUGGGCUUAGAUUAAGGAAGAGUCUGGUCCGACAACGAGCGAAGUGCGCCGCGUGUCGUGCGGCUGCGAGGCAAGGUGGACAAGGAUAGAGCUCACAGAGGAGGAGACCAAAGGAGGUGAACGUAUUAAUUGAGACCUUGUCAAUCAGUUGAGACAUCACUUUAAACCCCUCAUUUUCCUUAUGCUCUCUCUCUCUCUCUCUCUCUCUCUCUCUGAAUUUUAUUGCAACAUUGUUCAGUUUGAAGUAGACUUAAUUUGUUGGAAUUUUGGAGAAGCAUUUGUCCCCAGAAACCACAUUUCUUUAAAAUGUGUUCCAAAUGUUUGGGCUGGGCCAGCAUGCAAAAAGUAUCCUUACUGGUGUAGACACUCUUUAACGCAAACGUUUCGUAAACUUUAUAUAAAGUGUGAAAUUUCCACUAUGGUGGCGGACGGUUGAAACAAAGAUUCUAAGUUUCAAAAAACAUUUUGAAAAUAAAAAUAUCUGAUUAGAGAUGAUACGUAAUAGCAAUACUCAAACAACACUGCAUCUAAUAGCACUGCGGUAGAGCUGUGUGCGGAUGCUAGAGAGAGAGCUCGGCCUAGGCCUGAGAUUCUAGAAUCCGGCCCUUCGUAUGCCGGAAUAGGGAAUGGGCCGAUCGAAAGCCCUAAAAGAACCCAGGCCUUAAACUAGCCCGGCAAAUUUAUUACUUUUCAGAAAUUGGGCCCACCAGGGCCCAGUGACCAUAUUUACCCUCGGCGUUCCGGGCCGCGGUAGAUCCAUUAACGACACUAAUUCCGCAUGUAAAAUUUUGGUUUUAUCGCUCGUGCCUUUAUAGGCCCACCCACACAGUAGGAAGGCAAAUGGGCCAAAAAUUAGGGCCCAUAACAUGGGCCAGCUGAUUCGGUCCGUUUAGAAAAUUAGGCCCAACAUUUUGCCCCGGUGGAAUAGGACUAUAGGAGGUGGAUUUGGUGUUUGUGUUCGACGAAAUGCCGAAGCAAUGUUCGGAUUGUGCGUAGAGGCAGACAAAAAAAAAAAAAGGAAAAUAAGAAAGAAAAAUUAAGGUCCCAAACGAAGCUUCUAUGAAUGUGUAGUCGAAACUUUUAAAAAUAAAUCUGCAAUGAAAUAAUAACAUACGAUAAAAAGAGUUGAUAUGUAGUAAUGCGCCAGAAAACACGACCGGCAAUGAUGUAUGGACUAAGAAGGCAUGUCACGGAUAUAUUGACCGCAAUCUAGGUGUAUAGUAUCCACAUUUAUGGCAACUUUGGAUCGGAACCAGAGAGAGAGAGAGAGAGAGAGAGAGAGAGAGAGAGAGGCCACCGACUCUAGAACUACUAUAAUCUUAUGUUUGCUCAACUUUUUUUAGACUCUUGAGUCUAACAGCCGUCAAAAUAUUUUAGCCAGACAAGAGGUUUAAUCUUAUUAUAUUUCAUAUGCAAAACUAUAUCAAAUUUUGAAGGGUGUCAUAUUUAUAAGUAUUAGGCGAUGUGAGAUUCGUCUCACUAUCCCUAUCUUAUCCUAUGGGAGGUGCACUCUAUCCACAAUUAUCGUUAGCCGAAAAGCCGUGCUCUUGGCCAUCGUAUGAUCUUAACUUAGCUCAGACUCAACAUCUUAUACUUCCAAUUAGUGGUUGGUUGUUAUCCUAAUUGCGACGCCUUGCUUCUCAGAGAGGUCAUCAAUAUAGAACUAUUCUAACCCUAAACUCGUUCAAACUUUUUAAUAUUUUAGGUCUAGUCGAUCACCGUCCAAAAUAUUAUUACUAAAUUAGAAAAUUUUGUCCUACUAUACUUGAGCUACUGUAUUGAACUAUUUCAAAUUUAGAGGGUGUCAAGGACACAGAGAAGUAGUUUGACUGGCAAGUUAACUUUGCUACCACUCUAAUUAUUUUCCUUUUCUCCUAACUAACUGGACAGGUAUGUUUUCUUUGCUUGCAAAUCAAUUACUGCCAACUAAUAUAGGGGAGAAAGAAAGAAAAUACGUGUUGAUAGUACAUUUAUUUUCUUUCUGAGUUAAGAUACAUCAAUAGUUGUUGUACGGGAACUAAUCUACACACUACAAUAAAAUUAGGUUAUAGAGACACAUAUUUGGGACACUUUUGUCUAAGUGUUCUAUUUAUGUUAAAAUUAAAAAAAACAUCUACUAAUGCCUAAAUAUAAAGCCGAAUCCAACAAAAAAUAAAAGGUUAUUAUACUCAACCCACCCAACCCAGCCAUUUGGCCCGAUUCUAAAUAGAAAAGAAAAAAAAAAGAAAAAUCGAUUACCAUCUCCUUUUCUCCUCUCACUCAAUCCACUGAAAUUCUAGACGAAAAGGCCUUCCCUCUCGUCCUCCUCCGCCACCGCAGCCAACGAGAUAGAGUUCCGACGGUUGCUAGAUGCUUAAAUAAGUAUUGCUAAAUUAGCAGCACUUUCUUAGGUUAUAGCGACACUCUUCAACUGUUACUAUAUACCUAGCGACCCCACAUAUAGCAACACUUUUUAUAAGUGUCAGUAAUUUAGCCAGCAGCACUUUUUUUGACCUAUACCGAUAUUUAAAAGUGUCGCUAUAGACCGUUUUUGUUGUAGUGACACCAAAUUAAAGUUGGGCCAAUGAAGUCCUACAUUCUUGCACAGCAUCCUAAACUUGGCCCGGCCUUCAAGUCUCACUUUGGGCUCGAAAACCUUAAUUUCAAUCCGCCAUUUAUUAUGACACAAAUUACAACUUUUUACUAUCAUAUAUUGCACCUACUUUUGUACCUUUUUACUAUCAUACAUUGAAGAUGACAUGAAUGUACCUUCUUUUUCUUUUUUUUUUUUUUGAUGAGAGAAACAUGACAAGUUAUCUGCUUUAAUUUAUUCUUUCUCUCAAAAAUUUAUUUUUUAUUUUUUUAAGAAAUAAACUUAGUAAAAAAAUAUGAAACAAUCAAGUAUUAAAUUUGAAAUAUCAGAUGUCAACUAUCAAAUAUUUAGCCAAUUGGGAUGCUAGGUAAGGUCAAUAUUUCCUUCUAAUGUUACGUACUUGUCACAACCAAUGGGUUGGGUGAAAAGCAAAUGAGUGAACACAUGUUAUGUAUGAGGCUGAUAUAUUCCUAUGAAAAGGAUAUGACUAAAAGAGAAGCAUGCUAAUUAAUAACCCUCCAAGUCAAACAUUUGGAGGUGACUAGGUUGACGUUGACUUCUUAAUGAACCAGGUCCAUCCGUUUAGAUUAUUAUUGAAUCAAAGGUUCUUCAAAGAAGCGCUUUCGCUAAUUAUCGCAAAAGUCUCUUCUUUUAAAGAGGAGUGUAAAUGCCCAAAUUAAAGGAAUAUAUUUUAAUGAUCUUUUGAUAUGCCAAUAAUUAAAAUUUUACAUAUUUUUAACUAAAUUUAUUUCUAAAUAAAAUAAACAAAAUGGAUAACAAACUACUUAUCUCUUGUAGUAAAAAGUAUCAUUUUGAGAGUCGUGUUGAAGGUAAAAAUAUACUAAUAAGCUACUAGUAGCUUCUUCUCUCUCUCUCUCUCUCUCUCUCAAAAAAGCUACUAGUCAGCUUUGAAAUGGGCCCGUAACUUCAUAUUUUUUCGAUCCAUACCCUCUCAACUUUUUUUUUUCUUAUUUGAGUUUUCAUACUUAUUUAAAUUAAAACUUUUUUAAAAAUUUAAUGGCUACUAUUUUUUUUUUGAAAAAAAAAUAAUAUGCUACCCGCUUCGUUUAUUUUUUUAAAAAAAAUAAAUUUAGCUGAAAAUAUGAAUCAACUAGAAUUCGAACUUAGAAUAUUUAGUACCAAUCACCAAGUCCUUUGUUGUUUGUGCUAGGGAUGACCAAUGAGGCAACCUAUUUCAAAAUGAGCUACCGUACAAUGGUACAUGGAAGGGCCCCUCGAGAUGUUUGAAGGAAUUUGACGCAAUUGUGGGAGGACUUUGUCUCUUAGUUUCCUAAUUUCCAAGUAAGCUUCAUGUUGAGAUGAGGUCACUUAGUCCUAGAGGAUUUAAAUUAAUUAGGCUUUUCGAUAAUGAAUAAAACAUGUUGAGUUAGGUAAGGGUCAAUGAUAAUAUGGACAAUUGACGCAAACAUUGAUCAGUGUAUUAGUUCGUCACCAUCUACAACUAAAUCCUUCUAAUGUACGGUAGCAUUUGGUAAAAUAGGCUUAUAAGAGGUGAAGACUCUUUUAGAGUCAUAUUGUCUUCUUUUUUUUUUUUUUUUUUUUUUUUUUUUUUUUGAGAGAGAUAGGUAGCACACUACCCGCUUCGUUUAUUUCAUUUAGAAAUAAGCUUAGCUUGAAAUAUGAAUCAACUAGGAUUCGAACUUGGGUCUUGGAUUGUCACCAAUUUAGUAUUGUAACUCCUUAGGGGUAUAUAUAGCUGCUACAAGUUUAGGUGAGUCUUAUAAAAGCUUCGAUUCCAAGUCCACGAGAGUUUCAGAAGCUACAUGAGCAAAAGUUCCUACUUAACAACAUAAACAAAUUCGCAAUCUUUGUACUAAUCCAACCAAAACGAAUGAUUCUUGGUGUUUUGAUUAUCAUUCUCUAAUUUAAUCAAGAAGUACUUUUGUUAGGCAAAAAUAGAGGAGACAAAGCUAGUUUUAUAAUUGAAGGCAGGUGACCUUAAUUAUUUGAUUAAGUUAUAUAAGUCUUCUAUAGCAGUUGCAUCCUACCCUUGGAUUAUCCAGGAUUUUGGUGUCAAAAGGUUAACUAAUACUGUCUCUUGCAUGGAUUAGCAAGAGAUCUAAGUUUCCUUUUCUUGUCUCAUUCGAUCAUUAUUGUGUCAUACCAGUUAUUGGGAUAUAUAAAAUUGGAUUAUGUUAUGUCUCAUUUGCAAAGUGAGAUUUGGUAGUCUUGUUCUCCUUUGGUGGUUGAUUGCUCACUUCCUUUCAGUUGCCUCAAUAUGCGGCCCAAAUCUCAUUUAAAUUAUCUUGAAUACUUUUUUUUGAGAGAGAUAGAUAGCACGCUACCCAUUUCGUUUAUUUCAUUUAGAAAUAAACUUAGCUAGAAAUGUGAAUCAACUAGGAUUCGAACUUGGGUCUCAGAUACCAACCACCAAGCCCUUUGCCACUUGCUCUAGGGACGGUUGAUUGAAUACUUAAAAAUAAUGUUUGCCUACUUGCAUGUAUUAUAACUAGCUGCUAACAUAGCAUCACAUAAGAAGAAAAGGAUAAGGUACAUUUUUGCUUUACCAUUGGAAAGUGCUAUUGAAAUAUGGAAUUUAUUGAGGAGCAUGAAUAUUAGCAUGUUAGGAUGAAUUUCCAAUUCAUAUGAAACAAUCUCUUUUAAAUUUCAACAUUUUAGAUCUUCCUCUUUUUUUUUUGUUGUGAGAUGUUAAUUAUGUCCUUAUCUUUAUCCUAUAGCUCCCUUUAGUGCUUAUUACUUACCAAACAGAAAGUAAUUAACAUCUUGUGCGCCUUAUUUUAUUUUCCAUUCAAGUUUUAUAUUUUAGUCCUCUUUUUUUUGUUUUGAGAAAUAGGUAGCAAGCUACCUGCUUCAUUCAUUAAGUAAUUAACAUCUUGUGCGCCUUAUUUUAUUUUCCAUUCAAGUUUUAUAUUUUAGUCCUCUUUUUUUUUUUUUGAGAAAUAGGUAGCAAGCUACCUGCUUCAUUCAUUAAGUAAAAUGAACUUAGCAUACAAGUUGGAGGCAGCUUAGGCCUCCGGGAAGCCGACAAAAAAGUAGAAGUUACAAAAAAGUUAAAUUUAGGAAUUAAACAAGAAGAAAAUCAAGGUAGCAAGGGGAAGAGGAACAGAUGAGGAGCAGAUGAGGAGUACAUAAGAGACAUCAGAGUCUUGUGGUCCAGUCACGGAUUAGUAGUUUCACCCGUUCCAGAGACCCGGUGAUAAAGGGUGGCUUUCCUCUAAAAACAGAGUCGUUUCUGUCCGUCCAGAAUAUAUAUGUCCGUGAUGGAAUCUUUAUUAGUAGGUUUCGUUACGAGUAAUCAUAGACAAUUACCUUCCUGCUUUACUAUUCCACUUACAGGAAGAGUGAGGGACGACAACCUUAUUUCCCUACCAGGAGAAAGCAAAAACGCAGAUAGCCAGGGGUACGAGGGUUCAUAUUGAUAUCAGAUCAGAAAAGGCUUUCUCCUGUAUAAUAACGGAUUUAGACCAGGAAACUAGUGUAGUCAGUACUUGGCGUAUCAACUAGACAGGAUGAUAAGUAGAUCUCAGAUAAAUGUAACCUUUCAAUAAAACUAACUUUCCAUACCGCUAGCUUUUAUCACUAUACCAGCUACCGCUAAAGUAUAUAUAUAUAUAUAUAUAUCAGGUACUGACUACAUCACCUAAUCUAGUCGUGUUUUCAAAGGUAACUAGUUCUCCCAAGAUCGGAAGAUACACGGUAGGUUGAAAUGUAAAUGGUAGAGUCCCAUACAUUUAAUAUUCAUGAGGUGGAGAACCGUACCGGUAAGUAGGUUGAUACAUAUAUAUCUCUAGAGUAAAGAGAGAGAGACACACACACACACACACACACACACACACACACACACACACACACACACACACACACACAUUAAGAUCAGGUUUUAUUCUCCUGAUCUUACUGACACAAAUGCAAGCUAAGGAAGAAGAGUCAUAUCCUCCUAACCUGUGUUGUCUGUAGUCGUGUCCGCUGCAAGCUCUAGAGACCCGGUCUUGAUGACCUUAGGAAGGACUGAGUAGCUCCUUUGUUGCGAACUAGGAAGAUCGUCGCUGCACCAUCCAGUNGAGAGAGAGAGAGAGAGAGAGUGUGGAACUAUGAUACUAUUAAAAACACCAAGCAUAUGAGAUUGUAAAACAAAUUCAACGGCUAAAAAGGUGGAGGCAUAUAAGCUGCUAUACUUCUAAUAAUAACAUAGUAGCUCUACUCUAUAUCUAUAUAUAUCUUUAGCAUGGUCCUUAUAGUACGUAAUUAGAAGUGAUCAUUUUUCUUUCUUUAUUAAUUUGAAGGUAAUGACAAUUUCUUUUAUUGGAACAACUCUUCUGCAUGAUUAUAUAUAAGAUGGUAUCGUUCAAUAUUAGAAAGAACCUUAAAUUUCCUAGCGCUAAGCUUUCACCUAAUUAUCGCUUCCUUCCACGAUAAAAUGAUGGUUUUUCUUGGGCAUAUUUCAAUAUGUAUCUUCUUUGCCAUAAGGAGAAAUUAUGGCCACUAUAUAUAUAUAUAUAUAUAUAUUAUAUAUAUAUAUAUAUAUAUAUAUAUAUAUAUAUAUUAUUUAUUUAUUUAUUAUUAUUUAUUUCAUUAUUAAAAUAUUAAAUUCUAUUCAUAUGAAACUCAUUUGGGGCAAGAUAUAAUGACUGGUGAUAGGUAAUAUGAUACCUAUAUGACUAUAUCCAUAGAGUAGAUGCCUUUGUACCGGAUAUGUACUAGUAAGAAACUACUUUAUAUUAACAAUAUAAGCUUGUGGACUAAGCAAUUCCACUAGAGGCAUGUGUGAACUCAAUACAUAUAUGAACAAGUUGUAUUUUUUUUCCCCCCUUAUUAUUGCAAUCAUAGCCAAAGGGAAAGGAAUUGUGGGUGGACAAGAUAUCCUCAUACUCUGCACCCUUGGUAUUAGGAAACAACCUGGGCCCUCAUGUAGCAUCAUGGGGUCAAUGAGUCUCAAGCAAACUCCUAUAACAAUCUAUAGGUUGUCUCUCACCAAAUUAGAUGGAUGCAAAUUAUGACAUCAUAAUACCUAUUAACAAGUAAAGAAAAGUGCAAUUCCCUUAAGAUGACAAAGGCAACAUGAGCCAUUAUUGCCAUAAAAUUGUAAGAGGUCUUAUAAUAUUCUGAUUGCCACUUUUUUUUUUUUUUUUUGAGAGAGAGAGAUAGACAGUAUGCUAUACGUUUCGUUUAUUUCUUUUUAAAAAUAAAUUUAGCUGAAAAUGUGAAUCAAUUAGAAUUUAAACUUGAAAUCUUGGGUACUAACCAUCAAAUCUUUUGUCAUUUGCGUCAGAGGCGGUCUUAUUCUCUUUUCUUAGACCUUUUUUUGUUUUUGUGUUUUUUUUUUUAGAGAUAGAUAGCACGCUACCCGCUUCAUUUAUUUUAUUUAAAAAUAAACUUAGCUGUAAAUAUGAAUCAACUAGAAUUUGAACUUGGGAUCUCGGGUACCAACCACCAAGCCCUUACCCGCUUCGUUUAUUUCUUUGUAUUUGUUACAAUGGUUUGAGACACUAACAAUAGAGCUUAAAGGUUUUGAAAUCUUUAUAUUACUCUAAUAACAACUAAGAAUUAACUACGCAAAAGUCAAAAUAUACAACCAUGACAAUCUUAUACCAUUUAAAUAAUUCUUAUUUACUGGAAUAUGUUUUAUAGGCCCAUGCAAGUGUAAUCCAUAGGCCAUAGCCACCCAAUGAACGUUAAGCAUGGUCAAUGACCAACUGUUUAUGUUUUAUAAAUAGCAAUUCUGAGUACUCGAACGAACAGGGAAAAGCUCCUUUAGGGUUGAAAAUUAAAUAUUCUAACUCAUGAGCCAAAAUUAGAGAGCAAAUUUUUUAGGGAAUUAACUUCUUGGUUCAAUGAAUGUAUGUGUGGUACUAGUGUUUUGUAGAGAUCAAGAGAGAGCCUUAAAUGAAUCAAACUCUUUUGGCGUAUGAAUAUGAAAGUUAUGGAUAGUGAGAAGCAUGCAUGCUUGGGACUUUAGUUUUUUUUUUUUUUCUUUUAAUUUUAAUAUUAUCUGAUUGUGGCAUAUCCAAUCAGUCUUUUUCAAGUGGGGAUUUAAUUGAUAGCUAACUAGAUUACAAUUAAUAAACUUUUCAUUCUACCAAACUGAUUUAACACAUCUUCCCACUUUGAGCACAUCCUCCACAUUUUUUUUGACCCUCCACUUAUUGUAUAUUUAGAGGACCCACUAGCCGUUUGACUAAAGAUAUAGCUAUACUUUUUGUUUUUUUUUUAAGGUUUAAAUAAUAAAUUAUACUAGUGUAGUGGCUAUUAGAUAAAUAAGUUAAUGCUUUCAAUUUGGUGACCCGUUAUCUUGUUUGCUAGAAGUAAAAUCAGAGAAAAAGAAAAAGCUAACCAAUGAAACCACUCAUGAUGCCCAAAUAAAUCAAUUUAAUUAUUUUAGAAACUAAAUAUAUUUAGCAUUACAAAAACUUCAAAAUAACAAUUUUAAUGGAUAGGGAAUCGACCUUACUGAACAGCUUCAUAAGAUCAAUUUGUUUCUUUUUUUUUAUGCUUUAUCCAAUUAAAAGCGCAAAAAAUAUUAACGUGAGCUUCACUUCCAGGGUGCGUUUGGUUCGCGCUAUCUUUUAAAGAUUCCUAGUAAUCCAAUGGGAAUAAAAAAAUAUGACGGUGUUUGGCUAAACGCACUAAGUAAUCUAGUUGGUAAUAUUGGAUUCACUUGGGAAUAAGAUUCACCCCAAAGUACUAAUCUCAUUCUCUUGAGGGAGGGUGGGUAUCCUCAUAUUAAUGGAUUGGGGUAAUCAUAAUAUAUCUAAUCUCUUUCUUUUUUCCUAUCCGCCGGCUAAUUGAUAUUAUUUUUCUUUACACUCUAAUCUUAUAUCUCUCUCUAAAUUUAUUUUUCUCUCUAAAAUUCAACUUUUUUUUUCUCUCUCUAAACUAAGCUUUCUCUCUCUCUCUUUCUAAAAUUUCAACUCUCUCACUCCCUCUAAUUUCGACUAUAUUUUUCUUCGUAUUUUUCUAAUUAUGCUCUCUCUUUCUAACUUAUACUCUCUCUCCCUUUUUUCUAAAAAGAUGUUGAAACUUUUGGUAACAUUAUCUAAAAUUAAUUAAAUUAAUUAAUUAAUUAAUUGUAUAAUUUUUGUAAUAUUAAAUAACAUGGCUAAUUAAUAUUACUGUGUGAACCAAACACAGGAAUUCCACAUUCUUAGUAAUAGGAUGAAUAGGAAUAAGAUUCUCAGAUAUCUUUUAUUCGUAGUAAUCUUUUAUAAUGCGAACCAAACGCACCCCCAGUGUCAUGUUAUAUUUAUUCUCUUAAUAUUGCAGAGUUUGAAAAUUAUGCUGAGCAUUAAUCCUAAAGUAUCUUUGAUGACGCGACCAGAGAUUUCUACUUUUGUUGGCUGCACAAGUGUCAAUCACUAUACAUUCUUAAUUUAAAUUAUUAUUUAGAAUUUAAUGUCAAUGCAUAUGUGAUUACUCUGAGCAUUGGGUCAACUUGCAAAGAAGCAUCUUCUGCCGAAAAUACCAAAUUCCGCGUGAUGACCGCCGAGUUGACAAGUAACAAAUAUUGGUUCACUCACUUUCCCAGGUACACGUUACCGCUAUCUUUGAAUUAUUUUUUAUUAGAUCAAUCUUCUCGCUGCACAUUAUAAUUUUCUAACAAUUGUUGAACCUCGUCAAUUUCAAAAUAUCUAUUUCAUCGCACAGGUUUUAAUUCAUCUAAUUAAUUAUUUACUUUCUAUCGGUGCACAUCUCAUAAUUCUUAACCAUUUCAACACAUAUAUAGUACAAAAGUCUGAUCAAGACUUAUUUUUUAACUCCUUUCGGCCAACUUCUAUUAUCGAAUUAUAUUUACUAUCAUAUUGAUCUUUAAUAUUACAGUGAAAAAUUUAUCGGGAAUUUAUUGGGUACACUUUAACCUAAUGGAAGAUAUCUUAUCUGGGGGGACAAAAACCUGCUUGGUCCACUGGGCUUUGGCUUGUCGUUUUGACCAAACCACGAACCAAAAUGAUGUGUACCGCAAAAUUUUUCCACUCCGAGUUCUAGCCACCAUCCUCGUCACCAAAGAGAGUCAACCACAGAGGUUUGAAAAGUCAACGCUCCCCUUGAACUUACACGUGGGUGCCUCCUUUCACGUCGAGUCACACGAGAUGUAAAAUAUCUCUUCCCGUGUCCCUUGCUUUUGCAUCAUUGAUGACGAUCGAUAGAUCGCUGUUUACAAAUAUUCCAAGUAAUUAAUUAACUGUGUUAUUUUAACACUAAAAUAGAAUUUGGUGUAGUAAUUAAUUACUUUAGUUGAUAUCGAACCCUCUCUCCCGCAUCUAAACUAUUUAAUUUGCUUGGGUGCGACGUCAACUGAGCAUUUAAAUAUUACUACAUCGGUAAAAGACCAAGAAAUUUUGAAUUAGAAAGAUACAUUCACGCACGUUAAUGAAUGUUUCUAUAGAAUUUUUGUUUAUCAUGUGAGUAAUCUUUGUGAUGAGUAGUGGUGGUUAUUAAAUUGACAGUGAUAUGGGCUUCUAAUUAUGUCUUUGUAUAUUUUUGUGGCAUGCGUGUGUCAAUCUCAAAAGGCAUCCACUUGGCUAUAUUUAAUUUAUAAGGAUAAUAAUGUGCACUAAAUAACAUUCCCUAUUAGUUAAUUAACAAACAAGCCACAAUCAUCUUAUAUAAAUAUCAUAAUAAUAUGAGAUGUGUGUAUGUAUAGAGGGAGAGGGAGAGACAGAGAAUUUGUGGGGUGGCACAAGAAGACAAAGGGCGAAAUUCAAAGAGGGAAAUUAAUUGGGUGCUCCUUUGAGGAAGACCAAGGACAACCAAUACGUUCUAAAGGUCAAUCAUCUAUUCUAUGAUUUGUUAGAUGAUUUGUUCCUCUCUCUCUCUCUCUACAUAAACACAAUAAUCCUCCUUUUAAUUAACUCAUCAAGUAGUUCUCACUCCUCCACUUCUCAUGUAUGUGACAAGUGAAAUACAUCUCACCCUAAGAUGAAUGGGUGUAUAUCAUACACCCCAAAAAGGGUUACAUGUAUAGUAGUAUCACUCUUUUUUACAUAACAAAGUAAUUCUAGGACACUAGCUUAUUAAAUAGGAGUAUUACUUUGGGUACACUUUACAUGAUUUUCCAAAGUAUUGUUAAUUAGUUAUUAUCAUGCACACUACAACAAAAACGAUAUAUAGCGACACUUUUAAAUGUCAGUAUAGAUAAAAAAAAGUGUUGCUGACUAAAUUACCGAUAUUUUUUAAAAGUGUUGCUAUAUAUGGAGUCACUAUAUGUAAGACCACCUUGAUAUUUGACACCCACUCUUCCAGCGAUCUGUGGCGAAGGGACACGUAGCUAUCGCAGCCCUCUACGGUUCCUGCGAGAUCCUCGCGGCCGACUUCUAGCCGCAGAAACCCUAUCUCGUCGGGUUGAGUGGGCUGAGUGGGAUUGGUGUCCCAAAAAUAUGUCACUAUAAGCUAAUUCUAUUGUAGUGUACAUAUUAGAAAGUUAUUAUGUUUGUUUUUUAUUUUCCAAAAUAUUAUUUUUUAUAUAAUAUUUUGAUGUAAUGGAGGAAAGAUUUUCAUUUGAUAUUACUAACUCAUAAUGCAUCCACCUAAAAUAUAAUAGUUGAUGAUCCAUGUAUUUUCAAAAGUUUUAAAAACAAAAAAAAUUCUUUCUGCUUUUUAUUGUUAUUAUCAAAUAAGCAUUUUGAAUGAAGCGAUUGUAAUUAAUCCGCUGUCCACUUUUAUAUUUUUUAAUAUACAAAAUUUUGUUUAAAAAAAUAAAAAAAUAAAUAUUAUAGCAACGGAGGCCUAAUUUCUCAGGGUUAUACCCACAUAUAUAGUAUGGAAAAUUAAAAAGAUGAAUCAAUUAUUGUAUAGUAUUGAUUUUUGAGUAUCACUCGGUAAAUAAAUAAAGGUGGACAACUUUAGUCUUGGAGUGGACCACGAAUGAGCCGUUCUGUCUCAAAAAGCAUUAAAUCUCAGCCACAAAAUUGGUAGCAUUCUGAUGAAGAUGAUAGUGACAAUUAAUUAAAUAGUAAAAUCAAAAUAUAGUACCUAGUUACGGAUUAUGUGUCCAUAUAUGUAUAUUGGCAGAAAAAUUGUACAAAAAUCCUUUGAACUUCACCAUUUUUGCAAAAAAAUCUUCUAAACUUUUAAUUUUAACAAUUAAAUUUCUAAACUUUAUCAAAUAGUUUAACACUUUCCUCUCAUACAAGCAAACUUAUUAUUAACACUGCUAUUUCAGUGGUAUAUCUUGUAUAUAUAUAUUUAUAUAUUUAUGUUUUAAUUGUAAAGCUUCAAAGUGUGAAAAAAAAAAAAAUCUUCUAUACUAACGAGUAUAAAAAUAAAAAAAAAGAGUAAGAUUCUUAGAUAUGUUGCUAAUUAUACUUCAGUUAUGUUGCUUAAGAUUAUGAUAAUUAGAAGAGACUUUCGGUUUUGGUGUGGGUGGGGAUUUUAAAGUCUUACAAAAUUAUGCGGCGAUCUAAACAGCUAUUUAAUUAGUAACUUUGCUUAAGAAAAGCAGUUUAUUAAACUAUUUGAUAACGUGUCGAAUAUCUAAUUGUAAAUAAUAAAAAUUUAGAGAUCCAUAUUGAUAAAUGUUAAAGUUUUUGGUGGUCUAUGUACAAUUUUUACCAUAUUCAAAGUACCCAUCCGUGAUCAAUCAAAUAGAUUCUUGACAUAAGUGUGACAGUGGUAUCAAUAUACCUGACAAAGAGAGAUCUAACCAACCGUCUGUAAAAUACAUGGCAAAAAAUUUAAUGAUUGAUAUCUGAUGGAAGUUCAGUUGUUUCACAUUUUUAAUUAAAUUUGUUUGUAAAGAAAAAAAAAAAAAUCAACGGAUAGUAUUUUAUUUUUUUAAAUAAAAAGAGAGAUCUAGAGAUAGAGAGAGAGAGGGAGAGAGAUCUAGAGAGAGAUUUAGAGAGAGAGAGAGAGAGAGGAGGGUAGUUGUCGUUAUCUGGGCUUUGACCUGACGAGGUCGGAAAGGGGAGGGGAUUGGGCCAGGCCCAGGUGGGCGGCCGAAGCACGCGCGCACGCCGCGUGGGGCCCACGCUGUUGACCCCCUACGACAUGUCCCUCAUCAGCAUGACGUCAUGUUUUUUUUUUUUUUUACUCCAUUUGUUGGAGAAAAAUUGUAGCAUGUACUUGGGUUUCAUUAAUAAAAAAUAAAAAAAAACACGCGCGCGCGCACACACAAGAGAAUGGUGUAUUAAUUAAAGGAAAAACUUCAACAAUCCUCCUAUAAUUUUAUACUUUUUUAUUUUAGUAUCCUGUGGUUUAAGGUGUAUUAAGUUAGUAUCAUAUGGUUUCGCAUUUUCUCACUUUAGUAUCCUGUGGUUUAAAGUGUAUCAAGUUAGUAUCCUGCGAUUUUAUUUUUAUAUCAAAUUAGUAUCAUAUGGUUUUAUUUUUAUAUCAAGUUAGUACAAUGUGGUUUUUAAACUAUAGGGUACUAAAGUGAGAAAGUGCGAAAUCACAGGAUACUAAAAUGAGAAAGUGUAAAAUCACGGGGUACUAAAUUGAUACACUUUAAACCACAUGGUACUAAAGUGAAAAAGUGCAAAACCAUAGGGUACUAACUUGAUAUAUUUUAAACCACAUGGUACUAAAGUGAGAAAAAGUAAAACCACAAGUGUUUGGCGGGAUUGAAAUUUAGAACAUUUUUAUUUAAUGUCGUGUAAAAUAACUGAAUGCACUACAAAAAAAAUACUUAAUAUAAGAACACUUUUUAGACGACGCUUAGGAAAAGCGUCUCCAAGUUAUUUUACAAUAUAGAAAAUACCGACGCUUCAAAGAGCAUCGUCAUAUGAUAUCAAACAAUUUAUUAAAUGAUGUUUUACUAUUAUUUUUAAUUUUUAGACGCUUUAAAGCGUUAAGAUUUUAAAAAUUCUGACACUUUAAAGUAUCGGAAUAUAUUUUACUGACGCUUGGUAUAAGCGUUGAUAUAUGCGUAGCGACUUUUUAUUUGCCAACGCUUUAACUGAUGCUUUUAAAAGUGACAUUGGAAUAUAUUGGGACGCUUUUAAGCGCCGUAAAAUAUAAAAAGAACGUUCUUAAAUAUACGUUUUUUUUUUUGUAGUGAUGCAUAUAUACGUAAUAGUUUAAAUCGCCAAAAAAAUAGUAGUGUUUAAUAUUUUAUAUUCAACAAUUUUGUUAUCUUAUGGUUUGAAAACUUGCUCGUUUAUAUUCACUUACAUGAAAGUAGGUAAUUUGGAUUUAGUAACUCAGAGAAGAGAUUUAUGUAAUUAUAUAUACUCUUAAGUGAGGAGCCAAUUAAUGUAUGUAAUAUAAUUAUAAGCAUCGGAGGAGAACUUAACUAGAUCUAUUAGAUGCUAAGUGAGUAGUUUUAGAGUUUAUCAUAUAUAUAAUUCUAUAUAUAUUUACUAUUAUUUUUACUAGAUCCGUUAGAUUUAUCUCUUUUAUUAUUUUUAACCAUUCGAUUAUACUAUUCAACUAACCACCACUCAAUCCUAGGGAGCCCAUAUCAUCCUAACCACACAUCUUUUAAUCUAAGGGUAUAAAACUUAAUAGCACCAAGUCAUUAGUACUAUUAAUAGUAUUCCAGCCUAUAUAUAUAUAUAUAUAUAUAUAUAUAUAUUUAUAGAAUUAAGCUAUUAUCCUUUUAAAAAGACGAAGAUCUUCGUCCUUCUAAAUCGUUUUAGAUGAUAGGAAUUUCGAAUCAAUGAUCGAAAUCGUUAAAGUUAAUUUAGCGUAUUUAAAGUGUCUAAAAACUAAAUUUUAAAAAUUUUAAAAAUUAUUUACGUAGGGCUCAAAGAAUCACAAAAUCACCGUUUUUGACAGCCUGUAUAAACCGUUUGCCUGUUUAAUGGUGUAAAAUUAUCCAAACAGUUUUAAAUUUUUGAAAAAAAAAAUUUUAUACUAUUUAGAUAAUUUUUUAUAACUCCAAUCAUAAAUUGUAAAAGUCUAACAUCUAUUUUCACAAGAUUUUUUUUUUACCGUUCAUUUUUCAACUCUUCAAUGAACUUGAUAAUAAAUUUUAAAAUUUAUGAAAUUUAGUUUUUAGACGUACGUUAUAAAUACUCUAGAUCAAUUUUAACGGUUCCGAUCAUCGAUUUGAAAUCUCUAUCAUCUAAUAUAAUUUAGGAAGACGAAGUCAUCCGUCCUCCUAAACGGAUAGUAGCUGCGCUCUAUAUUUAUAUAUAGCAUGCAUAUAUAUAUUGAACCUAUAUAUAGAGCUUGCAUUUCCUUAGCCCUAGCCCUACAGGAUAAGUUAAAUGGAUGUUUAAAGGCACAGGGGACCAAUCCCAAAAUGACCAAUCAUGCACAAAUACUUAGUUUUUUUUUUUUUUUUUUGUGAAAAGUAUUGUUUGAAUAGAAUUAAUUGUCGAAAAAUUAUAAUUUGUAAUUUUUUUUUAAGAUUAAAGAUAAAACUUAGAAGUUUCUAUCUUCUUGAGUACUAGUGCUCUCUUUUUUUUUUUCUCAAAAAAAAAGAAAGAUGCAUUAAUUUAAUUUUACCAAACAUUAACAUUGGAAGGAAUUUCGCAUCCUUUUAGCUCCAUCAUUAACUUUACCGUAUAUACAUAGGUAACGCAUCAUCCUAUCUUUCACAUUAUUAGAAUAUUAAACAUCUAAUUAAAGUUCGUGUUUCGUCCAUGUUGUGGUUAUUUUAUAUAUGAUUGGUACUUGUCAUAACGAUGUUACAACUAAUUAACUUAAUUAAGGGUUAAAGAGUUGACCAAAUCACAAUUAGUGUUGUGACUUUUUUCCAAGUUGCUUUAACUAACAAACCUACUGUAUUAAGCGAUGAUUGCUAUGAUAUCUUAUAAUCACAGGAAUACGUACUCGACAAUAAUUGUUUAUUCAAUCCUUUUAAGUCCCUUUCCACACUAGCGGGCUAAGUUCAAGUUCCAGAACAGUUAAGUCAUUUUUUUUUUUUAUUUUUAAAAAAGUGGUCAGGAAUCUAUUAAAGAUGACUUACUAUCCAUUAAUUAGCACUAAACACUUGUUUCUUAGUUAAUUGUAUUACUUAAUAAUAUCCCAAACAUGUCAAUUUUUAUAUAUACAGUGAUAAUUAUACCAUGGUGAAACUAUAUUCCCUUUUUUUUUUUUUUCAUUCCUACCUCAUGGAAGAGCCAAAUUUUGGCAGCUGGUAAGUAAUAUAUAUAUUGACAUAAGACAUAAGUUAUAUGAAACAAAAAAAAAAAUUAGUAAUUGCAUGGGCUCACUAUUCACUCCCUGCUACUAUAUAUUCCCUGUCAUUACUNUCUCCCCUCGCCUCUCUCUCUCUCUCUCUCUCUCUCUCUCUCUCUCCCCUUUUAAAUUCUCAAAUGUGGCUUUUCUUUUUGUUUUUUUUUAUUGAUUUCUCUUGAGAUCUGUAUGCGAGAGAUCGUUCACCUAUAACUAUUGUUUUUUUUUUUUUUUUUUUUUUUGAGAGAUAGGUAGCAUGCUAUCCGUUUCGUUUAUUUCAUUUAGAAAUAAACUUAGCUGGAAAUGUGAAUCAACUAGCAUUCGAACUUGGGUCUCGAAUACCAACCACUAAGUCCUUUACCGCUUGCUCUAGAGACGGUUGGUGACCUACAACUAUUGUUAAUUUGGACUAGAUCUAGAGCAUAGGUACUGAAUGAGAGCCUUUUUAGAGGAUAAAAAGGAGACCUUCAAAAGCAUUCUUAGGAUGAAUCUUUAUAGGUAAACGAGAGCUAUAUAUUAAAAGCAUUCUUUGUAUACUAAGCAUUCUUUGUAUACUAAUUAACCAAGCUUAAUUUCUUUCGUAUAUUUUAUUUCUAAGUAAAUGCAUCCAUCCAUUAAUCAGAAAUAAAAACAUUAACGAAACAAAUAUAUGUAGGGCUGUAUCAUAGACAAAUAUGUAACAUACAUGUACAUUUAUAUAUAUUUGCAUACAUAUAUACUUACGUUCGUAUAUAAAUAUACACACCACCACAUGACAUGUAUAAAUGGCAUAUGUAUACAUGCAUGCAAGCAUGCAUGUUAGCUCAUAUAUAUAUGUACAACCCCAUACAGGUUGUGUUAACUGAUAAUGUUUUCAUUAGGGUAAUUUUCAGCUUUUCUCGGGAUCAAGCUGAAAAAUAUCAAAUCUCGUGAUCAAACUGAAAAAUAUGAAAAUGUUCUUUUCUAAUGCCAAAAUAUAAAAAAUUCAUGGCCAAUCAUUGAUCUUUGUAUACGAUGGGAAGCUUAAUGAAAAAAUUACCAUAAUACAUUUUCAAACAGUACUUACAUAGUACUUUCUAAUUUAAUUUUAGCUAUAGACUUAAUUUUAUAUAUAUAUAUAUAUAUAUAUAUAGAGAGAGAGAGAGAGAGAGAGAGAGAGAGAGAGAGAGAGUCCAGCUAUGGUGCUUGUAAAAGCACAAAACAUUUGAUGCUUGUAAGUUUUUUAUCGUUAGAUCUACUUCUCGAAUCAUUUUCAACCAUUAGAUUAUAUAUACUAUUCAACCAACCACCCACUCAACCCUAGGGGGCCCACAUCAUCCUAAUCUCAUAUCUCUUAAUCCAAUGGUUAAAAAUCUACAAGCACCAAUAACUUGGUAUUUUUAAAAGCAUAGGAGCUCAAUUAUGUAUAUAUAUAUAUCCAAAUCAAUUGAAUUUUUGUUAGAAAAUUGUUUAAACUAUUUAAAAUAAGAUCUAUACUCUUGAUCUUGAUUAUAAGACUCCUAUCAUCAUUUUUUAAAGAGUAUUCAUUUUCAGCCAUUCAUUUUUCUGUUCACUUGAUGGAUAAAAGAACAAUAUCGAAAGUGCGUGAAAUUUGAUUUCUAGAUAGUUUAAAUGGUUUAGAUCAUAUUUAACGGAGUCGAUCGUCAAUUUGGAAGCUCUAUCAUCGAAAACAAAUCGGUAGUAAAACAGCUCGUUUACUACCGAUAGUAUUCUAGCUCAACUCUAUAUAUAUAUAUAUAUAUAGUGUAGAGCUACUAUAUAUGGGAAGCAUAGAGCGUUUGAUGCUUCCGAUAUUUUGACCCUUGGAUUAAGAAUUAUACGUUUGGGAUGAUUGCGGUCCCUCCAGAAUUGAGUAGUACCUCUAAGGUUGAGUGGUCCCCACAGGGUAAUAGUAUUAAUCCAAAAGUUAAAAAUGAUUAAAGGGGCUGAUCUAACUCCCAAAAAAUCGGAAGCAUUAGAUUCUCUAUGCUUCCGAUAGUAUAGUAGCUCUACUAUAUAUAUAUAUAUAUAUAUAUAUAUAUAUAUAUAUAUAUAUAUAUUAUCAUAAUCAUGAUAUUUAUUGUCUAGGGAUGUUAACCCUAUACAAUACUAAUUAAUAUAGCUAUAUCUCUGAUAAAAAAACUAAUUAUAGUUGUUUGUAAGUGAAUGGACACACACACACACACACACACACUCACUCUCUCUCUCUCUCUCUCUCUCUCUCUCUCUCUCUCUACAUCUGUCCCAAAAGUGGAUGAGAGAAAAUUGCAGAAGAAGAUUGUUAAUGACCCCCAUGAAAUCAUAGUAAUUAUGAAAGGAAGGCCAUCAAGGAACUGAGUAAUCGACUUUAUACAGUAUAUAAAGUAAAGAAACUGCAUCAUGUCCCUUUGCAUCCAAGCAAUUAAACAAAUCCUAGCAUUAUUAUUAAUAAAACUGAAAAAGAACGAAAUAACAAAUCAAAGGAAAGAGGAAAGUUAAAAGAGACCAAAAUAUAACUGCUUUUCAGAAAAAUACAAGAACUUUUUAUUAACAUUUCCUUAACUUUUGAUUCUCCUAAUUUAUAUUAUUUAAUCAUCUUCAUUAAAGAUCUGGUUAAUCUAAUAAUUGUUCAAUAACUUUUUAGUUCCAUGAACUAUGGAUAUAUAUUUGUAAUUAAAUUUUAACAAAUUUCUAAUUUAAUUUACAAUCAUUUUAAAUUAAAAUAGUUAAAGUAUUAAAGAAUACCAAUAAAGCAAAAAUAAAAUUCAAGGGUCUAUAAGUCUAUUCCAUAUAUAAUUAACAUAGGGAAAAAAAAAAAAAAAACCAUGUCCAUUCACUUCCCCCCUCCACCCCUCCACACUCCAUAAGGUCAGCUCCCCAACAAGUCUACUUGUUUUCUACAAACAUCCAACCCUGGGGUUUCAUAUAAAAACCCGUUCUCUUCUUUCCCAAUCCUUUAAUUUUAUUCCAACCAAUAACCAAAGCAGUCACCAAUUAAUAAGCCAAGAGCAAUUUUGUUCAUUGUAAAAAAGAGAUAACAAGGGAAUAAAGAAGAGGAGAAGAACAUGGCAGAUGAUCUUGACGCAAGGAUAUGCAGAGGAGGGAGCUGGUGGUUCAAUCCCGGCCCGAGCAGCAGCGGCGGUGGUGGCGGCUUCGUCGACGCGCCAGGCUCCGUCUCGUGCUCAACAGCUAUCGCAGAUGCCCCCCGAGGAUCUGCUCUUCCUUCUGAUCAUGUCGGCUCGUCGUUCGCCGACUCCUUCUCCCUCUCCGCUCACUUCAUGGAUUGGGGGCAUGAUCAAUUGUAAGUCCCUCGAUCUCUCUUCUAUCAUCAAAUGAACACACACAUGUAUAUAUUAAUUUAUGCUUGAUUCAACUUAAUUGGUUGAUUUUGAUAUGUGCAGAAGAAGCAGUGGAAAAGCUGAGAACAGCUUCCAUGCCAUGCUCCAAGAAGAUAUGAGCACAAGGCCCUACAAUUUCCGGCAGGGUUCGAUCGAGCCCGAGCUCGAACCAAGCAUGAGCCAGAAUUUCCUACUAGAUCACCACCAACACCACCCGAGCUCGACCAACGAUCCCGCGCCCGACUGUAGUGUCAUCACUAGCUAUGCCCUAGCUCCGACGGCCUACGGUUGCCCGCCGGUCAUGCAUCUGCAAACCCUACUCGAAGCUGAUGCAAAGCCCCAGCAGUCGGUUUACUAUGACCAGCCCACCGAAACUCCGAUGGCCACGGCGUUCCACGGCACUAAUUGGCCAGUAUUGAAGGAUCAAGAAGGUAGUAGUAAUCCGCUGCACUUCUCCAAUAACACUCCCUUUUGGAAUGCAUCGGCGACCGCUGUCAACGAAGCCAAGUCCGGGUUCUACCCUAAUUCGGUGCCGUCGCAGUUCGUCAUGCCGGCGUUUGAGCCGAAACUGCCCAGCUGCAGUAAUUUCAUGGUGAAGGUAAAGCCUAUAUAUAUAUACUGCGGAUUAAGAUGCUACAUAUAGUUUGAGUUCUUGCUCAAUGAUUUUUUUUUUUUCCCUUUGGUUCUUAAUUGUUCAGUCAAAUCGAGAUGCAUCGAUGCCAAAGAAGAGCGGAAGCGAAACUGCAUUAAAAAAGCCCCGAGUGGAAGCUCCAUCCCCGUUACCGACCUUCAAAGUACUUCAUGAACUCAUUUACAAUUUAAUCCAUUUGAGUUCUAAUUUUGUUUUCUUUGUUUGGUUCUAACUCAUUUUAAGCAUUAAUCAUGGUAGAGUUAAUUUUGAUCUUCUCUAUAAUUUUAGGUGAGGAAGGAAAAAUUAGGGGACCGCAUUACUGCACUUCAACAGCUAGUCUCACCUUUUGGAAAGGUAACAUUUUUUUCUCUUUCUUCUUCUUCUUCUUCUUCUCUUUUAUUUUCCUUUUGCCACACUCUCCAUGAAAAAUCUCUUCUUAAAGCAUUAGCUACUAAUGUUAGUUCUUCAUCACUAAAUUGCGCGAUCUUCCAUUUUUACAGACCGACACAGCAUCGGUUCUACACGAAGCGAUCGAAUACAUUAAGUUCCUCCACAAUCAAGUCGGGGUAAGCAUCUUCGAUCUCUUUUCCCUAGCUAGAUUCUUGUCAUAAAUUUUCAAUUCACACUAAAUGUCGCAUAUAAAUGAUUAGAGUACGUACCCUUCUCACGAGUCUUUUUCAGUUUAACCAACUAACUAGAGAACGGAUCAGUGUUAAUCAUUUAUCCUGAAUACCAAUUAUUUAAUGGUCUCCUGGUUAUAAAUUAACACAUGUUCUUGAUCCUCAGCUCCUAAGCACACCAUAUUUGAAGAAUGGGCAACCCAUGCAACAACAACAGGUAUCAUACACGCAAGUUCUCAAAUCAUCUUUAAAAAUUAAAUAGAGAAACUUUUUACAUGCGUCAUUCAUUAAUGUUUUUUAUUUGCUUAUUAACUCAGAGCGCGGAGAAGUCUAAAGAAGGCGAUGAAUCGAAGAAGGACCUCCGGAGCCGAGGAUUGUGUCUUGUUCCAGUCCCGAGCACUUAUCCGAUGGCGAGCGAGGCCACGGUCGAGUUCUGGCACCCUACCUUUGGAGGAACAUUCAGGUAGAAGAGAGUUAGGAUAAUUUGCGCCUUUUUUUUUCUUUUCUUUUUUUUCUCCAGUUAAGACUGAGAGGUACUAAUUUAUUAAUGUAUCUUCAUAGCCAUUAUUGUUGAAGCUAAAGCAAGGUAGGAAUGAUAGGUUAGGAGGAAAGAGAAAUAUAAAAGAAGUUAACAACAGUGUAAGUGAUUAACCCAGCUGAAGAAAAAGAAAGGGAGAUGAUCAAUCCUUCAAAGACAGGCUAUGUUGGGGCAGCUACAAGGGGGAAUAUAUCAAUAUCUAUAUCUAUAUCUAUAUCUAUAUAUAUAUAUAGAUACAUGCAUGAUGUACUGAGGUGGCCAUGGAGAAUUAAUAGAACUUUAGAUGGAAUUAUUUAUUAUUAGUACCAUGAUUGCACUAGUAGUGUAGUAACUAUUGUUAAGAGGUGGUGGUGGUGGUGGUUUAAUUUAGGGAAUGGGAACAGGUGCUAAAUUUGGCAUUAAAAUUAUGGCUUAGUUUAGGGUUGGGGAACUGUGAUUACAUGUGUGCUGAAUUUAGCAAAGGGAAUGGGAAUGGGGGGGAGGUAUAAGGGAGAAAAAGAAGGUGGGUCUUGUUCCUGUUUGAUGUAUGCGUGUACAAGGGCUCACUCCACCACCUCUUCUUGUUUCCUUCUUUGUUUUGUCAAGAAGCAUAAUAAUAAGGAAUAAUUGCAUUGAGGACAAGGGCAAGUGUGUGCCCUUUUUAAUUUUCAGGGGGAUCUUAAUUACUUUCUGAUUUUUUUUUUUUUUUUUAUUUUUUAUUUUGUGUGUGUGUGUGUGUGUGUGUGUGUUCUGGAGAAGAUAGUGGAAGUCAGAGGGUGGCCCACUGGAAAGCCAUGCCUCUCUCUCUCUCUCACCUCCUGUGCUGUAUACUAUAUAUCAUAUAUGAUAGUUAGUUAAUUCGAAUUCGGCAAAAAUUCGGUACAGAUAUAAUAUGUAUAAAAUUUAUUUAUUAAUUUUUAAAUUUAUUGAAAAUUUUGGCUUAAAAAACAGAUUCAGUAUAAAGUAUAAAAUAUAAGAUAUUCUAUAUUUAAAUAUAAAAAUUAUAAGUUUUUUAUUCAGAUUUUCAAUAAUUCGGAAAUAAUUCGCAAAUUAUUUCGCUAGCCAAAAAAUUUGUGAAUAAUUCAUUUUCUUUGAAAAAAAUUCGUAAACGGACUCUUUAAUUCGGAUUUUCAAUAAUUCGCGAAUUAACUAACAAAGCUAUAUAUAUAUGCCAAAGUUUUUUUCUUUUUUUUUUCUAAAAAAAUAAUAGAAACUGAUAUUGUGAAAAUAAUGUCUACUAUUCUCAGUGCACAUAUAUAUCUAUAUUAUAUCUAAUCAUGUUUUAAAUCUUUUUAAUCUGAGAAGAAUAAAUAUCGCUUUGGCAAUAUCAGGUUCCUUCGGAAUACUGGGGAUCGACUUUUUUUUUUAUUUUUAUUUUUUUUAUCUUGAGCAGGAUGGAGAGGAAAAGCUCUCAUGCUUCUAGCAUGCGAGAUAUAUAAUCACAUUCCAUAUUGGAAGAAUUUUUCUGCUAGAAAAAUAUUCCAAACCAGGCUUUUAGUAGGAUAAUCACAUUCUAUUGCAUUGAUGGGAAUAAUUGUCACAGAGCACAGUAGAAAUUCUUUUUGAAUAAUAUUUUUAGUGUGCUAAAUUAAGAUAUUCGCAAGGAAUUUUUUAUGCAGCAGAAUUGGAAGUACCAUAUUGAAGCUUUCGAUUUUGAGCACAAAUUCCUUUUUCUUUCUUUUGCUACAAUGAAAUAUACAUAUAUAUAUAUAUAUACACACACACACAUACACUACAAUUUGUUACUACUGAAAACAUAAAUAGAAAUAGCACUAAAUAAAUAUAUAGGCCCUCAUUUGAAACAAUAGUUACAUGUUGAAAUUCUGCAAAUUAAGAUGGAUAACAUUGAGACAAUUAACCAUAAAAAUGAACAUUAUGAAUAGUAAUGCUUAACCCAUCCUACAAGAUAUCUCAACAAAUAUGAAUUCGUAUUGAACAUAUGGCGACUAGUUAGCAUUUUUUUUUUCCUAGCAUGAGGCCUAAGUAAAGGAACAUAAUUAAAACUAUAUAAAUCUUUAUCAUAUAUAUCAAACUAACUUGUCAAUAAUAUUUGGAUAUGUUUGGGGAUGUAUGAAGCACUAAUAAGUCUAGAGGGGAAUAAUGGUUGGUAUAUAUAGUGAUGAUACCAGAUGUUAAAGCAUUUUAAAUUUCUUUUACUCUCUACUACUGCAUUUGUACGUAAAAGGUGAAUGGCUUGGUGAACAUCAAUGAACAAUAUAAAUUUCAGUGAUAAAAUUUUAGUCGUUAAUUAAUAAUGUACAAGAAUUACAUUGUAAAUGUAUAUUGAUUUGAUCUGCUACACUUAGGAUACAUUUAUACUAUUAUUUGAUGGGCCUAAUUUGCACCAAGUCAAGCAUUGGAUCGAUGCGAUAUCGGAAUGUUGAUUUGUCUUCGUGUAGCUGCCGCAGAUCAAAAAAGGCUCUUUAAUUUAUUUCCAACUCUUCGAUCAAUUUUGAUGUGAGAAAAGUGGACUGGAGACAAAAAUUAAGCAAGCUAAAAUGUACACUUAUAUAUAUAUUUCCUAUAUUAUUCUGAUAUUGCAACUCAGUCACUGGGUAUUUAACGCGCGCAUGCAGAGGUACAUGCAUAGCAUUGCGUUGUGUACUACAUAUACUUAGCCCCAUGAAGCAGUUUGCAUGAUCUUGCUUCUUCCUGCAGUUCUCCUUGCGGAAGCAUCUCUAUAUAUAUAUGCUUUCGCAAAACGCUUUUCUUGACCAUUACAUAGUGCGUCACAUCGCUCGCACAGCCGUGCUGCGAUACCGACCUGAUCCUUAAGCACUUCUAUCUUAGAUAUAUUGCAAUUCGACGCAAAGAACUGAACAAAACUAAACUGCAACUAUUCCAGCUCAAAAUUACUCCAAAUUUAUAAGCUUUGGAAUUUUAAGUACAUAUUUGGCUAUCAAGGCCUGUAAAUGUGAAAGCGCAAAAGCUAAACUAGGCAUACUGGGCCAGGCCCACCGGUCUCCAGAAAACGUUGUACCAUAUAUGGAUCGUAACUCUGCCCCAACAACCUAAGAAGGCCUAUUGGGCCAGGCCCAUUGGUCGACCUCCAUAGUUACAAGUUGGGCUUUAGUUACGUGAACAUUUCAGUAUCCAACAAAAUUUCAGUAAAUAGAAAAACAAAAAGGGGGUUGUUCCACAAUUAGGAAAACCAUAAAUAUAUAUACAGUAUAAAAAUACAUAAAAUUGAAAAUCCAUUUGUGAUUAUCUUAUAGGCAUUUCAUUGUUUAGAGCAAAAGAAGCUAAAAAAAAAAAAAGAAAACGAAAAGGAGCUCCUCUAAAGAUGAAUAAAAAGUGGGAGAACAUUGCGAGGAAUAACUUGUCUCACAAUAUUCUUGUUGAAUUAGGGAGUUAAAUAAAAGAGAAAGUUCUUACACGCCAGUAGUUUGAUUUUAUCUGAAUUUCUUGAAGCAUAUAAAAAGAAGUUCGAUUAAACAAAGUUGAAAACUGCGGCACAAAAAUGACACAAAACCAGAAAUCAAAGGCUAAGUCGAGGUUAGCUGUCAAUCGAAUCAAGAAUCUGUUUUUCGAAAGCGAUUUCGACAGAGAAGGAUAAAAAAAGAAGAGGAAAAGUCAAAAUUUUGGUUCAUGCGGAAGGCAGAUCAAUAAAAGAGAUCUGAGAAAAUCCGAACAAGUUUAAAGCAUACUACAAAGAUAAGCAAUUUAGAUAAUAAAUACUAAAAUGGAGUUAAAAUCUCAUUUUCAAGUGAUAAGUUGGUUAGAACUUCAAUUCAAAAGGAUGAGAUCAUAAUGUAGUGAUUGAUAAUGACAGUAAGCUAAGCAAACAUGUGACACCAAAUAUCAGUCAUUUUCAUAUAUAUCAACUAACAAAUAACAGUUUCAUAUGAGAAAAAUGAAAAAAAAAUAUAUAUAUAUAUAUAAAAAAGAGACAUACAUGUAACUUUGACAACAUUAACAUACAAACCACCCUUACAUAAUCAACCAAUGUGCUAAGAAAACACAUAAAUAUCAAAUCAUACUAAUAAGAAGAUCGAUGAAAACCCAUAAUUUAUUAUAACACAAUGGGGAAUCAAAGGCAUAUAGAAAUGCGAAUGAGUUUAGGCUGAUCCUUUGAGCUUCUUUGCGAUGGAUGCAAAGUACUUGCCCUGAUGAAAGGCUUGUUCGAGUUCGAGCUCAGAUGGUAGCCUCGAACCGUCUCCAGCAAAAGUACCGGAACCGUAGGGGCUACCUCCUUUUAUUUUCUCCAUCUCGAACAUGCCAGCCCCGAAAGUGUAGCCGAUAGGCACAAAGAUCAUUCCGUGGUGGGCCAGUUGAGUAAUGGCUGUCAACCUGAAUGAAAAUAGAAAGACGCGUGUGUGGUGAAUAAAGAACGAAAAGAGAAAGACGCGUGUGUGGUGAAUAAAGAUCAAUGUUGUUAAUCAUUUUCAUAUUAGGUUAAGACCCACUAUCUACUCAGAUUGAUCUGUGAAUAUCAAAGAUAGUAUGACUUCAAACAGCAGUACUGCUUUUACAUCAUUCUAACAUAGAUAAACGGACUGAUUAAGUACGGAGUUUCUCCUCAAAAAAAAAGAAAAGAAAAUUGAGAACAGGUUUGAGCAAUAUUUUGAUUACAUCCUAAGAGAUGCAAUUAAAACUUAUAUUUCUUUUGCAUCCCAUAUUUUCAUUUUCAGGUUUAGCAGUUUAAUCCUGAAUUUGCUCCCCAGUAACAAUGAUGUCCUUCAAUUUCAAUUUUUUGUUGAAUUUUUGGACCACGUAGAGGCCUUGUAGAAUAUCUUGAUCACUCUUUGUCACAAGCUACAACAACUCCCUAGUGAACACGUCAGCAUCAUCAUUGGAAUGCACUAACAUGGCACUUUUCAGUGUCUUAGUAUGAACAGUAAUGGUGACAGGGCAUUUGUUUAGAUGGUAGAUUAAUGGAAGCACAUGCUAAACUCUAGGAACUAAAUUGUCUAAACAGGAAAUCCAAGGAUGGAACUGUAACUUGGGUCGAACUUUACCGACUAAAUUUGAAAGUCUAAUGCAACAAGAGACUUACGGGGUAGUCUCUUGACCGCCGCCUUGUGAACCAGUGCUGUAGAAGAGACCAGCGGGCUUGCCUGCGAGCUGCUGCAUUCUCCAGAGGCCACCAGUCGCAUCGAGGAAUGCUUUGAAUUGGGCGGCCAUCAUACCAAACCUCGUAGGGAACCCGAAGAGGAUUCCGUCAGCUUCAGCUAGUUCAUUGGGCGUGAUAAUGGGGAUGUCGCUUUUAGGAGGAGCACUCAUCUUCGCAAGCACUUCUUCCGGGAGUGUCUCAGGUACCUGUUCAUUCAAAAGUUAAACAUUCUAAUAAAGAUUAGGUCAAAAUACACACAAUAGCUCAAUUCGAAAUGGAUCUUUCAACAAUAAAAGUUUCAUUUUUGCUACCUAACCUUACAGUUAUUUUUCUUCAUUUCUGUGUGUUAAAAAUUAUUGUUAUUUCAAGCUUUUUACGUGGAAUAUUUUGUAGCCUGAUAGAAUAUUCGGUUAAUUGAUGGUAUACGCUAUUUUUUAUUUGGCAAAACACUCAGUUCAAAGUUCAAACAGAAAUGGACAACAUAUCAUACAAUUUUUUUGAUGGAAACGCAAGUUUAAAAAAAGAAACAAACAUAAAAGUAAGGCUAUUGAAAAUGUUGUACGGCUUAACUAUGAUGUGGUAGGUUGGAUUCGAGGUUCUUGGAUUCAAGGUUCUUCGUUUGUUUGUUUGUUGUGUAGAAACAAGCUCCAAUAAGAUGCUUGUAGAUGUAGACCAACUACCAAACAAGCGGUCAUAAACAGGUUGAUUUAAUAUAAAAGUAGGUCAGGUUAAUAUAGAACUAUAGCCAAUUAGUCAUCAUUAUAAUAGAUUUAUAGCCCGACAAUAAUCUUCCCCUUGUCUAUACCUAACUCAACAUGCUGAUGUACUAUCUGGCAAAAUAAUGAUUAGGGGCUUUUACAUAUAUCCCCCUGUCAAACUAGAAGUUCAUAUAUGCCCCUCAAACUUCAGUCGUCUUUUCUCUUUUCCCCCUUAAAAAAAAAAAAAAUUUCUACCUUGCUUUUGAAGUCAUCCAUUUCGUGCGAAGAGUUGAUUUUAUUUAAAAAAAAGAAAAAGAAAAAGAAGAGUAAUUUGUACGCACAAGUGUAUACAUGAAUAAUAUAACAUUCACUGAAUAGCAUAUAUCAAAAUUUAGAUUUUGGAGGAAUAUCCAUAUAAAUGUUAAUUGUGCACUGAGUAUAUAUGUCAGUGUAUAAUAAAGAUAAAUAGAGGACAUCAAUGAGAAUCUGUAAGAAAAUCAAUACGAAGGCGCAAUAUGAAGAGCGAAGAUGAUGGACCUGCCACAGCUUUGCUUCGACUCCUUCAACAGACGAGGCACCUUUUUUAAUCUCUUCAGCUAGUUUCUCGACAUGUCCAUACAUAGAGUAGUACCUAUAGAAGCAUUAUAAAAUUAACUUUUGUCCUUUCCCUAAUGGAAAAAUUUUACGGGUAACAACUAUGUUUAGCAUAUGGCAAGCAAGGUAACCAUUUCACACUACGUCACGGUGGCUGUUUUUUUAUUUGUUUCCUUCAGAUCAUGCAUCUCAAUGAUGGAAGAUCAAAUAAUAUAAGGUAUAAACAACAUGGGCGGCAGCAGCAGACAUAGUAUAUAAAAAAAAAUCUCGCAUUUUAAAAAACAUAUUAUGAACUAAACAUCGUAUAUUUAAGCCCUGAGAAAAUCAUUAACAAGUAAAGUCAAAUGCAAUUAAUUGAAUACUCCCACACUACCCUAUUAUUACAAGUUAAAGCUACGCUAGCAUUGUGGGUCCAAUUAUCAUCAAUCAAAUUCAUUGAGAAAGCGAGCAUGCACUGUACAAUUAUUGCGGUAGAUACUAAAAGAUAAGAGCAAGUAAACAUGAAUUUCGCUGAUAGUUGAAGAACAAAAUAACCAUUCAUGUGAUGCAAAAUACGGUCAAAAUUGGAUUUUAUAUAUAUAUAUAUAUAUAAAAGGUUUGAACAGAUUACAAAGUUGUAGAUAUUUAUUGAUCUAUAAUACUGGUGAAAGAGAUUGGUAGCAUUGGAAAAUUCUGGUAGGAAAUCGACAUCAAACCAAUAAAGACAUGCAUAAUAUCACAUAAGAGCAAUUCACACAAUGGCAUUAAGGAAAGGCAUUUGUCAGAGGGAAAUGGUGAAGAUGCCCCCACCACAAGUCAGAAACAAUCCAGAAGCACAAACCAUUAGUUAGGAGCACAAACCUACCAUGGUGAUGGGGACAUUGGGCACCAAAUAACACCCCUAAAUUCAAUUGCAACCAAACAGGCAAAUCACACAAAGAUAAAGUUAAAAGAUUCCAACUUUUUUCGCUUCUCCUUUUUAUGUUCAAUUUCCAAUUUAAUAUUUCACCACUUUUUUUCCUUUUUUUUGAUGAAGUAAGCUGUAAUUUCACACUAGUGGAGUCCAGUUUGCUGUUUCAGCACAAUGGGUUGACACUGUAACUUAUAUAUAUAAAAAAAAAAAUUCCAACAUAAAUUACAUAUAGAUCGCAAAAAAAAGGAAAAAAAAAACCCACCCGAUAAUAUUAAUAUAGUGAAUCAAAAUUAUGAAUUGAUCUGAUAGACAAAAACCUUAAACUGACAAAAACACUAAAAAGAUUCAAACGUUCAAAAAAAAAUUGCCCUCUUUGAAUCAAACUAACCUAGAAUUCGAAAUCAAUACUAAUCCUAAAUCCAAACCGAAACUUCGCCUUACUCCCGUGCGCCAAUUGAUCAAACCCUAACCAAAAUUCUCUAAUUUGACAAAAUCAUAGCAACAAAAUCCCACAAAACCAAUCGAAGCCAAAGAGAUCGAGAGAGAGCAAAACAAGAGAUUUACAGAGAUGGUAUAACAAACACUACACAAUAUAGAUUUUGCGGCCAUUAAUGGUGCUUUGGUGCGUCGAUCGCCCUAAUUGGAUUCGAGAUUGCGAGAGGGAAGAGCGUAAAAGAAGCUCCUUUAUUUGCGUUUCCUUUUCGAGGAAAAUGGAAGUUGUGAAUUUAUAGAGAGAAAAGGAGAGCACAGAACGCGUCCGAAGAAUGCUCUGAAAAAAGCGCUUCUACAAAAGCCAUCGUUUUUGCUCCUAAAUUGAGAUUAUGGUUUAAUUAUAGUUUAGUGAUAGAUGAUGAAUAGUAUAUGAUCGAUGAUAUGAUAAUAUAUAUAUAAUAUAAUAUAUAUAUAUAUAUAAAAUAAAAUAAUUUGCUUGAUCAUUAGUUUUUGGUGUUGAUAUAAAAAGUAUUAAAUUAAAACGUCUGAUUUAAGAGUUAGGACUCAAAACUCUUAUUUUAGACCUUUUUUUUUCAUUUUUCAAAGCAAUUUCUUAAAGAUAAUUAAUAGAAUCAAUAAAAAAAUAGAAAUUACAAUAUUCAUCUUCUAAUCUAAGAAUGGAGUGUGACAAUUAAUUCAGAGUAAAAUAAUAAUCAAUUAUGCAUCACUGAUAACAUCCAGAAAUUAUAAUAUUAAUGAUCGUCUCCAUAAUGAAUUAUUACCUUAAUUUUUUUUUCUCUUCCUUUUUAACAAUCUAAAUAUUAUCGUUUAUGUUCCUGUCUCCAGUUUUUCAAUUUGAAAUUCAAAUAAAAAAACAUUCAAAAUCUAAUUCAUUUAAAUUAAAAAAUGAACUAACAAAUAAAAACAUUAUUUUUAUUUAAAUUUUAAAUAAAAAUGUAUAUUUUGAUUUUAGUUACGAACCAAAUAGGGAGUUCACAUGUACCUCUAACAAACCUACUAAUAAUAAUAACAAUAAUAAUGAUUAAUAAAUAAUAAUAUAGCCGUUACUACACCGAAGACUUUUUCCACCUACCAAGUUUAAACAGUUACGAACUGGUGCUUAUCUGGACCGUUGAUUUUGGAUAAGAUCACGGACGGGAAUCACGAGGCGCCGUGUGGAGGAGCAACACGGCUUGUGAUUGGUCUCGUGAGGCGAAUUUAUGGACCGUAGGAUGGCCACGAUCAACAUUCACCAGCCGUUGAAUUCAGCGCCGCGGGUUCCCACGCGUUUUACGGGAAAAAUGCGGUUCUCUUGACCGACCAAUCACAGACCGCCACGUGGCACGAGAGGGAAUUAAUUACGGUUUUGACACUCGCUAGCCACGUGUACGUUACCGAAGCAUGACGGAGAGGUGAAUUUUUUACUUUUACAUUUUGCUUUUAUUGGAAUAUAGGUCAAUUUGUAUAAAAAAUUUACUUAUUUUGAGCUUUCAUAAAAUCGGGCUAUCUUUCUUAUUUUUACAGAUUCGGUCUAUUUUUUCAGCAAACUGACCAAAAUACCUUUAUUAUUUUUUCUCUUUCCUCUUUCUCUCUUUUUCGUUUCUCUCGUUCUUUCUUUUUUCUCGCCGGCAGAGCGGAGGCGGAGCGGAGGCGGAAACGGUUCGUCUCGCCUCUCACCCUCAUGCUCUCGCCCUCGCCCUCGCCCUCGUCCAUGCACCCCCCACAUUCCUCACCUCCGACCCCGGCAAGGCCGUGCCACGACUUUUUUUUUUUGCUUUUUUCUUUUCUUUUCUUCUCCGACUCUUCUCCAUCGUCUCCGACGACGACGCCUCUCUCGCCCUUCUCCACCCUUCUCAUCUUUCCCUCUUCCUCAUUUUCUGCCGCCUCCGACGACGAUUUAUCUUCGCCGGCGCUGACGUCGACACCGUAGAGGUCUCUGCGGCGCUACAGCCUCCGACGACGAUUUAUCAUCUUGUUACACUAUUUCUCCUCUUAUUUACACAGAAAUAAUGCAAAUAUCUCUUAAAAGGGUGCAGUUUUUUUUCUUAUUGCACUGUUUCUCCUCUUGUUGCACUAUUUCUCCUAUUGUUUACACAGAAAUGGUACAACAAGAGGAGAAACAGUGCAACAAGAGAAGAAACAGUAGAUAUAUCUCCUAAAACAGUGCAGUUUCUCCUCUUGUUGCACUAUUUCUUCUCUUGUUUACACAGAAAUGGUGCAAUAAAAGGAGAAACAGUAUAUAUCUCUUAAAACAGUGCAGUUUCUUCUCUUGUUGCACUGUUUCUCCUCUUGUUGCACUAUUUCUCCUCUUGUUUACGCAGAAAUGGUGCAACAAGAGGAGAAACAGUGCAACAAGAGGAGAAACAGUAUAAAUAUCUCUUAAAAGGGUGCAGUUUAAGAUAAAAAAUAGUGUAACAAGAGGAGAAAUGGUGCAACAAGAGGAAAACAGUGCAACUUUCGUUUAAAGAGUAUAAUUUUCAUUUUAAUGAAUGCAGUUUACAUCUGAAAAAGUACAAUAAGAAUAGAAACAGUGUAAAUAUUACCCAAAAGGUGUAAUUUUCGUUCAAAGAGUAUAAUUUUCAUCUUAAAGCAGCAGUUUACAUCUUAAGUAGUGUAAUUUAUAAUUUUUUUGUAAUUAACGAUACAAUUUCAUCUUCAUCCUUCUUUUUAUAUAAUUUUUUAACAUUAUUUUUUAUUCUGUUUUUUCUAUAAUUUUUUUUUGUCACCCUAUCUGCCAACAGCCAUGGUGCCGGCGACGACGCCGCUAAGGACCCCCGCUCCGAGCCUGUAGCGCCGCAGUGACCUCCAUAGUGUCGACGUCGGCGCCGGCGAAGUUGCAUCGUCGUCGGAGGCGGCAGAGAAUGAGGGAGAGGGAGAGAUGAGAAGGGCGGGAAAGGACGAGAGAUGCGUCGUCGUCGGAGACGGUGGAGAAGAGUCGGAGAAUAAAAGAAAAGAAAAAAGCAAAAAAAAAAAANGCUCCGCUCCAGCACGGCGCGGGCAGCGUCCAUGGAAAAGAAAGAAAAGAACGAGAAAAAAAAAAAAAAGGAGAGAGAAAGAGGAAAGAGAAAAAGUAAAAAGGGUAUUUUGGUUAGUUUGCUGAAAAAGCGGACCGAAUCUGCAAAAACGAAAAAGAUGGCCCGAUUUUGCAAAAGCCCAAAAUAAGUAGAUUUUUUAUGCAAAUUGGCCUUCGAAUAUAUGUUGAUAAAUAAAAAUUUUUACUAUUUUUUUUUUUAAGGAAAUUACGAAUAACAUUAUAAGGUGUAAAAUCAUUAAAUACUCUAGUUUAGUGUUUCUAAAUUUAUUAUUAUAAUCAUAAAACAAUGAAGUUGAAGGAAUUUAGUAUAAUGGUUUUUUUCAUUAGUACUAUUUAAAUAAUACUUUAUUCAAUUUUUUUUUUUUUAAGAGAUAGAUAGCACGCUACCCGCUUCGUUUAUUUUAUUUAGAAAUAAACUUAGCUAGAAAUGUGAAUCAACUAGGAUUCGAACUUGGGUCUCGAAUACCAACCAUCAAACCAUUUGCCACUUGCUCUAGGGACGUUCGGUUAUUUUAUUCAAUAAUAUUACAUUGUAUAAAUUCUUAAGAACGAUUAUUAACUCCAAUAAUUAACACGUGUAUAUAGGCAUAUAUUUCUUGCGAAAAAAAAAUGCAAAAUUAAUUGUUGAUUGGUUUUACUUAUGGGUAAAAGAAUUUUAAAAGAUAUUGUGUUUUAAAACGUAGUAUGUUACAUACGUCGAAUUCUAUAGGAUGGAUUACACUAUAUCUAUGACCUAUAUACUAGAUCUUACAAAGUAUUUUUACUUUGGUCUCUACACUUGCUUUGUUUAUUGCGGAAAGGGCUUAAGCUUUUAAACCAUUUCAGUAUCUCUCAUCAUUUGUUCCCACCAUGCUAGUUAAGAGGAUGAAAAUUGAUUAUGUCACAUGAUCAUAUAUAUAAUAUAUAUAUAUCAAGUUGUUGCUCCUAAGCUGUAAAUAACCAGAGAAUUUUUGAGAUUUUAUAGAUGUUUUCUAGCUAAGAAUUGGUACAUUUUGUUAAUAAAAUAUCUCACAAUGCUUAAAAAGGCCAAACAUAGAGGAUUAUAUACAACACUAAUAUGCCAAGUUAUCUUUAAUAAGUGUUGAAACAGCCGUGGGUUUCUCUCCAAACCUAGGAUUAGGAAGGGCUAUUUAUAGGCUAUAUAUGACUAUCGCAAAGGGUUCAUGGAAAUCAAAGUUUGCUUGGUAUGAACCCACUUUGCAUGGAACCUUUUUCCCUGUACUUUUUUUGAGCAUGGGGACCUCCAAAAGUUAGGUGCAAUUGCCCCAUAGUUUUAUUUCUGUAAUUAAUAUAUUAAUAUUGUAUUCAUGUUUUACAAGAUCUAGUAUAGUUGAUAGAGUUAGUAGAAUCAAGUAUAUAUUGAUAGUAACAGUUGUUCUGUUAACAUUAUAAGUUUUUGUCUAAUGAAAUAUAGGUACUUGUCAAACUAGGCAUAACAUCGAAAGAAAGAAACAAAAAAGUAAAAAAUAAGAGAUCAAAAUAUCUAUGUAGUUUAAUUUUACAUGAGAUUUGGAUUACUCAUAUUUAGUUAGUUGUACUAGAACAAUUAUCUGAUAAAGUAACUUUAGGAGAACGAUGGUCAUUUCACAUUAGAUCAAAAGAUCCGCAAUGUAUAUGUAAACAUCGCCAAAAAUUCGCAUAUCAGAAAAAUCAAAAACAAAAUGAAACAAAAUCUCAAGAAAAAGAGAAAAAUAAUAAUAACAAAUUUACAAGAUCCUAGAUGUUAGUUAGAGGGUGUCUAUUAAAUAAUUUGUGAUUCCUUUGUGCAAUGCGACAAGAGGGUUGAACGGGUCAAGCACGGACAUAGAGCUUUUGUUGACCACCAAAAAGAGAAAGGGGACCAACCACCACCAAAUGGAAGAGGGGAUUUUUGAGUAUCCACCUAUGCCAAUAGGAUAAAAAUUGUUGCAAUAUUUUCCUAAUAAAACAAACAGGUUAAUAGUAAGUUUUAGCAUGUUUCCACUCUGGUUAAUUAAUUUAUACUCCAAAGUAUAAACUGCCGCGUGGAUAGGAUGUUGGCUUAUCUGCCAACAAGUUCAAUGAGAUUCGUUGCAUGGUUUGAUACCACUCAUAAAUUGUUGGUUCUAAUUGUAUUUUUAAAAGCUCGACCUACAAGAAAGGGACAACUAAUUCGUUUAAACUGUAUAGAUACAAUAUAUGUCUAUGGAUCUUGAUUGUAAGUUGAUCCAUUCUGACCUUCGUCGUGUGGGUGUAGAAUUGUGGCCUAGCUAGCUACAUGUCAACACCUAUUCGGCUCAAUUUCAAUAUUAACAUAUCUCCAUAGAUACAAGUUGUAGUAUUAAAAACAUAAAAUCUAAAUAAGUUGUUGAGUCAUAAAAAUAAAAAUUCGGAUUUAAAAUUCUACUUCUAACUCCAGUAAAAAAUAUUUAAGGGACUUUGAAAAGAAUUUAUGACUUGAUAAGAAAUUUUUGCACUCAUGCCGCUUAAUUAUUAAACUAAAGAUGUAAGAGAAAUGUGAUUAGAUUCAACUAAUUAAUGGGAUAUCUAGUCACAUAUGUUUUUUUUCUUCUUAAGAGAACCAGGUAUCAUCUUCUCAUUCUGGUCCUCUGGUCCUUCCAUUUCGACCUUUUUAAUUAGGGCCAUUUCUAAAAAGGGUGCACUACCACUGUUGCUUGUAAUGUUGCCAAUGGACCGCUCAAACACUUCUAACUCGAUCCAAAUUCGAUCAGACUUAUUAUAUUUAUGCAUAGAAAAUAUCUAACUUUUUGAGUUCAGACUCGAAUUCAAUGAAACUAAUCUGAACCCGCGUACGAUAAAACCGACCGGAUCGAAUGCAACACAUUGAAAAAGGGAAUGGCUUGUGCUUGAAGGAUGUUUCCUGCGCAAUCAUGUCCAAUGCAUGUUAAAUGGCGAGGCUUUCUGAUAACAACACUCUAUGGCUUCUCUUUACAUUGCUUAGCUUUUAGGAGCAUCAAUCAUGGAAAUUAAAAGCUAACACAUGCACAUACAGUGCAUCAUGCACGAUCAAAAUGCUUUUCCAAUGAAGCUUCGAGAGGUAACAAGUCCAAUUUGUAGUUCCUUUCAUGGCCAGCUCACUCGACACUCACUUCAUCUUCUUCUGCAAGUUCUUAGAUACAAAUCAAGAACAAAAAAAAAAAAUAAAAAAAUUAAAAAAAUCCCUCACUUCUUUUGUUAUUUCCUUUUCUUUUAUUUUCUUUCUCAAACUUCACUUUCAAGAAAGAUUGAUUUAAUAAAGUUCUAUCAAGUAUAUAUAUACAUUCUUUUACACUUUUUUUUGUCUUUUAUUUUACGCUUCUCCUUAUUUUUGUCGCCUUUUCUUCAUGCUCUCCUCUCUUUCAUGAGUGGAACCACCGACUGAUAAUUGAUGGUCUAACAAGCUAUAAAAUCUCACAAUGUACACAAGGAUCCUCAUUUCGCUAUGAAAGGAUGAACUCUUCAUUAGUAGAUCUAUUAUUUUUAAAAAGGAAUUUAAAAAAAAUAUUUAAAGAGUAAAUUUCUUUUCCUAUUUGUUGGACCAUUUAUUAUGAAGUGCAUGCAUGAGGUCUUAAUUUUAGAAGCCUCUCCCUUGAGGCAAAUGUGCCAAUGUGUCUCAUUACUCAUUACACCACAUGCACCAAUAUUAUGCUUUAAAUGUAUAAUAAAAUUGAGCUUUCUUUUGAGUAUCCAAUCCAUGUUAUGAAUCAAAUAAGGCCCAAUUAACUGGUUUGUAUAGGGGUACAGCUUGAAUAUUUCCCUAAUUAAUAAUAAGAAAGAAAUAGAGGAAGUAAUCUGAUUUUCUUUUUCACAAGGCUAUAUUUACCUGAUCAUACGAUUUUUCAUAUUUUGCUUGGUAACCAAAUGAGUUCAUCUCCGAAUGAAGUUACACAACACAGUUCUUAUUAAGUUUGAUUGGUUUUAAUAGAUACGAUCGGUAUGCCACUUCCUUGGCUUACUUAGAUUUGGAUGAUCAGAAAAGAACUCUUUAGUAGUUAAUGUGGAAGUCGAUUAUUGGAAUAACUUUGAGUUACUUAAUCGGACGAUAUUAUGUAACUAAAUUGGUGAUAUUUUAUGAACAUAACAAGCUUAUAUAUGGAGAAAAGUCUUUUUUUUUUCUUUUUUUUUUUUCUUUUUUUUUUUUGAGAGAGAGAUAGGUAGCACGCUAUUCGCUUCGUUUAUUUCAUUUAGAAAUAAGCUUAGCUGGAAACGUGAAUCAAUUAGGAUUCGAACUUGGAACUUCCGGUAUCAAUCACCAAACCUUUUGCCACUUGCUCCAGGGGCGGUCAUUUAGAAAAGUCAUAGUAACACAAUCCGACGGUGCGGUUCAUUUAAUGCCUUGAGGCAAAUAAAAUGAAGCCCGUUGCUAUAUUUUUACUCUGGGACCAAAUGGGCUUGACAAUUGUAAUCCAGCCCAUCUCAUAAGGCCCAUUUCUUAAUUUCCUUCUAUGUUACACUUUUAAAUAUGUUCUAAAUUAAAUGGCUUGUAUUUCGAGGAAUGGAUAAAGAGUAAGAGAUACAACAAUGUGCUUCGUUCUCUCAUGCAAACAAACUCGCUAGCUAACUAGCUAGUAGACCCGUGCAAAAUCCGGACCAGACCAAAUUUCGGCUCAGUUAAACCUACUCCCAAUCCGAGGCUGGUCUCGUCAGAAAAUUACAUAUACUUUUUAUUGUAAACCUGAGCCAGAAUCAAAGGAGUUGGGCUCGGCCGGGCCGGAUAAUUCGAAGAAAAUAAAACCCGGUCGGGGCGGAUCGGGUCGGGUUGGACUAGAUUUGCUAAGGUUUUGUCAAUUGGUUUUACUUGUGUAGAAGAAUGGAGAGUACAUAUCCUUAUCCUUUAUCAUUACUUGUGAUGACAAAUGUGAUAAUAAUUGGUAACAAAAAGUAGUCUAUUUCAACAAAAGUGAACAAUAUUGGGUUGUAUAGUCAACAACAACCUAAAUUAACUUUACUAGCUAGGUCUAUUUGUGACUCACUAAGCAUGGAAAUUUCAACACCAAACUCGGCUAUUUUGGUCCAAUUUUAAUCAUGAUCCAAUGUAGCCACCUUGUGUCUCACGUGCUGUACUGCGUUUGAAUCAAGAGCCAACGAAUUUGAUAUAGUCAAAAAAGCAUAUACAAAUAUUUUAUGGGUCAACAAAUUUAAUUGUUUUUUUUUUUAGAGAUAGGUAGCACGUUACCCGCUUCAUUUAUUUCAUUUAGAAAUAAACUUAGCUGAAAAUGUGAAUCAACUAGGAUUCGAACUUGAGUCUCGGGUACCAACCACCAAGCCCUUUGCCACUUGCUUUAAGGACGGUCGGUAACAAAUUUAAUUGUUGUAAAUUUAUCCAUGCGUAAAAUUUUCAGUGUGAAGUAAUCUAAUAAUCUCAAGCUAGAGAUAAAUUUUUAGAUAGCUGGUUCCUAACUUGUACUCAAUUUUGUUCUAUAUGUAGUGCCCGAUUAAUCUAAAUUCAUUAUUUAUUUCAACUAAAUUCCUAUUAUUAAAAGCAUAUGUAAUUUGGGAGAAAAUUAUGAGGGGGAAAGAUGUAAGCUAAUAGGCUUUUCGAUGACAUAGAUUUAAUCAAAACAAAUAAUAAACGUUGGGGAAUUGAUUGUGAAAAUUUAAAAAGUUAAAGUAAAAAAAUAAAAAUUCAUGUAAAUAUAUUGGAGGUCAACUCAAAGCAAGUAUAUAUGCUCGUUUUAAAAUAAUGCUAGGUGUGACAUGUGAUACUAAAUUAAAUGCUUGUUUGGACUAAAUGCGCGCACCGAGGUAGGUCUAAAACUUAAAUAAAUUAAAUAAAAGGUCAAAUUGGAUUUGCUUCCACCAAAAGCAGCCAUCUAAUAAAUUAAAGCCACUCUCAAAAUGUGACCUCCCUAGAAUUUAAAAUAAUUUUAUAUAUCAAUUGUAAUAAAAUUAAACUCCUUAAUUUUGAUUAUAGUAUUCUGAACGGUGACUAAAUCAAAAGAAUUAAAAGAGUUAAACAUAUUAGGACUAAAGUAUAUAGUUUUAGAAUAAAUCGAUGACCCUCUAAAAAGUGGGGUCGCAUAGAUCUUAAUUGUUUCUUUGCAAGGCUAAAGGUCAUGAGUCUUAAUUAAACGUUGGCCUGUUAACAUCGUUUGAUGAGUUGAUGAUCCAUGCGUGUUGUAUUAUAUUAUAUAUAUUAAUAACUUGCUCAUUUUAUUGGCCCACUAAUAAAUUCUUUAAGCAUUUUCUUGUAAGUACAAGAUUUAUGAGAACUACUUCAAUAUAUUUUAACAUCACACCCUUUCCUUUUGGUUAUUAUUGCAACCACACAUGGGGCUACUUGAAAACCCCUCUAGUUUAAUUAAUUUGAUUUCCCUAUAAAGUUGAUAAUAAUUUGACACAAAGUUAUAUAUACACUAAUGACACGCCUUCAAUUAAUUAUUAUUGGCAAUUGAUUUCAAACAAUAUUACAACGCCGUUAUAUGUAGUUAAUUAACUUACAGUUUAUAACCAAAACCAUUAGUAUCUCAUGAUCAAUAAUAAACACCAAAGUAUCUAGAAUUAAGAGAAUGCGCGAUUUGAGGUGAAAAAAAAAAAGAACUAUAGUACUUUAUAAGAAGCAUAAAAUUCAGAUUUUGCAAAUAUAUAUUAAUUUGUGAGAACAUAAGUGUUUUUAUAUUAACCGGAGUAAUUAUCUUAAUUAUAGUAAAAAUUUUAAAAUUGACUUAACAUUCCUGCUGGUAUGCAUGGUUGAUAUCUAAUAAACAAUCUCUUAAUAUGAAAAAACCUUAAAAUCAAUUUUAAUACUAUAUUAUCUAAAAAUCUUGUAAGAAAAUGACCAUCCAUGCCCACAAAAAUUUUGUGGGCACAAUCCCCAAACUAAUAAUUUGGUGACCGUGCAGAUGGGCGCCAUGUGGCCCAUCUAAUGGCCUUCUUUUACUUCCUCUGUUGCUCUCUCUCUCUCUCUCUCUCUCUCUCUCUCUCUCUCUCUCUCUCUAAAAACACAUGACAAUUUUUUUUUUCUUUCAUGUGUGGCCGUAGGAUGGGCCACAUGGUUCUCAUCCGCAUCGUUCCCCAAGCUAAUAGUUUUCUCUCUCUCUCUCUCUCUCUCUCUAAAAACACAUGAUAAUUCUUUUUUGUUUUCUUUCAUGCGUGGCUAGGAUGAGUCACAUGGUUCUCAUCCACAUCGUUCCCCAAGCUAAUAGUUUGGAGACAAUGCCUAUAAAAUUUUUGUCCCAUAUAUUUAGACUCUUCAAAAGUCGUAAAUGCAUAAUAGCUACACUAUCCUUCGCCUUUUUUUUAAGUUAUUCUUCAAUCGGGAAUCUUACAUAGUAAAUUUUUCUAUUAGACCUCUCUUAAAACAAAGAAAAAAGAAACAAGAGAAAGCAAGGAAAGAAAAAGGCCAAUUUGCAUAAAAAAUUCACUUAUUUUGGGCUUUUACAAAACUGGGCCACCUUUUUUGUUUUUGCAGAUUCGGUCCGAUUUUUCAACAAACUGACCAAAAUACCCUUAUUACUUUUUCUCUUUCCUCUUUCUCUCUCUUCUUCGUUUCUCUCAUAGUUAGUUAAUUCGCGUAUUAUUCGCGAAUUAUUCGCGAAUUUUUGAAAAUCCGGAUUAAACGGCCGUUUCCGAUUUUUUCUCAAAAAUUCGGAAAAAAACGCGUUUUUUCGGGUAAAAGUAAUUAUUCGCGAAUUGAACGUGGUUCGCGAAUAGUUCGCCCCAAAAGAUCGGGGCGGUUGCUGCGACGCGGAGUCGCGGGCCUUGCGGGUGGCCGAAAAUAUAAAAAAAAAAAAACUUUUCAGAGAAGCUUCGCGCUUCGCCUCGCCAUGUCGCCCAAAAAAAAAAAAAAAAAAAAAAAAAAUCUUUCUGAAAAGAUCGCUCCCCUCCCACCCCGAGUCCCCGACCCCUCCCAAAAGAAAGGUUUGCCCUAACUUCGCACUCCUGCGGCGGCCGCGGUUCUUCCCCUCCCCCUCUUCUGUCAUGGUGUGACCAUGACGGGGAGCAGAGGAGCAGUAGAUAGAAGGUAAAGGAGUAGAGUGAGACAAUGGAGGAUCCAUGGUAGGAGGAAGCAAGGCGGCGGUGUGAUCUAUGGGAGAGAUAGGCUAACGGGUAGUGGGCUCGCACUCCCUCACUGUAGCGUCACCAAGCCCGACUCCGCACCUUGAUUCGGCUUUCGGGCGACGGGUCCGCGCUCUCUCACAGCUGCAUUGUCGGACCCGACUCCGCUUUCUUGGAGGGAGGCGUAUUGAAGCCACAGGAGUUGAUGCAAUUAGUACUAAUACAAUUACUACCAUACCCCUGCCAUUAUAACUCUUACAUUUUGGUCCUCUAGAUGGAAGCAGUAUAUGUAAUGAACUCACUUCUGUAAUAGACAAGCAAGAGAUAAAUAAAAUCCCAAUUUCCCAAAUCCCAAGUCUGAAUGGAAGCAUAAAUCUUGAGAGAAAAAAACUUAAUUUAAUAGCCGAAUUUUUGAUCCCGAAUUUUUAAUUGGUGAACGUAUAAUAUCCGUAUAAAUCUCGUAUCCGAAUAAUUGACGAAUCCGUUUUUUAGCCGUUUUUUUCAACGAAUUUAAAAAUUAGAAGACGAAUUUUAUCCGAAUUAUAUCCGUACCGAAUUUUUGCCGAAUCCGAAUUAACUAACUAUGGUUUCUCUCGUUCUUUUUUUUUUCUCGCCGGCAGAGCGGAGGCGGAGCGGAGGCAGAAACGGUCCGUCUCGCCUCUCACCCUCAUGCUCUUGCCCUCGCCCUUGCCCUCGUCCAUGCACCCCCCACCUUCCUCGCCUCCGACCCCGCCAAGGCCGCGCCGCGACUUUUUUUUUUUGCUUUUUUCUUUUCUUUUCUUCUUCGACUCUUCUCCACCGUCUCCGUCGACGACGCCUCUCGCCCUUCCCCGCCCUUCUCAUCUCUCCCUCUCCCUCAUUUUCUGCCGCCUUCGACGAUGAUUUAUUUUCGCCGGCGCCGACGUCGACACCGUAGAGGUCACUGUGGCGCUACAGCCUGAGAGCGGGGGGUCCUUAGCGGCGUCGUCACCGGCACUGUAGCUGUUGGCAGAGACGGUGACAAAAAAAAUUAUAGAAAAAAUAAAAAAAAAUAAAGAUAAAAAAUUAUAUAAAAAGAAGGAUGAAAAUGAAAUUGCAUCGUUAAUUACAAAAAAAUUAUAAGUUGCAUUAUUUAAGAUGUAAACUGCUGCUUUAAGAUAAAAAUUAUACUCUUUGAACGAAAAUUAUACUAUUUUUUAUCUUAAACUGCAUCCUUUUAAGUGAUAUUUAUACUGUUUAUCCUCUUGUUGUAUGUUUCUCCUCUUGUUGCACUAUUUCUCCUCUUGUUUACAUAGAAAUGAUGCAACAAGAGGAGAAACAGUAUAAAUAUCUCUUAAAAUGGUGCAGUUUCUCCUCUUAUUGCAUUGUUUUUUCUCUUGUUGCACUAUUUCUUCUAUUGUUUACACAGAAAUCGUGCAACAAGAGGAGAAACAGUACAACAAGAGAAGAAACAGUAGAUAUAUCUCUUAAAACAGUGCAGUUUUUUCUCUUGUUGCACUAUUUUUUCUCUUGUUUAUACAGAAAUGAUACAACAAGAGGAGAAACAGUAUAUAUAUCUCUUAAAAUAGUGCAGUUUCUCCUAUUGUUGCACUGUUUCUUCUCUUGUUGCACUAUUUCUUCUCUUGUUUAUACAGAAAUGGUGCAACAAGAGGAGAAACAGUGCAACAAGAGGAGAAACAGUAGAAAUAUCUCUUAAAAGAGUGUAGUUUAAGAUAAAAAAAUAAUAUAACAAGAGAAAAAAUGGUGCAACAAGAGGAGAAACAGUAUAACUUUUGUUUAAAGAGUGUAACUUUCAUCUUAAUGGAUGCAGUUUACAUCUGAAAGAGUGUAAUAAGAAGAGAAACAGUGUAAAUAUCUCUCAAAGAGUGUAAUUUUCGUUUAAAGAGUAUAGUUUUCAUAUUAAAGCUGCAGUUUACAUCUUAAGUAGUGCAACUUAUAAUUUUUUUUGCAGUUAACGAUGCAAUUUCAUGUUCAUCAUUCUUUUAUAUAAUUUUUUAUCUUUAUUUUUUUUUCUGUUUUUUCUAUAAUUUUUUUUGUCAUUCUCUCUGCCAACAGCCACGGUGCCGGCGACGACGCCGCUAAGGACACCCGCUCCGAGCCUGUAGCGCCGCAGUAACCUCCACGAUGUCGACGUCGGCGCCGGCGAAGAUGUAUCGUCGUCGGAGGCGGCAGAGAAUGAGGGAGAGGGAGAGAUGAGAAGGGCGGGGAAGGACGAGAGAGGCGUCGUCGUCGGAGACGGUGGAGAAGAGUCGGAGAAGAAAAGAAAAGAAAAAAGCAAUAAAAAAAAAAAGUCGCGGUGCGGCCUUGGCGGGGUUGGAGGCGAGGAAAGUGGGGGGUGCGUGGAUGAGGGCAAGGGUGAGGGCGAGGGCGAGGGCGAGAGAAUGAGGGUGAGAGACGAGACGGACCGUUUCUGCUUUCGCUCUGCCGGCGAGAAAAAAAAAAGAACGAGAGAAACGAGAAGGAAAGAGAAAGAGGAAAGAGAAAAAGUAAAAAGGGUAUUUUGGUCAGUUUGUUGAAAAAGCGGACCGAAUCUAUAAAAACGAAAAAGAUGGCCCAAUUUUAUAAAAUUCUAAAAUAAAUAAAUUUUUUAUGCAAAUUGACCAAAGAAAAAAAAAGAAAAAGAAAAAGAAAAAGAGACCCAGCAAAUGCCCACACUGCCACACUGCCACACACCAACCAUUAAACACAACCACCUACAAAAUCAAUUAACACAACACACACCUCCCUCUAGGGCUGGCAAAUGAGCGAGCCGGCUCGCGUUCGACUCGCGUUCGACUCGAUAUUUGGCUCGCUCGAGCUCGACUCGAAAUUAAAUGAGCCGAGCUUGAACAAAAAAAAAAGCUCGAAAUUCAUUUCAAGCCGAGCUUGAGUAUUACUCGGCUCGUUCGAAUUAGGCUCGAAAAGCUCGAAAAGCUCGAAUAUAUAUAUAUAUAUAUAUAUAUAUAUAUAUAGUAGAGCUACUAUGCUAUCGAAAGUAUAGAGAUAUGGUGCUUUCGAUUUUUUGAUUCUUAGAUCAAUCCCUUUAAUCGUUUCUUAUCUUUGGAUUAAUAUUAUUAUUACCUUGUAGGGACCACUCAAUCUUCUAAUAGUAUAUUUAAUACCUAGUGAGACCCAACAUUCUCAAACCAUAAAAUUUUAUAAUCAAAGGGUCAAAACUUUCCAAACAUCAAAUCCUCUGAUAUUUUUCGUAGCAUAGUAGUCCAUACAUUAUAUAAUAUAUAAAAAAUAUAUAAAAUAAGUAAUAAUUUUAAUUAUAUAUCAGGCUAGUGAAUAAUCUGAGUUUAGUUAAAAUUGGACCAAUGUUAUUGGCACCAUAAAAACAAUAUAUAAUAGGACAAAUAGAAAGGAGCAAAUCUAACUAAAUUUAUAUAUAUUCUUUUCUGUCUUUUACAUUCUUUCUUUACAGAGCUCUAAAUUUUACAAAAUAGUUUCUCUUCUUUCUCUUUUUCUGUCUCUCACCGCUAAGUGGCCCGAAGCGGGAAGCCCUCUAAGUUACCCAAGUAACAUCCAUAUGCCGCUGUUGCCUUACCUUGCUAUUAAUUGUAUACUUGAGAAAAAAUAUACGGAUAUUUUUUAAAUAAAAAUUUACUUAUUCAUAUAAAAUUUUAUUUUAGUAUCAUAUUAUUAGCAUGUUAAAUCCAAUAUUUAAUAUUAAUUUAUUUAUUUUGACUUGCAAUAAGAUGAAAUAAAUUAAAAUGAGAUUUGAAGGCGGAAGUAAGAUAUGUGAGUUUGAAAAAAUUAGACAUAUUCAACUCACUAAAUUAUAUUUUUUUACAUUUAUAAUGACUAGUAUUUCAUAUAAUUAUUUUGUACUUUGAACUAUUAGAAUAUUUUGAUCAAUUAUAGAUAAUGAUUCUAUACAAAUUAAGACUAUUGAUCGUAUAAUGUUGAGAAUUUCUAAGACGGCUCGUUUAGGCGACUCGCUGAUAUUCGCUGACUCAAAAGGUCUAGCUCGGCUCGAAUUAAUUUCAAUCAAGUUUGAGCUUAAAUUAGGUCGAAAAUUAAUUUCAAGCCGAAAUAUUGGCCGAGUAAGCUCGCUCGAGCUCGGCUCGUUUCCACCCCCCUACUCCCUCCCCCUCUCUCUCUCUCUCUCUCUCUCUCUCUCUCUCUCUCUCCCUGAGAUGGUAUAGGACUACAUCUUGUCAGAAAGCUAUGAUGAAUACAUUAAUCCCAUGCAGCAGUAGCAGUUGCAGUAACAGUAGCAGCAGUAGCACUCCUCUCUGCCUCGUCCUAUUGUUACUUCUGCUCUCCAUCUCAUGCACUACUGCUCGCUCGCGGGACACGAUAACUGUAGACAGUCCGCUCGCGGAGAACGAGACGCUCGUCUCCGCGGGCGGCUACUUCGCCCUCGGCUUCUUCAACCCCCCAAACAACCCCGACCGCUACAUCGGCAUCUGGUACAACACCAUCCCCACGCAAACCGUCGUCUGGGUCGCCAACCGCCUCGACCCCGUCGACGCCUCCCCCUCCUUCCUCUCUCUCUCCCCCGACGGCAUUCUCACCCUCUCCUCCCCCAACUCCUCCACCCCACUCUCCACCACCGCAACUACCUUAACCAACCCCGUAGCCCAACUGUUGGACACCGGUAACUUCGUCGUGCGAGAAGCGACCGACGGCGGCGAUGCGGCCGCGUGGCAGAGCUUCGACUAUCCGACGGACACGCUGAUAGCCGGGAUGAAGCUGGGGGUUGACCGGCGGCGGGGGCUGAACUGGACGCUGACCGCCUGGCGAAGCGGGUCGGACCCGGCCCCGGGCGAGUACUACGCGGCGAUGGACACGGCGGGGGACCCGGAGGUGUUCCUCUACUCCGUAGCGGGUCGGGCGCGGAUCUGGCGAACGGGCCCGUGGGACGGGGUCCAGUUCAGCGGCGUCCCGGACACGGUCACGUACCAGGACUUCGCGUUCACGUUCACCAACGACGCCGACGAGGUCUCCUACAGCUUCAACGUCCUGAACCGGUCCAUCAUCUCCCGGCUCGUCGUGAACCAGACCGGGGUCGUGCAGCGGUCCAUCUGGCUCGCGUCGGGCCGGGUGUGGAACAUCUUCUGGUACGCGCCGCGGGACCCGUGCGACGACGUGUCCGCCUGCGGGCCCUACGGGCUGUGCGACCCCAACGACUCCCCCAUGUGCAGCUGCGUGCAGGGGUUCGAGCCGCGGUCGCCGCAGGACUGGGCGCUGCGGGACGGGUCGGGCGGGUGCGUGCGGAGGACGCGGCUCGACUGCGCCAACCGCACCGACGGGUUCGCCAAGGUGAGCCACGUGAAGCUCCCGGACACCACGAACUGUACGGUGGACCCGACCGUGGGGCUCGACCGGUGCGCCGCCAGGUGUUCGGCGAAUUGCUCGUGCACCGCCUACGCGGCCGCGAAUGUCAGCGGUGGGGCCCGGAGUGGGUGCGUUAUGUGGCACUCCGAGCUCACCGACAUGCGGGUCUACGUAGGCACGGGGCAGGAUCUGUACGUACGCUUGGCCGCGGCUGAUCUAGGUACGUACACGUACGUAUAAUAUACGUGCUAUCUAUUUAUUUAGUAAAUUAUUUAUACUUGCAAAUUGAUAGCUAUAUAAUACAAUAUAUAUACCCACACACUCGGAUUAUUCUCCUGCAUUUUCUUCGGAAUGGUCCCACAUAAAUCUCAGUGCUUGAUUGAUGAUCGAUAAAGACGUCUAAUUAAUCAGCUAUUUCAUGUAGCCAUCCUUAUCUAGUCAUAGUCUAUAGCCUCUCGCCAGCUUCUGAAAUUGUUUUUGUACUAAGAUUAAUUUUUUUGUUUUAUUUUUUUAGUCUUGUACGUAGAAACAAAUUACUUGAAAUCUGAAGCUAAUUAAUGCAAACUGUAUUACGAGAAAACAAUUUUACUUUGAGCUUGAAAUAGGAAGCUGAAAUAAGUUCGUAUGUUUUGAAAUCUAAAAGCUAAUUAUCAAGUAAGCAAUUUUAAGAGCAUUAAAACAAAAGGUUAAGGUUAAUUACUAAAUUUUUAUCCUUAAACAAAAUAGUUUGGAGUGGUUGGGUAUCAAGAAGCACAUGAUGUUCGAUAGAAGCCAAAAUUCAACGAGGGUAGUAAACGCCAAAAAAAAAAGCAGCAAAUGGGUAAUGUCGGCAACUGCCUCUACUGUAAUUGGCUUGGAAUGUAGCAUCGGCGCCGACUUAUGACACAGCCGUGCACGUCUUCGCUAACCAUUAAUUUUCCAAGAUUAAUUUGUUAAGGUUUACAAUGACUUGGAAUAGAAACUCUGGCGUGCCGUACCAAAAAGUUGUUGAGACUGGUCGAUGUGAACGAAAAUGUGUCGAUUAUAAAUCCAGUUCGACUUAAACAGCACAAAUGCAUGCAGAUCGAAGCUCUAGUCAUGCAAAUUAAUGAGCCCAUAAAUAGAUCACUUUAUAUGUAUUGUGUACCUGGAAAAUUGAGAAUUAUAUAAGCUUCAGAUUUAGAUCCCCUUGUUUUAUAGAGGAGGCUGAUCUUGUCCAAAUUUGAUUCGACCCCCCUACUGUGAUCACCUUUUGGUAGGGUAAAAAAUGAUUCAGGAUAACAUUUGAUUUACUUAGUUUCUAGUUAAUUUAAUUAGGGUGACAAUUUGAACUUAUAAUAAUUGCCAUGUAUAGCCAAUUAAAUUUCUCUCAUGUGCUUCAUAAAGGAGAAUGGAAUAUUCUAGACCAAAUCCGAAACACUUUUUUUGUGUUCCAUUCUUAAUAGACCCAGCAAGGCACAUGUGGCAUAUUGCUUACCCUGCAGUAUAAUGUGGUCCAAACACACUAAUUUAGUGACUGUAAUAAUCACUUGAACAACCUGAGUUGCAUCACUGUUUGUACAUAUCUCAGUAGCUGAUAUGAGCUGUUAUGAGAUUUAAAAGGAAAAAGUACUGUUGCCUUUAAUUAUUUAGCUUCACUAUCAAGCUGGACCAUGGUUUUAGGGCCUCUGUGGCCUUUUAUGGACCAUGUGAAAGCAUCUAUAUAUAAUGAUGAUAUAUAGGGCUUGAUCUGUAGGAUUGUAGUUUUUUCAUCAAAAUAAUUCCAAUAGCUUUGCAUUGAAGCUAGAAGAAGAAACUAAUGCAGUAGCUAGGUAAAGAGAAAAAUCCUCAGUGAGAAAUAUAGCUAAAGCAAGUACAUCUAUGUUUGAUGGGAGAGUGAUCUUUGGAUAGUGUCUUUCCAUCUUAUUCCAUGGACCUAAUUACUAUCCGCAAUAUUAGCUAGCCUAUAGGGAUCGAUGUUUGGGCUAUCCACUUUCGUGUUCAGAUCGAUUCGAGAAAUUUGCAUAAUAUUUGAUGGAAUAGCAGGGAUGUUUGUUGAUGUCUCCGCUUUAUCCCUCGACUGAACACUGCCUCAACGAUGUUUGGACUUUGGCAUCUAAUAGCUCAUUUCAGCUUCUCACUUAACCAAAAUGUGUUGGACAUUUCGUAAAAUCUAAUCUAGAAGCUGGCCAAACAAAAAUAUAUUACACCUCAAACAAGAUGUGGUUUUCCUUUGAUUAAUUGGAAUAUAUCUUCGCUUAAAUGAGAAGAUAUGGUGCUAAAUUAGGAAUGUCUACAGGUUCAGCCCCAAGCCAGUCUGGCAAGAGUGAUCAUGCACCCAUUGCACUCAUUGUAGGCCUUACUGUAGUGGCAUUCCUACUAGCAUGUGCUGGUUGCUAUAUCUGGAGAAGAAGGAAACUUAGGAAAUCAGGUAAUAAAACUGCUAAUUCAGUACACUUUCAAUAUUGUUUGGAAGCCCAAAUGAGUAUAAAUGGAAAUUAUAAGACAAUUAUUAACCGAUUGAAUAUACAGGUCCAGGCACGUCGGCGAGUACUAUUUCCUUCAGCCAUGAACAGCGCAAGGAGGAAAGUAUUCAAGAUAGUGAUAUAGAGUUGCCAUUAUUUGAUUUGGGCACUAUCGCGGUUGCUACUGAGGGGUUCUCUAACACAAAUAAACUCGGAGAAGGUGGAUUUGGACCAGUUUACAGGGUUAGUUUUUAACCUUUCAUUAACUUUCACAGUUGUGAUGGUUAUGAUUCUUUAAGUUGAGAGAUUAAUUCUGGUCAAAAAAUACAAAUCAGUCACUAUUCUGACAUUGCUAAAGAACCAACUGUAUCUGAAGCUGAAUCUACUCUGUAAUAUAAAUACGUUAUAAGAACUUGGAUUUUCGUAUACAUGAUGUGAAAGUGAGAUGCACUAAGAAAACUUUUGAGGAUGUUUUACCUGAUAGCUUAGGCAUUUUGAAGACCUGCUUAAUGAAUACAUGUAUGAUUACAGUUGAGCAUUUUUAUGAUAAAAAAGAUCUAGUCUUACAUGAUCUAUUUGAAUUAUUUAUGUCAUAAUUGACGAUCAGGGUAAGCUUGGCGACGGACAAGAAAUAGCUGUGAAAACGCUUGCAAAAACUUCAGUGCAAGGUCUCGACGAGUUCAAGAACGAGGUCAUGCUGAUAGCAAAACUUCAGCAUAGGAAUCUUGUUAGGCUACUUGGUUGCUGCAUCCAAGGAGAGGAGAGGAUGCUUAUAUAUGAAUACAUGGAAAACAAAAGCUUGGAUAUGUUUUUGUUCGGUAAGUCCACGCCAUUCAUUCUAAAUGCCUUCUUACUUUGUUUCUACACUAUAAUUUCGACAACGUAAUAUUUUGAUGAAAAGUAAACAGUUUGAGAAUUUUAGCAGAUAAAGCUUACAGCGCAUCACUAAAUUGGCAAACGCGGUAUCGGAUAAUUGAGGGGAUUGCUCGAGGGCUUGUUUACCUUCACCAGGAUUCAAGAUUUAGAGUUAUUCAUAGAGAUUUAAAGGCUAGUAAUAUUCUUCUUGAUAAGGAGAUGAGCCCCAAAAUCUCAGACUUUGGCAUGGCACGAAUUUUUGGCGGUGACGAGACCGAAGUCAAUACAAGAAAAGUAGUUGGUACCUAGUAAGUACAUAUGCUUGCAUAUAUACGAAGCAAUAUACUCUUGAUUAACAGUUCAUAAUCCUUAUCGAUUGUAUUUAAUUUUGCAGUGGAUAUAUGUCUCCGGAAUACGCAAUGGAUGGAAUUUUUUCAGUAAAAUCCGACGUAUUCAGUUUUGGGGUUUUAGUGUUAGAAAUUAUUAGUGGAAGGAGGAACAGAGGAGCAUAUGUUGAUUCCUCACACCUUAAUCUUCUUGCUCAUGUAAGUAUGUUUAAACUCAAACAAUUUAUAUUUUAACUGCUACAUUUUCUUAAACUUUUUGGAUUUAUAUUUAUAUACUUUUCGCAGGCAUGGAGUUUAUGGAAUGAGGGGAAGAGUUUAGAACUAGUAGACGAUUCUAUGGAUUAUUCCUUCCUCGCAAAUGAAGUUCUAAAAUGUGCGCACAUUGGUCUUUUGUGUGUUCAAGAGCACCCCGAGGAUCGUCCCCUGAUGUCGGCGGUCGUUUUGAUGCUUGGUAGUGAUGGAGCAUCACUGCCAACUCCGAAACAGCCCGGUUUUGCAAGGAGGAGGAUUCAGCUCGAUACGGAAUCAUCAUCAAGCAAGCAAGAUUCUAUCACGUUGAACGAUAUGACUAUAACCAUGAUCGAAGGUCGAUAGAAGGAACAAUUAUAUGUGUAGUUUGGCUGAAUUUGGUUUCAAUGAGGAAAUGUUAUAUAUUUGAGGUUUUGAUUUCUUUCUUUUCUUUCUUUUCUUUCCCACUUUUUGAUGGUCGGAAAAUGUAUAAAUAUGUUUACAAUCAUUGGAAUAUAUUUUUUUUCAUGUCGAUGAAAUUGAUACCCAAUUAGCUCAAAAACCUUGAAGUUGUGCAAUUGUUACAUACAUCAAAGGAACAACAAUUUUUUUUUGAUUAAACAGGGGUAUACCCUAUUUUAACAAAGUCAGAACAGAGAGUAUAGAAGCAGUCUAGUAAGGCGAAAAAAUGGAACGGCUAGAACGGCAAGAACAGCAUGGGUUGAUCGCAAUCAAGAUCUAGGAGCAAGAACCCAGAAACCAAAAAAAACCAAAAACCAAAAUCAAAGCCCCAAAAACCCCCAAAAAGCGCACACUCCUAGAUGCUGUCCAUGUCCCCGAGUGCGGCUUUCCUAGAUGCUGUCCAAAAAGAACAACAAUUCUUUCUACCAAUAUGAGUACAAUUGAAGUAUCAAACAAAUUCUUGUACACGAGACUAUUUUCGCGGAAAGAACGUCAAAAUAGUAAAAUCAAUUUCUGCAAAACCUCCAAAAAGAAAACAAAAAAAGAGAAAAAAAAGAAAAGAAAAAAAGUUAAUACACAUCUUUAUCUACCCUCUACAAUUAAUAGCUACAGUUACAAUAUUUGCAGUGUGGCCCUGCGACAAUGAUUCUAUAUCCAAAAAGCCCCUGCCGAUACUAAAUGGAGGCUCAUUCGAGCUUUCCCUGAAAAGAACCAACACAUAGUUAUAAAAAUUUCCAUAAUUAUCUCCGCGCACUUUAUAUCUCAACCUUAAUUGAAUCUACACAUUAGUCACAUCGUUCCAAGAAUUAACUACCAUGUAUACAGGGCCAAAUCCACCCUCUCCAAUCCUAUUAGCCAAUGAGAAACUGUCCGUAGGAUCCAAUAUCGCCCCUAGAUCGAAUGUUGGAAGGUUGAGACCUUCAUGAGUACUUGUUUCAUCUUCGAAGCUAUGAUCUUGUGUUGAUCGUACUUCCCAUCUUGAUUCUGAACCCGCGCACGUAUAUGUCGCAUGCAUGUCAAAUGGCAAGGCUUCUCAUAACAACACUCUGUGCCUUCUCUCUACGUUGCCUAGCUUUUAGGAGCAUCAAUUAUUAUGGAAAUUAAAAGCCAACAUGUAACACCCCAAUAGCAUUUUGGCCAAUAGUUUGGGCCUAACAAGUGAUUAUUACUAGCCAGUCGGAUCACUAUAAUUGGUAUCAGAGCCGAAUAGCAGUCAGAAGUCUGAGAGCUAGAUAUUAUGCAAGACAAAAUACUAUACCAACGGGUUUGGUGAGAGCCGCCUAUUGAAUCAGUAGAAGCCACUUCUAGAAUCUCACAUCGCCCGGUAAUAUUCUGGUUAGUCUGUAAUCUGAGCUUGGACCUGAUGAGAACGUCAUGAUUUAAACAUGCGAGUUUAUAAUGUCUCAAUAGUCUCGCAUCGGAUGAAAAAAUAAUUUUGGUUAGAAUAUAUGAAGGCUCAAAGAUAGUAAUAAUAACUGGGUUUAAACAUUUAGACUAGUAAUUUGGAUCCAACAAGUUAUUAUUAUUAGCUGGUCGGAUCGUCACAAUUAUUAUUAGAGACCAGACAAUCUGUCUGUAAUCUGGCACAUACAGUAUAUGACCACCAUGCAUCAAAAUGCUUUUCCAAUGAAAAUUGUAGUUCCUUACGAGGCUAGCUCACUCUAUUCUCCAUGAUCUUAUGCAAGUUCUUAGAUACAAAUUAAUCAAGCCCAAAAAUAUAUAUAAAAAAUAUCCCUCACUUCUUUUGGUAUUUCCUUUUUCUUUUAACUUUUUUUUGUGUCUUUUAUUUAAUGCUUCUUCUCCUCAUUUUUCUCGCUUUUCUUCAUCAUCUCCUCCUCUCUUUCAUGAGUGGAGUCACCGACCGAUAACAAUCUAUAAAAACUCACAACUUACACAAGGAUAUAUCCUCAUUCCGGUGCGUACGAAAGUGUGAACUCUUCAUUAGAAUAUUUAUUAUAAUCUAGUUAUAUUUAUACUCUAAUUAAUAUUUAAAUUUUAAUUUAUCUCUAAUAGAUUUAAAUAUUAAUUUUUAUCUAAUUAAAAUAUUAACUACAAAUCUAACCACUACCCAAAUCUUAACAAGUGGGACGUGACGUAAAUGGUAAUUGUUUCCCGGAAAGGAUAAGGCCAUGAGUCUUAAUUAAUUGUUGGAUGGGAGUUGAUCGAUGACCCAUGAGUAUUGACUUAUACAGAUUAAUAACUUGCUCAUUUAAUUAAUUGGCCCGCUUGUAUGUAAUUAAAUUCUUCAAGCAUUUUCUUAUUAUAUAGUAUUAGAUAUAUGAGAAAUUUUCACAUCACAGUACCGUUUCCUUUUGGUUAUUAUUGCAACCACACAUUGGGCUACUUAAAAACCCGUUUACUUUAUUUGACUUCUCUAUGAAGUUGAUAAUAAUUUGACACAAAGCUACAUACACCAAUGACAUGUCUUCAAUUAAUUUUUGGCCAUUGAUUUCCAGCAAUAUUGCAACGCUGUUACAUAUAGUUAGCUUACGGUUUAUAACCAAGUCAUUAGUAUCUCAAUAAUAAACACCGAAGUAUAUAUUUAGAAUUGUGGGUACGCAAGAUUUGAGGUGAAAAAAAAAAUUUAGGCCUGUUUGGAUGCACAGUAAAAAAUCUCCACGGGAUUUAUAAACUGUGGUUUUGGUCCAAAUAAAAUAAAGAAUUCUGUAACUCUAAAAAAAUUCCACGGAUUCAAUUUUUAAACUGUUUGGAUGCGCAUUGUGUAAUUUCACGGGAUUUCUCUAAAUUUUAAAAUUAAAAGUUAAAAUUUCAAAUUUUAAAUUUCAAAUUUCAAUGAAAAUUAAAAUUUAAAAUUUGAUAUGUGAAAUGCGAAAUUUUAAAUUUUGAAAAUUAAAAAUUAAAAAUAUAAAAAUCUAAAUUUAAUUUUAAAAUUUUGAAAUUUAAAAUUUUAAAAUAAAAAAUUUUAAAUUAAAAAAUAAAUUUAAAAUUUAAAGUUCAAAUUUGAAAUUUGAACUAUGAGAUUUGAGAUUUAAAAUUUGAAAUUUGAAAUUUAAAAUUUAAAAUCUAAAAUUUAAAAUUUAAAGUUUAAAAUUUAAAAUUUAAAAUUUAAAAUUUAAAAUUUGAAAUUUGAAAUUUAAAAUUUGAAAUUUAAAAUUUGAAAUUUAAAAUUUAAAAUUUAAAAUUUGAAGUUUAAAAUUUGAUCUGUGAAAUUUAAAAUUUCAAAUUUGAAUUUCGAAAACUAAAAUUUAAAAUAAAAUUUGAAAUUCUAAAUUUGAAAUUUGAAAUUUGAAAUUUAAAAAUUAAAUUUGAAAAUAAAAAAUUUAGAAUUAAAAUUUGAAAUUAUGAAUUAAAAAAUUUAAAAUUUGAAAUUUAUUAUUUGUAAACUAAAAUUUAAAACUUGAUAUUCGAAAAUUAAAAUUUGAAUUUAUAAAAUUUAAAAAUUUAAAAUUUAAAAUUUGACAUUAAAACUUUGAAAUUAUAAAAUUUAAUUUUUGAUAUUUCAAAUUUAAAAUUCAAAAUUUAAAUUUGAAAUUAAAAUUUUGAAUAUAAAUUAAAUUGUAAAAUUUAAAAUUUGAAAUUUAAAAAUUAGAACUUGAUGCAACUUUGCCCAAAAAUGGUGGAAUUCUUUUUUCCUUUGGUUAGAGUGGAUUAUAAUUUUACUCUAUUUUUUGCUGUAUAGUUUAACUAUACUCGAAAAAUUACGGUAUAUUUUUUUUUCUCCCAAACGCUUUAUAGGAUAAAUUUUCCUACCGGCGUAGUAUAGUUUAACUAUACUACAUUUUUAAUGGUAUCCAAACAGGGCCUUAGCAAUUUAUAAGAAUCUGAAAAUUUAGAUUUUACAAAGAUACAUUAAUUUGUGUGGGACCCUAAGGCUGCGUUUAGUUGGAGAACUAAAUAACCUCUUAAUUAUAUAGUCAACUUAAUUAUAUAGUGAAACGUUUUAAAUAAUCUUAACAUUCCUGCUAGCACGUAUAGUUGAUAUCUAAUAAUAAAUAUUCUUUUAAUAUGAAAAGAGUUUAAAAUCAAUUUUAAUAUUAUUAUAUUAUCUAAAAGAGUAAUCUUGCAAAUAAAUGAUCAUGUAUUUUGGCACUUCAAAGGUCAUAAAUACAUAAUAGCUACACUAUCCUACUUCCUUUUUUAAUGGAAAUCUUAUCUUAUAUAGAAGAAAAAAAAAAAAAAAACUUUUCUAGCUAGUAUACCUCUCUUAAAGGGAAAAAAUGAAUACAUUACUCCCAUGCAGCAGCAGCAGUAGCAGUAGCACUCCUCUCUGCAUCAUUCUAUUAUUAUUUCUGCUCUCAAUCUCAUCCAUUACUGCUCACGCGCGGGACACGAUAACAGUAGGCAGCCCGCUCGCAGAGAACGAGACGCUCGUCUCUGCGGGCGGCUACUUCGCCCUCGGCUUCUUCAACCCCCCGAACAACCCCGACCGCUACGUCGGCAUCUGGUUCAACAACAUCCCCACGCAAACCGUCGUCUGGGUCGCCAACCGCCUCGACCCCGUCGCCGCCGCCGCCUCCCCCUCCUUCCUCUCUCUCUCCCCCGACGGCAUCCUCACCCUCGCCUCCCCCAACUCCUCCACCCCACUCUCCACCACCGCAACUACCUUAACCAACCCCGUAGCUCAACUGUUGGACACCGGUAACUUCGUCGUGCGAGAAGCGACCGACGCCGGCGAUGCGGCCGCGUGGCAGAGCUUCGACUAUCCGACGGACACGAUGAUAGCCGGGAUGAAGCUGGGCGUGGACCGGCGGCGGGGGCUGAACUGGACGCUGACAUCCUGGCGAAGCGGGUCGGACCCGGCCCCGGGCGAGUACUACGUGGCGAUGGAAACGGCCGGGGACCCGGAGCUGUUCCUCUACUCCGUAGCUGGUCGGGCCCGGAUCUGGCGAUCAGGCCAGUGGGACGGGGUCCAGUUCAGCGGGCUCCCGGACAAUGUCCCGUACGGGGACUACGUGUACACGUUCACCAACAACGCCGCCGAGGUCUCCUACAGCUUCAACGUCCUGAACCGGUCCCUCAUCACCCGGGGCGUCGUGAACCAGACCGGGGUCGCACAGCAGUCCAUGUGGGUCCAGUCGAGGCAGGUGUGGAACAUCAUCUGGCACGCGCCGCAGGAUCCGUGCGACGAGAUGUCCCCCUGCGGGCCCUACGGGCUCUGCGACCCCACCGUCUCCCCCAUGUGCAGCUGCGUGCAGGGGUUCGAGCCGCGGUCGCCGCAGCACUGGGCGCUGCUGGACGGCUCGGACGGGUGCGUCCGCACGACGCGGCUCGACUGCGCCAACCGCACCGACGGGUUCGCCAAGGUGAGUCACGUGAACCUCCCGGACCCCACGAAUUGUACGGUGGAUGCGACCGUGGGGCUCGACCAGUGCGCCACCAGGUGUUUGGCGAAUUGCUCGUGCACCGCCUACGCAGCCUCGAAUGCCAGUAGUGGGGCCCGGAGUGGGUGCGUCAUGUGGUACUCCGACCUCACCGGCAUGCGGGUCUUCCUAGCCGAGGGGCAGGAUCUGUACGUACGCUUGGCGGCGGCUGAUCUAGGUACGUACGCAUACGUAUAAUAUACGUGCUAUUUAUUUAGUAAAUUAUUUGUAUUUGCAAAUUGAUAUUGCUUUGAACAUUCACCCACCCGCCCACUUGGAUUAUUAUGAUGCAUUUUCCUUUGGAAUGGUCCACACAAGUAUCAAUACUUGAUUGCUGAUCGAUAAAGACGUCUAAUUAAUCAACAAUUAAUUUCAUGGUACCUACCGUUAUCUCGUCGUGGCCUCGCUUCUGAAUUAGUUAUUGUACUAAGUCUUUUUUUUAGUGUGUGGUAGAAACAAAUUACUUGAAAUCUGAAGUUAAUUAAUGCUAACAUUAUUAUGCGAAAAUGAUAUUAUUUUUUAUCUUGAAAUAGGAUGCUGAAAUAAGUUCACCGGCGGGGUUUUUUUUUUUUUUUUUUUUUUUUGAGAGAUAGAUAGCACACUAUCUGUUUCGUUUAUUUCAUUUAGAAAUAAACUUCGUUGGAAAUAUGAAUCAACUAGGAUUCGCCGGUCGUGUAUUUCCAUCUUAUUCCAUUGACUUGAUUACUAUCCGCAAUAUUAGGUAGCCUAUAGGCGUGUUUGGGCUAUCCACUAUUGUGUUCAGAACUUCAGAUCGAUAAUUGACAAAUUCGCAUAAUGUUUGAUGGAAUAGCAAGUUGUCUCCAUAUUAUCUCUCGACUGAUCACUGCCUCAAUGAUGUUUGGACUGUGGCAUGCAAUAGUUCAUUUCAGUUUCUCACUUAAGCCAAAAAGUGUUGGGCAUUUUGUACACAAUAUACAUCUAGAUUCACCAGUAGAUAAGCUAAUCCAGAAGCUGGCCAAACAAAAUAUAUAGCACCUCAAACAAGAUAUGGUUUUUCCUUUGAUUAAUUGGAAUAUAUCUUUGCUUAAAUGAGAAGAUAUGGUGCUAAAUUAGGAAUGUCUACAGCUUCAGUUACAAGCCACUCUGGCAAGAGUGAUCAUGCACCCAUUGCAGCCAUUGUAAGCGUUUCUGUAUUGGCAUUCUUACUAGCAUGUGCUGGUUGGUAUAUUUGGAGGAUGAGGAAACUUAGGAAAUCAGGUAAUAAAACUACUAAUUCAGUACGCUUUGUUUGAAAAGCCCAAAUGAGUGUAAAUGGGAAUUAUAAGACAAUUAUUAACUGAUUGAACAUACAGGCCCAGGCACGUCAGCGAGUACUAUUUCCUUCAGUCAUAAACACCGCAAGGAGGAAAGUACUCAAGAUAGUGAUAUAGAGUUGCCAUUAUUUGAUUUGAGCGCUAUCGCAGUUGCAACAGAGGAGUUCUCUAACACAAAUAAACUUGGAGAAGGUGGCUUUGGACCAGUUUACAAGGUUAGUUUUUUGACCUUUCAUUAACUUUCAGUCCUGAUGGUUAUGAUUCUUUAGGUUACAAGAUUAAUUCUGGUCAAAAAAUACAAAUCAGUCACUAUUCUGACAUUGCUAAAGAACCAACUGUAUCUGAAGCUGAAUCUACUCUAUAAUAUAAAUACGUUAUAAUGAACUUGGAUUUUCAUAUACAUGAUGUGAAAGUGAGAUGCACUAAGAAAACUUUUGAGGAUGUUUUACCUGAUAGCUUAGGCAUUUUGAAGACUUGCUUAAUGAAUACAUGUAAGAUUACACUUGUCUUUUAAGAUAGUAAAGAAUUAUUUGUCAUAAUUGACUAUCAGGGUAAGCUUGGCAACGGACAAGAAAUAGCUGUGAAAACGCUUGCGAAAACUUCAGCGCAAGGCCCCAAUGAGUUCAAGAAUGAGGUCAUGCUAAUAGCAAAACUUCAGCAUAGGAAUCUUGUUAGGCUACUUGGUUGCUGCAUUCAAGGAGAGGAGAGGAUGCUUAUAUAUGAAUACAUGGAAAACAAAAGCUUGGAUAGGUUUUUGUUCGGUUAGUCUACGCCAUUCAUUCUAAAUGCCUUCUUACUUUGUUUCUACACUAUAAUUUUGACAAUGUAACAUUUCAGUGAAAAGUUAACAGUUUGAGAAUUUUCGCAGAUAAAGCUUACAGCGCAUCACUAAAUUGGCAAACGCGGUACCGGAUAAUCGAGGGGAUUGCUCGAGGGCUUGUUUACCUUCACCAAGACUCAAGAUUUAGAGUCAUUCAUAGAGAUUUAAAGGCUGGUAAUAUUCUUCUUGAUAAGGAGAUGAACCCUAAAAUCUCAGACUUUGGCAUGGCACGAAUUUUUGGCGGUGACGAGACCGAAGUCAAUACAAGAAAAGUAGUUGGUACCUAGUAAGUAUAUAUGCUCGAUCACAUAUAUAUAAAACAAUAUACUCUUGAUUAAGAGUUCAUAAUCCUUACUGAUUGUGUUUCAUUUUGUAGUGGAUAUAUGUCUCCAGAAUACGCAAUGGAUGGAAUUUUUUCGGUAAAAUCCGACGUAUUCAGUUUUGGGGUUUUAGUGUUAGAAAUUAUUAGUGGAAGGAGGAACAGAGGAGCAUAUGUUGAUUCCUCACACCUUAAUCUUCUUGCUCAUGUUAAGUAUAUUUAACUCAAACAAUUUAUAUUUUAACUGCUACAUUUUCUUAAACUUUUUGGAUCUAUAUUUAUAUACUUUUCGCAGGUAUGGAGUUUAUGGACCGAGGGGAAGAGUUUGGAACUAGUAGACGAAUCUAUGGAUUAUUCCUUCCUCGCUAAUGAAGUUUUAAAAUGUUUACAAAUUGGUCUUUUAUGCGUUCAAGAGCACCCCGAGGAUCGUCCCCUGAUGUCGGCGGUCGUUUUGAUGCUUGGUAGUGAUGGAGCAUCACUGCGAACUCCGAAACAACCCGGUUUUGCAAGGAGGAGGGUUCCGAUUGAGAUGGAGUUUUCGUCGAGCAAGCAUGAUUCUAGAACGUUGAAUGACGUGACUAUAACCAUGAUCGGAGGCAGAUAAAAGGAACAAUUAUGCAUGUAGUUUGGCUGAAUUUCGUUUCAUGCGGAAAUGUUAUAUAUUUGAGGUUUUGAUUUCUUUCCUUUCUUUCUUUUCUUUCCCACUUUUUGCUGGUAGGAAAAUUUAUAAAUAUGUUUACAAGCAUUGGGUUAUUUUUUUUCCAUGUUGAUGAAAUACCCAAUUAGGUCAAAAACCUUGAAGUUGUGCAAUUAUUACAUACAUCAAAAGAACAACAAUUAUUUCUACCAAUAUGAGUACAAUUGAAGUAUCAAACAAAUGCUUGUACAUGAGACUAUUUUCACGGAAAGAACGUCAAGACAGUAAAAUCAAUUUCUGCAAAACUUCCAAAAAGAAAACAAAAAAGAGAAAAAAAAAAGUUGACACACACCUUUAUCUACCCUCUGCAAUAGUUACAGUAACAAUAUUUGCAGUGUAACUCUGCGACGAUGAUUCUAUAUCCGAAAAGCCCCUGCCGAUACUAAAAUUUCAGGCUUAUUCGGGUUUUUCCCUGAAAAGAACCAACAAAUAGCUAUACAAAUUUCCAUAAUUGAGUCUGCACAUUAGUCACAUCGUUCCAAGAAUUAACUACCAUGUAUACAGGGCCAAAACCACCCUAUCCAGUCUUAUUAGCAAAUGCGAAACUGUCCGUAGCAUCCAAUAUCGCCCCUAGAUCGAAUGUUGGAAGGUCGAGAUCUUCAUGAGUACUUGUUUCAUCUUCUAAGCUAUGAUCUCGUGUUGAGCCCUUUCUAACUUGAUUCUGGACCCGCGUAUCAUGUCGAAUGCAUGUCAAAUGGCGAGGCUUCUGAUAACAACACUCUGUCUCUGUGCCUUCUCUUUAUGUUGCUUAGCUUUUAGGAGCAUCAAUUAUGGAAAUUAAAAGUCAACAUGUAAAGCCGCAAUAGCAUUUUGUCCAAUAGUUUGGACUUAAUAAGUGAUUAUUACUAGCGGGUCAGAUCGUUAUAAUUAGUAUCAGACCCGAAUACCAAUUUGAAGUGUAAGAGCUAGAUACUAUGCAAGACAAAAUAUUAUGCCAACGGAUUUGGUGGGAGCCACCUUUUAAACCAGUAGGAGCCAACUCUAAAAUCUCAUAUCGCCUAGUAAUAUUUUGGUCUAUCUGUAAUUCGGAUUUGAAUAUGAUGAAGACAUCAUGAUCUAAACAGAGGAGUUUGUAAUGUCCCAAUAAUCUCACAUCGAAUGAAAAAAUAAUUUUGGUUUGAAUAUAUGAAGUCUCUAAGCUAGUAAUAAUAACUGAACUUAAAAAUUUGGGUUAGUGGUUUGGGCCCAACAAGUUAUAUAUUAUUAUUAGCGGAUCGGAUCAUCACAAUUAGUAUCAAAGACGAACAUAACCGGCAAGAAAAUCUUACAACCCGGAUAAUUCUGAUCUAUCUGUAAUCUAGCAUACAGUACAUGACCACCAUCAAAAUGCUUUUCCAAUGAAAAUUGUAGAUCCUUACAUGGCUAGCUCGCUCACUCUAUUCUCCAUGAUCUUAUGCAAGUUCUUAGAUACAAAUUAAUCAAGCCCAAAAAAAUAUAAAAAUCGUAAUUGUUGCCCGGAAAGGAUAAGGCCAUGAGUCUUAAUUAAUUGUUGGAUGGGAGUUGAUGACCCAUGAGUAUUGACUUAUACAGAUUAAUAACUUGCUCAUUUAAUUGGCCCGCUCGUAAAUUCUUCGAGCAUUUUCUUAUUAAUUAGUAUUAGGUAUAUAUACGAGAACUAGUUCAAGACAUUUUCACAUCACUGUACCGUUUCCUUUUGGUUAUUAUUGCAACCACACAUUGGGCUACUUGAAAACCCUUUUACUUUAUUUGACUUAUUUAUGAAGUUGAUAAUAAUUUGACACAAAGCUACAUACACUAAUGACAUGCCUUCAAUUAAUUGUUGGAAAUUGAUUUCCAGCAAUAUGGCAACGCUGUUACAUAUCGUUAAUUAGCUUACGGUUUAUAACCAAAUCAUUAGUAUCUCAAUAAUAAACACCGAAGUAUCUAGAAUUGUGGGUACGCAAGAUGUGAGGUAAAAAAAAAUUUAGAACUUUAUAAGAAGCUGAAAAUUUAGAUUUUGCAAAGAUACAUUCAUUUGUGAGAACGAAUGUGUUUUUAUAUCAAAGAUAAGAAUCAUCUUAAUUAUAGUGAAAAGUUUUAAAUAGUCUUAACAUUUCUGCUAGCAAGUAUAGUUGAUAUCUAAUAAAUAAUUUCUUAAUAUGAAAAGAGCUUAAAAUAAAUUUUAAUAUUAUAUUAUCUAAAAGAGUAAUCUUGCAAAUAAAUAUCAUGUAUUUUGGCACUUCAAAGGUCAUAAAUGCAUAAUAGCUACACUAACCUUCUUCCUUUUUUUAUUGGAAUCUUAUAUAGUAAACUUUUCUAGUAUACCUCUCUUAAAGGAAAAAAAAAAAAGAAAAAAGAAAAAAAAAGAGACCCAACAAAUGCCCGCGCGCCAACCCUGUAAUGCUACGAUGAAUACAUUACUCCCAUACAGCAGCAGCAGCAGCAGCAGCAGCAGCAGUAGCAGUAGCAAGCCUCUCUGCACCAUCCUAUUAUUACUUCUGCUCUCCAUCUUUUUCAUUACUGCUCGCGCGCGGGACACGAUAACUGUAGGCAGCCCGCUCGCAGAGAACGAGACGCUCGUCUCCGUGGGCGGCUACUUCGCCCUCGGCUUCUUUAACCCCCCGAACAACCCCGACCGCUACAUCGGCAUCUGGUACAACAACAUCCCACCGCAAACCGUCGUCUGGGUCGCCAACCGCCUCAAACCCGUCACCGCCUACCACUCCUUCCUCUCCCUCUCCCCCGACGGCAUCCUCACCCUCUCCUCCCCCAACUCCUCCACCCCACUCACCACCACCGCAACUACCUUAACCAACCCUGUAGCCCAACUGUUGGACACCGGUAACUUUGUCGUGCGAGAAGAAACCGACGGCAGCGAUGCUGCCGAGUGGCAGAGCUUCGACUAUCCGACGGACACGCUGAUAGCCGGGAUGAAGCUGGGCGUGGACCGGCGGCGGGGGCUGAACUGGACGCUGACAUCCUGGCGAAGCGGGUCGGACCCGGCCCCGGGCGAGUACUACCUGGCGAUGGACACGGCGGGGGACCCGGAGAUGUUCCUCUACUCUGUAGCGGGUCGGGCGCGGAUCUGGCGAUCGGGCCAGUGGGACGGUGUCGAUUUCAGCGGGCUCCCGGACAAUGUCACGUUCCGGGACCUCGUGUCCACGUUCACCAACAACGCGGACGAGGUCUCCUACAGCUUCAACAUCCUGAACCGGUCCAUCAUCACCCGGGGUGUCGUGAACCAGACCGGGGUCAUACAGCAGUCCAUGUGGAUCCAGUCGAUGCAGGUGUGGAAGAUCCUCUUUCACGUGCCGCAGGAUCCGUGCGACGAGAUGUCCCCCUGCGGGCCCUACGGGCUGUGCGAACCCAACGACUCCCCCAUGUGCAGCUGCCUGCAGGGGUUCAAGCCGCGGUCGCCGCAGAACUGGGCGCUGCUGGACGGCUCGGGCGGGUGCGUCCGCACGACGCGGCUCGACUGCGCCAACCGCACCGACGGGUUCGUCAUGGUGAGCCAAGUGAAGCUCCCGGAAGGCACGAAUUGUACGGUCGACGCGACCGCUGGGCUCGACCAGUGCGCCGCCAGGUGUUUGUCGAAUUGCUCGUGCACCGCCUACGCAGCCUCGAUUGCCAGUAGUGGGGCCCGGAGUGGGUGCGUCAUGUGGUACUCCGACCUCACCGGUAUGCGGGUCUUCCCAGGCGAGGGGCAGGAUCUGUACGUACGCUUGGCGGCGGCUGAUCUAGGUACGCACACGUACUUACUACAAAUAUACGUGCUUUUUAUUUAUUUACUUAUUUAGUAAAUUAUUUAAUUACUAGUUAAGGGAUCCGCGCGAUGCUGCGGAUUAUUAUUUUAAAAUUUAAUUUUAAAAAUUAAUUAUGAAAUUAAUUUCAGAAUUUAAAUGUUACAAUAAGUACAUCAAAAAAUUUUAGUAGGCAUAGUAGUCCCCCAUUAGUUAGUGAAAUAAUUUUAGUAGAUAUCGUAGUCCCCCAGUAAUUAGUGAAUAAGAUAAGAAAUCAUUGUUUGUGAUUCUCGCAAUUAAUUUUCGUCAAAUAUAAAAUUAACUUAAGCUGCAUUAAUUUUUUUUUUAUUUUUCAAUGUACAAUUUAUAUGUGAAUGUUCAACAGCUCAAUAUUAUAAAAUUAAUAUUUAUAUUUAAUACCAGUAGUCUAAAUUAUUUAACAUUUAUUUAGGCUAAAUUACAGAAAACCUCACUGUAAUAACCCACUUUUUCACUUUCCCUCCCUGACAUUUAAAAAUAUACACUUUGCCCCCUUAUAAAAUGAAAAAUGUGCACUUCACCUCCUACCGUUAGGGUUCCGUUAUAAAAUAUUUUUUAUGCCGAAAAUACCCCUCCGCCCUCUUCCUUGUUGCUUCGCCUCCCUCCGGCUCGCCACCUCGGCCCCGCUUCGCUGCCUCGCCGCCUCGCCGCUUCGCCAUCCUCCACUGCCUCGCCCUCGCCCUCGCCCACCAUUCCCUUCGCCUUCCUCCGCCGCCUCGCCUUCGCCUUCGUUGCCCUUGCCUACCUCUCCAUUAACACCCACCUCGAUUCCCUCUUACUAUUGUCGAAAUCGAGAGGCUGCGAGGGUGCAGGAGGAGAAGGGGAGCAGGUGGAAAAGGAAAUGGACAGAAAUCGCAGUCGAAUGAGGUGGGAAUCGCGGCCGAUCGAAGGGAUGGCUGAGGAAGAUGAGGAAGAAGACAAAAAUGGCGAGGGCAAAAUGAUCAUUUUACACACCGUAAUCCCCUGUAAACAUUUUUUAUUUUAUAAGGGGGUAAAGUGUAGGUUUUUAAAUGUCAGGAAAAAAGUGAAAAAGCGGGUUAUUACAAGAAAGUUUUUUGUAAUUUAGCCAUUUAUAUAUUUUAUAUUUUACAAAAAUAAAUAGUAAAUUAUAUAAUAAAUUAUUAUAUAAUAAUAUAUCUAUAUACAAAUAAAAUACUAUAUAUAUUAAAUAAAUAUUUUAAUAAAUAAAUAUAUAUUUAUAAUAAAUACUUAUGUAUAAUAAAUAAAUAUAUAUUUUAUUAAAUAAAUAUAUAUAUAUAUACAUUAUAUAUAUAUAUAUAUAUAUAUACUAUAUAUAUUAAUAUAUAUUAUUAUAUAUAUAAGAGAAGAGAGACGAGGAUGAACGGAGAAGGGAGGUCACCGUGGAGCUUCCCUCUCACGUGGUCACGAGGCGAAAAUUGGCCUCGUUGGACCGCGAUAAAAGCUAAAAGAGCCGUGAUUUUUUUUUUUCGGACUUCCGCUGCUCCGAGUCAAUGGGCGCUGCUGCGCCUGGCCCGCACCCCUGUGCACCCGCUGUCGCCGUAACGUGACCCGGCACGCUGACCCUGGGCUCCUAGAUCCACGUGCUCUCUGCGAAGGCGAUACAUGCUACUUGUGUGAACCCGUUAGGUUGGAGGGACAGUUGUUCGGCGGGAGUCCGACUCACCCGUGGCGCGGUUUCCCGCGGCUCAGGGGGUCUCGCUGCUGUCAAACCUAUAGCCAGCGGGCCUCUAGAUUGCCGUUUCAGAGACACGCGGGCGUUCGCGCUUUACGCGCAGCGCGAUCGAAUUUUCCUAGAUCCCUGCUCACGGCCGGUCAUGGGCGUCGGACGUCUUUUGCUCUCUCCGGCUGAAGCGAUGAUAGUCUCGCGCAUCGUAGGGUCCCUCGUCCGAUGCUUGUCGUAAUCUUUGCCUAUCUGGGUGUUAACAGUCCGUCGUGCAUGUACUUGUAAAUGUUUGGAGAAUUCGGGCGGUUAAGCUCCACUUUCGCAACUUCAUCCAAUUGAAGUGGCCGUCUACAUUUGCGCAGGCGUGUGACACUAGCUAAAUUAAGGUGCCCACAUCUGAGUGGAAGAAAUGGGGUGUGUGUAUAUGUGGUGUUUUUAUGAUGUGAGGUUCUUAUGUAAAAUUAUUAAUAGUAAUAAUAUCGCAACCUUGGUUGAAGCAUUUUUUGGGUAGUGGCUUGGACCAUCUCCUGGAAGUCAGUUGUUGUGGGAGGUCGAGCCUGUCUCGAGGUUGAUAUGUAGUUUGCUUGGUCACUUGCCCAACGAAUUAUUUGUUGCUAAGUGGGCUGGGUCGUUACAUUGGUAUCAGAGGCCGUUCACAUAGUUGGACAUGCUGUAUCGAUGUCCUGGCUGAGUCAGGGUCUAGAUACGGUGCUAGCUAGACGAACAGUCGCUACAUCGCCUGGUGAUUCUUUGGGCUGUAUGUGUGUUGGGACUGACUGAGUGAACGUCAGGCGGGGCGUGGAGUAUGAAGGGAAGAGUCUAUUGACAUCAAUAUAAUGAUCGCUACAUUCUGGAAUGGCGAGGUAAAUGGAUCUGUGCUCGCGCAAAAGUGAUUGAUUACAAUCGGGGUUGUCGGGUGUGCUUUGUCUUGAUAGGUGAGUUUAUAAUGAGACUGUUCACCUGUAGUUAUAAAGACUCGCAGCGACUCGAAUUGAUCUAUUGUGACUGUGCGAGUCCUUAAGCUUUUUGGGGCUCACCAGUCAAAGUAGUGUGGGAUAGGUUACGUAAGGAUGCGUGGUUCGGGGAUUUCGUAUAUCACGAUACCAAUAGCUCCCAUAUCGCGACGUGUAUGUGUUCUGCUAGUGGGCUGUCUGUUACACAGCUCCGUCGCCGCCGGGGCUUCCGGCCGGCCAACGCUUUAAGCAACCACUAGUCUUUGGCCAUUGGUCGUGAUAGUGAAUAAUCACGCAUUUCACACCGGAAUAGUCACUUGGAUUCGCGGAUCGGUGCUAGUUUUCAACUGUUGGAGAGUUAACAUUAGCGAACAGAUCAGUAUUCUUUUUCGGGCCCUAAAAGCAACUUUAGUCUUUGUCAUCUUGGUGCCUCGGAUGUAUUAGAUAGGUGUCGGAUGUGGCAUUUGAGAAUUUCUUCUUCUAGUGCGAUUCGCGGUACCACAGCUCGUCGGAAGGUAGUGCAUUUUAUAUAAGAUACAUAAACAAGAUACCUCAGAUAGUUUAAUAGAUUCAUAAGAUUUUAGACUUAUAGAUUUACAUAGAAUAUCUUGUUAUUUUAUAGUCCAGAUAUCUAUUAAUCUAAUGGCACUCUCUCCUUAUUUCUAUGUCAUUUUCUAUUACCAUUUGGAUAUCGUAGGGUUGCACAUCAAAGUUCAUCAGUCUCCAGAGGUAAUCGGAGCACUCAAAUCGAACCGCUAUUCUGCUCGAUAAGGCGGUUGAGUAUACCCGAUGUGAUAUUAGUUUAUUAUCGUGACUAGUGUUUUUUUUUAGUGUUUCGUUGUCUUCGAAGAAUUAUAUACUUAGAUUAGUUGAAAUUCUUUGAGCUAGGCGGGUGUUCUAUAUCCGUUAUACAGUUUAUUAUUUAAAGCGCGGUUUUGCGGCUGAAAGGUAAUUUUCGGGUGGGUAACUUGUAAUGUAAAAUAUAUUGGUUGGUAGAUCACCAUCUGCGAUUUGUGAACUCGUGUAUAUUCUUAAAUUUUUGUAAUUGUGUGACUAUUGGAAUCUUUAGAAAUACCUAAUUUUGCAUAGUUAUGUUAUCGGUCUCUCAUAUUCUUAUAGCAAGAAAGAGAGCAUAUUUCUUGAAAUCUUGAUUUCUGAUCCGUACGCGUUAACAAAUAAUGGCGCAAUAGCUUCAAUUGCUGGUUUAUAUGUUACGUAAAAGCUAUUCAAUUUAUUCAUGAGUAGUGAGUUUUGUUUAUUUUUUAAUUUCUAAUAUACUUGUGUAAGAAGUUAAAUGUGUUAAUUUUAAAUUUUCAAUUUUCUAUCUCCUAUUCGAAUUUUUAAUUGUUCUAAAUCUAAUAAAAUCUUUAGAAAUUGAAUAAAUUAAUAAACGAUUUCAACAUGUUAGAAAUGUUUAAUACAAUUUCUAUCAACUAUUUUCACAUUUCAAUGUCUAAAUUUUUCAGAUUUUAGUAAUAGUUUAAGAAUCUAAGAAGUUAUGUGGAUAUAAGUUGCAGAGAUAAGAUGAUUUUUCAUAUUAGUUAUGAAAGUGUUUAUGUGAGUUUUUAAAUUUAAAUGCUAUCAAAUUAUAUAUAAAAUUUUGGUUAACCAUUACUUGUAAGUGAAUAUGUAUGAAUUUUUUAAUCUAAAUUGUAAAUUUUAAAUUUUAAAAUUUAAAUUUUAAAUAUUUCAAUUUCUUUAAAGUUGUGUAGAAAGUUUAAAGUAGUAUUCAAAGAUUUUUAUACGUAUUUAACUAUUUAAAAUUUCUCAAUUAAAUAUAUUUAUAAAUGUAAAAUUUAAAAUUUUAAAAUUUAAAUUUUUGUAGAUUUAAAAUUUUAAAUCCGGCAGCAGAAUCUCGAAUUCCAUAUAUUUUAAUAUUAAAGUGAAAUAUUGUGUUCUAUAUUUAAUUUUUCAUAAUUAUUUAUAUUUUUACUUUAAAUUUUAAAUUGGUAAUUUUUUUAAAUUUCAAGUUGUCUAAUUGUUUAGAUAUUUACUAUUUGAGUUUUUUCUAAUAAAUUUUACCUUAGAAGUUUAAGAAGGUUUGCAGGAUUUAUAACUUUGAUAUUUCCGAAUUAAAAAUUAGUGUUGGUUUAUAAUAAUUAAGAAACAUUUAAAAUUCAGAUAAAUUUAAUAAUUUGAAUUUUAGUUUAAAUUUAAUAUGUAAAUAUUUAAAUUUUUAAUUUAAAAUAUAUAAUUUUUAAUCCUCAAAUUGUAAUUUUUAAAUUUUAAAAUUUAAAUUUUAAAUAUUAAAUUUAAAUUUUAAUUUAAUAUAUUCAAAUUUUAAAUUUAAUAUUUUAAAAUUUUAAUUAUUUAAAUGUUAAAAUUUAACAUUAUUUUUAAAUUUUGAAAUUAAAUUUAAAUAUAUUUUAAGUUAAUAUUUUAUUUUAAAUUCAUAAUUAUUUAUAUUUUUACAUUUAAAUUUUAAAUUUUAAUUUUAAAUUCAAAUUUUAAAUUUAGAUUUUAAAUUUUAAUUUUUAAAUUCUAAAAUUUAAAGUUUGAAUUUAAAUUUAAAUUUAUAUUUUUAUAUAUUAAAAUUUUAUAUUUUAAAAUUCAUAAUUAUAUAUAUUUUUAAAUUUAUAUUUAUAUUUUUAAAUUUUAAAUUUCAUAAUUAUUUUAAAUUUUAAAUUUUUAAAAUUUUUAAUUAUUUUUUAAAUUAAAAAUCAAAUUUUAAAUUUUGUACAAUUUUGAAAUUUAAAUAUUUUAAUUUUAAUUCACAUUUAAAUUUAGAUUUUAAAUUAUUUUAAAAUAAAAAUUAAUAAAAAUAUUAAUUUAUGUAAAUAUUAAAAAUAAAAUUACCAAACAGCUUUUUGAAAUCUUUUCAGGAAAAUCACUUUUAUCUAAACUCUACCAAACGCUCUAUAGCCUUUAACCAAAAUUACUUCUCCAAACCAAAUUCACUUUUUCAGAAAUUAUUUUUUCAAAAGCUAGGCUAAACAGACCCUAAUUAAGAAAUCUAAAAGCUAUUUAUCAUGUAACUAACUUUGAGAGUAUUAAAACAAAAAUUUAAGGUUAGUUACUAAAUUUUUCUCCUUAAGCAAAAUAGUUUGGAGUGGAACAUAUGAUGUUCAAUAGAAGCCAAAAAAUUAACAAAAGUGGUAAAUUUUUUUUAAAAAAGCAGCAAAUGGGUAAUGCCGGCAACCGUCUCUUCUGUAAUUGGCUUGGAAUGUAGCAUCGGCGCCUACUUAUUAGACAAUCGUGCACGUCUUCGCUAACCAUUAAUUUCCAAGAUUCGUUAAGGUUUAUAACGAUUUCUUGUGUAAUGACUUGACCAGUAGCAAUAAUAAUUUGUUCGGCUCAAAUUACUGGUCCAAAAUACUUAAACUCAGUUAUUAUUAUUAGUGUUCAGAUCUCUUAUAUAUUCAAUUAUAAUUCUAUUUUCAUCAUAUAUGUAGAACUGUUGGGUGUCAUAGAGGAAUGGAAUUAUGAUUGGAUAUAUAAAAGAUCUGGACACUAAUAACAACUAGGUUUAAGUAUUUUAAGUCGGUGAUUUGAGCUCAACGAUUUAUUAUUACUAGUGGGUCGGAUCGUUACAUUUCGUAUUAGAGUCAAUCACUAACCGAAAAUGUAAAAUGAAUCUUGGCCGAGGUAGAAUCAGAAUGACAGACUAAGCCAAGAUCAGAAUGAUAAGGUGACAAACUAAGCAAAGAUCGAAAUGAUAAGUUUAGCGAGACAAAUCUCAUAUCGCCUAACGAUCUUGGAUUGUGUGUGUCAUUGAGUUGAGAGAAUGUUAUGGUCUAAACGGAGGAAAUCUGUGAUACUCUAAUAAUUUCACAUCGGAUAAAAAUAAAAUUAUUAUUGGAUAUAUAAGAGACCUGGAUACUAAUAAUAAUAACUUGGUUUAAUCAUUUUGGGCCUGUGGUUUGGAUCCAACGAUUUAGUAUUACUAAUGGGUCGGAUUGUUACAUUUGGAAUAAAAACUCUGCCUGUCGUACCGAAAAGUUGUUGAUACUGUUCAAUGUGAACCAAAAUGUGCCUUUAUUUAGCUGCACUAUCAAGCUGGAAAUAUUCUCAUAGGUUGAUAAAAUGGUUUUGGGUCCUCUAUGGCCUUAAUAUAUGAAUUGUGUGGGUUUUUGUCCAGGUGGCAGCACAAGGUUGAGGGCAUAUUUUUGUUUCACUAAAACGGAACUUUGGGUUGAAGUGACGUUCAGUGAAAACUAUUUCUUCUCUGUUGUUUGUUUCGUAAUUAUGGAAGUGAAGUUUUAUUAAUUCUGCUGUUUGUUUGGUAAAAAGUGUAUGAUGUAUAAUGAAUAAUUUAAUAAAUAAAAAUAAUAUAAUUAUAUUUUUUUUAUAUAAUUAAAAUUUAAUUUACAACAACUAAAUUAUUUUUUUAUACAUAAAUUAUAGUAAUGCAACAAUAAAAUUAUAAAUUCUUAAUUAAUCAAUUUUUAUCAUAUUUUAAUUGUACAAACUAAAUAAAAAAAAUUAAAACUUAACUAAUCAAUUUUUAUCAUAUUUUAAAUAUGCCAAAUGAAUAAAAAAAAUAAUUAGUACUAUAAUUAAAUAUAUUUAAAUAUAACUAUUUUUAUCUAGUAUAUUAUUUAUUAUUUUUUUUCACCUUUCGUUACUGUAAUUGACUUCGGCCCAUACGCCAUUUCAGGUUAACUGAAGUUUCGACCGCAAUUUUUUUGCGGCGAAACAAACAACGAAAGUGAUCGUUUAUGAUGAAAACGACUUACCCCCUCUCCCCUUCCACCUCACUUCCACCCAAACAAACAUGCCCUGAGUGGAGGGGUGGGGUGGGGUGGGGUGGGCUUUUUCUUCUUUUUUUUUUCAACCUGAUUUUUUUUUUCGACGAACAAGAAAAAAAUAUAUAAUUUUUUUUAAAUUAUUCAUUAAAAAUUAUGAAGUUCAUUGUCAUAUGGAUAUUAGAUUUUAUAUUUCAAGAUAAUUCGGUAAGGUAGUUAAAUUAUUUUUUCAACUAUUAGCCAAUUCAUUUUUUUAUAAAAAAAUCAUUAACUAAAAAUCAUCAUAAUAUGCACAAAACAUAAUAAUAAAAAUUUUUAAUUUUUUUGGUGAAUAAUUAAUUGUACUCUAAUCAUUGUAGCAAAUAAAUUAUAAUUUUUAUACUGAAAACUCAAAAAGAAUUGCUAAACCUUAGGGUGUUCAAUAUUUUAUUUUUGUUGAAUAAUAUUUUGGUUUCUUCUUUCUACUAAAAACUCAAAAGAAUUAUCUAAGCUUUAGAAUGUGGCUUAUAGUAUAAUAAAUUAUUUUAAAAUUUUGUAUUAUAUGUAUUAUAUCAUAUUAUAUUUUACACUAUUAAGCUUUAUAGGUCAGAUAUAUUUAAUAAAAUUUUGAUAUUAGAAUAUUAGUUAUCUAAUAUAAGUUGUGGUAUAUAGAAUAUUAAUGUCCACCAAGUGUAUAUAAUAGUUUUUUUCUUUCUCCAAUCAAUUUUAACAUGAUAAAGACAUCUCACAUAUUCUUCAACUUCAACUUUAACUUUUUAGCUAAAAAUUUAUUUAUAGAAUAGCUAUCAAAACUAUUAAGCUUGAUUGACUUUUUUUAAAUAAAAUUAUUACAUAAUUUUACUCUGCAAAUAAUGAAAGUUAAGGAAGUAUUAAUAACAAUUAUUCUUUAUAAUGUAUAUAUAAGAAUACUAUACUUUUUUUUUGCAUAUUUUUUUAACUAUAAUUUUUUUUAAUUUUAAAAUUNUAUUUUACACUAUUAAACUUUAUAGGUCAGAUAUAUUUAAUAAAAUUUUGAUAUUAGAAUAUUAGUUAUCUAAUAUAAGUUGCGGUAUAUAGAAUAUUAAUGUCCACCAAGUGUAUAUAAUAGUUUUUUUCUUUCUCUUUGCAUAUUUUUUUAACUAUAAUUUUUUUUAAUUUUAAAAUUUAAAUAACUAUAUAUUUUAAUCGGUUGAAAUACUAUCUAUCCACAGCGAAGCGCGGAUUCUACACUAGUAUAUAAUGAUAGGAUUGGAUGUGUAGGAUUGUUAAAAUUAUCCUGCUUUUUCUGUUUUUAAGAAUAUUAGUAGUCUAGUUUUUUUGUCAAAAUAAUUCCGAUAGCUUUGCAUUGAAGCUAGAAGAAGAAACUAAUGCAGUAGGUAAAGAGAAAAAUCCUCAAUGAGAAAUGUAGCUAAAGCAAGUACACCUAUGUUUAAUGGGAGAGUGGUUUGGUUAGGGGAUAGGAAUAGGAAUAGACCCUUAUCCCCUCUUUAUACCCAAACACUAAUUUUUUACCUGAGAAUAGUAGUUCUCGGUUAUUCCCACCAACACCUCCAUUUUCUAUAUAAAAUUAUCUAAAAUUGUUCUUAUUUUCGGAAACAACCCAAUUUUCAUCCAAACACUAUUUUUCUUAUCUCCAUACUUGUAUCUAUCCCUGUAAUAAUUAGUUCUUGCUUAUACCCGAACCAAACGGUACCUAUAGUGUAUUUCCAUCUUAUUCCAUGGACUUGGUUAAUGGUUACCAUCCGCAAUAUUAAUUAGGCAGACUAUAGGGAUGUUUGGGCUAUCCACUUUUGUGUUCAGAUCAAUUCGAGAAAUUCGCAUAAUGUUUGAUGGAAUAGCAAGUUGUCUCCAUAUUUUCUCUCUACUGAUCACUGCCUCAACGAUGUUUGGACUGUGGCAUCUAAUAGUUCAUUUCAGUUUCUCGCUUAAGCCAAAAGGUGUUGUUGGGCAUUUUGUACACAAUACAUCUAGAUUCACCAGCAGGUAAGCUAAUCCAGCAGCUGGCCAGACAAAAUAUAUAGCACCUCAAACAAGAUAUGGUUUUCCUUUGAUUAAUUGGAAUAUAUCUUUGCUUAAAUGAGAAGAUAUGGUACUAAAUUAGGGAUGUCUACAGCUUCAGCUACAAGCCACUCUAGCAAGAGUGAUCAUGCACCCAUUGCACUCAUUGUAAGCCUUUCUGUAGUGGCAUUCCCACUAGCAUGUGCUGGUUGCUAUAUUUGGAGGAGGAAACUUAGGAAAUCAGGUAAUAAAACUACUAAUUCAGUACGCUUUGUUUGAAAAGCCCAAAUGAAUGUAAAUGGAAAUUGUAAGACAAUUAUUAACGGAUUGAACAUACAAGCCCAGGCACGUCAGCGAGCAAAGAGGAAAGUACUCAAGAUGGUGAUAUAGAGUUGCCAUUAUUUGAUUUGAGCGCUAUCGCUGUUGCAACGGAGGGGUUCUCUAACGCAAAUAAACUUGGACAAGGUGGCUUUGGACCAGUUUACAAGGUUAGUUUUUAACCUUUCAUCUUGCAUAAAAGAAUCAAACUUCUUAUACCAUUGUCUAGAUGCUUGCUUUAAACCAUAUAAUUCUUUUUUUAAUUUACAUACUAAAUUAGGAUUAGCUUCUAUAAAGCCUUCGGGUUGAAACAUAUAAUUUCUUCAUCCAAAUUACCAUGCAAGAAAGCGGUUUUAAUAUCAAGUUGCUCAAGCUCAAAAUCCAAAUUAGCAACCAAGGAUAAAACAACUCUAAUUGAGCAAUGCUUAACAACGGGAGCAAAUAUUUCAUUGAAAUCAAUACUUUGCUUUUGUCCAUAGCCCUUAACAACAAGCCUUGCCUUAUAUCUCUUGGAUCCAUCGGCUUCAUUCUUGAUCACAUAAACCCAUCGAUUUUUCAAUGCUUUCUUUCCGACCGGAAGCUCCACCAACUCCCAAGUAUGGUUUUGAUGUAAGGAAUCCAUCUCAUCCUCCAUUGCCCUUUGCCACUUUGCUUUUUCGAAGCAAUCUUUUGCUUCCUGAAAACACUCGGGCUCACACAAAUCAGUAAAUAAAGCAUAAUAUAAAGAAGGAGAAUAUCUUUGGGUGGGUUAAUGUAGCCUAGUUGAUCUUCUCAAAUCAUGUGCCGGCGGGGUAGACAUAUCGUUCUCACUCUCAUGAGAAUCAUGCCGACUUUCACUAGAUUGUGUACUUUCUUCAUGAUCAACAUUAUCAUCAUGACCAACAUCACUAUCAUGAAGUGGAGGAUGAACUUCAUGUAUAUCUUGAGAAGAACCAUCAACUUGUACAUCAACAACAAGUUUAUCUUUCUUUUGCUCUUCUUCCGUGCCUUCUUUAAACAUUACAUCUUCUCUAAACACAACAUCCCGGCUCCGAAUAAUUUUUCUAACAACGGGAUCCCAAAGUCUAUAACCCAACUCAUCAUCUUCAUAGCCAAGAAAUACACAUUUCCUUGCUUUCACAUCAAGCUUUGUUCUACUUUCUUUCGGAAUAUGAACAUAAGCUUCACACUCAAAUAUUCUUAAGUGCCCAUAGGAAAUGUCUUUGCCACUCCACAUAAUUUCUAGAAUGUCUCCAUCUAAUGCAACACUAGAUGAUCUAUUAAUCAAGUAAACGGCCAUAUUUGCCGCUUCGGCCCAAAAGGACUUUGUUAGGCCGGAGUGCGACAACAUACUUCGAAUCCGUUCCACAAUUAUUCGGUUCAUUCUUUCAAUGAUCCCAUUUUGUUGUGGUGUGUAGGGAACCGUCUUCACUCUUUUGAUGCCAUUCUCAAAACAAAAAUCAUCAAAGGCACUAGAGCAAAAUUCACGACCAUUGUCAGUUUGCAAGCACUUAAUAAAAUGGUCACUUUCCUUUUCAACACGGGCUUUGAAUUUCUUAAAAGUUUCAAAAACUUGAUCUUUUGAAGCCAAAGGAUAAAUCCAACACUUUCUAGAAUAAUCAUCUAAGAAAGUAACAAAGUAGUAUGCACCUCCAAGAGACUUAAUAUUGAAAGGACCGCAAACAUCGGAAUAAACCAAUUCCAAUUGCUUGACCUUUCUAUGCAUCUCAUUUCUUUUAAAGUUAACUCUAUAUUGUUUUCCCAUAAUACAAUAUUCACAAAAAUCAAAAAAUGAAUGCUCAAAGGAAAGAAUAAGUUUAUGUUCUUGUAAUACCUUCAUACCAUGCUCACUUAGAUGACCAAGCCGAUUAUGCCAAACUUGCAUAUUUUCGCCUUUGCUUGCGGUAGUAACCAUCAAAUUUGAAUCAUCACCCUUUUGAGCGGUUCCAUGAAGUGUAUAAAGACUUUCAUCCUUUUGCCCUUUCAAAAUAGUCAUGCUACCCCUUGAUACCUUCCAAGAGCCCUUUCCGAAAGUGAUAACAAAACCGGAAUCAUCCAAUUGUUCCGCCGAUAUUAAGUUCUUUGUGAUCUCCGGAACAUGACACACAUUUGUCAAUGUAUGCUUUUGACCAUUUGUUUGCUUUAUGACAAUGUCACCCAUGCCAAUAAUUUUACAUGCCCGAUCAUUACCAAGAUAAACAAAUUCACUAUCUACUUUUUUGUAUGUAGAAAAAUAUGAUCGAUCUCGACAUAUAUGAAAAGAAGCACCGGAAUCCAAAACCCAAGUGUUUGCACAAGAAGAGACCGUGCAAGCAACAUUUAAUGUGACUCCACUUUCACCAUCCGAAGCAUUGUUAGCUUCAUUCAUGACAUCCUUACCUUUACCUUUUUGCUUAUUUUUCAAAGCAUAACAAUCCUUUCUCACAUAAUCCGUCUUCUUGCAAUACCAACAAGUAAGCUUUCUACCAUGUGAUUUUGAUCUUCCUUUACUUUGAGAUCUUCCCUUUGUGUUGGAAUAUUGGCCUCGCUUCGGUGACCUUUCUCUUUCAUCAAUAGUUAGUGCUUGACUCAAAUCACUAGACAAUUGAUUUGUGGCUUUGCGAGUUUCCUCAUUCAACAAUGAAGCAACAAUAUCAUUCAACUUGAAUUUGUUCUCCAUUGUGUUUGCCACCAUAGAAACAAGAGUAUCCCAACUUGAAGGUAAAGAACUCAAAAGUAGUAAACAAAGGACUUCUUCAUCAAGGUUAAUUUUGAGAGACUUCAAUUGUGCCGCAAUAGAGUUGAACUCACUCACAUACUUACGAAUAGUAGAACCUUCUUACAUCUUCAAGAGAAAGAGUCUCUUUAUUGCAUGCAUCUUGAUCACACCAGAAGGUUGCUCAAACGAUUGCUCCAAAGUCUCCCACAAUUCGGAUGUUGUCUUGCAUUGAUAGACAUCAAAUAAGAUCGAUGAUGAAAUGCAUGGUCUAAUCGCCGCCAAACAUUUUCGGUCAAGUAUAUCCCAUUCAUGAUUAUCCAUACUAGUGGGCUUUGCACCUUUUCCCAAUAUUGGUAAAUCAAGCUCUUUUGCAACCAAAUAAUCCUCUAUCCCGAUUUUCCAUACAAGCCAAUUGCUCUCAUUCAACUUCUCAAAUUCCAUAACUUUCUCCAUUUGAAAGAUGAGUGAAUAAAUACAAAUGAAUGCUUAGAUAACCACCAAUCAAGCUCUGAUACCAAUUGUUGUUAAAUAAAGGUGAAAAAUAUGGAUGACAAUUUCACAAAUACUUGGUGGGCAAUUUCACAACCCACUCUCUUUAAGCAUCAAAUGGAGAGCCAAGCACAAGAGCAAUAACAAAAAUAAAAACCACAAGAACACAAGGAUUUAUAUGGUUCGACUAUGCCUACAUCCACGGGAGAACAAUGCAAAAGAAGCUUCCACUAUAAACUUGAAUAUUAUAAGAGAGAUUCAAAUGGGAGAAAUAUCACCUUAACUCCAAGGUAUAAAAGAGAGCUCCAACAAUCUUUAGCUCUAUUCAAAUGGUGUAAAUCACACCUCACAAGGAAGAUCUCACAUCCUUUUUGAUAGAACCAAGAUCAAAACCAAGCCUAGGAUUUUCUCUCUUUUCUCCCACUUUUUUUCUCACUCUCUUAUUCUCUCUCUUUUCUCUCAUAUUCUAAUAUCCCACUUUAGCUCUCUAAGAGAAGAGGCUAACAAUAUGGGCCUUUGGAUCAAAAGAACCAUGAUCCAAAGACUUACAAAUAGGGGCCCACAUAUAUGAUAAGAAAAUAUAGAAAGAGGAGAUUUUGACUUCACCAAAUUACAUAGCCCAAAUAGUAAAGCCCAAAUAGAAGUAGGCCCAAUGUAAUUAGCUCAACACUAGUCUUACAUGAUCUAUUUGAAUUAUUUAUGUCGUGAUUGACUAUCAGGGUAAGCUUGGCGACGGACAAGAAAUAGCUGUGAAAACGCUUGCAAAAACUUCAGCGCAAGGCUCCGAUGAGUUCAAGAAUGAGGUCAUGCUAAUAGCAAAACUUCAGCAUAGGAAUCUUGUUAGGCUACUUGGUUGCUGCAUUCAAGGAGAGGAGAGGAUGCUUAUAUAUGAAUACAUGGAAAACAAAAGCUUGGAUAGAUUUUUGUUCGGUUAGUCUACGCCAUUCAUUCUAAAUGCCUUCUUACUUUGUUUCUACACUAUAAUUUUGACAAUGUAACAAUUUAGUGAAAAGUUAACAGUUUGAGAAUUUUCACAGAUAAAGCUUACAGCGCAUUAGUAAAUUGGCAAACGCGGUACCGGAUAAUCGAGGGGAUUGCUCGAGGGCUUGUUUACCUUCACCAAGACUCAAGAUUUAGAGUCAUUCAUAGAGAUUUAAAGGCUGGUAAUAUUCUUCUUGAUAAGGAGAUGAACCCUAAAAUCUCAGACUUUGGCAUGGCACGAAUUUUUGGCGGUGACGAGACCGAAGUCAAUACAAGAAAAGUAGUUGGUACCUAGUAAGUAUAUAUGCUCGAUCACAUAUAUAUAAAACAAUAUACUCUUGAUUAAGAGUUCAUAAUCCUUACUGAUUGUGUUUCAUUUUGUAGUGGAUAUAUGUCUCCAGAAUACGCAAUGGAUGGAAUUUUUUCGGUAAAAUCCGACGUAUUCAGUUUUGGGGUUUUAGUGUUAGAAAUUAUUAGUGGAAGGAGGAACAGAGGAGCAUAUGUUGAUUCCUCACACCUUAAUCUUCUUGCUCAUGUAAGUAUGUUUAAACUCAAACAAUUUAUAUUUUAACUGCUACAUUUUCUCAAACUUUUUGGAUUUAUAUGUAUAUACUUUUCGCAGGCAUGGAGUUUAUGGAAUGAGGGGAAGAGUUUGGAACUAGUAGACGAAUCUAUGGAUUAUUCCUUCCUCGCUAAUGAAGUUUUGAAAUGUGUACAAAUUGGCCUUUUAUGUGUUCAAGAGCACCCCAAGGAUCGUCCCCUGAUGUCGGCGGUCGUUUCGAUGCUUGGUAGUGAUGGAGCAUCACUGCGAACUCCGAAACAACCCGGUUUUGUAAGGAGGAUGAUUCCGACUGAGACGGAGUCGUCGUCGAGCAAGCAAGAUUCUAGCAUGUUGAAUGACGUAACUAUAACCAUGAUCGAAGGUCGGUAAAAGGAACGAUUAUACAUGUAGUUUGGCUAAAUUUCGUUUCAUAAGGAAAUGUUAUAUAUUUGAGAUUUCGUUAGGAUUUAGUUAGAUUUGUAGUUUAAUCCUAGUUGAAUUAGGAUUAAUAUUUAAAUAUAAAUUAAGAUUUAAAUAUUAAUUAGAGUAAAAUCUAAUUGGACUAGAAUUUGGGUAGCUUUUAAUGUAAGCUAUAAAUAUAGUAUAGGUGCUAUUAUUCUGAUGGCGGUUAACCACACCCAUAUGGCAUGGUCAAGAUGGUCAUGAUUUUAAAUAACCUGUGUAGUUUUCGUGACCAAUACCUCGUGCAUGGAUGCAUAGGAUGAGAGAGAGGUUUUCUGGAUUUAUAGAAGACGAGAAAAGGGUGAGAGGGAUAGAAGAGGAGUUGUAAUCGUCUCUUCUCUUAUUUAGUAAAUCUUAUUUUACCAGCAUAUUUUCUAUUUGGUUUCUCUCUCUUGUGAUUGUAUUAGCUUUUACUGAUAAGACGGAUUUAUAAUAAAAAUUUGAUUUGAGGCUUCCGUUACGGAAUCCCAAUAAUUGGUACCAAAUUAACAACAGUCGGUAUCAGAGUGAAUUGCGGAUUCUCAAAAUUUGGUAUCAGAAGGAGUAUCAUAUUCCUAACAGGCUUUGAUUUCUUUCUUUUUUUUCUUUUCUUUCCCACUUUUUGCUGGUAGGAAAAUUUAUAAAUAUGUUUACUAGCAUUGGGUUAUAUUUUUUCCAUGUUGAUGAAAUAGGCAAUUAGCUCGAAAACCUUUUGAGUUGUGCAAUUACUACAUACAUCAAAAGAACUUUAAUUCUUUCCACCAAUAUCAUGAGUACAAUUGAAGUAUCAAACAAAUUCUUGUGCAUGAGAUUAUAUUCACGGAAAGAACGUCAGAACAGUAAAAUCAAUUUCCGCAAAACCUCCAAAAAGAAAACAAAAAAGAGAAAAAAAAGUUGAUACACAUCUUUAUCUACCCUCUACAAUAGUUACAGUAACAAUAUUUGCAGUGUGGCUCUGCGACGAUGAUUCUAUAUCCGAAAAGCCCCUGCCGAUACUAAAUGCAGGCUCAUUCGGGAAUGGCAUUGAUGCAGUCUCACUACCUAGCAUCAUGGUGACUGAGGACAUCAUCGGCCUGUGUCUCGGUUGCUCCUGAACACAUAACAGUGCUACUUGUAUGCACCUCUCGACUUCGCAGGCUGCGCAUGAUGUAACUUUCGGGUCUAGGAAUUCUAAGCUCUUUCCUUCCUUCCAUAAUCUCCAAGCCUGCAAUAUGUAUAAAAGGUUCAUUUCCGUCGCUCAUUGCAAUGAGAAACCAAGUUAUAUGAAUUCUGAAAUUCCAAAUGUUAUACUUGAGAAAAAAGUUUGGACAUUAAUUUCAUUUGUGGCAUAGGGUACUCUUUCAUGAUGAAGCUUCAAUUUGUUCGCAUUGCUAGCUAUGGUGAAGAUGUGACAAGCGCGUGGUUCGUAGAAAACAUUAAGGUAAGGAUAUGUGGAUUUAAUUGUCACCUUCUCAACUAUGAGUCUUUGACAGAACUUUAACUGUAAAUCCUGAGGGUCAACUAGAGCAGUAGCUACACAUGGGACAAGAAAUUUUCAAAUUUUAUCAUACUUACAUAUCUGAGGAGGUUUAAAUCGAGCUCUGAAUGGUAAAAUCCGCGAUUUCUCUUGCCGCUGACAAUUUCUAGCACCAACACACCAAAGCUGAAUACAUCGGAUUUUAUGGAGAAAACACCAUCCAUCGCGUACUCAGGAGACAUAUAACCGCUGCAGCCGCCAAGAAAGAACAUAAAGGUUAAGCGUAGUAGAAGUCUUAAUCUUCUUUGUGAAGAUUAACACCAGAUCUUUAAUAGAAAUAUUUGAGAAUGAUUACUUACUACGUCCCGACUACCUUCCUGGUGUACGCAUCGGUUUGAUCGGCUCCAAAUAUUCUCGCAAUUCCGAAGUCCGAUAUUUUCGGUGUCAUCUCUCUAUCUAGCAAUAUAUUGCUCGCUUUUAGAUCCCUGUGUAUUAUUCUGAAUCUUGAAUCUUGAUGAAGAUACAGUAAUCCCCGCGCUAUCCCCAAAAUUAUCUCAAAGCGCUUUUCCCAGCUCAAUUGCGCGCGCUUUUCUUCAUCUGCUUAGUGUAUCAUGUCAAGUUGUUAGAAUAUAUCAUGAACAGGUCAUUGUAGAUUACAAUAUGAAUAGUGGAAGUAUUUGAAGUUUGAACCAUGAAAUUUAUAAAACAUAAAAUUGUUCUAGUUUAAGUUUCAUGAAAACAAGGGCCUAAGUCGACCAAUUUAUGCAAUUAUAUAUAAUUUGCACUAAUAGUAUGCUAUUAGAUAAGUCUAAUUUGUAUGAAACAUCAAGUUCAGGAACAUACCGAAUAUAAAGGUGUUUAAGCUUCGAUUGUGCAUGAAUUCGUAGAUCAACAUCCUCUCUUCUCCAUGAAUGCAGCAACCCAAAAGGCGCACGAGAUUUCGAUGCUGAAGCUUAGCAAUCAACUUGACCUCAUUUUUGAACUCGUCAAUGCCCUGCGACGAUCUCCUCGAGAGCCUUUUUACAGCUAUAUCCUGUCCAUCUUCAAGCUUUCCCUGAAAAAAACCAACACAUAGUUAUAAAAAUUUCCAUAAUUAUCUCCGCGCACUUUGUAUCUUAACCAUAAUUGAAUCUGCACAUCAAUCACAUUGCUCCAAGGAUUAAUUACCAUGUAAACAGGGCCGAAUCCGCCCUCUCCAAUCUUAUUAGCCAAUGCGAAACUGUCCGUAGCAUCCAAUAUCACCCCUAGAUCGAAUGUUGGAAGGUCGAGAUCUUCGUGAGUACUUGUUUCAUCUUCUAAGCUAUGAUCUUGUGUUGAGUCCUUCCCAACUUGAUUCUUGACUCUGACAGAAAUAGGCCUGUUUCCAACAUUUGGCGGAAACGAUACUAUUUCGCUUUGAUUCUUCGCCUUCUUCUUUUUCCAGAUAAAAAAUCCACAAGCUCCUAAUAGAAGCACCCCGGAAAUCGUCGGAAGGAUAAUUGCAAGUUUGUUGUUGUUGGAGUCCCCACCACUGGAAGUUGCGUUCAGAUUAGCUGAAACAAAUUGAGUCAGUUAGUUUUUCUAAUCAAUGGAGUCAAAACUUAGCUAAUUACAUAAUACAUGUCGAAAGAAGUUUUAAAUUGAGGAUAUCACAUUUUAAUAUACUAGGUAGUAACAAUCUCCAAAGUUGGUGUUCACAUAUUUUAAUGUUGGUAUUAUAUUAUUAUGAUGUCUCUAACGUGAUAUUCCACCUAACGCUCUGCAUUGCUGAAUUCAAAUACAGUGGAUAUGUACCAUCCAACGGAUAACAUUAUUAAAGUAGUAUAUUAUACAUUAAGAUAAUUUGGCAUGUCAUGAAUGAUUACUACUUAACUAAUAUUCUUUGUAAUUGGUGACUACUCUUAAAAGUUAAAAUUAGCCAAUGGAGAAUGGUCAAGCUAUUGGAAUAAAUUGAGAAAGGAUACAACUUUGAAUGAGUCAAAAAACAAGGCUACCACUUUUUCACAAGGGAGUAUCCUCUUUCACAUUUUCAUUCUAUGCCGGUUCGCCAUUAAAGUAUCAUUAGAUGAUUCCAUUGCUUAAUGAUAGAUGAUCAAAAUGGACAAAAAUGCAAGAACAGAAAAGAAAGAACAUUUAGCUAACUUUAUGUGACAAAUCGACAAUUCGAUCGAAUGAAUUUCAGGGAACGAAUUGCUUACGAAUAUCAGCCGCCGCGAGCCGGACGUAAAGAUUUUGCCCGAAUUGAUCAAACUGUCGCAUGUCGAACAAAUCGUCGGUCCAAAUUAUGCACCCACUUCCUCCCCCACUGACAUUUGCAGUAGCAUAAGCCUUGCAGGAGCAAUUCUGCAGGCAACUCUGCUUGCACUCCUCAAGACUCAAGCUCAUGUUCACCGUCGCAUUCGUCGACUCCGGCAGCUUCACAUUCUGAUACGGCAGAAACCCGUCCCCAGCGCAGCUCAACUGAGUCUUCCUCACGCACCCUCCUGACCCGUCCCUCAGAUUCCACUCCUGCGGGAACCUCGGCUCGAACCCGGGCAAACAGUUGCAGAUCGGCGAGUCGUCCACAUUGCAUACGCCGUACGGACCGCAGGCCCGAUAGUCGUCGCAAUCGUCCUUCGGGUCAGACCAGAACACACUCCAGCUUUGUGUUGAAUUGAUCCACACAUACCGCUGCAACAGCCCGGAAGAGUUCAUCACGAACCGCGAAAUGAUUGAGCUGUUCUCGAUCUCAUACGUGUAGUAGGCCUCAUCUGGGUUGGACACAAACAGAAACUUGAGCAUAUCAUUCGACUUGAGGUCGGGAACUCCGGUGAACUCCUCGCCGUUCCACGGGCCACUCGCGUAAAUCCUCGUGGACCACUGAUACAAGUAGAACUCCGGCACGCCGCGAGGAUCCAUCUUGAAUGAGUACUCUCCUGGAGAAGGAUCAUUUGUGUUCAACCACGAGUUUAUGUACCGAUUCAACCCGGUUUUGAAUUUGUAACCGAGCUUCAUUCCUGCAAACAACGUGUCCGUCGGGUGGUCGAAACUUUGCCAUACAAUCUCCUCCGUAGCAUUACUACUUGAUUCUCCUCUCAAUACAAGAUUUCCCGAGUCUAAGAGCUGAGCUGUUGGAUUGGUUAUAUUCGAUGAUCCCGAGCUGGAAUUCCAAACCACGUUGCCGAGCCGAUCGGCCAGGAAAAGAACGCCGGUCGGGUCGAGAGUGAGGACUCCGGUCGAGUUCACGAUCGGGUUCGCGCGGUUUGCGACCCACACAACGGUUUGUACCGGGAUGUUAUUGUACCACAUGCCUAAGAAAGUGUUGGAAGAGCCGGGUGGAGUGAAGAAGCCGAGCUUGUAGGCUCCGCCGGCCGAGACCAGCGUCUGGUUCGCGGCGAUUGACGUGGCCGGAGUUAGCGAAUCCGCGGCAAUCGAGGGAGAGAUGAAGAAGAUGAGAAGAGGAAGCAAAAAAUGGAGGAGAAGUGGGCAUGGCCGUGUCCUCAUAGCUCUCAAGCUAUGUUUUCACAUUGAGCACGCAUUAACAUGGCCUCUGAGAUGUUUGUGAAAUAACAGGACUCAUUUAAAUGUCAAAGCCACGUGAGGAGAAAUGUUUUUUUUUUUUGAGAAAUAAGUAACUCGCUACCCACUUCAUUCACGUGAGGAGAAAUGUUAAUUGGAAAGUAUUUGUUAUGAUGUAAAUAAAUAAAGAUUUUUUAACUGUUAGUUGCAAUUUUAAUGUGGAUAUUUGUUUUCAUGAUUUUGUUUGCGUGGUGCGCAUGACUUUCUCUUUUGUGGUGCGUGUGUGGUUUAGAAUCCGCGUCAACGUUUGUUGUUUGACCAAACCUUGUAGCCGACCCAGACAGCGUGUAUAUGUUGACGUGGUGACUCAGAAGUUAUUGCAUGCACCGGGUGUACAACUAUGUUUCAUACACCACACAUCUAAAAGGUUCUAUUGGAAAGGAUUUAAAUCAAAAUCAAAAUCUAAAUCCCGAGACCCAAGUUCGAAUCCUAGUUGAUUCACAUUUCCAGCUAAGUUUAUUUCUUAGUAAAAUAAAACGAAGCGGAUAACGUGCUACCUAUCUCUCAAAAAAAAAAAAAAAAAAGCAAAAUCUUACUCAUCAGAUAAAUAAUAGCAUUUUUCUACUGUUAAUUGUCAACAUUAAUUACUAGAUGUUUUAGUAAUAAAUUUUUUAAUUCUUAUAAUUUUUUUUAUACAGGUUGCGCCCUCGACCUUAAGACAUUUUUAGCACAAAAAUUAGGCGCAGUGCAUGAAGCAUACAGGUGCACCGUGCACAAGAUGCAGAAAAAAUUCUCUUUGUUAAUAAAAGAUCAAGUCAUAGUUUUUGUACCCUAUGAAGUGAAUCAGUUGUUUAGUUGUGUAUCCAAUGGGAACAAUUGAGAACUGGUCCCUCUCCAUAUAGCAUCCAUUCACAUUUUUAACUAGAUGGUCUAGGGAAUAAUAAUUUUAUUUAAUCAUUACUUUGAUUUUCACACAAAUUAAGUUGGUCCUAAGAAAAUUAAAAAAUAAUUAAAAAAAGAGAAGGUGGAAGGUCAUCUUACACUUCCUUGGGGGGAAAAAAUUUAUUGAUAUAACACCAAAUGUCCUGGUGCAUUCCAUCAUAUGGAAAAUGCAUCUGGGGGAAAAAUGAAUGUAGACCCCCCCCUCAAACAAAAGGUUUCAAUCAAAGUUCUAUUUUCUUUACUUUUCAUUUGAAAAAUUGUAGAUUAUUGCAUUAAAAUUUACAUUAAACACGUAAGUGACUAUAUCAAAUUUACAAGGUUUCAAUUACUUUUGAGCGAAUAAAACUGAGUAACGAUUAGUAAUAAAGCUAUUUUUUAAGAAAAAUUUCAACCUAAUUGAUUAAAAUAGUUUGAAGAUCGAAGAACUUCAAGGAAAUAUGGAUUAAAUCAAUUCUCGGUUCUAUUUCAAUUGCAAGUGCAUCGUAUCCGGCAAUUCAAGCUGUUUCGGCACCGAAUUCUGAUUAGUUGUAUUCGGGCAUCACAAUAUACAGAUCCGAUCCGAUCCGAUCCGAUCCGAUCCAAUUGCAUUCCCGUCCCGCGAUGCCGAUUCGCCGAUCUCCGCCGACUCUCCGCCCACUUCCACCACCGCCACCUUCGCCGCCUCCCACGGCCGAAACCUCUCGAAACCCUAACCCUAAUCGGCGACCAUCCUCUUCCUCCACUCCUCUACAAUGCAAUGCCCCAUUGAUUAUUGUCAAAUCGACGCAAAAGAGCGCUUUUGUCCUCUCUGCGACUCCGUGAGCACAUCGUUGAUCUUUGUGAGGUUCAUAAUUCAGUUUGAAAAUUUGUGCAUUGACAUUGAAUGCUUUGUCCUGUUGUGUAUUUUGCAGUGGAAUUAAAUGAUCACAAGUAAAUCAAUUGCCUAUUUGGUUCAGUAUAGCAUCUGGGAAACAGAAAAAUUCGGCAGCUUUUGCGGUGGCAAGACGUAAAAAAUAAGAUUUUGAGUGCCAAUAGCAAGAAGCUCCAAUUUGGAGCUUUUGAAACUGACAUGUAGAGAACCUGUUGGGGAAAUUUUAAUAUAGUGCUUCUUCUAGGGUCAAACAAGCCCUAAUUUUGUUUACAAUUUCUCUCUUUUUGUUAGUUGUGUAUGUGGCCUAACUAUGACUUCUUGGCAUGAGUAACGGUUUGUCAACUCCUUCGGUAGAUGAUUUUGCGAGGCGCUAUGAAGGUGAUAAUUUGAUAAUGAUGUUAUAUCCUUCUAAUUUAUGCAAUCUUUUCAAACUUAUGAUGUGGUGAUACAAGUCAAGUCAAACCAUUUUUUACUUUCUUUUUUUUCGCUUCUUUUAUCAAACUUAUCAGUUAAUGCUAGCCAUGAUUAAUGCAGGUCUAUAUGAUUGGGUUUCUUGGGAACUUCAAUUGCCUCCAAUAAGCUCUUCAGUAUUUGGCCUUUAAGGAGUAUAUUUCUUAUGUGUCACAGCUUUAGAUUUAAAGAAACAUUCAGGUAAGUUACUUCAUAUUUCUCAUUUAUGGAGUAUCUGUCAAAACCUAACUUUUUUUUUCCCAUAUAAUAAAGACUAUUUUAUGAGAUUGUAGCUCUAUGCUUUAAUUUAUUUCAGUUGUAUCUACAAGUAGAGUGCGCGCAUUUUGUGCUUUUAUAUCGUGGCUAUAAAUGGUGAGAUGCUUCCUGUUUAUUGUAACCUUUGAUAAGAUAUUAGGGUCUUAAUCAGACCAAAUUUGAAAAAAUGACAUGCUGUUUGUUAUUUAAUCCUGCAGCUAAUUCAGAAAGUUAUAACUUAAAUGUUAUAACUGAGCCUAUCAUGCGGAAGAUGAGAAAAGGUUCUGAUAUUUGUUCCUUCAGUUUCCUUAUCGCCCCGUUCUCUAUAAACAAACUUCUCUCUUGUUAACUUAUCUAUGUUCUUUCUUUGUACCCUUAUUAUAUUUUCUACUCUGUAUUGAUGUCUCCUGUAUUGUGUGCUAUUGAUUACUAUUUGUAUACCUGUAAAACAUGUGGGGAUAGAAUUCAUGUCUAAUUCCUGUGCACAUUCUGUAUGUUUUCAGAAAUGAAAAAGGAUUUAAAUUUGGAGUGACGUUUUGGGUAUGCCAAUACCUGAUCUGUAUUCAUUACCACCAAAAUGAUUAAAAUAUAUGAAUAUAGAGAUACUAAGCAAUUAGAAGAAUUGUGAGCAAGCGCAAGUCUGCAAAGGUAAACAAGGAAGCAAGGAAGAUUGAGGUCUUUCUCUCAAAGCCUAUUUAAAUGAUCCUUUGCAUCCUCUACCUGUGCAGAGGAACACAAUAUUGGCAGAUUGUUUCCUACCUUCAUGACAAAGGAUUCGAACAAAGCAGCCAAGAUCUCUUUCUGGAUAUAUAAAAAGCAUGUCAAAGGCGAUGUACAUAAUUAUGUGGACAAGAAGAUCAGAUGCAAGCUUCACAUUGCUAUGAGAGUACUCUCAGCCUGUCUCCAGCAAUUUUAUGAUUGGGUUGAAAUAAGAAGGUGCAAAUCCGACCAUUUGUUUUAUGUUAAUUGUGUUCCAAGGAUUAGAAGUUCCCGAAUUCAUUACACAUGCCAACUUAGUAGGCUAUCCAAAUGAGCUGACCAAUGGAAAUUACAUAUUUAAGCUGACUAAUGAAAUAAAUUAGUAACAAAUGUUUGACAAAAACCUUCCAAAGGUGUCUGCCGCUGGCAAUGUUUUUCUUUUUCUCAAUUCUUGUUUGUGAAAUUUGUUGACUGACUCCUGCGUCAACGGUUUCAUCAGAUUGCUGAAAAUCUCCAUCGUACUCAGCAAACAUUCAAGAAUAACAAAAAAGCUAUCAACUCUAUCAUUGCUUUCUCAACCAUGAGCGCCAAAAGAAGCACCCGUAAUUCUCUAGUUCUCCCUCUCAUCUUUCUGUCACCCUUCUUGUUUCACUAUUCUUAUGGUUCAGACUCUCUCUUCCCGGGCCAAUCAAUCCGGGAUGGUGAAACCUUAAUCUCUGCUCACGGGAUUUAUGAGUUGGGUUUCUUCAGUCCUGGCGAUUCAACCAAGCGCUAUGUCGGAAUAUGGUAUCACAAGCUCCCUAUCCUGACGGUGGUGUGGGUUGGCAAUAGAGAAAACCCCAUCUCGGAUUCUUCUGGAUAUAUUACCAUGGAUGAACAAGGAAACUUAAAGAUCAUGGAUGGUAAAGGAACAUCCUUUCUUCUGGGAGCAAAUAAUAGAAGCACCAACAUCACAAGUGCUACCCUUUUAGACUCUGGUAAUCUCGUUCUACGAGAGAUGAGUUCUUCUGGAAAUGAUAUAGUAUGGCAGAGCUUUGACCAUCCGACAGAUAACCAACUUCCAGGUAUGAAGCUUACUUUAAGCACCAGCAGCAUUUCUUGGAGAAGCACUUCCGAUCCCAGACCAGGAAACUUCUCCUUUGGAAUUGACCCAAAUGGCACAGAUCAGCUCUUUUUAUGGAAUAGGACAGAGGUUAUAUGGAGCGUUGCAGUUUUGAAUGGAGUGAACUUCAGCUUGGUGCAGGAUGCAACCGUCACUCUCCCAGGUGAUUUAGAUGGCUAUACUUUUAUCCAUCAUUGGGGGAGUGGCUAUUAUUACUAUACUCUUGCUGAUAGUUCAAUUAUCACAAGGGGAUUUACUGACCAUGAAGGGCGACACAAGCAAUUGGCUUGGUUGGAUGGUGAGGAAAAUUGGGUGACCUUUUUGGUUAAACCCAAUGAGCAUCCUUGUGAGGUCCCUAGCAGUUGCGGAGUUAAUGGUCUAUGUAGUAACGACUCAUCGGUCAUGUGUACUUGCUUAUUCGGGUUUGAGCCCAAUGUUAAUAAACAUUGGGACUCUCGAGAUUAUUCAGAUGGGUGCAUAAGAAAAGUACAAUCAGAAUGCAUGAGUAAUGGGGAUGGAUUCUUAAAGCUGAGGAAUAUAAAGCUGCCUAUUUUCUCCUCAAAGGAUCGAAAUUUGAGUCUAGGUAUUGAUGACUGUAAAGCCUGGUGUACUAAGAAUUGUUCAUGUAAUGCUUAUACUUCAGCAUAUCUGAAUAGGACCGGGUGUUCAUUUUGGUUUGGGGACCUUUAUGGCCUCCAAGCUGGUGCUGAUGAAGUGCAAGAUCUCUUCGUGCGGCUGGCGGCUUCAGAGCUAAAGAAACAUUCAGGCAAGAAUUUUUCUUUUUCUUUUUUGCGGAUUCCUUAUCAUACCAUCGACAGAAGUUUUCAGUUCCAGAAUCCAAUUACUAAUUUCCCUUCAGUUAUGAUCCUCAAUUUAUAUUCGGAAGGUAGCGAUAGGACUUGAGUAAUUCUUAUUGACUAAAAUUGGUCAAUUGAAGACAGGUAAUUUGAAGAGUUGUGAACUAGCAUUAAUCAAUAUUGGAAUUGCACUGUGUAUCUUGGGUGCUUUUUUAUGUGGCUGUAAAUGGAGAAAGGCGAAAGGUAAAUGUUUUUUCUGUGUAUAUAGAUAAAAAAUAGUUACCAACCUUGCACCUGUUCCUUUGUUGUUCAACAUGAUAAAAUGUCUUUAGUAUCUUUCAAAACGAUGAGGCUAGAAUUAAGUAAUUCAAACUGAUAUUACAAUUUGCAGUUCGUCACAGGAAAGAGGAAAAUGACUUCGAUUGCUCUUCCUGUAGUUUUGCAACCAUAGCAGCUUGCACAAACCAGUUCUCUGAUGUAAAUAAGAUCGGAGAGGGCGGAUUUGGUCCAGUUUACAAGGUCAUAUGCCAACUCCAUACAGCGAUUAGAAGUACAGGAUUUAAAUGUUUAUCUUGAGAUAAUGAUGGGUGUCUUUUUUAUUUUGGGAGGUGCAUAGUGAUGGGUAACUUAUUGGUACCUAAAGUUUAACCUGGGAUUUGAUUUCAUUCAUGGAGUUUCAAUUGUUACAAUUUAGUCCCUGAAAUUUGGCACGAAUCUCAUCUUCAUCCUUGGAGUUUCAAAUCUAACCCUGAAUUUGACCUCUUCGUAUUCAUCCCUAAAGUUUGGCAUUGGUUUCAAUUUCUUCCUUAACAGUCCCAGCUUUAACAAAGUUUAGUGAUGGUGUUGAUCUGUCACUUUUUUUAGAAGGUGGACCGAAGAACAGACUUACUUUUGUACAGAACAAACUUCAGGGCCUAAAUUGUUGCAAUAGAAACUAUAAGGGUGGAAUUUGAAAUCCAGGUAAAAUUUCAGGAACUGAAUUUGUAAUUUAGACUAGUUGUUAAGGAAAUUCAUUAGCAAAGUAUCAUAUUAUAAUCAGUCCAAAAAAUUUUGUAUUUCCUUUUCUGUCUAAUUAUUUGUAUCAACGGAGUCGAGAUAAUCAAGCUCGAGUUUCAUAGCAUGCCAAUUUGUUAAUGUUUGCUUACCAGCACUACAGGGUUUCUUGGAGGGCCAGUCAGUUGCGGUAAAGAGGUUGUCAAGUAGUUCAGGGCAAGGGCUCGAAGAAUUUGCAAAUGAGAUCACACUUAUCGCCAAGCUCCAGCACAGGAAUCUCGUCAGGCUCCUUGGUUACUGCAUUCAAAAAGAAGAGAAAAUAUUGAUAUAUGAAUAUAUGCCCAACAAAAGCUUGGAUUAUUAUAUAUUUGGUUGCACUUUGAAUCCCUUAAGCAAGGCCAUAUCCAGUUGAUACAUAUUUUUGCUUUACAUAUAUAAUUUUCUUUUACUUAAGGAAGUAUUCUCGUGGCAGAUUCAACCAAAGGAGCAGAAUUAGACUGGGAAAAGCGCUUUCACAUUGUGGAAGGAAUUGCACAAGGGCUCCUCUAUCUUCAUAAUUAUUCUAGGUUAAAGGUCAUCCACUGGGAUCUCAAAUCUAGUAACAUCCUUUUGGACAGCGAAAUGAACCCGAAAAUAUCGGACUUUGGCUUGGCUAGGACUUUUGGGCAGAAUGAAAACCAAGCUAAUACAAAAAGGGUCAUGGGAACUUAGUACGAAACUUUUCUUCCUCAAUCACAUACUUUGUGAUUCUUAUUAUAACAACCUUCUGGUUUACAAUUUCUGUUAUGUUUAAAUGAAUUUGCAGUGGAUACAUGUCUCCUGAAUAUGCGAUGAAUGGUCUCUUCUCGGUGAAAUCUGAUGUUUUUAGCUUUGGAGUGAUACUUUUAGAGAUCAUCACCGGGCUAAGGAGCACGGACUAUUGCCAUCAAGAUGGCUCUGAAAAUCUUCUUGCACAUGUAUGCCUAUUUUUCCUAGCAAUUCUCAGUUACUGAGCUUUACUUCUAUAAAGCCGUAAAUAAAUAUAGAGGCUUUUACAGUACUAUCCCUGCAAAAAUAUUUACUUACGUACAUACCUCUGUAAAAUCUGAGUUUCCUAUGAAACCCUCAAAAAUGCAGUUUACUUACUUUUUAAGUCGCGAUGCUGCAGAGUUGGGAGCUUUGGAGAGAAGGGAGAUGCUCGGAACUGGCAAACCCCACAAUAGGGGAUAUGCAUCCUUUUGACGAAGUUCAAACGUGCAUUCAGGUAGCACUCCUUUGCGUGCAAGAUAUAGCGGCAGAUCGGCCCACCAUGUCUGAUGUUGUUUCGAUGCUGAGAUGCGAGAUUUCGUCCCUACCAAUCCCUAAAAAGCCUGCAUUUUUGCCUGCAAGAUCUGUGGGACGAGAAGAUUUUCGCAAGCAUGAGAUUCAUUCACUCAACAAUCUUACGAUGUCCAUCAUAGAAUGCCGAUAGCGGGGUAAUGCUAUACACUUAACAGAUAAGUUUCCUCGGCUGCUUCAGGUGUCAAAACAUUUUGGAUUGUUUUCUACCGGAUCGAUUGUUGGAAUAACGUGGUAGCUUAGCUGAUACUAAAGUCGCUUCAGUUCUGUCGGAGAUUGUGGAUUCGUUUCCAAAACCAUGGAAAACUAGUAAGUUGAAUAUUGAGGAUCCUGAAGUUUUCAUGGAGAAAUACACCACAAUGCAACUUCUCCCUUUUAAUUAGUUUCUUUUUUCUUUUUCUUUUUUCAUGUGGGAAAGUGCAAAGUAUCCCAUUCCAUUAAAUGCUGGAAACUGUGUAUAAUUGAAAGGCAUAUAUAUUUUCUUUGUGAAAAUAACAGAAGAUUUUGAAAUUAGUUUCUUCUCCCUCCUGUUUGACUUGGACAAUGCACAUUGUUGAUAUAAUUUGCAAAAUAAUAUAACAGGUGAAAUGUCAACCCAUGAGUUUGAUUGACUAAUUAAACAUGAUAACAAAAUAUUUAAAUUCUAAAAUCUCCCUGAGAAUCCGCAACCCCCAGAUUAAUUUUAUUAAAACUCAAAAAUUUAAGUUGAAAUUUCAAAUAAACUUGGAAACACUCAGAAAAACCUUUUAUUUUCUGCACUGACACUCAAAUAUGAGUUAAUUUUUUAUAUAUAUAUUUCAUAUAGUAUGGAUAACAAAUUUCAAAAUGGCUUCAAAGAUUUCAUAAAUUGGGAACAAUCUCCUAAAAAAAAUCUAUAAAAACCAAUAAAAACAAUUGUCUACUUCUGUAGCCCUGUAAAUUUGAAUUAUCAUAAUAUACCCUCGAAUUCAUUGCAGAAUGUGUCCGUACAUGUGUCCCAACAAAAUUUGUUGAGUGUGCAUAUUCACUAAACAAUCUGCACUAUGCGCAGACUCGAACUAUCGACCUUCUGGGACACUGACAGUCACAACAUUAGGAGAGCAGGCCCCAUCCGUGUUGGUUUCAACUGCGAUUCUGACGGUGAUGAAGGCAGGCUGCUUAGGAUCAGGCAAGGAUGCAUUCUCGCUGCUGAGCAUCGCAAUGACCUCCGACAUGGUCGGCCGAUCCACGGCGUUCUCCUGAACGCAUGUGAGUGCCACGUGAAUGCAUCUCAACACCUCCUCCGGACAUCCUUCGCCUAAUGAUUCAUCCACCAGCUCAAUCCACCUGCCUUCUCUCCACAGCUCCCAUGCCUACCAAGUUCCAUUCAUCAGAGCUAUUAGUGAUCAGUUUCUUUGACACCACAUAUUAUGGAAGAGCAGUAAUUGCGAUAUAAAAGGCCUUUGUCAGCAUGGCAGGAUCUUCUGCAGAAGUAUUAUCUGAGAGAACUAUUGAAAAGUCUUGAAAUGCUCGUUUGGGCUUCUCGCUACAAUUAAAAGUUCUAAAUAUCCUUUGAUGCUAUAUUCUUAGCUUCUAUUUUUGAGUAGAUGUGAUUACAGAAAUCGGGCCAAAUAAGAACAAAGUAUUGUUCAGUUUUAUCACUUACAUGACCAAGGAGGCUGAGAGAAUUGCCAUAUUGGUGAAAGCCUGCAUUUCUCAAUCCGCUUACAAUCUCCAGAAGCAAGACCCCGAAGCUAAAGACAUCAGAUUUGACAGAGAAAAGACCUUCCAUUGCAUAUUCAGGAGACAUAUAACCACUGAAAAACAUCAAGAAACCAAAUACUUUCCUCAAAAAAUAAAUAAAUAGAUUGUACAACCUGAGGACAAAAUAAGAAUUAAGCAGUACUUACUAAGUUCCAACAACCCUGUUUGUGUUGGCUUGUGUUUCGUUUGAGCCAAAUAUUCUUGCCAUGCCAAAAUCUGAUAUCUUUGGAUUCAUCUCUUCAUCCAGGAGAAUGUUGCUGGCUUUCAGAUCCCUGUGAAUAAUUCUCAGUCUAGAGUGCUUGUGAAGAUAAAGAAGGCCCUGAGCUAUCCCAUCGAUUAUGUUAAAACGCUUUCUCCAUUCUAGUAGUGUUCUUGCCGUUUUGUCUGAAAACAUCACAAUUCCAUGAUUGAGAACUGUUAAAGAACCAAUAAUCAAAAUUUGAAGAUAAAAGUAUUAAUUGAAUUGAAACAAACCGAAGAGGAAGAAAUCCAAGCUUUUGUUUGGCAUGUAUUCGUAGACGAGUAUCUUUUCUUCUCCUUGAAUGCAACAACCCAGGAGCCUAACCAAAUUUCUGUGCUGAAGCUUGGCUAUAAGUAGAAUCUCAUUCUUAAAUUCCACUAGACCUUGUCCUGAAUGUGCAGCAAGUCUUUUAACUGCGAUAUCCUGCCCCCCUGGCAACAAGCCCUGAAAUAAGUUUUGUAAAGCAAAAACAAUAUGUGAUUAUGUUUUGAAUACUAGUUGAAGCCCAUAUUAACAGUGUGUAUUUUCUCUCUCUCUCUCUCUCUCUCUCUCUCGAAAACAAGUAACUGAAUUUUCGACUGUUUGAUGAUUGCAAUAUUGCAAAAAACAUUCUGUGUGUUGCCUAAAAAGGGAUGCCACUUUAAGAGACGAAUUAAAGAUGUUAACAGAUACAAGGAGGCUUCUAUCAUCCAAUCAGCAUUUUGUAGGUUACAUAAAAGAUAAAUUACAUAGUAUUUGGGGUAAUGCUUACCGUCAUCAGCUGCAGAGUAGAAAGAAAUGGCAAUACAAAAGUUUAUCCGCUAGCCCUUCUAGUCCAUCAAGCUGUGGUAUAAGGCGUCAACUAAGAUUGCAAUUUUUAUCCUCAUACUAAUUGUAGAAAUGACAAAAUCUCAAACUUAUCUUUCUUUUAUUCUUAGACGAUCCUUAUGGAUCAUAAUGAUCAAGCACGCUAAUGAGAUGGAGUCAAAGAUAUUAUAAGUCUGUAACUAAAACUGGUCUGAUAUUCAUAGGCAUCGAUAUGCUUGUGACCCGGCUAUAUCUGAGUGGCCUAUUUGGAUGGUUCAGUAUAUAUAUUUUGUUUACCGAGGGACGUGGUAAUUAGUUGAUAAGGAGUAUGUCAAACAUCAGCAAUUACAAAGUCUAUGUAUAUAUACCCUUCCCUAUUAAUUAGAACUUCAAUAACUGCUCCCACAUGAAUCACUAGAAAUAAGGGGUUCAGAGAUGGCAUAUAUCCAGGCAUUUGCUCUUUAGGAUAUCCGUUUCUCGAAGGAUAUAACACAAACAAACAUACAUUUACCUUGUAGACAGGUCCAAACCCACCCUCUCCAAGUUUGUUCUCAGCUGAAAAGUUAUUUGUGGCAUUGCUAAUGCGAGAGAAAUCAAACAUGGAGAAUUGAGAUCCCCUCUCCUCAGUUUCCCAAAGACUAAUUGCUUCAGUAGUGCCGAAAGUGAUUACUGAUUGUUGACCAUACGAUUUCUUUCUCCCUAAAUAAAAAAAAUGAAAUCUCUUUUCAAGUUAUACAUGCCAUCAAAGAGGCACUAAGAAACCCUAGCUUGCACUUAUGAUCUUCGUACAGUUGAUUACCUCUAUUUCUGCGUCUUCUGGUCCACAUAAGACACAACAGAGAGCAAAAGAUGAGAAACGAGAGAGUUGUUGUGAUACCAACAAUAAGGUUCUUCCUCUUCUUCCUCUUCUUCCUCUUGUCCCCUGUAUGUAAAAAUAGAGCCUUUAGUGAUUUAAUAUCACCUAAAUCGCCACCUCUAAUUAAGGAAAGAAGCAAAGGAUACAAUUUUAUUCUCAAUCAUUCUGCAACAACAUUUCAACAUUAGCAAGGGCCUUUUUGGCCUAGAUUCUGAAAAAAUAAUUUCUGCAUAAUUAAUUUUAAUUUGGAGAAUUGAUUUUGGUUAAAAGUUGUAGAGCGUUUGACUAAGUUUAGAUGAAAAGCGAUUUUUCUAAAGUGAUUUUGUAAAACUGUUUGGCAAAAAAAAUUUGAUAUUUGCAAAUAAUAAAUUGUUUACUAAAUUUUAUUUUAAAAUAAUUUAAAAUUUGAAUUUUAUCUUCCUGACACUGAACAGCAUCAAUCAAUCUCAGCUAACAGAUAUUAGAAUGGACACUUAUCCACACUCAACUCUAUAAGAUAUAUUUUUAUCAUACCUGCAGAUGCAAACUCUGAUGCAGCAAGACGGAUAUAAAUAGUUCCGUUAGCAACUUUGGAAUCAUUGUAAUCGCUUGGAUUAAGUACCUUCAAGUUCAUAAGUUCUCCCUCCCACAAGUUGCACGUUGCUAACAUGGCAUAAGCAGUACAAUUACAGUUAUUCAGGCAUUCUGAUUCACAUUCUUCGGCCCUCCCAACAUAAAAUACUUGUGGAUUCAGAGGAAAAACCAUAUUGGAUGUCUCAACAAAUCUAUCGAUCUCUCCGCUACUCCCACAUUGUAGAUUUGCCAUCCUAGGGCACCCAGUAAAAGCUAGAUUUUUCCAAUCUGUCGGAGACUUUGGUACGAAACCUGUCAAGCACGAACAAGGGGGGGAUCCUAAUGAGUCACAGACGCCAAAUGAUCCACAAGCAUUAUACACAUCGCAGUAGGACCUUGGCAGAGCCCAAGAUAGAAGCCACCCCUGAUCAUCCUUUAUCCAUGUUAGCCACUGGAUUUGUCCCGCUGAGUCAAUCACGAACAUAGAUGGAACGUCUUUACUAUCGUAAGUGUAGGUGACGUAUAUCUCGAUUUCGUCGCGAUAGACAAAUUCAAAAGAUACAGAACUAAUUGUCGAAGAUGGAUUCCCGAUUUGUUUUGUACCGUUCCAGAAUCCGGAGGUCCAGUAAACCCUCUCCUUCCGCCAGAUGGAGAGUUGGUCCGAGCUGAGCGGAUCAACGCCAAAAGAGAAAUCUCCCGGAGAAGGAUCAUCGGAGCUUGCCCAUGAAGUUAAUAGCCGGUUUUGCCGGCCGAAGAGUCCGAUCUUCAUGCCGGGGAGCCAGGUAUCAGUAGGGUCAUCAAAGCUCUGCCACAGUAUGUUCGACGAAUUGCCGCUUUCACUCAACACGAAAUUGCCAGAGUCCAAGAUGGUGGCCUUUGCGUCUCUCAUUCCGGAGCCAAACCCCAACGUGGUGGAACUCCCCUUGCCGUCCACGACCAUCAGAUCGCCGUCGUAGUUGACAACAAGAGAGCCGGUCGCAUCGACCAGCGGACUGCCUCUGUUGCCGACCCACACUACAGUUUGGCUCGGAAUUUGGUCGAACCAUAUUCCGACGUAUCGGUUUGCGGAAUUGCCGGGGCUAAAGAAGCCGAGCUGGAAGGUUCCGCUUGCGGAAACCAGUGUUUUGCCGUCCGGAAGCGAUUGGUUCGCUAACAGAGAGUCCGUCGUCGAACACGAACAUCGAGAUGUCAAAGCAAAUACACCAAUCAGAUGAAGCAGAGUAAAGCUGCUGCUGCUGCUUCUUACCAUGGAUGAAUCCAAGAUCGAGCCGACUUAUUAAGGCCAAAUGCCGAAGAUCUUGCGGUGAUUUUCGCUUCUUCUUCUUCGUUGAGCUAAUAGUCAAACCAUUGGCUGGGGCGAAGAUGAUGAGAUGUUCGCAAUUCACCAUUUCCUGCUUUAGUCCAAGGGAAGGGUCAGAUAAAUGAUUAAACUUUCUUUGUUUGUUUAAGUCUCCAUGGAUAGGGACCCUUUUUCCUUACCACACUCGCGUCCUUUACGGAGAACGAUGACCCAGAUAUUGGUCUCCUCCAUCCGUGGGGUCCAAAGAAAAUUCUACGCGCCAUUACCAACGACUUCGAGAGGACGAAGAAGAAGAGGAGGAAGAGGAAGAGAACGGGAUCAGAAGACACCCUAACCCGCCGCCGCGGCUCGAGACGGUUUCGCCACGUUGAGAGGUCUCAGUGUGUUAGUAGUGAGUUGGGUUAGGACCAGCUACAAUACCAGGCCCGGCCUAUUAAAUAAAAUAUGGGCCGCACUCGGCCCAAUACACAUAAGUAAAGAUUUGGGCCUAAUAGUAUAUGUUUAUUUUUAUUCCUCUAUUUACCAACAAUCUAUGCGGGAUUAUUCUUAUGUUGAUUUUUUAAAUUGGCAUGCUGGAUUUUUAAGAAAGAAACAUAUGAAGUAAUGAUUCUAAUUUAAAGAAACUAGUUGAGCAAAUUAAUUAUCCGUAGUAAGCUUACCCAUUAAGUAGUUAAUGAUGGUCAAUUAGCAUCAUGAUGAUAAUGAAGACAAAGUCUAAUUUCUCAGAUAUAAUGGGUUGCUUAAAAUUUUCGACUUGAAACAAAUAACAUUUGAUCACAUUACAUUACUGGUGGCACAGUUUGUGGAUAUUCGAAAUACAAGUUCAAAGCUCGAACUGUGCGGUUCAUAAAGAGAGUGCGCUUUGCGAUCGAGUUAUUGAGUACUUCAAACUCAUGAAUAGAGAUGAUAUAUAUAUAUAUAUAUGAUGUAUAAGUUUCCAAAUAUAUAAAAGAGUACAGCUUAAGAAGUUUCUGUUUAGGAGGAGGACUAAUAUAUUGAUUUGGAGGAUCUUUCCUCACCCUUCACAGCUUCAUCAAGAAGAGAGAACAUGGCUUUUUUGUUGGCUUGUUUAAAAUAAUGUACUAAGGAGUGCUUACACUCUCUUCCUCCAGCGAAGAAUCCAAGAUGGCCCUUUUCCAAAGUUCUAGCUUCUCUCCCCUCCAAUAUUUCUUUAUUUUAGCUUAAUUCCUCAGCUUAAGCUUUUCGAUUAUUCCCUUCUUUCAACAGUAUAUGUUGAGUCAUUGUUGCUUUUGGGGGGCGAGAGAGAGAGUGAGAGAGAAGCUUACUUAUAUUCUUUCAACCUUCAUUAGAUUCUGCUUUAUUACAAAAAUUAGUCCUAAAUUUUUUUUGAGAAAAAAAUUAGUCCUAAAUUAAACUAACAGUGCAUACAGUUUUAUCCAUAACAUUUUUAUACUUAGACGUAUACAUGUCAACAGCCAAGUUCAAUACAAAAUAUUUAGAAAUUUUUGAUGAUUAAGUUACUAUUAAUUAGCUUUUAUAUAGUAUAAGCAUUACAAAGAAGAUUUCUAGAUCCAACGGAAGAGACGAGAGGGGCAAAUAUUUAACACUAGCUAAUUAAUGCGUUAGUACUCUAAUAGGUUGUAACAUUGGAUCCAUGCAAUGGUUAAAAAAAAUGUUUCAUGAAAAAUAUGAGUGUGAAUGUAUGACCAUAAGGACUCAAUUGCUAGAUAAAUUGCGGCUGGGGUGUCGAACUACAAAAAUCGCAAGCAAAGAACCAUGCAGAGAAAUGGAAGAACCCAUGCAACUUCCCAGAAACCAAAGCCACACACAAAGCUAAAAAUGUGAACAAAUUAAAGCCCUCAUCAACCACCACCCUUUAAUUAAAACCCUUUCAAGCACAUUACCUGUACCUUGGUUGGCAUGUUGCAUCUAUAUGCACACUACUCCUUCCCAGAACCUCUUAUUCAUUUCCCCCUCCUUAUUUAAGCUCUCCUCCUCCUCUCCUCUUAUCUCACAACACAAAGUUUAAUUAGUUAAAAUGGAUUCAUUAGGGUUUGAGGAUUUCCUCCCCUCGAUGGCGCAGAAGCUCGGCGCGGAAGGGCUCAUCGAGGAGCUGUGCAAGGGGUUUCGGCUUCUGAUGGACUGCGAGAGGGGCGUGAUCACGCCGGAGAGCUUGCGGAGGAACGCGAGGAGGCUGGGGCUUGAAGGGCUGGAUGAUGAGGAGCUGAUGGGGAUGAUAGGGGAAGGGGACUUGGAUGGGGAUGGGGCUUUGGAUCAGAUGGAGUUUUGCAUUCUCAUGGUUAGGCUCAGCCCUGAGCUCAUGCAAGGGUCCCAACAGAUGUUUGAAGAGGUUAUUCUUGGGAUGUAGUUGCAUUGCAUGAUCAGUUAUACGUACACAUUUUUGAUUUGUGCUACAACAACAACUCAAAAGUUAAUUCUCAUGCAAUUGUAAUCGAUCCCCCCUCUCUCUCUCUUUCUAAUUUACAGAUAAUUGAUGAACAAUUUUCUUUUCUUUAAUUUCCUUUUUGAUUCUCAAUAUCUUUUCCUUUUUUUUUUUUUGACUAGAACGAUAUAUAGGUGGAAUUAAUAAUGAUUUGUACUCCUGCUAAAGAAGAACAAUAAUUUAUGAAUAAUAUCACGACUCUUGUGAUCAAAUGAAGUUCCAACUUUUGUUUUGAAUGCAAUUUCUAUUGAAUCGACAUCAGCAGUUGUCGAUAAGUCGUAAAUUAUUAAUGUAAAAGCAUGCAUUAAUUAUCUUGCAGUAUAUAUGUAAAGCAAAAUAAUUAGUAAGGCUGAAAUUUGAUUAAUUCAUGCGGAAAAAUAAAAAGGCUUCUAUAGGUCUGAUUUCUGAAUAGAGUAGCAAUUCAGAAAGCUAUGAUAAUUUUUUCUUGCUAAUCCUGAAAUUUUUUUGUCAUCCUGUUUAAGCUUGGAGUAGAAGCUUCAAAAUAUAGAGGUCUUUUGUUUCUUUUUUUUGAGAGAGAGAGAGAUAGGUAGCACGCUACCCGUUUUGUUUAUUUCACUUAGAAAUAAACUUAGCUGCAAAUGUGAAUCAACUAGGAUUCGAACUUGAAACCUCGGAUACCAACCACCAAGCCCUUUGUCACUUGCUCUAGGGACGGUCGGUAGGUCUUUUGUUUCUUGACCCAAGAACCUUUGCUGCAACUUCUUGCUCUAUACCUUCCUAUGUGGUCACAAACUUUGGACAUCUUUGUCGAGAAUCUAACUUAACUGCUUUUUGAAUAGAAAAGUUGUUUCAAAACUCUUGACAAACAAGUCCUAAAGCGACGUCUCCAUAUAUCUAGCCUAUAUAUUUUUUUUUUUUGAAACAGCUUUUUUAUUUUGUAAAGUCAUAAACAAAUCAUCUUAAAAUUAAAAAUCUAGAACUGAAAAUAAGUUUAUAAUCACAUCGCUGACAAAAAGGGAUAUAUCAAACUAUAUAUAUCUAGGCAUUCAAAGAAAACUAUAUAUAUAGCAACUAUAGAGAGAUAACAAAAUUGGAUUCAUGCCCCCGAGGCUCACACACUAUCGUCUCUCUGGUUGGAUUUAAGCUCGAACUUGCGUGUUAUGCAGUUUGAAUGGUUCGCUUGAGAUAACAUGCAUGCAGUUAGUAUCUCUAUUUGAUAAGCAGAAGUUGAAUAUUUUUACAAACAAAAUAUCUAAAAUAAGCUUGCUUUAGUUAGAGCCCAAUAAAUAGGAGCUCAAUUUCUGAAUUUUCUGGUUGUUAGUGUUAUAUUAAAAAUAAAUUAAAAAAAUUAAAACUUUAAUUCUCAACAAGUCGAUAUGUCCGAGUGGUUAAGGAGGCAGACUAGAAAUCUGCUGGGCUUGCCCGCGCAGGUUCGAAUCCUGCUGUCGACGAUUUUUUUUUUUUUUUUGUGAAAUAUUUUAGAACCUUUUUGUUUUUUUUUCUAAAAAAGAAUUUUUUUUGAAAAAGUUUAAAAUAAUAAUGUCCGAAGCCACUCCUAAAUAUCAGAGCCAGGUUUCGAUCCUGGGACCUGUGGGUUAUGGGCCCACCACGCUUCCGCUGCGCCACUCUGAUUUGAUAUAAAAAUUUUUAAAAAUAAUUUGAAGGGUUAAUUGAAUACAUACUAUGGAUUAUGGAAUUUGUGGUGCUCAUAAACACUAUUAUAUGUGGUGGUCACCACUAUUUUUUUUUUUUUUUUAACUAAGAUAUUUGAGAUAUUUCACUUGUGGACAAUUAGUUGUAGUCCACUAGUUAAAGGUAAUUGUUUUUUUUCGCCUUUUUUUUGGAAAUAUACAUGUCCCAACUUAGCACAAUAAUAAGAAAACAUGAGAAUGAUUUUGCGAGCCAAUAAAUAAUUUCUUAAAAAAGAAAUUAGGUAGUACUUUAUUAACAAAGUUUUAUAAGGAAGAUUUUUUUAAAAAAAAAUAAGAGAGUAAUUUUACUCUCCAAUAUAGAUUUUGGAAAGUCCGUGUCAUGCUUAUACAAAAUCUAAUUUUUUGCUAAAUCUAAUUAAAUAUAAUUGAAAUACGUAUUUAGCACAAUAAUAACUUACUAGUUAAACAGCGAUUAAUUUUACAUCUUUUUAAGUAACUCAGUAUGUUGUAGACUAGUAGUUAAUAAGAAUGAGGAUGGAAAGAACUUUCCAAUUCCUUUCCUCUGUGUUGCCAAAUAUAUCCAUUUCUUAAUGAGUUGUCAUUUUCAAACAAAACAAAUAAAAAAUCAAGCAUGCGAAGCCUUACGAUUGGAACGUAAACCUGCAUGUUCUUAGGAUCUUAGAAUUUAAUUAACCAUUAACUCAUUCCAUCACUGAGCACUCUUAGUUCUCACUUAUUGACUAAAACUUUUGCAAAUAAGAAAAUGAUUCAUCUAAGAACAAAAAAAAAAAAAAAAAAUCCUUAAAGAUUUUUGCAAAAGCGCUUCAUGGUGCACGUAAGCUUUGCUCUCCCCCAAGUAAACCUUCCGUUUAUAUUAUUUUAAUAUGCAUUAGCAUGGUAUCAAAACAUUUAUGUUACAUACGUAUCAACCGCUUAAAGGGAGAUUAAUAAACAAAGUUUUAGGUUAAUCAAGUGAUUAAAUAAGAAAGAGCAUCAAACCGACGAGAAUAAACACUUCUUUUAGAGGGAAAUUUGUCUCAGAUAGGAGUUAAUUGUUCCUUCUAGUGGGAGUAAAUUAAUUAAUCUAACAUCCUAGGGCACUUCUUUUCAGAACCAUAGUUUAUCAAAAACUUUACUUGAACUAUGGAUUAUUUUGAUUUCGCUAUCUAAUUUUUUAAAACUUUGAUUUUACGAUCCAAUCAUUCAAUUUAUUUGAUUUGAAUUAAUGAAUAAUAUUUUAACUUUAAAAUUCAAAUGCAUUGUUUAUCUUUACAUAUAUAUAUUUUUAUUUUCGUAACAGUAAAUUUUUUAAAGUAAUUAGCUUAAAAUUUGAAGUCAAAGUAUUCUUGAUCGAUUUAAAUCAAAUAAAUUGAAAACUCAGUACCACAAUCAAGCUUUUGAAAAGUUGGGUAGCAUAUUCAAAAUAAUCCAUAAUUCAGAUAAGUUGAGCACUUUUUAACAUUUAUCAUAUAUAUUAGAUUAUUUAAUUUUAAGUUCACAUUUUAAAGCACUACUUUAGUUUUAUCAGCAUGUCUCGGGAUCAAUAGAAUUUCUUUCGUGACAAUUAUGUAAACUUUAAUUAUUAACGGUGUGGAACAUUAAUGUAACAUUAUUUAUUUUAUUAUUAUUAUUUUCAUAUUUGGACUCAAAUAUGGUAGGAUAACUCGAAGUCUCCUAUUCUAAUACUAAUACUAUAUAAAACAAAUAGUUUCUCCUAGUUAUUAUUUAAUUAAUCAAGCUUUAACUUCGGGAGAAAGGGUGCCUCCUCACAAAGGGGGUCGCAGUGACCAGGCCUGGGUUUUAUUAAACACGCGGCAUAAAUUUCUUGGAUUAUCUCCUCUGUAAUUUUUAAAUUUAAGUAAAAGAUUAUUUAAUAUUUAUGUGAACAAAUUUAACUUGCAGAAUAUAUUUUUUUAAUAUUCAUGCAAAUCCUCAACACUAUCUUUUGCAAUAUCAUAUUCCUCUAAAUCCUAAUAAUAAUAGUAAUAAUAAUAAUAAUAAUAAUAUGGUGGUUAACGGGUCUCGAAAAUUUGACCCGUUUAGAACCCUAAAAUCCCUCUGUGGUUAGGGUGUAACGUUGAACGUGCCACGCCGAAUCUCCCCUUAUAUAUUGCCUCCCCCUGACCUCCUCCUCCUCCUCAACCCUCAAUCGCUCUACGCAAGCGCUCUCUCUAUUACCCCGUCUCAAAUUCCACAUCAUAAUUCGACGCAACAAUCGCAAUUCCAAACAAUCCUCGAUCCAAUCUGGCGGAGACGAGGUUCGGGAUCUUUUGUCCUCUCUGUUUUUGUUUUUUCUCUAUUUUUUUGUUCGAUUUUUUGGGAAAUCUGACGUCUAUUUCGCUUAAUUUUGGUUUAUGAUUCAUGGACUUGUGUUGGAUUGAGCAGAAAAGGGGUAAAAUCCGAUUUUGGCGAGUUGAGUUGCUUUGUUUUCGGUGCGAAAUUGGUGAAUACGAUUGAAAGAUUGGCUUUUUUUUUUGGGAGCAAAAUAUGGAUUUCAUAUGUGAGCGCGGGGGAAUUGUUUAUUUUGAUAUGAGGAUUUGAUACUUUGAUCUUAUGGGUUCUUAAUUGGUAAAACCAUGUAUCAAAGAGAGGUGGAAAGGUCCUUUCUUUUUGUAAUUAUUUGUCUUUUUCUUUUUUGGGUGCCUGACCCUAUAUUUUAUAAUAGUUUCUAUGUCAUUCUCCUUGAAUUCAUUUACUUAUCUCUUGAAUCUAUUUGUCUUUGGUGUAUGCUGGUGUUAAUUGAGAAAUUAUAUUAUCAGUAUAAAGGAAAUAAUCAUGCAUGAUAAGAUGGUUAUCUGUAAUUCUUUGCUUUUUGUGUAGGACGUUUUAAUAAAUAAAGAGGUUAUCUGUAGGUUUUGAUUGUUGUUGGAUAAGAGUGCAAAUCGUGAUACGUCGAGGGUUUUUGCCUGUAUUUUAGCAGUUUCAAAAUUCUAUCUUUCAAUAAUCUGUUGAGACCGAUAUCUUUGCAGGGUUCCGUCAAGUGCAUGCUUAUCGUGUCAGAUCGAUUUUGCUGAUAAAGAUUUCUUUCAGUCUGGCCGCUGUGAAAAUUUUGUAUGGUUCUCGCACCUCUACGUGGGUGUGGGGUUAUGGUGGUAAGCCGAAAAAUCUAUGCUUGCUUUGGGGAUCGAAUGCUUCCUUCAUUUGGAGAUUGUGCCGUGUGCUGGAGGGUCUCUCUUUUGAUUACGGUUAAUGUGCAUGGUGACUAAGAUUUGACUCUGAUAGCAGAGUAGUUCCAUUCUUCUUUCUUACUUCUAAUUGGUGGUUAGACAAAAGUGAAGUAUAGUUUGCCAGCUUCGCACUCUUCGACUAAGUCGGACCUUGGUCCGUCAUUAAACUGUAAAUGGUUAGGUUUUCUUGCUUCUCGGCUCCUAACCAUUUCCACAAAUCAAAGGUAGAAAACUUGUUUUGCCAUUGAUCUUUUUUUUUUUUCAAACAUUUUUGUCUCUACAUUUUAUGGGCACCCUCCAAAACUACAGGUGAUUGGAAACAGGUCUGUAAACUGUAUUUCUUUGGAUCUCAAACCCCUGUCAGCAAUUUUUUUUUUUUGGGUAAUGCAUUUUAGUCAAGUUCCAUCAAAUUAAUAGUUCCUGUUAACUUUGAUAUAGAAUAUGCGAUCAAGUAGCAGAGUAUUUCACUGUGUUACAUAAUAUUCUGUCAAAAAUGGUAUAGAGACUGUCAAGUUUUGAAAGAAUUUCUGAAAUCAAACAGUAUGAAAUUAGGUUAUUAAUCGAAAAAUAAAUUUUAGGGACCUGUUUUCAUAUCACCUAAAAUAAAUUUUAGGGAGCUCGCCCAUCAUUUUUUUUUUCCCGGUAUCUGCAUCUUAUAUGAAGUUAUAUUUUACUUCUUAGAAGGCUAUUCACCAGUCACGUGGAGAUUUACAUUUGGCUCCACAAGCAACUUCUCAAGAUCAACCAAUGAAGUCAGCUACAGGUUUUGCCAGUUCAAAUCAGAAAUCAGAUGAAAAUAACCCAUCGAAUGUUUGUAUUCAGCAGCAUUUGAGUCAAUCUUCUCACGAAGAUUGCUGGAAAUCGGACGAUUUGAAUAGUUAUUCUUGUCCCGAUGAUAAGGAUUUUAUAGAUGUGGCCCAUCUUAAAAAGAGCCAGUCUCUAGGAAACAUUCUUGAGAAGGAGAGAGGUUAUAAUAAUUGUGAUGAUGCCACUGAGGAAGAUGAUGAUGCCGAUCGAAGAUUUUCAGUCCAUUAUUCCCCUGACAAAAACAUUAAGGCGGUCAAAGUUUCUUUCAAUGUAGGCAACUCAUCUGAUGACAAUCACCAUGAAGAGAAUUAUAUUGCCGACUCGGUUUCCAUUACUGACCCACUUCAUCAGGAAUCCCUAUUCUCCAUUGGCCGAUGUGUCGACCAUGUUGACUCUGAGCAGCCAUCAUCUGAUACGGGGCCCACAAUUGAAAGGUCACAUUCUGCAAAUUCCGCCCAAUCACUAGUGCCUCAUGCCCGAUCUUUUGAGAAUUUAUCCUCUAUUGGCGGUGCUAAUAUUGAUUAUUUGAAUGAUGCAUCUUUUCCUCAUGAUAUGGAUGGAGAAUUGAAUUUAUAUGCAAAAGGUUCGUUCACUAUUGUAGAUGACAGACACGAGUGCAAUCAGUCCAACACUAGCGGUGACAAUUAUUGUACUGGAUCUGGUGGAGUAGAAUUUGGUCAAAACCUUCAAUUUGAAUCUUUUGCUCAAAAUCUUGAUGAGCUGAAUCCCAAGGAAUUUAAUAUAAAGAGAAUUGAAGAGUGGAUAAGUCAAAUUGAUAUUGAAAAUGAUAUGAUCGUGGAAGAACAAGGCGAAAGUUCUAGUUCUGCUUCUAGAAGAGUUUCUCAAGUGGUAGCUGGUGUUUCUGCCACGAAACAUGAUUCUAGAAGUAGUCUUGGAAUGGAGUUGGCUUACAACUAUAUAUCGACUUUGAAUGCUGCUUCUUCAUCAGCCCAGAUGGCCAAUCUGGGUUUGGUCGCCAUCCCAAUUCUUAGUGCAUUUGUUGGGUUGCGGGUUUUAAGCUUAUCAGGAAACUCUAUAGGUAUUCAUGUUGUCUUUUGUAGUAAUGUUGAUGGGUAUCUAUCUUCUUAAAAAACGAGAAGAUGGUUCCCUUUUUUUUUUGUGGUUAUAUUUUUCCCUUUGCUAUAAUUUUGUAAUAUUUUACUUCUGUGUCCAGUUCGAAUUACUGCCGGAGCUCUUCCAAAAGGUCUUCAUGUGCUAAACUUGUCGAAAAAUAACAUCUCGGCCAUUGAAGGUCUUAGAGAACUGACACGUCUCCGUUUACUGGACCUGAGCUACAACAGGAUAUCCAGAAUUGGACAUGGUAAUGAUUCCGGAUUUCUAUUUGUUAUGCUUUCUAGUUCUUGAUUCACUCAUAUUUUGACGAUGGGCAUGAGUUUUAUCUUUUUGACGAAAUCAUUCUUUGUCAUAUGUGCAUUAGUGUUUUCUUGGGUAUUUAAGGUUAAUAUAGUUAUCUAUCCUUGCUAGGAUUAUUGUGGAACCAAAAUAGAGACAUCUGUGAACUCUCAUAUUACCAGCACUUGUUUUACUUGAAAUCAAGCAUCAAUUAUCCACUAGGUUGGAACUUUUACUAUCUGUGGACUUUAUAUCAGUCUUUUGAGUAAAUCAUCAACAGCUACGGCUGUUCUUAUCUUUUUUAACUUCGUACCCAUUUGGACGCAUGGUUAGAGUGUGUUUAUGACUGUGGUGUCGCAUGCUUUUCGACAUGCAAUGCCUGAAAAGCAGGAAUUUGAGAAAGCUACAAAUCGGAGUUUUCUCUACUAAAGCAAGAUGACAAUAUAUUUGUUAAGUUACUAAUAUUUUGUUGUAUAAUCUCUUGACAGAAAAAAAAACCGUAUAUGUGUAAUGUUAUCACCCAAACUUUUCUUAGGAUCUAAAAAUUGUGCCGCAUCUUAUCUCGAGGUUAUCUACAUUUCUUGUUAUAUAUAGUAAAGGAGAUUCUAUUGGACUCCUGGUGUCCUUUUACCUUUUACCUAUUGCCAGAGGUACCUUUAUUUUUUCGUUGUUUAAAAUUAUUUCAUCCAAGUUUAUUAGUGUCUGAGAUUCGCUCGCUCAAGGACACCUGGGUUCUUUAUUGCUAGAUCUUUAUAUAUAUACUUAUUUGUAGUUUUACUCUAUGUUUUUUAUUUUUAAUUUUAUUUUUAUGUUUAUUUCUAUUUUUAUUUUGUUACUUUUCUUUUUCUCGAGGCCUUGUUGCUUCAAUCUGUAGCCUAGUUCAUACUCUAAAUAAAUGAAGCGGUAGCAUGCUACAUUUCUCUCUCAAAAAAAAAAAAAAAAUCAUCCAGUGUACUCGAGACCCAAGUUCGAAUCCUAGUUGUUUCACAUUUCCAGCUAAGUUUAUUUCUAAAUGAAAUAAACGAAACAGGUAGCGUGCUACCUAUCUCUCUCUCUCUCUCAAAAAAAAAAAAAAAAAAAAAAAAAAAUCAUCCAGUGUAGAGAUUGAUUUCUUGGUGAAACUUGAGAACUAACAACCAACGCAUCUUACAACUUAUCUGAUUGAUUUCUGUGGUACUUUUUUCUUUGUUCAAAAAUAUUUCAUCCAGUGUAGAGAUUGAUUUCUUGGUAAAACUCGAGAACUACAACCAAUGCAUCUUGUCACUUCUCUGAUUGAUUUGUGUCAUUCCAUGUUUCCAUUCUGUGUAUAUUACUUUUAUCAUCUGGUAAUUUAAGAAAAUUCAUGGAACCAACUCUCUAAAGAUCACUUUUUUGUCUUUUUUUCACACUUCCACUAAUUCAAUUGUUUUAAUAUUUUGAAGGUCUUGCUUCCUGCUGCUCCUUGAAAGAGCUCUAUUUAGCUGGCAACAAGAUCAGUGAGGUCGAGGGCCUGCACCGCCUUCUGAAACUGAAUGUCCUCGACCUCCGCUCCAACAAAAUAUCGACAUCAAAAGGCCUGGGCCAGCUUGCUGCCAACUAUAGUUCUUUACAGGCAAUAAACCUCGAAGGCAACCCCGCCCAGAAGAAUGUUGGUGACGAACACUUGAAAAAGUAUCUACUCAGUCUUCUACCGCACCUCGAGUACUACAACAAGCGGCCGAUCAAGGCGGGUAAAGAGUAUUCAGAUCGCCCUAGUCAUCGGAUGAAGUCGUCUCGUCCGUUGGAAUGUGGUGGUGUGCGGUUGGAUCGGAAGCUCACUCAGAGGGCAACAAUAGUCAGUCCGUCAAAGCUGUCCAAGAGCCGAGAUGUGCGCCGUCCUCCGACAGGAUCAAAGCCGAGCGAUCAUGAUCGUAUGCACGAUAGGAGGAGGCUGUUAGGGGUUGAGAUCAGCAACCCUAUACGAAGAAUCCGAAGCGAGGGAGCUCUAUGAAACUGCCUGUUUAGGAGCGCAGCUGGAAUCAUUAGUAUCUUUGGCUUUCAAAUAGGUAAUAAGUUGGAAGGUAAUUUGGUUUCUUGUUUGAGUUGAAAAGAUGAAUAAUAAUAUAAUUACUAGGAGUGGCUCCAUAUGCAGUUGAAUUAUGGAAUAAUGUUUAGGUACAAUUAAUAUACGUUCUUACGUCAACAAUUGAUGGCGAUGUGUUAUUAUCUCUGUUGUGAUAAUGCAAGGCUGGUUAUGAGUAGUGAUACCAUUUUUUUCUUUUGUUUUGAGAUGUGUGUUUUUGAGCAAGGCAUGCUAUUGUUGUAUUCAUUCGGGAGGUGAACUAAGCUAAAUUCUCAAGGUGUGCUUUUUUUUUUCUCAAAAAUUUUUCUAUUCAGAUUCAAUAAUUUGCUCAGUUCCCAAAGCCUACCAGCUGAAAGAGCAAUUAGGUAAGAUCAUAUUAUUAAGUAACAGAUCAUCUUAUUAGGUAACAAAUCUAUAGUUUCGCAACCCAUAAAAAAGGUGGUCAACUCCCUCAGGCUUUUCUAUACAUAGAACACAACUAUCCUAAUAGUUUAUUGUGAUUUAACUUCUUAAUCAAAGUUAGUAGGUUUUACUUCUUAAUUAGAUAUUUCAAUUUGUAAUCCAGGAGAAUCCUGUUACGAAAUCGAAGGCAAAAUUCUCUAAAAUGGAGUCUUAAAAGAACGGUGUUACAAGAAUUAUUAAAUUUUCUCCAAUGAUCUCCAUUGAUUUCCUUCAGUAGUGUUCCACUGGAGAAUUACACACAACAAAUUUGUAAAAACACAAUUAUACUGCACUGAAAGAUGCAUACAGUAAUUUUACAACACUAACAAAGCACAAAUUCAACAUAGCAGGACAGUCCAUUAAAUAAUACUUAAAAAGUUACAAGCAGCUUUAUUCUUCACAACACAGUACUCGCUAGCUUAUCAAGACCUUCAAAGCAAAGUGGCUGCUGAAACUCACAAUUACUACAAACAUAAACAACAAACAGAAACAUAUCUUAUAUGCAUGUUUGCUUCAUGCUUACAUAGAACUCACGCUCAUGACGGAAUCCAUGUCGGAAGUUUCAGUACCGACGCUUGAUAUGAUAUACGGGUAGAGGGGAUUUGUGGCAAGACCACAUAAUCCUUGUUUUGCAGCCACAUUUUUUGCUAUUCGCAUGUAUCCGCUUUCACCCCACUUUGUGCCCCAUGAGUUUUUUAUUAUCCAAUACUUUUUUCCCGAUUCCUCACCAUAACCGACUACCGCGACACCGUGAGUGACAUUAGGUCCACAAGCUUCAUUAAAAAUACCCCCUGUGUAAUGAUGCCAAGGUUUGGCAUUAACUCCAACGGAAACUGGUUGGUUGUUCACAGCUUUCAUGAGCUCGGCUUCACUGUUUUUAGGGACAGACCUGUAACCAGUAAUAUAAGCUGCAUGAUCAGAUAGCUUAUUUUUGUCACAUACCCCUUUAGAUCCUUUAUAUGGAUAGUUAGCCUCGGUUGUCAAGCCUUUAUUUGCGACGAUAAAAUUGAAAGCUUUGUUACGGGAACCGCCUGCGCAAGUACCACCACCAGAACAAUCUAGAACUUGUUGUUCAGAUAGAGAUUUUAACACUCCUUUUUUAAUCUUGUAGAUACUCUCAACUGUUGCUACCGCAGCGAAUGCCCAACAGGAACCUAGUUUUGUAUUGAGUAUCACAUUAGAAUCAUGGACUCAAGAGAGUAAGCAUGUGUAUGUACGUAAGCGUAGCUAUAUUAGCUCAUUUGAUAAGUUUGUUAAACAAGACUUGGUGCAUCGUUGAUUUAAAUCAAACAAAAUGGCAAGUAAAGUAAAAAAUUGAAAGUUUUAAAGAUCUGAUAAUUGUCUCAAAAUGAAAUGUCAUAAUUUAGGUAAAUUCCGUAUGUUUUUACCAAAGAUAUGUUACACAUAGGUGAAAAAUCUUACCGCAUGUUAGUUGGUUCUUGACUCCAGUUACAGCACCUUUAGUCCUCCAAUCAACAGCGGCCCGCAAGGGCAAGUUUUCAUACUCAAAAUCCGACAUGGAGGUCUCUGUAGUUGUUGGGAUCUCCUCCGUUACAUCUCCAAUAACGUACGUAUCAACAAACUCCUCGUUUGUAAGAUCAGUAAACUGGGUUAUGCCGAGGGUGUACGAGCGCCUGCCAACUUUGUUGAAUUCCUCGAUAUACUUCACGUUGUCCUUGAAGAUCUCAUACCGCCGCUGCUUCUCCUCUGCAUUCGCGUACACUCGACCGUGUUCGGACAUCCACUCUUCGAACAUCCUCAUCGUCGGUCCAUCAGUUCUAGCAUUGCAAGAGCUAAACAACAAGGUGAGAGACAACAAGACAAGAAACGAACUCAUAAGCAAAAAUUGGAAUGUGAAAGCCAUAACCACAAUGCGUGCAACUAGAAAUCAAAACUUUUUGCUUGUGAGGUUGAGGUCUCAAAGUUAGGCUCAUAUGAAUAUAUAUAUAUAUAUAUAGAGGGAGAGAUAGAGAGAGGUUUGGCGAAGGCAGUGUGAUCGAGAGCUAACAUCUCUUUUACUACUGCAUCGUUUCUGACAGCAGAGUAUCCGAAUUGACAAUUGACAUCCAUCGUUAAAUUUGAUCUAGACUAUUCGAGCCUCUUAGCUGGCUAUUCGAGCAGUCUCAAAGUUGAUUAUUCUUAACGACUACUAUAAAGUAAAUUUGAAAUCACUUAAUCACUUACUAAAUGAUGUUGAAAAAUUAUAGAAUUUGAGUCUAUAAAAUUUAAAUAGUCUAAGAUCAUAUUUGAUAGUAUCAAUGGUACUUUGAUACAGAUGCUCCUCACAUGAAAUGAUCUGGAAGUAAAUGUCUCCAAGAAUGCUUUACUCUCUAUAUAUAUAUCUUAUUUAGUUUUCUUUUUUGCAUACUUGCGUAAGCUUUUGCUGAGGAAUUAAUAGGAUAUGUUGGUAAAAUCCAAUUAGAUACUUUCACUGUAGAAUUCUAAUAACCGAUAUUAGAGAUGUUACUAAUUGAUAUCAGAGCAGUUUGCAGAACGGAAUUCUAAUAAUUGAUAUUAUAGAGUUUAUUAAUUGAUAUCAGAGUAGUUUAUGGAACAGUACCAUUGUCUGUGCACACCAAAUGAGAACUUAGUUAUGACUAAUUGAUUAUGCUUUAUCUAUAGAGAAUGAUAGAUGACGGUCAUAUUUUACUACGGAGAAUGACAAAUAAUAAUCAUAUAUUUAUGACACAGAAAAGCAAAUAAAUCAGUACUGUUAGAUAUGUCUCGAAUUCUAGAACCGCAAGGUUUUCUAAUCCUAUUCUGUUUUGAUUAUCCCAUUAAAUUAAGGUUAAAUUAUGUCUAAUCUAAUUAAAAUAUUUCUAAUCUUAGUUGAUUUGUAUUCCUAAUCGUAUUAGGAUUUAGCUACUAUUACAAAUAUACUCUUUAUUCUAUUGAUUUAGUGUGGCGAAUGAAGAGAUUAUGAGUAUAUUUUUGGGAUUAGGGCAUAUUUUAUACACUACUUUAAUUAUAGUGACAAUCUCUGCUCCGUCUUUGUCCAUGGAUGUAGACCGGUAGCCGAACUACGUAAAUAUUGCGUGCUUUAUUUUUCUUCUCUUUUUUCUCGGAUCCUUUUGAUAUUUUCGCACCCGACGAACUAGAUCUUUUCAGUUUUUGUCAUAACAAAUAUUUUUCUCUAUUUUUUUUUUGAGAGAAAAAGAUAAUAUCUUAAGCUAUACUCCUGUAUACAAACUAAAAUUAACUCUUAAAUAUUUCGAGAUGGAGGGUAGCAAUACAUUUUUUAAAAAAAAGGGUGACCGGCUCUUGUUGCCAUCGAUACCGGUCAUUAGGUUCUGAUGGUAGAGAUUCUUUUCUCAUUACGUGAAGUUAGCACCGAAGACUUUUUAAUAAUUUUCCAUCUUCGUAAUGUCCUAUUUUUGUAAAUCCAGAACAUUCCGCUUUCUCCAUUCUCAUCCUCCCAAUAUCCCAUUUUUUAAAUUAAAUUUAGAUUUAUAAUCCAAAGUUAAUUUUUAAACAUAAAAACUUUAUGUUUAAAUGGUUAAUAAAAUUUAUUUUUUUAAUUAUAAUAUAAAUUAAAAUCCAAAUUUAAAUUUUAAAUUUGAUUAAUAUUUUUGAACUUUAAUGCUAUUUUCACUUUCAAAUAAAUAAUUUGAAUUUAAUUUAAAAAUAAAAACCUUUUAUUUAAAUAAAUAAUAAAAGUUGGGAUAAUAAGUACAAUAUAACUUACAAUUUAAAAUAGAUUAAUAUAUAUAUUUGAACUUUCAUGUUAUUUUAAUAUUGAAUUAACAAUUUGAAUUGAAAUGCACUACUCAUUUAAAUAUAAUUUUUUUUCUUUCUAAAAAUUAAAAUUAAAUUUGAAUUUAAUGUAUAUAAUUAUAAAGUUUAAACUCAAAUUAAAUUAUAAACUCUAUGAAGUUUUGUUACUUAUCAAAUUAGCCACUAUUUAAUAUGGUAAGUAAUAAAAUUAAAUAAGGAAAUAAAGAUUUAUUUGAUAUUAUUAAAUUUGGUAAUUGGUUAGUAUUGAUUUCUCAAUAUUAUUUUUACUAUCGAUCUUGAUUAGAAACCUGUUGAGCAGGUUCCUACCGGAUAAAAGUCAAUUUUAACAUUAUGAACGUCUAGAUUUAAAUGAGAAGGUGUAUUAAAGUAUUUCUUAAUAUCUUAUCCAGUUUCGUACUUAGAAUCUUUAUGUACCAAUUAUCAAAUCUAUUUUCGCUUACACUAGAGGUGUCUAUCACAAAUUUGUCAAUGUAUGGGCCCGUUUAUCUAACACUCCUUGUCGUGAAUCCGGCCAGUUAAUGAGCAUUUCUUACUUAGCAUAUUAUCAGUUGUUCCUCAAACUCUUUUUUUUUUUUUUUUUUUUUUUUUUUUGAGAGAUAGAGAAAGGUAACAUGUUAUGCGCUUCGUUUAUUUUAUUCAGAAAUAAAUUUAGCUGAAAAUGUAAAUCAAUUAAAAUUCGAACUUGAGAUAUCGUUGAGUAUCAAUAAUCAAAUUAUUUGCCACUUGCGCUAGAAACGGUGAUGACGAAACAUCCCUUAUAGCCAUAAAUAGAUAACAAAAUAUACACAUGGACGACUAUUUUCACUCGCGAGUCCGCUAGCGAUUAUUUCAGAGCCCAUCAAAUUAAUCCAGCUCCACACACGCCCUUUCAGACUGUGACGGUGGUCUCAUCCACUCCGCGGGGACUCAGCGAGUACAUUAAUUAAUUGGCCACGGACUCUCAAACCCGUUUGGAUCGGGGAUAAAGGGUGAAAUAACCCCUUAUUCCCUCUUUAUAUCCAAAUGCUAAUUUUUUAUCCGAGAAUAGUGGUCCUCGGAUAUCUGAAAUAAGAUGGUAUAACUAUUUCUACCAACACCUCCAUUUUUCAUAUAAAACUGCUCGCUAUUUUUUUUAUUCUAUAUAAUUUAUCCAAACGUUAUUUUUUUUAUCCCCGGAAAUAAUUUAAUUUUCAUCCCAACGCUAUUUUUUUAUCCCCAUACUUGUAUUUAUUUAUAUAAUAGUUAAUUCUUAUUUAUAUCCGAAUCAAACGGUGCCCGAGGGAGUAUAUAUGAUGAGUCGGAUUUCCUUAAUAAGUAGUAAAUCGGGAAGGAAAGAAAUCCUAAUUAGGUAUAUCAUGAGUAACACAUGAUAUGCCUCCCAAAUAUGUGCGCGCCACAUUCUGGCCGGGGCAGCUGUCAGAACUCAGAACGUAUAUUAAUUAACCUCCCAACCAAAUCUAGCAUUUCGGCGACCUGGCUCCUGCAUUUUCUGGCCUCUCCUUUCCCAAGAUGGGGUCGUAGCACUAGCAACUUCACAAUUAUCUUUUUCAGUUUCUACCACUUAAUUAAUUACAGUAUGAAAAGACUCGGCGUACGGAUUCAUGGGUGAAAACAAAUACAUAACAUCAUAGUCAAGACAAAUUAAUGAUCGACUGUUGCACAAUAUGUAUCGAUCUGCACCUUUCUCACGCCUGGCAUAAUAUCUAAGUUGUGUUGCACGUUUUUGAUGGGGGGACAACAACAAUCAGCACACAUCAAUAAAUAAGGGGGGCAAUAAUUGAUGGCCAAUUUGCAUGAAAAAUACACAAGUUUUGAGUUUUUACAAAACUGAAAUGCUUUUUUUUUUCAAUUUUACAGAUUUUAUCCGAAAUUUUAGUAAAUUGAUUAAAAUAUUCUUAUAUUUUAUUCUCUCUUCUUUUUUUAUCUCUCGUUUUUUUUUUUUUUUUUUCUCUUCGAAGAAGGCGGCGGAGGCGGGAACGGCCCGCCUCCCUUCAAGCCCUCGCCCUCACCCGCGCACCCCCUGCCCUCCUCGUCUCUGACUCCGUCGAGACUACGUCACGACCGCCUUUUCUUUUUUAUUUUUUUUCUCUCCGACCCUACUCUACCACCCCGCGACUCUCUGCGAUGAUAGCGAAGACGGUGCCGCGUCUUCUUUCUCCGCUUUCUUCCUCCUCCUCUACCACCUCCGCGGCUCUCUGCGAUGAUAGCGAAGACGGUACCGUGUUCUCUUUCUCCGCUUUCUUCCUCCGCCUUCACUGUAACAAAUUUUCUAUCCGCCAAAUAAACUCACCGUUCCCACCGCCGCCGCCGGCGUCGAAGAGAAAGCGCUUCUCGGAACCGAGAAGCACACCAGCGAGAAAAGGGAAGAACAAUAGUUACACUACGGUAAGAACAGUGGCUGUGAUAGAGGGCAAGGGAGAGGUCGUGACCAAAAAAAUUUAUAAAAAAAAAUAAAAACAAUACAAAAUAAAAAUAAAAAAUAUUUUUUUUCUAUCAAAAAGAUCAAAAAUCAUAAAAAAAAAAAGAAAAUGAUGAAAUUGUACUGUUAAAAUAAAGUUAUACUGUUUUUAAAAAUUUUUGCACUAUUUUAAAUAAAAGUUGCAUUCUUUGAGACAGAAAUUACACUAUUUAAAUUAAAGUUGCGUUCUUUGGAUAAAAUUUAUAUUAUUUUUUUCUCUCUUCUUCUUCCUCAUUCUCUUUUCCUUUUGUUUUCUCGUAUUUUUUAUAUGUGCAUCUUGGGCCGGCAACGUGCACGGUGGAGGCGGAGGAGAGCGCGACACACCAUUGAUGUAUUCUCCGAACCAAACGGGUCUGGAUGUAUUCUCUUUACAGGACACGUCCUAUUAAUAUGGUGGAUACACCUAGUGCACUGUAGGCAAUAUAGAAAACUAUAAUUUUCAAUUUUAUUAAAUUUAUUUGAAAUAUAUAAUUUGUGUUAUAUAGACUUUUCAAUAUUACUGAAUAGAUUUGAAAUAUUAAAUUAUAGUUUUAAAUGUUCUACUUCUUAGAAUUAGAGAAAGUAUAAUAUAUCAUGCAUAUAUAGAAACAUUUCUUAUACUCGGUGCUAUAUAAUAUGAAGGCCGUGACCGACACUUCUCGAUCCCCUCUGAGAUGAUUCCAGUUCAGAAUUCUAAUAACUGAUAUGAUUGAUGUUGCCAAUUGAUAUCAGAGUAGUUUGCAGAACGAAAUUCUUUUUUUCUUAAAAAAAAAAAUAGCAAGCUACAUGCUUCAUUCAUUAAGUAAAAUAAACUAAGCGUACAUAAUAAAAGCAGCUAAGGCCUCUGAAGAAAGGCGAGGAAAGAGAUCGAAAAAGGUGCAAAAAGAUUACAAAAGCAAGAGUGGUGCGGGGAAGGUGGAAGUGUAAGUUGGAGAGCUAGCAAAUUAUUAUCGCAGCAUGUUGCAAAACGAAAUUCUAAUAGUCAAUAGAGCUUCGUAAUUGAUAGCAGAGUGGUUUGCGGAUUCUCAACAAUACCAAGAGUGGUUUGCGGAUCCUCAACAAUACCAAGUGCCGCUGCACAACAACUGUGUGCUUAUGGUGAUGAUUGGUGAAGGGGAUUUAGAGUGUACCCUUAGUGAAGAUGUUCGAAAAGUUUGGAAAAUGGCAACUCGGGAUAAUCGUAAUAGGAAAAAGGUGACAAGAACAUAUUUACUUGUAACUUGCUUGUGGGUUAUAUGGACUGUAAGGAACAAUUUUAUUUUUAGAGGGAUCAAUAUUAAACCGUUGGUGGCAGUAAAUAGGGUCAAAUCACUAGCAAAGCAAUGGAAGGAUUUUUUAGUGGACUAUCAUAAUUUACCUUAGCCAAUAAUUUAUUUUUUUUUUCGGAUCUUGUUUGAGAUGUUUAUGAUUCUCGGGGCCAAUUACCCCACUUCUGUAGCUCAGUUCAUAUUCGCUAUAAAUAAAGCAGGUAGCAAACUUACCUUUCUCUCAAAAAAAAAAAUUUGUGAACUUAGUUAUGACUAAUUAGUUAUACUCUAUUAUAGAGAAUGACGUAUAGUAGUCAUAUUUAUUAUAGAGAAUGACAUAUAGUAGUCAUAUUUAUUAUACAGAAAGACUAAUAGACUGGCAUAAUACUAAUAUAUUCCACAUUUUUUUUUUAGAGAGAGAAAGGCAGGAUGCAUGCUAUCUGGCUUCGAACUUGAGAUGUUAAAUACUAUCCAACAAAUUCUUUACCACUAGCAAUAAGGAUCUUUUGCUACUUGUGACAGGGUCAAUCGGUCACAUAUUUUUCAAUGUAUAUUAAUUAUUUUGUUGGAUAUAUAUUACAUCAUUGGUUUGGUCGCUAAAAUUUCAUUUAGAUCAUCAAACUUUAAUUUUUUUAUAAAUAUAUUAUAUUAUAUUAUUAGUCAUUGAACUUUUGGUGAAACUUUAUGUAGGUCAUUGAACUUUAAAUUCCUUCAAUCAUUAUUUCGUAAAAAAAUAAAUUUAAAUUCGAGCAGUAGCUUGACUGAAAUAAAAAAUAAAGAAACAAAUUUUCACCGAAGUUCAAUGAUCAAUGGUGUUAUGCACGCAAAGUUUAUUUGUAGGCUAAAGGAAGAAGCUGAGCAAAAUAUAAUUGGAUGGAGCAUUAAUUUUAUCCUAAUAGAUAGACUUAUUAAUUUGUUCUAUCAUCAUAUUUUUCGAUUGAGAAAUGCUAUAUAUCUAUACAUAUAUAUACCCACUCAUCCAAAAGCUUAUGUUCUAUUCUUAUUAUUUAUUUUUAAUAUUAAAUAUUUUUAAAGAAUUAUGAAUCUAAGAUGAAAAGAAUGUAACAUUUAUACAUAUCUCGUGCAUUUUAAUUUUCCAUUACAUGCACAUUUGACUAUAUUUACUGAGUUCGGUCUCAUUAACUUAACCACAAUUUGCCUAAAUUUAUCUCAAAAACUCUCCAAUAAACGAACAAUUAAAGUGUACCUAAACAAACUUCAAUUUGGCCAAAUAUUAAAACACAAUUGCCCAAAUAUUAAUUUACCAUCUAAUAAAAAAUUGGGAUAAUUUAGUACUGUGAAUCCUUCCUCCAACUCCAAAUUAUAUAGAAAUUUCUCUAAAACCAUCAACAUCAAAACUAUCUUUCUAAUUUGGAAAAAAAAAAUGUAAAAUAUCCAUAUUUAUAACGAUCCAUCCAAAAAUUAAAUGAGAUUUUCAUUCUUAAUUAACUUAAAGAUUUGUUGCUUUAAAAUAUUAUAGAACACAACAUCUAGCUAGCUCCCGAUAUUCAAAUGGCAAGCUUGUUAAAUGUAAAAAUAUAUAAACAUCGUUUAAUUCAAGUCCUAUAUCAUGGGUCUUGUAAAAACUUUCGAGUCCAGACGUGAGGGAAAGUGUUAAAUAUAAAAAUAUGUGAAUAUCAUUCUCUAACAGUUUAAGUUUUUAGAGUACAACGGUUGUUUUAUAUGAUAUCAGAACAGAAAAUUCUGAGUUCGAGUUAUGUCCGACUCCUAAUAUUACCAAUUAUCUUACUUUUAAAGUUUUUAGAAUUUAACGAGUGUUUCACAAAGCUGAUACUUAGUAGUUCGGGCACUUGGCUAGCUCCUGCAUUUUCUAAAACAUUUUCACCCAAUUCGAUGUGGUAAUCAAUAGUGGCCUACUUACGCCUCUCCUUCUCAAGGGGGGGUCCUUAGUUUAAUUUCCAGCAACUCCACAAUUAUAUUCUUCAGUUUCCACCACUUAAUAAUAUGCAGAGACUUCAUGGAUGCAUGCAUCAAACAAGUACGUACGGAUCAUCAUUUUGGAGGCAUAUAUAUAUAUAUAUAUAUAUAUAUAUAUAUAUAUAUAUAUAUAUGCUAAAUUACAGAAAAUGUUUUUGUCAAUACUCGCUUUUUUACUUUCCCUUUCUGUCAUUUAAAAACCUACAUUUUACCCCCUUGAAAAAUAAGAAAUAUUUACAGGGGGGUACACCGUGACAAAAUGACUAAAAUGUCCUCACCAUCUUCGUCUUCUCCCCCAACUUAGUUCAGCCGUCGCCCCUCCUCUUCCACAGGGAGGAGAUCGGAGUGGGCAUGGAUGGAGAGGCGUGCAAGGGCCGGUGGCGGAGAAGGGCGAAGGGAAUGUCGGCGAGGAUGAGGGCGAGGCAAUGGAGGAGGGCGAGGCGGCGAAGCGGCGGCAAGGUGGCGAGGUGGCGGCGAGGCGGAAGGAGGCGAAGCAACAGAUAAGAGGGCGGAGGGGUAUUUUUAGUAUAAAAAAAUAUAUUUUAACAGAACCCUAACGGAUCAUUAACGGUAGGGGGUGAAGUGCACAUUUCUCAUUUUUAAAGGAGACAAAGUGUAGGUUUUUAAAUGACCGGAGAAAAAAGUGAAAAAACAGGUAUUGACAGAAAAGUUUUAUGUAAUUUAGCUAUAUAUAUAUAUAUAUAUAUAUAUAUAUAGAGUGAGGCUACUAUGCUAUCGGAAGCACGGAGCCUUCCGUGCUUCCAGCUCGUUUUUAAUGUUGUGACUUUCGAAUCGUCGAUCGGCUCCGUUAAACUUGAUCUAGAGUAUUUGAAGUAGCUAGAAAAUAAAUUUUAUGAUUUUACGAUAUCAUUUGCCUAGUGAACGAAGGGGCUCAAAAUCAACGGCUGAAAAUAAAAAUCUUACAAAAUGUAAUAAUAUGAUAUUAAAAUUUUAAAUCAAAGAUAUUGAUCUUGUUUUAUAUAGUAUAAAGAAUUUUCUAUCAAAAUUUCACGUGAUUUGGAUAUUUCUACACCGUUAAACUUGCAAACGGCUCACUACGGCCAUUGAAAUUUGUUGAUUUUGAGCCCAUUCGAUCACUAGGCAAAUGAUAUCGAAAAAUAAUAAAAUUUAUUUUCUAGGUACUCCAAAUACUCUAGAUCAAGUUUAACGGAGCCGAUCGACGAUUCGAAAGUCGCAACAUCGAAAACGAGCUGGAAGCACGGAAGGCUCCGUGCUUCCGAUAGCAUAGUAGCCUCACUCUCUCUAUAUAUAUAUAUAUAUAUAUAUAUAUAUAUAUAUAUAUGAUUGUUGCACAAUAUAUGUCAUGUGUAAUGAAUGAAGUAGGUAGCUUGCUACAUCUUUCUCAGGAAAAAAUAUAUGUUAUGUGUUGCUCGUUUUUGGUCGAAUUAGGACAAAAAUUAGCCAUCAGCACAUAGCAAUAAUUUUAGACGACAGGUCCACAAUGUUGAAUAUAAAUAAUUAUUUGAUCCCCUCUCGAUAUGCUUAACCUUCUGAAGAUAACUAAAUAGUAAUUUCAUACUAUUACACACAUGUACAAUAUGGUAAUGAACAUUAUUAUUAUUUUCUAUUGUUUACCACUGCACGACAAAUGUGAACCCAAGCUGUGGCUAAUCGUCAAAUCUCCUAUUUCCUGAACGACAUGGAUGUAUUCAGUGAUCUCCAACGGUGUCGGUGUGGUGCCGAAGAGUUAUUAAUUACAGAGAAUUUUAAGAAAACUUCGAUUUUUUUUAAUCUUUCUAUAUAAAUUCAUGAGAUUUUAGUUUUUUGAGUGAAAAUCGUCUUGAUCAAAAGCAAAGAUUUAAUUGGUAGCUGGACUUUAAGUGAAAUUUUAUGUAGUUCACCGAAUUUUAAUUUAUUUUAAUUAUUCACUGAAUAUUAAUUUCAAUCUCAAUCUGAUUACUUUAUCAUAUUUCGCAUAAUUAAUUUUUUAAACAAAACAGAGAAACGUACGGUUGCUAAUUUAGCUACCUCAUGAGUGUAAUUCAUUCAAUUUUUAAUUCAUUCGUAGGCUUAGGAUGAAACUUAGCCGAAUAAAAUUAGAUGGAAUAGUUUACCACGGUAGAAUAAUAACUAGCUAUUAAAAUUUAUGUAAACAAAUUCCAAUUGACCAUAUUAUGAAACCACCAUGUCCAUCUAUUAAAUACCGUUUAUUUAGUUAAAAGUUCAUGUUUUUGAUCUAUGGAAAGUCUCAAUUUUUAACUUACAAAUGAACUUGUGCGUGAAAACCCAAGUUCUUUUAUGUGAGAAGUACAAGCACUUCAGGGUGCGUGAAAACCCAAGUUCUUAUUAAAAUUUGUUGAAUGUGUUGUGGUUUAAAAGUUGACAGUGACAUCAUAUUACCACGCUUCCGAUCAAUCAACUGGUUCUCGGGCGAGCUCAACUACAACUCACCGGAGACCCCCCGAGAAAAAGUUGGUUCCGGCGUUCGAGAGCCUGAUUGCGAAGCUCGUAAGUCUGCCGAUCCCGACGGUGCCCCGUGUAAAGGGCUGCGCGUACAGCGCGGGGUUCACGCUUGCGCUCACGCUCGUGCACGACUACUUGGUGCUGUCAAAUGACGCCCUGAUUAGCGUGUGCCAGGACGAGCUUGUUAGCUAUUUAUUAUUAGGCUAAAAUAGGUUCAAUAGUCUGUCCCAUGAUAAUAGGUUCAGAAAAAUAAUAAGUUGAGUGACGGUGCAGUCCACAAAAAGCCUAAUAGUAAGAGGUCCAAUAAUAAAUCCAACAUUCACAUGAUUUAAGCCAUAUCGAAACCCGCGAGUGCUGUGGCUGAAUUGUUAAGUACAAUAGAUGCGCCCUUUCUAUAUGAUUUUGAGAUAGUUGGUUAGCGCUUAUGAUCUGCAGAACUGGCGCGGGGCCACGAGCUGUCGCAUUAUGCCGCGGCACUGCUGAGGGACAAAUUCCUGCCGUCGGUCGCGUGGGCCCUGGCAGCGUUGUCCCACACUACGCCCCCAUAAGCGACUACAUGAAGCGCUACGUAGGGUGGAGCGAAGACCAGGUGGUGGAUGAACUGCUAAGGCCGUCUGCUAACAGAAUCCGCAACUGCAACGGCGGCAACUACAGUAAGUUGCGGGAUCGAGAGGCUAGCUGCUGGCCGAUGUGUCCCGGGUGGCGAACGACGAGUGAAUCAGACCCUACUAAAUCAAAGGCUUGAGUUGAGAACUAGUUUAAUAAUAUGGUGACCAAAAAUAUUACUUUUACAUUAUAAACGGUUCAAAAUUUUUAAAAAUACUUUUAGUCUUUCUUUUUUUUAUGUUAUAAAAUUACAGUUGUACCAGCUAUAAAAGAAACCGCGUAACCACAUACUUCUCCAAUGGCUAUUGUAAUGGUAAUUAUAUAAUUAACAUUAUAGGAGAAAAGAUCGUGAACGCUUUUGAAAUUUUUUGACAUGUUAUAUUAUAAAAAUAAUAGUUUUAGUCACCAUAUUACUAAUUAAACUAGGUCUAAAUCACCCUGAUCAGCUCACGAAUAGUGCGAGGGCCUGGAUCCGUGCAUUUUUUUCGUAUGCAUGUAUUUGUCCCCAGUCAUAUAUAUAUAUAUAUAUAUAUAUAGUGAGGCUACUAUGCUAUCGGAAGCACGGAGCCUUCCGUGCUUCCAGCUUGUUUUCGAUGUUGCAACUUUCGAAUCGACGAUCGGCUCCGUUAAAUAUGAUCUAGAGUAUUUGGAGUACCUAGAAAAUAAAUUUUAUUAUUUUUCGAUAUCAUUUGCCUAGUGAUCGAAUGGACUCAAAAUCAACAAAUUUCAAUGGCCGUAGUGAGCCGUUUGCAAGUUUAACGGUGUAGAAAUAUCCAAAUCACGUGAAAUUUUGAUAGAAAAUUUUUUAUACUAUAUAAAACAAGAUCAAUAUCUUUGAUUUAAAAUUUUAAUAUCAUAUUAUUACAUUUUGUAAAAUUUUUAUUUUCAGCCGCUGAUUUUGAGCCCCUUUGUUCACUAGGCAAAUGAUAUCAUAAAAUCAUAAAAUUUAUUUUCUAGGUACCCCAAAUACUCUAAUAAUUUAUGGACACUUCGUCUUGACGCACUUUUUGUACCCCCACCCACUGCUCAUCCCCGUUGGGGGCUUUGAUCUCCUUCCUCUUCCUUUGCUUUUAAUUUAAUUUUGAGUUUACGACCUUCUCGGUGGCCUAAGCUGCUUCAACUUGUGUGCUCAGUCUUUUACUCAAUGAAUGAAGCAGGUAGCUUGCUAUCUAUUUCUCAAAAAAAAAAAAAGUUAACGAGACCGAUCACGAUUCGAAAGUCGUAAUAUCGAAAACGGCUGGAAGCAUGGAAGGAUCCGUACUUCCGUAGCAUAGUACCAUCCCAUUCUAUAUAUAUAUAUAUAUAUAUAUAUAUAUAUAUAUAUAUAGGGCUUUCUUUGUAAAUAGCUCCCUGACACUAUCCGUUUUAUUCAUUUGAAAAGUUAAAUUACUGUAAAAAGUUACGCAGUAAUAAAAAGAAAAGAAAAGAAAAGAAAAGUACAAGAGUAAGAGAGAGCAAAAAGUAAAGACAGUAGAAGAAUCAGGACCGGAGUUCCUAACUGUCCAUAAGCUUCAUCCAGUGCUACAAAACUCAGCCCACACCCUCCUCGACUCCCUAAUUCAUCAUGAUCUGCUGAUGAUAUACCUACUGUAAUUAGUUUUCUUAGAUAAGUACUCUAUUUAGGGAUAUUUAAGAAUUUAAGUAGAAUCGCGCUACAAAAAAAAAAAAAAGAAAAAGGCCCAGAUUCUCGUGAGAAUCGAGAUAAAAAUAGGGAAGUAAUUAAGGGGGGAAUAAAAUAUUAAAAUAUAAACGCUAAUUAAUUAGAAAUUUUGGCUAACACGUUGGUCCGUACGUAGUAUUGGUUGUAUAUAAUUGGAUAAAACAUUUUAUUAUUAUGUUGUGAACAAUAGUAUGUUCGUUGGGGAGUGCUUUUCCAUUCCGAGUACAGCUAGGAUUAUAAAGUUCCCUCACAGCUCAACUCAACUUUACAAAGUCUACUUAAACAAUUAAACUUGCGCCCGUUGAACAACCCAAUUAACUAACUAAUUAAAUAUAAACUAUUUGAAAUAAGCUUAUAAAUUGCAAAUUUAAAUUUUUUCUCAUUCAUAAGUGACUCACAUGUGUGGUUCCACCUAAAACCAUAUGCAUUAUUGCAGAUUUGGUUUAGGAGAGGAGAAAUGUAAUUAAUAACUCUUCAGCAUCCAGACGACGCGGUUGGUGGUCGAGAAGAAGAGAGAAGAAUAUAUAAGUCAAUUAUGAAUAAGGACAAGUUUUAAUUUCCAAAAUUUUAUCUGAAUUUUUAUCUCAAAUAGUUUAUAUUUAAUUAGUUAGUUAAUUGGAUUGUUUGACCGGCUCAAGUUUGUUUAAGUAGACUUUGUAGAGUUUAAUUGACUUGUGAUUAUUUUAAUGAGAGAGACUUUACAAAUUACAACCCUAGCUGUACUAGAAAUGGGAAAAGCACUUCCCCCAACAAAUAAAUAAUUGUUCACUACAUAAUAAAAUAUUUUUCUUAUCCAAUAAUACACAAUCUAUACCACGUGCGUACAUACUAGCCAAAAUUUCUACUUAAUUAUAUUGACCUUUAUAUUUUAUUUCUCCAUUACUACUCCUCUACUUUUAUCUUGAUACCCGCGUGAAUCAGGGUUUUUUCUUCUUCUUUUUUUUUUUUAGUGAGUCUUAGAUUUCCAGAAAAUUUUAAGAAAACUUCAAAUUUUUUUAAUCUUUGUAUUUAAAUUCUUAAAGUUUAAAAUUUUUGUUUGAAAUUCGUCUUGAUUAAAAGCACAGAUGAAUCACACCAUUGGUGGCUGGACUUUUAAUAAGUAAAAUUUUGUUUAGUUCAUCGAACUUUAAUUUAUUUUAAUUAUCAACUGAACAUUAAUUUCUAUCUCAUUCGGAUUGCUUUAUCACAUUUCGUAUAAUUUUUUAGACAGAACACAAAAACGUUAGCUAAUUUAGCUACCAUAUAGCUAUAAUUUAUUUAAUUUUUAUUGGUAGGCGAAGGAUGAUCAAAUUUAGCGGAACACAAUUAGAAGAAAUAUUUUACCAUAGUAGAAUUAUAAUUAACUAAUAAAAUUUAUCUAAACAAAUUUCAAUUAGCCAAAUUUCAAAACUGCCACGCCCAUCUAUUUUUUUUGAGAAAAAGAUAGCACGCUACCUGCUUCAUUCAUUUAGAGGAUGAAUUAGGCUUACAUAAUGGAGACAGCCGGGGCCUCCGACGGGAGAAAGAGCGUCAAAAUUACAAAGACAAGAAACAAAAAUGACAAGAGACUAAAACCAAAAAGGAAGGAAAAGAGGGUAAGGGAAGCAAGAGCGACAAAUAACUAAAGCCAAAAGAGGAAGAAAGAAAGAGUAAAAGCGACAGGCGUCAAACAGCAGGGAUCCAGCAGGGUCAACAAGGAGCGAUCCAGGUGUCAAGCAGCAGUUUCGCCCGUUCCAGGCACCGAAUAGGGUUGGGGGCAAUAUCUCGAAAGAUUAAACCAUUCAUUUCCGUCCAAACGACCCACCAAAUGGCAGAAAGGAAGGAGAGGGAAAUAAGUCUGUCUUUGGCGUCUCUUAGAUCAAAGUUCAUGUUCUUCACCUAUUAAAAUGACAAAUAAGUCUGCCACGCCCACCUAUUAAAAUGCCAUUUAUUUAGUUAAAAAGUUCAUGUUCUGCACCUAUGGAAAGUCUCCAUUUAUUACGUAAUUAACUUUUCAAAAUAUACCCAUAUAUAUAUAGAGAGAGAGAGAGAAUUCCCAAAGGAGUUUAGUUGCCUACUUAAAAAUGAACUUAUGCACGAAAAUCCAGGUCUUAUGAAAAGUACAACUUCACAGUUUGUUUAAAACACCUAAAUUAAAAAACAAAAGAAUGGGCUCACUUUUCAAGGCUCUUAUUUAAAAAUUCCGUCUCCGUCCCACGAUCUCUGAAUUGCUGAGGAAUGGUCAGCUCCGCAUAAAAUGAAUCGAAAGAUUAAUUUUUGGUAUAAAAAAUAUUUUUUUUGUUUGUUUGAUGUAAUGUUAAAAUAUUUUUUUGUAAAAAUAUUUUUACAGAUUUGAAAAAGAAUUGAAGUUUUUGUUUUUUGCUAUUUUUUGGAGAAAAUUGAAAACUCAAGUAGCGUAAAAAAAAUUUUCAUCUAUUUUUUUUCACCGAACUAAACAAAUGUAAUUUUUUUUUCUUUCAAUCAAAUAAAUAUUGGUGAAAAAUAUAUUUUUUUCUUACAAAUCAAAUACUAUAAAACGUAAAACUUUUUUUCUAUUGAAAUUUUUUUUUUCUAUAAAAAAGUAUUUUUUACGAUUUUACGUUGAACCAAAUGGACCUUAAUACAAAAUUGGCAUCGUGUUAGCACCAAGGAACUCACUAUCUUUAUUUCUUUUUUCUAUUUAACCUGUAAAAGUUAGUUUGGUGUAAAUUGAAUUAUCGGUUAUUACUGGCGCAAAGUUUGAUUUAAAUGCAAAUAGUGAGGACGAGGGCGUGCGGGGCAGAGGUGAGGUGGGUUGUUUCCGCCUCCGCCUCCGUUUCCUCUACGGAGAGAGAAAAAAAAAAGAACGAGAAAAGAAAAAGAGGAGAGAGAAAAAAUAAUAAGGGUAUAUUGAUUAGUUUGUUGAAAAUCUGAUUCGAAUCUGCAAAAUCGAAAAAAGUGGCCCACUUUUACAAAAGCGUAAAACAGUGGAUUUUGUAUGCAAAUUGGCCAAAGAUAAAUUAUAAAACUUUACUAACUUUUUCCAGCUCAUAAUUAAUACGACCUAUUAACUUUAAUUUGACCUGAAAAUAAUUUACUAACUUAUUUUUUACUUGAAUUUUGACCCAUGAAACUUGAUUUGGUCAAAGAUAACACAUUAUAUCAUCAAAUGUUGCUAAUUGCCGAACGAUCCGUUAGCCAGGCUUUCACACCAGAUUAAAUUUAUUUUGUGGGCAAAAUGCAGCUAUUUGCAUCAAAUCAAACUUUGCGCUAGUAAUAACCGAUAAUUCAAUUUACACCAAACUAACUUUACAGGUUAAAUAGAAAAAAGAAAUAAGAUAGUGAGUUCCUUGGUGCUAACACGAUGCCUUAUUUGGAUACAAGUUAAUUAAAUAUUGGUGACUUGAAUAUAAUAAUGUGCAAGAUUUCUUCAUCUAUUAACUUAAGCUGUUGGUUUGGGAUCGAGUCAUUUACCUUGGUAUUAUAUCGGAAGUUAAUUAAAUAGUUCAUGCGGUUUAGUCAUGUUUCGAUUUGACUUCGUUCAGUUCUCAUCUGAGUAGUCUAGUUCUUUCAAUCAGAUUUCGUCCAGCUCUUACAUAAUUAUAUUAGGUUCAUGCCGUCUAUUAGCAUGGCCUAUUAAUUAGGUGCCAAGGAGGUGGGUAAGUUGUGCGCGCGGAUCGAGAACUAGAGUAGUAUUAGGAGCCUAUAAAUAGAGGCAGCCUCUCGAAGCACUCUCCACCCAUCUAUCUACUACCCGCUGAUCAUAUAUAUAGAAUAAGAGUAAACACACACACACACACACGCACACACACAUAUAUAUAUAUAUGUAGCUAGCUAGCUCGAGAGCCAUGGGUUCGGAUGACUCGGUGAGCUAUGACACCAUCGUGAAAGGCGGCCACAAAUUUGCCGUGCUGACCCUGAAGCCAGCGGACAGCCGUCACCUCUUCACAAAGGAGCUCAUCGGGGAGUACAGCAAACGACUCCAGCAGGCCGUCGGCGACAAUGUUCAAGGCCUCAUAACCACCCACCAGGGCAACUGGUUCUCGGGCGGCUUCGACUACCACUCGGCCCCCCCGGUGGAGGAUUUCCGGAAGCUGAUUGCCGAGUUCAUCCAGCUGCCGUUCCCGACGGUGGCCUACAUACGCGGCCGCGCGUACGGGGCAGGAUUCACGCUGGCACUCUUACACGACUACUUAGUGCUGUCGAACAACAGCCCCCUUAGUUUGCGCCAGGACGAGCUGGCUAAUGGGCAUGAGUUGCCGCCGUAUGCUGUGGCGCUGGUGAGGGACAAGUUCCAGCUGUUGGCCUCGCUGGAGCUGCUGGUGUCGUCGGCGUACGUCACAGCCCCGAAGUUCGCGCCCAUAACCGAGUACGUGAAUCCGUACGUAGGGUGGACCGUAGACGAGGUGGUAAAUAAGCUGCUGCAGCCACUGGUUGGCCUCGUCGGCCGCAACUACGGUAGCGUGCGGAAGAUCCUGCUGCCCCAAGUGUGUCAGCUGGUGAAACCCAAACCGGCCGGCUCGCGGCUAUAGCGAGCUUGAGAGCCUGCAUGGCUCCACGCAUGCUUUUUAAAAUUUUGCAUGCAUGCAAUAUGUUUUCGCCCCCCGUAUGGAUUGCAUAAUGCGUACCGCCGUUAGCUUGGAGUCCUAGUCCUAGUCCGAGUCCGAGUCCCAGUCAGUUUACUUUACGGUGCUUGUUUUGCCCUUUUGAAUAAAAUGGGGGCGGGGCGAUGUCGGUCUGAGUGAGUCUCUGUCGAUCCUUUGUCAUUUACUAUAUGCUUCUGCAUCUCUCAUUUAUUCACGAUUGUUUGGAUUGGUCUUCAAAAGCAUAUAUAUUUGGAUUACCGGAACUUUCUGGGUGUGGAUGGAAUUAACUUAGGAGCAUUAUUGUAGCUCGAUCGAGUUCCUCUAAGGUCGCAAAAAAAAAAAAAAAACUUGAAUUUAAAAAUUUCGUCACCAAACUUGAACUUACAAAUAUCGAUCUCAUUACAAAUGCCACAAUCCCCAGAGAAAACACAAAGUACGACCGAAGCGAUAUGGAUUGGGCCUGGUCCAUCGAACCAUUUUGAAUCGUGGCAACGGUUGGCCUGGUCCGAUAGAUAUAUAGAUCACUCGUUUCUUUCCUGGCUCAAGGUCGAAAAGAUGUAAAGCUAAGUGUUUGGAGCUAGCCAUAUAUAGAUGGACUUGGGGCUCACGGACAACCAACAAAUCAAAUAUGUACAACAAAAUGGUGCGCACGUUUUUUUCUACUUCAAAGGGGAUGCACAAAGAAUAAUAUAAAUUGUAAAGAGAAUAUUGUGAGAAAACUGAGGGAUUAAUACAUUGUUUUCAAUCAAAGGUUCAAACAGUGAAUUUUCUUCUUUUCUUUUUUUUUUUCUUUUUUUUUGCGAGAUAUGUAGCACACUACCCGCUUCGUUUAUUUCAUUUAGAAAUAAACUUAGCUGUAAAUGUAAAUCAACUAGGAUUCGAACUUGGGUCUCGGUACUAACCACCAAGCCUUUUACCACUUGCUCUAGGAACGAUUGGUCAAAUAGUGAAUUUUCAAACUGAUAUAAAAUGCAUGUACUCUGAACUACGUACCAUUCAUAAGAGCACCGGAUCGAGGUGCGAUCUAAACUUUGAUGACAUGGCCCCAAGCUAGCUGGAUUUACUAGCGUAGCAAUUUCCUUUGUUAUACUGUGAAUAUCGAUGCUUUAAUUAGUAGGAUUACAAUUUACAAUUAGUGAGGAUUACAUACAUCCUGAGGGUGGAGGAGUCGGAAGAGCACCACUGUCACUGCCGGAGUGCCACCCUGAAAGUCCGUGGUGCGGUGGCCUGCAUUCUCAACGACACCAAGGGCGUGGAAGGCCUCAUAACUACCGGCGGAUUGCCGACGAGGCUUGAUGCUAUUAAUAGCAUUCUAGCCUAUUUUUAUAUGAGUCUGGUUACAAUACCAUUAAUAGCAUCAAACACUUAUUACUAUCAAGUUUUCCGCUAUAAUGCAAGAGAAAUUGAUAAAAAGAUAUUUUGGUGACAGGGAAAAUUUUAGAUUAAAUAAAAAAAUAUUUCAUACAUAUUAACAAAAUAAUAAUAAUAAUAAUAAUAAUAAUAAUAAUAAUAAUAAUAAUAAUAAUAAAUAAUUAAAUAACUAAAAAUAAAUUAAGUUUGAAAAAUAGAAUAAUUAAAAAAAUCUAUCAAAUCAUUAGUUAUUUAAAUUCAAAUAAUAGAUUCAAAAUUAACUUUAAUUUUUGAGUCUAGUAAUUCAUAUAAUUUAAAUCUAAAUUUUUAAUUUUAAUUUUAAAAUUAAUUUACAUUUUAAAUUAAUUUAAAUUUUAAAAUUUUGGAUAUACAUACAUAUUAUAAAAAAAUGUGUAUAUUAUGGAAUACAUAAAAAGAAAUUUACGAUGUAACUAAAUUUAAAAUAUACUUGAAAAUAAAUCAAAUUUAACAAAUAAAUCAAUUAAAAACUAGAUUUAUGCCACGUAUUUACCACUACAACAGAAUUAGGUUAUAGGGACACAUGUUUGGGACAUUUUUGAGUAAGUGUCCUAUUUAUCCUAAAACUUAAAAAAACAUCUACUAAUACCUAAAUAUAAAACCCAAUCCAACCAAAAAUAAAAGAUUACUCUAUUCAACCCACCACACCCAGUCCAUUUGGCCCGAUUACAAACAGAAAAGAAUAAAAAAAAAAAAAUCAAUUACCAUCUUUUCUUCUCUCUUCACUCAAUCCACUGAAAUUCUAGACGAAAAGCCUUUCCUGUCGUCCUCCUCCGCCACCGCAGCCAACGAGAUAGAAUUUCGGCGGUUGCUAAAUGCUUAAAUAAGUGUUGGUAAAUUAGCAGCACUCUUUUAGAUUAUAGCGACACUCUUUAACUGUCACUAUAUACUUAGCGACCCCACAUAUAGCAACACUUUUUAAAAAUAUCGGUAAUUUUAGCUAACAGCACUUUUUGACAUGUACCUAUAUUUAAAAGUGUCACUAUAAACCGUUUUUGUUGUAGUGUUAAAUUUAAAAUAUAAAUUAAGAAUAUACUUUAACUUUAAUUUUUAUACUUAAAUUUGAUUUCCUUUACAAAUGUGAGAGCACAACGACAUGCACUACAAACAAUCAGUCGCACAUCUUUGAUUGUAUGUUACUUUGUUGGACACAUUACAUCGUUGGUUGGUCACUAAACUUUUAAUAAAAUUUAAUUUAGAUCAUUGAACUUAAAUUUUGUUGUUGUAUUAUUAGUCAUUGAACUUUUAGUAAAAUUCUAUUUAGGUCA